GUAGCCGAUGAAAAUACAUCGCUCACUUCGAGGUUCGAAUUUGUCGUGAGUAUCUCGUCUUACGAAAGCCUCGCAACCCCAAACCUUGAUAUGUGCCAACGAGGGAGCUUUCCCUGUCCACAUCUCGUGAGGUGUUUUGGCAACCUUCUUAGUAGGGACUCGGUUAAGGAUAUGGGCGGCAGUCUCUAAGGCAUACCCCCAAAAAGAGAUUGAUAGUGAAGCACGACUCAUCAUAGAGCGAACCAUAUCCAAUAAGGUUCGAUUACGCCUUUCUGCCACACCAUUCAAUUGUGGUGUCCUAGGUGGCGUCAAUUGCGAAACUAUUCCACACUCCUUGAGAUAUUCAUGGAAUUCAAGACUUAAGUACUCUCCUCCUCGAUCGGAUCGAAGCAUCUUGAUCUUCCUGCCCAAUUGAUUCUCCACUUCAUCAUCUUUCCCUUUCCUUGACCAAUUGCCAAGACAGGAGCAGCGGGUGGAUUGGGAGUUGGUGCAACAGACUUGUCUUUGAAGUUGCUCUCAGCGACCCUCAAGAGACCUUGGAGUUUGCUUAGUGUGACCUCCUCUUUGUUCAUGUGGUAGGUCAUACUAAAUUGGUUAUAGCUUGGAGGCAAAGAGUGAAGCACCAUGUCGAUUGCCCAGUCUUCCCCAAAGUCAACAUUCAACUUGCGAAGACGAUCGACAUACCUUUGCAUCUUUUGCAGGUGCACGGUAAGAGACUCUCCAUGACCCAUCUUAGCGGAAAUCAUGUUAGUGAAAAUCUCAUAACGCUCUUGUCUCGCGUUUUGGUGGUAUCUCUCUAAUAAGUCUUGGUGCAUCUCGUAUGGAUACAUGUCCUCAUAGGACUUUUGGAAUUCGGAGUUCAUUGUGGCUAUCAUGAUGCAGUGAACCUUCGUUGCAUCACGUUCAUGAGUCUCAAAAGCACUCAUUUCAGCCGGAGUAGCGAUUUCUGGAUUGAUCUUCUCGAGCUUUUCAUCAAGGACAUACUCCUUGUCCUCGUAGCGAGCAAUUGUGCGAAUGUAUCUUAUCCAUUCGCUAAAGUUCGUUCCAUCGAAAGUAACCUUUUGGCAAAGGCUCAUCAAUGAGAAGGAACUAUCGGCAGCGUUGUUUGAUUUCGACAUCUACAAAGGAAAAGGAGAAAGAUAGAUUAGAAUAUGAAUCCCUAAUUAUCACCCAAUAAGAAAAAUUAGGGCUAGGAUCCAACAACAAUAUUUACAUCUUAGAAAAGGGAUGCCGUAAUCUAAAUGCAAAUAGUUUGAUGGUAAGUGAAUGACGAUUCACUAAUUCACCAUCAUGAAAAACCUAACUCUAAGUUCUAAAUGUAUUGAGAAUUCCUAGGUUCGGAUGAGAUUCAUUGAAACUUUUCAAUGGCAUGUUUAAAUCUCGAUAUGCCCCUCUCAUUUGUGACUGGGAUACCGAGGAUCACAAAGUGGGUGUGAAUUACCAUGCAAAUUCACACGACGCCUUCAUUGUAACGAUCACCUAUUCGAUGUGCCGGUAAACCACACACGCUCCAUCGAACUAUGAUAAACAAUGAAUCACCCUUUGCCACCUUCGCUUAGAACCAAUUAGUGUGCCGGUAAACCACACACGCUCCACUAACUUCUUNGAGCGUCGCCUGUCACCAAGCAAGGUGCAAAGUGUAAAUUCAUGGGAUUGCAUCAAUUCACUUUUCCUAAAGUUACUAAGAUUGGGAAAAUUUGAAAAUAUUUAGUUACUUGUAUUUCCUAUUAUACUUUUAAUGAAAGGAUGAGGUUGUCCUAUCCUAUCCGUUCGGCUAACGACCCUCCACCGAUCAAGCAAGCGGUGGGUGUGAGUGUACACCCAUUAAGCGCCAUUUUAUAGGCCGCAACCUUAUACCCACCUUAUAGAUCGGCUUCGUGAAUGAGGCCUACUAGCGGUAAGACUAGCAUUUAGUUAUACAUAUAUAUAGAUAUUAAUCUUGUAAUAUUAUAUUAGUAUAAGGUUGAAUUUUAAACUUGUAUAACUCUAGGGUUUGAAAUUUAAAUUUAUCUAAAUUAAACUUUUAAUCAUAAAACACAAAUUUCAAAACUUGAGGGCAAGUUUUAAACUAUUCAAAACAUAGAGGAUCAAAUAACAAAUAAUUCUUAUUAACAAUUAAACACAUAAUUAUCCAUAUUUGAUUUAUUUGAGAUUUCUUGAAAAACAAUUUACCAAUUAAAAUAAUAAUUAAUAAUUAUCAUAUAAGUAAAUUAAAUAUUUGAUUAAUUGAUAAAUAUCAUUAACUAGAUCAAAAAUAUGGUCAUAUUUAUCACAAAAUCGGAUUUGGGAUGAUCUAAUAUGAUAAUGGUAACUUCCCAUAAGAUAAUUACAAAGAAAUCCCGAAAUUGGCUCUUCCUGACGCUCGGACUCGCCUAGUACCCAUUCUGGACUCGCCGAGUCUACAGUGGGACUCGCCGAGUCCAUGACUCAGAAACACAAAAUUCGAAUUUUGCAGUUAAGAUUCAAACAAACAAGCAACAAUUUAAAAGAAACCAAGCUAGGCUCUGAUAUCACUGAUGGGUUUUGGCCAUAUGAACAUUCCUAUGUGCACAUGCAAACCCUAAUGCUUGGAUCUAUGGCUUCUAAUUAAACAUGCUUGUAUCCAAGACUUCUAAUGGCUAAUUAGGUAUAAAACAAUACAAAAUCAGAUCUACAAUCAUACCUUUGAUUCUCUUGUUUGUUCUUAUUGUCUUGGAGCUCCAGAGUCACAAUUGUCACUCCUCUAGUGGCUUACAAACACCAACUAGCAAGAUGAUGAUUUGAGAGAGAGGAAGGAGCAAGAAAUCGGCCAGAGUAUCUUUACUUAUGAAGGGGUCCCUAUUUCUAAUGCCAAGAGGGUCUAUUUAUACUUACAGGGCUCCUAGGGUUUCACCUUUAAACCCUAAUUGGAUAACUUAGACUCCAAGUAAUCCAUAUCCUUUCCUUAGAUAACCCUUUGGACGAUUUUAGGCUUAUCCUAGCCCUAGAAAUCGUCCAAUCCUUUAUCUAUAAGGAUUUAUAGCCUAAAGUCCAACUAUCAAACAAUUGACAGUUUAUACCCUCAUAUUUAAUUAAUCCCUUUAAGUCACGAAAUUAAUACUAAUUAAUCUAUGACUUAUAUUAAUUAAAUAAUUAUAUUAUUAUUCCUUAUAAUAUUCUCAUAAUAUAUUAAUAAUAACUAUUCUCUCAUAAUAAAUCAUCCUAUCAAGUUGCUAUGGUGAAGGCAACCCAAAAGGACCAAUGCACAAUCGAGUCAAGUAUUUGCCUAAUCUGGUUGCAGCCUUAGACACUAUUCCAACACGAACAACACCAGAAAAUCCGAUAUUUUCUGUAAAAAUAAUCUAAAAGUGAUGUAGCAAGAUCCAAUAUUAAUGCAUGUGUGUUUUCUGUUUUGGAAAUGUAUAUAAAAAUGUAAACCAGAAAUCUUGUAUUUUCUGUUGUAAGUAGAAGAUAAUGUAUAAAUGUAUUUUUCCCAGAAAAUCCGAUAUUUUCUUGUUAUAAAAGUAUCGUGGUCUUAAACCCGAAGACCGAGUAUUAGUGUAUGCAUGUGUUUGUAUCGUCAAGAUUGUAUAUGUAUUCUGUAAAUGUAUGAUGGAGUUGAUCUCUAAGUGAGUCGCUAUAACCAUACAUGAUAAUGAUAAAUUCCCCUGUCUUGGCGAUUUCAGGCGUCGGUUUGUUUAAGGUAAGGUUUGUUGCCCUAGACUGGCCUAGUCUAGCUGUAGCGAACAGCUCAGGCAUGGGGUGUCAUCCCUGUAUAGAUCUAUAAACAAACUCCCGCUCUCCCUCUAGGUGACUCUGUUAUAACAACAUGCUAGGACUAUACACUCAAGAGGUGUCAACCGACAUGUCUCACUAGAUCCUUAACUACGAAUAUUGUAUUACACUGUGUAUAACGUUUCUGUGUAUGUUUUAUGUUUGCAAAGUCUAGAAAGUAUGUAUGUGAAUGUAUGAGGCCCAACAGACAUGUAGAGGGAUAGCUAAGGCCCACUAAACAUAUAAGUUAUUUCCAGGCCCAAUAAGGCUGCAAAAGGACAUCUACGACCCACUAAGCAUGUGAUGUAUAGUCCAUGCCCAAUUAGCAUGUAAAUGGAUCACUAAGGCCCAAUAGACAUGUAAUGUGUAUUCCAGGCCCAAUAAGCAUGUGAUGUAUAGUCUAGGCCCAAAUAGCAUGUAAAUGGACCAUUAAGGCCCAAUAGACAUGUAAAGUGUAUUCCAGGCCCAAUAAGCAUGUAAUUGGACCACUAAGGCCCAACAAACAUGUAAUGUAUAAUCCAGGCCCAAUAAGCAUGUAAAUGGACCAAUAAGGUCCAAUAAACAUGUAAUGUAAGUACUAUGCCCAGUAACAUGUAACCGAUGUAUUUAAUUCGUUUGUUAUUACGUUGUUUGUUUUAGCUCGUUUGUUUACUAAAAUGACAUAAAGGCCCUAUUUUUCCAAUGAUGACAUUUUUGGCCCAUUAAGCAGAAAAUUUACAAUUAGGGCACAUUCUUGGUAAGAUUGACACUUUAGGUCCCUUAAGACCAAAAGUUUACAUUUAAGGGCUUUUUUCAAUUAAAAUGACAUUUUUAGUCCACUUUUGUUAGAAAUAACAUUUUUGGCCCAAUGUCAUGAAGAUUGACAUUUUCGGCCCAUAUAUAUAUAAAUCGACAUUUUCGGCCCAUAUAUAUAAAUUGAUAUUUUCGGCCCAUUUAUAUAGAAAUUGACAUUUUCGGCCUAAGUUUUAUGAAAAUAACAUUUUAGGCCCAAAUUCAAAUAAAAUAACAUUCUCAGCCCAUUAAACCGUGUAUUUACAUUUUUGGCUCAAAUUUUUGUUAAAUGACAAUUUAACCCAUACAAGUCAAAAAUCUAUAAUUUAGGCCCAUAAACCGUGAAGGCCCACAGUAAGGCGCAUUAUGUGAAAAUUAACACUUUUGGCCCUUUUAAAACCUUGAAUAUCAUAAUGACCCAUUUUUAUAUAAAAGUGACUCUUUUAGACCUUGAAAAACCACAAGUGUCAUAAAAGUCUCAUCUUUUUGUUUAUUUGUCAAAAAUGGCCCUUUUACAAGAUUUUGUUUAGUUUCUCAAAAAUCUUCACAUGUUUAAGACUUUCAUCUUCAUGGUAUGUUGUAUAAAGUGUUUUAGUUUACAAAUAUCACUAAGUUCUGUUAGGAUUUUUGAGAUCUAUAAAGUUUCAUCACAUAUUCAUAACUUAUACCAAGAAAACACAUAUAAACAUGUACAAAUACAUAGAUCUAACACAUAAGCAACUUGUAUUUUUCUUAAUCUCCUCCAGCAUUCGUAGGUGAUAUGCCUCCACAUCCUCUCCUUCAUUCUUCUCAUUCAUCCUUCGCAACAUAAACUCCUUUGCAAGAUGUUUUUUUCCGUGACAAUAAUUGCAAUCGUAUCUGGAGUCACCAACUAUCUUUUUCUCCUUCUUCUCUUCCUCUUUCUGAGAACUACUUUUUCUCUCUUCUUUCACAUUCUCCGAGCUAUAGCUUCCCUGCCAGUUUCUAUUUUGCUUGAGGGAAACUUAUUCCUAGCAAAUCGCUUAGGAUUUGACACCAUUAAAGCAAAAUCUUCGUUUGAGAGCCCGUACUCAGAGUGAUCUGAAUCCGAUCCGUCAUCAGCAACAGUCUUGACUUUUGCAACCAAGGCUAACAACCCCAUCCCAGAGACCACCUUCGCUUCUUUCAUCACUUCACUCUCUCGCGCCUUCAUAAUUCCCACAAGGCUCGCAAGAGUAUAGUUUUCGAACUGUUAGUGUGCUUUAACAGUUUACACCACUCCCUUCCACUUUGAUCACAGUCCGUUCAUGAACGUGACCUUUUGCUCAAUCAGUUCAUGUCUAAUCCCAUGCUUCAUCAUCUUGCUGAGAAUAUGAUUAUAUCGAUUGAACGUGGCACUCAAUGUUUCUUCAAGCUUUUGAAUGAAUUCGCCAAACCCGGAUAACAAGAGUGUUUGAGUCGAGUGUUCUAGAUCUGUGUCUAUGGAAUAGAGCUAUUUCAACCUAUCCUAUAUAUCCUUCGCUGUGUCACUUGAACUUACAAGACGGAACGUAUCUGCUUGCAAAGAAAAUCUGAUGAUCCUCAUUCCUUUAAUAUUGCUUAUGAGUUUGUGCUUUUCGUCCUGAGGCACGUCCUUCACAUCAAAGAGCAGUUGGUUGUAUUCUUUCUGGGUUUUGAUUUUUCUUUUGGUCUCUGUGUGAAUAAACAAACCUAGAGUGAUUGCCUCCCGAAUCAGAUAACCAUUCUCUUCUGAGCCUAGAACAUAAUCUUCAAAGUGAAGUGCCUAGGCUUCAUACUCUUGAGGAAAAAUAAUCAGGAUCCUAGUUGUUGAACCGAUGUUGCUUGAGAUAUUCAAGGAGUUGAUGUAUGAAUCGUCGUUUUGCAUGGUGGAUAAUCUUUUAAUACCUUCAAUUAAUCAGACUGUAAACACUUAUUAGGUUAAUAUCGAGAUCACAGAGUGAUGUCAAUAAAUCAGUGACGGCUCUUAACAGAUCCAAUAUUUGUGGAAACCAUAAUAAUUUCUUCAAACAGGAUAGUUGUGUAUUAAGUACAUAGCCUUCUGCUUUGAUACCAAUUGUUAGGAUGAAAUCCUUAAUGAUCGAAUAGAUUAAAAACAGGUAAAUAAGAACACGAUAUGAUCAAACUGGUGUUGAAUGAUUAAAAGUCACGCCUUAGAAGAACUCGACUAAGAAUUGCUUCAGUAGAGGCGUAAAUAGGGUUACAAAGAUAAUAUCGAGAGUUAACUAAAAUACGUAGCAUGCAUGCACCUUAUAUACUAUAACCCUAGCAAUAAGUAUAAGUGGACAGGCCCAACUCGUUUAAACAAAAUGGACUAAACAAAACAGGCCCAAUGACGCAACACUAAAUCUUCAACAGAAGGCCUUAGAGGGAUGGAAAGUCAACUCAAAAUUAAGGAUGAUGGGGCGAGACAUUUCAUGAACCGAGUAUGGAUUCCAAAAUAUGGAGAAGUUAGGAAGGAGUUCUAAAUGUGACUCAUAGAUCUAGAUAUUACAUUCAUCAUGGAAAAGAAAACAUGUACUUAUACCUAAAGGCCCUUUAUUGGUAGCCAAACAUGAAGACAGAUUUUGUGUCCUGCGUAAGCAAAUCCCUAACAUGUUCCAAGUUCAAGGCAGAACAUCAUUGGCCCUUGGGAUUGUGGCAGCAGUUGAAGAUUGCUGAGUCGAAGUGGGAGCAUAUCGCAAUGGACUUUGUUACCAAAUUACCAAAGACUACUGCUGGUUAUGACACCAUAUAUGUAUUAUUGAUAGAUUAACCAAGUUUGCCCACUUCAUACCAACAAAAGAGACAAUAAGAUGGAGAAACGGACCAGAACGUACCUUUGAGAGAUCGUCAGAUUGCAUAGGGUACCCUUAUCCAUUAUCUCUGACAAAGAUAGUAGGGUUAUGUCACACCCCCAAACCAAGGAUGGCGGAAACGUCUGGAGGUGGCUGACUUCAUGUAUAGUAUCAUAACAAUGAGUUAAGCAAUACAACCAACCAUAAAUAUAAUCGUAAAAGAAUUACAUGAUUUCAAGUGUUACAUAUUUCAAAGAUUGAUUACACAUUAUGUAAACAUAGUUAUUCAACGUCGUAGCGUUCCAUCCUCAAAAGCUUGUAGUUACCUAGUUUCACUGAUUUCCUGAGAAUAUAAGUAGUUUUGAAAGUGUCAACAAUUAAGUUGGUGAGCUCAUAAGCUUUUGAAAGUAGGAGUUUAAAAACCGAUCUUUGUAAUGAGUUGUACGUCACCAAGAAAAUCCAAUAUUUUCCUUAUAAAAACAAUAUGUAGUCUUAAAUCCCAAGACUGGGUGUGCGUGUGAGUUUUGUGUUAUGUGGUCUCAAGUUCCGAGACCAAAAGUGUACAAGUAAAAUCCAUACUUAUUGAUAUAAAAGUGGCUUUAAAUCGACAUAAAACCCUUCAUGAUUUAUGAAAUCCCCGUAAACUUUAUGUUUCGCUAACUCCCUAUGUGAGUCGCUAUAACCAUACUAUGAAUAACUGAACCUGAUACGACGUUUUUUAGGCGUUGGAAAGAUAUGACAUUUGUCACCCCUGGUCUACCGACCAAACUGUUGCGAACAGUUGGAGUGUGGGGUGUCAAUCCUAAUAUAGAUCUAUACACAACUUAUCACGCUCUCCUUACAAGAGACUCUGGUUAUAACUAUCAGGAAUUUUAACCUGUACUCUAAGAGUACUAUGAAGAAUGUCUCACAAUUUACGUUAGCGAGUUUACGUGUGGUGUGCAAGUGUAAACCUUUUCUGUGGAGAUAAAAACCUUCUGUGAUGUGUUGGUUGUGUAAAAUGAAACAUAAACUAUUCCUAUAAUAGCUUAUCAAAAGUGUUUUUGUUACGUUCAAAAUCCUUUUUGUAAUAGAUGUAACCUUUAUACUAAGGUAAAAGAUAUGUAAUAUAAUCAACAUGUAUUUUUACAUAAAAAUACACACCUUGCUCAACAAGUUACAAGGUGUAAAUAUGUUAUUAACAAUUUGAUAGCUUUAUCUUUUCUGUCACUGUUCUUGGAAUAAUUAUAGAAUAAUCAUACAAAGUCAAAAGCUAAAUCCAUCAAUUCUGAGAGUCUAGAAAUUGUGUCUAGUUUAUUCAUAAUUUUUAUUAUGAUUUUUAGUAACCUCUAACUUGUGUAAAAAUGUUCAUAUUCACACACUGGUCCGAAUUCGUAACUACAGUGAUAGGCAGUUUUGUAAAAAUCACCAUAAAUUGUAGAAAAAUCAUAUGGAGAUGUGAAAGUAGUCAUUUUAAAGGUGUAAACCUGAAAUAUUUGCAUAUAAAACAGUUUUAAAAUAUAUUGAGUUUAAUAUGGUCAAAACAGUCCGAAUAUAGAACUAAACUUUUCUGUGAAAAGCUGAUGAAUUAGUUUAAGCUUGAUUAAGGUGAUUUAACUUGUAUCCCCCCCCCCCCCUAAAACUUGAAGAAAACAUGAAAAUGUAGGGGUAUGAACUCACCUUGAUUGAUUUCAGGUGGUGGAUGAUGAAGAAAAUUGAGUUUCUUCAUCAAGAACGCUUGAUGAACACGAAAUAGUUGGAAGAUCCUAAGAACAACCUUUUGAUGUUAAGAUGUGUAUAGAUGAUUCGAUGAUGUAGUGAAAAACAUGAAAGAACUCUGGAGUUUAGAUGAUAUAACUUCCAAAUGAUGAAGAAAUAUCUCAAGAAUACCUCCAAAAAGUGGCUGGAAGUAGAGAGGAAAAGGUAGCUUUCUUGAGAGUAAAAAGAGAGUGUAAGAGUUCUAGAAAUGAAGAAAUGAUCAAGUUAAGUCAAGAAAUCCUCUAGGGAUUUUCCUGUGAGAGAGGUUUCUGAAGCAACUUGCAAGGUGAUGGGAUGUUUACAUUGGUAAGUGUGAAGUGGAUAGGGUUGGAGCAAUGGGGAAGUGACACAUGGAUGCAAGUGGGCACACUUGACACACUUGUGGGGUAAAAUAUCUUGGGAUAUUUUCUUAACUGAAUAAACGAUUUUAUAAUUAAUUAAUCCUUGGAAAAUGAUUAAAUUAUGAUUUUUGGGAGUUUAAAAUGUUAAAAAUAUGAAUUUGGUGAAAAAAUCCCGUUAAAAACGUCAAAAAUGGGCUUAACAGGCGAAAGUUGCUCAAACCCGGACAUCUAGGACCGAACCUGCGAGGUUCUGCUCCUUGGAUGCGAGGACCAAAGGUGGGAGGGGGAACCGAGAGUGGAAGAAGGAGGGAUCGAGGCUCGGUCCUCUAAUUUUUGGUUCAGACAAGAGGGAUUCGGUUCUGACAGGAUCGACUCCUAAGACGGUCGGCUCUUAAGAGGGUUUCGGCUCCUUAAGAGGGUUUCGGCUCUAAGAGGCUGUUUUUCGCGUUUUCUUCCCGUUUUGAGUGAUUAUUGACCAUGUUAAGGUUCGGGAUGACCCGAAAGGCUACCAAAAGUUUGAGAUAGAAUUAACGGAGAUUUGGGAGAGAUUUGAGAGAGAUUCUUAUAGAGUGGGAGAGAUUUAGAGAGGCUUUGUUUUUAAUCCUUAUUAGCGUCUUUCCUUGUAAUGCAAGGAUCUUAAGCCCCGUUAUGACUCGUUUAUGAUUAUUUUAAGUCCCCGAAGGGUCCAUAGUCGCAUUUUUGACCCGUUUAACUCCCUUCUUAGUGUGUCUCCUUGAUAAAAACACAGGUUCGCUGCGAUACUUGAAUUUUUGACAUACAAAUGUAAACUUUUACACAUAGAAUCACACUUAUCAAAUAAGUACUAAUUAUGUUUGACUAGUUUGACCAGUUGACUUUGACUUUGACUCGUUGACUUAAACUUGACGGUUGUAACAUUAUCCCCCGACAGAAGGAAUUUCGUCCCGAAAUUUGCAUUCGGAGUGGGACUUCAAGGGUUGGGGAGAAGAUGUGGGUAUUUUUGUUCCAUUUGGUCUUCGAGCUCCCAAGUGAACUCGGGUCCUCAUUUAGCGUUCCAACAGACCUUCACAAUAGGGAUCCGACUUUGUUUCAUUCGUUUGGUUUCCCGAUCCAUGAUUUCGACCGGUUCUUCUACGAAAUAGGAGACUCUCGUUGAGUUCAAUUUUGUCGAGGGGUAUUACGAGAAUCUCAUCGGACAUACACCUAUUUGAGUUUGAUACAUGGAAUGUCAAGUGUAAGUUGUUAAGUUCUUGUGGUAAUCGAAGCUUGUAUGCCGCUGGGCCAAUCCCGGCAAGGAUUUCGAAUGGCCCGAUGUACCUUGGGUUUAGUUUCCCACCUUUACCAAAAUGUAUCAUUCCUUUCCACGGUGAGACAUUUAGUUGUACCCGGUCACCAACCCGGAAUUCCAAAGGUUUGCGUCGUUUAUCUGUGUAGCUCUUUUGUCUAUCUCAAGACGCCUCAGUCUUUCUCGAAUCUGUAUGACCUUUUCUGUUGUUUUUCUUAUGAUUUCAGGGCCUGUGAGGGUGCUGUUAGAGAUUUGCCCCUUCGCUAGCUGUGUAUCACUCACUUCAGUCCGGCGUGGUGAUAAUCUAUCCUUGUGGCUAUAGAUGUUUCUUAUGGGGCAACAUUUAUGUUAGGGUGAUAGUUGUGGUUGUGUGAAAGUUCAUCGAGUUAUAAGUGGGCAUUCCCACGCUUUAUGGAAGUCAAUCACCCAUGCAAUUUGGAUGUAUUCCAAGGCUUCAACAAUUUAUUUUGUUUUGUUCGUCGGUUUGUAGGUGGUAGGUCGUACUCCAGGCUAACCUAGUCCUUAUAAGGGUUGUCGGAACCGCGAAAUCAGUCUACUAUCUCUGUCGAAGAUAAUGGAUGUUGCCAUCCCUGUAGUCUUAGAAUCUCUUUGAUGUACGGUCUAGUCAAUUUCUCCGUCAUGUCGAUUUCUUUGAUUGGAAGGAGGUGCACGGAUUUGGUCAACCUAUCAGUACUUUCCCAAAUGGAUUUGGUAAACCUACCUUCCAGUAUUCUGCAACUAGAUUACGACAUCCCUCUUCUAGGUUGUAGAGUAUUGUGUUGGAUCGUAGCCUUGAUGUUUCAUUUGGGUGUUACAUCAAGGAUUCUAAUCAACUUAACUUGAAUUUUCUCCCAUUUUAUAGAUGUCUAGUUCUGAAAACUAUGGUUUUCCUAAAUCCCUUAGAACAAAUUUUCCAAACGAAGAUGAUAUUCCACGAUAUGAUCGAGGAACAAGAGAUCAUGUUUCACUUCCUCCACCUCCUCCAAUUAUUCUCCCUAACCCAUAAGUUCGAAUGCUUGAAAAGUUCAAGCUCACUCAAGCCCUUUUGGAAAGUUAAUACGAAGAUGGGAAACCUGUGUGUGCACACGUAUUAGAGAUGAAGUCACACAUUGAUAGGUUAAGAAUGUUAGGUGUCGAGAUUUCAAGUGAGUUGGUUGUUGACCGGGUUCUUCAGUCACUUCCUGAAUCAUAUGGUGAGUUCGUUAGAGAGUACUAUAUGAUGGAUCAUGACGCGACCCUCAUUGAUUUGACCUAUUUGCUUAUAGCUCCUGAAUCAGAAAUGGUUUGGCGAGCUGGUCAAGCAAAUUUGUCUGGUGAAUUAAACUCCCAAACUUCAAUAGAUAUUGAAAUUGGUGACAUUGGAGAUCCAGAAAAAGUAAAGUCUGAGAUAGUUCCUUGUGUCAUUCCAAAAGAGUCCAUUUGAUUUUAUUGCCAAUAGAAGGGGCAUUAGAGAUGAAGAUGUCCUAUUUACCUGAAAGAUCUAAGAGAUGGGAGAGUCAAGACGUAGGGCAUUGCUUCAGGUAAAAUCCAUUAACUAACUCUUUUAAGUUCCUAUUCUAGAUUCUUAAUGCAUGAUGUGAUAAGAUUACAUUUUGACGUUUUGUAGGAUCGAAGAAAAGAGAGGAAGCUUAAUGGAAGAAGUGAGCUGAAUCUAAUCAUGAAGAAAUGGAUUUCAAUCGCAUUGCUUGAAGAUUUGAUUCUUGAGCUACUACUUGGAGUUAGAAUAGAUUGCUUAAGAAUAUGUAACAACAUUGUUUUACAGUUGAAUUGCUUUGUAAGGACAAAAUUUUUUGCAAUAAAAUAAAUUUUGGUUUUAUCUUAUCCUUGCAAUGGUGUGUAUGAAAAAUUGAUGUUUGAAGGUUUCUAUUAUUAGCAAUAAUGGAUUUGAUUCAUAAUUUUGUUAUUUGUGGAAAUAUCGAGAAUUUACCAAAUAGGGAAAGUUUCCCAUUGCCCAAGUUUCAAUUGGAUAGAAACUUGGAAUCAUGCAACUUGGUUGCAUGAUGAAUGAGAAAUUUCAUAUUUUAAAAUUAGACUAAGUCAUUGACAAAGUGCCAAGUGAAGGACUAGGAGAUCGAGUACACAAAGUUGUGUGUUGAUCAAGUCCACCACAAGAGUAACAAAGACUUGGAAUCAUACAAAUUGGUUGCGUGAUGAAUAAGAGACUUCAUAUUUGGAAAUUAGACUAAUUCUUUGACAAAGUGUCAAGUAAAGGACUAGGAGAUCGAGUAUACUAAGUUGUGUGUUGAUCAAGUGCACCACAAGAGUGAAAAAGAUAUUCGUCAUGAUUUACUAAAGUUUAGUAAAUAUGAUUAUACAGAUUAAGUGNNNNNNNNNNNNNNNNNNNNNNNNNNNNNNNNNNNNNNNNNNNNNNNNNNNNNNNNNNNNNNNNNNNNNNNNNNNNNNNNNNNNNNNNNNNNNNNNNNNNNNNNNNNNNNNNNNNNNNNNNNNNNNNNNNNNNNNNNNNNNNNNNNNNNNNNNNNNNNNNNNNNNNNNNNNNNNNNNNNNNNNNNNNNNNNNNNNNNNNNNNNNNNNNNNNNNNNNGUCAAUCAUACUUCGUUCCAAUAUCAAGUCUUAGAGUUAAGAUUGUGAAUUGAGUGACAAGUCUUAAGAAGGUUUAUAACAUUCAUCAAAUGUGGAAUUUGGAAAAGGUUUUCUUAUUCUUGCACAUUUGAAAUUGGAAAUUUGUGAUGUCUUGGAUAAGACAAAGACCAACUAGGACCAAUUUUGUGAAGUGUUUUGUCUUGAUAAAAGCUACACUAACUCUUCAAUAUUUGUUUGUCAAGAAAUGUUUAUUGACAAGAGAAUCUUAUAUGUCAAGGAGUCAGUGGGAGUCUCAAAGUUCUUGAAAGGUUUUAAGAACAAAUCAAGAAUAAACCUUAUCGAUCAUCACUAGCACACGACUUGAGGUUUACAACCUAUCGUGUUGACAAUAUCUUGUUUUUGUGCCGUUCCAGUUGAGUUAAUUAUGCAUGUGAGUUCUAUGAGUUCUCAUUUGAAUGCAUAAAGACAAAGCACGUUGAUCGAUGGAAAGUACAUUGAUAUGUAAGGAUAAGUUGUUGNUCAUGUUACCAUGAGGCAAGAAAUCAAGAUUGAAAAAAUUCAGUCCAUAUGAAUUUGGAUUUGUCUCAAACCUUCGUUUUGGAAAAUUCACAUGGAUAAGAAUGCAUACACCAUAAAAUCUAAGUGACAUAAGGUUUCCAUCCUUCAUGAAAACGAUUGUGAGGAAAUGUUACACUAAGAGAGAUUUUGAGAAUAUAGCUAUUGUGAAAAAUUGUAUUCUCAAAUUUGAUUAUGAUUAUGACAUCCCUCUUCAUAGUUCGAAUUGUGAGAUUUGGCGAUUAGUCUGAACUUCCGGGACUUAGUAACAUAAGUUCUGAAUUGUUUAGACACACAUGUGAGCUAUCUAAGGCAAAGUUAUAUGAGCUUAAAAAGCUUAGAUAAAGGCUUAUCGAAGCAUCUGGUAUUAGAAAUAUGAACUUUAGAAAUUCAAUAAGCAUUGUUUUCUGGAAAUUCAGCUGUUUUCUGAAUACGUGUCAAAGCUAGUGGGAGCAUAAGUGUUAUGCUUAUAUGAUAAUAAUCAUCAUGAUAGUGGGAGAAUAAGUGUUUUUUCUUGCCUGAUUAUUAUGGAAAGUAUUUCAAGUUAGCAAUAUUAAUUAUAGAAAACAAAGAUUCAAUUUGCAAGGUUGCAUGGGUUGAAAAGUUGUUUUGCUAUAAUUUAGGGAGAGAAUAUUAUACUUCGUUUCAAAAUCUACAGCUUAGGUUGAGAAAUUUUAAUAAAUUUAGUCAAAGGAUACAUAGUGUGUUCUUAAAAUUCUCUUAUGAUUACGACUUCCCUCUUCAUAGUUCGAAUUGUGAGAACGUGAUACAUAAAAUAUUAUGGCAGACGAUUGAUAAAGUAUCAUAUCUUUAUGUAAGACAUUAUGCAUCGUGUCCCAUACGCUUCGGGUAUAGGAUCGAUUGCAAAUGCUACAAUAUAUGACCAUUCUAAAAUUUUCCGAAUGUAUAGCGCAUUAAGAGGGAAAAGGGACUAGAAUCGGUUUUGACUAAAAUAACUAAAAGGACGAUCCAAAGUUCGCUGAGGAUUGGUCGCUUGUGAGUACUGGAAGUAUGGUAUUGGAUGGGCCAUAUCAACAUUAUUAGGAAUAGAUAAGAUUCUAUUAAGAAUGAGUUGUCAUAUGGCAAAUAUGGAAAUAUUUCCAUAUUGGGAGUUAGAUAUUUAGAGUCUAUGUCUAGGUUAGAAAAUUUUAUGCAAGAAGGAUCUUCAAAGGAAUAUACUUUAAAUGUGAGACUUCACGUCUAUGGAAUUGUCUUGUAACAAUUUCCGGAAGGGUACUUUAUAAUUUCAUUGGCCAAGUCUUGGUGACUUUUGUGGUAUGACUUUGCGAAAUGAUCAUUGCAUAAAAUGUUAGAAUCUAACAUAUUCUAUUUGCGGCAAGAAUGUUGUGUUCUUACACAAAUAAUAAGGAUUGGGAAUUGUGAAAUGAGUUUCAUCGAAAAGGUUUUCAAUUGAUCUAUCUCACAAAGCAUGGACCAUAGGAACCAUAGUGUGCAUGCUUGGUGCAUGGGACAAUUGAUGUUGUGAUUCAAGUAAUGAGAUGAUUAUUCGAAACAUUAAACAAUAAAUAAUGAGUAGUAAAUAUGGCACUUAAAUAAAAGUGUUUUAUUUACACUCAAAAAAUUUGGGGCCAUAAAGGAUUAAGUAUUAUUAUUGUGUUUCAGCUUUGCAUGUUUUGACUUCCAGAAUAAUUGGGUUAUUCGAACCUCCACAGUCGGUCAUACGUUGGAAGUAGGUAUGAAGGAAGACUGUCAUGAAGAGUUUGUAGAUUGUCUGAAGAGUUUAGACAUAGCACAACUUUGCUGCAGAGUUCAUGAGUGCUUUGAUAAGAUUAGAGUAUUGGAUUAAACCCACGCUCACGUGAAUCACUUCAUGGAUUAUAUUGCGAGUGAUUGUGUGUCAAUAAUAUUGUAUAUUCUUGAAACCGAGACGUGUCAGUUGUUAUUUGUUUGUCGGUUACACAUUGAUAAUAAGUAAGCGCACCAGUAACUUGGUGUUAUAAAACUUAUUGUUGUGUGUGAUUCGAUCAGUAAAUGCAAGCAAACAUUUGAGUCAAAGUUUAUCCGUUCCUUUUACCCAAAGUGGGAUAAAUGCGAUAUCUGUGGGCCCCUCGAUGAUUUAGUGAUGACACCAAAGCGCUUGGCCUAGCCAGGACUAAGUUGAUGUGUUCAAUUAUAGUCUGUUGUCAGUCGUCAUAAAUAGGAAGUCGGGAAACAGUAUAGAGAGAAUGAUUGAAAUUCAUAUCUUAUGUCUAUACGAUAUCUUAAGAAUGGAGGAAUAUAUGAUCCCUUAUCUAAAGGACACGUGUAUUUGAUAAGAUCAGAGUUGAUAGCGGCAUUUGAAAGCUACGAUUGCUAAUCAGGUUCUGAAGUUAUGCUUAAUAGUUAUUAGACUUAUCCAAGUGGGAGACUAUUGGAUUAGUGUCUAAGUCCAUAACUAUUUUGGUAUGUACUUGACCUGAUUAUGAGCAUGGUCCUUUUGGGUUGCCUUCACCAUAGCAAUAUGUAGGAUGAAUUAAGGUAGGCCUAGCAAUUAGGUUGGGUUCGGGUUGGCGGGUUGGCGGGUUAGAAAAUAUAAACUCAACCCAGCCCAUAUAAUAUAUGGGUUGACGGGAUGGCGGGACAUGGGUUGGUGGGUUGGAAACCUCAACCCAACCCAAGCCAUAUAACCCAUUUAAGUAUAUGGGUUCGUGGGUUCACAAGUUAAUGGGUUAAACCCAACCCAUAUAACCCGUUGAAUAAAUAAGCAACACAUUUUAAAAAAAUGAGAUUUUUUCAACAUAAAUUCAUAAAAUGAUUAAAGUGAUUAACAUAAAAAAAAGGUUUUCAACAUAAAUUCAUAAAGUCAAUAACAUCCAAAUAAAAAUGAAAAAUAAAAAUAUUCAUAGAAAGCGGAUGUGUUCUUCGUUCGUGACUCGUUAAAAUAAUGACAUGUAUUUUUUUUCUUUUUCUGAUUAACGAACAACAAAUGCAAAUUACUCACAUACGAAUAUGGAAUGAAUAAAAUGAUACAAAAUAUUACGAAUACGGAUGGAAAUCAAAUUUCAUUAAUAAUUAGUGUAUCAUUUUUUUAAAUGUAANNNNNNNNNNNNNNNNNNNNNNNNNNNNNNNAACCCAUGAAAUAAAUGGGUUGGUGGGUUGGCGGGUUGACGGGUUGGCAGGUCAAAAAUCUCAACCCAAACCCGUCUAUUUUUGAGUUGGGUCAGUUUCGGGUUACGGGUUGGGUCGAGAGUUGCCACUCCUAAAUUAUGGAGAGAUAGGUUUAAUUAUGAGUUAUUAAUAUAUUAUAAGAAUAAUAUAUUAAAGGAGAAAUCAUAAUGUUUAAUUAAUAUUAGUCAAGAAUUAAUUUUGUGGCUAAAAGAUAUUAAUUAAACUUAAGGGACUUAUUGUGGAAUUAUAAGAUAAUUACAUUGAUGGGCUUAUGGACUCCAUAGAAGGUGGAGUGGACGAAUUCCACUGGGGAAACCCAUUAGAAGUCGUCCAAGGCUUCUAAAGAAGGAGUCCAUGGGCAUCUUAGGGCUUAAGCAGUCAAAUUAGGGUUUGUUUGUUAGUUAAACCUAAUUGCCUAAGUAUAUAAGGAGCCCUUAGGCACCAAAAAUGUGGCUAACACUUGGAUUAGGGUUUCCAGCCGUUUUUUGGUGCCUCCCCUCUCUUCUCUUCUUCAUCUUGUUUCUUAGUGGUGUUUGUGACUCCAUUAGAGGUGCAACAUUUGAGGCACUAAGCUUUCUGAAGCCAAGGAUUGACUAUUAUUGCUAUAUAACAAUCAAAGGUAAGAUCUAAACCCUAUUAAUAUGUUAAUAUGAUUACUUGUAUGCUAGACCUAGGAUUUAUAAGUCUUGGAAGUUAAUUGCAUGUUCAAAGUAGAAAAACUAGAUCCAAGAAAUUAGGGUUGCAUGAACACCAUAUAAUUGAUGUUAUGCACAAAACCCAUCAUUUAUAACAAGAAAACGAGAUUAUAAAGCCUUCAAAUGGUCAUGAGAAUGAUCUUGAAUGGAUAAAAAAUUACUAUUCUCCCCCACGACAAGGUGAUAUAAACAAUGAAGUUUAAAAUCCGAAAUAGCCGAAAAAAUUUGACGUUAUUGCGAAAAACGACUUUCCGAACCGCCAAGACUUGAUGGAAUCCUUAAUUUUCUGUUCACGAAAAAAUACGUGCAUUAAAAAAUCUAAAACCGUUCACCAGCCCUUUAUUUUGCAAACUUUUCCAAAAAUGGGCUGAAACUGACACAUUGUUGAAAUUUUGGGACUGAAAAUGUAACUCUGCAUCAAAUUCAACUAUAAUUGUAACAAUUUCUUGAAAUGGAGCAAAACUGCCAAGUCACAAAUAAUUCAGGGACCAGAACCGUCAAAUCCCUGAAGUUGCAGGGACCAGAAAGGUAACUUGAGUCAUCUUCCUCAAUUUAACGUCAGAUGAAUAGAUGAAUGAACAACACGCAAUUUAAACAACGAACCCAAGAAAUUAGUAACCUUCGAAUUUAUACUUUCGUUACUAGCACCAAGGUACGAAUCCGAGCCAUUCUCAGUGCCAAUUUCAAGUCGUUUUGCUUUUAUCAUAAACAUCGACUGCGAGAGGUUCGCUCCGAGUCCAAUGGUGUGAAUCAAGACAACCCCGAAUCCUUGACCUUUUAUUCCGUAUCAGUCGAAUACACACCCAAUGCGAACAUUCUCAAUCUCAUUGCGAAACCUAAUGGCAACCGAUUCGCUGCGAAUCAGUGACAUCCACGAGUCCAAACAAGGGUUCGCUGCAAUCAUUCGUGAGACGAAGUGCGAGCCCAGGUUCGCAGGUAUGAUCUUCGCCCAAUGUUCACCCCGAAUGGGUUUCGAUUUGCACUCCAUUCGUUCACAGGUGUCAAUUCCCGAUCGUUCGCAUGUUGGAACUUUUAAAUCGAUUUUGACUAUUUCUGUUAACUAGCAAUUGCGAAUAAGCACACAACUACCACGAUUUCAUUCGCUCACAUGCCACUUCCUUUUACAAUUUCAAUUACAAAAGCGGAGAACCUGUUUGCCCCAAUUUUGACUUUUUAGAUUGACUUGCAAGAACAUCUGCUUAUUCUGAUAAAAUCCAAUCUCGAUUUCAGUCGAUUGCAUUACACAUCCGGUCACGAAUCUGAUUAAGAUUAGAGUCCCAAUUUUGACUUUCUAUGGUUUGACCCUCCAAAUCGAAAGAAAAACAAUGUUGUUCAUCCAUUCAUCAUCAGACUACAAUAUUUGCAUUCUCAAUCAAGCACCCAAUCGAUUCGAUAAUAUGAAAAUUUUGAUUUUGGAUAAAAGCUAAUAGAAAUCGAUUCAUGUGAGUGAUAACAACAAUAACCUUUGACGAUAAUGGUAAUCAAAUGAUGAAAAGAUAGAAGUGUCAUAUCCAAAGCACGAAACGUACGGAGAUAAAAGAAUGGCAAAUCGGGUGGAUGUGAACACUAAAGGACCAAUUCUUAUGGGCCAAAACAAACAAAAUAGAUCAAUCGAUGUAGUAAAUUGAUUUUGGAUUGAACAAAUAUGAAAUUGAAUAAAUGGACUAAAUCCCGAGAAGUAGAGACUAAUAUGAACACAAAACGUGUCAGAUUAAUGAAAAAUUACCCAUAUGAACAGUAACAUAAAACAUAAGUUUUCUUGAACAGAAUUUUGAUUCUAAGACGCUAAAAAACCAAUAAUCUUCAAUAACUUGUGCAGAAAAUCAUCAAACCAAGAAGCGAUACUUCAAAAAUCAAUAGAUAUUCAAAGACCCGCUCUGAUACCACUUGUUGGAAUUAAAUCCCUGAUUGUGAUUUGAUGAACAAGAUGCGGAAAAUAAGAACAAACACAAAUAUGAAGAUAUGUAAAAUGAUCACUCAAUUUAUUCAAUUAUGAGGAACAGAUUACAAUUUUAAGAAUAGGAAUCUAACUCUACAAGAAACCUCACAACGUGGCGGCUACAUUUUGCCUCACUCUUAACCCUAAUUAUGAAUAAUAAAUGAUUGUUUAUAGUGAAAAGACAAGUCUUUGGCUUUUAACCUACACUUCAUCAAGGGUGCCCAUUGCCAUCAUCCAUGGAGUACUUUGAAACCUUACACGGCCAAAGAAAGACCAUACAACAUCAUACCAAGAAAAUACCUGCACACACACACACACACACAUUACAUGACCCACCCACCAUAACUUACAUACACAAACACAACCACCACACAUGGUGGCUGGUGGCAGCAGAAAAAGGCACCCCGACGGCAGCCACCAUGGUUGGUUGCCAUGGUGAUUCUUCUCAUUUUCUGGCCAGCCAAAAACACAUCAACGCACACCUCACAACUGAAGCAGCGACACACACACACGAAACACGAGUCCCAACUAUGAAAUACGCAAAUAUGAACUUAGACACCCUCAUGGUGGCUUGUGGCAGUAAGAGUAAUGGCAGCAACACGCGACAAAAAAAAGAGACGGAGAAGAAAAUGUGUGUGACCUCUAACCGAGAAUAGCAGCGACGAAAACCCUGACUCCGUCUUCCGAUUUCUCUGACGACGCCAGCUUACGGUGAUUGUCUUCUUCGGCCGCCAUAGUCUGUAGUGGUGGUUGGCUUCGGCGGUCUCCGAUCUCAAUAGUAGGGGGUGGCGGCGACUGGUGGUGAGGGGUGAUAACGAUGGCGACUGCAACAUCGUUUAGGGUUAGGGUUUGGAGGUUGUGGUUCAAAAAUGAAGGGACGAUGGAAGGGUGACGGGUAUUAACCCGUCUCUUAUCAACUUCUGCCAAAAUUUCACUUUCAGCUCCUCCCUCAUUCAUCUUUUUCAAUUCAAGUCCAGAAAUUACCAAACAGACCUUGCUUCAUGAAUUUAUUUACAUUUCAAGUCCUAAUGUUACAACAUAGACCCCAAAUUCUAGAGAUUAUAUCAUUUAACUCCUUAUGGCUAACACUAAUAAAUUAUUACGGAUUUAGGGCUAAAAUAAAAUAAAAUUUAAAUACAUCUCGGGGCCUUAGGGCUUAUUAUUUAGUUAUUUACUUUUUAUUUAUUUAUUUAUUUAUUUUAAGCAGAAUGUUACAAUUCCCCCCCCCCUCCCCCACUUAAAUUAGAUUUCAUCCUCGAAAUCAGCUAUCGCUUCUAUUUCAUGAUGUACUCCCCUACAGCAACCAAGAUGAACGAAAAUCCUCAGAAUACAUCGGUCUCCGCGCCUCUCGGCCAAACGCCGACGCUCAAAUCCUGCGCCAAAAGGGCAUCACCGCAGAGAAAGUUAACUGACAUCCUAUUAAACCAAACCAUACUCUUACUCUGCUCCGACAGCCUAGCUGAGCUAUCCACUAUCAACACUAGGGCUUACCCCCGACCAGACGACAACAGAGAAGCAACCCUUAAACUGAACUCCUAACACCUUAGGGCUAAGCAAAAACACGCCCUAAAGAUGCUAUCACGAUAAAGAUAAAUACAAAUCGAAGGGAAAGUCCAACAACUGACGGUGGGCAUGUCGCGAAACUCGAAGGUUUAGCAGUUGCGCGAAAGUCUGAAACUUAGAGAAAUCUGACUGAGACCGAAUCUUGGUACAAAGUCUUCCUGCUAUGAGUUUCCACUCUCCCCCACUUGAAAUAUGCUAGAAGUUGAGGACUUUAUAUUCCUUUGAUACUACGACUAACUCGAACUCUAUUAUUUGAUCUCAACCACUGAUAUCCACACACAUAGCAGAAUCUGAUUUCACACCACAUUCAUACAUUCAAACUUUCAUACAGUGGAGGAAAAAGAUAAUUAAUCCAUACAUAACAAGAGAUCAAAUGGAAAAAGUUAAAUAAUAUAAUUCCAUUUAAUUGAUCAUCGAAAAUUACAACUGAACCUUGAAACACAACAUAAAUGAUAGAUAGAUAUCAAUACUACCACAAUAGCUGAAUAAAAGAACUGUCAACUCAAUUUUCGGUCUUCAGGACCCCAGUGGUCUCUUGAAGACCAUCUGGUAACUGCGAAGCUUAGGAUCUAGCACCUCACUGAGAAAAGGACAAUUAGCUUUAAUGUGGCCUUCCCGACCGCAAUGAAAACAAACACGCACACUCCGCCCAUAGUCUCUUCCAAAAUGAUCCUCCUUGCCAAAUCGGUGAUAUGAAAUAGAUUUGAGCCUCCCUCCAAUUGAUCCUGAACUCUGACUGCCGGACUUGAACCGUUUUACUGCAUGACGGGACUGAUCCGGAUCCUGACGUUGCUCCCUCACCUGGGUCUCUAUCUCAAUCUCUCGCCUCUUCACGGCAUCUUGAAGCUCAACGAGAGAACCACAACACUGGAUGGACACGAACUGUCGAAUAUCCAUUUUGAGCAUGCUUUUAUACUGAGUCAUCUGAGCCUGAUCUGAAGUAGUGAACUCAUGGUUGAACAAGGCCUUCUCAGUGAACAUCUUGGUGAUCUCCGUCACUGACUCGGUCAUCUGUCUCAGAUCUAGGUACUCCUAGGCCAGUCUCUUCCUCUCUACCAGGGGAACAUACGUUGCACGGAACAUAUCCAAGAAUAGUUCCCACGUCAUCGCUACCCUCUGAUCAGGAGUAUAAGAACUAGUCACCAGUCUCCACCAAUCCCUUGCCCUAGGCCUCAAAAGGUUCAGAUCUCACCUAACCUUCUAGUUAUCUGGACAAGAACUCGUGAAGAAACAACCCUCCAUGUCAGGCAACCAUCUCAUCGUCAUGAUCGGGUCUGAGACCCCAUCAAACUCUAGGGGCUUCAUAUGAUCAAAAUACUGAUACUGGAAAUAUUUCGCUCCUCGAGCCCCAAUGACAGCAACAGUUGCGGUUGCUGCAGCAACAACAACCUCAGUAAGUGUAGCAUAUCAGUCAUCAAAGUACUCCAUCAUAGCGACAAUGACAGAUUCAACCAGUUCCAGUAUCUGCCCCGAACAAAAGAAAUAACUUCCUUACAAAUGAUCUCCCUGACAUGGUCCUCAAUCAAUGCUGGCCCAUACUGGCCAUCUGCUCGUGAUCCUGAUCUAGAUCCAGGCUCAAAUCGUCUCGUACUCGCCAUAAUGAAAAAAAAACAGGGAGAUAUAAUAAAAAACACAUAUAACACCAGGGGAACCAAUUCCUAAAAAACUCUAAGGUUUGUGACUUCCCUGAUACGCAUACGGAUCUUAUGCUUUCAGUAGUACGGGCCCAUACUACCUUCCACACCUACCCGUUGUUGUCUCAGAGGAUCAUCACGACAACCCUAUAAAUACACUGCACUCAAACAUACUCAUGCACUCUAUCCUCAUUCCUAGAGGAAGGCUAAACAUCUCACAACUAGUCGACUGACCCCACCCUACUCAUCCAUGAAGCUUCCACCGACCCUGCAAAACUCGUGUAUGCUUGCCAUACAUAACGUUGGACCCUAUAGACAUUCAAAUAUCUGAUCCUACUCUAAGCCAUUCAUCAAACAAGAACAGGAAGUAAGGCCAAACAAAACAUUCUCAGGCUAUAAGAUCUUAGUUAUAUACAUCCAUGAUGCAUACACUAAGCAACUAUAGUAAUAAUGUCAAUUUCAUAAAAGAAAGGCUCUAGGCUAUCAGGCAUCAUAUAAUUAGGAAAUUCUUGAUGGGUUUUGGUCAUAAGACAUCCUAUGUGCUCAUACAAACCCUAAUGCUUGGAUCUAGGUUUCUCUAUUGUACAUGCAAGUUAUCCAAGACUAUAAACCCUAAUUCUAGCAUUUAAAUAAUCAUAUUAACAUGAGAAUAGGUUUAUAAUGUUACCUUGAUUGUUAUGUAGCAAUAACAAUCCCAAUUCCACCUUGAAUUGACUUUGGAAGGCUUAGAGUCACAAGUGUCACUCCUCUAAUGGUUCACAAACACCAUAAGCAAGAGGAUGAAGAGGAGAGAGGUUGGAGGCUACCAAAACGUGUAGAAACCCUAACAAGAAGCUUAUCCACGUUUUUGGGUCAUAAGGGUCUUAUAUGUAGUGAGGCUAUUAGGGUUAUCUAACAAGGAAACCCUAAUUUGGAUGCUUAUGCCCUAAGCAACCCAUGGAUUCCUUUCCUUAAGGGCUUGGACGAUUUCUCAUGGGUUUUCCCAUAGAAUUCGUCCACACCUUAAUAUGAGACAAUCCAUGGCCCAAAUUGCAAUUAUCUUAUAAUUACAAUUCCAGUCCCUUAAGCUUAAUUAAUCUCUUUUAGUCACAAAACUAAUUACCAAUUAAUUAUUGACUAAUAUUAAUUAAACAAUAUGAUUUCUCCUUUAAUAUAUUAUUCCCAUAAUAUAUUAAUAAAUCAUAUUUAAUCCUUUCUCUCCAUAAUUCAUCCUAUCAAGUUGCUUUGGUGAAGGCAACCCAAAAGGACCAUGCACCAUCGGGUCAAGUACAUACCAAAAUAGUUAUGGACUUAGACACUAAUCCAACAGUCUCCCACUUGGAUAAGUCUAAUAACUAUUAUGCGUAUGACUUCAGAUCCUGAUCUGCAAUCGUAGCUUUCCAAAGCCGCUGUCAACUCUGAUCCUAUCAGAUACGCGUGUCCUUAGAUAAGGGAUCAUAUAUUCCUCCAUUCUAGAUAUCAUAUGAGAUAUGAUUUCAAAUCAUUCUCUUUGUACUAUAUCUCGAUUUCCGAUUUAUGACGACUGACUAAUUGAACAAAUCAAAUUAGCCCUAGCCCGGCCGAGCAUUUACGUUUGUCAUCACUAAAUCAUCGAGGGGCCCAAAGAUAUCGCUUUUAUCCUACUUUGGAUAAAAGGAACGGAUAAACUUUGAUACAAUGCUUGCUUGCACUCACUCACCGAAUCACACACAACAAUAUGUUUUAUAACACCAAGUUACUAGUGCGUUUACAUAUUAUCAAUGUGCAACCGAUUUGCAAGAUACAACUCACACAUCUCGGUUUCAAGAAUAUAAGAUGUUAUCGUCUCACCAAUCACUCGUGAUACAAUUCAUGGAGUGAUCCAAGUGAGCGUGGGUUUAAUCCAAUGCUCAAAUCAUAUUCAUAAGCACUCAUGAACGUUGCAGCAAACAUUUGCUUAUGUCUAAUACUCUUUUAGACAAUCCACACACCAAUUCACGACAGUCUUCAUUCAUAUCUACUUCCAACAUAUGAACGACUGUGGCCCGUUCGAAUAAUUCGAUUAUUCUUAAUAAACUCAAUUAUUCUGGAAGUCAAAACAUGCAAAUGUGAAACACAAGAAUAAUACUAAUCCCAUAUGGCCUCAAACCUUUGAGUAUAAAUAAAACACCUUUUAUUUAUCACCAUAUCGAUUACUCAUUAUUUGUCGUUUCGGGUAAUCAACUUCUUACUUGAAUUCCAACACUUGUCCCAUGCUCCUAGCAUGCACACAAUGUUUACCUAUGGUUCUUACUUUGUGAAAUAGAUCACAUUGAACACAUUUCCAAUCCUUCUCAUUUCACAACUCCAAAUCCCUUUUUCAUAAGUUAAAGAAUAUCAAAUUCUUGCUACUUAUAGAAUAUGCUAGAUUCUAACAUUCUAUGCAACUAUCCUUUCGUAAUGUCACUGCACCAAAGUCACAAAGACUAUUGCCAAUGAUAUUACAAAGUCCUCUAUCGGAGAUUGUUACAAGACAAUUCCUUAGAUAUGAUGUCUCUCACUCAAAGUACAUUCCUUUGAACAUCCUUUUGCAUAAAAGUUUCUAAUCUAGACAUAGAUUUUCAAUAUUCAAUUCCCAAUAUGGACACGCUUCCAUAUUUUCCAUAUGACAACUCAUUCUUAAUAGAAUCUUAUCUAUUCGUAAUGAUGUCGAUAUGGUCCAUCCAAUAUGGAAACAUUUCCAUAAUUUCCAUAUGACAACUCAUUCUUAAUAGAAUCUUUUCUAUUCAUAAUAAUGUCGAUAUGGUCCAUCCAAUACCAUGCUUCCAACUACUCACAAGCGACCAAUCCUCGUCGAACUUUGGAUUGUCCUUUGAUAGUUGUUUAAUUAUUUUAGUCAAAACCAAUUCUAGUCCCUUUUCCCUCUAAAUGCGCUCGACAUUUGGAAAAUUUUAGAAUGGUCAAACAUUAAAGCAUUUGCAAUCGAUCCUAUACCCGAAGCGUAUGGGACACGACGCAUAAUGUUUUAUUUGCUAUGUUCUCAAAAUUCGAAUUGUGAAGAGGAAUGCCGUAAUCAUAAUCGAAAUUUUAAGAACACACUAUGUACCCUUGACUAAAUUUAUUAACAUUUCUCAACCUAAUCCUUUAGAUUUGAAAUGAAGCAUAAUAUUCUCUCCCUUAAUUAUAGCAAAACAACUUUACAACCCUUACGACUUUGCAAUGUAUAACUCUUGUUUUCUAUAAUUAAUAUUGCCAACUUGCAAUACUUUCCAUAAUAAUCAUACAAUCAUAACUUUUAUGUUCCCACUACUAUGAUGAUUACUAUAAAACAUAACACUUAUGCUCCCACCAGCUUCGACAUGUAUUCAAAACAUCUUAACUUCCAGAAAAACAAUACCUAUUGAAUUUCUUAAGUUCAUGUUUCUAAUACUUAAUGCUUUGAUAAUCUUUUAUCAAGGCUUCUUGAACUUAUACACCUUUGCCUUCGAUAGUUCAUAUGUGUGCCUAAACAAUUAAGACUAAUUGCCAAACCUCACAAUUCAAAUUAUGGAAAGGGAUACCGUAACCAUAAUCGAAUUCGAGAAUGCAAUUUUACAAUCACUAUCUUCUUAAAAUCUUUCGUAGUGAAAGCAUUUCCUCACAAUCAUUUUCAUGAAGGAGGAAAUCUUAUAACACUUAGAUUUAAACGGUGUAUGUGUUCCUAUCCAUGUGAAUUUGUCAAAACCAAAGUUUACGACAAAUUCAAACUCAUAUGGAUCGAACUUUCUAAAUCUUGAUUUCUUGCCUUAUGGUAGCACAGCUGCCCACCACGUCUUCCAUAUAGUUAAGCAGCUCACCUUUUCCUAUCAAUGUACCAUUCAUUGAUUAAGGUGCCUUGCCUUUUAUGCGUUCAAAAUGAGAACUCAUAGGACUCACAUGCAUAAUUAACUCAAUUGGAAUGGCAUAUAAACAAAAUAACGUCAACACGAUAGGUCGUGAACCUCAACUCUUGUGCUAGUGAUGAUUGAUAAGGUUUAUUUGAUUUGUUCUUGAAACCUUUCAAGACCAUUAAGACUCCCACUGACUCCUUGACAUAUAAGAUUCUUUUAUCAAUAAACAUUUCUUGACAAACAAAUAUUCAAGAGUUAGUGUAGUUUUUAUCAAAACACUUCACAAAUUGGUCCUAGUUGGUCUUUUGUCUUAUCCAAGACAUCAAAACUUUCCACAUUUGAAUGUUAUAAACCUUUAAUACUUUUCACUCAUUGUCACAAUCUUAACUUUAAGACUUGUUAUUGGAACGAAAUAUGAUUGACUUCUUGAUUUAACCAUUUCCUCAAUUCUCGAAUCCUCUUCUUAGACAUAUAAUUGUACUAAGUCUCACUUAGAGGAUUAAUUGAAAUAUGGUUCUUAAUCAUUAAGACUUAUCAUUAAGCAUAAAAGCUACUCUCCCUUCUUCUUAGAAUGGAGAAACUUUUAUCUUUCUGCCUACUCGAUUCUUCUUAUUCGUUUUGCUAUUGAUUUAAACCUUUUAAUCAAUUUCGAAUUACACUUAAUCUUGUAAGUAUAAUCAUAUUUGCUAAAAGUAAAUCAUGACAAAUAUCUUUGUUACUCUUAUGGUGAACUUGAUCAACACACAACUUUGUGUACUCGAUCUCCUAGUCCUUUACUUGACACUUUGUCAACGAAUUUGUCUAAUUUCCAAAUAUGAAAUUUCUCAUUCAUCAUGCAACCAAGUUGCGUGAUUCCAAAUGUCAGUCCAAUUGAAAUUUUGGCGAUGAGAAACUCUCCCUAUCUGGUAAAUUCUCUACAUUUCCAUAAAUAACAUAAAUAAGAAUCAUAUCCAUUCGUUGUAGAAAUAUGCAAAAAUCAAUUUUCAUAACGAUUUAAUUGCAAGGAAAUAAACAAAUAAAUGAGUCAAAACAAAAUUUAUUUUAUUUAUAAAAGCAGGGGAAAAAUUUGUCCUUACAAUGCAAAAUCCAUUGAAAACUAUGAAAAAGGAAAAUUUCUAACAACUCUAUCAUAACUAUUUAAGCUCAAAAUCUAAUCUUCAAGUCCAUGCGAUCGAGAUCCAUCUCUUGGUGAUUAGAUUCAUCUUGCUCUCUCAACAAGCUUCCUUUCUUUUCACCGAUCCUGCAAAAACACUCAAAUGCAAUCUUAUCACAUCAUGUAUUAAGAAUCAAUGAAUAGGAACUUAAUGGAGUUAGAUAGUGGAUUCUUACCUAAAGUAGAGCCAUAUUUUCUGACUCUCCCAUCUCUUAGAUCUCUUAGGUAAUUAGGGCCUUCGUCUCCAAUGCCCCUUCUCUUGGCAAUAAAAGCAAAUUGACUCUUUUGGAACAACACAUGGAACUACUUCAGACAUCGCCUUUCUCUUAUGAUUAGACUUUUCGAUCAUAGCAUGUCUUUCGUUGCCAUUGUCUAUAUCCAUAGAGGUCUUGAAGGCAGAUUCACCAAUCAAAUAUUCGUUUCUAUUGUGCCACACCAUUGUUGAUUCAGCAGCAAUAAGCAUAUAGGUGAGAUCUAUAAGGGUCACGUCGUGGUUCAUCAUAUAGUAAUCUCUUACGAAAUCACUAUAUGAGUUAGGAAGUGACUGAAGAACCCAAUCAACAGCCAUCUCCUCACCGACAACAGAUCCCAUUAUUCUUAGUCUAUCAAUGUGUGACUUCAUCCCUAGGACGUGUGCACACACCGACUUUUCUUCAUUAUGUUUACUUGCCAAAAGGGCUUGAGUGAUAUUGAACCUUUCAAUUUUUUGAUCUUGUGGGUUAGGGAGAACAAUUGGAGGAGGAGGAGGAGGAAGUGAAGCAUGAUUUCUUGUUCCUCGAUCGAAUCGUGGAAUAUCAUCUUCAUGUGGAAUGCUUGUUCCAAAGGAUUCGGGAAGACCGUAGUUAUCGAACUUUGACAUCUACAAAACGAGAGAAAACGAAAUUCAAGUUAGUUGAUUGAUUGAGUCCUUGGUAAAUCACCCAAAUGAAAUUCCAAGGCUAGGACCCAACACAAUACGCUACAACCUAGAAAAGGGAUGUCGUAAUCUAGUUGCAGAAUAUUUGAAGGUAAGUGAAUGACGAUUCACUAAUUUCCACCAUGAAAAACGAAAAAGAAAUUUAAGUUUUAAAUCUAUGAAAACUCCUAGAUCCUUUGAGAUUCAUUGAACUUUCAAUGGCAUGUUUAAAUCUCGAUAUGCCCCUCUUGUUUGUGACUGGGAUGCCGAGGAUCACAAAGCGGGUGUGAAUAACCAUGCAAACUUACAUGGUGCCCUCACAUGUUACAGUCACCUAUUCGAUGUGCCGGUAAACCACACACACUCCACCGAACUAUGACAAACAUUGAGUCACCCUUUGCUACCUUUGCUUAGAACCAUUUAGUGUGCCGGUAAACCACACACGCUCCACUAACGUCUUCGCAAGGGCACAAAGUGUAAUUUCAUGGAAUUGCAUCAAUUCACUUUUGCCUAAGUAACUAAGAUUGGGAAUUUUAUGAAAACAUUUAGUUACUUUUAUACUUCAUUAUACUUAUAAUGGAAGGUUUCGUCCUAUCCUACCCGUUCGGCUAACGACCCUCCACUAGUCAAGAGUGCGGUGGGUAAGAGUGGAUACCCAUUCAAUCGCCAUUUUAUAGGCAAUUUCCUUAAACACCCCUUAUAGACCAGCUUCGUGAAUGAGGCCUACUAACGGUAAGACUGACUUUUACUCAUACAUAUAUAUAAUGUUAGACUUUUAAUGUUAUAUAUAGUAUAGGGUGUAUUUUACACUUUUAAAAUACUAGGUGGUCAAAUUUAACAAUUAUACUUUUAAUUCAAUUAAAUUGUAAACCUAAACUUUUAUGGAUUUAUUAAACCUCUUUUAAUUAUACACCUUAAUUAAUUAAUAAAACCAUAAGGGUGUGAUUUGAACUUUUUCAAAACUAUACUAGAGUUUUAGAAUUUAACAUUCCUAAUUAAACUUUUAAUCAACUUUUAAAUUCCAAAACUUGAGGGCAAGUUUUGAAACAUUUCAACACAUUAGGGUUUAGAAUUUAAAUAUACAUCAAAAUUAAACCAUUUAAUCAAAAUUUAAAUUCCAAAACUUGAGGGCAAGUUUUGAAACCUUUUUCAAAACAUUAGGGUUUCAACUAUUUAAAUUUCAAAACAACAAAACUUUUGGGUUCAAAUUUAAACUAUAAAACCUAAAGGGGAAAAUAUGAAACUUUUCAUAACAACAAGGAUCAAAUAACAAAUAAUCUAAAUUAACAAUUAAUCACAUAAUUAUCCAUAUUUGAUUUAUUUAAUGAUUUCUUGCAAAACAAUUUAUCAAUUUAGUCAAAAUAAUUAAUCAAUUAUCACAUAAGGAAACAAUUAUCUUAUUAAUUGAUAAAUAUAUUCAAUUAGAUCAAAUUUAUAGUCAAAUAUAUCAUAUAAUCGGAUUAAUAUUGAUCUAACAUGAUAAGGUAACCAUCCAUAAGAAAAAACAGCAAGAAAUCUCGAAGUAUGCUCCAUCUGACGCUCGAACUCGCCGAGUACCACACUGUACUCGCCGAGUACACUGUGGUACUCGCCGAGUUCCUCAGUCAGAAAGCCCAAAAAUCAAUUUUCCAAUUAUACAAUGCGUCAAUACAAUUGAAACCAAGCUAGGCUCUGAUACCACUGAUGGGUUUUGGUCAUAAGAAAUCCUAUGUGCUNUUAUCCAAGACUAUAAACCCUAAUUCUAGCAUUUAAAUAAUCAUAUUAACAUGAGAAUAGGUUUAUAAUGUUACCUUGAUUGUUAUGUAGCAAUAACAAUCCCAAUUCCACCUUGAAUUGACUUUGGAAGGCUUAGAGUCACAAGUGUCACUCCUCUAAUGGUUCACAAACACCAUAAGCAAGAGGAUGAAGAGGAGAGAGGUUGGAGGCUACCAAAACGUGUAGAAACCCUAACAAGAAGCUUAGCCACGUUUUUGGGUCAUAAGGGUCUUAUAUAUAGUGAGGCUAUUAGGAUUAUCUAACAAGGAAACCCUAAUAUGGAUGCUUAAGCCCUAAGCAACCCAUGGAUUCCUUUCCUUAAGGGCUUGGACGAUUUCUCAUGAGAAUUCGUCCACUCCUUAAUAUAAGACAAUCCAUGGCCCAAAUUGCAAUUAUCUUAUAAUUACAAUUCCAGUCCCUUAAGUUUAAUUAAUCUCUUUUAGUCACAAAACUAACUACCAAUUAAUUCUUGACUAAUAUUAAUUAAACAAUAUGAUUUCUCCUUUAAUAUAUUAUUCCCAUAAUAUAUUAAUAAAUCAUAUUUAAUCCUUUCUCUCCAUAAUUCAUCCUAUCAAGUUGCUUUGGUGUAGGCAACCCAAAAGGACCAUGCACCAUCGGGUCAAGUAGAUACCAAAAUAGUUAUGGACUUAGACACUAAUCCAACAAUUCUAUCAUGUUAUUCUUGAAGAUCCCUAGCCUACCACUAGUAUGUUGUUCUAACAUAUCACAAUAUCAAAGAAUAACAUGGUAUUUUGGGGUCUACUUAUUAGCUCCGGCUGAUCGUACACAUCGCAUCCUCCUUUAGUAUUUUGAAAACCAUUUGAAAAUCAUUUUGAAAAUCUUUUUCUUAGUUUAAGACUGGAUUCACAAGAGUGUUCCUCCAAUUCACUCAAACCAAGGCUCUGAUACGAACUUGUAACGUCCCGAAAAUUUCAACAAAUUUAAACUUUUCAAAACGAUCCUAUUACUAUAAAAUGUUUACAUAAAUAAUGUUCUCAAACCUUAUUCGAAAAUCAGAUUUUCCCAUGAUCCAAUCUGUUGUAAAACCAAGAAUGUGUACGGUCACGCAUUCUCCUUGCCACUCUGAUCAUAUGAAGAACUUGAAACCAUAAACAAAACUGUAAGCACAAAACUUAGUGAGUUUCCCCCAAAGUACCAACACACAAUCAAAUAACACAUAUACAACAAUAGCAUACUAUGAUUCCAAUCAACCAUCGGGUUGGAAUACCAAUAUACUAUAGGCCCAAUCAACCAUCGGGUUAGAAUACCUCAUACCUUCAACCAUCGGGUUGGAAUGCCAAUAUAUUAUGGGUCCAAUCAACCAUGGGUUUCGAGUACCCCAAUCAUCGGGUUGGAAUGCCAGCAUAAUAUGGUUCCAAUCAACCAUCAAGUUGGAAUACCCCAGGCCCUCAACCAUCGGGUUGGAAUGCCAACAUACUAUGGGUCCAAUGAACCAUUAGGUUGGAAUACCUCAGAAUACUAAUCUAACAGAUCAUAACAACACAACAACAUCCUAUCUACCAGGAUACCAAUCUUACAGAUCAUAAGAGCAUAACAGUAAACUAACUAUCAACAAUCCAAGGAAUGCAUGGCUGUAUAUACUCAGAGGUGAGAUAGUCACCCGGACAGGUGAUCCUACUCAAGAACCACAACCAAACAAAGAAUAGGUAAGAGAGCUUAGAUCAAGAGUCCUCAGUCUAUCCUAUGUGACUAUAUAUGGUCCCUAGGGUAUCCGUUUACUAGCAGAUAAUCAAAACUAGUGGGCCUGUAUUGGUGCGUUGGACCCACGAGUACAGUGAGGCGAAACUCACCUCGAUAUGUGUGCAUAUAACCAUUUUCGCAAUGAAGGGCUCUACCAGCUUCAACUCACUUCCAAAUACCAACAGGAAGAUACUUGAGUGAAUACCCGAUCACAAAUUAUAGUCACUUGCAACAGUGACCACCUUACAUGAAUUGACAAUUAGAGUUUCACAUAAAAUAACGAUUAGGGUUAAGUAAGAACACUUAACCCAUUAAGGACUUAAUCACUUAAGGGUAUGACUGAUUAAUGUUUGACUUAGUCAUUCUCUGGUGGAAUAAUAAUCCAAUCAGCAGCGCAAAUACGUGCCAGAUUAUUGCCGAAAAUCGAGCUCAUAGAUUCUAGGGUUUUCAGAUAAAAUGAUAACUAGGGUUAGUGUUCCUCACUUAACCCUUUAAGGACUCAAUCCAUUAAGUCCAAUUUUUUAUCGAGUUAAUUAUGGAAAAUUAUUUAGUAUUAUUUUAGGUUUAAUUAAUAGUUUUAAUGUGGUUCCUGACCAACUCCAAAAUUAGGGUUUUCUAAACCCUAAUUAGAGUUUCCAACCCCUAAAGUUAAUUAAUUAUCUAAUUAAAUAAAUAUAUUAUUAAUAAAUUGGGCACCACCAACUGCCACGUCGGGGAGUGGUGGUUGGCAGUAGGAGGCGGCAGCCACCCCCGUACGACGAUGGUUUUAAUAAUAUUCCAGCAAGCCAAUAUACAUACAAUUUCUUACAACACACACACACACACUAGAACCAAAAGAACAAGGAAAAAGUCCAAUGCAACCACCAAAAACGAUGGUCGGUAGCGGCAGUAGGUGGUAGCCACCACCUCACGGUGGUGGUGGUGGGUUUUCUUUGGUUUUCCGGCCAAACAAAGACCAUACAACAUCAUACCAACAAACUACCUUCACACACACACACACACACACACUACAUGACACACCCACCAUAACUUACACACAUGCACACACAACCACCACACACGGUGGCUGGUGGUGGCAAAAAAAGGCAACAUAGUGGCAGCCACCAUGGUUGGUUGUCAUAGCGGGUCUUCACAUUUUCUGGCCAGCCAAAAACACACCCACACACACCUUACGACUGAAGAAGCGACACACACACACACGAAACACGAGUUCCAUAUAUGAAAUACGCAAGUAUGAACUCAGCCACCCUCACGGUGGCUUGUGGCAGUCGAAGCAAUGGCAGCAACAUGCAACAGAAAAAAUAGAUCGAUAAGAAAAUGUGUGAGACCUCUAACCGAGAACAGCAGCUACGACAACCUGGAAUCCAUCUUCCGAUUUCUCUGAUGAUGCCAGCUUGCGGUGAUUAUCUUCGUCGGCCAUUGGAAUCUGUAGUGGUAGUUAGCUUUGGCAGCCUCCGAUCUCAACAGUAGGGGUGCGACGGCUUGAGGUGAGGGGUGAUAAGGGUGGCGACUGCAACGUCGUUUAAGGUUAGGGUUUGGAGGUUGCGGUUCAAAAAUGAAGGGACGAUGGAAGGGUGAUGGGUAUUAACUCGUCUCUUAUCAACUUAUGCAAAAAUUUCACUUUCAGUCCCUCCCUUAUCCAUAAUUUUCAAUUCAAGUCCAUAAAUUACCAAACAAACCUUGCGUCAUGAAUUUAUUUACAUUUCAAGUCCUAAUGUUACAACAUAGACCCCAAAUUCUAGAGAUUAUAUCAUUUAACUCCUUAUGGAUAACACUAAUAAAUUAUUAGGGGUUUAGGGCUAAAAUAAAAUAAAAUAUAAAAUACAUCUCGGGGGCUUUGGGCUUAUUAUUUAUUUAUUUAAUUAUAUAUUUAUUUUAUUUUAAAUGGAAUGUUUCAAAGAUAGGGUUGAUAAAAUACUUUAGGAAAGGUUUUCAUAUAAUAAAAGGGAUUCUCUAAAUAAUACAACCCAAUAAAAACUGAAAACUAUAAAAACUUGUGCACUCACCUACAUUAUGUUGACGUUUUCAAAAAUACAUAUAUUCUCUGCGAAAUGACUGUAGAGGAUACUCGUGUCUAGAAGAAGAAUAGUCGUGACAAGGAGGAUGAGGAUAGUUGUGUCAAGAUGGAGGAAGCCUGCAAGGAAGCUGCCAAAGUUUUGUGUCGACUGGUUAUCGUUUCUUUUUAGGAAUCGUGUUUUUCUUUUGAUAAACAAUGUAAUACCGAAAUAAAUUAUAAAUGAAUAAAAGAUAUGUUUGUGAUAUUCUUUUAUGUUAUGUUCUAUAUAUUUGUAUGGCUCGACCUAAUCUCCCAUUGUUCGCACCGCCCGACGUUUUCGCCAAAGGUCGAGUGUGUGACAAAUUCCGUUACCUAUGUUCGCACCCGACUUACCUAAAAAAUCCUAUAUAUUGACUAGGUACACUUCCUAAGUGCAAUUAUUUACUUAUGUAGGUUGGUUUUAUAUAUUUAAAACUAUUAGUAUAUAAAUCUCACAUCAAGUUUUUGGCGUCGUUAUAGGGGAAUGACUUAUUUUGGUUUUUAUUUAAUUACUUUUAGCUAAGCGAUCCUUUUUGUGGGGUAUAAACCGAAAAAUAGUUAUUUUCUGCAAGUUCUAUUUUUCUACGAAAUCAACUACCACAAUGUGGUGAAUUCUUGUCGCGACGUAGGCACUCUUUAUUUUCAUUUUUUCGUUUAUUUUGUUUUUAAUUCGUUUUAGACAUUUAUUUUCUGUUUUGUUUCAACGAUUUAUUUCCAGAGCAUCACAACUUCCUAUCAUACCACCACUUGAAGAUCCAAAGUCCAAUUUCCUUAAGAAGAAAGACAAAAAGGUUGACUAAUCGAGUAGCACUUUUCAUUUCGACAAAUUCAAAAGUUUUAAGAGAACUCAAAAAAAGAAAAGAAGAGGUUACAAGCCAAGAAUUGAAUGAAAAUCAAGAGCAGUGUAGAAGAAAUAGCAGAUAUCACAAUAAUGACGAUAGAGGAAUACAAGAGGAGAGUGUGUAACGAUAACGGUCCCGGUCUCGUUCCACCCGCAAUAUCAACUGCCACAAACUUUGAGCUCAAGUGCCAUAUUCUCACAAUGCUUAAUGAAAAACCAUUUUUUCAGGAAAGAUUAUGAAGAUGCCUUCAAACAUAUUGAUGAAAUAUUAGACAUUUCAAAGUAUUUCAAUGUUCUAAAUAUUUCGAGAGAUGUAGUUUUGUUAAUGAUGCUUCCAGUGACACUUACUGGAACUGCCAAAUUGGCUGAGGUCAUUAGCACUUGGAAAUAUAAGAACUUGGUAAUACCUUCAUGAAACAUUUGUACGACAAUUCAGCUAUCCUUCAAAUAUAUCCAAACUAAAAACGAAGAUUGCUAAUUUCCAACAUAACGAUGGCGAGUCCUUGUACGAAGCUUGGGAAAGAUACAAUGGAUUGCUUAGGAAUUUCCCUCAACAUAAAGAGGUUUCUAUAUUUUAUGAUGGGGUGAAUGUGACCACAAGGCAACUCCAUGAUUCUCAAGCCAAUGAAGAAGAAAUAUUCCACUACAGUCAAAGAGUUAAUAGAAGAAUUCACAAAACAUUCAAGAGAGAAUUACAACCCUUGAGAGGAUGUUACAAGAAGUAAACGCAAUGCGGCUUAAGAGGAUUUAGAAACUGUAAUGGCAAGACUAAAAAAUAUGAACUAAAUGAUGAAGGAUUACGAUUUAGAUGAUAAUGGGAAUCGAAAAGAAAAAGUAUGCUACUCUAGUGGUGACCGGGUUGAUGAAGAUUGGAGAAAGCCAAAGAGGGAAAGGUUGUAUUACAAAGAAUACAAGAAGCAAAAAAGGUAUCGGCAAACCGGAUGAGGCUUUUACAAAAAAACAACCACCACCCAAGAAAAAACCAGAUUUCUAGUCAAUGCUCGAUAAAUUCAUGGAAGCUUCUAAGAAAAGACACGACGCUACUGAUGUUACAACUAGAAACCAACAAGCUUUCUUUAAGAAUAUCGAGACUCAACUUGGGCAAUUGAAUAAAUUUUUUAAUGAGCAAUUACCACUUAAUAAUCCCGAUCCAUAACCACAAUCUCAUGUUAUGGCAAUAUACACUAAAAAAAGGUUAAUUAUAAGCCAUUAGUGAUCCACGAUACAACUACAAGACAACCCGGUCCACAAACGGAAGAAGCAAAGCAAGAAGGAAAAAAUAAAUAUUGGUCAUGCCUAGCAACCACGAGGCCACGUCAUGCUUACUGAAAAAUCAAUAAUCUUCUUUGAAACCAUAUCAGCGUCUGCUUCCUUAUCCAUCUCGAACCAUGCGAAACCCAUUGGAGCCGGAACAUAAAAAGUUUAUGGAACUAGUGUUAUCUCUUUCGAUCAAUGCCUCAUUCCUCAAAUCCAUGGCUAAACUUACAAAAUUUUCUAAGGAUGUAAUUACAAGUCGAAAGGAGUUGGAAAAAGCAUCCAUCAUCGUGCUUAACGAACUAUGUUUUACAGCCAUGAUUGAGGGAUUACCAACAAAAAUGGGAGAUCCGAGCCGAUUGACUUUACCUUGUGAAUUCGACAAUUCCACUAUUAUAAAUGCUUUAGCAUAUUUGGGGGAAAGCGUUAAUCUAAUGCCUUAUAUCUUUUACAAGAACAUUGGGUUGCCAAAAUUGAAAAUAAUAAGAAUGACAAUCUACAUGGCGAAUAACUCAAUUACCCAUCCACGUGGAAUUGUACAAGAUUUAUUAGUCAAGGUUGGGAAAUUUUUCUUUUUUGUUGACAUAGUUGCGUUCAACAAGAAAAAAAUAUAAAGACCUUAUAAUUUUGGGAUGACCAUUUUUUAGCACUGUGUCAGCCCUUGUUGACAUCUAUGACUCUAAGCUUAUAGUUAGAGUGGACAGUGAAGAAAUAAUGUUUGGGAUGAACUUACAAGCAAGUCAAAACCAAUAUAUAAGAGUAGAUGAUUUAGAUGUGGUAAUGGAGAACAAGGAAAAUGAAGAAGGAUUCAAUGAGUUAGAAGAAAUAGAGAAAAUGAUGGAGGAUAAGAUAAAAGUUUGGAAGAUACCACAAAAAGAAAAGGAUGUUAAGCUCACGAAGCCUCGAGCUUCAGUUCCAAUGACAUUUGAACUAUUCGUGUUCGGUACACGAAAGAUGGAAAACGAAGAAAACUAUUAUGAUAAAGAGAUGAGUGAAAAGGAUAUUGAAUAAGACUUAAACAAGCUGAUAUUUGACAAUAUGGGAGUGGAAGCAAGGGAAUAAAGGAAGAAAAAGGGAAGAAGCAACUUGCUGGAAAAGCAAAGGGUUGAAGCACAAACAUGAGGAAAGAGCCAACAAAACGAAGAAGGAAAACACAAAGAAGCCGUAUAUAAGGUGAGUUAAGGCUUAUGAAAAAGAGUGGAAAGAACAGAAGGAGAAAAACGAGACUCACUCCCACCUGCAACAAUGUAGAGUGAGAAGAAAUUCAGCUCUCGACUCCUACAAAAGAAGUGCAUAACAAGAGGCAAUCCGUCAUUUUUUAGAGUUUGCAUUUUCUUUUAAUUUUAAUUUUAGUUUUUUUUUUGUUUUCUUUUAUGAGUUUUGUUUUCGUUUAAUUGAAUGAUGAUGUGUUUUUCCAGAUCUAAUUCUCAUUUUGUAGUAUUUAAGAAGUGAAAUCAGGAAAGGAGCUUAAUUGGAAAAGUCGAGAGGUGUUAGAAGAUUACAAUCGAGAGCCACAUCUUUGAAUAAGUGUGGGGGUGCUGCUCAUUUUUGAAAGAUUUAAGGGAGAGUUCAGGAUAUAAUGAAGCUUAAAAUAUGUUUUUGCAAUUAUGUCAUGAAUUGAAAUUUUUUCGAAAAGCAAUUGGAGCAUAAACUGCUUUCGAAACCUCCUAGUAACUAUGACGUGGCCAUCAUUAUGUCACACCAUUGCAUUUGUUAUUUUCGCAAUCGGAAAUUUUCAUCCUUGAUCUUACGGUGUAGCCAUCAUAUUCCCACGUUGUGGUGCAAAUUUUUAUCACAAUCAGACUCUUUCAGAUUCAAAUCCAUGACGUGGUGUAUGCUCUCCCACAUCGUGACAAAUUCCCAUGCAUUAUUAUGAAGAUUUUUCGUACCAACUUUUUGAAGUAGACACUUUUGUUUCUAUUUAUCCGACACAUUUAAAUGCAGAGAGUCCAGUUUCUAGACAUUAAUGAGAUGUUCAAGUUUUGCCAUCACAAAUUAGAUUUGAUCUCGCUACUACUACCCCAUGGGAGUCUUUACUUUUUCUCCAUUUUAUUUUAUGUGCUUUAUUUUCUUUAAGCAUGCAAUAGGAACAUUGCAAGAAUUAAAUGUGGUGUAGGGGGCCAAAUAUAGGAAUACAAGAAAAUUGAUUCAAAAAAUAAAAAAUGAAAAGGAUUAAAUUUUUUUAGAGCUUAAAGACUUGAAACAAUGAUAUAAAUUUAAAAUCUAGUUAAAAAAUUAUAUAUUUUUGUGUUGUGUUUUAUGUUGCUAGUGUUAUGUGGGAUGAUCCGAUGUGAGCUUUGAUGUUUAAUUGAACCAAUAUAUGUUUUAGUGUGUUUGUAGCUUCCCUUUCCUAGUGACGUCAUGAGACAAAAACAUAACCUUGUUUAGUUUAAGGGACAUCAUACGUUUAGCAUCGUGUACUCGAAAUAUAUCUAGGAAAGCUUAUGUAGUCAUUGCAACUUAGACUAAUGUCUUUAACUAAUAAGGGUUGAAGUUAAGCUCCCUUGCUUAAUCAUAUGUUUUCCUUUUUAGGAUUUUUAGUUUUGAAUGAAAAAAGUGAGUUGUGAAAAAAAUAUAUAGUAAAGAAAAAAAGUUGUAAAAGUUUGAGUGAAUAAGAGUCUACAAAGUUAUGAAUCUCAAGAAAUGCUAGGAAGAAAAGUUCAAAAGUUUCAAAAAUUGAAGACUCGAUUUGAAGAAAGUGAAGAAUAAGGCGAAUUGCCAAGUAAUUAUUUACUAUAAUUUUUCUUUAUUGGUUAUAUUUCCUUAUGUAUGCUUUGGAGCUUAAUCAAAAAUUACCUUGAGGUUAAGAAAUAUUUUUAAGGAUAUAUCGAAGGGAUGCAUAAAACGAAUGUUGUUCAAAAUAAGCGGGGAAGUAUUUUUGAAGAUUGUGAGUACUUAGGAUUGGGGAAGUACUUAGGAAUCAUUAGACACAAACAUAUGCAUUAAGGUCUUGAUGUAAUGGAUAAGCUUAAAAUGUAUAGUCUUGCGCGAUAUUGGUAGCUAAGGUUUUGAUGUGAUAGUAUGACGAUUAUAAAAUCAUUUUUGGUUGGGGGCAAGAAAAAGUCAAGUGUGGGGUAUUUUGAUAUUUGCUUAUUUAUUCAUAUAUUUUGUGCAUUAUCUUAAUAUUUUUAACUAUAAUUGUGUUUAUUUUAGUGAAAAACUUGCUUAAUAUGUUAAAAAUAUGUUUCGUAGCUGUAAAGGCGUGCUCGAUAUUAAAAGGAAGCAAAAUGCAGAGUUGAAAGUAGGAAAAAGUGGGCCAGGUAAACCGAAGUAAAAAACUCCAUGAAUUUUGAAGCCCACGGUGUGGAGAUCCUUAGCCACACCGUGGUGAGGAGAAGUUUCGCGAUCAGAGAACCGCCUUGGGGAAUACACAUUUUUCAUGGGUGUCACGUCAUGGAGCCUAUUCACCAUGACGUUGGAGACGAAUUUAUGGACACAAUAUAUAUGGCGGUUCUACCUUUACACCUACCUUAUGCUUCUAGUUCUUCUCGAAUUUUGAAGAACAGAAACGUGCUAGAAGACUGAGAAAGAUCUGAAUUCAUUUAGAGCUUAAAUGUUGAAGAUAUAUAGAAGAAACCAACAUUAAAUCCUUUGGUUUGCUAGCUUUAAUCAUGUCUAGUCCUAUUCUGUCACACCCCGCUAAAGCGGAAACGCAAGGUAUGACAGCGAUAACGGUUUCAUUGCAAAAGAUAAAGAUACAUCAACAUAGCAGUAUUUAAAAGUUUACAACCCAUAGUUUAAAAGAAACAACGUACAAGUUUUUCCAAAACAACAUUGAUCAAAAUAUAACUUCAUAAUAGCUUCAACACGAUGCAGCAUGCUCUAUGAUGAUGGAUCUUUACAUCCACUUACUAAUUAUUUCCUGAAAAAACAUGUAAAACGAGCGUCAACUAUGAAAAUAGUUGGACAUGCUUUUCCACCCCAAAACAUAAAAACUGAAAAUAGGGGAUUGCGUGAAUACUCACGAUGUUUCGUGUAGGCACAAGCGGUACUUCGGGAUGCACCAACGUCUUACUACCGGGAUCCUACGACAUCAAACACACACUAGUGAGUUUCCAUGUCGAAAUCUAAUGCUAAUAUACUAAACUCUACGUAUAGUGAAAUGCCAAUUUAUGUUUUAGUAUUGGAUUUUAUAUUAAUUGGUUACACUUUUUCUGAAAUAAUGAAAUUCUACAAGUCGUGUGAUUAAUUACAACUUUGGAAUAUUAAUUUUCCAAAUUUUUGAAGUCUCUUUAACAACAUAAUUUCACGAAAAACAGCAUUCAAGGGAUAAAAAUUCUCAAACUUUUUAUUUAACUGUUAUUACACAAUACGAAGCUGGGAAAAAUAUAAAAAUGGAUUUCCAAGCUGUUUAAUUAUAUUUUAUGAUUUAUGAGCAUUUAUUCCAAUAAAAAUUGAAAUAAAUAAAAAACAGUUUCCAAAAUUACCUAAACUUUUUAUUUAACUGUUAUUAUACAAUACUAAGCUGGGAAAAAUGUAAAGGAUAUUUUUCAGUGGGCAUUUCUAUUUUUCAUUGUUUUAUUCCUUUAAAUAGUCAUUAAUUGAAGAAAUAAUAUUAAACAGUUAAAAUAAAUCACCAUAAAUUUUGUAACAUUAUCUACAGUAUAAAUAACCUGGGAAAAAUAUCAAAAGUGGUUUUCAUAAUGUAUAAACUGGUUUUGGGUAUUUAUGUGUAUUUAAGUGUAUUUUAUUUCAAUUAACAUUAGAAAAUAAGAGAAAAAUAGUUUACAGUAGAGAAAAAUCCUCAAAAUGUUUAUGGGACCUCCUACUGUACAAUAUGAUAUCCUGGUAAAUUUGCAUCAAUUUUGGAUAAUCAGAACUAUUUUUCCUAUUUUUAGACCAUUAUAAUUACCAAAAAUUGGGAAAAAUAGUAAGACAUGAUGAAAAAUCGUGAAUUUAUUUUCUGGAGUCACCCAUCACAGGUAAGGUAUGCGACAAUUGUAAAAAAAAAAUUUCACAUUCUCUAAAGUGGUUUUGUGAUUUAUUAUGCCCUAACAAAAAGAAAAUCGGAAAUCAUAUCAAAUAGCAACGGAAAUUGAUGAAGUUUGGUGAGGGGUCAUUAUUCUCCAUAUGGAUCAGCCAUGAAUUUAUUCAGGAUUUAUUGACCUCUGGAAGUAGUUUAUGUGAUUUAUACCCUUGGUUUUAGCAAUAAUUUUAAUAAAUCAAAGAAAUAAUAAAAGCUCUUGAAAUUUUCCAGACUAUCACAUGCAUGUGAGGGCUUUCAAAAGGAAAAAUGUUAAAAAUUUAUUGAUAAGGGAAAUGGGGGUAAUGAAUCCAAACAAAUUAAGAAAUGUUGCAUGCAAUGGUGCAUGAAAUGUAGAUGUGGCUGAAGUUCAUGAAUUUGUGUAGCCCAUUCAGUGAGGUUUUAAGCCACGAAAUUUCAGCCAUCAUUCACUAGAUAUGUUAAGUUUCUAAAGUAUUUUUCCUCAGAUUUAUGGUUGGGUUUGAGGCCGUUGAUCAUGCAAGGCAAAAAUUGUGAUCACAGAAAAAGAGCUGUUUGCGCAACCAUUUCGUAAAAAUUGCCACAAAUCGGAUAAUUAAUAAUUUACAGUGAGACCAGUUGGGUUUGAAGGCUAGCUCGUGGAAAUAUCCAAUACAAAAAGAAUAUCAUGAUUUGGUUAAGAAAUGACCGAGUUAUGGCCGUUCAAAGUCGAACAAAGUAAUCUGGCAGAUUGCAUGUUUGUUUGUGUGCAUUAUUAGGGUAUUUUGACAAGAACAUCAUGCAUGCCUUUGUUAAGGUCCGAUUUCUAACACAUGCAUGGAGUGAAUGAGCAUCCAAGAUGUACUAUAAAUGGUUUAAAUGCUUUUGUUCAUGCAAGAACACAAAAGAAAUGGAGAAGAAGAUGAAAUAUUCGGUUUUGAUGUCACAUGAACAUAUGUGCCUCUUUUUCACUCGUUGCAUGGGUUUGAUCCCGGAUUUUCACCAUCUCAAACACAUGCAUUGUGUUAUGGUGAGAAUCUACAAACCACAAGGGAAAAAUAAGGAUUUUUAGCCAUGGAAAGGCAUAGAAUCCGAAAAGUAGAGAAAAUUAUGAAGAAGAAGAAGUAACAUCAUGAAACUAUGAGAGAGGAUUGUGUUGUUUACCUUGGUUUUCAUCUUGAGAGAAGUAAGAACACUUCAAGCUCUCCUAAAUCUCGAAAUAUGGCAGAGGAAUGAGAGGAUUUCGUGGGUUAGAGAGAGAGAAAGGAAGAGAGUUUGUGUGAGAAGAGAGUUGAGUGUAAGAGAGUGAAGAGAGAAGAGGUAGUGUGAGGGAAUGAGUUUAAUGAUUGAGUUUUGGGGAAGAGAGAGUGCAUGGGGAGAGGAGAAUGGCCGGCUCUUGCAUGCCUUAAGCCUCCUCUCUCCUAAUUUUCAAAUUUUAUAAAAUUCUCUUUAUUUUCUUUAUAAAAACCCUAAUUUUAUAAAAGUGUUUAUUAAGCAAAUUUGAUUUACUUAAAAAUCUUGUUUUUAACUAAUAAAUUAUGAUUAAUACUUGAUAAUUUAAUUUCUAUUUCAUUGAUUAUAAUUCAUAAUUUGGUUAAUAAAAAUUUGAUAUUAGGAAGUUUAUGGCCAAAUUUUAUAAAGUUUUUAAGCUUUAUAAUUUAUAAGUUUGGAUUUUUGGCUCUUUAGGGUUUUUGGAAUAUUGUUUGACAUUCAUCAACAUGUUGAAGUAUAAUUAGAAUGUUUUAAUUUAUUUUUAGGGUUUUAUGCCCUAUUUCAAUUAUAACAAAGCUUAAAGCUUCAUUCUAAUUAUAGCAUUGACAUUUUCUAUUGUAGUUAAGCAACUUACUAGAAUUGUCAGUGUCAAGUAUAUUAGUCUUAGAUCUUAGUUGGAUCCUAGUUUAUGCAAGAAUUUUGACGUAAUUUAUACUACUAGGUCAUAGCAUGUUGUGCAUGAAUGGUUUUUAUAAAGAUGCAUGAGUCCGAAAAUGACCUGAAUUGACAGUUGUCACAUAUUUGCUUUGAUUUUAUGUGUUUUUCUACAAUGAUUAUAGGCUAAAACCCUUAGACUUUUGUUGGUGAUGAUGAACCCUUCGAAUUAUGUGUUUAUUUCAAUCUUAUGGCUACUUAUUAUUGUUUUUUCUAGUGUUGAUAAAUCGCAAUCAUUACAUGUUUAAGUUCUAGUUUUUAAUUGCCUUGUUACAAGCUUUGUGUAGUAGAUGAUCAUUCUAUUUGCAUGAAUUCGCUAUCUAGUUGUUUAUGAUCAUUAAAUGCCAGAGAUAGGUACUUAGAGUUAGUAAAUUUAACCAUGUUAGAGAUCAUAAUUGUUCCAUAAUGUGUGUUUGGUUGCUUGACUUGGUCAUAGAAAAGUAACUCUUAAGAUUUAUUGUUCUUAGCCAAAUUUAUCCUUAUAUUAGUUUCAUGUUUACUUGUCUUUGAUCAUUACAUAGUAAGUCAUAAAUUGGAAACAACUAGGAAUUUGAUCAUAAUAAUUAGUUACAUAAUAAUUUGGUAACUAAUAGAUGUAAUCUAAUAGAAAUCAAUCAUAGGAGAAAAUGGGGGAAUUUAGAUAUAACGAAGGUAGUAUUUAAUAUUGAAUUCAAAUCGUUUUCUUUGCUUGCUUAAUUUUUAAUAAUUUUUUAAUUAGUAGUCCUUUGAAUUAAGUUACUGAACUUGCAAAAUCAGUAAAACUGCCAUUUAAAGUUUGUUUCUUAAUUUAAUUACUAGAAGUUAUUUUAUAAAUUAAAAUUAUGUUGCCUGUGUUCAACACCCGACUUACCUAAACUAUCCUAUAAAUUGACUUGGUACACUGCCUAAGUGCAAUUAGGUAAUUAAGUUGGUUAGGUUUAUAAAUUUAAAACGGGUGGUAUAUAAAUUGCACAUCAGUUGGAAAUGAUAGAUGACUUGUUAAUUUAUUAUGUGAUUAAUAAAUCUAUAUGAGAUCAAUUCUUAAAUAAUUGAUUUGUUAAUUUAUAUGACAAAAAAAUUAAAAUUAAAUCAAUUAUAAUUGAUUAAUUAUUAAUCAAAACUAUUAUGAAAUUAAUUCAAAAUUAGUUAUAAUUAAUUAAAGGUGGAAGGGAUGGAUAUUAAUUGUUAAAUAAUUAAACAAAAAAGACAAUUCUAGAAGCAUCCAAGGAUGCAUGGCUUUGGGAGCCCCACUAGGGUUUCGAGAAGUCUCAUAGAUGCUAAUAAAGAAAUGAUUUGAAUUAGAAUUAAAUCCAUUAUUUUAUUAAUUCAAAUCUUACUUGAUUUGAAUUAGAAUUAAAUCCAUUAUUAAUUAAUUCAAAUGUGGCUUUGUCUGCAAGUUACCUAAACUAUAAAUAGGACUCAUGUGGCUAGGAUUUUCAUGGUUACUAGUUCCUAGAUGCAUAUGAACAAAAAUUAUAUAUCUCCUCCUCUCACCUCACUUAUCUUCUAGUACUAGGGUUUGGGUGUGAGCCAUUAGAGAUAUCAUACUUUCGGUGCUAGCUUUCCAAGCUUUUCAAAGGAAGGAUUGAAGUGAUUUGCUUAUUACAACAAAUCAAAUGUAUUUAUCCCAAAUUCUUGUAUUGAAUUUUAAGUAAAUUAGGGUUCAUCUAGAUAUUUUUGUUAAUAGUAUGUUACAUUUAAAGUAUAUGACAUAUAUCCUAUAUGUUGCAUGUACCCUUAGGUGUUAAGUGAAAUUUCACAUGCACAUUAAUUUUGUAACCUAUAAAAGCUAGCACGUCCAUGGAAUGUCAUUUAAGUGAGUUUUAUUAUUUAUUUUCUUUUAUUUUCAUUUUAUUAUUUUUUAAUUCAACAACUAUAUACUCGGUUUUUACGUGUUUUACAUUUUUUUAGGUUUUUCUAAUCCUUUUUGUUUUUCUAUAUUUUUAAUGUCUUUACUACAUAUAUGAAAAUUCUUUUUUCUUUUUGUUUUUUUUAAACUAAAUAUCGGUUCGAGUUUUAAAUGUUCAACAAUUAUAAGUUUUUAAAUAAAAAAAAUAUUAAGGAUCCAUAUUUUUCAUUAAUACUAUUUUUGAAUCAUAAAAUUUUGAAUUAAACUAUUUUGAAUGAUAGUAUUUGGAAUCAAAUUAUUUUUGAAUCACAUGAUUUUGGGUUAAUAAUAUAUUCAAUUAAAAAAUUGGUUUGGUUAAAAAAAAUUGUUGACUUAUAUAUAUUUUGAAUUAUAAAAGAUAUAAUUUAAGAUUAUAAAAUAUGUGAAUCUAAAUAAUUUUAGAUCAUAACAUUUUAAGGAUCGUAACCAAGUUGAAUCAAAUGUUUUUUUUUCAAUAAUAAAUAUUUUCAAUCAUAAAUAUUUUGUAGCACUAGGUUCCAAAGUAUUCCUUAUUUUGACCCUUGUUAUUAAAUUAACAUGCAAAUUUUGUCCUAAGGGGGCGAAAGUGACACUUUUGGGAAGGAGGGAGUAUGCUGGGCAUACGCUGUCUAGGGACAAACCCUAAUUUUUAGGGUUUAGACCCUAUUUAAGCAUCAUUAUUGACUCAAUACCUUUCCUCGCAUUAGCCUCCUUCCCUCUGAAUAUACCCCACGAAACGGUAGCCAUAUUUGGUGCAUUCUUGAGCUAUUGGUUGAGUUUUUGUCCCUUUUUGGUGCAAUAGAAGAAUAAGAGACUUAGUGGUCGUGUAUUGUUGGAGUUUGAGCCUCAAGAUCUAGAGCUAACUUCUUCAUUGCAAGCUUCUGGAGGUAAAACGUUAUUACCUUGAUGGUUCCAUUGUUGAGAUCUCAUUUACGGGUAGAUUUAGGAGAUUUUGGUUCCAUGACCUUGGUUCUUGGGAGUAUGGGCUACUUGUGAACAUUAGAAUGGCAUUUCUAGUAGAUUUAAGGUCCUUAAAGCAUAAAAAUCGACUCGUGAUGGUUUUGUUUCAAACAUGCAUGAGUUGUAGACCUUUGUAAGGUGUUUUGGACUUAGGUUUUAAUUUUGGGUCCUUGUGUUACAAACUUUAUGGAUUAAGACAUCAUUGAGUAGUAGAUAUGUGGUUUGGAUAUUAAGGUCUUAAGUAAUUAAGACCCUAGGUUAGCUUUUGGGACUCUUGAUAGUACGAUGGGCAUACUCCUUAGUAUGUUGCACUUAUUGGAUCAGCAGCCCGCUUUCGGGUCAACGGGUCAACCUGCUUCUAUGGGGCGUACGCCAUGUUGUGGGCCUCCUUCUAUUUUGUGCCAUUUUUGGGCUUUUCGGGAUAGAUGGACCAUUUUGGGGUUUCAUGCUUUCAUAUUUAGGCCCAUUAAGAAAAGGGUAAAAUGGUCUUUUACCAUGGGAGUUGGAACUAAAGACUUAGACUCUUGGAUUUGGUUUAUACCCUAAUUAUUAAUUAGGAUGUUAUUUGAUCAUAUUUAGUGCGAAUAUUUCCCGGAAUAGCAGCCCGAGCAUUUAUCUGAUUUUUUCAACACUUAAAGGUGAGUCUCCUCCCAGUGUUUAGCGGUUCGAAGGCACUAAUGCCGAUCCAUGGAUUAUUGAUGUCUGUAUGCUAGUAGUCUUUGUGACAUUGUAUGUGUGUAUGUAUUGUAUGCAUAUNGCUAGGUAAGACCUGAUUGGUGUGUUGGGUGGGGUUCAUCACAUGAUACAAACAAAUCUGUUUCGAGCGGGGCUCGAUGCCAAGUGGGUCCCUGUGACAUCCCCAAUUUCAUGGCCAGAAAAGACCAAUUUUUUUAUGCAUUAUUUGAAAAUCAGAGUAUCCUUUUAAAGAAAUAUGUUGCGAAAUUUGUUCCCAAAAUAUAAUAAGUUAAUUAUCAAAGCAUUUUUAAAGAAAUGUGUUUCCAUUAUUUUAAAAACGUUGGGAUGUCAUUGUCAGUACAGUACAUAAGCAUAAACCAAAAUAGUACACGCCUUACAACAUCUAUUAUUAUAAUGACCUAUAAUCCAUAGAUUUCUCAUCACAUCAACACUCAUGUGCUCUUUGACCACUACCUGUAAUACAAGAAACUAAGUGGGUUAGGCUUGGGAGCCUGGUGAGCACAUACGGUUUUAAACCCACGAUAAUUAAUUUUAUUAGUUUCAUCAAAUCAUUCAUCAUGAUUACUCGUUACCGUUAUCCUCACUUUCCGUCCCUAAAACAUCUAAUUCAAGGUACCUAGCCUAAGCAUCAUCAUCGGAAUGAAAAUAAUGCUUAGGGGAUUCCUCAUCAAUAUAUGUCAGUAAGGAAACCAUGAGGGGGAUGGAGUACACCAGUGAACACAUCGUUAACAAACACCUAGAGCUUGCAAGCCUGCUAGCGUUUCACUAGACUGUCUAGAAUAGUCCGUGGUCGUCAUCUAUACUCCGCUAGAUGAUGGGAUCAGCUUAAACAUCAAGGCUUCUCAUCAUUUCUUUCAUCAUCUAUAUCAUCUACCCAUCUUUACUCAUCAUAAUUAUAGCUAUAAAAUACAUACACAGUUUAAAUUGAAUAAAACUUAUAUAUUUUAUUCAUCCAAGAUAAAUAUGAAGAACACAGAUAAUAUGCACACAUAGCACGCAAUUUAUAUUAAAUACUUCAUAUCUAUGUGUAAGAUGAAAGUAACUAUUCAAUCACUUGUUAAAGUGAUGACUCCAAACUCGAGCAGCGCUUCACUUCUAACACUUUUAUUUUCCUUCUAUGAAACCUAGUAUCAUUAUCACUGGAUCUUAGUCUAAUGUUUAUUGCGACUAAUUAUUAGUCUAGGUAAUAUUGUUUGCAAUGUAUUAUAUAAGUGUUAAAAAAUACUUUUCAACUACUAUGUAUUGAAAGGGGACAAACAUGAAACACCGGUGGGCAUGACCAUUUUGGCAUUUAAGCUGUUCUGAAACCCAACAACCCUAAGCGACCCUUCAAACUAGAUUCCGCGUACCGCGAGCAGUUAAAAGGUAUCAUAAUAAAAAUUUGCAUAAUUUAUAAUACUUAGCACAUAUAUUUUUUUAUAGGAUCAUAAUAACGAUAAUGAACUUAAACAUAAGUUAUACUUAAAGUAGGGUAAGCAUAACUCACUUACAAGGGGGUUUAGCUAGGAGUCAGGAUCUGCAGGGCAGAACUUCUGAGCCGAAAGAUCUUCUUCUCGUAGCCUUCUGGUGCUUCAGGACUCAACUCAAGCACUUGGGAAGUACUAGGGGAUGGUAAAGAAUAAGAAGAGUAUUUGAGAGAGAAAGAAUGGGAAAGGUGUGAGUUUUUGGGUUGAUCCUCGCAUCUAUUUAUUGGCUGGAUCCUCGGAGUAUGCGGGGCAGAACUUCGGAGUACGUUACACGCACUCGGUACAUUAGGGGUAUGAGUCCCUACGUUGUGCGCACAAGGGGCAGGUGUGUCCUUAUUCGGCCACGUGUCACCCUCGCAUCCUAAUCCUAUUAACUUCUAAAUUCCGUAACUUUCGCAUACUAUCUCUGGUUUUGAUGUUCUUUAUAUCCACGCGUAGAUGGCGACGUGUCCUACAACUUUCGUUUAGACUCCAUCGGCUAAUUUAAACUUUAUUUUUAAAGUUAUAUUUUAACAAGCUUAUAUAGAUAAAGUCCAUUAGAAAUUCAUAACUUUGUCAUCAGACGUCCGUUUCCGUCUGUCUUUAUAUCGUUAAGUUCUUAUUAACGCGAUCUUCAAUUCUCGUUUAGAUCGUGUCGGCUAAAAAUCGAUCGAUCUAAAAUUCGAAUAUCGGGCUACAUACUACUUUGCCAAAUCUUAGAAAAAUCAUAACUUUUUGUAACGAAGUCAAAUUUGGACAUUCACUAUAUGCACGCUCUCGGUUUAAUGUAUUCUACGAAUUUUGUUUAGAUCGCCAAGUCUAAAAAGUAUUUUAUCCCAAACUCACAUUUUACGAUACACCGCGUCGUGCCGGUUUUUUUGCAAAACUUUGACGGGCCAAAACUUCUUCGUUAUAUGUCGGAUUUCAGCAUUCCUUAUAUCUCCGAAAUCCUUGUUGCGACCACUUCAACUUUCUUCAUAGAUAUUGGGUCUAUCUUUUAUUUUAUUUUCAUGCAUAUUUUUAUUACUAUUUUAUUACAUUGUUAUAAGCACGUAUAUUGCACAUAAAUCACAUAAUUCACAUAAUACUCAAAUAAUUCAUCUUCAUUACUUCAAAAUAAGUUACAAUUGUUGACACUAACUAUUACAUCAUCAUACUAAUGCUUAUACAUAAACACGGGCGUUACAAUUCUCUCCUCCUUAGGAUAAUUCUGUCCCGGAAUCAUGCGUCAGCAAACAAAUGUGGAUAGUGACUUAUCAUGUCACUUUUUGUUUCCUUGGUAAGAUUUGGCCCAUUUGAGUGUUUCCAGUGCAUAAGCAACAAGUCGGCCAUCUUUCGUUGCAACUUCUUUGUCUUACGGUCAACCAUUGCUUCAGGCUCUUCGAUUAACCUCUUAUUUUCAUCCAUCUUGAAUUCCAAAAGUGGAAUUAUAUCUGGAACUUCUCCUGUGAACUUCCUCAAAUAACACACAUAGAAACUAUGAUGAAUAUUGUCUAGUUCUUCUGGAAAUUCUAGUUUGUUAGCUUGCUUCCUAAUCCUCUUAAGAAUCUUGAAUGGUCCAAUAAACCUUGGACUCAACUUUCCUAUUUUUCCAAGUCUUAUAAGUCUCUUCCAGUGUGAGACUUUGAACAAUAACGUAUCUCCAACUUUAAAUGCCAUUGCUCGUUGCUUCUUGUUAGCAUAACUCUUUUGGCGAUCUUGAGCCGCUAACAUCCUUUCUCUAAUCACUUUUUACUUUUCAGCAGUCUGAUGGAGUAUCUCGGGACCCAUAAACUGCUUUUUUUUCUGUCCACAAGCCAACAAGACAGUGUAUGACACUUCUGUCCAUAGAAGGCUUGAUAAGGUGCCAUCUUUAUGGUCAAAUGGUAACUAUUGUUGUAGGAAAACUCUACCAGGGGUAAAUGCUCAUCCUAGUUACCUUGAGAUUCUAGGGUACAUGCUCUUAGCAUAUCAUCCAAUGUUUAAAUUGUUCUUUCACUCUAACCAUCAGUUUACGGAUUGUAGGUUGUACUUAAAAAAAAUUCAUACCCAUUUCCUCUUGUAGACUUUUCCAAAAUCUUGAUGUGAAACAACUGUCAUGAUCAAAUACAAUCUUUUAAGGUACACCUUGAAGUCUUACUAUCUCCUUCACAUUAGCAUUUGAAAGCUUGUCCAUAGACGACCUCUCAUUGGCUGUUAUGAAGUGUGGACUCUUAGUGAACUAAUCUACGACUACCCAAAUCAUGUUGUGACCAUUGUUAAUCCCGGGCAGUUUAGUCACAAAAUCUGUGGUUAUCUCUUCCCAUUUACCCAUGGGUACAGGUAAAGGUUCUAAACACCCAUACAAUUUCUGAUGUUGUUCUUUAACUCUUGCACAUGUUACACAAUCUGCCACAUACUUUACAACAUCGAGCUUCUUCAUCGGCCACUAGUAGUAAGGUUUCAUAUCCCUAUACAUCUUAGUGUUGGUGGGAUGAAUCGAGUGCAUAGUCUUGUGAGCUUCUUCCACCAGAAGAUGUCUUAUUCCUCCUAUCUUAGUAACCCAUAUCGUAUCUUGGAAUACCUUCAUCCCUUAACUAUUUGUACCAAAUACCAACAUUUUGACUACCCGUUCUUCCUUUCGGUCAUUUUCUCUAGAGCUUCUUCCUAAGCUUUUUUGAUGCUUUCCACAAUAGUUGAGACAACUUCUAUUCUUAAUGCUCUUGGCCUUUUUCUUUCGAAGUUUACUUUUCAACUUAGAGCAUCAACUACGACAUUUACUUUAUCAGGGUGGUAAAGUAUCUCACAGUCGUAAUCCUUGAGCAACUCUAACCAGCGUCACUGCCUCAUAUUUAAUUCUUUAUGAUCAAAGAGAUACUACAGUAUUUUAUGAUCAGUGAAGAGCAUGCACUUUGUGCCAUAAAUAUAAUGCCUCCAUAUCUUUAAUGUCAAUAUUACCGCUAACCCAACUCCAGAUGCAUCGCUAUAGACUGCGAAGUCUUCAACUCCGUUAGGUAAAGAAAGUGUUGGAUAUAGCGUAUAAGUCCAUAAAUUUAUUUGGUAUUUACUUGAUCCGACCCGACAUGGUCCAUUUGGGUUGCAUGACAUUGCAAUACUUGGAUAGACAAUGAGAGAAAGGACACUUGUGAUUAUUAAUAUAUUAUAAGUUCUAAUAUAUUAAUAAUAGUAUUAUUUAAUUAGUGAUCGAUCAAGUAUUAAUUGAAAAUUAAUUUGGUGAUCAAAAUGAGUCUAAUUAGAUAGACAGGGUUGAUUAUGACAAUCAUUUAAUCUUUUAUGGUAUUAAUGAUCCAUAGUUUAUGGAGCUGGGUUAUAACCAUUUGGAGCUCCAUGGAUAGUUCAUGGGAGUUACAAACCCAUAGAUCAUAGGAAAGGAAGAGUGGUGACAAUUAUGGGCAUUCAUGUGAAAACCCUAAUUGUGACAACACUAUAAAAGAAGACCUAUAGUUAGCAAAAUCGGCCACUAGUGUAUUCUAAGAGGGCAAAACCGAUUUUUUAGUGCAAGUGUAUUCUAUCAAGUUAUUCCAAGUCUUGUAGUGUUUUUUUAAGCAUUUGAGGCACAACGUUUGGGGUGCUAGGCUCACUAAGUCUUCAAGGAAUCCAAGCAACAAGAAAGGUAUGUACUUCUACUAGUUUUUAUAUUACAUAUUCCCCAUGCCAUGCUAGUUAGGAAGUAAACCUGGAAAAAUCAAAUUUGCAUGUAUAUUAGAGAAAACAUAGAUUCAAGGUUUAUAUGGUUGCAUGUACACCAUAGGAGUGUUAGAAUGCUCAAAACCCAUCAGUGGUAUCAGAGACUAGGAUUGUUUUCUAUAUCUUUGAUGCAAACUGCUUAAAAUAUCGAAAACUACUCACUGUUCAACUGGACUCGCUGAGUGCAAGGGGAGAACUUGACGAGUCCAAGGCAAAGUUCAUCGUACUCAUCGAGUAGGAUCAUGCAAUCGACGAGUAGGUGCGUGUUGGGCAGUUUUCCGAGUUAUGUUGCUUGAAAUGGGCUAGAAUCAUUAUCCCAAACUGUUUUGGACUUAUAAAAUCUGUUUUUCAAAGUGGUAAUGAUUAUGUUAACCCAUUUCAAAUGACUAUUAUCAAUUUUCAAGUAUUAUAUGUGUUAAUAUGAUUUCUUGAAAUUGUUUGAUAUGAAUAUUUGUUCUUAUGAGUUUUUAGAAGAUCAUAGGAAUUAUGUGUAACUUAUAUGCUUGUUUAAUUCAUGAUCUUAAUGCUAAUGAUGGUGUCCAUAACUUGUCCUCAAGUUAUGGUAAACCAAAAGUCACUUCUUUAAAUUGUUAUUAAAGAACAAAGAGGUUUAAUGUAACACUGUAAAUUUCAAAAUAAUUUUUCGCAUAACAUAAAAACUUAAUUCAUUUACUAUUUGUAAAAACAUCAUUUGUUUCAAGUUCAUAUUCAUAGCACGUAAUAAUCCAAAGAUCUCAUAACAUAAAAUCCCGUGUGUGUACUCAUCAGACCGGCGCCUUCCCGCGAUCCUCACUGGUACCUGAAACAAUAACACCAAACACUGUAAGCACAAAGCUUAUGGAGUUUCCCAAAAUCCCACAUAACACAUAUUAGCCACUCAAGGCUAUAACUCUGUGGGUCCGUGCACCCAAACUCUGUGAACCCUCUGGUUCUAACUCUGUGAACCUUUCGGUUCCAACUCUAUAAACAUGCACAUCAUAAAUCACAUAGAAAUAAUGCAGUACAACACAUAACAUAUAAAUGGCAUACAACACUGUAUCACACAGCUCUAGUUAUCUACUCAGGGUAAAGUAUAUUAAGAAGACUCACCUCGCGUAUCUCUAUAACUCGCAAAUCCCGGAAAUCACUCGCGCUCGAUCCCCCGAGCUAUAAUCCUCCUAUAACAUAAUAUAUCUCUAAUUAACACUUUCACAAAUAAGGUUGACUAACCCUAUCAAGUCAACACUGGUCAACUCUGGUCAACGGUCAACUUUGACCGGACUCGGCGAGUGCACUAGCGCGACUCGGCGAGUCUGUACAUGUUCACUGACUCCCUCGGAUCCUCUGUUGACACGUCGAGUACUUCCCUAACUCGACGAGUUCCACCUGGCAUGAAUCGCGGGGUCACCAUGACUCAACUCGCCGAGUCUCAAAAACAACUCGGCGAGUUCCGCUUGACUCAGACCCGUAUUGACUCUCCCUGAAUCACUGGGUCAUCCCCUAACCCGGUGAGUCUACUCGCUGAGCAAUUUACGUGAAACCCCAACCCUACUCGCCGAGUCUCAAGAACAACUCGGCAAGUUCAUGCCAUGCAGAAACUCUAUUGACCUUCUGAGGUCAGAUCUACUUUCCCAAACCAUAGAUCUGGCCUUCCCAAGCAUAAAUGUCACGUAAAGUUCGAAACUUGAUGCUUGUAUAACCCCCACAAGGCAUCAAAAGGAGAUUUGGUCCCAAAAAUGACAACCUAGGUCCAUUAACUCCAUAAUAACCCAAAAAGCUCCAAGGGUUAAUGUCUCUGGACCUCUUUGAGUCCAGAUCCAAGGCACAAAAUUGAAGAGGGACCAUUUCCUUCACCAAAUCACUCUCCAAAAGAGUUAGAAAACCCUAACUCUAAAGAUCAACCCUAAAACUGAAGGAGGUUCGAACUAUUACCUCAAAAUGAUGCCUCUGGACUCUGGAUCUACUGGAAUCUCCCUCCUCCUUGCUCUUGCCACCUUCUUCUUGCUAAACAAGGAAUACAAAGGCCCAAAAGUGACUUCCUCUCUCCUAAAACGAAUUAGGUCCCUUAGGGUUCUCUCAAGGGACUGGUAGCCGCAAUGGGAGGCUAUAAGUACCCUUAAAUAGGCUCCAAACCCGCGGAAUUAGGGUUUCAUUAAACAGCGUGGACUCGCCGAGUCCACUUUUGGACUCGCCGCGUCCAGACGCGAACCCGUGCCCAUAGCCGCGAUCAUACUUGGCGAGUUUGGGCUCCAACUCGCCGAGUCUCGUCACAAAUCACCAAAAAUAUAAGAAUGAAUAAUACCUGGGAAUCCGGGCUGUUACAAUUCUCCCCCACUAGAACUAGUCUUCACCCUCGAAGUCUCGCUCUGCAAAUAACUCCGGAUGCUGCUCAUGCAUCUCACGCUCCGGCUCCCAAGUCAUCUCGGACCCCUUCCGAUGCUGCCACUGAACCAAAACCAAGGGUACCUCCUUGCUCCUCAUAACCUUGAUCUUUCGAUCCACAAUUGCGACUGGUCUCUCUGCGUAGUUCAGGCUCGCAUCCACCUGAUUGUCCACUAACGACACUACCGCCGACUCGUCGACUAUACACUUCCGCAAUUGCGACACGUGGAAAGUGUCGUGAANCCCAUAAGGACCUUCAUUUGAAGAGUAACCUCCAAUGUGAGUCCAUACGCACCUUCUAUGCAACCCUUGAUACUUCUAGCACUUGUAGCAAAGUGUUUUUAUGUAAUAAGUUCACUCCUUUCCAAGGAGAGACCUUCAGGAGCACAAAGUCUCCGACCUGAAACUCAAGCUCGGACCGACAUAUGUCCGCAUAACUCUUCUGACGACUCUGAGCGGUCAACAACCUCUGUCUGACCUGCUGGAUCUGCUCUGUCGUCUGAAGCACGAUCUCUGUACUGCCCAUAACACGCUGUCCGACCUCUCCCCAGCAAAUGGGGGUCCGACACCUCCUUACGUACAACAUCUCAAAGGGUGGCAUACCAAUGCUCGAAUGAUGGCUGUUGUUGUAAGAAAACACUGCCAAGGGCAAAUACAUGUCCCAACUCCCUCCGAAGUCCAACACGUAUGCUCGGAGCAUGUCUUCGAGCGUCUGAAUCGUCUGCUCACUCUGUCCGUCUGUCUGGGGGUGAUAUGCGGUACUAAAAUGCAGCCUAGUACCCAACUCCUCAUGAAACUUCUUCCAGAAUCUGGAAGUGAAACGUACAUCCCGGUCUGAGACAAUCGAGAUCGGCACCCCAUGCCGAGAUACCACUUCCCUCACGUACAUCUCUGCUAACUUCUCUGCGGAGGAGCUCUCACUAAUAGCAAGGAAGUGGGCACUCUUUGUCAAGCUGUCCACAAUCCCCCAAAUUGCAUCGACUCCCCUAGCAGUCCUUCGCAAUUUGGUGAUAAAAUCCAUGAUAAUCUAUUCCCACAUCCAUUCGGGAACCUCCAACGGCUGCAACUUACCAUGCGGUCUCUGGUGCUCGGCCUUAACCCUACGGCAGGUUAAGCACCUCUCAACAAACCACGCAACAUCCCUCUUCAUACAGGGCCACCAAUACUCCCUCCUCAGGUCCAAAUACAUCUUAGUGGCCCCAGGAUGGAUCGAGAAUUUCGACCGAUGAUCCUCUUCCAUCAAAAUGGUACGCGCCCCUCCCACAAACGGUACCCAUAUACGCCCCUGAAAAGUCAUAAGCCCCCGACCAUCGGUAACGAACUUCGAUACCACCCCAACAACUCCCUCCCUCUUCUGGUUCUCCGAUCUCACGGCCUCAGCCUGUGCUCCACGAAUGGUGUCCAACACCGGAGCCAUCAUGGUCAAUCGCAAACAUACACCUCGCAAUGGGGCACUCUCCGCCCUGCGACUCAGGGCAUCAGCUACCACAUUAGCCUUUCUCGGAUGGUACAGAAUCUCACAAUCAUAAUCCUUGACCACAUCCAACCACCUCCUCUGCCGCAUAUUUAGGUUGGGCUGAUCCAUCAAAUACUUCAGGCUCUUAUGGUCCGUGUAUAUCGUACACCGAACCCUAUACAAAUAGUGACACCAAAUCUUGAGGGCCAAUACCACUGCACCCAACUCUAGAUCAUGGGUGAGAUACCUCAUCUCAUGAGGUUUCAGCUGCCUCGAUGCGUAUGCUAUCACAUGCCCUCUCUGCAUCAGCACCGCUCCCAACCCCAAGAUCGAUGCAUCACAAUAUACCACAAAGUCCUCCAUCCCCUCCGGGAGGGCUAACACGGGGGCUUUGCAUAACCUUUGGCGAAGCGUCUCAAAGGAGGCCUGCUGCUCGGGGCCCCAUGAAAAAGCGACACCCUUCUGGGUCAACCUGGUGAGUGGCACUGCGAUCUUAGAGAAAUCCUUGAUAAAUCUCCGAUAAUAACCUGCCAACCCUAGGAAACUCUUGAUCUCGGAGGGUGACCUCGGCACCUCCCAACUCAUCCCCGCCUCAACUUUGGCCAGGUCGACCAAUAUCCCUUUCUGGUUAACGAGAUGACCCAAGAAUUGGACCUCUCACAACCAGAAAUCCCACUUGGAGAAUUUGGCAUAAAGCCUCCCCGAUAUCAGAACUUUGAGGAUCUCCCUCAAAUGAUCCUCAUGCUGCUCUCUAGAUCUCGAAUAUACCAAAAUGUCAUCGAUGAAUACAAUCACCGACCGAUCCAACAUCGGCCUGCACACUCGGUUCAUGAGAACCAUGAACACUACCGGGGCAUUGGUGAGCCCGAAAGGCAUCACCACAAACUCGUAAUGCCCAUAACGCGUCCUGAACAUUGUCUUAUGGAUGUCCUUGUCUCGCACCCUCACCUGAUGGUAUCCGGACCUCAAAUCGAUCUUGGAGAACCAAGAUGCUCCCUGUAACUGAUCGAACAAAUCGUCGAUCCUCUGCAACGGGUAACGGUUCUUGACCGUCAGCUUGUUCAACUCCCGGUAAUCAAUGCACAUCCGGUGUGAACCAUCCUUCUUCUUGACAAAAAGGAUAGGUGCUCCCCACGGCGAGUUGCUCAGCCGAAUAAACCCCUUUCCUAGAAGCUCCUGAAGCUGCAAGGAUAACUCUUGCAUCUCUGGAGGUGCAAGGCGAUAAGGCACCUUGGCGAUAGGCGCGGCCCCCGGAACCAAAUCGAUACUGAACUCCACUUGCCUCAUAGGAGGCACACCCGGCAGCUCCUCUAGGAAUACAUCCGGAAACUCACGCACUAUCGGAACCUCCUCAACUGACCUCGACCUCUCUGAAUCAACCCUCGUAUCCAUCACAUACGCCACAAAGCCCCUAUAAUCCUGCUGUAGACACUGCCUCGCCCUAGCAGCCGAAUAAAACGCUGACCCAGAACGUGUACCCUCGCCGUACACCGUAAGAACUCCCCCACUAGGGACUCGUAUGGUCACCAGCUGUCGUUCGCAGUCGAUAACCGCACCGAAUCUGCUCAACCAGUCCAUGCCCACAAUGACAUAGACAUCACCCAUCGCGAUAGGAACCAAAUCAAUCGGGAACUCAACACUGAAGAUCUCGAAUAUGCACCCGCGGAUUACCUCCGUGGCAUAUAUCACCCUCUCGUCAGCUAUGGAAACUCUCAGAGGCCGACUCAACGCCUCACGACUAAGACUGAUAUGCCGACUAAAAGCCAAAGACACAAAAGAUCGACUCGCACCCGAGUCAAAUAACGCCAAGGCAGGUACAUAAUUCACAAGAAAAGUACCUACGCAUAACAUAAUAUAAGCAUAAUAUCUCAACACCAAAAUAAAUACACGAAAGAAUACAUACCAGCCACAAAAUCAGGCGCUGUGCGAACCUCCUCCGAGGUCAACUGAAAGGCUCUCCCUCAUGCUCUCGGCACCUCGGCCUUCACCGGCUGACUCUCGGUAGCUCUGAUGGCGGCAGGGGCAGAUCCCUGAGGUGCUCCCUAAGCUGAUCCCCAUAAUUGCGGACACUCUGCCUUCCGGUGUCCGGUCUGGUUGCAGUGAAAACAUACUGCAAACCCCUUGGGGCAGUCCUUGGUUAUGUGCCCCUCUUUGCCACUCUUGUAGCAAGAUCCAGCUCUACAAAAUCCAUCAUGACCCUUGCCGCACUUCCCACAAGUGCGGCCCUUCGGGCUCCCUGAUUUGGGAUCAGCGGGCUUGGCCCGCUUGGCUGCCGGCUAGGACUGUGUCGGUCGCCGAUCCCUCCCCNCCGCCUCCUCCCUAGCCUAAGUCUCUAGCUCAAUCUCCCUCUUCCGGGCAUUUGCCUGAAGCUCGGCAAAUGUCCGGUACGAGGAGUUCGCCACGAACUCCUGAAUGUCUCGUCUGCUCGGUGGACACGUGCUCAGGGCAGAACAUCGCCCUCUCGUGAAACAUCCUGGUAAUCACCGUAACAGACUCACUACCCUGCUUGAGGGUCAGAAACUCCUAGGCCAAAUACUCCCUCUCCACCUGGGGAACGUACUCAUCUCGUAACAUGGCAGUGAACCUCUCCUAGGUCACUUCCGCAAGCUCAGCAGGCGUAAAGUGUGCCGUCACAAAUUUCCACCAGUCAUUCGCUCCCAAGCGAAGCUGGUUCAGCACAAACCGAACUCUCAAAUGCUCAGGUGAUGAGCAAGUGAAGAAACACCCCUUCAUGUCUGACAACCAUCUCAUAGCCGCCACUGGGUCCUGGGUCCCAUCAAACUCCGAUGGUUUUGUGUUGCUGAACUCUCGAAACAGCAACGCAUCACCACCCUGCGGCCUCGCGGCAACAUUAGCUGUGGUGGUCGCUGCAACAGCAGCCUCGGAAGGAGCAUCAUAACGCUCGUCGAAAGUCUCAAUCAACGUGGUCUUAAUAGACCCGAACAUCUCUGGUAUCUCUGCCCUGAUGGCCGCAGCCGCCUCCUCAUGGAUGAUUUGGUGGAUCUCCUCAUCACUGGUCCCGCUGCUAUCUGGCGCUUGACGUGUCCUCACCAUGAUCUCCCUCUGAAAAACAACAUACGAUAUAUUAGAGAUCUCCUUGAGUAUACUCACAGUCGAUAACUCCGCCUGACUUAUUCCUUGGUGCCCUAACGAUUCUUACUUGGUCCGUGCACCAACCUGGUAUUUUCAGUAGUACGGGCCCAAUACUACCGUCCAUACCGCAUCGGCAUUCAUCCCAAGUCCUCCUCCUUGAGCCCCAAAUCCCAAGUACUCUACUCUCUCUAUCAUGUGCUACUCACUAGCAAUCAUAAGCAUCUCACUGCUAUCCAAGUCACUCGUUAGCAUCCCUAGCAGCAAAACCCCUAGACUAAGGCAUCAUAUAUCAGGCCACUCUAGUCCUAAUAAGAAUACCUAGUCUAAUGUAGCAUGCAUAUCGUACUCAUCAUAUAGCAUAACAUAACAUUUCUGAUAAUUACUUAUCAUGAGGGUAUUCUGGGAAAUCACCGUUCGGGGGCUGGCUAAUCGUACACACGACUCUGCUCUAUCUUUUCAAAAUCUUUUACCCUUUCUUUUUGAAAAUAUUUCUCAAUCCCUCAGUUUGAGUUCAAAUACGCCCGAAGGUGUACUCAAAUCCCUCAAACCAAGGAUCUGAUACCAACUUGUAACACCGUAAAUUUCAAAAUAAUUUUUCGCAUAAUAUAAAAACAUAAUUCAUUUACUAUUUAUAAAAAAAUCAUUUGUUUCAAGUUCAGAUUCAUAGCACGUAAUAAUCCCAAGAUCUCAUAACAUAAAAUCCCAUGUGUGUACUGAUCAGACCGGCGUCUUCCCGCGAUCCUCACUGGUACCUGAAACAAUAACACCAAACACUAUAAGCACAAAGCUUAGUGAGUUUCGCAAAAUACCACAUAACACAUAUUAGCCACUCAAGGCUAUAACUCUUUGGGUCCGUGCACCCAAACUCUGUGAACCCUCUGGUUCUAACUCUGUGAACCUUCCGGUUCCAACUCUAGAAACAUGCACAACAUAAAUCACAUAGAAAUAAUGCAGUACAACACAUAACAUAUAAAUGGCAUACAUCACUGUAUCACAUAACUCUAGUUAUGUACUCAGGGUAAAGUAUAGUGAGAAGACUCACCUUGCGUAUCUCGAUAACUCGCAAAUCCCAGAAAUCACUCGCGCUCGAUCCUCCGAGCUAUAAUCCUCCUAUAACAUAAUAUAUCUCUAAUUAACACUUUCACAACUAAGGUUGACUAACCCUAUCAAGUCAACACUGGUCAACUCUGGUCAACGGUCAACGGUUAACUUUGACCGGACUCGGCGAGUGCACUAGAGCGACUCGGCGAGUCUAUAUGUGUUCACUCAGUCCCUUGGAUCCUCUCUUGACACGUCGAGUACUUCCUUAACUCGACGAGUUCUACCUGGCAUGAAUCGCGGGGCCACCACGACUCAGCUCGCCGAGUCUCAAGAACAACUCAGAGAGUUCCGGCUUGACUAAGCCCCCUAUUGACUCUCCCUGACUCACUGGGUCAUCCCCCAACCCGACGAGUCUACUCGCUGAACAAUUUACGUGAAACCCCAACCGUACUCGCCGAGUCUCAAGAACAACUCGGCGAGUUCAUGCCAUGCACAAACUCUAUUGACCUUCUGAGGUCCGAUCUGCUUUUCCAAACCAUAGAUCUGGCCUUCCCAAGCGUGAAUGUCACGUAAAGUUCGAAACUUGAUGCUUGUAUAACCCCCACAAGGCAUCAAAAGGAGAUUUGGUCCCAAAAAGACAACCUAGGUCCAAUAACCCCGUAAUAACCCAAAAAGCUCCAAGGGUUAAGGUCUCUGGACCUCUUUGAGUCCAGAUCCAAGGCACAAACUCGAAGAGGGACCAUUUACUUCACCUAAUCACUCUCCAAAAGGGUUAGAAAACCCUAACUCUAAAGAUCAACCCUAAAACUAAUGGAGGUUCGAACUAUUACCUCAAAAUGAAGCCUCUGGACUCUGGAUCUGCUAGAAUCUCACCUCCUCCUUGCACUUGCCACCUUCUUCUUGCUAAACAAGGAAUACAAAGGCCCAAAAGUGACUUCCUCUCUCCCAAAACAAAUUAGCUCUCUUAGGGUUCUCUCAAGGGGCUGGUAGCCGCAAUGGGAGGCUAUAAGUGCCCUCAACUAGGCUCCAAACCCGGGGAAUUAGGUUUUCAUUAAACAGCGUUGACUCGCCGAGUCCACUUUUGGACUCGCCGAGUCCAGACGCGAACCCGUGCCCAUAGCCGCGAUCAUACUCAGCGAGUUUGGGCUCCAACUCGCCGAGUCUCCUCACAAAUCACCAAAAAUAUAAGAAUGAAUAAUACCUGGGAAUCCGGGCUGUUACAUUUCAUAAAAUGAAGAGUCUUCAUUUUUAUGAACCAUUAAAGCUCAUAAGUUACAUAUUGAAGAGUCUUGAAAUAGUUUCAAAUCUUGCCCUCAAGUUUUGGAAAUUUUAAAGUCUUACACUUUAAUACUUUAAUUCCAAAUUAAACCUUCGAUUUCUAAAAGUUUAAAAAUCAACACUUAUACUAUUAUUAUAAUCUUGUUCAUAUAGAUAUGUAUAAGAAUAUGUCAGUCUUACCGUUAGAAGGCCUCAUUCAUGAAGCAGGUCUAUAAGGGGGGUAUAAGGUUACUGCCUAUAAAAUGGUGGUUUAACGGGUGUCCACUCUCACCCACCGCUUCCUUGACUGGUGGAGGGUCGUCAUCCGAACGGGUAGGAUAGGACUUUAACUCUCAUUAAAAGUAUAAUGAAUUAUAAAGUAACUAUACAUUAUUAAUUCCCAAUUUUAGUUACCUUAGGAAAAAUGUGAAAUAGGUGCUAGCCCAUAAAAUUACAGUUUUUACCUUACCAAGUCGUUAGUGGAGCGUGUGUGGUUAACCGACACACUAAAAAGAUCGGUGGAGCGUGUGUGGUUAACCAACACAUUGAUUAGGUAAUAUAGUUAAGGGUACCAAGUCAAUUUGUAUCAUUAUUCACACCUUGUUUGUGAUCCUCGGCAUCCCAGUCACAAACCUGAGAGGGCACAAUCAAGAUUCAAACAUGCCAUUGAAAAAGUUCAAUGUAUCUCAAAAAGAUCUAGGAGUUUCAAAUCUAACAAAACCUAAUAACAAAAUAUUUCGUUCUUAUGGUGGAAAUUGGUAAAUCGUCAUUUACCUACCUUCAAAUAUUUUAUAAUGUGCAUUACGGCAUCCCUCUUCCAACUAUAAAUAGUUUGUUGGAUCCUAGCCUUAAUAUUUCAUUCGGGUGACUUAUGAAGGACUCUUAAUCUAAUGAAACUUGUUUUUCUUUUCUUUCAAAUGUCUUCCAACAAUGCUGUUGGCUCAAACCCUACAAGCUCCUUUUCCCUAAUGAACUUGUGUGCGAAACUCACUUUUGAUGGAUCCAAGUUUAAUGAAUGGAUCAGAAACAUCAGAAUGAUUACCCGUUAUGAGGAGAAGGAGUAUGUCCUUGAUAAGGAGCUUAAGGUUGUGAAUGAAGCCACUGCUACUCCUGAAGACUUUGCGGAGUUUGUUGCACAUCAAAAGGAUGCUACUAAAGUAGCAUGCAUCAUGAUGGCCACCUUGACUCCCGAACUUCAAAAAUCCUAUGAAGAUUUCUACCCCUAUGAGAUGCACCAGGAUCUGAUGGAUAGGUACCAUAAGAGCGCGCGUCAGGAGACGUAUGAAAUCGUCUCCUCCAUGAUAAAAACCAGAAUGAAAGAUGGUGAACCCAUCACCGGUCACUUACAGAAAGUGCAAAGGCUCAUGGACCGGUUACUGAAGCUAAAUGUCGACUUCCCUGAGGACUUGGCGAUUGAUAUCAUUCUCCAUUCCUUACCUCCAAGUUAUGAUCAGUUUUGUAUGACUUAUAAUAUGAAAAAGGAGGAAGUCACACUUAGCAAAAUUCAAGGACUCUUAAGGACAGCUGAAAAUGGCCUUAUGGGUAAAGCGGUUGUUACUUCUACUUCUACUCCUUUAGUAGCCCAUGUUCUUGCAAUUGGGCAGGGAAAGGGUAAGAAGAGGAAAACCCAUUCGAAGGGUACCAAGGGUAAGCCCCUUGAUGGUUCCUCUUCAAGUGGGACAAAGAAAGGUCCCAUUACUCAUUCCUCAAACCCAAAGGAAGCACAAUGCUUCUAUUGCCAGGAAAAGGGGCAAUGGAAGCGAAGCUGCCCCAAAUACUUAUAAGAUGUAAAGGAUGGGAAAGUUAAACCCACCUAUGCAGGUAUUUAUACAAUAUUGUCUAAUAACUCUUCUAAUGCUAAUUCUUGGGUGCUUGAUACAGGUUGCGGUAUUCACAUUUGUACUGAUUUGUAGGGCCUAAGAAGAAGUGAGCAAGUGGAGCAUGGGAAGAUAAACAUAGUCAUGGGCAAUAGGAAACCAUCACCUGUCACCAAGAUAGGAGUUUAUUCUUUAUUGCUUAAUAAUGGGUUAAUGUUAGAUUUGAAUAAAUGUUGUUACUCGCCUGAAAUGGCAAGAAAUAUUAUUUCAUUUUAUGGCUUGUACAAACAACGUUUUACAUUUUCAUUUGAUAAUAAUAAUUGUGCUAUUAAUGUUAACUACAAUGACGUAUUUUACUUUAAAGCAUUACCUUGUAAUGGUGUAUUGUAGACAAUCUAGGAAAAAAUGUGUUGUAUAUUGAUUCUUCAAAUAGCUUGGAUAAAGCAUCCUUGUGGCAUUGUCUUCUUGGACAUGUCAACAAGAAGCGCGUAGGCCAACUCCGAAAAGCUGGAGUCUUGGAAUCAUUUCACUUAAGGUCGGAUGAUAGUUGCGAGUCUUGUUUACUUGGAAAAAUGACAAAGUCACCCUUCACAGGUACUUGUGAUAGGGGUAAAGGUUUGUUGGACCUUGUACACAUAGAUGUGUGUGGGCCCUUCAGAGUUGCUACAAGGGAUGCUAAUCAAUAUUAUGUGACUUACUGAUGAUUACAGCAGAUAUGGAUAUAUCUACUUAAUCAAGCAUAAGUUAGAAACCUUUGAAAAGUUCAAAGAGUUUAAGCAGGAAGUAGAGAAUCAAUUGGGCAGGAACAUCAAGAUGCUCCGAUCCGAUCGGGGUGGAGAGUAUCUUAGCAUUGAGUUCCUUGACUAUCUUAAGGAUUGUGGGAUUGUCUCAUAAUUGACAUUCCCAGAAAACCACAGCUGAAUGGUGUGGCUGAGAGGCGCAAUUGAACCUUGUUGGAUAUGGUUCGUUCCAUGAUGAGUCGAGCUUCGUUACCAAUCUCUUUCUGGGGGUAUGCCUUAGAGACUGCCGCCCAUAUCCUUAAUCUAGUCCCUACUAAAAAGGUUGCCAAAACACCUCACGAGAUGUGGAUUGGGAAAGUUCCCAAUUUAGACCACAUCAAGAUUUGGGGUUGUGAAGCUUUCGUGAGGCGUGAGAUUCAUGAUAAGCUUGAACCUCGAAGUGAGAGGUGUAUUUUCAUUGGCUACCCACAGAGAUCCUUUGGUUACCUCUUCUAAAGACACGGUGAUAAUGUGGUCUUUGUAGCAAGAAGAGGAGUCUUUCGUGAGAGAGAAUUUAUAAGCCAAGGGGACAGUGGGAAGCAAAUUAACCUUGAAGAGCUUUAAGAGUCAAGUGGUGAAGGAACAUCAAAUACUACCGACCAACUUGAGGAGGAAACUCCUGUUGAGCCGAUAGAUGGGUCUGUACCUCCGAGGCGUUCCACUAGGGUGAGGAACACACCUGAUUUUUAUUAUGGUUAUCACAUCACUACUGAAGGUGAUACAUUUAUCAGGGAUAGUAAACUGAUAGAUUUGGAUGAGCCUAAUAAUUACUGGGAAGCCAUGGCAGGCCCUGAGUCUGCUAAAUGGAAGGAGGCUAUGGACAGCAAGAUUGAGUCCAUGUAUGACAAUCAAGUUUGGAACUUGGUUGACAAUGUACCAGGUCGUAAGAUAGUUGGGUGCAAAUGGAUCUUCAAGAAGAAGACCGACAUGGAUGGAAAGGUACACACUUACAAAGCACAACUGGUUACGAAGGGCUUUACUCAAACUCCGGGAGUUGACUACGAUGAGACCUUCUCACCAGUAGUGAAGAUUAAGUCUAUUAGGCUUUUACUGGCCAUAACUGCAUUUCCUGAUUAUGAAAUAUGGUAAAUGGAUGUCAAAACCGCUUUCCUUAAUGGAAAGUUGGUUGAGGAUGUUUACAUGGCUCAGCCAGAGGGUUUUGUCGAUUCAAAAUAUCCUAAUAGAGUGUGUAAGGUUGAGAAAUCCAUUUAUGGAAAGCAAGAAUCUCGCAGAUGUAAUAUUUGCUUUGAUGAGAAAGUUAAAGAUUUUGGCUUUUCGAAGAGCGAGGAUAAGUCAUGUGUAUAUGUUAGGGCUAGUGGGAGCAUAGUUAGCUUUUUGGUGUUGUUAAUCAAGAAAGUAACCCUCUUAAACUGUGUCUACCGCAGUCUUGCUCCCAUCCGCAGUCAACAAAUUCAGCUACCGCACCCAUAGUCAUCAACUACAGUCUACGUUACUUUAUUAGAUUAGUCCAUUAUCUGUUAUUCUAAUGUAAUUCUCUUUUAUCCAUUGUGCCUUGCAUGGCAUCACUAGAACAGAUUGGACCGAUGUAAUCUAUGAGUCUCUAUAAAUAGAGCUCAUUCUUUCUCUUCAAAUAAUAGAUAACACUCUGCAGCUUGCAAUUUAUAUCUUGUGUUAUUUACUCUCAUGUCUUUCUCACCUUCAAAGUUCUGUUUAACAUAUCUCUUCGGAGCAAGUCAUUUGUGACUUAUUCACUAAGUUUGAUCUCAUAUACUAACUCAGUUUGAAUGCAUUCCUUGUUAAGAAUCAACUUAAGUGUUUACUUGAUAUACUACCUGCUGUCAUUUAUAUUUCCUUACAUUUCUGCACCUAACUCACUAAUCACCUAACUCUAACUUAUUAUUAUUGUCGAGCUUUUAGAUCCUUUGAGAUAAACUAUUAUUUCGCUAAUAUACUUGUUCUAGCAUUUGUUCAUGUGUGUCUGAAGUUUUUCUCUCAACAAUUGGUAUCAGCCAGCUUUGAAUCAUCCCACCAAAGACGAUCUCGAUAAAAUGGAAAGUGACGAUAUUGCCUUUUAUGAGAUUUCGUCUGGAGUUGCUCCUGACAACUUUGAUAUCAUCUUAAAUUACAAAUCAGCUAAAGAGAUAUGGUAUGUACUCAAGAAUCUGUAUGAAGGAACUGAACAAGCCCAAGACAAAAAGCUUACUAUUGCACUGAAUGAGUUAAACAACUUUAAAGCUAUUGCGGGUGAAAGCUUGGAAGAUUCAUUCAAAAGGUUUAAUCUGAUAGUGACCAAACUAUCAAAUACUGGUACUGUAAGAAGCAACCAUGAAAUAAAUCUUCAAUUCUUGAAUGGUUUGGGAAGACAUUGACAACAGCCAAAAUGAUCAUUCAAGGGGAUAGGAAAAUUCACCCGUUGUCCCUCUAUAAGCUGUAUGGAGAACUACAAGCCCAAGAGUCUAUGGUACUCAAGGACUGUUUGGAAUUCAGGGGUCCACUUGCCCUCGUAGCACAAUCACCUCACCCUCAAACAUAUCCUUCCUUGUAUGACUCUCCACCGCAGUCAUAUGAAACAUACUUAGAGUAUGAUGACGAAGAAGAGUUUCAGAAUGUCAUAGCCCUUGUCAGUCAGCAAUUCAAUCGAUUACCACCUCCUUCAUUCCGUAAAAACCAACAAUACAAGAAACCACCUUUCAACUGCAACUUCCGAAACAAUCAUUCUCGUUUCACUAAAAAUCUUAACCCUCCACCGUAGUCUCAGCAAACUCAAUCCAAAGACAUACCGAAGUCCAUCCAAACUACUGACUUCGGUACUACUUCAGAAGACAAAAGUGAUAUUGUGAUAUGUCACAAAUGCAAAAAAGGGAACCAUUUUGCCAAGGACUGCAAGGCAAACAUAGUGAAAGAUAGAGCCUUCUAUCUCAAAAUGGCUCAAGAACGGGAGGAAAAGGAAAAAGGGGAGAGCUUAUGUUGCACAAUUAAAAUGGAUCAUCAAGUGUGGUCAUCCGGAGAUGAAGAUGAGGACAACAACAGCAAAGGGAAAGGCAAGAUCUGUAUGGUAGCAACUACUGAUGAGGACGGCUCAACCAUCUAAAGAAGAAUUAUUGCUAUAUGGCAAAAGAUGGAACUAUCAGCAUUGUGGAACAGGUAAAGCUUAUGAUUCUAACUUUAAAUUAUUGUAUGCAUGACUGCCAGCCUUUCAUAGACACUCUUAAUGACACAUGUGCUGCCAUCCUUACAGACUACAAUAAAGCUUUAGAUGAGAAGAACAUUGCGUCCCAGGAGAUGUUUCACGUUAGAGGACGUUUGGACAACAAAAGACUCAAAAUGGCUAUGUUAGAAAAAGAUUAAUGUUAGAAAAUGAUGCUAGAAUGUUAAGUGAAACACAACUAGAAAUAGCUUUGAAUCAGAGAGAUUUAAUACAGCAUGAAAUUGUACGCUUAAAUCUUUUAAUUGAAAAGUUGUUUAAUGAAAGUGAAGCCAUUGAGAAUCUGGUCAAUAAUGGAAACAUUGAUAACACAUACAACUGGGGUUGGUCCAAUGGGUACCCUAACGCAACGAACUCCUCACCCCGGUUCACUCCUGAACGUCCCUAUAUCCCUCCGGAUCGUAACUUUUUGUUUCCGGUCAAUGACAAAACUUUUCCUGAGGAUAUCCAAGCUCGUUUUGGAAAACUUCAUGAUCUGAGUAACAACUGUAUUAUCUAGGAAAUUCUCCCUGAAUUUUCUAAUCUCGUAGAUAAUACAAUUCACUCCAAUUCUCAGACAUCGUCCGUGGUUGACGAGGAAAUAGUUGUGGAAAGUCAUGCAGUCUCAUUGGACUUUCCAUCUCUGCAGCCUGACUACAGUGUCCCUAACCACAGUCAUGAAUUACGAUUUGUUCUCUUACCUAUUAUCAAAUGUCCCUCUAAAGUACCCACUCAGACUUACUUUGCAGUAGUUCAAAAUACCGCACCACAGACUGUAGUUAAAAGUUCUAUGACCAUUAAACCAAUUAUCAUGCAUUGUGAAUCGAAAAUUUUGAAGUUGGUUAAUUCUCUCAAAACCCUGAAUUCUCCAGUUCGAAUGAAUCAAGUCCUCGCUUUCCAAAGUUACCAAAUGUUUCACAGAAACCGCAACUGAAUGUCAUUGACUGCGGUUCUCCUAAAACCGAAGCAAAAAAGGCUUUUAAAGAAGAAGUUCGUUCCCAUGGAAAACAACUGGACAUUCUUUUAAAACAAAAUAAAUUCGUCAAAAUUCCCACGUCAAGGAGUCCAGAAAAACUUUUUUUCUCAAAUUAUCAAUUCAAAACAUUUUUUUCCAAGAAAACAAAGAGAAAGGAGUUCACAGUUUCGAAAACUACUCAAAAAUCAUCUGACACAAUUCCUAAGAAAGAAAAGUAUUUUCAAUCAAAUGGUUUUCAGUUCUAUUCCUUACACAAUCCAAAAUGGAAGGGUAUUUUACCUACUCCAACCCUUCUAAAAUCACUUCCAAAAAUUCAUAAAUGGAAAGGAAUUCUUCAAAGCCCAGCACUCAAAAGGUCAUCUCAAGAGUUUAAGAAAUCAUUUCAAAAAAGGUCUACGUGUCUACUCACCUACAAAACCUACAAAAACGACCUUUUUACAUCACUCCAAAACAAGUGUCGGAUCGAGCAAUCCUCAGACCGGACAAAAGCAUACUUUAUCUCCAAGUACGCUGACCAAGCAAAAUGUCAGGGUAAACGAUAAAAAAUCAGGGUGCUAAUGUCAGUGUCAAAAGAUCCCUUCUCAUGAAAAAUCACAUUUUUCUCAAGAAUCUCGUAACUAUUCCCAAUCUUACAAAGGUCCAAAAAAUCUUAAACACCCAGGACUAGGCUUAGAAGUUGACCUAAAACCUAUCCCUGAAACCUCGAAUCAUGCAUUAAUUAACAAUUCCUAUGUUACCCCGAGCUCCAAACUCGCUUGGGUGCCCAAAUUAACCACUUAAUUUUGCAGGCCUUAUUCAAGGAGAAUUAAGAAGAAGAAUGGUUGAUCGACCGUGCCUGCUCCUUGCACAUGACCGGAAGGUUGGAAUACAUUCGGGACUUCAGGACAGUUUGCAAUGGGGGUAAUUGUUGGAAUAGUGUCUAAGGCUGUAACUAUAUUAGGCAAGUAUUUGAUCCGGUUGUGCAUGGUCCUUUUGGGUUGCCUUCACCAUAGCAACUUGAUAGGAUGAUUUAAUAAGAGAGAGUAAAUAUUAUUAAUAUAUUAUGGGAAUAAUAUAAUGAAUAAUAUAUUGUUAUUUGAUUAAUAUAAGUCAUAGAAUUAAUUAGAAUUAAUUUGGUUACUUAAAGAGAUUAAUUAAAUAAAGGGGUAUAAACUGUCAAUUGUUUGAUAGUUAAACUUUGGACUGUAAAUCCAUUUGGAUAUGGUAUGGACGAAUUCUAAGAGAUUUAGGAUAGCUAAAAUCGUCCAUAUGAUUAUCUUAGGAAUGGAUUUGGAUAGCCUUAAGAGAAGAUUAUCUGAUAGGGACUUAUCUGUAAUCCUUAAGGAGUCUACAAGUAUAAAUAGACCCUAUGGCAUGGGGAAUUCGACACUUGACCUAAAGUAAGGAACCUCUGGUCGAAUUCCUCCCCUCUCCUCUCUCCUAAAUCAUCUUCCUUGCUAUUGGUGUUUGUAAGCCAUUAGAGGAGUGACAUUUGUGACUCUAGAAGCUCCAAGACCUCAAGAUCAACAAGGAAUUCAAAGGUAUGGUUCUAGAUCUGUUUCAAUGUUGUUAUUUAACCUAAUUAGCCAUUAGAAGUCUUGGAUUCAAAGCAUGUUUAAUUAGAAAGCCUAGAUCCAAGCAUUAGGGUUUUGCAUGCGCACAUAGGAAAGUUCUUAUGGCUAAAACCCAUCAGUGGUAUCAGAUCCUAGCUUGGUUUUCUUUAAAUUGUUGCUUGAUUAACUGAAACAAACCUGCAAAUUUCGAUUUUAGGUUUCUGGGUCAUGGACUCGGCGACUUCCAAGGUGGACUCGGCGAGUAGGCCUGACUCGGCGAGUCCCCUUGUGCACUCGGCGAGUCCAGGCGUCAGGAAUGGCCAGAUUCGGGAUUUCUUUGUAAUUAUCUUAUCUAAACUUUCCAUAAACUAAUUAGAUCAAUGUUAAUUCGUUUUUCUGAUAAAUAUAACUGCAAUCUUGAUCUAAUUAAAGAUAUUUAUCAUAUAAUAAAAUAUUUGAUUUCCUUAUAUGAUAAUUAAUUAAUUAUUUUGAUUAUUUUGGUAAUUAUCUUAAAAGAAAUCUUGAAUAAAUCAAAUAUAGAUAAUUAGGAUAUUAAUUGUUAAUUGGAAUUAUUUGUUAUUUGAUCCUCCAUGUUUUAAAUGUUUAAAACUUGCCCUCAAGUUUUGAAAUUUAUAUUUAUGAUUAAAAGUUUUAAUUUAGACAACUUAAAUUUCAAACCCUAGAUUUUAAAAGGUUUAAAAUACAACCCUAUACUAAUAUGAUAUUACUAGAAUAAUAUAUAUAUGUAUAACUAAAUGCUAGUCUUACCGUUAGUAGGCCUCAUUCACGAAGCCGAUCUAUAAGGUGGGUAUAAGGUUGCGGCCUAUAAAAUGGCGCUUAAUGGGUGUACACUCACACCCACCGCUUGCUUGAUUGGUGGAGGGUCGUUAGCCGAACGGGUAGGAUAGGGCAACCUCAUCCUCUCAUUAAAAGUAUAAUAAGAAAUAUAAAGUAACUACACAUAUUUUAAAAAUUUCCCAAUCCUAGUUACUUUAGGAAAAGUGAAUUGAUGCAAUCCCAUGAAAUUACACUUUGCACCUUGCUAAGAUGUUAGUGGAGCGUGUGUGGUUUACCGGCACACUAAUUGGUUCUAAGCGAAGGUGGCAAAGGGUGAUUCAUUGUUUAUCAUAGUUCGAUGGAGCGUGUGUGGUUUACCGGCACAUCGAAUAGGUGAUCGUUACAAUGAAGGCACCAUGUGAAUUUGCAUGGUAAUUCACACCCGCUUUGUGAUCCUCGGCAUCCCAGUCACAAACAAGAGGGGCAUAUCGAGAUUUAAACAUGCCAUUGAAUAGUUUCAAUGAAUCUCAUCCGAACCUAGGAAUUCUCAAAAACACUUAGGACUAAUAGUUUAAGUUUUGUGAUGGAGAAUUAGUGAAUCGUCAUUCACUUACCUUCAAUUUAUUUGCAUGUUAGAUUACGGCAUCCCUUUUCUAGUAUGUAAAUGUUAUUGUUGGAUCCUAGCCCUAAUUUUCUUAUUGGGUGAUAAUUAGGGAUUCUUAUUCUAAUCUAUCUUUGUCCUUUUCUAAUUGUAGAUGUCGAACGCAAACAACGCUGCUGCUAGUUCUUUCACGUUGAUGAGCCUUUGCCAAAAGGUCACCUUCGAUGGAACGAACUUUAGCGAAUGGAUAAGAUACAUUCGCACCAUUGCUCGCUAUGAGGAUAAGGAGUAUGUCCUCGAUGAGAAGCUCGAGAAAAUCAACCCCGAAAUUGCUACUCCCGCCGAAAUCACCGCUUUUGAAACUCAUGAGCGAGAUGCAACGAAGGUACAUUGCAUCAUGAUCGCCACCAUGAACUCCGAAUUCCAAAAGUCCUACGAGGACAUGUACCCGUACGAGAUGCACCAAGACUUAUUGGAGAGGUACCACCAAAACGCGAGACAAGAGAGGUACGAGAUUUUCACUAACAUGAUUUCCGCGAAGAUGGGUCAUGGAGAAUCUCUUACCGUGCACUUGCAAAAGAUGCAAAGGUAUGUCGACCGCCUUCGCAAGUUAAAUGUUGACUUCGGUGAAGAUUUGGCGAUCGACAUGGUGCUUCACUCUUUGCCUCCGAUGUACAACCAAUUUAGGAUGACCUACCACAUGAACAAAGAAGAGGUCACCCUAAGCAAGCUCCAAGGUCUCUUGAGGGUUGCUGAGAGCAACUUCAAAGACAAGUCUGUUGCACCUACUCCCAAUCCGCCCGCUGCUCCUGUCUUGGCUAUUGGACAAGGGAAGGGAAAGAAGAGGAAAGCUUCAUCGAAGAACUAUCGCAAGGUGAAAGCCCGAGAUGGUGCCUCUUCUAGUGGGACCAAAGUUGAUCCCGCUAAGCCCUGCUCUAACCCGAAGGAGGCAGAGUGCCACCACUGCCACAAGAUAGGACAUUGGAAGAGAAGCUGCCCGGAUUACCUGCAAGCAAUCAAAGAAGGAAAGAUCAAGCCAUCUUUCGCAGGUAUAUAUACAAUCAAAUCUAACGAUUCUAAUCAUGCUAUUUCUUGGGUUCUUGAUACCGGUUGUGGUUAUCACAUUUGUUCUAAUGUGCAGGGACUAAGAAGAAGUAGGGAUGUGGAGCAAGGAAGGAUCAAUCUAAUCAUGGGGAACAGAAGAUCGUCGCCUGUGACCAAGAUUGGAGUGUAUUCCUUAGUGCUUAGGAAUAGUUUAGUUUUAGAUUUGAACAAUUGUUGCUAUUCGCCAGAAAUGGCAAGAAACAUCAUUUCAUUUCAUGGUUUAUAUAGACAAGGAUUUAGAUUUUCUUUUAAUAAUGAGAAUGGUUCUAUUUUGGCUUAUCUAAAUGGUGUCUUUUACUUUGAAGCUAUACCAUGUAAUGGAAUAUAUGAAACCGUUAUGAUUGUUGAUAACUUAGGAAAUGAUGUUUUGAAUAUUGAUUCUUCCACUAGUAUGGAUAAAGCAUCCUUGUGGCAUUGUCGUCUUGGACAUGUCAACAAGAAACGCAUAGCCCAACUCCAAAAGGAUGGAGUGUUGGAGUCAUUCGACCUUAGGGAAGAUGACACAUGCGAGUCUUGUUUGCUUGGAAAGAUGACUAAGUCACCCUUCACGAGUACAUGUGAAAGGGGCGAGGGUCUAUUGGACCUAAUACAUACCGAUGUAUGUGGACCGUUUAGAUCAACCACGAAGGAUGGGAACCGCUUCUAUGUGACUUUUACCGAUGACUAUAGUAGAUAUGGGUAUAUCUACUUAAUCAAGCAAAAGUCAGACACCUUUGAAAAGUUCAAAGAGUUCAAGAAUGAAGUGGAGAAUCAAUUGGGCAGGAAAAUCAAGAUGCUUCGAUCCGAUCGAGGAGGAGAGUACCUAAGUCUUGAAUUCCACGAUUAUCUCAAGGAGUGUGGAAUAGUUUCACAAUUGACGCCUCCUAGGACACCGCAGUUGAAUGGUGUGGCAGAAAGGCGUAAUCGAACCUUAUUGGAUAUGGUUCGCUCUAUGAUGAGUCGUGCUUCACUACCAAUCUCUUUUUGGGGGUAUGCCUUAGAGACUGCCGCCCAUAUCCUUAACCGAGUCCCUACUAAGAAGGUUGCCAAAACACCUCACGAGAUGUGGACAGGGAAAGCUCCCUCGUUGGCACAUAUCAAGGUUUGGGGUUGCGAGGCUUUCGUAAGACGAGAUACUCACGACAAGCUUGAACCUCGAAGUGAGCGAUGUAUUUUCAUCGGCUACCCGCAGACAUCCUUUGGAUAUCUCUUCUAUAGACCGAAGGACAAUGUUGUCUUCGUUGCGAGGAGAGGAGUUUUCCGAGAGCGAGAACUCAUAAGCCAAGGAGACAGUGGGAGGCAAAUCGAACUUGAAGAGAUUCAAGAGUCGAUAGAUGAAGGAACCUCUACCGCUGGCACUCAACCCGAGGAGGAAACUCCGGUUGAACCGAUUGACGAAUCCUUACCUCUUAGACGUUCCGAUAGAGUUAGAGUUCUUCCCCAGUUUUAUGGUUUUCAUAUUACUACCGAAGGGGACACGUAUAUUAGUGAUGGUACACUAGUAAAUCUUGAUGAACCUAAUAGCUAUAAGGAAGCCAUGGCAGGCCCGGAGUCUGCAAAAUGGAAAGAGGCAAUGGAUAGCGAGAUCCAAUCCAUGUAUGAUAACCAAGUUUGGAAUUUGGUUGAUUAUGUGCCCGGACGUAAGACCGUUGGGUGCAAAUGGAUCUUCAAGAAGAAGACCGACGUGGAUGGAAACGUACACACAUAUAAAGCGCGAUUGGUUGCGAAGGGCUUUACUCAAACUCCCGGAGUUGACUAUGAUGAGACCUUCUCACCAGUUGCGAAGAUUAAAUCUAUUAGAGUGAUGCUAGCAAUUGCCGCAUUUCAUGAUUAUGAGAUUUGGCAAAUGGAUGUCAAGACCGCUUUCCUUAACGGAAAGUUGGCUGAGGAUGUUUACAUGGCUCAGCCAGAGGGGUUUGUGGAUCCGAAGCAUCCGGAUAGAGUGUGUAAGCUUGAGAAGUCCAUUUAUGGACUUAAGCAAGCGUCUCGCAGAUGGAAUCUUUGCUUCGAUGAGAAAGUCAAAGAGUUUGGAUUUGUACGAAGCGAAGACGAAUCUUGUGUAUAUGUCAAAGCCAGUGGGAGUAUAGUAAGCUUCCUCGUUCUAUAUGUCGAUGACAUAUUACUCAUAGGAAACGACAUCCCGACUCUGCAGGAGGUUAAGUCCUGGCUCGGGAAGUGCUUCGCUAUGAAGGACCUCGGAGAGGCUUCUUACAUUUUGGGAAUAAGGAUAGUAAGAGAAAGAAGUAAGAGACUAAUUGGACUUAGUCAGAAUACUUACUUAGAGAAGGUACUAAAACGUUUUAGUAUGGAAAACUCAAAGAAGGGAGAACUACCGAUACAAAGUAAUGCCAAAUUGAGUAAGACUCAAAGUCCGAGUACCGAAGCUGAGAUAGCAGAAAUGAGCCGAGUACCAUACGCUUCCGCAGUUGGCUCAAUCAUGUACGCUAUGACUUGUACUCGCCCUGAUGUAGCCUUCGCUUUGAGCAUGGUUAGCAGAUAUCAAGGGAAUCCUGGCAAAGCACAUUGGAUUGCGGUGAAGAAUAUCCUUAAGUACCUUCGGAGGACGAAGGAAUGGUUCUUAGUCCUCGGAGGGAGUGAUGACUUGAAGGUGCGAGGGUAUAGUGACGCCAGUUUUCAGACCGACAGGGACAACUACCGUUCGCAGUCGGGCUGGGUCUUUACCCUAAAUGGAGGAGCAGUGACAUGGAAGAGUUCCAAGCAGGAAACCGUAGCUGAUUCAACGUGCGAAUCAGAGUACAUUGCAGCGAGCGAAGCGUCGAAGGAGGCAAUAUGGCUAAAGAACUUCAUCGGUGAUCUUGGAGUUGUACCUGCCAUAAAGGAGCCAAUGGAGAUUUUCUGUGAUAACGAAGGUGCGGUUGCCUUAACCAAGGAACCGAGGGAUCAUGGUAGAUCAAGACAUAUCGACAGAAAGUAUCACUUCAUUAGACAUCGUGUAGAAGAAGGACAACUCGUAGUGAAGAGGAUAUCAUCAGAAGAUAACCCAGCAGAUCCGCUUACGAAGGGACUGAGUAGGGUUAAGCACUUGCAGCAUGCUAGGAGUAUUGGGCUGAAGGAUGAUAUUAGCAUAGAUUAGAUAGUAUUAGAAACGUGUAAUAGAUAAAUGUAAUUAACAUUUGAUGAUUAAAUAAAGGAGUUUUAUUUAUGAGUAAUGUUACUAUCUUAUGUUAAUUGUUUAGCUAUUGUUUCACUUUGCAUGUUUUGACUUCCAGAAUAAUUGAGUUUAUUAGGAAUAAUCGAAUUGUUCAAAUGGUCCACAAUCGUUCAUAUGUUGGGAGUAGAUAUGAAUGAAGAUUGUCAUGAAUUGGUGUGUAGAAUGUCUAAAUGGUGUUAGACAUAGCAAAGGAUUGCUGCAACGUUCAUGAGUGCUUAUGAACUAGUUUUGAGCAUUGGAAUAAACCCGCGCUUGCUGGAAUCACCUUAUGGAAUACGAUAUAAAAGGUGAUCGCAAGACGAUAAUAUCAUAUAGUCUUAAAACCUAGAUAUAUGGUUUAUUAUUUGUUAAUUGAUUGUACAUUGAUAAUACGAAAACGCAUCAGUAACUUGGUGUUAUAAAACGUAUUGUUGUGUAUAGUUGGUAAAUGAAUAAGUAAAUGCAUAUAAGUCGAAGUUUAUCUGUAACUUUUAUCUAAGAAGGUAAAAGCGAUAUCUCGGCCGCUCGAUGAUUUGAUUUGACUUAUGUGCCGGGCCCGGUCAGAACUGAAUUGAUGUGUUCGAUUAAGUUCUAUGUCAAAUAAAUCAGAGAUCGAGAAACCUAAAUGCUUGACUAACCAUUCCAUAGGAUUGUCAGCAUGAUAUCUAACAGAGGACUGUACGAUCCCUUAUCUAAAGGACAAGAUUGAUUAGAUCAGAGUUUGACAGCGUCUUUGAGAGCUACGAUUGCAAACCGAAUUGUACUUGUAUAGUUACUAGACUUAUCCAAGUGGGAGACUGUUGGAAUAGUGUCUAAGGCUGUAACUAUAUUAGGCAAGUAUUUGAUCCGGUUGUGCAUGGUCCUUUUGAGUUGCCUUCACCAUAGCAACUUGAUAGGAUGAUUUAAUAAGAGAGAGUAAAUAUUAUUAAUAUAUUAUGGGAAUAAUAUAAUGAAUAAUAUAUUGUUAUUUGAUUAAUAUAAGUCAUAGAAUUAAUUAGAAUUAAUUUGGUGACUUAAAGAGAUUAAUUAAAUAAAGGGGUAUAAACUGUCAAUUGUUUGAUAGUUAAACUUUGGACUGUAAAUCCAUUUGGAUAUGGUAUGGACGAAUUCUAAGAGAUUUAGGAUAGCUAAAAUCAUCCAUAUUAUUAUCUUAGGAAUGGAUUUGGAUAGCCUUAAGAGAAGAUUAACUGAUAGGGACUUAUCUGUAAUCCUUAAGGAGUCUACAAGUAUCAAUAGACCCUAUGGCAUGGGGAAUUCGACACUUGACCUAAAGUAAGGAACCUCUGGUUGAAUUCCUCCCCUCUCCUCUCUCCUAAAUCAUCCUCCUUGCUAUUGGUGUUUGUAAGCCAUUAGAGGAGUGACAUUUGUGACUCUAGAAGCUCCAAGACAACAAGGUCAACAAGGAAUUCAAAGGUAUGAUUCUAGAUCUGUUUCAAUGUUGUUAUUUAGCCUAAAUAGUUAUUAGAAGCCUUGGAUUCAAAGCAUGUUUAAUUAGAAAGCCUAGAUCCGAGCAUUAGGGUUUUGCAUGUGCACGUAGGAAAGUUCUUAUGGCUAAAACCCAUCAGUAAUGUCACCUUUGGUAACAAUGCGAAUGAUAUUAUCCGAGGUUAUGGUGUUCUUACUACCGGGAAGUUUUCUAUACAAAAAGGUUGCUUAUGUGGAAUGUAUGAAACAUAAUCUCAUAAGUGUUGGCCAACUAUGUAAGCCAGGCCAUCAGGUUGAAUUUGAUGACCAAUUCUGCUACAUAAUGACAAAUGAUAGAAGCACUUGCCUAAUCAAAUCCAGAUGCGAAGGUACUAUGUACACUCCGGAUGUCUCUCUAAUCAUUGGCAAACCGUAGCUCUCUUUCUAUCAAAAGCAAUAUGUGAAGUAAGCUGGCUCUGGCAUCGCAAGCUUGCUCAUCUCAACUUUCAGUACAUCAACAACCUUGUUAAAGGGGAACUAGUCAGAGGUCUCCCCAUUCUGAAGUUUCACAAUGACACUCUCUUCCCAACAUGUAAGUGUGGCCAAUAGUCAAAGCCAAGUCAUCUAAUGGUGAUCGAAUCCUCAAUAUCCGAACCAUUGGAACUUCUUCAUAUUGAUCUCUACGGACCAUCUACUGUAGCCAGUCUUCAUCACAAGAAAUACAUACUGGUUAUACUGGAUGAGUACACACGUUUUACAUGGGUCUUCUUUCUUCGAAUCAAGUCAGAAACACCAUAGGUAUUCAUCAACUUCAUAAAGGAGAUCGAGCUUCAAAUCAAACUGCCAGUACGUCGUAUCCGUAGUGACAACAUAACAAAUUCACCAAUCAUCUUCUGAAUAAUUUCUUGGUGUCUAAGGGUAUAAGUCAUAAUUUCUUAGCUCCCUAUACCCCGCAAUAUAAUGGUUUUGUUGAAAGAAGAAAUAGAACUCUGGUGGAAGCAGCCAGAUCAACGCUCAACUUUGCUAAUCUUCCUUUAUAAUUCUAGGCCGAAGCAGUGGCCACAACUUAUUUUGUGUAGAACUGCAACAUAGUGUGCAAACGUCUCAGCAAAACACCAUAUGAAGGCCUCAACAAAAGAAAGCCAAAUGACCGCUUCUUACAUAUUUUUGGAUGAAGAUGCUUCAUGAUGAACAAACAAGAUCACCUCAACAAGUUCACACCUAAAUCUGAUGAAGGCAUCUUCCUAGGCUACUCUACCAAUAAGGUCGCAUAUCGGGUUCUGAUAAGACGUACGAGGUUAAUAAUCGAAAGCUUUAACAUGAAGUUUGACUAUUCCUAUGUCCGCAAUGCUGUUCCCUCCACUAAAACAAAAGCAAUUCUUGAAUCUGAUAUUCCGGAUUCUUCGGGUCCUCUAAACAUAGUCGAAGUAAACUAUGAUGAUCUUUUUGAUCUAGUAGAGACUACCAAAUUAUCUGAAGUUCUUAUCUCUCCGGAAGCUCAAAUGCAACAUGCUGACGUAUCUGGUCCUACCCCUUCAGAAGAUAUGUCCUUAGGUACUUCCACCCACCGAGUCAGAUCAUUGGCAACCCAUUGGCAGGUGUUCAAACUGGAUCUUCACAAGACUUAACUGAUCACUGCCACUAUGCGGCAUUCAUGUCUUCGGUCGAACCCCGAACAAUCAAAGAAGCAUUACUAGAGCUUGACUGGAUUGCAACAAUGCAAGAAGAGCAAGCAGAAUUUGAACGAAACAGUGUGUGGCAACUCGUGCCAAAACCGUAAGGUCACACCAUUGUUGGCACCAGAUGGGUGUAUACGAACAAGCUGGAUGAAUCCGGUGAUGUAGUCAGAAACAAGGCAAGGUUACUUGCCAAACGACAUGACUACGAUGAAACAUAUGCACCCAUAGCCAGAAUGGAAGCUAUACGCAUCUUUCUAGCGUAUGCAGCUCACAAAAACAUUAAAGGACAUCAGAUGGAUGUCAAGAGUGCUUUCUUCAAUGUCAAAUUGAAAGAGGAAGUGUACCUUCAGCAACCUCAAGGCUUUGAAUGUCUUGAACUCCCAGAUCAUUGCUAUAAGCUCAAGAAAGCAGUUGACGGUCUAAAGCAAGCUCCAAGGGCAUGGUAUGAGACUCUCUCUAAGUUUCUUGUCACGUCUGGCCAUAAGAGAGGAGUGUUUGAUCCCACUUUUUUUAGAAGAGCGAACGGUAAUCACCUUAUGCUCGUACAAAUAUAUGUGGAUGAUAUUAUCUUCGGAUCCACAGAUCAGAGGAUGGUGGAUGAUUUUGCUAAGCUCAUGACUAACAAAUUUCACAUGAGCAUGAAUAGAGACAUUAAAUUAUUUCUAGGACUUCAAAUUAAACAUAUUCCUCAAGGGAUCUUCAUCCAUCAAGAAAAAUACACCUCUGAGCUGCUAAAGAAAUACUCAAUGGAUAAUUGUUCCUCAGCCAAGGUCCCUAUGGUCUUUGGAUAUAAAAUCUCUGUUGAUCCUUCUGGGGAACCAGUAGAUCACAAAACUUAUCGAGGGAUAAUUGGCUCAUUGAUGUACCUCACUGCAAGUCGAACGGAUAUUGUCUUUGCAACUGGCGUAUCAGGCUGAUCCGAAAGUGUCUCACGUGACUGCAACUAAGCAAAUUUUGAGAUACUUGAAGGGGAGCAAAACUCUUGGUCUUUGGUAUCCCACAAGGAAUGAUUUCAGCCUACAAGCGUUUACUGAUGCAGAUCAUGCAUAUAUCGAUUAGAUCGCAAGAGUACUUCGGGUGGAUGUCAAUUUCUGGGUGGAUGACUUGUCAGCUGGUCUUCAAGAAAACAAAGGUAGGUGUCUCUAUCUACUGCAGAAGCUGAAUAUGUGGCCACAGCCAGCUGUUGCUCUCAAGUUUUAUGGAUGAAAACUCAACUCAUGGACUACGGAUAAAGAGUGCUGCGGAUACCGAUUUAUUGUGACUCUGAAAGUGCCAUAACAAUCUCUCACAAUCCGAUUCAUCACUCGAAGUCUAAGCACAUUGAACUACAGUAUCACUUCAUAAAAGACCACAUCUUGAAAGAUAACAUUGAGCUAAUUUUUUUCAACACUAACGGAGAAAUUGCUGAAGUCUUCACAAAAGCACUUGACUAUACAAAACUCAACAACUUCUUACAAAUGUUAGGAAUGAUGAAUCUGGAUCCACAAUUCUUCUUUAAUUGAUAGGCACCGCAGACCUCUCUUGGUCUCUGAUUACGGUCCUAGUUGAAAUAUAUGUAUAAUACAUGGUUUCAGUAUGUCUAUGGACUACAGUAUAUUCCUUAUACCACAGUCUAUCUCAUAUACCGCAACCAUAUAUGAUAUCUAUUUUUCAGUGAUCCUUAUUGUUUGUUAUUGCCGAUCUUUCUCAAAGUGUUUUCCCUUAGUUGAGAUAUCACAGUUGCUCAUCAUUCCAUCCACAAUGACGAAGUUCAACCUGCAAUCAGUUCACUAUCCGCAAUAGUUGCUAGAUCCGCAUGUUUAUUAACUGCAUUCUUAAAUAAAAAAAUAAAAAAUUUUCAUAAAUUGUUGAAACAAUGUGUGCUAUUUAAUGAUCCUUCAUUAAAUAAGAAAACAUUCUGAAAGAAAAACAUUCUUUUUGCAACACACCAGCGUCUCAAUCUUUACAUAAAUCUGUAUCUGAUCUAUUUUGGGUAUGAUGACAAAAGGAACAGUUUUCCAUAAAAGAAAUCUUUUUUCCUUAAACUGUCCCUUCCCACUACUCCAAACACGUCAAAUCCAUUUCAACUUCUGUUUUAUACGAUAGAUCGACCCCCUCACCACACGUUCUUCAGACGUGGGGAAAUAGGGUCUGACACAUCAUUUAAUGCUCCAUUUCUUUUUCAAAAAUAAAAAAAAUAAAAAAACAACAAAAUCUUUUUGUUAAAUCAUGAGUGGCUGGGAUUAAUAUCCUAAUUAAAACAAAAACACCCAAACAUUUUUAUCCUCUUUAAAUUACUGUUAGGAUAAAAUUAAUAAAUUUUCAAAUCUGCCACUAUAAAACCUUUUCUUUCUUCCCCAAGAAUGCUUUACGCUUUCUGAUUACUCUUAGACGAUCUUCUUGUUCUUCAUCUCCUUGCUUACAGUUUACAACAAGUUCGUCAAACCAUUUUUUCAAAAUGGUGAAGUCAAACGUUUCCAAGAAACAUUCCAAGGCAUGUGCCUCUGUUCAACCAACGGGUUCAAACUUUGAAACAAGAAAUCAAAUGCCGACCAUUGCCUCAAGCAAUUUUAGGGCAAUUUUUGAUGAACAACCGUUCUACAAUGGCUUGAUCAAGUUGAUGAUCAAGUUCCUAAAAAAUCACCCACUGUUUGGCCCCUUUUGACACCUUCACAGAUGUAGUGCCUCAGUCAACACUCUUCAAGUGUGCUUUCCCUGCCUACCGCCCUAUCAACAACCCUCAAGAAGUACAUUUGAAUCUGGUGAAUGACUCUCUUGUCAUUUUGAAUCAAGAAAAGUUUCUCAAGUCAAUCAAUCUAUUGGUUCAUCCUUCAACCAAGUUUAUCACUCCAAGCAUGACUGACAUCAUCUCUGCUCUCUACCAAAUGGGUUACCAAAAGAAGAUUAAGGGAAUCGGUGAGUUCAAGAAGAAUCAGUUGCCUACGGUUUGGCAAUUUGUUUGCCAAUUCGAGAUCCGCAGUCUAUCUGGAAGAACCGAAGGCACUGACAAUAUGAGUCUCAAGCUGUUGGAACUCGUACGGAACAUAUUCACUGGCAACAAUGUCAAUUUCAGUCAUAUUCUUUAGGAUGAUUUCCUGCAGUACAUUCCUAAAGAAAGCCCAAGAGAAAAUCCUACUGAGCUCAAUUUUGCAAGAUUCUGGUCCCUCUAUAUCUCGGAUCUUCAUGCGGAUGCAAAGCUGAGCAUGGGCAACGACAUCAACUUUUUCAUCACCAGAGAUCUCAAAAGGUACAAUCACUCCAAAGAUCAAUCUAUUUUUGGACCUAGUAGACAACUACCAGUCCACAUUUUGUCCACUCUUGGUCUUUCAACCAAGGAAGUAUCGGACCAUAUAGAGACUACAGAAGGUAUUGACCCAUAUCUUUCUACCGCGCCUCUACCUAGUCAACAUAUUCAUGCCACAACCACACCCAUUAAUCCUGGUAGUACCGCAACGACUUCUUCCACUGCUCUAUCAAACGUUUCUUUGUCUCAAAGACAUAAAAAGAUAGCUUCUGCUAACCAAGGCCCCCGCAACGUAACUAAGAAACGCAAUACACUAAAGAAGGAUGCUCCCAAGAACAACGACCCCUCCAGGAAAAGGAAUCUCAUACAGUUUUCUCUUUCUGAUGACAUAACCGAUCACUACCGAGCUCACUCUCCUUCCAUGGAACUCUUGCAUAACUCGGAUGACUCUGAUGAUGAUGACACUCCAAUUGCAAUACUCAAGAAACAGAAAACCCAACCUACUAACCAUAUAUGUGACCUGACUUAUACCACAACCUCUCAAAAGGUUCACGUAGUCAUUGGGGUUGCCGCAAACCCAAUAUGUACAAUCAUCGAAUACCACUCAGACACAGAAAGUGUGUCUGCUUCAUCUAAAAGUGGAAACUCACCCCCAGCUCACUCCCAAACGGAUGGAACUGGUUCACGCCUUAAGGUCUCUAGGGCUUCCUGAUUACAUAUUUUUUCUCCUAAGGAGUUGCACUCCAUUCUCCUUUCAGUCAACCAUACACUCCAAACACAUUCCCAAACGUAGGGCACCUCUUUCGUCCAUGCCAGAACUGAGCCGAGGCCAAACUUGACCACAGGUCUAGGAGACCAAGGAAGCUGAGGAAAUCCUACUCCGCUUAUACAUUUUUCAGGUGGUUUAAGCAUGGUGAGCACCAAUGUGCCAGGAUCCGUGAACCCGAGGGACACCACGGUGAGUUUUCAAGGAAUUGACGAAAUCGAUCUCAAUGAUUCAUGGAGUAAGUAUCAGCCAUCCAAUGAAGUUGAAGCAAGGAAAUAUGCCACUUUCUGUAGGGCAUUUCAAGAAAGAAAAGAACACCAAAACAAGCAACUGCAACAAAAAGAACACGAACUCCAAUCCGUAGCCAAGUACUGGGCAGACGAAAUCAACAAUGCCCACACAGUCGCUACUAUUCUCAAGGUUCAAAAUUGGAUGGAAGACAUGGCAACCAUGGUCUGCAACUCUCAACAUCAUCCUACCGGUGCAGGUCCUUCAAAACCCCCUACCACUCCAACUAUUCAAGACUCUCAAGACGGGGGUACCGCAAUUGAAGUCAGCUCUGCUCCUACCUUCGGAUUUGAUGAUGAUGACCUACAUGAGGUAAAUCAACCCAAUCCCUCUGAUGAUGAUCUAAUGAUGUUUGAUGAAGAAGAUGAAUCGAGUGGCUCUCAACACUCAACUUCAAAGCCCAAGGAGAAAAAGAAAAAGAAGAUGAUGGCCGUUUCCAGAAAAGAAUUCUUGAGUCUACAAUCUAGAGUAGAUCAAAUUCUGGCCGCAGUCAACCUCACUCAAACGCAAUCAGAAGAGUAUCCGGUACCGCAGUCAUUAAUCGAAAGAAUUGAAAGAUGGGAAACCCGUGAAAGACUGGCUGUGGAGCGCAUCUCUCUAAAGGUUGAAAUGGGACUACGAUCCAAGGAUGUGAAUUGAAAAGCUGAUCACCAGCAAUUCAUAUCUACUGCAGAGCACCUCAUCUUUGAGGAAUCCGAAAUCGAAGACAAAUUGCAAACUGCCAUUGCGGAUCAAUCCACACUCUCACAGAAACUGAUAGUUGAAACUCACACUGCUUAUGAGUCCACUAUUUCAGUCCUUCACUCCACCAUCAACAGACUUUAACGCUCCUUAGCAUCGAACUUCCAUGGUCCUGAAAUUUUACAACUCACAAAGGAGUUUCAACGACUACUUUUCAACUCUGAUAUACCAGACAAUCAACAACUGGCCGAUGCUCUUAAAGCUUAAUUUCAAGAAGUGUGUAACAAGUUCGAUGGUCUCAGACAAUGGCUUGAGGUGUCUCCGGCCCUGCACUCCACAAGAGGGGGAAGUGACGAGGACCAUCGAGAAGAAGCUCAUCAUGAAGGAGAUCAUCAAUCAAACAACAUUUCUCAUCAAGAAAGCCCUCCUAUCAUUACUGAGAAAAUUCCUUCAACACAUCCAUCUCCCCAGAAGAUUCCAAGCGAUCAGUCAUCACUGUAGUCACCACCACUGAAGCAAAUCUUUCCUUCACCUGAAAGACCAGUGACUCCCCCUCAUUUCAAAAAUUUGGCUGAGGAGAUGUCUCCUGAAAGCUCCACUGACUCCCCCGCAACCAAACAAAAGAAGGCGGAUUGGAGAGCAGCAAAAUUUGCCGACCAAAUCUGGAGAGAAUUUGGUUUUGACAACAGCAUGGAUGAAUCUUUUGUUAAUUCCUGGAUCAAUCCCCAUCACAGACUACUGGAUGAUGACUGCAAACCCUAUCUCACUUUUGCUGAACCUCCCUCAGAUGACUACUAGGAUGUUCCAAUCUCCACCAAUGCUAAAUACUUCACAGUAUUUGAGUCCUUUGACUGCAGUCUCCUUGCUCAUAAAAGACUGCCCAUGGAAUUCAAAAGGCUCAAUUGAUUCCAUGCCAAACAUGCUUUUUCGAUCGAGAAAAUUUGGUCGAACGAUAGACCAUCCGAAGUCAAAAACUUCAAACCCCGAAAAUUCAUGAAGGCCGACUUCAUUUAAUAUACUCUCACAAGAAGGAAUCGGGACUACGUCCACACCCAAGCUGAAUAUCCAUGUAUGAAUCCAGAAGAAGUCUUCCUGAUAGCAAAGGUGUUCCAAAACAAGAGUGAAAAGUAUCCUAAAAUGAAGAUAGCAUUGGAUAACGCAAGCACUUUUCUGAAGGAAACUCUUUAUGAUUUUGAAAAAAUUGAUGCAGAUGUCUAUCCUGUAAUUGCCAAGAAAUUCGUUCUACCUCCACUUGAUGCUGCACCAAUGCCUACCGAAGGUUUUAAGAAAGAUCUCUAGGUGCAACAAACUACCUUGAACUUGGAGUCAUUUUCAAAAGAAAAGUCGAUCAGAUCAAAUACUUCAUUCCAAUAAUCUCCAUGCAUCGACUAACAUGGAAGCAACUUGAAAUCUAUCUAACCGCAGCAGAAAAAUCAAAUCAUACAAUUGUCGAAGUAAAGUUCAAGAUUUUAUGGAGAAUCACCUGGGUUGAAAAUGUCAGAAAGUUUUGGUGGAUUCUCAUCAAGUUCCUUAAACUUGAUAAAUAAAGAAAAGUUGAAGAGGCCACUUAGGGGGAAAUUGUUGAAUCAAGAAAGUGACCCUCUUAAACAUUGUCUACCGCAGUCUUGCUCCCAUCCGCAGUCAACAAGUUCAGCUACCGCACCCACAAUCAUCAACCGCAGUCUACGUUACUUUAUUAGAUCAGCCCUUUCUCUGUUUUUCUAAUGUAGUUCUCUUUUAUCCAUUGUGCCUUGCAUGACAUCUCUCGAACAGAUUGGACUGAUGUAAUCUAUGAGUCUCUAUAAAUAGAGUUCAUUCUUUCUCUUCAAAUAACAGAUAACACUCAGCAUCUUGCAAUUUAUAUCUUGGGUUAUUUACUCUCAUCUCUUUCUCACCUUCAAAGUUCUGUUUAACAUCAUCUCUUUGGGGAAAGUCAUUCGUGACUUAUUCACUAAGUUUGAUCUCAUCUACUAACUCUAUUUGAAUGCAUUCCUUGUUAAGAAUCAACUUAAUUGUUUACUUGAUAUAAUACCUGCUGUCAUUUAUAUUUCCUUACAUUUCCGCACCUAACUCAGUAAUCACCUAACUGUAACUUAUUAUUAUUGUUGAGCUUUUAGAUCCUUUGAGAUAAAUUAUUAUUCCUCUACUAUACUUGUUCUAACGUUUGUUCAAGUGUGACUCAAGUUUCUUUCUCAACAGGUUUUGUAUGUGGAUGACAUACUACUCAUAGGAAAUGACAUCUCAACCCUGCAGGAGGUGAAGUAUUGGCUUAGGAAGUGUUUCGCUAUGAAAGACCUUGGAGAAGCUGCUUAUAUCCUAGGGAUAAGGAUAUUAAGAGAUUGGAGUAAGAGACUAAUUGGACUUAGUGAAAUUACCUACUUGGAUAAGGUGUUGAAGAGGUUUAGCAUGCAAUAUUCCAAGAAAGGGGAAUUACCUAUCAAGAGUAAUGCCAAGCUGAGUAAGACUCAGUGUCUGAGUAGAGAGGCUGAGAUAGCUGAGAUGAGUCAUAUACCAUAUGCUUCCGCUGUGGGAUCAAUCAUGUAUGCUAUGACUUGUACUCACCCUGAUGUGGCCUUUGCUUUGAGCAUGGAUCAGUAGUUAUGAAGGGAACCAUGGCAAGGCUCACUGGACUGCGGUAAAGAACAUUCUCAAGUAUUUGUAGAGGACUAAGGAUUGGGUCCUUAUCCUCGGUGGCAGUGAUAACUUGAGAGUGGAAGGAUAUAGCGAUGCUAGCUUUCUGACUGAUAGGGAUAAUUUCCACUCUCAUUCAGGCUGGGUCUUUAUCCUAAAUGGAGGGGCAAUUACUUGAAAAAUUCCAACCAGGAGACAGUAGCUGAUUCAACUUGUGAAUCAGAGUAUAUAGCAGCAAGCGAGGUAGCAAAGGAGGCAAUAUGGCUAAAGAACUUCAUCGGAGACCCUGGAGUUGUACCAGCUAUAAAGGAGCCAAUGAAACUUUUCUGUGACAGAAAAAGUGCGGUUGCUUUGGCUAAGGAACCAAGAGAUCACGGGAGAUCUAGGCACAUUGACAGAAAAUACCAUUUCAUCAGACAUCGAAUAGAAGGACUCCUUGUGGCAAAGAGGGUAUCAUCAGAUGAGAACCUAGUAGAUCCCCUCAUGAAGGGACUGAGUAGGGUUAAACAUUUGCAGCAUACUAGGCGCAUCGGGCUGAAGGAUGAUAUUAGUUUCAAUAAUUAGAUUUCUGAAACUUGUAAAAUGUAGUUGACAUUUGAUGAUUGAAUAAAAGUUUUUACAAGUUGAGGGUGCUUUUCCACCCAAGAAAGGCCCCAUGCAAUUCAAGGGCUUAUUUUAGGACCUUUUGAGCUUAAAGUCCCAUGCAAACACGUAAAGUUUGUAAAUUUGCGUGCUAGAACGGUCCUUGGAGCAUAGAUCUAUCCUUUGAUCAAGAGUUGUACAUCAGAAAUUGAAGAUCUAGUGAGAACACGAGAUAGACUCGGCGAGUCCGUCCUUGGACUCGGCGAGUCCAAGCUUGAGUCCCAAAUUCGUUGAGGGUCAAAAGGACCCAGUUGAGUGUGGAAAGGUUUUAGGGAGUCCCGGAAGUGACCCAACAUUCUGGACUAAGCCAUUGUUCUGGGUAUUCAUGGGACUCAGCGAGUGCAUGAGCAGACUCGGCGAGUCUAAGGCAAUCUUCUUAUGGAUGAAGAUGAACUCUAUGAGUUGUUCAUACAACACGGCGAGUCAAGGACAGGACCUUUUGAUCAGUUGAAGAUGAACUCGACAAGUUGUUCAUACAGCUCGGCGAGUCGGAUGAAGACUCAGUCGAUGUUCAUUUGGAAGGGAAACUCAUCAAGUCAUUGCCUAACUCGACGAGUAGAGACGCGUAUAAGGACAAAUGGAAGAAUACGGAGUCGCGAGUUGGCGAGCCAAAUCGGCGAGUCAGGUCAACUGGUAGUUGACUUUGACUUUGACUUGGUCAGGGACAAGAUGGUUAUUUCACCCUAAGAGCAGUUGGAAGUGUUUAAUUGUGUGUUUUGUGGGAAUUACAACUGGAGGUUUUCCGGAGCAGCAGCAGCAACAGACAGACAGUUCCCACGCAGAUCAGCAGCUACUACGAGGUGACUUACCUUCAAGUAGCAGUGGGUCUAUGGCCAUAAUGCCGGACCACCAGUAGGAGUUGUAUGAUAGAUGAUUGUCUUUAUGAUAUUCAUCUAGGUUUGCUACUACUUGAUAUGUUAUAUAUGAUAGUAGUAGAGUUCAGUUGGUAGGAUCGAAGGUUAGUCAGACACCCCAGAUACGUGUAACGCCUGUGUUUCUAGGCUAGGCAUUAAUUAUGACAUAAUGGUCUAGGUUAACCUUUGUAACUCAUUUAGAAGAAAUGAAAAGGAAUUAUGUGAAUUUUAUGUGAAUUAUGUGUUUUAUGCUUAAUUAUUAGGGUUUAAUUAAUUAAAAAUAAAAAUAAGCGUCAAAAUUAAAGUGUGAGAUAAGCCCGAUAUCUUUACAUAAAGUUGUAGUGGUCGAAACAAGGAUUUCGGGGAUAUAAAGAAUACCAAAUCCGAGUUAUAACGAAGAAGUUAUGACCUAUUGAAGUUUCGCGACAAAACCGACACGGUGCUGAAUGUCGUAAAAAGUGAGUUUUUGAUAAACUACUUUUUAGCCUUAGUAAUCUAAACGAAAGUCGUAGUAUUCGUUAAACCGAGAAGUUCGAUAGAAAGAACGCCCAAAUCUGACUUCGUAUGAGGAAGUUAUGAUUUUUCGAAGUUUCAGCGCAACAGUAGACAGCUAAGAACUCGAAUUUUAGAUCGAGCGGUUUUUAGCCGACACAACCUAAAUGAGAAUUGAAGGUCUCGUCAUUAGGAGCACAACGGUAAAAAGUCUGACGAAAACGGACGUCGGAUGAAGAAGUUAUGAAUUUUUAACGGAUUUCCUGUCCCGGUCUGUUAAAAAUAAUAAUAUAAAAUUUAAAGUCAAAAUUAGCCGACGAAGUCUAAACGGAAGUUGUAGAUCGUAAUUUUAGCUACGCGUGCAUAUAAAGAACGUCAAAAACGGAGCUCGUAUGCGAAAGUUAUGGAUUUUAGAAGUUUUGGCACGAAAACCGAGAAAUUUCGCAUAGUCACAAUUGCCACGUCACCCUCGCUUAGAAAGUGACACGUGUCCUGCUGAGUCACCUGGCUGCUGAGUCAUUAGGCUGCUGAGUCACCGAGGCUGCUGAGUCAUGCGAGCCACGUGUCCUCUUCUGAUUCGACCGAGGAGGAGGCCCAAUCCGAAGCAGCCAGCUCCCCAGCCGAAGCUUCGCCCAGCUGCCGCGUGUGUCCGAGCCUCGCAUAGCCUAGCUCCGAGCCUCGCAGGUGCGCCAGCAAGCCGCGGUCCACUUAGAAGCCGCCAGCGAGCCCUCGCAUGUGCGAGCCAGGUGCGAGCCAUGCGAGCCAUGUGCGAAGCCACCCCCUGCGAGCCGUCGGAUCUCCGAAGCGUGCCAUCUUCUCAGCCGUUGGAUCAAACUUCGGACCCUAUAAAUAGAAGGGUACCUGCGAGGGUUUCCGGUUACUUUUGGAAUUUUGCCACUUUUAGCCCCUUUCUCCAUAUUUUCUUCAUCUUAACAUCCCGCAAAGCCCCGGUAUCGAUUGUAAAGCCCGGAAUACCCCACGAAGUGCCCGAGAAGCCCGGAAAAUUUAUCUUUUCGGUUUCAAAGCCCGACCUUUCGCAGAGCCCGGUUUCUCAAUAAAACUCCCGGUUUUAUUAGAAACGAUCGUUUUAGGAAACGAAUUGCUGCCCGAUUUUCACCAAAAUAAGUGAGUGUGUAGUUACUUUCAAUUUACACAUAGAUAUGAAGUAUUUACCUUGAAAUACGUGUUAUGUGUAAAUAUAUUAAUUGUUUGACUGAGGUGACUGUUGAAUUGAUGUUUUAUACAAGUUUUAAACUGUAUAUGCUUUUUAUCUACAAAAUAUGUUGGGUAGAACAUGGGUAGAUGAAAUAGUGGGUAUGAUGAAAGGUGAGUUGGAUAAAGGAGAUGAUCAAUAAUAUUGAUCAUGAGUUGAGGGUGAGUGGUGAAAAUUUGAGAGAAUCACUUACCCAAAUUGUUGGCCCCCGUCAUUCAGCAGAGUAUGGAUGACAACCAUGGACUAUUCUAGACAGUCUAUGGAACACUAGCAGGCCCGCAACCUGUAGCUGUAAUGAACUAUAUGUUCAUUUGUUGUACUCUAAAACCCAUUGACAUGUAUUGCAGGAGAGAAAACCUGUAAAUAAUACUGUCGAUAUCUGAGAGCUAUGGACUUAGCACAUGUUGAAUAAACUUUGGCAGCUAUGGAACUAGUGCCCGUUGUAUAAACCCCGGUCACGAGGUGACUUUGUGUCUAUUCCUUAGGAUGAAUCCUUAGGAAGGAGUGAUAGUUGAUUCUUAGGGUAAACCCUUAAGAAAUAAAUAAAAUAAUGGGGUUUGGGGUAGUUAGGUUGAUUGAUUGAUGUAUAAACAUAAUAAAUUUAUGUAUUGUGGGUUGAAAACCCUAUAUGCUCACCAGGCUUCCAAGCCUGACCCACUCAGCUGUUUAUAUUACAGGUAGAGGACCCCGAGCAUAGUCGGAUGAUGAUGAUGAGUGAAUUUUGGAUUAUAGGCCAGUAGUUACAAAUAAUUGUCGUAAGGCUUAUAAUGUCUUGUUUAUGCUUUUGAUCUGUAUUGGAACAUGACAUCCCGAGGUUUUGAUAUAAAAGGAAAUGAUAUAUUUCUUAAAGAAAGGUUUUGACAAACUUUUAUCAUAUUUUGUUUUGGGGACCAACUCCGCAACAUCUUUUAUAAAGAUUUCUCUGAUUUGAUUUUUAAAAAGCAUAAAUUAAAUCGGUCUUUUCUGGCCGAGAAAUUUGGGGAUGUCACAGUUGGUAUCAGAGCAUUAGUUUAAGCGAACUAAGAAAUUGUAGAAUUUCUAGACUUGAACUUAGAAUGCUAAGUGAUGAUUGUGAGAUGAGUGUCUACCAUAUUUUAGACACGAGCACUAGUUUAUUUUAGGGAAGAUGCCUAAAAUGCCCUUAUGUGCUAAAUGUUUUGUGUUAUAGCUAUAAUGAUGCUAUUAUUUGUUCGGAUCUAUGGUCUGUUGCCGACCGGAUCUGGAAACCUUAUGUGUGUAGGAUUCUAAACGUAUGACUACGAUAUUGGAACUAACAUAUAAACGUUUCGAAGACUUAACAUCUAACAAAAAAGAAGAUCUAAAUUCACCUACGAUUGGUGUAUAGAUCGAAAUGCCGAGUACUCAAAGUGGGUUCGGAAGUGAUAAUCCACAGCCUGAGCCAAUCACGAUGACUGGAGUGCAGGAAAUGGUACGUACGAUGUUAGGUGAACAGAUGGAAGAAACAAAACGUUUACUUCAACAAAGUAAGGAUGAACUUAUUGUGCCAAAAGGUCAGACAUCUGUUCUUGAGGCAACUAUUAGGGCUGCUAAGUCUAUUGAGGAAAUGAUCAAUGACACAACCGCCAACAAAGUUGAAGUUGGCAAGAAGAGGAAAUUUGAGGGGUCUUCAAGGCCCAACAAGAGCAACAUAUCCUCAAAGUUUGGCAAAAGAAGAGAUAAAGGAAAAUGGUGCGGGAAGUGCAAAAAUAAACACUCUGGGAAUUGUGACGGGAAGGUGAAGUGCUUUAAGUGUGGAGAAAUAGGGCAUUACGCCAAUAAGUGUACGAUUCCCAAGGAGGUGUGCUACGGAUGUAAAGAAGAAGGCCAUAUUUCUAAGAAUUGUCAGAAGAACAAUGAAGUAACAAGGCCAAGUGCACCAUCAAUGCCAAAGGAAUUUCAGGAUAUCCUUGAAGAAGCGAUUAAUAACACUAGGAAGUAGAAGUCAAGACUUGAUACCCGAAGAUCAAGUUACGAAGUAGUAAUGUGAAUAGUAACAAGUAGUUUAGCCUAUGAGAGGCAUAGUAUAGGGUAAACUUGAACCUUUGUGUAAUCGUUUCAAGGAAAUAAAAUAAACCCUGGUUUUGUCGUCUGAUGAAUAGAAUGGCUGGUGUAAUUUUUGAAGUUGUCCCAAUCAUCUGAAAUUUCCAUCACCAACCAAGUUGAAGUAGAGUUGAUCAUUGAAGAUACGCGUGAAAGAAGUCCUAGUAGAGUCUAGGAAAAUUUUAUGAUUAAUUGGACACAUUUGUAUGUGUUAAAUUGUUUUGUGAUUUUAGGACUUGGGGACUGCGAGACAGUACUUGGGACGAGUAUGAGUAGGUGUGAAUAGUAGUAGAGAUCUAUACUACUGGAAGCACAGGACUCGCACUUGGAUCAGGGAAAGUCACAAGGUUACCAAGAAGCUAUUAUUUGAUUUCAUCUUGUUCUAGUCUGUCGUUACCAUCGUUUCGGUAAUGACUAAGAAGAUGAUUGUUAUUCCGAUCUAAGAGGUCAUAUUGAAUCGAGUCCGACUAAGAUGAGUAUGUUACGUGGUUCAGAGAACCAAGUUCGAUGUAGCAUUUGACUUAUGCCAGAAGAUUGAAGUAAAAGAUGAUUAAAGCGAUCAAUAGAAGUAUUGCACUCAUUGUUAAAGAAGUUGAUAUUUAGGAAUCAUACAUGUUGAACUGUGAUUGUAUCACAUUAGAACAUGAAGGAAGGUGUAGUUUGUUUUGGAAAUUGUCCCAAGGAGAUCUGAGUCUAAGUAGUGCAGUAUACAAUGAGAGAUCAUUAGAACAUGACCCAUCGGUCUGUUAUAAUAAAUGAAGGAAAGUACUUAUUCCAAGAAGAAGAAGGAGUCCUCAAUAAGGAAUUAUUUUGUAACUCGAAGGUUACGAUUGAAGGUCCUAUAAAGAUCUGAAGCUUUUUAGGAUUAGCUGGAUAUUAUUACUGAAUUAUCCAAGGCUUUUCUUCGAUCGCGACUCCAUUGACAGCUUUGACCCACAAAGGAGCUGUCUAUACUUGGAAUGAGAAGCAUAGGAAGCUUUGAGAAGUCAAAGAAGAAGUUGUGUGAAGCACCGAUUCUUUCGUUACCCAAAGGAGUUGAUGACUUCACAGUUUAUAGUGAUGCCUCUGGAGUUGGGUUAGGAUGUGUUCUGACCCAAAUGGAUAAGGUGAUAGCAUAUUCAUCGAGGCAAUUGAAAGAGCAUGAAAAGAACUACCCCACUCACGAUUUGGAGUUGGCAGCGGUAGUAUUCGCCCUAAAGAUAUGGAGGCAUUAUCUUUAUGGCACAAAGUGUAAACUUUUCACUGAUCAUAAGAGUCUUCAAUAUCUCUUUAAUCAGAAGGAAUUGAACAUGAGGCAACAAUGCUGGCCAGAGUUACUCAAGGAUUACGACUGCGAGAUACUUUACCACCCUGGUAAAGCAAAUGUGGUUGCUGAUGCUCUCAGUCGGAAGGUAAACCUUGAAAAGUAAAGGCCAAGAGCGUUGAGAAUUGAAGUUGUCUCGACAAUUGUGGAACGUAUAAAGAAAGCUCAAGAGGAAGCUUUAGAGAAAAAUGACCGAAAGGAAGCACGUUUGGGCAAAACGUUAGUAUUCGGUACAAACAACCAAGAGUUGAAGGUAUUCCAAGAUAGGAUUUGGGUACCUAAGACGGGCGGAGUAAGAGAUCUUCUGAUGGAAGAAGCUCACUGGACCAUGUACUUGAUUCAUCUCAGCAGUAGAAAAAUGUAUAGGGAUUUAAACCCCUAUUAUUAGUGGCCGACGAUGAAGCUCGAUGUUGCUAGGUAUGUGGCCGAGUGUGUAACUUGUGCUAGGGUUAAGGCACAACAUCAGGAGUCGUUUGGAAGUUUAGAACCUUUACCCGUACCCAUGGGUAAAUGGGAGGACGUCACCAUGGAUUUUGUGACUAAACUUCCCAGAACAAGGAACGGUCAGGACAUGAUUUGGGUAGUCGUUGAUCGCUUCACUAAGAGUGCGUAUUUCAUAGCAACCAUCGAGAAAUGGUCUAUGGAUAAACUCGUGAAUUCUUAUGUGAAGGAAGUGUGAGGCUUCACGGUGUUUUGUUAACGAUUGUAUCCGAUCGUGACAACCGUUUUACCUCAAUGUUUUGGAGGAGUCUAUAAGAGGAAAAGCAGUUUAUGGGACUUGAAAUAGUCCAUUAGAUUGCUGAAAAGUUGUAAGUGAUUAGGAAAAAGAUGUUAGCUGCUCAAAAGAGCUAUGCUGACAAGAAAAGACAACCGAUAUCAUUCGAAGUUGGAGAUUCGGUUUCACUUAAAGUCUCGUCGUGGAAGGGACUUAUAAGAUUUGGUAGAAGGGGAAAGUUGAGUCCAAGGUUUAUUGGACCAUUUAAAGUUCUUCAGAGAAUCCGGAAUCAAGCUUACAAGCUAGAGUUACCGGAAGAACUAGAGGGUAUUCAUAACACCUUUCAUGUGUGUUAUUUGAGAAAGUUCACGGGAGGUGUGCCCGACAUAAUUCCCAUUUCUGAGUUAAGGUUGGACAAGAACAAGAGAUUAAUUGGAGAACUUGAGGCAAUCGUUAACCGUAAGACUAAGAAGUUGUAACAUAAGAUAGUCGAUUUAGUGCCUGUACGUUGGAAACUUAUAAAUGGGCCAAAUCCCACCUGGGAAACGGAGAGUGACAUAGUGAGUCGCUACCCGUAGUUGUUUGUCGUUGUGUGAUUCCGGGGACGGAAUCAUCCUAAGGGGGAGAGAGUUGUAACGCCCGUGUUUCUAGGCUAGGCAUUAAUAUUGACAUAAUGGUCUAGGUUAACCUUUGUAACUCAUUUAGAAGAAAUGAAAAGGAAUUAUGUGAAUUUUAUGUGAAUUAUGUGUUUUAUGCUUAAUUAUUAGGGUUUAAUUAAUUAAAAAUAAAAAUAAGCGUCAAAAUUAAAGUGUGAGAUAAGCCCGAUAUCUUUACAUAAAGUUGUAGUGGUCGAAACAAGGAUUUCGGGGAUAUAAAGAAUACCAAAAUCCGAGUUAUAACGAAGAAGUUAUGACCUAUUGAAGUUUCGCGACAAAACCGGCACGGUGCUGAAUGUCGUAAAAAGUGAGUUUUUGAUAAACUACUUUUUAGCCUUAGUAAUCUAAACGAAAGUCGUAGUAUUCGUUAAACCGAGAAGUUCGAUAAAAAGAACGCCCAAAUCUGACUUCGUAUGAGGAAGUUAUGAUUUUUCGAAGUUUCAGCGUAGCAGUAGACAGCUAAAAACUCGAAUUUUAGAUCGAGCGGUUUUUAGCCGACACAACCUAAACGAGAAUUGAAGGUCUCGUCAUUAGGAGCACAACGGUAAAAAGUCUGACGAAAACGGACGUCGGAUGAAGAAGUUAUGAAUUUUUAACGGAUUUCCUGUCCCGGUCUGUUAAAAAUAAUAAUAUAAAAUUUAAAGUCAAAAUUAGCCGACGAAGUCUAAACGGAAGUUGUAGAUCGUAAUUUUAGCUACGCGUGCAUAUAAAGAACGUCAAAAACGGAGCUCGUAUGCGAAAGUUAUGGAUUUUAGAAGUUUUGGCGCGAAAACCGAGAAAUUUCGCAUAGUCACACUUUGCCACGUCACCCUCGCCUCGCAUGUGACACGUGUCCUGCUGAGUCACCGAAGCUGCUGAGUCACCAGGCUGCUGAGUCACGAAGCCACCUGGCGAGGCGUGUCAUGUCCUUCCGAGUCCGAGCUGCGGUCCAAUCCGCUGACUACACGUAGAAGCCUCGGUGGCGAGCCUCGCAUCCGACGCGUGUGUAGUGACUCAUGAGUCCGAACCCUCGCAGGCGCCACGAACCCCCUACUUCGGACCCUAGACCUCGGUCCAAUCACAAGCCGCCAGAGAGCCCUUCGCACGCGCAGCCCUCAUGCGAGCCUCCCCCUCUGCGAGCCUUCUCAGCCGUCGGAUCAGAAGACUCCUGACCGUCCGAUCAGAAGCUUCCCCCUAUAAAUAGGAGGGUGCGAGACCUCCCGGGUAUUUUUGGAAUUUUGCCAUAUUUAGCCCCUAAACCCAUAUUUUCUUCAUAUUAACAUCCCGCAAAGCCCCGGUAUCGAUUGUAAAGCCCGGAAUACCCCACGAAGUGCCCGAGAAGCCCGGAAAAUUUAUCUUUUCGGUUUCGAAGCCCGACUUUUGCAGAGCCCGGUUUCUCAAUAAAACUCCCGGUUUUAUUAGAAACGAUCGUUUUAGGAAACGAAUUGCUGCCCGAUUUUCACCAAAAUAAGUGAGUGUGUAGUUACUUUCAAUUUACACAUAGAUAUGAAGUAUUUACCUUGAAAUACGUGUUAUGUGUAAAUAUAUUAAUUGUUUGACUGAGGUGACUGUUGAAUUGAUGUUUUACACAAGUUUUAAACUGUAUAUGCUUUUUAUCUACAAAAUAUGUUGGGUAGAACAUGGGUAGAUGAAAUAGUGGGUAUGAUGAAAGGUGAGUUGGAUAAAGGAGAUGAUCAAUAAUAUUGAUCAUGAGUUGAGGGUGAGUGGUGAAAAUUUGAGAGAAUCACUUACCCAAAUUGUUGGCCCCCGUCAUUCAGCAGAGUAUGGAUGACAACCAUGGACUAUUCUAGACAGUCUAUGGAACACUAGCAGGCCCGCAACCUGUAGCUGUAAUGAACUAUAUGUUCAUUUGUUGUACUCUAAAACCCAUUGACAUGUAUUGCAGGAGAGAAGACCUGUAAAUAAUAAUGUCGAUAAAUGAGAGCAAUGGACUUAGCACAUGUUGAAUAAACUUUGGCAGCUAUGGAAUUAGUGCCCGUUGUAUAAACCCCGGUCACGAGGUGACUUUGUGUCUAUUCCUUAGGAUGAAUCCUUAGGAAGGAGUGAUAGUUGAUUCUUAGGGUAAACCCUUAAGAAAUAAAUAAAAUAAUGGGGUUUGGGGUAGUUAGGUUGAUUGAUUGAUGUAUAAACAUAAUAAAUUUAUGUAUUGUGGGUUGAAAACCCUAUAUGCUCACCAGGCUUCCAAGCCUGACCCACUCAGCUUUUUAUGAUCACAGGUAGUGGACCCCUAGCAUAGUCGGAUGAUGAUGAUGAGUGAUUUUGGAUUAUAGGCCAUUAGUUAUAAAUAACUGUUGUAAGGCUUAUAAUGUCGUGUUUAUGCUUUUGAUCUGUAUCGGAACAUGACAUCCCGAGGUUUUGUUAUGAAAUAAAAAUAUAUAUUUCUUAAAGCAAGGUUUUGAUAAAUUUUUAUCAUGUUUGACUUUGGGAACAAAUUCCGCAACACUUUUAAUGAAAUGAUUACUCUGAUUUUAUUUUAAAAAGCAUAAACGAAAUCGGUCUUUUCUGGCCGUGAAAUUGGGGAUGUCACAAUACGUCUGACCGAAUGUGAUGUUAUGUGCAUAUGCAAGCAGGAUAUGUUAUAUGUGUUAGAGGUAGUAGGAGGGGAACAGUCCCUUAGUUCGGUUGUUAGGACUGAUGGGUAGUUCAGACACCCCAUAUAUGUUUGAUAAUCUGUAUACUAUGAUAUGUGAUAGUAGUAGUAGUAGGGGUGGAAUAGUCCCCAAGGUACGGUUGUUAGGACCGAAGGGUAGUCAUCACCCCAGAACAGCUUGACAUGGGUCAGUCAGCACCCUAGAAUGGCUUGACUCGGGUAGGACGACACCCCAGAAUGGCCGCAUGGGUAGCUCAGCACCCCAGAAUGGUCGUACCGGGUAGGUUGGGCAACCCAAAAUUGCCUGGCAGUAUGUAUGAUAUAUGAAUGUAUGGUAUGUGGUAUGAUGGGGGAACUCACUAAGCUUCGUGCUUACAGUUUUCAGUUUGGUUUCAGGUACCUCUUCAGCGAAGGGGAAGGAGUUGUCGCUGUAGCGGCACAUCAUACACACACCUUAUUUUCCGCACUAUGAGUUCAUUCUGCGAUUUGUACUCUGACAUUAUAGUUAAUUUUAUGUUUUGGUUUUUAGACACAAAAUAUGUUUUUUUGAAAUGAUAUGAUUCACUCGAUGUUUACUUACAAAUGUUUUGUGAAAUAUUUAAUUAAAAAUGAAAUUUUGGUCGUGAAAAUUGGGUUGUUACAAGUUGGUAUCAGAGCCCUGGUUUGUGGGAUUCGGACACACCUUUGGGGGUAUCUGGACUCAAAUCUAGGGAAUUAAAAGAUUUCGAGAAAGAAAAAGUUUUCUAAAAGUUAAGUGAAGAAUUUUAAGAAAGAAAGAGGUGUGUGAUGUGCGCGACCGGCCAAGCUCAAGUAAGUAUUCCCCAAAGUACACAUACAAGUUUAUGCUAUGUUAUCAGUUUCAGUAAAACAGCGUGCUAGAAUAGGACUUAGGAUCUAGGAAUGAUGCCUUAUGUGCCUGCUUUAUGUGCUUCAACUUUUGUGAAUUGCAUGCUAGUAUUGAGUAGAUAGCAGUAGGAUAGCCUGUUUAGGUUAUGCCUGAUAGUAUGAGCUUAGCAUUGCAUGCUAGUGCAGUUUCUCAUUGUGAGAACAGAUCCUCUUGAGUAGUUUUCCUGCAUCCGAAUGCUGCUUGCUUUGUGGUUUGUAGGACUCUGAGUGAUGGGAGUUAGCCAUUAGGUGAAUACGUCAUGUCACAUGUGGCCAGGGUUGAAUAAUCUCAGAGUGCUGGAUUUGACCCUAUUGCGCAGCUCUCGUUUGAGUCUAACCGUUGUGGGUACGAGUCUUUUACUCGAAGGAUUAUCUGAGCCUCACUCCAUGUGAUGGUAUUCAGGUAAUGACUAAUUGGCAUUACGAGGAGGCCUUCAGCAGCUGAGGACCGGAAUGGGUGGAGUCGGAGAUUUUCCCUAGGGUGAGCCUAGGAUGAGAGUAGCAGAGAUCAAUAGUGGUAAAAGGGAUCCGGUGGAGUCAAGGCAGUCCUUGAGGAAGGUACGGAUAGAUGUGGAAGGUAGUAUAGGCCCGUACUACUGAAAGAAGAGGAUCCGUACCCGAAUUAAGGAGCGCCAAGACAAGACCAGGGAACUUGUAGUGGGUGUGAUCCCUCAAAAGGUAUCAGUAUCACUAACGGUUGUUGUUAUGUAUUGCGGAAUGGUGGUACUACGUCCUAGGCUACAGAUGGCAGUUCAGGAGAGGGAACGGGUUCGGGAUUAGGUUCCGAGCCAGCAGAUAAGGGGCUACGCGAGUUCAUCGCGUCAGAGAUCACCAGAGGUAUCCAUGAGUCGACCCCCAUCAUCUUUGGGUUAAUCAAGGAAAGGAUAGUUGAGCUGAUGGAUGAGUGCCUCGGGGCAUUCAAGAGAGACAUGGCAUCAGCCCAGUCAGGGUCUCGCAAACUAUCCUUUAUGGACUUCAGGGGCAGUGGUGCACCGGAUUUCCAUGGGGUGAAGGACCCCAUUGCUGCCAGACACUGGAUUACGGACAUUAAGUCUGCAUAGUUGACUAGCUUCUGCCCCGAGGGGUCGAAGGUGCGAUUUGUCGAAGGGUGUCUGAGACACAGAGCUAGAGACUGGUGGGAGUCUGUUGGUGACUCGUUGGGAGCCUCGACUGUUGAGGCUAUGACAUGGCCGGACUUUGUGACCUAGUUUCGAGCGGAGUUCGCACUUGCGGUAGAGCUCUAGCAGUUAGCUAGAGGGUUUCUGGAUAUGAGACAGACGACGGAGACUGUGGCGGAGAUUACCACCAAGUUUUAGGAGAGGGCGUUACUGGUGCCCCAGUAUGCGGGUGAUGAGGAUACGAGGAGGACCCGCUACCACGACAUGCUUCAAGCCGAUAUUCGAGUGCAUGCCAGCUUUUCAGCUUGUCCUACCUUGGACUCUAUGAUUGCUAGGGCGAGGGAGAGGGAGAUAGAUCUGGAGCACAUCUGGAAGAGGAAGACAGAGGAGGGACAGACAGGGGGGGGCUUCAGGGAAGAAGCCCAAGGGAUCAGAUGGUAGGCCGAAAGGCCAGUCAGGACUGGGCCGCGGCAAGAAAUGUGGCAGGCCACAUGAGGGGGCAUGUAGAAUGGGAUCAUCGGGCUGCUAUAAGUGCGGACAGACGGGGCACUUCAGCAGGGAUUGUACCGCCCCUGCACUUGUGAUACAGACGUCUCAGUUGCUGUGUUUCCACUGCAACCAGAGGGGCCACAAGAAGGACAAUUGCCCCCAGUUGACAGCAGCGGCGCUAGCUCAAGCGACCCUGCAGAUUGCUGAUGGCCGGCAUGGCAAGGCAUAGGCUCCAGCGGUGAGGAGUUGGGCAUUUUAGCUGACUACCAAGGAGGCACGCGCCGCACCCGAUGUGUUGAUGGGUAUGAUUGUCUCCUUUUGAUUUAUUUAUAUUAUGUUAUGAUAUUGAUAUGUGCUCUGUGUAUAUGUAUUUAGGAUCGUUCCAUGUGAACGGUAUCCCAGUGCAGGUGUUGUUUGACUCGGGUGCCACCCGAUCAUUUGUUUCUCUUGCGCUUAGCAAGAAGUUCACUGAGUCUUCGAGCUUGUUGGAUUGCCCUUUAGAGGUAGACAUUGCCGAUUAUCAAUCAGUGCGAGCAUCCGUAGUGUUCAGAGAUUGCAUUCUGAGGUUAAUUGAGGAGUAGUAUUUGGUAGACUUGGUUCCCAUUCUGUUGCGUGGGAACAAGGUGAUUAUAGUCAUGGAUUGGUUAAGCCCUAAUGGGGCGGUUGUAAAUUGCGCACAGCAGCUGGUGCGGAUCAAGACCCCAAGUGGGGGAGAGUUGGUGAUUCAGGGCGAGAGGCUACAGCGUGGUCCCACCGUAUGUUCAGCAGCGAAAGCUAGGUGCUACCUUCAUCAGGAUUGCACGGGAUAUGUCGCGUAUGUUAUGGAUACUCGGGAGGCAGGUUAGGCGAUGGCGAGCGAGGUUCUGGUGGUGCGAUAGUACGCAGAUGUGUUCCUAGAGGAGCUUAUGAGAUACCUCCGGACGACAGUUGCAGGAGUUGUCUACACAGUUGCUGGAUUUGUUAGACAAGGGAUUCAUUAAACCGAGCAGUUUACCCUGGGGAGCCCCGGUUCUGUUUGCGAAGAAGAAGGAUGGGUCGCAUCGGAUGUGUAAAGAUUAUCGGGAGCCGAACAAGGUAAUGGUGAAGAACCGUUACCCACUCCCGAGGAUUGAUGACCUCUUUGACCAGUUACAGGGAGCAUCUUGGUUCUCCAAGAUCGAUUUGCAUUCGUGUUACCAUCAAAUAAGGGUUAGAGUGGAGGAUGUGCAGAAGACCACGUUUCGGACGCGCUAUGGCCAAUACGAGUUUGUGGUGAUGCCCUUCGGGCUCACCAAUGAUCCUGUCGCGUUCAUGGACCUCAUGAACCGCGUGUGUAGACCGAUGUUAAACCGGUCGGUGAUAGUGUUUAUUGAUGACAUCUUGGUUUAUUCCAAGACACAGGAGGAGCACGAGAAGCAUCUGCGAGAGGUUCUGGAGACUUUGAGGAGGGAGAACUUGUACGCUAAGUUCUCCAAGUGUGAGUUAUGGUUGCGUGAGGUGCCGUUCGUUGGGCAUCUCGUCAACCAGGACGGGAUCUCAGUAGAGCCGGCCAAAGUGGAGGACGUGAUGACAUGGGAGGUUCCAAAGUCUCCAUCUGAGAUUUGGAGUUUCCUAGAAUUAGCGGGCUACUAUCGGAGAUUCAUUCAGGAUUUCUCCAAGAUAGUCGUACCCCUGACACGGCUGACUAAGAAAGUCGUGUUCUUUAGAUGGGGGCCUGAGCAGUAGGCAGCAUUUGGGAUUCUGAGACAGAGAUUGUGUGAGGCGUCAAUCUUAGCCCUUCUAGAGGGCGUAGAAGAUUUUGUGGCAUACUGUGACGCGUCCAUUUUAGGUUUGGGCGCGGUACUGAUGCAGAGAGGGCAUGUCAUUGCUUACGCUUUGAGGCAGCUGAAUCGUCACGAGCAGAACUACCCGACGCACGAUUUAGAGUUGGGGGCGGUGGUCUUCGCCCUCAAGAUUUGGUGACAUUACCUCUAUGGAGUUUGGUGUACCAUUUACACGGACCACAAGAGUUUGAGGUACCUCAUGGAUCAGCUGAAUCUGAACAUGAGGCAGCAUCGGUGGAUGGAUGUGGUAAAGGAUUAUGAUUGCGAGAUUCUUUAUAACCCAGGGAAGGCCAAUGUGGUGGCCGAUGCGCUUAGCCGCAAGGCAGGGCCGAUCAGAGACAUGUGUAUGAGGAUGACGGUGGUGACUCUGCUGUUAGAGCGGAUUCAGGAGGCUCAACAGGAGGCUAUAAAGGAGGAACAUCGGANAUCCCGGGGCGACAAAGAUGUAUAGAGAUCUUCGUCCAGACUAUUGGUGGCCCUGCAUGAAGCAGGAUGUAGCUUGGUACGUUGAGCGGUGCUUGACCUGCAGGAAGGUAAAGGCCGAGAAUCAGAGACCACACAACAAGAUACAGCCGUUCGAUAUUCCGCUAUGGAAAUAGGAAGACAUCACGAUGGAUUUUAUCACCAAGAUUCCCAGGACUGCGCGGGGAGUGGAUUCUAUAUGGGUUAUCGUAGAUCGGUUGAACAAGAACGCCCACUUCAUACCGAUCCAGGAGAGUAUCUCGGCAGAGAAGUUGGCCGAUAUCUACAUUCGAGAGGUGGUGGUGCGACACAGAGUGCCAGACUCCAUGACUUUCAGACAGGGAUGUACGGUUUACUUCCAGGUUUUGGAAGAAGUUCCAUGACGAGCUGGGCACUCGUUUGCAUUUCAGCACUGCUUUUCACCAGCAUACAGAUGGUCAGAGUGAGCGGACCAUCUAGACCCUGGAGGAUAUGCUACAUGCAUGCGUGCUAGACUUCGGUGGUAGUUGGGAUACUUAUCUCCCUUUGGUUGAGUUCUCAUACAACAACAACUACCACGUGAGUAUUGACCGUCCUCCCUUCGAGAUGUUGUAUGCGAGGAGCUGCAAGACCUCGAUAUGCUGGGGUGAAGUUGGCCAGAGGGUCAUGGGGAGCGCCGAAGUGGUGCUCAAGACGACCGAGAGGAUUCAGUAGGUUCGGAGCAGGCUUCAGACUGCACAGAGUCGGCAGAAAAGUUAUGCCGACAAGCGACGUUCAGACCUGGAGUUACAGGUCGGGGAUAGGGUUCUCCUGAAGGUGUCUCCUUGGAAAGGCGUCAGUCGAUUCAGGAAGCAUGGCAAGUUGGGCCCAAGGUACAUUGGACCGUUCAGGGUUGUAGCCCUGGUGGGCAAGGUAGCGUACAGGCUUUAUCUGUCGGCCGAGCUCAGUCAGAUCCACAACACUUUCCACGUCUCCCAGCUAGGGAAGUGCCUUGUGGACGACUCAGCGGUGGUACCCCUAGAGGAUAUUCAGGUUGAUGACAGCUUGAAUUACACUAAGAGGCCAAUGGCAAUCCUCGACUAGAAGUUGAAGGAUUUAUGGAACAAGAGAGUGGAACUCAUAAAGGUCCAAUGACAACACUGGAAGGGGUCGAGGUGGACUUGGGAGCCGAUAGAAGAGAUGAUGGUGCAUUAUCCCGAGCUGUUCCAGGAGCGAGCAGCAAACUUCGAGGACAAUGUCUAAAAUAAGUGGGGGGAGAUUUGUAGCACCUGGUUCUUGGUAUGUAUUCUUUGUAAUUAACUCUUUAAAUAAUUGCAUUUUGGCCUUGGAAUCGGCGAGUUGAAGGACCAACUCGCCGAGUAGAAGCGAGAUAAGACGCGGGGUUUAAGCUAUGGACUCGGCGAGUCGGUCCCCGGACUCGGUGAAUAGACCCUGUCUAGACAAAAACCCUAAUCGGAGGUUUUGCACCCUAUUUAAACACAUUAACUCGGCCUCCUUUGUCCCAUAUACUCCCAGAGAACCUCCAUAACAAACCCUAGGCGUUGUUGAAGCAAAUUAGAGCAUUUGAAGAGUUUUUGGUGUUCUUGUGAUCCAAGGUAGGAAGGGGAGCUUGAAGGAACAAGAAAGGUAUUAAGGAGAUCCGAAUUGGUGCAUCAUUUGCAGCUCAUUCAAGGUAAAAAGUUUGUACCUUGAUCUUGCAAAUGCUAGAUCCCAUUUUGUGGAAUUUUAGGGCUUUAUGAGCCAUUUUAGCUAGCCAACCAUGAAUGCAAGCAUGGUGGGGAUGAGGGUGCGGAGUUAGGACCCUUGAGGGGUCACAAAGCAGAAAGGGGGUGCUUUUCCACCGAAGAAAGGCUCCAUGCAAUUCACGUGCUUGUUUUAGGACCUAUUGAGCUUAAAGUCCCAUGCAAACACGUAAAGGUUGUAACUUUACGUGCUAAAACGGUCCUAGGAACAUAGAUCUAUCCUUUGAUCAAGAGUUGUACAUCAUAAAUCGAAGAUCUAGUGAGAACAUGAGAUAGACUCUGCGAGUCCAAGCUUGAUUCCCAAAUCAGUUGAGGGUCAAAAGGACCCAGUUGAGUGUGGAAAGGUUUUAAGGAGUCCCGGAAGUGACCUAACGUUCUGGACUAAGCCAUUGUUCUGGGUAUUCAUGGGACUCGGCGAGUGCAUGAGCAGACUCGGUGAGUCCAAGGCAAUCUUCUUAUGGAUGAAGAUGAACUCGACAAGUUGUUCAUACAACACAUCGAGUCAAGGACAGGACCUGUUUAUCAGUUGAAGAUGAAAUCGACGAGUUGUUCAUAUAGCUCGGCGAGUCGAAUGAAGAUUCAGUGGAUGUUCAUUUGGAAGGGAAAUUCAUCGAGUCAUCGCCUAACUCGACGAGUACAGACACGUAUAAGGAUAAUUGGAAGAAUAUGGAGUCGGUGAGUUGGCGAGCCAACUCGGCGAGUCAGAUCAACUGGUAGUUGACUUUGACUAUCACUUGGUCAGGGGAAAAAUGGUUAUUUUAUCCUAAGAGCAGUUAGUUGUGUUUAAUUGAGUGUUUCGUGGGAAUUACAACUAGAGGAUUUCCGGAGCAGCAGCAGCAGACAGGCAGUUCCCACGCAGAUCAGCUGCUACUAUGAGGUGAGUUACCUUCCAGUAGCAGUGGGUCUACGGCCACAAUGCCGGCCCACCAGUAGGAGUUGUAUGUUAGAUGAUUUUCUUUGUGAUAUCCAUCUAGGUUUUCUACUACUUGAUAUGUUAUAUGCUAGCAUAAUAUGUUAUAUGUGAUAGUAGUAGAAUUCGGUUGGUAGGACCGAAGGGUAGUCAGACACCUCAGAUACGUCUGACAGAAUGUGAUGUUAUGUGUAUAUGCUAGUAGGAUCUGUUAUAUGUGUUACAAGUAGUAGGAAGGGAACAGUCCCCGAGUUCGGUUGUUAGGAUCGAAGGGUAGUUCAGACACCCCAUAUAUGUUUGAUAAUCUAUAUGCUAUGAUAUGUGAUAAUAGUAGUAUUAGGGGGUGGAAUAGUCCCCAAGGUACGGUUGUUAGGACCGAAGGGUAGUCAGCACCCCAGAACAGCUUGACAUGGGUCGGUCAGCACCCCAGAAUGGCUUGACUCGGGUAGGACGGCACCCCGGAAUGGUAGCGGCACAUCAUACACACACCUUAUUUUCCGCACUAUGAGUUCAUUUUGGGAUUUGUACUCUGACAUUAUAGUUAAUUUUAUGUUUCAGUUUUCAGACAUGAAAUAUGUUUUAUGAAAUGAUAUGAUUCACCCGAUGUUUACUUACAAAUGUUUUGCGAAAUAUUUAAUUGAAAAUAAAAAUUUUGGUCGUGAAAAUUGGGUCGUUACAUAUAUGAUCACUUAUCUUAAAUGGCAUAUCAUCAUCAUCUCAGUUCUGAGAGACAUUGAAAGAGCUAGGAUUGCUAGUUGAAUCCUGAAGUCAUAUCUGCAAAUAUAGUUAUUAGACUUAUCCAAGUGGGAGACUGUUGGAUAUAGUGUCUAAGUCCAUAACUUUAUUUGAUAUGUACUUGACCCGACCCGGCAUGGUCCAUUUGGGUUGCAUGGCAUUGCAAUACUUGGAUAAUCAAAAUGAGAGAAAGGACACUUGUGAUUAUUAAUAUAUUAUAAGUUCUAAUAUAUUAAUAAUAAUAUUAUUUUAUUGGUGAUUGAUACAGUAUUAAUUUAGAAUUAAUUUGGUGAUCAAAAUGAGAAUAAUUAAAUAUAUAGGGUUGAUUAUGACAAUCAUUUAAUCUUUUAUGGUGGAUUAAUGAUCCAUGAUUUAUGGAGUAGGGUUAUAACCAUUUGGAGCUCCAUGGAUAGUUUAUGAGAGUUACAAACCCAUGGAUCAUAAGAAAGGAAGAGUCAUGACAAUUAUGGGCAUUCAUGUGAUAGCCCUAAUUGUGACAACAUUAUAAAAGAAGCCGUAUAGUUAGCAAAAUCGGCCACUAGUGUAUUCUAAGUGGGCAUAACCGAUUUCUGAGUGCAAGUGUAUUCUCUCAAGUUAUUCCAAGUCUUGUAGUGUUGUGUGAAGCAUUUAAGGCACAACAUUUGGGGUGCUAGGCUCACUAAGUCUUCAAGGAAUCCAAGCAACAAGAAAGGUAUGUACUUCUACUAGUUUUUAUAUUACAUAUUCCCCAUGCCAUGAUAGUUAUGAAGUAAACCUUGAAAAAUCAAAUUUGCAUGUAUAUUAGAGAAAACAUAGAUUCAAGGUUUAUAUGGCUACUUGUACACCAUAGGAGUGCUAGAAUGCUUAGACCCCAUAAAAAAGAAUCACUGCUUCACACAAAUUCUUCUUUAAUUUUUCGAAUGCAUCUUCAUGCUUCUCACUCCAUGUUUGUGUAUCUCCUUUAUGGGUCAAAGCUGUUAAUGGAGCAGCUAUCGAAGAAAAGCCUUAGAUAAUCCUUCAGUAAUAUCCAGGUAAUCCCAGAAAGCUUCGAAUCUUAGUGGGACUUUUUGGUUGUUCCCACUUUAUCACAUCUUCCAUCUUUGCUGGAUCAACCAUUAUCCCAUCUUGGUUAACCACAUGACCCAAGAAUUGGACUUCUCGAAUCUAGAAAUCACAUUUGGAGAACUUUGUGUACAACUUCUCAUCCUUCAAAACUUCUAAUACAUCUCGCAAGUGCUUUCCAUGCUCCCGUUGGCUCGUUGAGUAAAUUAGAAUGUCAUCUAUGGACACUAUCACUGAUUUAUUGAAGAAUAAUGUACAAACUAUGUUCAUCAAAUCCAUAAAUGUUGUUGGAGCAUUGGUUAGUCCAAAUGACAUAGCUAAUAACUUAUAGUUUCUGUAUCUCAUUCUAAAUGCAUUCUUCUCAACAUCUUGCUCUCUCACCUUCAGUUGAUGAUAUCCUGCACUAAGUUCGAUGUUUGAGAAAUAGCUCGAACCUUGGAGCUGAUCGAACAUGUCAUCAAUCUUUGGAAAUGGAUACUUAAUUUUCAAUGUUUCCUUGUUCAGCUCUCUAUAGUCUAUGCACAUCAUCAUGCUUCCAUCCUUCUUCUUUACGAGUAACACCAGAGCUCCCCAGGGUGAUGAACUAGCUCUAAUGAAGCCAUUGUCCAACAAUUCCUAAAGUUGCAUCAUAAGCUCCUUCAUCUUUGUCGGUGCUAACCGAUAUGGUGCUUUCGUAAUUGGUGUCGAUCCUGGCAACAAGUCUAUUCGAAACUCCACUUAUCUAUCAGGGGGCAAUCCGGGAAGAUCUUCAGUAAGGACUUCUUGAUAGUCACACACUACUGGUAAUCUUUGUAUCUCUUUCUUUUCCUUCUUUGUGUUGAUCAUAAAUGCCAAGUAUGAUGUACAUCCUUUAGACAAACAUUUUAUAGCUUUCAUUACUAAAAUGAUUCUAGAAUUCACUAUAGGUUUGUCCCCGUACACCAUAAAUGAAUCUCUUCUAGGUGGCUUUACUCUCACCUUCUUCUUCUUGUAUAGUAUCUCGGCAUUGUUUGCACUAAGCCAAUCCAUUCCCAGUACGAUGUUGAAACCGUUCAACUCAAUGGGCAAAGACUCCUUGCGGAAUUAUUCCCGUUCAAGUCGAUGACGAUAUUUUUAAUGCAAUUGCUAACAUGUAUGAAUUUGCCACUGGCAACUUCUGCAACUAGAGCAUUAUCAAGUUUAUGUACAGGAAAUGCUAGUUUUCCACCAAAUUUGUGUGAUAUAAAGGAGUAAUUUGCUCCAGAGUCAAACAAUAUAUUGUCGAGCAAUCCAUUUACAAGCAAGGUACCUGAAGCGACAUCUGCUUCAUCCCUUGCUGCUUCCAGGGUUAUUUGGAAUGCUCUUGACUUUGGCCUCGGAGGAAAAUUAAGCCUUGCUUCCUCCUUCUUCUUCAGGAAAUCCCUAGAAAUAUGCCCUUCUUCAUUACAUCUGAAACACACCUUCUUGUUGAAUGUGCACUCAUUGGCGUAAAGCCCAUACUUUCCACAUUUGAAACAAGUCACCUCCUAAUCACAUUUUCCAACGUGCUUCUUUUUUUCACUUCUUACACCAUCUUGUGUAACAACGUAAAUUUUCAAACAAAUUUUUCAUUUCAAAACAAAGUAUUUUCAUUCAAAACAAGGCAUAAACAUUCCAAGUGUCAUGUCAGAAUACAAAUCAUAUGAAUCCCAAGAUCACCAAACAUCUAUCAGUGUGUACAGAUCACGCCGGCGCCUUCCCACGGUCCUCGCUAGUACCUGAAACACAUACACAACAACUGUAAGCAUAAAUGCUUAGUGAGUUCCCCAACAUACAACUUACGUACAUACGCCAUUCCAGGCCCUGACCUUCCGGUCCAUGUGUAUCAGGGGACUUCCAUCCCUGCUGGGUAAACCUUCCGGUCCUACCUACGCCAACCUUACGGUCCACAUUACACGCCUUCCGGCCCAUAACAUAAUGCCUUCCGGCCCACAUAAACAUACAUAGCACGCGUAACAAUUAACUUAUCACAUAUUACACAUAUAUCACAUAUCAUAUCCGACCUUCCGGUCACUCAGUCAAACCCUUCCGGGUACGGUAUAGUGAGAAGACUCACCUCGUGAAUAUCGAAAACUAGCAAAUCCCGAAGUUACUCGUGCUCGAUCCGCCGAGCUACAAUCUCCCUAUAACAUCAUACAUCUUUUGUCAAUACUUUUAUCUUCUAAGUUUGACUAUCCCUAAGAAGUCAAACACAGGUCAACUCUGGUCAACGGUCAACGGUCAACGGUCAACUUGACCGGACUCGGCGAGUGCACACGGGCAACUCGGCGAGUCUAGACGUAUUCGUCAACUCCCUAGGAUUCCCUUCUUACUCGUCGAGUGCUUCCCCUGNCUUCCCCUGACUCGACGAGUUCCACCUGGGAGAGUCGCGGGGCCACCCCGACUCAACUCGCCGAGUCUCAAGAACAACUCGGCGAGUCCCAGCUCGACUCAGUCCGCCUGUCGACCCUCUCUAACUCGUCCCGACUCACUGAGUCAACCAUAACUCGGUCAGGACUACACACUGGGUGUCCUCAAGGACAAUCUUCAAGCGACUCGUUGAGUCUGUUCAUCAGACUCGGUGAGUCCAUGCCAUGCACCAGCUAAAACAGGCUUUUGCGAUCAGAUCCGUUCCAUCCAUUCAUAGAUCUGGCCUUCCCAAGCUUANNNNNNNNNNNNNNNNNNNNNNNNNNNNNNNNNNNNNNNNNNNNNNNNNNNNNNNNNNNNNNNNNNNNNNNNNNNNNNNNNNNNNNNNNNNNNNNNNNNNNNNNNNNNNNNNNNNNNNNNNNNNNNNNNNNNNNNNNNNNNNNNNNNNNNNNNNNNNNNNNNNNNNNNNNNNNNNNNNNNNNNNNNNNNNNNNNNNNNNNNNNNNNNNNNNNNNNNNNNNNNNNNNNNNNNNNNNNNNNNNNNNNNNNNNNNNNNNNNNNNNNNNNNNNNNNNNNNNNNNNNNNNNNNNNNNNNNNNNNNNNNNNNNNNNNNNNNNNNNNNNNNNNNNNNNNNNNNNNNNNNNNNNNNNNNNNNNNNNNNNNNNNNNNNNNNNNNNNNNNNNNNNNNNNNNNNNNNNNNNNNNNNNNNNNNNNNNNNNNNNNNNNNNNNNNNNNNNNNNNNNNNNNNNNNNNNNNNNNNNNNNNNNNNNNNNNNNNNNNNNNNNNNNNNNNNNNNNNNNNNNNNNNNNNNNNNNNNNNNNNNNNNNNNNNNNNNNNNNNNNNNNNNNNNNNNNNNNNNNNNNNNNNNNNNNNNNNNNNNNNNNNNNNNNNNNNNNNNNNNNNNNNNNNNNNNNNNNNNNNNNNNNNNNNNNNNNNNNNNNNNNNNNNNNNNNNNNNNNNNNNNNNNNNNNNNNNNNNNNNNNNNNNNNNNNNNNNNNNNNNNNNNNNNNNNNNNNNNNNNNNNNNNNNNNNNNNNNNNNNNNNNNNNNNNNNNNNNNNNNNNNNNNNNNNNNNNNNNNNNNNNNNNNNNNNNNNNNNNNNNNNNNNNNNNNNNNNNNNNNNNNNNNNNNNNNNNNNNNNNNNNNNNNNNNNNNNNNNNNNNNNNNNNNNNNNNNNNNNNNNNNNNNNNNNNNNNNNNNNNNNNNNNNNNNNNNNNNNNNNNNNNNNNNNNNNNNNNNNNNNNNNNNNNNNNNNNNNNNNNNNNNNNNNNNNNNNNNNNNNNNNNNNNNNNNNNNNNNNNNACGGAGGAAUAAACAAAAGGAGAUUUUGGGGGAAAUUGUGUGUGGCCCACGAGUCUUCUCGCUGUAAAAAAUAAAUUUUGGCUCAUUUUAAUUUUGCCUAUUUUGUGGUAAUAUUAAAUUUUAUUCGUUCAUCAUUUUUUAUGGUUUUUUAUAUUUUAUUAAAUUUCAUAGUAAUUCACUUUCUAAAUUUAAAAUUUCUAAUUGGAUAAUUCAAUCAUAUUUUAAUGUCAUUAAAUUAGGAACAAAAUUAACGGAUGUUUUUGGUAAAUAUAAUUUCUAUAUCUUCCUCGUUAUAUUUGAUGCGACAUUAACCUCUGAUGAUUCUUUUGGUCUUCUGCUGCUGCGGAGAUCUGCUAGUCACAAUCAGAGAGAUGCGUUAGAGCCGUCCCAGGGACUGUGCCUCGGGAGCGGACACCGAUGAUCAAGUUAGAUUAGCUGAUAGAUCUGAGAUGGUCCUACAUAGCUGGAGAGAACCAUCUUGGUGCUAGUGGUCGUGUAUGGUUGCUGAUGGCGGCGGGCGGCGGCUGAGCCACCCGGCAUGUGUAUAGUGUGGCGACUAAGCUAAGGGCAAGAUCCCCCUCCAUGGAGGAGGUACUGUUCAUUAUAUAGGGGACAAUUAGGUCAAGGGGAAUUAGGUCAGGCCUUGGGCCCGCCUAAUUCAGGCCCAACUAGCAAGGAGUUGGGCAAGGCCGCCCGGAGGCGCGCGGGCGGGGCUGGUGAGCGCGCACCAGGAAAGACUGGCAAGGGGCGUUAGGCAAAGGAGCGUCGAGCCGGGCCGGCAAGAGAGUCCCCAACAUGGCUGGCAAGGGAGCACCAGGAAAGGUUGGCAAGGGGAUGCUAGGCAAGGCUGGCAGGAGCGCGCCAGGCCAAGCUGGCGCUUUAAAGUGGUCUAGGCCAUGCUAAUGUACCAUAUAUCAUCAAGUCCCCCCAGUCUGGUGUUAUUGGUACGCGGCCAAUGACAUCGGACUAGAACUAGUCAUAUAAACAAGCAGGAGAGUCCCCAGCGAGGCUGGCAAGGGAACGCCAGGCAGGGCUGGCAGGAGCGCGCCAGGCCAGGCUGGCGCAUAGAGCAGUCUGGGCCAUGGUAGUGGACCAUAUAUCAUCAAGUCCCCCCAGUCUGGUGUUAUUGGUACGCGGCCAAUGACAUCGGACUGGACUUAGUCAUAUAAAUUGUGCGUCAUCAAGUCCCCCUAGUCUGAUGCGAUUGGGUUGCUGACAAUUGGAUCGGACUAGAUAAAGCACCAAUAUAUCAAAGAAUAGAGAGAACGUUUGAACCUCGUCCACGAGAGUCGUGGGGUUGCGUGAUGAGCCAAGCAUUACUUAUGUAGCCUUGACUAGAUACUCCUUCGUUGAGAGGAGUGCGAGGUUGCUAAAGAGUGUUAUGCGACACUAAUGUCGAUAAAAUGUCUGGCCAGUGUAGCUAAGGAGCGUAAGCUCGCCGUACAGUCUCUAAGACCGCUAUUCGACAUGAUUGUUGUGGUAUUCAUGCACAUAUGGAAUAUCACCAAUAUCUGUCUACAUAGUUUGCAUUAAUAACCAUCUUGAAGGUAUUUCUUGCUUGGGCUACACCUAGUUGGAUUCCCCCCAGUCUGAUGUGGGUAGAGUAGGUAGCCGCGUCAGACUAUGUCGUUGAACCAAUAAACCGUAAGGUUGUUGACCAUAAUAUAAGUGGCAGAGAUUUUGAGAGCUGGGCGAUUAGGUUGCUAGCGAGGGUCACGUAGUGAGACUAUUGUCGAUAGUCAGACAACAGAACUCCUGAGGAACAGGCAGUGAGGCUAUAUGUAGGAAAUAUGCAUUAAGACUGUUGCCGAGAGCCAGGCAGCAGAGGUGCUAAGGGAUGAGCGGUGAGGCUGAGGUAUGGGUUGCGCAGCAAGACCGUUUCCGAGGGCUAGGCAAUAGUGAUGCUGAGGGAUACACAGCGAGGCUACAGGUGGGGUUACGCAGCAAGACCGUUUCCGAGAGCCAUGAAACAGAGAUGUUGUGGGGUACGCGGCGAGGAUACAGGUAAGGUUGCAUAGCAAGACCAUUUCCGAGAGCCAGGAAACAGAGAUUUUGUGGGAUACGCGGCGAGGCUACAAGUAAGGUUGCAUAGCAAGACCAUUUCCGAGAGCCAGGAAACAGAGAUGCUGAAAGGUAGUAGGUAGCAGGGCUGCUGUCAAGAUGACCUUCUUGCUGGAGAGUAACCUCACUAUAGCAGGUUGUAGUGUAGAUAACACUUCAUCGAUCAUCCGAGCACAAGAGAACCAUGAUGAUUGUGAGAGAGGAAGCACCGAGAUCAUGGUGUUAGUCACGGAAUAAGCUUGUGAUGCGCGACUUAGGAGAAUAGCUCGGGCUUAGCAGCCAGCGAACAUGGAGAUGUCAUGAGGGAAGGCAUCGUGUGUAACAGAUCGAGUUUGGUUGCUAACGAUCGUUAAUAGAUCACGCGAGAGAGCAUCGCGUGGAAUGGAUCGGGCUUGGCUUCCAGCGAUCGUAGAUAAAUCACGUGGAAGAGCAUCGCGUGGAAUGGUCGGAGCAUGUUGCUAUAAUGGAGUCGGGCUGAGAAGCCAGGCGACUUGAGGCGGUGGGUACUGAACCUCGCAUGCGGAGCUUGCCGCUAUAAUGGAGUCGGGCUGAGAAGCCAGGCGACUCAAGGCGAGGGUACUAAACCUCGUAUGCGGAGCUUAGUGGCCAACAAUCUAUGUGUCUGGCCCGGGUGAUCAGCUCGUGUUGAAGUGUAAUGGCAUCUGAUGCUUUGCUACAUCACUAGUUUGGUGAUUGGUGCCUCGCUGUCUUGGCUAUCUGUCGAAGGCUAUGCAACGAUGCUACUUUGAGUUGUAUAAUGUAGUUGUUAUCGAGUGGUGCACAGCGAGACUGCCGUCGAGAGCUGGUCAACAUGGCCGCUGAGAGCUGAGCAUCGAGCUGCUAGCGAUACAUGAGCAACAUGACCACUGAGAGUUGGGCAACGAGUCUCCCGAGGAUUGAACCACGAGGCUGCUCUUUUGAUCUGGAAUAUUGGUGUCACCCUAGGGGUGCACUGUCAUGGACAACAUCAGCUCUUCCGGUACACUAACUUUGCCCAUUCGGAGUAAAAAUUACUUCUGCAUAGUAUCGCAGCAACCCUACCCCCCCUUUUUUUAGAGGAGGCGAGGAAUAGAAACGAUGGAUGCAUAGUUGCAGGAAUUUGGGCAACACAGCUACUGAGAAAAGCUAAGUGACCCAAGUACCAACAAAAUCUGGGCAGCACAACUGGCACGACUGCUGGGAGUCAGGCAAUGUAACUGCUGAUGAUUGGGCUGCGCAACCGCUGGGAGUUGAGCAACGAGACUAGCAGGGGCCAGUCAACAUAAAUGGUGAGGGUUGAGUAGCAAGACUGCUUGAAGUUGGUCAACAUAGUUGUUGAUAGUCGCGCAACGUAGCUGUUGAUUGUUAUUUCGAAAUGAUUCACUAGUAGUAGUAGCGUAUUACUCUUCUCCCACCCCCCCCCUUUUUUUUUGGAAAAGUUGUCGAGAGUUUGAGUCGCAACGCAUUUUGAUGAGCGAAACUUGCGCUGCGCAUGUAACGCCCUGUUCUAAAAGUAUUCGUUCGUGAAUUUCAGAAACCAAAGCUAGGGGUGUUUUGGUCAUUUAUGGGAUUGGAGUUUAUUUUGAGAAGGUUUUGGGGCUGAGACAUGCUGCUAGAAGCGUAGGGCUUCUCGCCACCUUUCUGUGGAUAUAAAGUUCAUCAGAAACGGAUUUAGAAUGAAGACGUUAUGACACUUUGAAGAUUUGGCAAUAAUGGACCUGAUGGAGAAAAGUUCGCAUGGAAGGCCAUGCAUGCAUGUUUGGAACACGCGUGGGUACGCCCAGCAUACUGGGGCAACUUGGUCGCGGAUGUUCAAGGCGUAUGCCCAGCGUACAUGGAGGUACGCCCAGCGUAAGCUAAAAGUCAUGAAACCCUAAUUUUUGGGUUGAGCACUAUAUAAAGGACAUGUUGGCUUCAACCCUAACCCCAUUUCAGCCUCCCCAACCUCAAAAGAAACCCUAGAGCAUCCCUACCCUCAUUUUGUGAGAUCUUGACCUUGGAGAACCCAUUUUUGAUGGUUUAAAGCUUGGAAUAGAAAAAGAAGAAGGUUGGCAAGGAGGAACCUUGGAAGCUAGAGCUUGUAGAUCUGGGUUAAGUGCUUCAUUUCAUACCUCUUCAAGGUAAAAAGUUUUGAGCUUGAUGAUUAAUCUCUUAGAUCUCCUUUGGUUCAAGUUUAUGGACUUUUUGGUCCCAAGAUUGGGUCUUUGAGACUUAAGCACGUUUCUAAGACCAGGGUUGCCUCCCUUAGAGUCAGAUGAGUCCCAUAAGCAGUAAAGUUCCAACCUUUAUGGUCCUAUUAAGUCCAUGCAUGAGAUCUAGUCCCCUUUAUGGAAGUAGAAGAUUAUUUUGGGAGUUUGAGUUGGUUUGGGCCAUAUAAAGUCACCAAGUCAGUGACUUUAUGGCUUAAGACAUGGAAUAAGGCUUGGAUAUGAGUUUGUAGCUUCUAAAUCGGGGUAUUAAGCACAUAUUAGAAAGUUGACUUAAUGGGGAUGUAUGUUGGGCAUACAAGGAGGUACGCACGGCGUACAAGCCAUCAGCCAGUACGCUCGGUGUGGGCUGUGCUUAGUGGACCAUCAUGAGUCAGUGAUUAUGGGCCAAGUUUAUGUGUUGAGCAUAGGGUAAGGCCCAAUGUAGCAAAUUAGGCCAUUAAUGGGCCAAUAGUGGGCUUGGGAAGCCUACCUGAUGUUGGACAUUUUUAUAUUAUGUUUUGGGCCCUAGUUAUGGACCAUUAUGGGGUAGGGGUAAAAUGGUAAUUUUACCCUAAGAGUGACUAUGAUAUUGGGCUAAGUGAUAUUGUGAUCUUGGUAGCUCGGGGAGCCGAAAAAUCAGCAGUCGGGGAGUUUCCAGUCAGCAGUAGAGGGUUAUCAGCAAGUUCAGCAGUGCAAGGUGAGUUUUCCCUUUGUGUGGAUGGGUCUACGGCCACAAUGUCGGCCCAUGUAGAUAUGAGUAGGAAGACCCAUGGGUUAGCCCUAUGCACGGUAUGCCAGGAUGAUAUUUAGGACCAAGGUCCGAAUACUGCUUUCUUUGUGCCUUAGGAGUUCUAGUUGUUUUUCACUAACUAGUAAACGAAUAUAUUACGUUACAUAUUGCAAGGACUAAAUAAUUUUAGAAGGUUAGGUCUAGCUCUAUUUCGCAACUCAUGUUUGAGUCUAACCGUUGUAGGUUAGGAUCUCUCAUUCGAAGAAUUAUCUAGUCUGAGUGAUAUGUAAUUGUAUUCGCGAGCUAGUUAGGGAAAGAUAGCAGGAACUUCUUAUGCAGCUGAUGGCGGAGAGUGGGAUGGUGAUUUCCCUAGGGCAAGCCUAGUGGGAUAGUAACNNNNNNNNNNNNNNNNNNNNNNNNNNNNNNNNNNNNNNNNNNNNNNNNNNNNNNNNNNNNNNNNNNNNNNNNNNNNNNNNNNNNNNNNNNNNNNNNNNNNNNNNNNNNNNNNNNNNNNNNNNNNNNNNNNNNNNNNNNNNNNNNNNNNNNNNNNNNNNNNNNNNNNNNNNNNNNNNNNNNNNNNNNNNNNNNNNNNNNNNNNNNNNNNNNNNNNNNNNNNNNNNNNNNNNNNNNNNNNNNNNNNNNNNNNNNNNNNNNNNNNNNNNNNNNNNNNNNNNNNNNNNNNNNNNNNNNNNNNNNNNNNNNNNNNNNNNNNNNNNNNNNNNNNNNNNNNNNNNNNNNNNNNNNNNNNNNNNNNNNNNNNNNNNNNNNNNNNNNNNNNNNNNNNNNNNNNNNNNNNNNNNNNNNNNNNNNNNNNNNNNNNNNNNNNNNNNNNNNNNNNNNNNNNNNNNNNNNNNNNNNNNNNNNNNNNNNNNNNNNNNNNNNNNNNNNNNNNNNNNNNNNNNNNNNNNNNNNNNNNNNNNNNNNNNNNNNNNNNNNNNNNNNNNNNNNNNNNNNNNNNNNNNNNNNNNNNNNNNNNNNNNNNNNNNNNNNNNNNNNNNNNNNNNNNNNNNNNNNNNNNNNNNNNNNNNNNNNNNNNNNNNNNNNNNNNNNNNNNNNNNNNNNNNNNNNNNNNNNNNNNNNNNNNNNNNNNNNNNNNNNNNNNNNNNNNNNNNNNNNNNNNNNNNNNNNNNNNNNNNNNNNNNNNNNNNNNNNNNNNNNNNNNNNNNNNNNNNNNNNNNNNNNNNNNNNNNNNNNNNNNNNNNNNNNNNNNNNNNNNNNNNNNNNNNNNNNNNNNNNNNNNNNNNNNNNNNNNNNNNNNNNNNNNNNNNNNNNNNNNNNNNNNNNNNNNNNNNNNNNNNNNNNNNNNNNNNNNNNNNNNNNNNNNNNNNNNNNNNNNNNNNNNNNNNNNNNNNNNNNNNNNNNNNNNNNNNNNNNNNNNNNNNNNNNNNNNNNNNNNNNNNNNNNNNNNNNNNNNNNNNNNNNNNNNNNNNNNNNNNNNNNNNNNNNNNNNNNNNNNNNNNNNNNNNNNNNNNNNNNNNNNNNNNNNNNNNNNNNNNNNNNNNNNNNNNNNNNNNNNNNNNNNNNNNNNNNNNNNNNNNNNNNNNNNNNNNNNNNNNNNNNNNNNNNNNNNNNNNNNNNNNNNNNNNNNNNNNNNNNNNNNNNNNNNNNNNNNNNNNNNNNNNNNNNNNNNNNNNNNNNNNNNNNNNNNNNNNNNNNNNNNNNNNNNNNNNNNNNNNNNNNNNNNNNNNNNNNNNNNNNNNNNNNNNNNNNNNNNNNNNNNNNNNNNNNNNNNNNNNNNNNNNNNNNNNNNNNNNNNNNNNNNNNNNNNNNNNNNNNNNNNNNNNNNNNNNNNNNNNNNNNNNNNNNNNNNNNNNNNNNNNNNNNNNNNNNNNNNNNNNNNNNNNNNNNNNNNNNNNNNNNNNNNNNNNNNNNNNNNNNNNNNNNNNNNNNNNNNNNNNNNNNNNNNNNNNNNNNNNNNNNNNNNNNNNNNNNNNNNNNNNNNNNNNNNNNNNNNNNNNNNNNNNNNNNNNNNNNNNNNNNNNNNNNNNNNNNNNNNNNNNNNNNNNNNNNNNNNNNNNNNNNNNNNNNNNNNNNNNNNNNNNNNNNNNNNNNNNNNNNNNNNNNNNNNNNNNNNNNNNNNNNNNNNNNNNNNNNNNNNNNNNNNNNNNNNNNNNNNNNNNNNNNNNNNNNNNNNNNNNNNNNNNNNNNNNNNNNNNNNNNNNNNNNNNNNNNNNNNNNNNNNNNNNNNNNNNNNNNNNNNNNNNNNNNNNNNNNNNNNNNNNNNNNNNNNNNNNNNNNNNNNNNNNNNNNNNNNNNNNNNNNNNNNNNNNNNNNNNNNNNNNNNNNNNNNNNNNNNNNNNNNNNNNNNNNNNNNNNNNNNNNNNNNNNNNNNNNNNNNNNNNNNNNNNNNNNNNNNNNNNNNNNNNNNNNNNNNNNNNNNNNNNNNNNNNNNNNNNNNNNNNNNNNNNNNNNNNNNNNNNNNNNNNNNNNNNNNNNNNNNNNNNNNNNNNNNNNNNNNNNNNNNNNNNNNNNNNNNNNNNNNNNNNNNNNNNNNNNNNNNNNNNNNNNNNNNNNNNNNNNNNNNNNNNNNNNNNNNNNNNNNNNNNNNNNNNNNNNNNNNNNNNNNNNNNNNNNNNNNNNNNNNNNNNNNNNNNNNNNNNNNNNNNNNNNNNNNNNNNNNNNNNNNNNNNNNNNNNNNNNNNNNNNNNNNNNNNNNNNNNNNNNNNNNNNNNNNNNNNNNNNNNNNNNNNNNNNNNNNNNNNNNNNNNNNNNNNNNNNNNNNNNNNNNNNNNNNNNNNNNNNNNNNNNNNNNNNNNNNNNNNNNNNNNNNNNNNNNNNNNNNNNNNNNNNNNNNNNNNNNNNNNNNNNNNNNNNNNNNNNNNNNNNNNNNNNNNNNNNNNNNNNNNNNNNNNNNNNNNNNNNNNNNNNNNNNNNNNNNNNNNNNNNNNNNNNNNNNNNNNNNNNNNNNNNNNNNNNNNNNNNNNNNNNNNNNNNNNNNNNNNNNNNNNNNNNNNNNNNNNNNNNNNNNNNNNNNNNNNNNNNNNNNNNNNNNNNNNNNNNNNNNNNNNNNNNNNNNNNNNNNNNNNNNNNNNNNNNNNNNNNNNNNNNNNNNNNNNNNNNNNNNNNNNNNNNNNNNNNNNNNNNNNNNNNNNNNNNNNNNNNNNNNNNNNNNNNNNNNNNNNNNNNNNNNNNNNNNNNNNNNNNNNNNNNNNNNNNNNNNNNNNNNNNNNNNNNNNNNNNNNNNNNNNNNNNNNNNNNNNNNNNNNNNNNNNNNNNNNNNNNNNNNNNNNNNNNNNNNNNNNNNNNNNNNNNNNNNNNNNNNNNNNNNNNNNNNNNNNNNNNNNNNNNNNNNNNNNNNNNNNNNNNNNNNNNNNNNNNNNNNNNNNNNNNNNNNNNNNNNNNNNNNNNNNNNNNNNNNNNNNNNNNNNNNNNNNNNNNNNNNNNNNNNNNNNNNNNNNNNNNNNNNNNNNNNNNNNNNNNNNNNNNNNNNNNNNNNNNNNNNNNNNNNNNNNNNNNNNNNNNNNNNNNNNNNNNNNNNNNNNNNNNNNNNNNNNNNNNNNNNNNNNNNNNNNNNNNNNNNNNNNNNNNNNNNNNNNNNNNNNNNNNNNNNNNNNNNNNNNNNNNNNNNNNNNNNNNNNNNNNNNNNNNNNNNNNNNNNNNNNNNNNNNNNNNNNNNNNNNNNNNNNNNNNNNNNNNNNNNNNNNNNNNNNNNNNNNNNNNNNNNNNNNNNNNNNNNNNNNNNNNNNNNNNNNNNNNNNNNNNNNNNNNNNNNNNNNNNNNNNNNNNNNNNNNNNNNNNNNNNNNNNNNNNNNNNNNNNNNNNNNNNNNNNNNNNNNNNNNNNNNNNNNNNNNNNNNNNNNNNNNNNNNNNNNNNNNNNNNNNNNNNNNNNNNNNNNNNNNNNNNNNNNNNNNNNNNNNNNNNNNNNNNNNNNNNNNNNNNNNNNNNNNNNNNNNNNNNNNNNNNNNNNNNNNNNNNNNNNNNNNNNNNNNNNNNNNNNNNNNNNNNNNNNNNNNNNNNNNNNNNNNNNNNNNNNNNNNNNNNNNNNNNNNNNNNNNNNNNNNNNNNNNNNNNNNNNNNNNNNNNNNNNNNNNNNNNNNNNNNNNNNNNNNNNNNNNNNNNNNNNNNNNNNNNNNNNNNNNNNNNNNNNNNNNNNNNNNNNNNNNNNNNNNNNNNNNNNNNNNNNNNNNNNNNNNNNNNNNNNNNNNNNNNNNNNNNNNNNNNNNNNNNNNNNNNNNNNNNNNNNNNNNNNNNNNNNNNNNNNNNNNNNNNNNNNNNNNNNNNNNNNNNNNNNNNNNNNNNNNNNNNNNNNNNNNNNNNNNNNNNNNNNNNNNNNNNNNNNNNNNNNNNNNNNNNNNNNNNNNNNNNNNNNNNNNNNNNNNNNNNNNNNNNNNNNNNNNNNNNNNNNNNNNNNNNNNNNNNNNNNNNNNNNNNNNNNNNNNNNNNNNNNNNNNNNNNNNNNNNNNNNNNNNNNNNNNNNNNNNNNNNNNNNNNNNNNNNNNNNNNNNNNNNNNNNNNNNNNNNNNNNNNNNNNNNNNNNNNNNNNNNNNNNNNNNNNNNNNNNNNNNNNNNNNNNNNNNNNNNNNNNNNNNNNNNNNNNNNNNNNNNNNNNNNNNNNNNNNNNNNNNNNNNNNNNNNNNNNNNNNNNNNNNNNNNNNNNNNNNNNNNNNNNNNNNNNNNNNNNNNNNNNNNNNNNNNNNNNNNNNNNNNNNNNNNNNNNNNNNNNNNNNNNNNNNNNNNNNNNNNNNNNNNNNNNNNNNNNNNNNNNNNNNNNNNNNNNNNNNNNNNNNNNNNNNNNNNNNNNNNNNNNNNNNNNNNNNNNNNNNNNNNNNNNNNNNNNNNNNNNNNNNNNNNNNNNNNNNNNNNNNNNNNNNNNNNNNNNNNNNNNNNNNNNNNNNNNNNNNNNNNNNNNNNNNNNNNNNNNNNNNNNNNNNNNNNNNNNNNNNNNNNNNNNNNNNNNNNNNNNNNNNNNNNNNNNNNNNNNNNNNNNNNNNNNNNNNNNNNNNNNNNNNNNNNNNNNNNNNNNNNNNNNNNNNNNNNNNNNNNNNNNNNNNNNNNNNNNNNNNNNNNNNNNNNNNNNNNNNNNNNNNNNNNNNNNNNNNNNNNNNNNNNNNNNNNNNNNNNNNNNNNNNNNNNNNNNNNNNNNNNNNNNNNNNNNNNNNNNNNNNNNNNNNNNNNNNNNNNNNNNNNNNNNNNNNNNNNNNNNNNNNNNNNNNNNNNNNNNNNNNNNNNNNNNNNNNNNNNNNNNNNNNNNNNNNNNNNNNNNNNNNNNNNNNNNNNNNNNNNNNNNNNNNNNNNNNNNNNNNNNNNNNNNNNNNNNNNNNNNNNNNNNNNNNNNNNNNNNNNNNNNNNNNNNNNNNNNNNNNNNNNNNNNNNNNNNNNNNNNNNNNNNNNNNNNNNNNNNNNNNNNNNNNNNNNNNNNNNNNNNNNNNNNNNNNNNNNNNNNNNNNNNNNNNNNNNNNNNNNNNNNNNNNNNNNNNNNNNNNNNNNNNNNNNNNNNNNNNNNNNNNNNNNNNNNNNNNNNNNNNNNNNNNNNNNNNNNNNNNNNNNNNNNNNNNNNNNNNNNNNNNNNNNNNNNNNNNNNNNNNNNNNNNNNNNNNNNNNNNNNNNNNNNNNNNNNNNNNNNNNNNNNNNNNNNNNNNNNNNNNNNNNNNNNNNNNNNNNNNNNNNNNNNNNNNNNNNNNNNNNNNNNNNNNNNNNNNNNNNNNNNNNNNNNNNNNNNNNNNNNNNNNNNNNNNNNNNNNNNNNNNNNNNNNNNNNNNNNNNNNNNNNNNNNNNNNNNNNNNNNNNNNNNNNNNNNNNNNNNNNNNNNNNNNNNNNNNNNNNNNNNNNNNNNNNNNNNNNNNNNNNNNNNNNNNNNNNNNNNNNNNNNNNNNNNNNNNNNNNNNNNNNNNNNNNNNNNNNNNNNNNNNNNNNNNNNNNNNNNNNNNNNNNNNNNNNNNNNNNNNNNNNNNNNNNNNNNNNNNNNNNNNNNNNNNNNNNNNNNNNNNNNNNNNNNNNNNNNNNNNNNNNNNNNNNNNNNNNNNNNNNNNNNNNNNNNNNNNNNNNNNNNNNNNNNNNNNNNNNNNNNNNNNNNNNNNNNNNNNNNNNNNNNNNNNNNNNNNNNNNNNNNNNNNNNNNNNNNNNNNNNNNNNNNNNNNNNNNNNNNNNNNNNNNNNNNNNNNNNNNNNNNNNNNNNNNNNNNNNNNNNNNNNNNNNNNNNNNNNNNNNNNNNNNNNNNNNNNNNNNNNNNNNNNNNNNNNNNNNNNNNNNNNNNNNNNNNNNNNNNNNNNNNNNNNNNNNNNNNNNNNNNNNNNNNNNNNNNNNNNNNNNNNNNNNNNNNNNNNNNNNNNNNNNNNNNNNNNNNNNNNNNNNNNNNNNNNNNNNNNNNNNNNNNNNNNNNNNNNNNNNNNNNNNNNNNNNNNNNNNNNNNNNNNNNNNNNNNNNNNNNNNNNNNNNNNNNNNNNNNNNNNNNNNNNNNNNNNNNNNNNNNNNNNNNNNNNNNNNNNNNNNNNNNNNNNNNNNNNNNNNNNNNNNNNNNNNNNNNNNNNNNNNNNNNNNNNNNNNNNNNNNNNNNNNNNNNNNNNNNNNNNNNNNNNNNNNNNNNNNNNNNNNNNNNNNNNNNNNNNNNNNNNNNNNNNNNNNNNNNNNNNNNNNNNNNNNNNNNNNNNNNNNNNNNNNNNNNNNNNNNNNNNNNNNNNNNNNNNNNNNNNNNNNNNNNNNNNNNNNNNNNNNNNNNNNNNNNNNNNNNNNNNNNNNNNNNNNNNNNNNNNNNNNNNNNNNNNNNNNNNNNNNNNNNNNNNNNNNNNNNNNNNNNNNNNNNNNNNNNNNNNNNNNNNNNNNNNNNNNNNNNNNNNNNNNNNNNNNNNNNNNNNNNNNNNNNNNNNNNNNNNNNNNNNNNNNNNNNNNNNNNNNNNNNNNNNNNNNNNNNNNNNNNNNNNNNNNNNNNNNNNNNNNNNNNNNNNNNNNNNNNNNNNNNNNNNNNNNNNNNNNNNNNNNNNNNNNNNNNNNNNNNNNNNNNNNNNNNNNNNNNNNNNNNNNNNNNNNNNNNNNNNNNNNNNNNNNNNNNNNNNNNNNNNNNNNNNNNNNNNNNNNNNNNNNNNNNNNNNNNNNNNNNNNNNNNNNNNNNNNNNNNNNNNNNNNNNNNNNNNNNNNNNNNNNNNNNNNNNNNNNNNNNNNNNNNNNNNNNNNNNNNNNNNNNNNNNNNNNNNNNNNNNNNNNNNNNNNNNNNNNNNNNNNNNNNNNNNNNNNNNNNAGAGAGAGAGGAUAAUAUGAUUUAUUAAUAUGUUAUAAGAAUAAUAUAUUAAAGGAGAAAUCAUAUUUGUUUAAUUAAUAUUGGUCGAUAAUUAAUUAAGAAUUAGUUUUGUGAUCAAAUGUAAUUAAUUAAACUAGAGGGGCUGAUUUGUAAUUAUGUGAUAGUUACAAAAUAAGGUAAGGAUUAUCUUAUAAGGAUGGUGAACGAAUUUAAGGUUGGAAAGCCUUAGAAUUCGAGUAUGAUAAGGAUUCAAGGAUUAUCUUAUUGGUUGCUUAAUGGAUAAUCAACUAGAUAAGGAUAAUGACUGAAACCCUAUCUUUACACCUAUAUAAACACCACUAGGGUUAUGAAUUCGUGUAUCCCUUCCCAAGAGGUGCCAAAUACGAAUUCUAACCUCCCUCCUCUCUCCUUAUACCUUCUCCACUUGCUUAUGGUGUUUGUAAGCCAUUAGAGGAGUGACACUUGUGACUCUCUGCUUUCCAAGGUCAAUUCAAGGAGGAAUUGGAUUGUUAUUGCUAUAUAACAAUCAAGGUAUGUUCUUAAACCUAUUUACAUGUGAAUUCUGAUUUCCAUAUGCUAGUAUUAGGGUUCAAAGUCUUGGAUUCAAAGUAUGUACAAUAGAGAAACCUAGAUCCGAGCUUUAGGGUUUGUAUGAGCACAUAGGAUGUCUUAUGACCAAAACCCAUCAGGUUCUACUCCCUAGACCAGCAGACUGCAGUUCAGGUGAUGGGGAGGGAUCAGGCUCGGGCUCUGGAUUCGGGCAGUUAGACGAGCAGACCAGGGAGUUAAUCUCCUUAGAGAUUAUGCGCAUCAUACUUGAGUAGACUCCUGUGAUCUUCGGUUUGGUCAAGGAGGGUAUUCUAGAGCUAAUGGAUGAGAGGUUUAGUGCUUUCCGUACUAAGAUGGUGACCAUGAUGGGGCCGCACACACUCACCUUUCGAGAGUUUAGGGCAUGUGGAGCUUCGGACUAUCAUGGGGAUCGGGAACCCCGUUGCGAGUACUAGAUGGGUGGCAGGUGUCACCAAUGCAUUCCGCACCAGCAGACAACAGGUGUCCCAAGGGCAACAAGGUUAGGCUUGCGUCCUGUCUUCUGAAGGACAGAGCAUGUGACUGGUUAGAGGAGGUUGGGAGAGCCAUUGGUGAUGAUACUAUGUUGGAUAUGAUGACCUGAGUGACUUUAUGACCAGGUGUAGGGCCGAGUUUGCACUUGUUAUUAAGGUGCAGCAGCUUGCGAGGGAGUUCCAGGAUCUCCAGCAGACGACUGAGACUGUGGUAGAGAUUACCGCCAAGUUUAAGGAGAGGGCCCUUCUCAUUUCGCAAUAUGUGGCGGACGAGGAGAUGAAAAAGGCCCGAUAUUAUGAGAUUUUGCGGAGUGAUAUCCGCCAAUUUGUGAGCCGCUCUAGCUGCAAGAUGUUGGAGGACAUGAUUGUGAGGGCUUGUGAAAGGGAGAUUGACUUGUAGAUGGAGAGGAAGAGGAAGCUAGAGUCGGUGUCUGGCGCAGUGGGUUCGGGCAAAAAGCCCAAGACAGAUUCCAGAGGGAAGGGCCAGUAGGGUCGAGGCCGCUGUGGCAAGUGCGGCAGGGGACAUAAGGGGUCGUGUAGGGCGGGUAGUUCGGGCUGUUUCAAGUGUGGCCGAACCGGACAUGUCAACAUGGAUUGUACAACUACUACCACCACCACCGCAACAUCUGAUCUGAUUUGCUUUCCCUGCAAUCAGAGGGGACACAAGAAGUCCCAGUAUCCGAGUCUAGCAUCAGUAGGACAGGUAGUGGCACCCGCGCCUACCACUUUAAGGAUUACAGACAGCCGUCAGGGCUGGGCUGAGGCACCAGUAGCAAAGAGCAGAGCCUUCCAGUUAACAGCAGAGGAGGCACGAGCAACCCCUAACGUGGUUACGGGUUUGUAUCUUCUCCAUUAUCUCUUUAUUAUCUCUGAUUAUUACUCAUGUUUUGUGUUUAUUUAUAGGAUCAUUCUUAGUGAACGGUAUAUCGGCCAUGAUAUUGUUUGACUCAGGGGCUACCCAAUCUUUUGUGUCGCUCGCACUUAGCAAGCGGUUUAGUAGAGCUCCGAGGGAGCUAGAUUGCCCACUUGAUGUAGAGAUAGCAGAUGAUAGGACUAUCAGAGUCGUGAGGGUUCAUAGGGGUUGUACACUACGGUUAUUUGAUGAGUAGUUCUCAAUAGAUUUGGUUCCCAUUCCCCUGCGAGGGAAUAAGGUCAUAGUGGAUAUAGAUUGGUUGAGCCCCAACAGGGCAGUGAUUGAUUGUGAGCUUCAGCUUAUGAGGGUUCGCACUCCUAGUGGGGUAGAGCUAGUGAUUCAGGGUGAGAGGCCACAACGCGGAUCGAUUCUCUGUUCGGCAGCAAGAGCGAGGUGUUACUUUCAGCAGGGUUGCGCGGGAUACGUCGCCUAUGUCAUGGAUACCCGGGAUAAGGGUAAGGAGACAGUGGAUGAUGUACCAGUGGUGAGAGAGUACCCAAAUGUAUUCCCGGAGGAUUUGCCUGGGAUACCUCUGGAGAGGCAGGUUGAGUUCCGGAUUGACCUGGUCCCUGGUGCUACUCCGAUAGCUAAAGCACCAUAUUGGUUGGCUCCUUCCGAUAUACAGGAGUUAUCUACACAGCUACAGGAGCUGCUAGACAAGGGUUUUAUCAGGCCGAGCAGUUCACCAUGGGGAGCCCCGAUCCUGUUUGUGAAGAAGAAGGACGGGUCGCACCGUAUGUGUAUAGAUUACCGAGAGCUGAACAACGUAACGAUGAAGAACCGUUACCCACUCCUGAGGAUAAAUGAUUUGUUUGACCAGCUUCAGGGAGUAUCUUAGUUCUCCAAGAUUGAUCUUCAGUCCGGAUAUCACCAGAUGCGGGUCAGAGAUGAUGAUGUGCAGAAGACCGCUUUUAGGACCCGCUAUGGUCAUUAUGAGUUUGUGGUGAUGCCGUUUGGGCUCACCAAUGCUCCAGCCACGUUUAUGGACCUCAUGAACCAUGUAUGCAGACCGAUGCUGUAUUGGUCUGUGAUAGUAUUCAUUACUGACAUCUUGGUUUACUCCAAGACUCAGGAGCAGCAUGAGGAGCACCUAAGGGAGGUACUAGAGACACUGAGGAGGGAGAGAUUGUAUGCGAAGUUCUCCAAGUGUGACUUCUAGUUGCGCGAGGUGUAGUUCCUUAGGCACCUUGUCAACCAGAAGGGUAUAUUGGUUGACCCGGACAAGAUAGAGGCAGUGAUGCAGUGGGAGACUCCGAGGUCUCCAACUAAGAUUCUGAGCUUCUUGGGUUUGGCAGGGUAUUACAGGAGAUUUAUCCAGGACUUCUCCAAGAUAGCAAUUCCGUUGACCCGACUGACCAAGAAGUCGGUGGUUUUUCAUUGGGUUCCUGAGCAGUAGACGCCUUUGAGACGCUCAAAUAGUGACUGUGCGAGGCGCCAAUUCUCACCCUGCCAGAGGGAGUAGAUGACUUUGUAGUCUAGUGUGACGCUUCAAUCAUAUGUAUGGGAGCAGUGAUGAUUAGCGGGGGCAUGUGAUAGCUUAUGCAUCGAGACAGUUGAAGCCUCACGAGGCUAACUACCCGACGCAUGAUUUGGAGCUAGGGGCGGUGGUGUUCACCCUUAAGAUUUGGUGGCAUUACCUCUAGGGGGUCUGGUUUACAUUUUACAUGGAUCACAAUAGUUUGAGGUACCUCAUGGAUCAGCCGAAUCUGAACAUGAGGCAGCGUCGGUGGUUAGACGUGGUUAAGGAUUACGACUAUGAGAUCCUUUACCACCCGGGCAAGGCCAACGUAAUGGCUGACGCCCUGAGCCGCAAGGCGACAUCAACCUCGACUCGAGAUAUCUGUCUGAGGAUGACAAUGAUUACUCCAUUACUGGAGCAUAUCCGAGGGGCGCAGGUCGAGAGCCUAAAGGAGGAGCGUUGGAAGUGCGAGAGGAUUACAGGCCAGGUGGCCUCCUUCGAUUACGACAGUAGAGAGUUGUUGACCCUACAUGGGAGAGUUUGGGUGUCGUACUGGGGAGGAGUGUGGCAGGUAUUGAUGGAUGAGGACCAUAAUUCCGGGUUCUCCAUCUAUCAGGGAGCAACGAAGAUGUAUCGGGACCUUCACCCAGACUACUGGUGGCCCUGCAUGAAGCGGGACGUCGCCUGGUACGUUGAGAGAUGCCUGACCUGCAGGAAGGUCAAGGCGGAGUACCAGAGGCCGCAUGGAAAGAUGCAACCAUUUGAUAUUCGUGAUAUUCGUGUAUAAAAGUGGGAGGAUAUUACUAUGGAUUUUAUCACUAAGCUUCCCAGAACCGCACGUGAGUCGAUUCGAUAUGGGUCAUCAUGGAUCGGUUGACCAAGAGCGUGCACUUCAUACCGAUCCAAGAGAGCUUCUCGACCGAGAAGCCGACUGAGACUUAUGUGUGAGAGCUAGUAGUACACCGCGGGGUGGCAUUACCUCUAGGGGGUCUAUUUUACAUUUUACAUGGAUCACAAUAGUUUGAGGUACCUCAUGGAUCAGCCGAAUCUGAACAUGAGGCAGCGCCGGUGGUUAGACGUGGUUAAGGAUUAUGACUAUGAGAUCCUUUACCACCCGGGCAAGGCCAACGUAAUGGCCGACGCCCUGAGCCGCAAGGCGACAUCAACCUCGACUCGAGAUAUCUGUUUGAGGAUGACAAUGAUUACUCCAUUACUGGAGCAUAUCCGAGGGGCGUAGGUCGAGAGCCUAAAGGAGGAGCGUCGGAAGUGCGAGAGGAUUACAGGCCAGGUGGCCUCCUUCGAUUACGACAGUAGAGAGCUGUUGACCCUACAUGGGAGAGUUUGGGUGUCGUAUUGGGGAGGAGUGUGGCAGGUAUUGAUGGAUGAGGCCCAUAAGUCCGGGUUCUCCAUCUAUCAGGGAGCAACGAAGAUGUACCGGGACCUUCGCCCAAACUACUGGUGGCCCUGCAUGAAGCGGGACGUCGCCUGGUACGUUGAGAGAUGCCUGACCUGCAGGAAGGUCAAGGCGGAGCACCAGAGGCCGCAUGGCAAGAUGCAACCAUUUGAUAUUCGUGAUAUUCGUGUAUAAAAGUGCGAAGAUAUUACUAUGGAUUUUAUCACUAAGCUUUCCAGAACCGCACGUGGGUCGAUUCGAUAUGGGUCAUCAUGGAUCGGUUGACCAAGAGCGCGCACUUCAUACCGAUCCAAGAGAGCUUCUCGACCGAGAAGCCGACUGAGAUUUAUGUGCGAGAGCUAGUAGUACACCACGGGGUGCCUGUCUCGAUGGUGUCAAACCGAGAUGUCCAUUUUACUUCCAAGUUUUGGAAGCGGUUUCACGACAAGAUGGGUACUCGUCUCCACUACAACACCGCUUUCCACCCCCAAACUGACGGAUAGAGCGAGAGGACGAUUCAGAAUCUCGAGGACAUGCUUCGGGCAUGUGUGCUAGAUUUCGGUGGCAGUUGGGAUACGUUCCUUCCGUUAGCAGAAUUUUUGUAUAACAACAGCUACCACUCCAGUAUAGAUCGACCUCCAUUUGAGAUGCUCUAUGGGAGGAAGUGUAGGACCUCAAUCUGUUGGGGCGAGGUCGGUCAGAGGGUUAUUAGGAGUACGGAGGUAGUACUCAAUGUUGGAUUAGUGUCUAAGUCCAUAACUAUUUUGCUAUGUACUUGACUCGAUGGUGCAUGGUCCUUUUGGGUUGCCUUCACCAAAGCAACUUGAUAGGAUGAAUUAUGGAGAGAAAGGAUUAAAUAUGAUUUAUUAAUAUAUUAUGAGAAUAAUAUAUUGUUUAAUUAAUAUUAGUCAAGAAUUAAUUAGUAAUUAGUUUUGUGACUAAAAGAGAUUAAUUAAACUUAAGGGACUGGAAUUGUAAUUAUAAGAUAAUUGCAAUUUGGGCUAUGGAUUGUCUUAAAUUAAGGAGUGGACGAAUUCUAUGGGGAAGCCCAUGAGGAAAUCGUCCAAGGCCUUAAUUAAAGGAGUUUAUGGGUUGCUUAGGGCUUAAGCAUCCAAAUUAGGGUUUCCUUGUUAGAUAACCCUAAUAGCCUCACUAUAUAAAGACCCCUUAUGACCAAAAAACAUGGAGAAGACUUCUUCUAGGGUUAGAACACGUUUUGGGCAGCCUCCAUCCUCUCUCCUCUUCAUCCUCUUGCUUAUGGUGUUUGUGAACCAUUAGAGGAGUGACAUUUGUGACUCUAAGCUUUCCAAAGUCAAUUCAAGGUGGAAUUGGGAUUGUUAUUGCUACAUAACAAUCACGGUAACAUCUUAAACCUAAUUAUAUGUUAAUGUCGAUUUCCAUAUGCUAGAAUUAGUGUUUAUAGUCUUGGAUUCAAAGCAUGUACAAUAGAGAAACCUAGAUCCAAGCUUUAGGGUUUGUAUGAGCACAUAGGAUGUCUUAUGACCAAAACCCAUCAGUGGUAUCAGAGCCUAGAUUGGUUUCUAUUGUAUUGAUGCUUGAUGUAACUGAAAAUCGUGUUUUGGCCUCACUGUUCGACCUGACUCGGCGAGUCACUCUUGGACUCGGCGAGUCAGCCCUACUCGGCGAGUUCCAGAGGGUGACUCGGCGAGUCGGUGCGUCAGACAGUGCUUAUCUCGGGAUUUCUUGCUGUUUUUGCAUUGGGAUAAUUACCUUAUCAUGUUAGAUUAAUAUUAAUCCGAUUAUAUGAUAUAUUUGACUAUAUUUUUAAUCUAAUUGAAGAUAUUUAUCAAUUAAUAAGAUAAUUGUUUCCUUAUAAGAUAAUUGAUUAAUUAUUUUAAGUAAAUUGAUAAAUUAUUUUGCAAGAAAUCAUCAAAUAUGGAUAAUUAUGUGAUUAAAUGUUAAUUUGAAUUAUUUGUUAUUUGAUCCUUGUUGUUGUGAAAAGUUUCAUAUUUGGCCCUUUAGGUUUUAUAGUUUAAAUUUGAACCCCAAAAGUUUUGUUGUUUUGAAAUUUAAAUAGUUGAAACCCUAAUGUUUUGAAAAAGGUUUCAAAACUUGCCCUCAAGUUUUGGAAUUUAAAUUUUGAUUAAAUAGUUUAAUUUUGAUGCAUAUUUAAAUUCUAAACCCUAAUGUGUUGAAAUGUUUCAAAACUUGCCCUCAAGUUUUGGAAUUUAAAAGUUGAUUAAAAGUUUAAUUAGGAAUGUUAAAUUCUAAAACUCUAGUAUAGUUUUGAAAAAGUUCAAAUCACACCCUUAUGGUUUUAUUAAUUAAUUAAGGUGUAUAAUUAAAAGAGGUUUAAUAAAUCCAUAAAAGUUUAGGUUUACAAUUUAAUUGAAUUAAAAGUAUAAUUGUUAAAUUAGACCACCUAGUAUUUUAAAAGUAUAAAAUACACCCUAUACUAUAUAUAACAUUAAAAGUCUAACAUUAUAUAUAUGUAUGAGUAAAAGUCAGUCUUACCGUUAGUAGGCCUCAUUCACGAAGCUGGUCUAUAAGGGGUGUUUAAGGAAAUUGCCUAUAAAAUGGCGAUUGAAUGGGUAUCCACUCUUACCCACCGCACUCUUGACUAGUGGAGGGUCGUUAGCCGAACGGGUAGGAUAGGACGAAACCUUCCAUUAUAAGUAUAAUGAAUUAUUAAAGUAACUAAAUGUUUUCAUAAAAUUCCCAAUCUUAGUUACUUAGGCAAAAGUGAAUUGAUGCAAUUCCAUGAAAUUACACUUUGUGCCCUUGCGAAGACGUUAGUGGAGCGUGUGUGGUUUACCGGCACACUAAAUGGUUCUAAGCAAAGGUAGCAAAGGGUGACUCAAUGUUUGUCAUAGUUCGGUGGAGCGUGUGUGGUUUACCGGCACAUCGAAUAGGUGACUGUAACAUGUGAGGGCACCAUGUAAGUUUGCAUGGUUAUUCACACCCGCUUUGUGAUCCUCGGCAUCCCAGUCACAAACAAGAGGGGCAUAUCGAGAUUUAAACAUGCCAUUGAAAUGUUCAAUGAAUCUCAAAGGAUCUAGGAGUUUUCAUAGAUUUAAAACUUAAAUUUCUUUUUCAUUUUUCAUAGUGGAAAUUAGUGAAUCGUCAUUCACUUACCUUAAAAUGUUCUGCAAUUUGGGUUACGACAUCCCUCUCCCGAGUUGUAGAAUAUUGUGUUGGGUCCUAGCCUUAGUAUCUCAUUUGGGUGAUUUACUAAGGACUCAAUCAAUCAACUAACUUGAAUUCGUUUUCUCCCGUUUUGUAGAUGUCAAAGUUCGACAACUAUGGUCUUCCCAAAUCCCGUGGAACAAGCUUUCCACAUGAAGAUGGUAUUCCACGAUUUGAUCGAGGAACAAGAAAUCAUGUUUCACUUCCUCCACCUUCUUCUAUUGUUCUCCCCAACCCACAAGAUCGAAGAAUUGAAAGGUUCAAUAUCACUAAAGCCCUAUUGGAAAUGAAACAUGAAGAUGGUAAACCCGUGUGUGACCAUGUUCUAUGAAUGAAAUCACAUAUUGAUAGGUUGAUAAUGUUGGGUGUGUCAUUCCCGGAUGAGUUGGCUGUGAAUUGGGUUUUUCAGUCACUUCCUGAAUCAUAUAAUGAGUUCAAAAGAAAGUAUUAUAUGAUGGAUCAUGACGAUAACCUUAUUGACCUAACUUACAUGCUGAUUUCUGCUGAAUCAGAAAUGAUUUGGCGAAGCAAUGGAGUGUAUUUGUUGGGAAAGUAAACCGACCAUGCUUCCGAGGACAUUCUAAGAGAAGCGACUUGCGUUUGCUGCCAAAAGAAAGGGCGUUGGAUACAAGUCUGCCCAAAGAGCCUGAAGAUUCCAAAGAUGGGAGAGUCAAAGAGUAUGGCUGUGCUUCGGGUAUAAACUCCACUAUCUAACUCCGUUAAGUUCCUAUUCAUUGAUUCUUAAUACAUGAUGUGAUAAGAUUGCAUUUGAAUGUUUUGCAGGAUCGGUGAAAAGAAAGGAAGCUUGGUGAAAGAGCAAGAUGAAUCUAAUCACAAGGAAUGGAUCUUGAUCGCAUGGACUUGAAGAUUAGAUUUUGAGCUUAGAUAGUUAUGAUAGAGUUGUUAGAAAUUUUCCUUUUGAAAUACAUAGUUUUCAAUGGAUUUUGCAUUGUAAGGACAAAUGUUUUCCGCUGCUUUUAUAAAUAAAAUAAAUUUUAUUUUGACUUAUUUAUUUAUUUGUUUAUUCCCUUGCAAUGAAAUCGUUAUGAAAAUUGAUGUUUGCAUAUUUCUACAACGAAUGGAUAUGAUUCUUAUUUAUGCAAAUUUACCAAAUAGGGAGAGUUUCUCAUCGCUCAAAUUUCAAUUGGACAGAAAUUUGGAAUCACGCAACUUGGUUGCAUGAUGAAUGAGAAAUUUCAUAUUUGGAAAUUAGACUAAUUCGUUGACAAAGUGUCGAGUGAAGGACUAGGAGAUCGAGCACACAAAGUUAUGUGUUGAUCAAGUCCACCAAAGAGUAACAAAGAUAUUCGUCAUGAUUUACUAAAGGUUUAGUAAGUAUGAUUAUACUUAUAAGAUUAAGUGUAAUUCUGACUUGAUUGAAAAAGUUUAAAUCAAUAGCAGAACAAAUAAGAAGAAUCAAGUAGGCAGAAAGAUAAAAGUUUAUCCAUUCUAAGAAAAAGGGAGAGUACCUUUUAUGCUUUAUGAUAGGUCUUAGUGAUUAAGAACCAUAUCUCAAUUGAUCCUCUAAGUGAGUCUUAGUACAAUUGUAAGUCUAAGAAGAGGAAUCAAGAAUUGAAGAAAUGGUUAAAUCAAGAAGUCAAUCAUACUUCAUUCCAAAACAAGUCUUAGAAUUAAGAUUGUGACAUUGAGUGAUAAGUGUUAAGAAGGUUUAUAACAUUCAUAAAAUGUGAUAAGUUGUGAUGUCUUUGAUAAGACAAAGACCAACUAGGACCAAUUUAUGAAGUGUUUUGAUAAAAACUACACUAACUCUUGAAUAUUUGUUUGUCAAGAAAUGUUUAUUGACAAGAGAAUCUUAUAUGUCAAGGAGUCAGUGGGAGUCUUAAUGGUCUUGAAAGGUUUCAAGAACAAAUCAAAUAAACCUUAUCGAUCAUCACUAGCACACGAGUUGAGGUUUACAACCUAUCGUGUUGACAUUAUUUUGUUUCUGUGCUGUUCCAAUUGAGUUAAUUAUGCAUGUGAGUCUUAUGAGUUCUCAUUUGAAUGCAUAAAAAGCAAGGACCUUGAUCAAUGGAAAGUACAUUGAUAGGAAAAUGUGAGUUGCUUAAGUACUUGGAAGACAUGGUGGGCAGCCAUGCUACCAUAAGGCAAGAAAUCAAGAUUAAGAAAGUUCGGUCCAUAUGAGUUUGAAUUNAGGUGAGCUGCUUAACUACUUGGAAGACAUGGUGGGCAGCUGUGCUACCAUAAGACAAGAAAUCAAGAUUAAGAAAGUUCGAUCCAUAUGAGUUUGAAUUUGUCGUAAACUUUGGUUUUGACAAAUUCACAUGGAUAGGAACAUAUACACCGUUUAAAUCUAAGUGUCAUAAGAUUUCCUCCUUCAUGAAAAUGAUUGUGAGGAAAUGCUUUCACUAAGAAAGAUUUUAAGAAGAUAGUGAUUGUAAAAUUGCAUUCUCGAAUUCGAUUAUGGUUACGGCAUCCCUUUCCAUAAUUUGAAUUGUGAGGUUUGGCAAUUAGUCUUAAUUGUUUAGACACACAUAUGAACUAUCGAAGGCAAAGGUGUAUAAGUUCAAGAAGCAUUGAUAAAGGAUUAUCAAAGCACUAAGUAUUAGAAACAUGAACUUAAGAAAUUCAAUAAGUAUUGUUUUCUGAAAGUUAAAAUGUUUAUGAAUACAUGUCGAAGCUAGUGGGAGCAUAAGUGUUAUGUUUUAUAAUAAUCAUCAUGAUAGUGGGAGCAUAAAUGUUAUGAUUGUAUGAUUAUUAAGGCAAGUAUUGCAAGUUGGCAAUAUUAAUUAUAGAAAACAAGAGUUAUACCUUGCAAAGUGGUAAGGGUUGUAAAGUUGUUUUGCUAUAAUUAAGGGAGAGAAUAUUAUGCUUCGUUUCAAAUCUAAAGGCUUAGGUUGAGAAAUGUUAAUAAAUUUAGUCAAAGGUACAUAGUGUGUUCUUAAAAUUUUCGAUUAUGAUUACAACAUUCCUCUUCACAAUUCAAAUUUUGAGAACAUAGCAAAUAAAACAUUAUGCGUCGUGUCCCAUACGCUUCGGGUAUAUGAUCGAUUGCAAAUGCUUUAAUGUUUGACCAUUCUAAAAUUUUAAAAAUGUCUAGCGCAUUUAGAGGGAAAAGGGACUAGAAUCGGUUUUGACUAAAAUAACUAAACAACUAUCAAAGGACAAUCCAAAGUUCGACGAGGAUUGGUUGCUUAUGAGUAGUUGGAAGCAUGGUAUUGAAUGGACCAUAUCGACGUUAUUAUGAAUAGAAAAGAUUCAAUUAAGAAUGAGUUGUCGUAUGGAAAUUAUGGAAAUGUUUCCACAUUGGAUGGACCAUAUCGACAUCAUUACGAAUAGAUAAGAUUCUGUUAAGAAUGAGUUGUCAUAUGGAAAAUAUGGAAGCAUGUUCAUAUUGGGAAUUGAAUAUUGAAAAUCUAUGUCUAAAUUAGAAACUUUUAUGCAAAAGGAUGUUCAAAGGAAUGUACUUUGAGUGAGAUACAUCAUAUCUAAGGAAUUGUCUUGUAACAAUCUCCGAUAGAAGAUUUUGUAAUAUCAUUGACAAUAGUCUUUGUGACUUUGGUGCAGUGACAUUACGAAAUAAUCACUGCAUAGAAUGUUAGAAUCUAGCAUAUUCUAUAAGUAGCAAGAAUUUGAUAUUCUUUCAUUUAUGAAAAAGGAUUUGGAGUUGUGAAAUGAGAAUGAUUGGAAAUGUGUUCAAUUUGAUCUAUUUCACAAAGUAAGAACCAUAUGUAAACAUUGUGUACAUGCUAGGAGCAUGGGACAAGUGUAAUAAUUCAAGUAAGAAGUUGAUUACCCGAAAUGAAAAAUAAUGAGUAAUCGAUAUGGUGAUAAAUAAAAGGAGUUUUAUUUAUACCCAAAGGUUUGAGGCCAUAUGAGAUUAGUAUUAUUCUUGUGUUCCACUUUGCAUGUUUUGACUUCCUGAAUAAUUUAAUUGGUUUAGAACAGUCAAAUUAUUCGAACGAGCCACAGUCGUUCAUAUGUUGGAAGUUGUAACAACCCGAAAUUUCCGCUUCUUUUUAAAAGUAACUUUUUCAUAAAUCAACUCGCGCAACCGAUCGUCGUUCCGAUUUCCGAUUUCCGAUUUCUCCGUUUAAUUAAGUCAUUAAUUAGUACACAUUUAAAAUGACUUAAUGGGUGUCUUAAUACAUUUAGAAAUCAAUUUAACACCCAACUUUAGUGAUCGGAAUAAUUCUAGAAUUUACCGUAUCGAGUUACGGUAACUUAAUCGGGUACGACCAAAAACCCCGUCUAACGCCGGUAUCGGGUAGAAUUCCACCGUGUCCAAAACUUAAACACUAUAUAAACGUGUUUAAGACUUCAUUUGAAGCCUUUUGGCAAGUUUCUCACUAAACUCUUACAACCUCUCCCCUCAAGCUAGAAUUAAGGUCCAAAUCACAAGUUUAAGGCUUCAAAUCUUUAAGGUAACCUCCCUAACAUGUUAUUCAACACCUUUAGCCUUCAAAUUGAUGAAAUAAUUGAGUUUUAGGUCCAAGAACAUGAGUUUACGGCCAAGGAACAAGCUUGGGCCGUAAACUCCAUUUAAUGGGGUUUUAAGCCCUUAAACUCCUUCCUAAACUCAAUUGGACUUUAGAUAUGGCUAUGGGACUUCAAGAUAUGGACUUAGGACAUUUAAAACUAUGAUUUUGAGCCAUUCAAAGGAGUUUACGGCCAAGGCAUAAUCUUAGGCCGUAAACUCAAGUAAAAGGGGUUUUUCAUGCCCUAAAACCCUUCCAAAUCACUCAUAUGGCUUAGAUAUGAAUUGUAGGACCUUGGUUUUAGCAUUUGGACACUUGAAACAUGAAUUUUGUGGGACUUAUGUGAGUUUACGGCCAAGGAUAGUGCUUGGGCUGUAAACUCCCCAAAAUGUGACAUAAACCCAAUUCUAAAGUGUUAGAAAGCCAUCCAACACCACCAAAAGACUUGGAAUAAAUCAAGGGACCAACCAAAAAUGCUUUAAGGGUCUAAAACACAUCAUUUGUGGGACUUAUAAGGGUUUACGGCCAAGGCUUGUUCUUGGGCCGUAAACUCCAAAACUUUUGGUGUUAGAAUGCAAACUAAACACCCCUAAAGCCUUUAGAUGAAUUUUAGAAGCCCUUCUAUGCAAGUUUUAGACCUUGAAACACUUUGUAUGAACCUACAUUAGAGUUUACGGCCAUGAGGAGGGUCUCAUGGGUCGUAAACUCCAUAACACCCCUCAAAUGUCACAUAAAAAUCAUACUAGGUCUUGGAAUAAUCUUAUGAAUCACAUGUGAUUUGUUUUAACAACAUUUGACACCCAUUUCAUGAAGAUUAAGGAGUUUACGGCCAGGAGCCUAUACUGGGCCGUAAACUCCCAUAAAAUAAGCAUUUUGAUGAUUUGAAUUCAGUCCAAGUGUUCCAAGACAAUUUAGAAAAUCCAUUCUAGCAACCUCUAGGUCCAUUUGAGCCCUUAAACCCUCAAAACCACACCAACAUGAGUUUACGGCCGUAAAAUCAUGUGUGAGUGUGUUUCAUGGUUGUAAACUCAUUUAAAUGUUUACUUAUGGAGAGUAAACUCAUGUCCCAAGUCCCUAGUGCCAUUACAAGUCCGAAGAUGUCACCCGGGUCACUCCAAACGCUCGUUUUGAGGUGUUUAACCUCAUUGGAGUGUAAUGUUCCAAAUGAUUAGCGAAUGUAUCUCUAAUUGUAUAUAUAUGGACAUUAUAUCAUUUUACAUAGGGUCAUCGCGAGUAAUCAAACCCCGAACCGACGUCUAGCAUUCAAAACCGACACGUUUCCGAGUCCGGUGAGUUCAUACCCCUACCCUUUUUCACUGUUUUCACUGUUUUCAGGGGGGGAACACAAGCAAAGUACAAGGAAAUUCUUGUACUCAAAACAUGUUUUCAGAUGUGUGUUUAUUAAUUCAUAUGCUUUUGUUACUGAUUACCACAACUGAUAACCAUUUGAACAUGCAGAUCACGUAACAUAUAUUUGUGAAUUAGGUCUUUAAAUUGUUAUGUUUUACAUAUAUUUCACAAAUGAUUUUCCACAAUUUAUCAGUUAAAAGCAUUACAUAAGACAUUUGAAUAUAAUACCUGUACACUGUUUUGUCCUCGGUAACACUCCACACAUAUACGCGAGUGGAGGACUAUCAUAUUAUUACUAGUAAAUUUGUUAAUCCUGUAUAAUUGGAGACACGUCCUUGGAGAACACUCCACCAGAUUACGCGAGUGGAGGACUACACCCAUAACCAGAAUCUCUGGUAUUUAGAGAGCGUGACUUGAGUGUAUAGAUCUAUACGGGGCUGACUACCCCACACCUGGCUGCUAGCUACAGCCGAACCGAAAUGGUUCAAGGGUGACGAAAGUCAUAAGUAUGUGGACGACUUAUUGCCACAUGUGGACUACUUAUUGCCACAGGUUUCAAUCUAUUGUAUGGUUAUGGAACUCACAAUUAGGAUAACAGAGAUUUACUUACAGUAAUAAUGGAUUUCUUUAUACAUCGUUUACAUCGUUUACAUCUUUUACUUACUGUAACUAACAUUCAGGAAGGUACGAGACCUUCCUGGGGAAAACAUGGAAUCUAAUCACGAUUACAUCUUUUACAUCUUUCACAUCGUUUACAUAAGAUACAUACAUGCAGGAAAGCAUGGGGCUUUCCUGGGUAACACUUACAUAACUAGAAAGAGUCACAGAAUGGAUAACAUUACAUCUUUUACAAUUUGUAACAUACAAUAAGGAAAGUGUGGGACUUUCCUAGUAACACAUGAUAAGUAAACAGAACAGUUUAACCAGUCAGAUAACCAACUACACAUUUUCACAUGAGUAAACAUGUUUUCAGUGUACAAACUUACUAUACUUUACAUUUGUGAAACAAUAACCAACUUUUAAGAAAAUACGGGAUUUUCUUGGUGUACAUAACAUUUCAGAAACAGAAAGGAAACCGAUACAUUUUCGUAAAACAAAACCGCUUAUAAACUCACCAGCUUUAUGCUGAUUUUCAAACCGCUUGUGUUCUCAGGUCAGCGUUAGAACAGGUACCCGAAGAUCCUUUUGCAUGAAGGCGUGUACAUGAAGACCCGUUACAUUUUGUCUAUAUAUACUAUGUAUCACAACUGUACAAACUUUACUUUUGAAACAACUGUAAAACUGUUAUUAUGUAAUGUAAUGCUUGUUUUACUUUACUUACUAUGUACAUUGGAUUUGAUACUCAACACGGUAGUCAACCCCGAAAAUGUAUUCCGCCUUCGGUUUUCGGGGUGUGACAGAAGUAGAUAUGAAUGAAGAUUGUCGUGAAUUGGUGUGUGGAUUGUCUAAAAGAGUAUUAGACAUAAGUAAAUGUUUGCUGCAACGUUCAUGAGUGCUUAUGAAUAAGAUUUGAGCAUUGGAUUAAACCCACGCUUACUUGGAUCACUCCAUGAAUUGUAUCACGAGUGAUUGGUGAGACGAUAACAUCUUAUAUUCUUGAAAUCGAGAUGUGUGAGUUGUAUCUUGCAAAUCGGUCGCACAUUGAUAAUAUGUAAACGCACUAGUAACUUGGUGUCAUAAAACAUAUUGUUGUGUGUGAUUCGGUGAGUGAGUGCAAGCAAGCAUUGUAUCAAAGCUUAUCCAUUCCUUUUAUCCAAAGUAGGAUAAAAGAGAUAUCUUUGGGCCCCUUGAUGAUUUUUGUGAUGACAAACGUAAAUGCUCGGCCGGGCUAGGGCUAAUUUGAUUUGUUCAAUUAGUCAGUCGUCAUAAACCGGGAGUCGAGAAAUAGUACAAAGAGAAUGACUAGAAAUCAUGUCUCAUACGAUAUCUAGAAUGGAGGAAUAUAUGAUCCCUUAUCUAACGACACGCGUAUCUGACAGGAUCAGAGUUGACAGCGGCUUUGGAAAGCUACGAUUGUAGAUCAGGAUCUGAAGUCAUACGCAUGAUAGUUAUUCGACUUAUCCAAGUGGGAGACUGUUGGAUUAGUGUCUAAGUCCAUAACUAUUUUGGUAUGUACUUGACCCGAUGGUGCAUGGUCCUUUUGGGUUGCCUUUAUCAAAGCAACUUCAUAAGAUGAAUUAUGGAAAGAAAGGAUUAAAUAUGAUUUAUUAAUAUAUUAUGAGAAUAAUAUAUUAAAGGAGAAAUCAUAUUGUUUAAUUAAUAUUAGUCAAGAAUUAAUUGGUAAUUAGUUUUGUGACUAAAAGAGAUUAAUUAAACUUAAGGGACUGGAAUUGUAAUUAUAAGAUAAUUGCAAUUUGGGCCAUGGAUUGNNNNNNNNNNNNNNNNNNNNNNNNNNNNNNNNNNNNNNNNNNNNNNNNNNNNNNNNNNNNNNNNNNNNNNNNNNNNNNNNNNNNNNNNNNNNNNNNNNNNNNNNNNNNNNNNNNNNNNNNNNNNNNNNNNNNNNNNNNNNNNNNNNNNNNNNNNNNNNNNNNNNNNNNNNNNNNNNNNNNNNNNNNNNNNNNNNNNNNNNNNNNNNNNNNNNNNNNNNNNNNNNNNNNNNNNNNNNNNNNNNNNNNNNNNNNNNNNNNNNNNNNNNNNNNNNNNNNNNNNNNNNNNNNNNNNNNNNNNNNNNNNNNNNNNNNNNNNNNNNNNNNNNNNNNNNNNNNNNNNNNNNNNNNNNNNNNNNNNNNNNNNNNNNNNNNNNNNNNNNNNNNNNNNNNNNNNNNNNNNNNNNNNNNNNNNNNNNNNNNNNNNNNNNNNNNNNNNNNNNNNNNNNNNNNNNNNNNNNNNNNNNNNNNNNNNNNNNNNNNNNNNNNNNNNNNNNNNNNNNNNNNNNNNNNNNNNNNNNNNNNNNNNNNNNNNNNNNNNNNNNNNNNNNNNNNNNNNNNNNNNNNNNNNNNNNNNNNNNNNNNNNNNNNNNNNNNNNNNNNNNNNNNNNNNNNNNNNNNNNNNNNNNNNNNNNNNNNNNNNNNNNNNNNNNNNNNNNNNNNNNNNNNNNNNNNNNNNNNNNNNNNNNNNNNNNNNNNNNNNNNNNNNNNNNNNNNNNNNNNNNNNNNNNNNNNNNNNNNNNNNNNNNNNNNNNNNNNNNNNNNNNNNNNNNNNNNNNNNNNNNNNNNNNNNNNNNNNNNNNNNNNNNNNNNNNNNNNNNNNNNNNNNNNNNNNNNNNNNNNNNNNNNNNNNNNNNNNNNNNNNNNNNNNNNNNNNNNNNNNNNNNNNNNNNNNNNNNNNNNNNNNNNNNNNNNNNNNNNNNNNNNNNNNNNNNNNNNNNNNNNNNNNNNNNNNNNNNNNNNNNNNNNNNNNNNNNNNNNNNNNNNNNNNNNNNNNNNNNNNNNNNNNNNNNNNNNNNNNNNNNNNNNNNNNNNNNNNNNNNNNNNNNNNNNNNNNNNNNNNNNNNNNNNNNNNNNNNNNNNNNNNNNNNNNNNNNNNNNNNNNNNNNNNNNNNNNNNNNNNNNNNNNNNNNNNNNNNNNNNNNNNNNNNNNNNNNNNNNNNNNNNNNNNNNNNNNNNNNNNNNNNNNNNNNNNNNNNNNNNNNNNNNNNNNNNNNNNNNNNNNNNNNNNNNNNNNNNNNNNNNNNNNNNNNNNNNNNNNNNNNNNNNNNNNNNNNNNNNNNNNNNNNNNNNNNNNNNNNNNNNNNNNNNNNNNNNNNNNNNNNNNNNNNNNNNNNNNNNNNNNNNNNNNNNNNNNNNNNNNNNNNNNNNNNNNNNNNNNNNNNNNNNNNNNNNNNNNNNNNNNNNNNNNNNNNNNNNNNNNNNNNNNNNNNNNNNNNNNNNNNNNNNNNNNNNNNNNNNNNNNNNNNNNNNNNNNNNNNNNNNNNNNNNNNNNNNNNNNNNNNNNNNNNNNNNNNNNNNNNNNNNNNNNNNNNNNNNNNNNNNNNNNNNNNNNNNNNNNNNNNNNNNNNNNNNNNNNNNNNNNNNNNNNNNNNNNNNNNNNNNNNNNNNNNNNNNNNNNNNNNNNNNNNNNNNNNNNNNNNNNNNNNNNNNNNNNNNNNNNNNNNNNNNNNNNNNNNNNNNNNNNNNNNNNNNNNNNNNNNNNNNNNNNNNNNNNNNNNNNNNNNNNNNNNNNNNNNNNNNNNNNNNNNNNNNNNNNNNNNNNNNNNNNNNNNNNNNNNNNNNNNNNNNNNNNNNNNNNNNNNNNNNNNNNNNNNNNNNNNNNNNNNNNNNNNNNNNNNNNNNNNNNNNNNNNNNNNNNNNNNNNNNNNNNNNNNNNNNNNNNNNNNNNNNNNNNNNNNNNNNNNNNNNNNNNNNNNNNNNNNNNNNNNNNNNNNNNNNNNNNNNNNNNNNNNNNNNNNNNNNNNNNNNNNNNNNNNNNNNNNNNNNNNNNNNNNNNNNNNNNNNNNNNNNNNNNNNNNNNNNNNNNNNNNNNNNNNNNNNNNNNNNNNNNNNNNNNNNNNNNNNNNNNNNNNNNNNNNNNNNNNNNNNNNNNNNNNNNNNNNNNNNNNNNNNNNNNNNNNNNNNNNNNNNNNNNNNNNNNNNNNNNNNNNNNNNNNNNNNNNNNNNNNNNNNNNNNNNNNNNNNNNNNNNNNNNNNNNNNNNNNNNNNNNNNNNNNNNNNNNNNNNNNNNNNNNNNNNNNNNNNNNNNNNNNNNNNNNNNNNNNNNNNNNNNNNNNNNNNNNNNNNNNNNNNNNNNNNNNNNNNNNNNNNNNNNNNNNNNNNNNNNNNNNNNNNNNNNNNNNNNNNNNNNNNNNNNNNNNNNNNNNNNNNNNNNNNNNNNNNNNNNNNNNNNNNNNNNNNNNNNNNNNNNNNNNNNNNNNNNNNNNNNNNNNNNNNNNNNNNNNNNNNNNNNNNNNNNNNNNNNNNNNNNNNNNNNNNNNNNNNNNNNNNNNNNNNNNNNNNNNNNNNNNNNNNNNNNNNNNNNNNNNNNNNNNNNNNNNNNNNNNNNNNNNNNNNNNNNNNNNNNNNNNNNNNNNNNNNNNNNNNNNNNNNNNNNNNNNNNNNNNNNAUUUCUUGAUUAUUACAUAUUUUAGAAUGAAAUUAACAUAUUCACAAAAUUUUACUUUUAUAUGAAAAAAAGAAAACAAUCAAAAGAAAUGAACUAUAACCACUUUUUUGGUGGCUGCACAAAGACCCAGUUAAUUUAAAGCCCAGGAAAGAAUUGUGGCCCAUGCUUCUUAUUAAUAUAUUACACCCACUUAAUUUUAUUUGAAACCCUAGCUUCUUUUCUUACCACCUCAAAUAAUUCCUACCACCACGUGAUUUCUCUUUUCAACCUCAUCUUUUCACCAAGAAAGAGAUGAACUUGUUUCUACUUGCUUUUCCUACUACCUCACAUCUCUCCCAGCAUUUUCUCGACCAAAGCAGAAUCUCAAAACUUAGAGCCAACAACAAAUCGAGGCACUACAACCGCUAAACAGCUAUACAUACCGCUAAACAGGUCACAUGUUUUAUGACUCGUCUGAUUUACGAGCCAACUCAACUCGGUCCGAGUCACGACUUAAAUCGGAUUUUUUUACGAGUCAGAAGAAAAACGAGUCAUGUUACGAGUUGCCUCGCUUUGGGUAUCAAGUGGCUCGACUCGUACGAGUCAACUCCUAACUCGUACGAGUUUAACAACUAUGUGUAUAUAUAUAUAUAUAUAUAUAUAUANUAUAUAUAUAUAUAUAUAUAUAUAUAUAGAGAGAGAGAGAGAGAGAGAGAGAGAGAUUAUUGUUGUAGAUGUACAUAAUAAUCAAAUAAAAAUAAAAUAACCAUGUGUCCCUUUUUGAGUUUUUGUUUAUAUCAACCUAAUCUUAAAACUUCAUUCAACACAAAAAAAUGUGACAUUUAGGUAUAAAUGGUUUAUUCUUGUCUUGAUAGUUAUUAACUUAAUGGAUCUUUUUGGCUUGGAAUUCGACUUCUAAGAGAUCUAACAUUGUGGUUGGGGUCAGAGAAACAUUGUUGAAUCCAAACAAAUGCAUGAUUUCCAAUUUGUGAAAAUCAUAUUCUUUAAGCUAGGAUAGGGGGAAACAACAAAAAAAUACAUAUGUUUUUCCUUUGUAGAUCUAAAAUUCUUAGACUUUUGGCCCUAAGACUAUCUGUUAUACUCUCCACGACAACGAUCGUGGAGAGCUUCCAGAUCAGCCACCGAAGCAACCACGAACCACCCCACUACAACCGGAGUACUCUCCACUGAUAACGAAGAGAAAUAACUAAGAGAGAGACAGAAGAAGGCUGAGAGAGAAGAAAUUUGUCAAGAAGCCAUGAUUGGGCGUUACGUCUCAUCUUCGGCACCAUGAGCCAUCACGAAAACGACGAACCACGACCGGACGGGGUGGUCUGCACGGUUGUUGUCUGUGGCCACGUAGACCACAACUGGGUUCGUGGUCCAUAUACUGGAUGGCCUAAACAUUUUUUUUUGAAACAUGGUACGUCUUGCUUCACCACUUUGUAUGUUGGUCCCACUAGAUAAGAAAAAAGUGUUCUUACCUAUUUUAUCCUUAUUCAGAGCCAAGUAUAGGGAUUUUUUUUACCAGUUAUGUAUUUGACCAAUAGUUUUUUCUUAAUGGGCCAAACACGUAAAAAUACUAUUUUAGCUAAAAAGGAAACAUUUCAAAUAGAUCAAACAUUUUAAUAGAAAUCCAUAGUAUAUUGAAGUAUUUUCAACCAUCCUAACUUGCUUUAAUUAGUCCAAACAAUUUGAUCAUGUUUUAAUACCCUAAUCUUAUUCAUAUUUAAUAUAUUAAUUAUAUAUGAAAUUGAAAAAAGUGUUUGCAGGUUAGCCCAAUACGGUUAAACGGUAUCUUACGGUUUGUGUUUUGAUAUUGCAUCCUACAUGCCAAUUUGCCACAUAUAAGGCUGAUAUAUCUAGAACCAUCGAUUUUUGUGGAAAAGUACGCAAGGUAAUUAGGUAUUGUGACAAACUUACACAUAUUUUAUGAAGAAAUAAAUAGGAGAUAUAAAUAUUCUUUCCCAUGAAUUGCCUACCUUCUUUACUUUUUUGAAGGAUUGGCCAUAGCUAUAUUGUUUUUGUAUUACAAUUUGCAUCGUGGUAUGUUUUUCAUCUUGUUUAACUAUGUUCUUACUCAUAAAAUUGCUUUGUUUGAACUUACGCUUAGUUUCAGGAUUAGUUUGACUAGUAACUUUGAAUAAUAUUUGAUAAGUAGUGGAGCCUUGUUGAUGAAAUCAAUGUGAUUAACAUUAAAUAUCUGGUCAGCAGUGGAACCUUGUCAUAUCAUCAUCUUGUUAAUUGUUUGGUCAUGUAUGCUAAAAAAUCAAAUUACAAAAAGAUGAUGAAGGUAUCAAAAGAAACAAGGAAGCAGGAUCGAAGAUGGACAUUUGCAUUUUACAAGCUGAAUGUACAACCUUUAAUAUAAGACUAUUCUCAAAGAGGAUGGGGAGUGGGGAGGGGAAGAAAAUUGAUCCAGGUCUUAUGCAUUCCAAAUGCAGGUACAUUCCUACAUAAUAAAGGAGGCUUAAAAGAGAAGAAAAGUGAUACCGAAGAUGCAUAUGAGGAACUAAUCUUGGAAGAACUACAGAAAACACAUACUUAACUAUUUGAAAAAUAGCCAAGGUUUGCAACUUAAAUGAAUCCCAGGCCAUAAAUUUCCCAAGCCACCAUUUGCAAAAGUGUGGUUCACCUGCAAAAAAAAAAAUGAAAAAUGAAAACGACAUCGUUUUGGACGUUGUUGACUGUGGAAAGUGAAAUCAUCUGUGAUUUAAAAAAAAUGUAUUAUCAUGUCAUGUUGACUGCGAAAUUCAAAGACCAUACUGUGAAAAUCAUAACCUAUGGUAUGAAAAUUUGCACAUUGUAGAGGAUGUUAUCUUAUAAGAGAUUGCUUUGUAAAAAAGAGUUAUCAAAACCAAUUGUCUGCAUUUUUUAGCACAAUUUUCACUAUGUUUUUUCUUCUGAUUUCCUUAGCAAUUUUUUCCACCUUACCCUUUUGCUCUUGCCGAGAUAACAUGAGUUCAAACAUUGUACAUGACUAAUUGUUGUUUUUUGUUGGUGGUUGAUGGCAGUUAGAAACAACAUGUUUAUACAAUGCAACAAAUCGAUAUGUUGGUGGUGGGAACCGAUCUAGCAGCAGAAGAGGGUCCGGUAGUAAAAGAUGGAAAAAGUUUUGCUAAGAGCAGAUACAUAGAAGAGGUAGCAACAAUCAAAUAGGUAUCUGUAUCUCUCUAAAUGAUUAUCACGAUGUUGGUGGAUAUGUUGCGUUCCAAUAACAACUCAAUUCACAAGUAGUUUCUGAAAACCAAUACACGUAUUGAGAAAUUCAGUAUGUUGAUCCCAGAAGAUAUUCUGUACCAUAUCAAACACUAAUACCACCAUAUCAAACGUCGAUAACACCAUCUGAAAGGCCGAUUGUAUAAUAUCAAAUGCCAAUUAUACAAUACAACCUAUUUUUCCAUUCUAAAAAGUGGGCCGCCGAAAGGAGAGGAAAGUGGUAUUGAAGAUGCAUAUAUAUGUGUAACUAACCUUGGAAUAACUGUAGGAAACAUACACUCAACUACUAGAAAAAUGGACUAUGGUCUGUAACUCAAAUGAGUCCAUGAACCGCAAUUAACUAUUUUUGUUGAUUAUCAAGACUAGCUAAGAGUAAACGUAAAUAAGAAUAAAAGGCAAAUACAAGUAGAAAGAAGUAUAUUGAAUCAAAUUGUAUCUGAAUUGAAAGCAACAAAAAGGAAUAUCAAGAUGUUAAACCCAUGAAAUCUCAAACCCAUUGAAAAUCUUGCAGCAUGACAACGCUGAAAGACACAUCAAGGGCUUACACUCAAGAAAAAAGGUGAUAAAACAAAAAACCUAUUGCUUUUGUGUAUGCUCGACGGCUUUGAGUUAUCUUAUUAUUUAUUGCACAUCUUGAUGUGUCUGAGCAUGUUGAUGUUGUAAUUUAAUAACUUUGCAUCAGUUCUGUACUCUUCUCUUUGCGUAACCAUUUUAUUUCAGCUUCCCUUUGGAUUUCAAUUCUAUGUUACCUGCUGAGUUGAUUUAAGUCCCACCUUCAAAUUUUCUUCAAAAGUUACCUCUUGCUAAACCCCUCAUAAGAAAUGUUCAUGCACAAACUCCCACCUAUUCAAUAAAUCUUGCUAAAUCCCUGAAUUAAAUCACAGAAACCAAUAAAAGAUGAAUGUGUAAGAAACAAAACACCACCAAAAACCACAACAACCAUGCAUGUACGGUGUUGUUUAUCAUUCAUAAUAACAUAACCAAGACCAAAACUUUCCCCCUUUGCAUGAUAAAAGAAAAAGAAAAUUUACAAAUAGAAAAAUAGAUAAUAAGUGGAUACCUGAUUCUUACUUAAUUAUUUGAAAAAUAGACCAAGAUAUGUAACUUAAAUGAGUCCUUGAUUUUACAAUUAACUAUUGUUGUUGAUGAUCAAGACGAACCAAGAGUAAAAGUAACAAUUUGGAAAAGCAAAAUACAAAAAGAAAGAAGUAUAGGCAAUAAACUCAUAUUUGAUUUGAAAGCAACAAAAAGGAAAAUCAAGAUGUUGACCACAGGAAUUGUCAAACCCAUGGAAAUUCUUGCAGAAUGACAAUGCUCAAAGACACAUCUACGGCUUAAACACUCAAGAAAAAAGCAAUAACACAACCUUGACUGCUUUUAAGUUUUUUUCUUUAUUGAUUCCAUAUAAUGAUGUGUCUCCAAUAAUGAUGUGUCUGACCAUUUACAUGUUGUAACUCGAUAACUUCUUGCAUCAUAUCCGUCUUCUCUUUGCGUAACCAAUUUCUAUCUCAGCUUCCAUUUGAAUUGUUGUUCACUGAUUUGUUACCUGCUGAGACUAAUUAGACUGCCACCUUGGAAUGUUCUUCAAAUGCAACCUCUUGCUAAACCCUUCAACAUCGUUCACUUGCAAACACCCAUCUGUCCCAAUAAAUCUUGAGAAAUCCCUGAAUCAAACUACAGAAACCAGUAAAAGAGAAUGCUCAAGAAAUUGAACACCACCAAAAAACCAGAGAAACCAUGUGUGUUGUUAUUUUUUGUUCAAAAGAGAAUGCUCAAGAAAUUCAACUCUCUUAGGCAAUGAGGGAUGAUACCUGUGAAGUUGUUGUGUGCAACAUCCAAAAUUUGAAGUUUCGACAUUUUGCACAAAGAUUCAGGAAUUUCCCCAGUGAAGUUAUUCCUGUGUAGCUUUAAGACCAUCAAAUUUGUCAGCUUUUCUCCGAUCCAGUGGGGUAUGUUUCCGAACAGUUGAUUAUCACCCACAUCUAACACUCUUAAAGCUCGUAAAUUCCCCAAACCUUGAGGAAUUUCCCCAGUAAAGUUAUUGCCAUUCAAUGUUAACCAAUACAAUGAUGAAUGAUUAUUUGCUAUAUAACUUGGAAUGACACCUGAAAGCAAAUUAGAACUAAAUAUCAUGGUUUCCAACAAUUUCAGAUUCUGGAGACACUUGGGAAUUUUCCCUGUUAACCUAUUUCUGGAAAGAUCAAGAUAUUCCAAAUGCGUCCAUCUGCACAAGGACCUUGGAAUCGACUCAUUGAAAAUGUUAUUUGCUAAUAUUAAUGCCAGUCCUAUUUCUGGAAGGUUUGUCAAUGGUCCGCUGAGUUUGUUGUGAGAGAGAUCUAAGAAAGCAAUGACAGGCAUCUUCCGCAACCAUGUGGGCAGAGGUCCCGAAAUUGAAGCAUUCGACAACACUAACUCAGAGAGCAAGAACUGAUUCCGUAGCCACUGUGGCAAUCCAUUUGUGAGAUUGCAGGAACUGAGAUCAAGACCAUCCAACUGGAAUGGAGGCAUCCACUUAUGUGAAAAAUUGCAUGUCAACUUCGUGUUAGAAGAAGCUUCCAAGUAACUCAACAUCGAAAGGUUAGCAAAAUGGGCUUCGGAAACUACUCCUUCUAAGGAAUUGUCUGAGAUAUCUAACUCAUUGAGUUUGGCAAGUUGCCCAAUUGAAACCGGAAUAGUCCCAUUUAACAAAUUUGAAGACAACCGAAUUGCUUGUAAUGAAACAAGUCUUCCUAGAGAUGUUGGGAUGGGGCCCGUUAAGUGAUUGGAUUGUAGAUACAAAGAUUCUAAAGCUGCAAGAUUUCCAAAGGAUUCUGGAAUUGAACCAUUCAAUUGGUUAUCAUGUAGAUCUAAUACCUCUAAGAAUCUUAAUCUUCCUAGAGAUUCGGGGAUUGGACCUGUCAAACUGCUCAUUGAUAGAUCUAAGUGUCUUAAAUUGGUUAGUCUUCCAAAUGCUUCUGGAAUCGUACCAUUCAAACACCCACUUAAAUCCAACCGCUCCAAAGCAUAUUGGGAGCAUUCUGAAACGUUUUGCGGUGGGUCAAUCCUUUCUAUUUCAAAAGGAUUUCCAUAUGCAGCCAAUGUUUUCAGGUGACACUGUCUCCAGAUUCCAACAUCCUCAAUAUUCUUAAACUGGUUAACAGAAAGAUCAAGCUCUAGAAGGUUAGCCAUAAUAGGAACCGAAGAAUGCAGCAUGUUUCUUGAGAGAUCAAGGACUCUUAAGGAACUCAUGUUACUGAAAACAGAUGGAAAUAUGCCUUCAAUUGAAUUCCAGCUAAGAUCCAGGUGUUGGAUGUUAGAAAGCAUACUGAUAUUAAAAUGAGCGGAAGAUAGAAAAGUCUUAUCAAGCCCACAAAGUGACAAAUGCAGCUCUGAUAAAGAGGAAGGGAUCAUGUUUAGCAAGUUAGCAAAAUUCCAUGACAAUCUAAUAUCAUAGUUUGAAAGAUCCAGAAAUUCAAGGGAUGUCAUGUUUCGGAAAAAUCCAGGGAGUGGGCCUUUGAAAGAAUUGGAGCCAAGAUCAAGGUGUUUUAUGUUGGCAAGAAUUCUACUCGAAUUAAAAAAUGGACCAAGAUGGACAUUGGAAAGUCUACAACCACACAAACUUAACUCUUUUAACGAAGGAAGAUUGUAAAGCACCAUGUCCAUGUUCUUUGCUCCGCCAAGAUCCACCCAACUCAAAUCGAGAUGCUCGAGUGAUGGAAGGCCAAAAGUCCAUGACAUAUCAUCCGACAUCAGCUCACCAUUCCAACUGAGAUCCAAAACCUUUAAAUUAGAAAGAUUUCCAAUGUGAGGAGGAAUAAUACCUUGAAAACCAGCAUAAGAGAGAUUGAGAUAUCUCAGCUGUUUGAAGGAACCAAUGAACUCAGGGAUCCGGCUUCCAUGUAAAUCAUUCCAACUCAAGUCCAGGUACUUGAGAUGCCUCAACUCAGCCAAUGAAGAGUUCACCUCAUUACCAACUAAAUAGCCUGCAUCACCCCAGUCGUAGUAGUAAUUUGCUCUGAGAUUGAGGCUGUCAACGGUUCCAGUGAGACUGUCACAGUGGAUUCCUUCCCACAGGCAACAAUACUCCCCCACCCAUGAAGACAACAUUCCAGAAGUAUCUUCAACACUCCCUUUGAACUUGAGAAGAGCAAGUCGCUCUUUUUGAGAGCAGGCGAGACUGACAUUUCCAACACCAAAACAAGAAUAUUUGUUUGCAACCAAAAAAACACAUACGAAAAUGAGAUGGAUCCCUAAACCCCUCCGAGUCCCCAUUAUUAACCCUCCUUUUUAAUUUAGAAGAAAGUUGAAGUGGAAAGAUAGGUUGUUAUAUUGAAGAAACCACUUCAUUUAUAAUGCCAUCAAUGAAGAAAAACUAAUUUCCAUGCCAUGGAAGACUUGAAGUCAACAGACAUUUGUAUGCACAAGUUGAAUUUUUGUGGUCCCCAUGGUAGACAGCUAGACACAAUUGUAUAUGGCAACAAUUCUUUUAAAAAAUAUAAAAUAAAUGACAAACAAGCAUUUAGAUUUUCAAGAAGUAUAGGAUAAUUUAUAAUAUUUUGUAAAUACUAGUUAUAAAUUAUAAACUUGAUUUUGAUGUUCAAUCAUAUUACAAAACUAGCUUCAAGAAAAUAAAUUUUUCGUUAUUAUUUGACUUGACAAGGUUAUUGUGCAAAGCUUAAUUAAAAGAUACAUUAUGUAACUCCAAAUUAAAGAUAUUAUAUUAUUUUUUAUAAAAAGAUGUAUUUUCUCAAAUGCAUUACGAUUUCAUUAGACAUAACAAUUUCAACCCAAUUAAUUGAAAAAUAGGUAUUUGUUAUAUUAAUAAUAAAAAUACCUAUUUUCAUAAUAAUAUAAAUAGAUAUAUAAAGAGAUGUUGAGGAGAUAAAAACGGGGUGGGGUGGGGGUUGAGGAAUUUAUGGGACCCAAUGUUUUAAUAAUAAAAAAAUAAAGUACAAAAAAUAAUUAAAGAUAUAAAAAAUCUAGUAAGGGAAAAAAUGUAUUUUUAGGUCUGUUAGGGAUAAAAAUCAUAACAAAACAAUACCAAAUGCAUGGUCCGAAUUGAGAAAUAAUAAUAUUAAAUAAGGGACCAAGCAUACAUAUUACCUUAAACCACAGGGACCAUUCAUGCAAUUUACUCUAGUUUUUUUCUUUUAAAUUUGAUACCAAUGUUUUUACAAUUGUUUUUGGCUUUUAACAAAUUGAUGGUAGUGAAUUGGAACACCAUUGAGGAAUUGUCUAUGGCCCAUGGCAUACGUCAAUGCAUUUGGCAAAAAAAGUCUUCCAAACAACAAAGCAAACCCACUAAUCACACACACACACACAAAAAAAAAGAAAAAAAAAAAGGACAUGAUUGAUGCACUAAGUAAGCAUCUUUCUUGUGGAAUUUUCCAUGAAACUUCUCCCUAUCAAAUGUAUUCAUCUUUAAUAUAAUUAUAAGUAUCUUUUAAAUCUAAAAUAAAUUACAAUCAUAUUUUAACCUAAAAUAUCUUUAAUAUAACUACUUUUAAAGAUUAAUGAAAUUAUAUACCAAUAGUUUUUAAGUAAAUACACGAAUGGUCUCUAUGAUUUCAGGUAAUUAGCGUGUAUUGUCCUUUAACCGUUUUUUUAAACUUGGAUGGUCCCUAUGGUUUGGUUUUGUUUCGGGUUUGGUACCCAACAAACUUAAUAUGACUAUCUUGCGCUUAAUAAUAUUUUUCUAUAAUUUUUUAGUUCAUUUUUUAUUAUUAUGUUAUUAUUAAAUAGAGUAAAUUAUUAAUGUCUAAAAUGAUACUUCACCAAACACCAGAUGCUGCCCUUGAAACCACCUCCCCCACCAUUGCAAAAGAUUGAAGGAUCCAGCCUCACACCAUUUUCCCCUCUGUUACAGACAAAAAACAACAUCAUCAUCCAUUCCUGAUGAAAAUCAAAUUCAUACCAAGUUCACUCGAUCAGAUAUAUAAUCUCAACUCUCGUAAAAAUGUUAAAAAAAAGAAACGAAAGAAGAAAUGCACAUAAACCAUCAGUGCAGAAGUUAACUGGAAGCACAAGUUUGGGGACACUAGAAACCAUAUCAUGUACAUCAUGAUCUUGCGCAUGUGUAAGCUUUGACAGCAUGCAGUGCCUACUGAAAAAGGUUUAUUUACUAAUACGAUAAUUAUGGUAUCAUGUACAAAACCUAAUCUGAUUAUAUUGGGAGCAAUUACGUGUACACACAUACAUAUAUAAUAUUUGGCCUGGUAAAACUGUACACACAUAAAUAAAUAAAAAUUCAUUUGUAGGAACUGCUUUCAUAGCAUAUGAAGAAGAACCGGUUCCUAAUAUAGCAGCAAUAUGAAAACAUGUUUUUUUUUCCAAUUUUCUCACAGUAAAACAAAAGCAAGAAAAAAUAGAGGCUUUUCAUGAGCACAGGUCAAACUCAACAACAACAAUUACCAGCAUAUAUGAUACCAUUGCAUUCUAUUUGGGAGAGAAUAAAUAGUUUGCUUUCUUGGUGAUUAUGAUAAACAAACAAGCUUACUUGUUAUUAUCAGAUAAUAAAUUCAUUCUACUUACUGUAUAUAUGAUCUCUAAUUUUGGUAUAUGUUCAAAACAAAACGAAAGAAGAAAUGCAUAAAAAUCAUCACUGCAAAAGUUAACUUGAGGAACAAGUUUAGGGACACUAGAAAGCAUAUAAUGUAAAUAAUGAUCCAACCAAAUAUUCUGUCCUUUCUUGUUUACAUAAAUCCUCCCAGAUACCGUUCUGAUACGUUGCUUAACAUAGAAAUUAAUAAGAUGAAUUAUUAAAAUCAUAUAUAUACAUGUUAUCCUUUAGAAGAAUGAUAUAAUAGUUAAGUAUGUGAUCUUGCUAACGUAUAUCAUCAUUAAGUAAAUUAAAACAUUAAUAAAUAGAAAUUACAAUUUCAAUAUAUAUAUAUCAUCUAUCAUUUUCUUGAAAUUUUACCCAAUUCUAAAGGGAUUCCCGGGAUUUUGUUUCUGUUGCUGUUUUGUUGUGUAAUUGUUUAAAUCUUUGUUUUCUUCUAUUUUUUAAAAAACAUUACUGUAAUGAUUAUGAAACUUCAAGUGUUCCCAUAUCUUUGCUUUAUAAAUGUGUUCUUCAACUACAACAUCUCUUCAAAGUUAUAACCAGAUUUGACAGUUACCAAUGUUCUUUAUCUGAAAAGUAUUACAUCUGACUCGGAAUAAAUAAUUCUAUGUGGAAGAAGGUAUGUAAGACAAUGACUUUUGUAACUAUUAAUCUAUUAACUUAAAUACUUACACUUUAGUAUUUGGUAAUUUAUUUAAUUACUUAUUUAUGUUUUAUGAAUAUAUGUAAUUGAAGUAGAAAGUAAUUGUGGUCAACAAGAUUUUCUUCUAUGGUUACAGCACCAGUUAUUUUCAUGUUUAUUGUAGCAUUUGAGCAUCUAUUCGUUUAUCUCCAAAAAUCAAAUAAAUUCAUAUCAAUUUUACACUUGAUCGUUUGGUAUUCAAAAUCAAAGAAGAAGAACCAACUCUAUACCUAUGAUAUCAUCUGGCUAGAACAUGUCAAAAUAGAACCUAAUGUGAUAAUAUUGGAAGUAAGUACACACAUACAUGCUGGGUUUCCUCAUAACUAUUCCCCCAUCCUUGGAUAAACCAAAUAAAAUUAUACAUAAAUAAAUUGAUACAUCAUUUGUAAGAACUUUCAUGGAAUAUGAAGAAGAACCAAUUCUAUAAUUAUGCAGCAUUGCAAGAAAUGUUUUUUUUUUCCAAUGCUGCAGCAACUAAUACUCUAGGGUUGAUGUGUACUGAUCAAAAUAAGUGAUUGGUUGGCAACAUGUGAAAAUUAGGUCAAAUAGAAAAAAAAAGGAAAAAAAAAACUUACGAGGUUAAUAUUGUCGACAACGAGUGAGGAAUGAAGGAGAGGGAUGAAUCAACAAUUGAUGGCUUUGGAUUUUCCUUGUCCUCGCCUCUUCGCUUGUAGUGACGGAGGAUAGGGUAUGAGAACGCGAUCGUCGACGGAGGAAUAAACAAAAGGAGAUUUUGGAGUCUUCUUGCUGUAAAAAAUAAUUUUUGGCUCAUUUGAAUUUUACGUAUUUUGUGGUAAUAUUAAAUUUUAUUCGUAUAUUGUUUUAUGGUUUUUUAUAUUUUAUUAAAUUUCAUAGGAUAAUAAAUAGAUAUUAAUUUUAAUAAUUCACUUUCUAAAUUUAAAAUUUCUAAUUGGAUAAUUCAAUCAUAUUUUAAUGUCAUUAAAUUAGGAACAAAAUUAACGGAUGUUUUUGGUAAAUAUAAUCUCUACAUCUUCCUCGUUAUAUUUGAUACGACAUUAACCUCUGACGAUUCUUCUAGUCUUCUGCUGCUGCGGAGAUCUGUUAGUCACAAUCAGAGAGAUGUGUUAGAGCCGUCCCAGGGACUGUGCCCCGGGAGCGGACACCGACGAUCAAGUUAGAUCAGCUGAUAGAUCUGAGAUGGUCCUACAUAGCUGGAGAGAAUCAUCUUGGUGUUGGUGGUGGUGUAUGGUGGCUAACGGCGGCGGGCGGCGGUUGAGCCACCCGGCCUGUGUAUAGUAUGUCGGCUAAGCUAAAGGGAAGAUCCCCCUCCAUGGAGGAGGUACUGUUCAUUAUAUAAGGAAAAUUAGGUCAAGGGGAAUUAGGUCAGGCCUUGGGCCCGCCCAAUUCAGGCCCAGCUAGCAAGGAGUUGGGCAAGGCCGCCCGGAGGCGCGGGGCGGGGCUGGCGGGCGCGCACCAGGAAAGACUGGCAAGGGGCGCUAGGCAAGGGAGCGUCGGGUCGGGCCGGCAUGAGAGUCCCCAAUAUAGCUGGCAAGGGAGCACCAGGCAAGGCUGGCAAGGGGACGCUAGGCAAGGCUGGCAAGGGGAUGUCAGGCAAGGCUGGUGGGAGCGCGCUAGGCUAGGCUGGCGCUUUAGAGUGGUCUAGGCCAUGCUGAUGUACCAUAUAUCAUCAAGUCCCCCAGUCUGGUGUUAUUGGUACGUGGCCAAUGAUAUCGGACUAGAACUAGUCAUAUAAACUAGCAGGAGAGUCCCCAGCGAGGCUGGCAAGGGAAUGCCAGGCAGGGCUGGCAGGAGCGCGUCAGGCCAGGCUGGUGCACUAGAGCAGUCUGGGCCAUGGUAAUGGACCAUAUAUCAUCAAGUCCCCCCAGUUUGGUGUUACUGGUAUGCGGCCAAUGACAUCGGAUUGGACUUAGUCAUAUAAACUGUGCGUCGUCAAGUCCCCCUAGUCGGAUGCGAUUGGGUUGCUGACAAUUGGAUCGGACUAGAUAAAGCAUCAAUAUAUCAAAGAAUAGAGAGAACGACCGAACCCCGCCCACGAGAGUCGUGGGGUUGCGUGAUGAGCCAAGCAUUACUUAUGUAGCCUUGACUAGAUACUCCUUCGUUGAGAGGAGUGCGAGGUUGCUAAAGAGUGUUACACGACACUAAUGUCGAUAAAAUGUCUGGCCGGUGUAGCUAAGGAGCAUAAGCUCGCCAUACAGUCUCUAAGACCGCUAUUCGACACGAUUGUUGUGGUAGUCAUGCGCAUAUGGAAUAUCACCAAUAUCUGUCUACAUAGUCUGCAUUAAUAACCGUCUUGAAGGUAUUUCUUGCUUGGGCUACACUUAGUUGGAUUCCCCCGAGUCUCAUGUGGGUAGAGUAGGUAAGGGAGAUAAUUUAGUAUAAAGCAUUUGCUACAGAUUAUAUUUAGCAUUAGGAGCUGCAAGUGUGUUGCAGAACAAGGCCAUCAGGUACAUUGGUACAUCAGGAUCAUUUGAAACCUAUAAAUAUAUCAAUGCAUCAUUUUUAAUGACGCUAAAUUUCAAUCUUCUCUGUGUUACCGGUCCCAACAUAUGAAAAUUAGGUCAAAUAGAGAAAAGAAGGAAAAAAAACUUACGAGGUGAAUAUUGUCGACAACGACUAAGGAAUGAAGGAGAGGGAUGAAUCAACAAUUGAUGGCUUUGCAUUUUCCUUAUCCUCGCCUCUUCGCUGGUAGUGACGGAGGAUAGGGUAUGAAAACGCGAUCGUCGAUGGAUAAACAAAAGGAGAUUUUGGGGGAAAUUGUGUGUGGGCCCUCGACUCUUCUUGUUGUAGAAAAUAAUUUUUGGCUCAUUUGAAUUUUGCGUAUUUUAUGGUGAUUUUAAAUUUUAUUUGUAUAUCUUUUAUAUUUUAUUAAAUUUCAUAGGAUAAUAAAUAGAUGUUAAUUUUAAUAAUUCAUUUUUUUAAUUUAAAAUCCCUAAUUGGAUAAUUCAAUCGUCAUUAAAUUAGGAACAAAAUUAAGGAAUGUAUUUGGUAAAUAUAAUCUCUACAUCUCCCUUCUUAUAUUCUUAUUUCUUCUCUAUCAAUAAUGAUUUAUAUAUAAGAAUGUAUUAUAUUACUAUACUAUUAUAUUAUUUUAUUUAUUAAAAUAUUUAUGGUCAAAAGUAGAAUUUGAAAUUUGAUAUAGAAGAAAACUAAUGCUUUUGAGUAAUUUAAUUCUAUUUUAUUUUUCUAAUAUAUAGAGAAUAUGAGAAUAUAAUAAAUAUCAUUAUAAUAUAUUAUAUUUAACAUCAUAUUAAUUUAUUUCUUUUAAUUUUGUUAUUAUAUUAAAUAAGAAAAUAAUAUAACUAAAUUAAAAUAUUUUUACGCUUUUAAAAAAAAAUUGUUAUAUACAAUUAAUGUUGUUUAUGAUAAAGUUUUUAUGUUACAGAACAUAACUAUUAUCUAACUAGGGUUGAGCAAGAUGUAUGUUGUGAACGAAUCCAACUGGAACCGAUUACAACUUGAUAUUUAAUUUUUUUUAGUCAAACCGUGUGUUACACGGGUCUCACACCUAGUAAAAGCAUAAGUUUUUAAGGCCGAAAGAUGUAACAUAUCAUACCGUUGCGGUUUAGAGGGUGCAGGUAAACGAUGAGGUGAGUCUAUCUCUUCGUGUAAUUGGUCAACCUUUUUUUGUUUUUUUAAUAUUUAUUAAAUUAUAUAUCUACAAAAAAAAUUAUAAAAAAUAUAUCAAAAUUCAUUGUUUUUAAUUUCCUACAAAAUGAGUAUAAUUGUAACACUCCAAUGAUGAGGUACUUCUAAUUUUGACUUUAUAAUUGAAUUAUAUUGCAUUUUGGUCCCUAAGGAAAAAAGAAAGAGUGCAAAAGGGGCCCAUAGUGGCACUUCGGUAAAUUCGGACUUUGGGGAGUACGCUGAGCGUACGUGUGUACGCUAAGCGUACUAGUGCACGCCUUAGUACGUUAGGCGUACACCUCGUAUGCAGGGUAUACGUGAAGAUCAUGCAAACCCUAAUUUUUAGGAUUUUGACCCUAUAUAAACAUCACUAUAACCUCAUGUCCCCUUCCUUCUUCAGCCACCCUCUGUGAGAACGAACCCCAAGCAAACCCUAAGUGAAAAAGAGUGCCUUUUGGAGCCCAUUAGAGUGUUUAGAGGAGUUCUUGAAGGUGAAGAGUGAAGUGUGAAGAGUUUAGAGUUGGGAAGCACCUUGGAUCUGUGAUUUCUACCUUGAUUACAACCUCCAGAAGGUAUAAAUCUUGCAACUUUACCACUUCAUAUUAUAGAUCUAGAUUUUUGUUCUUUUAAGACACUUUUUGGUCCCAUAAUGGUGAUUCUUGAGCACGACAUGUUCUUGACUGUAACAGCCCGGAAUUUCAGGUAUUGUUAUAAUUAUGUUUUUGGGGUGUUUUAGAGGGGACUCGGCGAGUUGGAACCUAGACUCGCCGAGUAGGAUCGCGGACCUGGUCGCGGGUUCGCGACGAUAUGGACUCGUCGAGUCUGCGCUGUUUAGCGAAAACCCUAACCGUUCAGGUUUGGGACGUAUAUGAGGGACUUAUUGGCCGUCAUUGUUCACUUUAGCCUUCUGAGAGAAACCCUAAUUCGAUUGUGUGCAUCUGGAGCAAGGUUGAAGACCAUUGUUGAUUUUGGAAGAGUUGUUGUGCAAGGAAGAGAAGGCUUGGUUAAGGGAACAACAAGAGAGUCACGUUCUGAGGAUUGAGGACACAGAGAGCACAUUAUUCAUGUAAUAAUUCGAGUUACAUUCUUCUAUGUUGAUGUGUAUAUGGAUUUAGGGUUUAUGGAACCCUUUUAUGGCUAGAUUGAAUGUUACCUUAGUCCCCAAACGAUUGGAACCCUGUAUUGGGACCUUUGGAGGUCCAGAAUGUCCCAUGCCUGAGCAUUUCGGGAAUCAAUGGAGGUUUUGGAUUGGAAUCCUUAUGCCUUAGGUCAAAAUGUAAAUUAUGAGUCAUGGGGUGUAUUAUGAGCACCGAAAUGGGGACAUUGCGUGAUGAAUCAGUCUAGGAAGGCCAAACCUAUGAAUGGUCGGAGCAGUUCUGACCUUAGAAAGCAGUUUGAGCGGUUGCAUGGCAUGGACUCGCCGAGUCCGAUGAACAGACUCGGUGAGUAGCUUGAAGAUUAACUGGAACUCGUCGAGUUGUUCUUCAGACUCGGCGAGUUGAGUCGGGGUGGCCCCGCGAUUCUUCCAGGAGUAACUCGUCGGGUCAAGGAGGAUACUCGACGAGUAGAAAGGGAAUCUUAGAGAAUUGGUGAGGACGUCUAGACUCGCCGAGUCGCCCUAGCACUCGCCGAGUCCGGUCAAGUUGACCGUUGACCGUUGACCAGAGUUGACCUAUGUCUGACUUCUUAGGGAUAGUCAAACUUAGAAGAUAAAAGUGUUAAUAAGAGAUAUAUGAUGUUAUAGGGAGAUUGUAGCUCGGCGGAUCGAGCACGAGUGAUUUCGGGAUUUGCUAGCUUUCGAUAUUCACGAGGUGAGUCUUCUCACUAUACUGUACCCGGAAGGGUUUGACUGUGUGACCGGAAGGUCGGAUAUGAUAUGUGAUAUAUGUGCUAUAUGUGAUAAGUUAAUUGUUAUACGUGCUAUGUAUGUUAUGUGGGCCGGAAGGCAUUAUGUUAUGGGCCGGAAGGCGAUUAUGUUAUGGGCCGGAAGGCGUUGUGUUGUGGACCGGAAGGUCGGCGUGGGUAGGACCGGAAGGUUUACCCAGCAGGGACGGAAGUCCCCUGAGACACAUGGACCGGAAGGUCAGGGCCUGGAAAGGCGUAUGUGCGUAAGUUGUAUAUUGGGGAACUCACUAAGCAUUUAUGCUUACAGUUGUUAUGUAUGUGUUUCAGGUACUAGCGAGGACCGUGGGAAGGCGCCGGCGUGAUCUGUACACACUGAAGGAUGUUUUGUGAUCUUGGGAUUUAGAUGACUUGUAUUUUUGACAUGACACUUGAAAUGUUUAUGCCUUGUUUUGAAUGAAAAUAACUUAUUUUGAAAUGAAAAAUUUGUUUGAAAAUUUACGGUGUUACAAAUUGGUAUCAGAGCCUUGGUUUGAGGGAUUCGGGUGCACCUUCGGGCGUAACUGAACUCAAACCGAGGAUUUGAGGAAAACUUUUAAAAUAAAGGCAUAAACUUUUGUAAAUGAUUUUGUGGUAAACAAGAAAGAAGCAGUGUGUACGAUCAGUCAGCGCCCGAACGGUAAAGAUCCCCAAAAUACCUUACAAUGUUAUGUUAAGAGAUAAGAUAUGAUGUGAACUGUUAUGCAUGCUAGAAGACUAGGUAUUCAUGAUAGGACUAGAGUGGCCUGAUUUGUGAUGCCUUAGUCUAGGGAAGUUUGCCGAUAUGAGAUGCUUUGAUAGCGUGCAGAUAGAUAGUGCAUAUCAAAAGUAGAGUACUCACUAUCCGGGGUUUGGGGAGGAAGAUUUGGGAUGAAUGCUGAUGCGGUGUGGUCGGUAGUAUUGGGCCCGUACUACCGAAGACACCGGGUCAGUGGGAGACCCAAGUAAGAAUCCCUGGAUAUCGGAGACUGAGUAGGGUUGCGUUAUCGAGUGCGAUUAUACUCGAUGGAGUCUCUGAUAGUUUUAUGUUGUAUUUCAGAGACAUCAUGGUUAGACCACGCCACGGAGCGAGUUCGAGCGGUGUGAGUGACGAGGAGAUUCGUCAGAUGAUUCACGAGGAGGUGGCUGCAGCGAUCCGGGCUGAGAUCCCGGAGAUGUUUGGGUCUAUUAAGACCACCCUGAUGGAGACGUUCGAUGAGCGGUACGCCGCAUUGACUGAGGCUGCAACCGCUGCAGCUACCGCAGCUGUGGCCGCUGCUAGGCCACAGGGGGGUGACUCGUUGCUGUUCCGAGAGUUCAGCAACACGAAGCCACCAGAGUUCGAUGGGACGCAGGAUCCGAUUGCUGCGAUGAGGUGGAUCGCAGAUAUAGAGGGGUGCUUCUACACUUGUUCAUGCCCGGAGCACCUGAGGGUACGGUUCGCUUUGAACCAGCUCCGUCUGGGAGCGAAGGACUGGUGGAAGUUCGUGACGGCGAACUUCACUUUGGCAGAGACUACGGCAGUGACAUGGGAGGGGUUCACUACCAUGUUCAGGGAUGAGUACGUUCCCCCGGUGGAGCGGGAACGAUUGGUUCAGGAGUUCUUAACCCUCAAGCAGGGUACUGAUUCGGUUGCGGUGAUCACGCGGAAGUUCCAUGAGAGGGCGAUGUUUUGCCCCGAGCUGGUGGCCACAGAGCAGGCUCGGAUGAGCCGGUACUUGGGUGUUCUGAGGAGGGAGAUCCGGGAGUUUGUGUCAAACUCCACUUACCAUACUUUUACUGAGCUUCAGGCGAAUGCCAGGAAGCGUGAGAUCGAGUUAGAGACUCAGGCCAGGGAGGAGGCCGAGUCUCAGCAGGCAGACCGGCGGCCGGCUCAGUCUCAGCCGGCAGCCAAGCGGAUCAAGUCCGCCGAUUCGAGGACGGGAGGUUCGAAGAACCGCACUUGCGUAAAGUGCGGUAAGGGUCACGAUGGGGCGUGUCGAGCCGGUGCUUGCUACAAGUGUGGCAAGGAGGGACACAUUGCUAGGGAGUGUCCCAAGGGAUUUAUGGUUUGCUUUCAUUGCAACCAGACCGGCCAUCGGAAGGCCGAGUGCCCUCAGCUUCGUCAGGGAUCUGCACCUGUUGCCAGGACUACUGAGACUCGACCGGUGAAGGUCGAGGCCCCGAGGGCUCGUGGGAGAGCCUUUCAGCUGACUGCGGAGGAGGUCCGCGCUGCGCCCGAUGUUGUGGCAGGUAUGUUGUAAUUCAUGUAAUUAUUUUAAUGUCGAUAUGUUAUGCUUAUGUUAUUAUGCGCGUAGGUACUUUCCUUGUGAACUCUGUGCCUGCCUUAGUGUUAUUUGACUCGGGUGCGAGUAGGUCCUUUGUGUCCUUAGCCUUUAGUCAGCAUAUCGGCGUUAGUCGUGAGUCGUUGAGUCGACCUUUGAGAGUUUCUAUAGCUGACGAGAAGGUGAUUUGUGCUACGGAGGUUCUUCGGGGAUGUGUACUAGAGAUUUUCGGGAUUGGAUUCCCAAUUGAUCUGAUUCCUAUCGCGAUGGGGGAUGUCUGUGUCAUCGUGGGCAUGGACUGGCUGAGCCGGUUCGGCGCUGUCAUCGACUGUGAGCGUCAGUUGGUGACUAUACGAGACCCUAGAGGGGGAGUUCUUUCGGUGUACGGCGAGGGUACCCGUUCGGGAUCAGCUUUUUGUUCGGCCGCUAGGGCGAGGCAGUGUCUACGGCAGGGCUGUAAGGGUUUUGUGGCGUAUGUGAUGGAUACGCGGGAGGUUUCCGAGAAACCGAAGUCAGUUGAGGAAGUUCCGGUGGUGCGCGAAUUUUCAGAUGUCUUUCCCGAGGAGUUGCCGGGAGUACCGCCUGUGAGGCAAGUAGAGUUUAGUAUUGAUCUGGUUCCGGGGGCAGCACCUAUUGCUAAAGUGCCCUAUCGUCUUGCACCUCCAGAGAUGCAAGAGUUGUCCUCGCAACUCCAGGAGUUGCUGGGGAAGGGAUUCAUUCGGCCGAGCAGCUCGCCAUGGGGAGCACCUAUUCUGUUCGUCAAAAAGAAGGAUGGUUCACACCGGAUGUGCAUUGAUUACCGGGAGUUGAACAAGCUAACGGUCAAGAACCGUUACCCGUUGCCGAGGAUCGAUGAUUUAUUCGAUCAGUUGCAGGGAGCAUCUUGGUUUUCCAAGAUCGAUCUGAGGUCAGGAUACCAUCAGGUGAGAGUACGGGAUGAAGACGUCCAGAAGACAGCGUUUAGGACGCGAUAUGGACAUUAUGAGUUUGUGGUGAUGCCUUUUGGACUCACCAAUGCCCCGGCUGUGUUCAUGGAUCUCAUGAACAGGGUAUGCAGGCCGAUGUUGGAUCGGUCAGUGAUCGUAUUUAUCGACGACAUUCUGGUGUAUUCGAGAUCGAGAGAGCAGCAUGAGGAGCAUUUGAGGGAGGUCCUUGAGGUAUUGAGGUCGGAGAAACUUUAUGCAAAGUUCUCCAAAUGUGACUUCUGGUUGCGGGAGGUCCAGUUUCUAGGACAUGUGGUUAAUCAGAAAGGGAUAUUGGUCGAUCCGGCCAAGGUUGAGGCGGUGAUGAGUUGGGAGGUGCCGAAGUCACCCUCUGAGAUCAGAAGUUUCCUUGGGUUGGCAGGGUAUUAUCGGAGAUUUAUCAAGGAUUUCUCCAAGAUCGCAGUGCCACUCACCAGAUUGACCCGGAAGGGUGUUACGUUCUCAUGGGGGCCCGAGCAGCAGACCUCCUUUGAGACACUUCGCCAGAGAUUGUGCGAAGCCCCGGUAUUAGCUCUCCCAGAAGGGAUGGAAGAUUUCGUGGUAUAUUGCGACGCAUCGAUUUCGGGAUUGGGUGCAGUGUUGAUGCAGAGGGGUCAUGUGAUAGCUUAUGCGUCGAGGCAGCUGAAGCCUCAUGAGGCGAGAUAUCCCACGCAUGAUUUAGAGUUGGGGGCAGUAGUGUUCGCUCUCAAGAUUUGGCGUCACUACUUGUAUGGGGUUCGAUGUACGAUAUACACGGACCAUAAGAGUUUGAAGUAUUUGAUGGAUCAACCCAACCUAAAUAUGCGUCAGAGGAGGUGGUUGGAUGUGGUCAAGGAUUAUGAUUGUGAGAUCCUGUACCACCCAGGCAAGGCUAAUGUGGUAGCCGAUGCAUUGAGUCGCAGGGCGGAGAGCACUCCAUUGCGAGACGUAUGCUUGAGACUGACUGUGAUGACUCCAGUAUUGGACGCUAUUCGUGGGGCCCAGGCAGAGGCUGUGCGACCAGAAAUGCAGAAGAAAGAGCGGGUUGUGGGGUUAAUCUCAGAGUUUGUCAAGGAUAGUCGAGGCCUUAUGACGUUUCAGGGUCGGAUUUGGGUACCGUUCGUGGGCGGUACGCGUAUUACGUUGAUGGAAGAGGCUCAUAGAUCGAAAUUCUCGAUCCAUCCCGGUGCUACAAAGAUGUAUUUGGAUUUAAGGAAGGAAUAUUGGUGGCCCUGUAUGAAGAGGGACGUGGCAUGGUUCGUUGAGAGGUGCUUGACCUGCCGUAGGGUUAAGGCUGAGCACCAGAGACCGCAUGGCAAGUUACAGCCAUUGGAGAUCCCCGAGUGGAAGUGGGAACAGAUCACUAUGGAUUUUAUCACCAAAUUGCCGAGGACUGCUAGGGGAGUUGACGCAAUUUGGGUGAUCGUGGAUAGGUUGACAAAGAGUGCACACUUCCUUGCCAUCAGUGAGAGUUCUUCGGCGGAGAAAUUGGCGGAGAUAUACGUGAGAGAGGUGGUAUCUCGGCACGGGGUGCCGAUCUCGAUUGUGUCAGACCGUGAUGUGCGCUUUACUUCCAGAUUCUGGAAGAAAUUCCAUGAGGAGCUGGGUACUAAAUUGCAUUUUAGUACCGCAUACCAUCCCCAGACAGACGGUCAGAGCGAGCGGACGAUUCAGACGCUGGAGGACAUGCUCCGAGCGUGUGUGUUAGACUUCGGGGGUAGUUGGGAUGCGUAUUUACCAUUGGCAGAGUUUUCCUACAACAACAGCCAUCAUUCGAGCAUUGGUAUGCCACCUUUCGAGCUGUUGUAUGGUAGGAGGUGUCGGACCCCCAUUUGCUGGGGAGAGGUGGGACAGAGAGUGAUGGGCAGCACGGAGAUCGUGCUCCAGACGACAGAGCAGAUUCAGCGAGUGAGACAAAGGUUAUUGACUGCCCAGAGCCGACAGAAGAGUUAUGCAGACAGGCGCCGAUCCGAGCUUGAAUUUCAGGUCGGCGACUUCGUUCUCCUGAAGGUCUCUCCUUGGAAAGGAGUGAUUCGAUUCAGGAAGAGGGGCAAGUUGGGGCCCCGGUAUAUUGGGCCAUUUCGUGUGAUUGCAAGGAUAGGCCGGGUAGCCUAUCGGUUGGAGUUGCCAGCGGAGUUGGGUCAGAUCCAUGACACUUUUCAUGUGUCGCAGUUGAGGAAGUGCAUAGCCGAUGAGUCGGCAGUGGUUCCAUUGGAGGAUAUUCAGGUGGAUGCGAGCCUGAAUUACGCGGAGAGACCAGUGGCUAUCAGGGAUCGGAAGAUCAAGGUUCUGAGGAACAAGGAGGUACCUCUGGUGUUGGUUCAAUGGCAACACCGUAAGGGAUCAGAAAUGACUUGGGAACCGGAGCGCGAAAUGCGGGAGCAGCAUCCGGAACUAUUUGCAGAGUGAGACUUCGAGGGCGAAGUCUAAUCCAAGUGGGGGAGAGUUGUAACAGCCCGGAAUCUCAGGUAUUAUUAAAAUUAUGUUUUUGGGGUGAUUUAAGAGGGGACUCGGCGAGUUGGAGCCUAGACUCGCCGAGUAGGAUCGCAGACUUGGUCGCGGGUCCGCGACUGGACUCGACGAGUCCAGAUAUGGACUCGGCGAGUCGACGCUGUUCAGCAGAAACCCUAACCGUUCAGUUUGGAUCGUAUUUAACGCCUCUUAGGCCGUCAUUUUCAGUCUUUUGGUCAAUUGAGAGGAACCCUAAUCGCUGUGGACGCCUAGAGCAAGGGAGAAAGCUUUGGAACUUGGAAGAAUUGGUUAGGCAAGAAGAAGAGGGAUUUGGCUAAAGGAAUAUCAAGGAGGAUUGAGUCCUGAGAUUUGGGGGACACAGAGAGUGCGUUUUCAGGUAAUACUCGGACCAAAUCUGUUAUUUUGAUGUAUUUAUGAAAUUAGGGUUUAUAGAACCCAUUUAGUGAUUUGAUGAAGUAAUGCCUUGUUACCCCACGAUUAUAGUCUUGUAUUAGGACCUUUAGAGGUCCAGAAGGUCCCAUGCAUGUGUACUUCGGGACGAGACCUAUCUCAGGAAGCAGUUACUCGUCUGCAUGGCAUGGACUCGCCGAGUUGUUCUUCAGACUCGGCGAGUAGCUUGAAGAUUUGCUGGGACUCGCCGAGUUGUUCAUCAGACUCGGCGAGUGGAGUCGGGGUGGCCCCGCGAUUCUUCCACGAGGACCUCGUCGAGUCAAGAGGGAUACUCGACGAGUAGAAAGGGAAUAUUCAGGAAUUUGUGAGGACGACUAGACUCGCCGAGUCGCCAUGGUACUCGCCGAGUCCAGUCGAGUUGACCGUUGACCGUUGACCAGAGUUGACCUAUGUCUGACUUCUUAGGGAUAGUCAAACUUAGAAGAUAAAAGUGUUAAUAAGAGAUAUAUGAUGUUGUAGGGAGAUUGUAGCUCGGCGGAUCGAGCAUGAGUGAUUUCGGGAUUUGCUAGCUUUCGAUAUUCACGAGGUGAGUCUUCUCACUAUACUGUACCCGGAAGGGUUUGACUGUAUGACCGGAAGGUCAGAUGUGAUAUGUGAUAUAUGUGCUAUAUGUGGUAAGUUAUUUGUUAUAUGUGCUAUGUAUGUUAUGGGCCGGAAGGCGAUUAUAUUAUGGGCCGGAAGGCAUUAUGUUAUGGGCCGGAAGGCGAUUAUGUUAUGGGCCGGAAGGCGUUGUGUUAUGGACCGGAAGGUCGGCGUGGGUAGGACCGGAAGGUUUACCCAGCAGGGACGGAAGUCCCCUGAGACACAUGGACCGAAAGGUCAGGGCCUGGAAAGGCGUAUGUGCGUAAGUUGUAUAUUGGGGAACUCACCAAGCAUUUAUGCUUACAGUUGUUAUGUAUGUGUUUCAGGUACUAGCGAGGACCGUGGGAAGGCACCGGCGUGAUCUGUACACACUGAUUGAUGUUUUGAGAUCUUGGGAAUUCUAUGAAUUGUAUUUUGACAUAACACUUGGAAUAAUUAUGCCUUGUUUGAAUGAAAAUACUUUAUUUUUGAAAUGAAAAAUUUGUUUGAAAAUUUGCGUUGUUACAUUGACCCAUUAAGUCGUCCUUCAAACCUUAGGAAGGGUCUUAAGUCAUAAAAAAUGGGGUCUUAAUGGUUAGUUUUGCUCCGUGUAUUCUUUAGAAGAUCUUAAUGUAUUAAGAUGUUGAUUAAGCACUUAAUAGACAUGCAAAGUCAUAAAGUUGGAAACUUUAUGACUCUUGAGGAUGAUUUAGCCUUGGAUCUGAAAGUUAGACGUAAGAGCUUAAGGCAUUAAGCUCUUAAUGAAGUUUGAGAAGUCUAGGCGUACACCCUACGUAACUUGAGUACGUAGAACGUACGAGGUCAUCUCUCUUGUCUGCGGUCAAGGUUUGGGUACACCCCGUGUACCUUUGGAGUACCCCACGUGUACGCGUUCUGUAUCGACUCGACUGAGUUGACUCUUAUGGGUUGAAUCGAUCGGGUAGACUCAGUUGACUUAUUGAUCUUGACCAGUUUGACUUUGACAUUGCCCAAGUUUGAGUCAAGGGUAUUUUGGAUUGUGGUUGAGAAUUGGUCAUUUAGUUGGAUAGGUGACUGUUAGAGCUGAUAUUCGGAGUCGGGACCUCAUCAACUUUUGUUCAGACUAUGAUGUGAGUCUUCCUCACUGUACUUACGGGUCGAAGGCACCAAGGCCAGCCCAUUGGAUUGAUAUCCUGGUUUACCAUAUGUUGUUACGCUGUAGUGAUAUGUUAGAUAUGUAUCCUAGUUUCUAGGGUGUUGCUAUGUGAUAGUGAUUUGUAGACCUACUUGUUUGUCUGUUGGUUGAUUAUAUAUUUAUCUGUUAUGUAUAUGUUAACAUAUUUUGAGUUGUGGUUGAGGAUUUACUUCUUUGUGCAUGAGCCAAUAGACCAGGAGCAUUCUAACCCGAUGGUUGAUUGGGCCCGCGGGUAUUCCAUCCCGAGGAUGAAUGGACCCCUUGUAUAGUGACAUUCCAACCUAGGGUAUUCCAUCUUGAAGAUGACUGGACUCGGAGGUUGACUGGGUCUGGGGUAUUCCAACCCGAUAGUUUAUUGGACCUGAUAUGUUGUUGUAGAUGUUAUAUUUUUGUGUGUUGGUACUUUGAGGGAAACUCGCUAAGAUUUGUCUUACGGUUUUUAGCUGUUGUUUCAGGUACUUCUAAUGAUCGUGGGAAGGCGAAGGCGUGACCAUACACAUCCUAUGUUUAUGGCUUUAUGCUUUUGGGAUAAUUUGGAAACGAUGAUUUUGUAAACAUUUUAUGACUAUGGGUUGCUUUUAAAUGUUUAAAUUUGUUGUGAUUUUAUAGAUUUUACAAGUUAGCACUCAAACCAAGGAAAUGAAAAGGUUUUAAAAAUGAUUUCCAAAAUAAUCAAGAGAGGAUGCGAUGUGUACAAUCAGCGGGAGCCAGUAAGUAGACCCCAAAUUAUCACACUGUUAUUUGAUAUUGUGAUAUGUUAAAACAACAUGCUAGUGAUAGGCUAUGGAUCUUCAUGAAUCGCAUGAUAGAAUUGUCUGAUUAUAUGAUGUUUGAUAGCCUAGUGUUUCCUUAUAUGAAAUUGACAUCAUUACUAUUGUUGCUUAGUGUAUGCAUCAAAAUUGUACAUAACUAAGAUUUUAUAGCCCGGGAAUGUUUGGUUUAGCCUUAUUUCAUGUUCUUUGUUUGGUUGUGGGCUUAGGGUAGAAUCAAGUAUUCGACUAUCUAUAAGAUCCAGUGUUAUGUAUGAUUAGCAUACAUGAGUGCUGCAGGGUUGGUGGAAGUUUCAUGGAUGAGUUAUGUGGGGUCAGCCGACCAGUUGAGGGAUGUUUAUCCUUUCUCUAGGAAGUAAGAAUAUGGUGUAUACGUAUUCUAGUGAGUAUUGUUACGGUUGUUGUGAUGAUCUUCUGAGACAAAUACGGGUAGGUGUGGAAGGUAGUAUGGGUCCGUACUACCGGAAGCACAUGAUCCAUACGCAUAGUAGGGAAGUGACAACCCCUUCGGUUUUUUAUGGGAAUUGGUCCUUGUGGUAUUUUGUGUGUUUAUUUAAUAUAUCCCUUGUUUAUUUACAGUAUGGAAGUUACGAGGCGAUUUGAGACAGGAUUCAGAUCAGGAUCGGGAGAGGGUAGCUAGGAUAGGCUAGCUUUGGCAGAGGACCGAGUUUAGGAUAUCAUUUAGGAGGAGGUCGUUUCUAUCAUCUGGGGUCAGAUAACGGAGUUAUUUGGGUCUAUUAAGACCGUUAUGAUGGAGUUCUUUGAUGACUGAUACGCUGCACUUUCUGAGACUGUUGCUGCUGCAGCCACCGCAGUCGUUGUUGCUGUGGGGAUUAGCAUUGAGAGGGAUUUCCAGUACCGUGACUUCGAUAAUACGAAGCCCGCGACGUUUGGCGGAGUUCAAGAUCCGAUCAUAGCCAUGAGGUGUCUGUCUGGCAUCGAGGGGAUGUUUAUUUACAUGCUCUUGCCCAGCUGACCAGAAGGUCAAGUGGGCUCUAAACCUUCUUCGGUCUGGAGCGAAGUAUUGGUGGAGGCUGUUUACUAGCUCGUAUUCCCCAGAGAAGAGGGAUUCCAUGACUUGGGUACGUAUAUUUCUCGGAGAUGUUCCGUUAUAGAUAUGUUCCACUAGUGGAGCGAGAGAGGUUAUCCCAAGAGUACUUGGAUUUCAGGCAGGGGACCGAGUCGGUGACGGAGAUCACCAAGAUGUUUACGGAGAGAGAUAUGUUUUACCCUAAGUUUGUUUCUUCUAAGCAAGCUUAGAUGACCCGGUACUUGAGCAUGCUCAAGCUGGACAUCCGACAGUUUGUGUCCAUGCAACACUAUGGUUUAUUGGUAGAUUUACAGGAGGCCGCUAGGCGACGUGAGAUUGAGAUGGAGCUCCAGGAGAAGGAGCAUAGGCAGGCGUCGGUAUAGUCUUAGUCUGCGCCAAAGCGGAUCAAGGUUGCUAAUGUUAGAUUUGGGAGUUAUAGGGGCCGCACUUGCGGGAAGUGCGGCAAGGUUCAUGAUGGACCUAGUUAAUCUUCUUCGGGAUGCCACAAAUGUAGCAAGCAGGGACACAACAUCAGGAUUUGCUAUCACUGUGAUCAAAUGGGCCACAUAAAAGGCCCAAUGCCCCUUGCUUGCUUCUAGACGGGCGCAGGCUCCAACGCCAGCUACUAUGAGGAUCACGGAUGAGAGCCAGGGUCGGGCGAAGCCUCUGAGGGCUUAUGGUCAUGCAUUUCAGCUUACUUCCGAGGAGGCCAGAGCAGCGCCCGAUGUUGUGACCGGUAUAUUUCUAUUUAUUGUUUUGUCGAUUAUUUUAUGGAGUGCUUAUAUUUAUGUUUCUGAUAGGUACAUUCUUAGUGAACUCUUUGCCUAAUCUAGUAUUAUUUGACUCGGCCGCGAGUCAGUCUUUUGUAUCGUGAUCAAUAAAGAUUUUGGUGUGCCUCUUUGUGAGUUAAAGUGUCCGUUGCGGGUUUCUAUCACCAACAACCACGAGGUUUCUGUUGGAUUAGUGUCUAAGUCCAUAACUAUUUUGGUAUGUACUUGACCCGAUGGUGCAUGGUCCUUUUGGGUUGCCUUCACCGAAGCAACUUGAUAGGAUGAAUUAUGGAGAGAAAGGAUUAAAUAGGAUUUAUUAAUAUAUUAUGAGAAUAAUAUAUUAAAGGAGAAAUCAUAUUGUUUAAUUAAUAUUAGUCAAUAAUUAAUUGGUAAUUAGUUUUGUGACUAAAAGAGAUUAAUUAAACUUAAGGGACUGGAAUUGUAAUUAUAAGAUAAUUGCAAUUUGGGCCAUGGAUUGUCUUAAAUCAAGAGGUGGACGAAUUCUUAUGGGAAGCCCAUAAGGAAAUCGUCCAAGGGCUUGAUUAAAGGAGUCUAUGGGUUGCUUAGGGCUUAAGCAACCAAAUUAGGGUUUCCUUGUUAGAUAACCCUAAUAGCCUCACUAUAUAUAGAACCCUUAAGGCUCAAAAACGUGGGGAACUUCUUUUCUAGGGUUAGAACACGUUUUGGGCAGCCUCCAUCCUCUCUCCUCUUCAUCCUCUUGCUUAUGGUGUUUGUAAGCCAUUAGAGGAGUGACACUUGUGACUCUAAGCCUUCCAAAGUCAAUUCAAGGAGGAAUUGGGAUUGUUAUUGCUACAUAACAAUCAAGGUAAUAUCUUAAACCUAAUUAUAUGUUAAUAUUGAUUUCCAUAUGCUAGAAUUAGGGUUUAUAGUCUUGGAUUCAAAGCAUGUACAAUAGAGAAACCUAGAUCCAAGCAUUAGGGUUUGUAUGAGCACAUAGGAUGUCUUAUGACCAAAACCCAUCAGUGGUAUCAGAGCCUAGCUUGGUUUCAAUUGUAUUGAUGCAUUGUAUAUCUGAAAAAUUCGAUUUUUGGUGUUUUGGAGGCUGGACUCGCCGAGUCCAUAGCUGAACUCGCCGAGUCCAAGGUGACUCGACGAGUCCAGGCUUGACUCGACGAGUCAACUCGUCAGAUAGAGCUUAUCUCGGGAUUUCUUGCUGUUUUUGCAUUGGGAUAGUUACCUUAUCAUGUUAGAUCAAUAUUAAUCCGAUUUUAUGAUAUAUUUGACUAUAUUUUUGAUCUAAUUGAAGAUAUUUAUCAAUUAAUAAGAUAAUUGUUUCCUUAUGUGAUAAUUGAUUAAUUAUUUUGACUAAAUUGAUAAAUUGUUUUGCAAGAAAUCAUUAAAUAAAUCAAAUAUGGAUAAUUAUGUGAUUAAAUGUUAAUUUAGAUUAUUUGUUAUUUGAUCCUUGUUGUUAUGAAAAGUUUCAUAUUUUCCCCUUUAGGUUUUAUAGUUUAAAUUUGAACCCAAAAGUUUUGUUGUUUUGAAAUUUAAAUAGUUGAAACCCUAAUGUUUUGAAAAAGGUUUCAAAACUUGCCCUCAAGUUUUGGAAUUUAAAUUUUGAUUAAAUGGUUUAAUUUUGAUGUAUAUUUAAAUUCUAAACCCUAAUGUGUUGAAAUGUUUCAAAACUUGCCCUCAAGUUUUGGAAUUUAAAAGUUGAUUAAAAGUUUAAUUAGGAAUGUUAAAUUCUAAAACUCUAGUAUAGUUUUGAAAAAGUUCAAAUCACACCCUUAUGGUUUUAUUAAUUAAUUAAGGUGUAUAAUUAAAAGAGGUUUAAUAAAUCCAUAAAAGUUUAGGUUUACAAUUUAAUUGAAUUAAAAGUAUAAUUGUUAAAUUUGACCACCUAGUAUUUUAAAAGUGUAAAAUACACCCUAUACUAUAUAUAACAUUAAAAGUCUAACAUUAUAUAUAUGUAUGAGUAAAAGUCAGUCUUACCGUUAGUAGGCCUCAUUCACGAAGCUGGUCUAUAAGGGGUGUUUAAGGAAAUUGCCUAUAAAAUGGCGAUUGAAUGGGUAUCCACUCUUACCCACCGCACUCUUGACUAGUGGAGGGUCGUUAGCCGAACGGGUAGGAUAGGACGAAACCUUCCAUUAUAAGUAUAAUGAAGUAUAAAAGUAACUAAAUGUUUUCAUAAAAUUCCCAAUCUUAGUUACUUAGGCAAAAGUGAAUUGAUGCAAUUCCAUGAAAUUACACUUUGUGCCCUUGCGAAGACGUUAGUGGAGCGUGUGUGGUUUACCGGCACACUAAAUGGUUCUAAGCAAAGGUAGCAAAGGGUGACUCAAUGUUUGUCAUAGUUCGGUGGAGCGUGUGUGGUUUACCGGCACAUCGAAUAGGUGACUGUAACAUGUGAGGGCACCAUGUAAGUUUGCAUGGUUAUUCACACCCGCUUUGUGAUCCUCGGCAUCCCAGUCACAAACAAGAGGGGCAUAUCGAGAUUUAAACAUGCCAUUGAAAGUUCAAUGAAUCUCAAAGGAUCUAGGAGUUUUCAUAGAUUUAAAACUUAAAUUUCUUUUUCGUUUUUCGUGGUGGAAAUUAGUGAAUCGUCAUUCACUUACCUUCAAAUAUUCUGCAAUUAGGGUUACGGCAUCCCUCUCCCGAGUUGUAGAAUAUUGUGUUGGGUCCUAGCCUUAGUAUCUCAUUUGGGUGAUUUACUAAGGACUCAAUCAAUCAACUAACUUGAAUUCGUUUUCUCCCGUUUUGUAGAUGUCAAAGUUCGACAACUAUGGUCUUCCCAAAUCCCGUGGAACAAGCUUUCCACAUGAAGAUGAUAUUCCACGAUUCGAUCGAGGAACAAGAAAUCAUGCUUCACUUCCUCCACCUCCUCCAAUUAUUCUCCCUAACCCACAAGUUCAAAGGCUUGAAAAGUUCAAGAUCACUCAAGCCCUUUUGGCAAGUAAACAUAAAGAAGGAAAGUCGGUGUGUGCACACGUCCUAGGGAUGAAGUCACACAUUGAUAGGUUAAGAAUGUUGGGAUCCGUUGUCUGUGAGGAAAUGGCUGUUGAUUGGGUUCUUCAGUCACUUCCUAACUCAUAUAGUGAGUUCGUAAGAGAGUACUAUAUGAUGAACCGCGACGUGACCCUUAUAGAUCUCACCUAUAUGCUUAUUGCUGCUGAAUCAGCAAUGGUUUGGCGCAAUAGAAAAGCAAAGUUGAUUGGUGAAUCUGCCUUCAAGACCUCUAUGGAUAUAGACAAUGGCAACGAAAGACAUGCUAUGAUCGAAAAGUUUGAUCAUAAGAGAAAGGCAAUGUCUGAAGUAGUUCCAUGUCAUGUUCCAAAAGAGUCAAUUUGCUUUUAUUGCCAAGAGAAAGGGCAUUGGAGACGAAGCUGCCCCAUUUACCUAAGAGAUCUAAGAGAUGGGAGAGUCGAAACGUAUGGCUCUAAUAUAGGUAAAAUCCAUUAACUAACUCUUUUAAGCUUCUAUUCUAGAUUCUUAAUACAUAAUGUGAUAAGAUUACAAUUGAUGUUUUGUAGGAUCGAAGAAAAGAAAGGAAGCUUAAGGGAAGAAGUGAGCAGAAUCUAACCGUGAAGGAAUGGAUUUCGAUCGCAUUUCUCGAAGAUUAGAUUCUUGAGCUACUACUUAGAGUUAGAAUUAGAUUGCUAAGAAAGAUGUAUUAGCAUAAGUUUUUCAAUGAAUUGCAUUGUAAGGACAAAUUUUUCCGCAAUAAAAUAAAUUUUGAUUUUAAAUUUUAUUUAUUUAUCCUUACAAUGGCGUGUAUGAAAAAUUGAUGUUAAAAUGUUUCUAUUAUUAGCAAUAAUGGAUUUGGUUCUUAUUAUGUUAUUUAUGGAAAGUCGAGAAUUUACCAAAUAGGGAGAGUUUCUCAUCGCCCAAGUUUCAAUUGGACAGAAACUUGGAAUCAUGCAACUUGGUUGCACGAUGAAUGAGAAAUUUCAUAUUUGGAAAUUAGACUAAUUCAUUGACAAAGUGUCAAGUGAAGGACUAGGAGAUCGAGUACACAAAGUUGCGUGUUGAUCAAGUCCACCAUAAGAGUAACAAAGAUAUUCGUCAUGAUUUACUAAAGGUUUAGUAAAUAUGAUUAUACUUAUAAGAUUAAGUGUAAUUCUGAAUUGAUUGAAAAGGUUUAAAUCAAUAGCAGAACGAAUAAGAAGAAUCAAGUAGGCAGAAAGAUAAAAGUUUCUCCAUUCUAAGAAGAAGGGAGAGUACCUUUUAUGCUUUAUGAUAGGUCUUAAUGAUUAAGAACCAUAUCUCAAUUGAUCCUCUAAGUGAGUCUUAGUACAAUUGUAUGUCUAAGAAGAGGAAUCAAGAAUUGAAGAAAUGGUUAAAUCAAUAAGUCAAUCAUACUUCGUUCCAAUAACAAGUCUUAAAGUUAAGAUUGUGACAUUGAGUGAAAGGUAUUAAGAAGGUUUGUAACUUUCAUUAAAUGUGGAAAGUUGUGAUGUCUUGGAUAAGACAAAGACCAACUAGGACCAAUUUAUGAAGUGUUUUGAUAAAAGCUACACUAACUCUUGAAUAUUUGUUUGUCAAGAAAUGGUUAUUGACAAGAGAAUCUUAUAUGUCAAGGAGUCAGUGGGAGUCUUAAUGGUCUUGAAAGGUUUCAAGAACAAAUCAAAUAAACCUUAUCGAUCAUCACUAGCACACGAGUUGAGGUUUACAACCUAUCGUGUUGACAUUAUUUUGAUUCUGUGCCAAUCCAAUCGAGUUAAUUAUGCAUGUGAGUUCUAUGAGUUCUCAUUUUGAACGCAUAAAAGGCAAAGCACCUUAAUCAAUGAAAGGUACAUUGAUAGGAAAGGGUGAGCUGCUUAACUACUUGGAAGACAUGGUGGGCAGCUGUGCUACCAUAAGGCAAGAAAUCAAGAUUAAGAAAGUUCGGUCCAUAUGAGUUUGAAUUUGUCGUAAACUUUGGUUUUAACAAAUUCACAUGGAUAGGAACACAUACACCGUUUAAAUCUAAGUGUCAUAAGAUUUCCUCCUUCAUGAAAAUGAUUGUGAGGAAAUGCUUUCACUAAGAAAGAUUUUAAGAAGAUAGUGAUUGUAAAAUUGCAUUCUCGAAUUCAAUUAUGGUUACGGCAUCCCUUUCCAUAAUUUGAAUUGUGAGGUUUGGCAAUUAGUCUUAAUUGUUUAGACACACAUAUGAACUAUCGAAGGCAAAGGUGUAUAAGUUCAAGAAGCCUUGAUAAAAGAUUAUCAAAGCACUAAGUAUUAGAAACAUGAACUUAAGAAAUUCAAUAAGCAUUGUUUUUCUGAAAGUUAAGAUGUUUAUGAAUACAUGUCGAAGCUAGUGGGAGCAUAAGUGUUAUGUUUUAUAAUAAUCAUCAUGAUAGUGGGAGCAUAAAUGUUAUGAUUGUAUGAUUAUUAAGGAAAGUAUUGCAAGGUUAGCAAUAUUAAUUAUAGAAAACAAGAGUCAUACUUUGCAAAGUUGUAAGAGUUGAAAGGUUGUUUUGCUAUAAUUAAGGGAGAGAAUAUUAUGCUUCAUUUCAAAUCUAAAGGAUUAGGUUGAGAAAUGUUAAUAAAUUUAGUCAAAGGUACAUAGUGUGUUCUUAAAAUUUCGAUUAUGAUUACGGCAUCCCUCUUCACAAUUCGAAUUUUGAGAACAUAGCAAAUAAAACAUUAUGCGUCGUGUCCCAUACGCUUCGGGUAUAGGAUCGAUUGCAAAUGCUUUAAUGUUUGACCAUUCUAAAAUUUUCCAAAUGUCUAGCGCAUUUAGAGGGAAAAAGGACUAGAAUCGGUUUUGACUAAAAUAAUUAAACAACUAUCAAAGGACAAUCCAAAGUUCGACGAGGAUUGGUCGCUUGUGAGUAGUUGGAAGUAUAGUAUUGGAAAAUAUGGAAAUGUUUCCAUAUUGGAUGGACCAUAUCGACAUCAUUACGAAUAGAUAAGAUUCUAUUAAGAAUGAGUUGUCAUAUGGAACAUAUGGAAGUGUGUCCAUAUUGGGAAUUGAAUAUUGAGAAAUCUAUGACUAGAUUAGAAACUUCUAUGCAAAAGGAUGUUCAAAGAAUGUACUUUGAGUGAGAGACAUCACAUCUAUGGAAUUGUCUUGUAACAAUCUCCGAUAGAGGACUUUGUAAUAUCAUUGGCAAUAGUCUUUGUGACUUUGGUGCAGUGACAUUACGAAAGGAUAAGUUGCAUAGAAUGUUAGAAUCUAGCAUAUUCUAUAAGUAGCAAGAAUUUGAUAUUCUUUCACUUAUGAAAAGGAUUUGGAGUUGUGAAAUGAGAAUGAUUGGAAAUGUGUUCAAUUUGAUCUAUUUCACAAAGUAAGAACCAUAGGUAAACAUUGUGUGCAUGCUAGGAGCAUGGGACAAGUGUAAUAAUUCAAGUAAGAAGUUGAUUACCCGAAACGACAAAUAAUGAGUAAUCGAUAUGGUGAUAAAUAAAAGGUGUUUUAUUUAUACUCAAAGGUUUGAGGCCAUAUGGGAUUAGUAUUAUUCUUGUGUUUCACAUUUGCAUGUUUUGACUUCCAGAAUAAUUGAGUUUAUUAAGAAUAAUCGAAUUAUUCGAACGGGCCACAGUCGUUCAUAUGUUGGAAGUAGAUAUGAAUGAAGACUGUCGUGAAUUGGUGUGUGGAUUGUCUAAAAGAGUAUUAGACAUAAGCAAAUGUUUGCUGCAACGUUCAUGAGUGCUUAUGAAUAUGAUUUGAGCAUUGGAUUAAACCCACGCUCACUUGGAUCACUCCAUGAAUUGUAUCACGAGUGAUUGGUGAGACGAUAACAUCUUAUAUUCUUGAAACCGAGAUGUGUGAGUUGUAUCUUGCAAAUCGGUUGCACAUUGAUAAUAUGUAAACGCACUAGUAACUUGGUGUUAUAAAACAUAUUGUUGUGUGUGAUUCGGUGAGUGAGUGCAAGCAAGCAUUGUAUCAAAGUUUAUCCGUUCCUUUUAUCCAAAGUAGGAUAAAAGCGAUAUCUUUGGGCCCCUCGAUGAUUUAGUGAUGACAAACGUAAAUGCUCGGCCGGGCUAGGGCUAAUUUGAUUUGUUCAAUUAGUCAGUCGUCAUAAAUCGGGAAUCGAGAUAUAGUACAAAGAGAAUGAUUUGAAAUCAUAUCUCAUAUGAUAUCUAGAAUGGAGGAAUAUAUGAUCCCUUAUCUAAGGACACGCGUAUCUGAUAGGAUCAGAGUUGACAGCGGCUUUGGAAAGCUACGAUUGCAGAUCAGGAUCUGAAGUCAUACGCAGAAUAGUUAUUAGACUUAUCCAAGUGGGAGACUGUUGGAUUAGUGUCUAAGUCCAUAACUAUUUUGGUAUGUACUUGACCCGAUGGUGCAUGGUCCUUUUGGGUUGCCUUCACCAAAGCAACUUGAUUGGAGAAAUAAAUAGAGAGAGAGGUUAUUAUGAUUUAUUAAUAUGUUAUAAGAAUAAUAUAUUAAAGGAGAAAUCAUAUUUGUUUAAUUAAUAUUGGUCAAUAAUUAAUUAAGAAUUAAUUUUGUGAUCAAGUGUAAUUAAUUAAACUAGAGGGGCUGAAUUGUAAUUAUGUGAUAGUUACAAAAUAUGGUAAUGGUUAUCCUAAAUAUGGGUUGAACGAAUUCAAGGAGAUAAGGAUCCUUGAAAUCGUCCAAAGGAUAAAGGAUAAGGGUUUUCAAGGCUUAUCUUAUGGUUACUUGGUGGGCAAGCAACUAGAUAAGGAUAAGGACUAAAACCCUAAUCUCUACACCUAUAUAAAGACCCCCAAGGCUCAUGAAUUCGUCCAUGCCUUCCCAAGAGGUCCUAGAGACGAAUUCUUAUACCUCUCCUCUCUCUUUAUACCUUCUCCAUUUGCUCUUGGUGUUUGUAAGCCAUUAGAGGAGUGACACUUGUGACUCUAAGCCUUCCAAAGUCAAUUCAAGGAGGAAUUGGGAUUGUUAUUGCUACAUAACAAUCAAGGUAAUAUCUUAAACCUAAUUAUAUGUUAAUAUUGAUUUCCAUAUGCUAGAAUUAGGGUUUAUAGUCUUGGAUUCAAAGCAUGUACAAUAGAGAAACCUAGAUCCAAGCAUUAGGGUUUGUAUGAGCACAUAGGAUGUCUUAUGACCAAAACCCAUCAGUGGUAUCAGAGCCUAGCUUGGUUUCAAUUGUAUUGAUGCAUUGUAUAUCUGGAAAAUUCGUUUUUUGGGUUUCUGGAGGCUGGACUCGCCGAGUCCAUAGCUGAACUCGCCGAGUCCAUGCUGACUCGACGAGUCCAUGCUUGACUCGACGAGUCAACUCGUCAGAUGGAGCAAACUUCGGGAUUUCUUGCUGUUUUUGCUUAAGGAUAGUUGCCUUAUCAUAUUAGAUCAAUAUAAAUCCGAUUUUAUGAUAUAUUUGACUAUAUUCUUGAUCUAAUUGAAGAUAUUUAUCAAUUAAUAAAAUAUUUGUUUCCUUAUGUGAUAAUUGAUUAAUUAUUUUGAUUAAAUUGAUAAAUUGUUUUGCAAGAAAUCAUUAAAUAAAUCAAAUAUGGAUAAUUAUGUGAUUAAAUGUUAAUUUAGAUUAUUUGUUAUUUGAUCCUUGUUGUUAUGAAAAGUUUCAUAUUUUCCCCUUUAGGUUUUAUAGUUUAAAUUUGAACCCAAAAGUUUUGUUGUUUUGAAAUUUAAAUAGUUGAAACCCUAAUGUUUUGAAAAAGGUUUCAAAACUUGCCCUCAAGUUUUGGAAUUUAAAUUUUGAUUAAAUAGUUUAAUUUUGAUGUAUAUUUAAAUUCUAAACCCUAAUGUGUUGAAAUGUUUCAAAACUUGCCCUCAAGUUUUGGAAUUUAAAAGUUGAUUAAAAGUUUAAUUAGGAAUGUUAAAUUCUAAAACUCUAGUAUUGUUUUGAAAAAGUUCAAAUCACACCCUUAUGGUUUUAUUAAUUAAUUAAGGUGUAUAAUUAAAAGAGGUUUAAUAAAUCCAUAAAAGUUUUGGUUUACAAUUUAAUUGAAUUAAAAGUAUAAUUGUUAAAUUUGACCACCUAGUAUUUUAAAAGUGUAAAAUACACCCUAUACUAUAUAUAACAUUAAAAGUCUAACAUUAUAUAUAUGUAUGAGUAAAAGUCAGUCUUACCGUUAGUAGGCCUCAUUCACGAAGCUGGUCUAUAAGGGGUGUUUAAGGAAAUUGCCUAUAAAAUGGCGAUUGAAUGGGUAUCCACUCUUACCCACCGCACUCUUGACUAGUGGAGGGUCGUUAGCCGAACGGGUAGGAUAGGACGAAACCUUCCAUUAUAAGUAUAAUGAAGUAUAAAAGUAACUAAAUGUUUUCAUAAAAUUCCCAAUCUUAGUUACUUAGGCAAAAGUGAAUUGAUGCAAUUCCAUGAAAUUACACUUUGUGCCCUUGCGAAGACGUUAGUGGAGCGUGUGUGGUUUACCGGCACACUAAAUGGUUCUAAGCAAAGGUAGCAAAGGGUGACUCAAUGUUUGUCAUAGUUCGGUGGAGCGUGUGUGGUUUACCGGCACAUCGAAUAGGUGACUGUAACAUGUGAGGGCACCAUGUAAGUUUGCAUGGUUAUUCACACCCGCUUUGUGAUCCUCGGCAUCCCAGUCACAAACUAGAGGGGCAUAUCGAGAUUUAAACAUGCCAUUGAAAUGUUCAAUGAAUCUCAAAGGAUCUAGGAGUUUUCAUAGAUUUAAAACUUAAAUUUCUUUUUCGUUUUUCAUGGUGGAAAUUAGUGAAUCGUCAUUCACUUACCUUCAAAUGUUCUGCAAUUUGGGUUACGGCAUCCCUCUCCCGAGUUGUAGAAUAUUGUGUUGGGUCCUAGCCUUAGUAUCUCAUUUGGGUGAUUUACUAAGGACUCAAUCAAUCAACUAACUUGAAUUCGUUUUCUCCCGUUUUGUAGAUGUCAAAGUUCGACAACUAUGGUCUUCCCAAAUCCCGUGGAACAAGCAUUCCACAUGAAGAUGAUAUUCCACGAUUCGAUCGAGGAACAAGAAAUCAUGCUUCACUUCCUCCACCUCCUCCAAUUAUUCUCCCUAACCCACAAGUUCAAAGGCUUGAAAAGUUCAAGAUCACUCAAGCCCUUUUGGCAAGUAAACAUAAAGAAGGAAAGUCGGUGUGUGCACACGUCCUAGGGAUGAAGUCACACAUUGAUAGGUUAAGAAUGUUGGGAUCCGUUGUCUGUGAGGAAAUGGCUGUUGAUUGGGUUCUUCAGUCACUUCCUAACUCAUAUAGUGAGUUCGUAAGAGAGUACUAUAUGAUGAACUGCGACGUGACCCUUAUAGAUCUCACCUAUAUGCUUAUUGCUGCUGAAUCAGCAAUGGUUUGGCGCAAUAGAAAAGCAAAGUUGAUUGGUGAAUCUGCCUUCAAGACCUCUAUGGAUAUAGACAAUGGCAACGAAAGACAUGCUAUGAUCGAAAAGUUUGAUCAUAAGAGAAAGGCAAUGUCUGAAGUAGUUCCAUGUCAUGUUCCAAAAGAGUCAAUUUGCUUUUAUUGCCAAGAGAAAGGGCAUUGGAGACGAAGCUGCCCCAUUUACCUAAGAGAUCUAAGAGAUGGGAGAGUCGAAACGUAUGGCUCUAAUAUAGGUAAAAUCCAUUAACUAACUCUUUUAAGCUUCUAUUCUAGAUUCUUAAUACAUAAUGUGAUAAGAUUACAAUUGAUGUUUUGUAGGAUCGAAGAAAAGAAAGGAAGCUUAAGGGAAGAAGUGAGCAGAAUCUAACCGUGAAGGAAUGGAUUUCGAUCGCAUUUCUCGAAGAUUAGAUUCUUGAGCUACUACUUAGAGUUAGAAUUAGAUUGCUAAGAAAGAUGUAUUAGCAUAGUUUUUCAAUGAAUUGCAUUGUAAGGACAAAUUUUUCCGCAAUAAAAUAAAUUUUGAUUUUAAAUUUUAUUUAUUUAUCCUUACAAUGGCGUGUAUGAAAAAUUGAUGUUAAAAUGUUUCUAUUAUUAGCAAUAAUGGAUUUGGUUCUUAUUAUGUUAUUUAUGGAAAGUCGAGAAUUUACCAAAUAGGGAGAGUUUCUCAUCGCCCAAGUUUCAAUUGGACAGAAACUUGGAAUCAUGCAACUUGGUUGCACGAUGAAUGAGAAAUUUCAUAUUUGGAAAUUAGACUAAUUCAUUGACAAAGUGUCAAGUGAAGGACUAGGAGAUCGAGUACACAAAGUUGCGUGUUGAUCAAGUCCACCAUAAGAGUAACAAAGAUAUUCGUCAUGAUUUACUAAAGGUUUAGUAAAUAUGAUUAUACUUAUAAGAUUAAGUGUAAUUCUGAAUUGAUUGAAAAGGUUUAAAUCAAUAGCAGAACGAAUAAGAAGAAUCAAGUAGGCAGAAAGAUAAAAGUUUCUCCAUUCUAAGAAGAAGGGAGAGUACCUUUUAUGCUUUAUGAUAGGUCUUAAUGAUUAAGAACCAUAUCUCAAUUGAUCCUCUAAGUGAGUCUUAGUACAAUUGUAUGUCUAAGAAGAGGAAUCAAGAAUUGAAGAAAUGGUUAAAUCAAGAAGUCAAUCAUACUUCGUUCCAAAACAAGUCUUAGAGUUAAGAUUGUGACAUUGAGUGAUAAGUAUAAAGAAGGUUUAUAACAUUCAUUAAAUGUGGAAAGUUGUGAUGUCUUGGAUAAGACAAAGACCAACUAGGACCAAUUUAUGAAGUGUUUUGAUAAAAGCUACACUAACUCUUGAAUAUUUGUUUGUCAAGAAAUGGUUAUUGACAAGAGAAUCUUAUAUGUCAAGGAGUCAGUGGGAGUCUUAAUGGUCUUGAAAGGUUUCAAGAACAAAUCAAAUAAACCUUAUCGAUCAUCACUAGCACACGAGUUGAGGUUUACAACCUAUCGUGUUGACAUUAUUUUGAUUCUGUGCCAAUCCAAUCGAGUUAAUUAUGCAUGUGAGUUCUAUGAGUUCUCAUUUUGAACGCAUAAAAGGCAAAGCACCUUAAUCAAUGAAAGGUACAUUGAUAGGAAAAGGUGAGCUGCUUAACUACUUGGAAGACAUGGUGGGCAGCUGUGCUACCAUAAGGCAAGAAAUCAAGAUUAAGAAAGUUCGGUCCAUAUGAGUUUGAAUUUGUCGUAAACUUUGGUUUUAACAAAUUCACAUGGAUAGGAACACAUACACCGUUUAAAUCUAAGUGUCAUAAGAUUUCCUCCUUCAUGAAAAUGAUUGUGAGGAAAUGCUUUCACUAAGAAAGAUUUUAAGAAGAUAGUGAUUGUAAAAUUGCAUUCUCGAAUUCAAUUAUGGUUACGGCAUCCCUUUCCAUAAUUUGAAUUGUGAGGUUUGGCAAUUAGUCUUAAUUGUUUAGACACACAUAUGAACUAUCGAAGGCAAAGGUGUAUAAGUUCAAGAAGCAUUGAUAAAGGAUUAUCAAAGCACUAAGUAUUAGAAACAUGAACUUAAGAAAUUCAAUAAGUAUUGUUUUCUGAAAGUUAAGAUGUUUAUGAAUACAUGUCGAAGCUAGUGGGAGCAUAAGUGUUAUGUUUUAUAAUAAUCAUCAUGAUAGUGGGAGCAUAAAUGUUAUGAUUGUAUGAUUAUUAAGGAAAGUAUUGCAAGGUUAGCAAUAUUAAUUAUAGAAAACAAGAGUCAUACUUUGCAAAGUUGUAAGAGUUGAAAAGUUGUUUUGCUAUAAUUAAGGGAGAGAAUAUUAUGCUUCAUUUCAAAUCUAAAGGAUUAGGUUGAGAAAUGUUAAUAAAUUUAGUCAAAGGUACAUAGUGUGUUCUUAAAAUUUCGAUUAUGAUUACGGCAUCCCUCUUCACAAUUCGAAUUUUGAGAACAUAGCAAAUAAAACAUUAUGCGUCGUGUCCCAUACGCUUCGGGUAUAGGAUCGAUUGCAAAUGCUUUAAUGUUUGACCAUUCUAAAAUUUUCCAAAUGUCGAGCGCAUUUAGAGGGAAAAGGGACUAGAAUUGGUUUUGACUAAAAUAAUUAAACAACUAUCAAAGGACAAUCCAAGUUCGACGAGGAUUGGUCGCUUGUGAGUAGUUGGAAGUAUAGUAUUGGAAAAUAUGGAAAUGUUUCCAUAUUGGAUGGACCAUAUCGACAUCAUUACGAAUAGAUAAGAUUCUAUUAAGAAUGAGUUGUCAUAUGGAACAUAUGGAAGUGUGUCCAUAUUGGGAAUUGAAUAUUGAGAAAUCUAUGACUAGAUUAGAAACUUCUAUGCAAAAGGAUGUUCAAAGAAUGUACUUUGAGUGAGAGACAUCACAUCUAUGGAAUUGUCUUGUAACAAUCUCCGAUAGAGGACUUUGUAAUAUCAUUGGCAAUAGUCUUUGUGACUUUGGUGCAGUGACAUUACGAAAGGAUAAGUUGCAUAGAAUGUUAGAAUCUAGCAUAUUCUAUAAGUAGCAAGAAUUUGAUAUUCUUUCACUUAUGAAAAGGAUUUGGAGUUGUGAAAUGAGAAUGAUUGGAAAUGUGUUCAAUUUGAUCUAUUUCACAAAGUAAGAACCAUAGGUAAACAUUGUGUGCAUGCUAGGAGCAUGGGACAAGUGUAAUAAUUCAAGUAAGAAGUUGAUUACCCGAAACGACAAAUAAUGAGUAAUCGAUAUGGUGAUAAAUAAAAGGUGUUUUAUUUAUACUCAAAGGUUUGAGGCCAUAUGGGAUUAGUAUUAUUCUUGUGUUUCACAUUUGCAUGUUUUGACUUCCAGAAUAAUUGAGUUUAUUAAGAAUAAUCGAAUUAUUCGAACGGGCCACAGUCGUUCAUAUGUUGGAAGUAGAUAUGAAUGAAGACUGUCGUGAAUUGGUGUGUGGAUUGUCUAAAAGAGUAUUAGACAUAAGCAAAUGUUUGCUGCAACGUUCAUGAGUGCUUAUGAAUAUGAUUUGAGCAUUGGAUUAAACCCACGCUCACUUGGAUCACUCCAUGAAUUGUAUCACGAGUGAUUGGUGAGACGAUAACAUCUUAUAUUCUUGAAACCGAGAUGUGUGAGUUGUAUCUUGCAAAUCGGUUGCACAUUGAUAAUAUGUAAACGCACUAGUAACUUGGUGUUAUAAAACAUAUUGUUGUGUGUGAUUCGGUGAGUGAGUGCAAGCAAGCAUUGUAUCAAAGUUUAUCCGUUCCUUUUAUCCAAAGUAGGAUAAAAGCGAUAUCUUUGGGCCCCUCGAUGAUUUAGUGAUGACAAACGUAAAUGCUCGGCCGGGCUAGGGCUAAUUUGAUUUGUUCAAUUAGUCAGUCGUCAUAAAUCGGGAAUCGAGAUAUAGUACAAAGAGAAUGAUUUGAAAUCAUAUCUCAUAUGAUAUCUAGAAUGGAGGAAUAUAUGAUCCCUUAUCUAAGGACACGCGUAUCUGAUAGGAUCAGAGUUGACAGCGGCUUUGGAAAGCUACGAUUGCAGAUCAGGAUCUGAAGUCAUACGCAGAAUAGUUAUUAGACUUAUCCAAGUGGGAGACUGUUGGAUUAGUGUCUAAGUCCAUAACUAUUUUGGUAUGUACUUGACCCGAUGGUGCAUGGUCCUUUUGGGUUGCCUUCACCAAAGCAACUUGAUUGGAGAAAUAAAUAGAGAGAGAGGUUAUUAUGAUUUAUUAAUAUGUUAUAAGAAUAAUAUAUUAAAGGAGAAAUCAUAUUUGUUUAAUUAAUAUUGGUCAAUAAUUAAUUAAGAAUUAAUUUUGUGAUCAAGUGUAAUUAAUUAAACUAGAGGGGCUGAAUUGUAAUUAUGUGAUAGUUACAAAAUAAGGUAAGGAUUAUCUUAAAUAUAGGGUGAACGAAUUUAAGGAGAUAAUGCCUUAGAAUUCGACUAGGAUAAGGGUUUCUAAGACUUAUCUUAUGGUUGCUUGGUGGGCAAGCAACUAGAUAAGGAUAAGGACUAAAACCCUAAUCUUUACACCUAUAUAAACCCCCUAAGGCUCAUGAAUUCGUCUAACCCUUCCCAAGAAGUCCUAGGGACGAAUUCUUACACCUCUCCUCUCUCUUUAUACCUUCUCCAUUUGCUCUUGGUGUUUGUAAGCCAUUAGAGGAGUGACACUUGUGACUCUAAGCCUUCCAAAGUCAAUUCAAGGAGGAAUUGGGAUUGUUAUUGCUACAUAACAAUCAAGGUAAUAUCUUAAACCUAAUUAUAUGUUAAUAUUGAUUUCCAUAUGCUAGAAUUAGGGUUUAUAGUCUUGGAUUCAAAGCAUGUACAAUAGAGAAACCUAGAUCCAAGCAUUAGGGUUUGUAUGAGCACAUAGGAUGUCUUAUGACCAAAACCCAUCAGUGGUAUCAGAGCCUAGCUUGGUUUCAAUUGUAUUGAUGCAUUGUAUAACUGGAAAAUUCGUUUUUUGGGUUUCUGGAGGCUGGACUCGCCGAGUCCAUAGCUGAACUCGCCGAGUCCAAGGUGACUCGACGAGUCCAGGCUUGACUCGACGAGUCAACUCGUCAGAUAGAGCUUAUCUCGGGAUUUCUUGCUGUUUUUGCAUUGGGAUAGUUACCUUAUCAUGUUAGAUCAAUAUUAAUCCGAUUAUAUGAUAUAUUUGACUAUAUUUUUGAUCUAAUUGAAGAUAUUUAUCAAUUAAUAAGAUAAUUGUUUCCUUAUAAGAUAAUUGAUUAAUUAUUUUGACUAAAUUGAUAAAUUGUUUUGCAAGAAAUCAUUAAAUAAAUCAAAUAUGGAUAAUUAUGUGAUUAAAUGUUAAUUUAAAUUAUUUGUUAUUUGAUCCUUGUUGUUAUGAAAAGUUUCAUAUUUUCCCCUUUAGGUUUUAUAGUUUAAAUUUGAACCCAAAAGUUUUGUUGUUUUGAAAUUUAAAUAGUUGAAACCCUAAUGUUUUGAAAAAGGUUUCAAAACUUGCCCUCAAGUUUUGGAAUUUAAAUUUUGAUUAAAUGGUUUAAUUUUGAUGUAUAUUUAAAUUCUAAACCCUAAUGUGUUGAAAUGUUUCAAAACUUGCCCUCAAGUUUUGGAAUUUAAAAGUUGAUUAAAAGUUUAAUUAGGAAUGUUAAAUUCUAAAACUCUAGUAUAGUUUUGAAAAAGUUCAAAUCACACCCUUAUGGUUUUAUUAAUUAAUUAAGGUGUAUAAUUAAAAGAGGUUUAAUAAAUCCAUAAAAGUUUAGGUUUACAAUUUAAUUGAAUUAAAAGUAUAAUUGUUAAAUUUGACCACCUAGUAUUUUAAAAGUGUAAAAUACACCCUAUACUAUAUAUAACAUUAAAAGUCUAACAUUAUAUAUAUGUAUGAGUAAAAGUCAGUCUUACCGUUAGUAGGCCUCAUUCACGAAGCUGGUCUAUAAGGGGUGUUUAAGGAAAUUGCCUAUAAAAUGGCGAUUGAAUGGGUAUCCACUCUUACCCACCGCACUCUUGACUAGUGGAGGGUCGUUAGCCGAACGGGUAGGAUAGGACGAAACCUUCCAUUAUAAGUAUAAUGAAGUAUAAAAGUAACUAAAUGUUUUCAUAAAAUUCCCAAUCUUAGUUACUUAGGCAAAAGUGAAUUGAUGCAAUUCCAUGAAAUUACACUUUGUGCCCUUGCGAAGACGUUAGUGGAGCGUGUGUGGUUUACCGGCACACUAAAUGGUUCUAAGCAAAGGUAGCAAAGGGUGACUCAAUGUUUGUCAUAGUUCGGUGGAGCGUGUGUGGUUUACCGGCACAUCGAAUAGGUGACUGUAACAUGUGAGGGCACCAUGUAAGUUUGCAUGGUUAUUCACACCCGCUUUGUGAUCCUCGGCAUCCCAGUCACAAACAAGAGGGGCAUAUCGAGAUUUAAACAUGCCAUUGAAAUGUUCAAUGAAUCUCAAAGGAUCUAGGAGUUUUCAUAGAUUUAAAACUUAAAUUUCUUUUUCGUUUUUCAUGGUGGAAAUUAGUGAAUCGUCAUUCACUUACCUUCAAAUGUUCUGCAAUUUGGGUUACGGCAUCCCUCUCCCGAGUUGUAGAAUAUUGUGUUGGGUCCUAGCCUUAGUAUCUCAUUUGGGUGAUUUACUAAGGACUCAAUCAAUCAACUAACUUGAAUUCGUUUUCUCCCGUUUUGUAGAUGUCAAAGUUCGACAACUAUGGUCUUCCCAAAUCCCGUGGAACAAGCUUUCCACAUGAAGAUGAUAUUCCACGAUUCGAUCGAGGAACAAGAAAUCAUGCUUCACUUCCUCCACCUCCUCCAAUUAUUCUCCCUAACCCACAAGUUCAAAGGCUUGAAAAGUUCAAGAUCACUCAAGCCCUUUUGGCAAGUAAACAUAAAGAAGGAAAGUCGGUGUGUGCACACGUCCUAGGGAUGAAGUCACACAUUGAUAGGUUAAGAAUGUUGGGAUCCGUUGUCUGUGAGGAAAUGGCUGUUGAUUGGGUUCUUCAGUCACUUCCUAACUCAUAUAGUGAGUUCGUAAGAGAGUACUAUAUGAUGAACCGCGACGUGACCCUUAUAGAUCUCACCUAUAUGCUUAUUGCUGCUGAAUCAGCAAUGGUUUGGCGCAAUAGAAAAGCAAAGUUGAUUGGUGAAUCUGCCUUCAAGACCUCUAUGGAUAUAGACAAUGGCAACGAAAGACAUGCUAUGAUCGAAAAGUUUGAUCAUAAGAGAAAGGCAAUGUCUGAAGUAGUUCCAUGUCAUGUUCCAAAAGAGUCAAUUUGCUUUUAUUGCCAAGAGAAGGGGCAUUGGAGACGAAGCUGCCCCAUUUACCUAAGAGAUCUAAGAGAUGGGAGAGUCGAAACGUAUGGCUCUAAUAUAGGUAAAAUCCAUUAACUAACUCUUUUAAGCUUCUAUUCUAGAUUCUUAAUACAUAAUGUGAUAAGAUUACAAUUGAUGUUUUGUAGGAUCGAAGAAAAGAAAGGAAGCUUAAGGGAAGAAGUGAGCAGAAUCUAACCGUGAAGGAAUGGAUUUCGAUCGCAUUUCUCGAAGAUUAGAUUCUUGAGCUACUACUUAGAGUUAGAAUUAGAUUGCUAAGAAAGAUGUAUUAGCAUAAGUUUUUCAAUGAGUUGCAUUGUAAGGACAAAUUUUUCCGCAAUAAAAUAAAUUUUGAUUUUAAAUUUUAUUUAUUUAUCCUUACAAUGGCGUGUAUGAAAAAUUGAUGUUAAAAUGUUUCUAUUAUUAGCAAUAAUGGAUUUGGUUCUUAUUAUGUUAUUUAUGGAAAGUCGAGAAUUUACCAAAUAGGGAGAGUUUCUCAUCGCCCAAGUUUCAAUUGGACAGAAACUUGGAAUCAUGCAACUUGGUUGCACGAUGAAUGAGAAAUUUCAUAUUUGGAAAUUAGACUAAUUCAUUGACAAAGUGUCAAGUGAAGGACUAGGAGAUCGAGUACACAAAGUUGCGUGUUGAUCAAGUCCACCAUAAGAGUAACAAAGAUAUUCGUCAUGAUUUACUAAAGGUUUAGUAAAUAUGAUUAUACUUAUAAGAUUAAGUGUAAUUCUGAAUUGAUUGAAAAGGUUUAAAUCAAUAGCAGAACGAAUAAGAAGAAUCAAGUAGGCAGAAAGAUAAAAGUUUCUCCAUUCUAAGAAGAAGGGAGAGUACCUUUUAUGCUUUAUGAUAGGUCUUAAUGAUUAAGAACCAUAUCUCAAUUGAUCCUCUAAGUGAGUCUUAGUACAAUUGUAUGUCUAAGAAGAGGAAUCAAGAAUUGAAGAAAUGGUUAAAUCAAUAAGUCAAUCAUACUUCGUUCCAAUAACAAGUCUUAAAGUUAAGAUUGUGACAUUGAGUGAAAGGUAUUAAGAAGGUUUGUAACAUUCAUUAAAUGUGGAAAGUUGUGAUGUCUUGGAUAAGACAAAGACCAACUAGGACCAAUUUAUGAAGUGUUUUGAUAAAAGCUACACUAACUCUUGAAUAUUUGUUUGUCAAGAAAUGGUUAUUGACAAGAGAAUCUUAUAUGUCAAGGAGUCAGUGGGAGUCUUAAUGGUCUUGAAAGGUUUCAAGAACAAAUCAAAUAAACCUUAUCGAUCAUCACUAGCACACGAGUUGAGGUUUACAACCUAUCGUGUUGACAUUAUUUUGAUUCUGUGCCAAUCCAAUCGAGUUAAUUAUGCAUGUGAGUUCUAUGAGUUCUCAUUUUGAACGCAUAAAAGGCAAAGCACCUUAAUCAAUGAAAGGUACAUUGAUAGGAAAGGGUGAGCUGCUUAACUACUUGGAAGACAUGGUGGGCAGCUGUGCUACCAUAAGGCAAGAAAUCAAGAUUAAGAAAGUUCGGUCCAUAUGAGUUUGAAUUUGUCGUAAACUUUGGUUUUAACAAAUUCACAUGGAUAGGAACACAUACACCGUUUAAAUCUAAGUGUCAUAAGAUUUCCUCCUUCAUGAAAAUGAUUGUGAGGAAAUGCUUUCACUAAGAAAGAUUUUAAGAAGAUAGUGAUUGUAAAAUUGCAUUCUCGAAUUCAAUUAUGGUUACGGCAUCCCUUUCCAUAAUUUGAAUUGUGAGGUUUGGCAAUUAGUCUUAAUUGUUUAGACACACAUAUGAACUAUCGAAGGCAAAGGUGUAUAAGUUCAAGAAGCCUUGAUAAAAGAUUAUCAAAGCACUAAGUAUUAGAAACAUGAACUUAAGAAAUUCAAUAAGUAUUGUUUUUCUGAAAGUUAAGAUGUUUAUGAAUACAUGUCGAAGCUAGUGGGAGCAUAAGUGUUAUGUUUUAUAAUAAUCAUCAUGAUAGUGGGAGCAUAAAUGUUAUGAUUGUAUGAUUAUUAAGGCAAGUAUUGCAAGUUGGCAAUAUUAAUUAUAGAAAACAAGAGUUAUACUUUGCAAAGUCGUAAGGGUUGAAAAGUUGUUUUGCUAUAAUUAAGGGAGAGAAUAUUAUGCUUCAUUUCAAAUCUAAAGGAUUAGGUUGAGAAAUGUUAAUAAAUUUAGUCAAAGGUACAUAGUGUGUUCUUAAAAUUUCGAUUAUGAUUACGGCAUUCCUCUUCACAAUUCGAAUUUUGAGAACAUAGCAAAUAAAACAUUAUGCGUCGUGUCCCAUACGCUUCGGGUAUAGGAUCGAUUGCAAAUGCUUUAAUGUUUGACCAUUCUAAAAUUUUCCAAAUGUCGAGCGCAUUUAGAGGGAAAAGGGACUAGAAUUGGUUUUGACUAAAACAAUUAAACAACUAUCAAAGGACAAUCCAAAGUUCGACGAGGAUUGGUCGCUUGUGAGUAGUUGGAAGUAUAGUAUUGGAAAAUAUGGAAAUGUUUCCAUAUUGGAUGGACCAUAUCGACAUUAUUACGAAUAGAUAAGAUUCUAUUAAGAAUGAGUUGUCAUAUGGAAAAUAUGGAAACGUGUCCAUAUUGGGAAUUGAAUAUUGAAAAUCUAUGUCUAGAUUAGAAACUUUUAUGCAAAAGGAUGUUCAAAGGAAUGUACUUUGAGUGAGAGACAUCAUAUCUAAGGAAUUGUCUUGUAACAAUCUCCGAUAGAGGACUUUGUAAUAUCAUUGGCAAUAGUCUUUGUGACUUUGGUGCAGUGACAUUACGAAAGGAUCAUUGCAUAAAAUGUUAGAAUCUAGCAUAUUCUAUAAGUAGCAAGAAUUUGAUAUUCUUUCACUUAUGAAAAAGGAUUUGGAGUUGUGAAAUGAGAAUGAUUGGAAAUGUGUUCAAUUUGAUCUAUUUCACAAAGUAAGAACCAUAGGUAAACAUUGUGUGCAUGCUAGGAGCAUGGGACAAGUGUAAUAAUUCAAGUAAGAAGUUGAUUACCCGAAACGACAAAUAAUGAGUAAUCGAUAUGGUGAUAAAUAAAAGGUGUUUUAUUUAUACUCAAAGGUUUGAGGCCAUAUGGGAUUAGUAUUAUUCUUGUGUUUCACUUUGCAUGUUUUGACUUCCUGAAUAAUUUAAUUGGUUAAGAACAGUCGAAUUAUUCGAACGGGCCACAGUCGUUCAUAUGUUGGAAGUAGGUAUGAAUGAAGACUGUCGUGAAUUGGUGUGUGGAUUGUCUAAAGAGUAUUAGACAUAAGCAAAUGUUUGCUGCAACGUUCAUGAGUGCUUAUGAAUAUGAUUUGAGCAUUGGAUUAAACCCACGCUCACUUGGAUCACUCCAUGAAUUGUAUCACGAGUGAUUGGUGAGACGAUAACAUCUUAUAUUCUUGAAACCGAGAUGUGUGAGUUGUAUCUUGCAAAUCGGUUGCACAUUGAUAAUAUGUAAACGCACUAGUAACUUGGUGUUAUAAAACAUAUUGUUGUGUGUGAUUCGGUGCGUGAGUACAAGCAAGCAUUGUAUCAAAGUUUAUCCGUUCCUUUUAUCCAAAGUAGGAUAAAAGCGAUAUCUUUGGGCCCCUCGAUGAUUUAGUGAUGACAAACGUAAAUGCUCGGCCGGGCUAGGGCUAAUUUGAUUUGUUCAAUUAGUCAGUCGUCAUAAAUCGGGAAUCGAGAUAUAGUACAAAGAGAAUGAUUUGAAAUCAUAUCUCAUAUGAUAUCUAGAAUGGAGGAAUAUAUGAUCCCUUAUCUAAGGACACGCGUAUCUGAUAGGAUCAGAGUUGACAGCGGCUUUGGAAAGCUACGAUUGCAGAUCAGGAUCUGAAGUCAUACGCAGAAUAGUUAUUAGACUUAUCCAAGUGGGAGACUGUUGGAUUAGUGUCUAAGUCCAUAACUAUUUUGGUAUGUACUUGACCCGAUGGUGCAUGGUCCUUUUGGGUUGCCUUCACCAAAGCAACUUGAUAGGAUGAAUUAUGGAGAGAAAGGAUUAAAUAUGAUUUAUUAAUAUAUUAUGGGAAUAAUAUAUUAAAGGAGAAAUCAUAUUGUUUAAUUAAUAUUAGUCAAUAAUUAAUUGGUAAUUAGUUUUGUGACUAAAAGAGAUUAAUUAAACUUAAGGGACUGGAAUUGUAAUUAUAAGAUAAUUGCAAUUUGGGCCAUGGAUUGCAUUUUAUUAUAAGGUGGACGAAUUUUAUGGGGAAAGCCCAUAUGAAGUCGUCCAAGGCUUUAAGAAAGGGCUCCAUGGGUUGCUUAGGGCUUAAGCAUCCAAAUUAGGGUUUCCUUGUUAGAUAACCCUAAUUGCCUCACUAUAUAUAGAACCCUUAAGGCUCAAAAACAUGGACACGCAACCUUCUAGGGUUUUCACACGUUUUGGGCAGCCUCCAUCCUCUCUCCUCUUCAUCCUCUUGCUUUUGGUGUUUGUAAGCCAUUAGAGGAGUGACACUUGUGACUCUAAGCCUUCCAAAGUCAAUUCAAGGAGGAAUUGGGAUUGUUAUUGCUACAUAACAAUCAAGGUAAUAUCAUAAACCUAAUUAUAUGUUAAUAUUGAUUUCCAUAUGCUAGAAUUAGGGUUUAUAGUCUUGGAUUCAAAGCAUGUACAAUAGAGAAACCUAGAUCCAAGCAUUAGGGUUUGUAUGAGCACAUAAGAUGUCUUAUGACCAAAACCCUUCAGUUUCUGCAUCCAGUAUAUAUCAGGGUUGUGUAUUGGAGAUCAUCGGGGUUCCCUAUCCGAUUGAUUUGAUCCCUAUCCCCAUGGGGGAUUUGUGCAUGAUAGUCUAAAGAUUUAUCUACUCUUGUGCAACCUUUAGAUUUCUCCACUUGGAUUAAGUGCUUAAUCGGUUAAGCCACUAUGUCCAUUUCUCAUAUCUGCUCCUAAUUGAUGUCUUAACAUGUAAAGUUGGCAACUUUACUCCUCUGCACGUCUUAAUAGGAACCAAUACUGAAUAAAAUCCAUUAUAAGCACACAACACUGUAUUUGCAUACAAUUAGUUUCUAAAAACAACAAGCCAACAAUUAUCACACACAACAACAGAUGUAAGCAUUUCAUUUCCUAAUUCCUAUAAAAUUCAAUAAUCCAUUCAUAAUUAUAUUUCAUUUGAUUAAAUUUUUUACACAAUGGAAAUCGAAACGGAAAAAAAAGAGAAUCGAAAUCAAAAACAGAAACGGAAACACAUACAUUUAGACAAAAUUACAUAACUAGUACUUAUGGUUUACCAAAGGUCACAAUAACAAUCCCUGCUAUGUUGUUUUGAUUAACCUGAUCCAUGGGGAUUAUAAAGCUUGCAUAACCCAUGUAAAAAGAUUAUCUAAUUUACAUUAUAUAUUUAUAACUACUAUUAGGAGUUGCAAGUGUUUUUCAGAACAGAGGACAUCACAAUAACAAUCAUAUAUGCAUCAUUAUAUAUUACUCUAAAGUUUUAUCUUCUUUUCCUUACAGGUCGGUUCCAAUAUGUGAGACUUAGGUCAGACUGACACUUGAAAGCAUAGAUGAAUUAUUGUCCCCAUACGAUAUAUCUUUGUUAAUACAACGUUAAAAUGUUGUCUUUCUUUGUGUUACAGGUCCCAAUUUGUGUGUUUUGAAGCAUGUUCGAAAUUUUGUAAAAAAUAAAUAGAGCAAGUACAUGAAAUGAAUAAGAAUUAGGUCAAAUAGAAAAAAUGGAAAACUUACCAAGAGAGCGUCGAUGACUCGACAAUGGAGAUGUAGUGGUGUAGAUUAUGAUGACAAAUACGGAAGAUGAAAUAUCUCGUGAAUCAUCAUACAAAACAUGAACACAUGGAGUAAAUAAAUCUGGUUUAAGCUCUCAUUAGUUUUUGAUAGAAUGGAUACAAAUGGGUUUUGCAAUUUCUCUCUCUAAAACUAACACUCCAAAAUGAUCAUUACAUAAAUGAGUUUUGCUCACUUCCUUAUAAAGGAAAUACAACUCAUUACCCAAUACAAGAGGGUAAGCACUAACACAUCCAAGCAUGACUUUGCACUCUAACAGGAGAAGGAGAGAUGAAUCAGAAAUAAAGGUUUCUUCUUUUCCCUGUAGUGAUUAUGGUUUUUGAAUUAUGGUUUAUGAACAAUUGGUUUGACUUGAAUGUAACUUUAUAAAAAUAUAUGUUUAUUCUAUUUUAAAAAUGAAAAAAAAAUAUUCUGCGAUUUGGGACGUUACACCAUUAUUUUAUAUUUGUAUCAUUCUCACACUAGAAAUAAUGUUUUGAAAUAUAAUUUUAAAAUAUAUCAUAAUAGUCAUGUUUUUUAGUUUUAACCAUAAAAUAGCCAAAAAAAAGAGACAAAAAUAGCCAUAAAUUUCCCAGGCCACCAUUGGCGAAAAUGUGGUUCGCCUGCAAAAAAAAAUGAAAAAUGAAAACGACAUCGUUCUGGACAUUGUUGAAUGUGGAAAGUGAAAUCAUCUGUGAUUUUUUUUAAAAAAACAUGUAUUCCACAUGACUAAUUGUUGUUUUUGUUGGUGGUUGAUGGCAGUUAGAAACACCAUGUUCAUACAAUGCUAUAAAUCAAUAUGUUGUUAGUGGGAACCGAUCUAGAAGCAGAAGAGGGUUCGGUAGUAAAAGAUGGAAAAAGCUUUGCUAAGAUCAGAUCCAGUAGAAGAGAUAGAAACAAUCAAACAGGUAUGUGUAUCUCUCUAAAUGAUUCUCACAAUGUUGGUGGAUAUGUUGCCUAUGGAACAUCGGUAAAAUAACAACUCAAUUGACAAGUAGUUUAUGAAAACCAAUAUACGUAUUGACAAAUUCAAUAUGUCGAUCCCAAAUAUUUUGUACCAUAUCAAACACUAUAUCAAACACUAAUACCAUCAUAUCAAACAUCGAUGACAUCAUUUCAAAUGUUGGUUGUAUAAUAUCAAACGCCAAUUAUACAAUACGACUUAUUUUUCCGGUCUAAAAACUGGGCCGAAAGGAGAGGAAAGUGGUAUUGAAGAUGCAUAUGUGUAACUAACCUUGGAAUAAGACUACUAGGUGUGGGCAAUAUGUUAUUAUAUGUUACCACACAUAAAGUGUCCACCUCAUCAUCCUAGUCACGAUUUGGUGUUAUAACACCCAAGUUGGAAAUGGGCAACACCAAAUAACAUGAGAUAACACCUAUUAUUUUUUUUGGAUGUUUUUAAUUUCUAUUAUUGUAUUUUUUUAUUUUUUUUAUUAUAUAUUUCUAAUUUGUUUUAUUUUUUUUAUUUAUGUCAUAUAUCUAUAUAAAACAUACAAAUUAAUAAAACAUAAUUUCAUUAAAUAGUAAAUUAAAAAUACCAUACAAACUUAAAAAAACAUUACAAAGCAAAAAAAAAAAUUGACCAAAAAACACAUGAUAGUCCUAAAAACACACGAUAAUUUAACUAAAAACACUGAUAAAGUAUUCGUCGUCCAAGUAUUUGCUCUUGAUCUGUGACAACCCGAACCUUUUUCUAGUUUCCGUUAAUUAAUUUCCGUUAAUAAAAUUUUAUUUUAUUGGGUUCCGUCAACUUCCUUCGGUUUGGAAAAUCAUUUAACUAUAUAUUUUAAGUUCUAUAUUCGAGUCGGAACCAAAACCACUCGAAAUUUCGGGAAUUUCCUUCGAGCAAGACCGAGUUCAUGGUCGGACUUGAGUUCACGGCCGUACACUCGUAUACGGCCGGCGUUGGGUGGACCUCACCACCGACCAACAACAACCCCUAUAAAUAUGAGACCCUACCCUUCAUUUACACUCUUCUGGCCGGACACUCUCUCCUCUUCUCUCUAGACUAUCGACUGUACACCCCUAAAAACACCCUUAACCUUCCGGAAAACAUCGAGAAACACCAUUUGGGGUCAUUUCGGAGCAUCUAGAACACGUUUCUCGUCGAAAUUAGCAACUUUGUUCUUAAGUGUAUGGUCGUACACCUUUAAGUUCAUUGACCGCACACCAGUCUACGACCGUACACCUUCAAAGGUCGUACUCCUUCAAGGGUCGUACAACGUUCAUGACCUUACACCCUGCUCACGACCGCACACUUGUUUACGUCCGUAAACCCCGUACACGGUCGUACACACUUCCUAAGUGGUGUAUUUGACUGAAAAUCCUACUUCCCUCGAUUCGAUCAACUCCCGGUAACAUUCCUUAACCGAACUCAAGUGUUUUUCUACACUUUAUCUAGCGAAAUCACUAAUUUAAAUACAUAAAUGUAUUUAAUUGUUAUUAGGAUCCCGUUAGGUGCCACACGCUACAACUCGAGGGUCAUCAUUCUAAUUCGUGAUUUGACGUUUGCACACUACUAACAGUGAGUUCAUACCCCUACGCUUUUAUGGUUUUUAAACGUUUUCAUGGGGGAAUACGAGUCAAACACAAAUGAUUUUUGUGGACCAAAACAAAAGGAUUUAACAAGUAUAAAACUUAUGAAAUUGAUACAGACAAAUGAUUUCCACGUUUUUAUAGAAUAUUUAGAUAUUUUAUCCCUUUUGUACUAUGUUGAGCAUAAUGGACGUUUUCAACGUACAACCAUAAUUGCAUAGUUUUCAGAUCAAUAUACGAACCAAAUACACAACAUACAUGCAAACUAAAAUAGGUAUAGUUUGGGGUUUUCAAUACACAGUUUUUACGAAUUCAGAGUUAUACACUGCUAAACAUAUAAACUAUGGCAUAUUUAGUUUAUGAUAUACAUUACUAUAAGAGUACAAUAUUUAAUAAUUAUUUAAGUAUAAUUAUUACGUUAUACAGUAUUCAACGGAUUCAAAUACAAGGGAACAAUAUAUAAUUACACGUAAACUAGAUUAUACAUAAUUGUAAGACUCUACUUCAAAACUGUACCCUUAGGUGUACUGAAUUAAAUCCUAUCAUAGUAUAACCAGAGUCUCCUGGAGGGAGAGCGUGAGAUUUGUGAAUAGAUCUAUUCGGGACUGACAAUCUCACACCUAAACUGCUAGCUACAGUUAGGCAUACAUGCUUGAGGUGACAAAUUUCAUUUAACCGACACUUGAAGAACGUCGUAAAGGUCACUAGGUCAUAUCAAGUAUGGUUAUACGACUCACAAUAAGUAUAAACUAACCUUUGUUUACAAGAUUUCAUUCUUCAUUAGUUUUAUUUUAAUUAAUAGAACUAUUAUACAUUACAUUAGGGGAUUCCAGAGAUACAAUACCCGGUUUUAUUUAAAUAAUAAAACUACUAUACACACUGGUGGUAGCCAGAGUUUUCAAACAGAACUUACUAUUUGUACCACUGAUAGCCAGGGUUUUCAAACAGAACAUUCUACACAAAGGUUUUCAUACAUAUAUCAUCAUACAAGACAUCUAGUAGUAACCAAACAUACAAACUAAUAUGUUUUAUAUACUACAACCGGAUACAAUAACAAACAUUCAUGGUUAGUUCUAUAACUCUUUAGUUUAUGCAUCAAGGUUACGUAUGAAGAAUACUCGAUAGACUGUGGGAUAUGUGGUUUCCGCCUCAUUUCCUGUUCCUUGUUUGGUUGUGGGCUUAGGGCAGAUCCAUAUAACCAACUAUCUGUUCGAUUUUUGUUUAUACGUGGCUAGCAUGAACUAAGUGGUUAUAGAGGGAACUGAUAUUAUCUCACUCUUACUAAAGAAAAUAUUGGAUUUUAUUGGAAAACAUACGAACAGAGUCAUCAACAGGUUUUCAUUACAAAAACAUCGCUUAUGAACUCACCAGCUUUAUGCUGAUACUCUUUCAAAACUGCUUGUAUUCUCAGGGAAUCAGUAGACAGGUACCUCCUGGAGUUUUGAGAAGACGGAGUGCAUAGAGUCACGUCUUAUUAUUUUGAUUAUACUUUUGAUAUAUAAAAACAAGAAUCAAACAGAUGUAAACCCUUUUCAUAUAAUGUAUUCAAUGUAUUGGUUGUGUUUACAAUGAUUGUUAUGAUACAAUUGUUGUGAUACUACACAUGACGUCAUCCACCCCCGAACGUUUCCGCCGUUCCGGUUUGGGGGGGGUGUGACACGAUCUUUGCCUUCCUCCUCCAUAUCAAUUCUACUCGUGUUGGUCGCAUAUUUUCUUUGUUUGUCAUAAGAAUUGCCAAAUCAUUCGAUAUGCGAUCUUGCUCGGCUUCAUGACGAAGAAACUCCAAAUGCUAACCUUGCAAUUCAUAUCUAUUAUUUGCGACUUCCGGGUGGGCGUCGAAUUUUUGUUUCAUUUAUGCGUGCUCUCGAAGCCGACUUUCAUUCUCCUCUGCAUGUCGUUGAGCGCGCUUUGCUUUGUCGCACCCCAUUGGUCGUUGUGGCAGAGAGAUUUCCUCGAUGUCGUCAAAGUCAUCCGGGAGCUCAUCGGUGUCCGCGUUGAGGUCGGUGUUCGUGCGUCCGUCAGAAACAUCAACCGAACUCGAACCACGAGACCACUUUGAUUGUUAUCCAUUUUGGAUCUUUCCUUACGAUCUCCCAAAUUUUUUCGUGCUCAAAUAUGUGACCCGUUUGCACGUGAUAUUCCUCCCUCGUAGCUCUAAGCGCAUUGAACUUAUUUGCACCACUUUGUGUUGCAAAGAAAGUUUGUUGUAGAUAGAAUUGAAUUUGGUGCACUUCCGGUUAAUUUGAGUCCAUUUGCCACUAAGCAUAUCGUGAAUGCGAUAUGUGUCAUUCUUGUUCAAAAUUGUGCGGAAUUUGACAACCACGGCUUCCCAAAAAGCAACUCUCCUCAUAUCAUUCCCCAAAGUUGGUUGUUUUGAAGUCCCGAACCAAGCCACCGCCAACGCAUGCUCUUCCUCCGGUGUCCACCAUGUUGGAGGUGCUUCCAUUUGCUCCGCCCCGCCCCGGGCUCUUUUCCUUUCUUUUUUGAUCUCCCUUUUUUCCCGAUGCUUUUCAACUACCCCCGACUUGCAUCUUGAUAACCAUUUCUUGUGUGGAUGGGUGUUGUGUGGUUGUUUGUUGCAUAAAAGGCGAGGUAGUGAAUUGUAGUGGGGGUGAGGCGGGAUUGAAAAAGUUGGUGGAAUAUGGAAUUUGUGGUGAGUUUUGCGAGUUGAGGAGGUUUAUGUAGCCCUCGUAUGCCACAAAUCCUAUUGGAGUGGGUGUGUUUGUGUUUGGAGGAGUAUUCGGAUUUUGAUCCAUAGUUGGUUGAUUUUUGUGUUUGUGUUUUGAGUGUAAGAGAAAUAGAGAUAGAUAUAGAGAAAUAGAUGUAUAGGUAAUAAGAAUGAGGUAUAUAUAUUAUAUGUAAUGUAAAAAAAUUUAAUUAGUAAUUUUUUUUAUUGAAGUUACCGUUUUUAAACGGUUUAAUUUUGAAAUAUUGUACCAUUUUUAAACGGUCAAAAGUUUGCAACGUUCGGAUUUAUGCACGCUACACCCUGUUACCACAAUAACGAACGAUAACAUAACACGUAAUAACAGGAGGGUGGGGAGGUGUUCACCCGUUAUGGCGAUGCCACAUCGGAUAACGCCAUAAGGGCGUUGCCCACACCCAUCCGUCUAACUAUAGGAAACAUACACUCAACUACUAGAAAAAUGUACCACGGUCUGUAACUCAAAUGAGUCCAUGAACCACAAUUAGCUAUUUUUGUUGAUGAUCAAGACCAGCUAAGAGUAUACGUAAAUAAGAACAAAAGGCAAAUACAAGUAGAAAGAAGUAUAUUUAAUCAAAUUGUAUCUGAACUGAAAGAAACAAAAAGGAAUAUCAAGAUGUUAAACCCGUUGAAAAUCUUGCAGCAUGAAAAUGCUCAAAGACACAUCAAGGGCUUACACUCAAGGAAAAAGGUGAUAAAACAAAAAACCUAUUGCUUUUGUGUAUGCUCGACGGCUUUGAGUUAUCUUAUUAUUUAUUCCAUAUCUUGAUGUGUCUGAGCAUGUUGAUGUUGUAAUUUGAUAACUUUGCAUCAGUUCUGUACUCUUCUCUUUGCGUAACCAUUCUAUUUCAGCUUCCCUUUGGAUUUCAAUUCUAUGUAAUUACCUGCUGAGUUGAUUUAAGUCCCACCUUCAAAUAUUCUUCAAAAGUUACCUCUUGCUAAACCCCUCAUAAGAAAUGUUCAUGCACAAACUCCCACCUAUUCAAUAAAUCUUGCUAAAUCCCUGAAUCAAAUCACAGAAACCAAUAAAAGAUGAAUGUGUAAGAAACUAAACACCACCAAAAACCAGAACAACCAUGCAUGUACGGUGUUGUUUAUCAUUCAUAAUAACAUAACCAAGACCAAAACUUUCCCCCUUUGCAUGAAAAAAGAAAAAGAAAAUUUACAAAUAGAAAAAUAGAUAAUAAGUGGAUACCUGAUUCUAACUAAACUAUUUGAAAAAUAGACCAAGAUAUGUAACUUAAAUGAUUCCUUGAUUUUACAAUUAACUGUUGUUGAUGAUCAAGACGAACCAAGAGUAAAAGUAAUAAUUUGGAAAAGCAAAAUACAAAAAGAAAGAAGUAUAGGCAAUAAACUCGUAUUUGAUUUGAAAGCAACAAAAUGGAAAAUCAAGAUGUUGACCACAGGAAUUGUAAAACUCAUGGACAUUCUUGCAGCAUGACAAUGCUCAAAGACACAUCUAGGGCUUAAACACAAGAAAAAAGCAAUAACACAACCUUGACUGCUUUUAAGUUUUUUCUUUAUUGAUUCCAUAUAAUGAUGUGUCUAACCAUUUACAUGUUGUAACUCGAUAACUUCUUGCAUCAUAUCUGUCCUCUCUUGGCAUAAUCAUUUCUAUCUCAGCUUACAUUUUAAUUGUUGUUCCCUUUUUUGUUACCCGCUGAGAGUAAUUAGACUGCCACCUUGGAAUGUUCUUCAUAUGCAACCUCUUGCUAAACCCUUCAACAUCGUUCACUUGCAAACACCCAUCUGUCCCAAUAAAUCUUGAGAAAUCCAUGAAUCAAACUAUACAAACCAGUAAAAGAGAAUGCGCAAGAAAUUAAACAACACCAAAAAACCAGAGAAACCAUGUAUGUUGUUAUUUUUUGUUCACAAGAGUAGGGCCAAAACAUCAACCAAGGCCUAACCUUUCAGCUUUCAUCCUUCACCCAAUCAUCUUCUUCUUUAACAUGAAAAACAAGAACAUCUACAAAAAAAUGGAUAAUGAGUCGAUCGAUUACCUGAUUCUUAGUUGGAGCCAUGGAGAUGAAAAGUGGUGGAUGCUACAACAAGUCAGUGCGAGAGAAGUAGCAGGUCAAGAGCACAAUAGCUUAUUACAAAUGUCAUACAAAUCUAGUCUAAUAAUAACAACUUGAUAUUAUAUAAAUUCUGAAUAUAACAAACAUUCCAAGAUUGAAACAUAUAUAAAUCCACAUUACAAACACGGAUCCAAAUAUUAAUUGAUAAGCAUAUAUUCAAGAACUACUCAGAUUCCAAGGAUCUAUGCGGCUUCUCUUCCUCUCUUCAUCUUGGCAAUUGUUACCACGACUGCAAUGUAUAUCCUGUCCAUGGUUUCCUCAGCAAACAUGAAAAUCUUGUGUCUCCAGUGCUUCUUCAACAGCAGAACUCCAAUAACACCCCAAAACCCUGUUGCAAAUCCACUCAUGAUGUCCAGGUAAAACCACCAUACCUUCAUCAACUUGCCAGCUGCUUUAUGUUUCUUCUUGAGAGCUGAUGUCGUUGGGUCUUGAUGAUUUAAGCAAUUGUUUGGCAAUGGAGGUCCAUGGAGAUCUUUGUUCCCAGCAUAUAUUGAUGGAUCAUCAUUAAGGGUCUGCAACUGAUGGCCUGUUGGAAUUCUUCCUGACAAGUUGUUGUGUGACAAAUUCAAAUGACUCAAAAAAUUCAAAUCUGCCAUGCUUGGAGGGAUCAUCCCGGUCAACUCGUUUCCAGAUAAAUCAAGAGAUUCUAACUUCAUCAUGUUUCCAAUGCUUUCUGGAAUCAUCCCACUGAGAUGAUUAUUGGACAAAUUGAGACCCAACAACAUACAAAGUGCAGUUAGCUCGACAGGUAUUACUCCAACAAGUUUAUUGCUUGAAAGGUCCAUGUUGAAAACUAUAUCCCAAUUUGUUGUAUAUUCAAGAUCAACACCUUUCAUCACCUGAAUCACAUUCUCGUUGAGAUCAAAAAUGACAUUAUACUGCUUUUCUGCACCCUUCACCAUUGCAUUCAACUCUUGUAGGCAAUGAGGGAUGUUUCCCCUUAAGUUGUUGUAUGCAACAUCCAAAAUUUGAAGUUUCGACAUUUUGCACAAAGAUUCUGGAAUUUCCCCAGUGAAUUUAUUCCCGUGUAAUCUUAAAACCAUCAAAUCUGUCAGCUUUUCUCCGAUCCAAUGGGGUAUGUUUCCGAACAGUUGAUUAUCACCCACAUCUAACACUCUUAAAGAUCGUAAAUUUCCCAAUUCUCGGGGAAGUUUACCAGUGAACUUAUUGUCGUUCAGUUUUAACCAAUACAAAUAUGAAUGCUUGAGACCUAUAUGGCUUGGAAUGACACCUGAAGGCAGAUUCGAGCUUAAUAUCAGGUUUUGCAACUCUUGGAGAUUCUGGAGACACUUGGGAAUUCUCCCUGUUAACCUAUUUCUGGAAAGGUCAAGAUAUCUUAAAUCUGUCCUUCUGCACAGUGACCUUGGAAUCGACUCGUUGAAAAUGUUAUUUACUAGUAUUAAUGCCUCUACAUAUACCACAUAUUUCUCACAGACAUUUUUUCCAUUAGGAAGGUUUGUCAAAGGUUCAUUGAGUUUGUUGUGAGAGAGAUCUAAGAAAUAAAUGACAGGCAUCUCCCGCAACCAUGUGGGCACAGGUCCAGAAAUUGAAGCAUUGGACAACACUAACACCUUAAGUGCCCUUUGAUUUCGAAGCCACUGCGGAAAUCCAUUUGUAAUAUUGCAAGAACCGAGUUGAAGAAUUCUCAAUUGGAAUGGAGGAAUCCACUCACAUGAAACAUUGAAUGUUAACUUGGUGUUAGAAGAAACAUACAAGUACAUCAACAUGGAAAGGUUAGCAAAAUGGGCUUCGGAAACUACUCCUUCUAAGGAAUUGACUGAGAUAUCUAGUGAAAUGAGUUUGGCAAGCUGCCCAAUUGAGACGGGAAUAGUCCCAUUUAACAAAUUUGAAGACAUCGAGAUUGCUUGUAAGGAAACAAGUCUUCCUAGAGAUGCUGGGAUGGGACCUGUUAACUGAUUGGAUCCUAGAUACAAAGAUUUUAAAGCUGCAAGAUUUCUAAAGGAUUCUGGAAUUGAACCAUUCAAUUGGUUAUAAGAAAGGUCAAGUGUGCAAAGAUUCCCAAGGAAUGUAGGAAUGGGACCGAUUAACCGGUUAUCAGAUAAAUAUAAUUCUUCUAAAUAUCUUAAUCUUCCUAGAGAUUCGGGGAUUGGACCUGUCAAACUGCUAUUCCAUACACUUAAGACUCUCAAAUUGGUUAGUCUUCCAAGUGCUUCUGGAAUCGUACCAUUCAAACACCCACUUAAAUCCAACCGCUCCAAAGCAUAUUGGGAGCAUUCUGAAACGUUUUGCGGUGGGUCAAUCCUUUCUAUUUCAAAAGGAUUCCUCAAUGCAAACAACUGUUUCAGGUGACACUGUCUCCAGAUUCCAACAUCCUCAAUAUUCUUAAACUGGUUAACAGAAAGAUCAAGCUCUAGAAGGUUAGGCAUAAUAGGAACCGAAGAAUGCAGCAUGUUUCUUCAGAGAUGGACUCUUAAGGAACUCAUAUUACUGAAAACAGAUGGAAAUAUGCCUUCAAUUGAAUUCCAGCUAAGAUCCAGGUGUUGGAUGUUAGAAAGCAUAGUGAUAUUAAAAUGAGCGGAAGAUAGAAAAGUCUUAUCAAGCCCACAAAGUGACAAAUGCAGCUCUGAUAAAGAACGGAUCAUGUUUAGCACGUUUGCAAAGUUCCAUGCCAAACUAAGAUUAAAUUUAGAAAGAUCUAGGAAUGUUAGGGAUGUCAUGUUUCGGAAGAAUCCAGGGAGUGGGCCUUUGAAAGAAUUAGAGCCAAGAUCAAGGCGUUUUAUGUUGGCAAGAAUUCUACUCGAAUUAAGAGAAGGACCAAGAUGCACAUUGGAAAGUCCACAACCACGCAAACUUAACUCUUUUAAUGAACAAAGAUUGUAAAGCAUCAUGUCCAUGUUUUUUGCUCCGCCAAGAUCCACCCAACUCAAAUCGAGAUGCUUGAGUGAUGGAAGGCCAAAAGUCCAUGACAUAUCAUCCGAUGUUAGAUUAUAAUUUGAACUGAGAUCCAAAACCUUUAAAUUAGAAAGAUUUCCAAUGUGAGGAGGAAUAAUACCUUGAAAACAAGCAUAAGAGAGAUUGAGAUAUCUCAGCUCUUUGAAGGAUCCAAUGAACUCAGGGAUCCGGCUUCCUUGAUAAAAAUUCUGACUCAAGUCCAGGUACUUGAGAUGCCUCAACUCAGCCAAAGAAGAGUUCACCUCAUUACCAACUAAAUAGCUCCCUCCUUCACCAAAAUCUCCUCUGAGAUUGAGGCUGUCAACGGCGGUUCCAGUGAGACUGUCAACGGUUCCAGUGAGACUGUCACAGUGGAUUCUUUCCCACAGGCAACAACUUACAACAUCGUUACUAAAUUCCGAGAUACAAUACAAACGAACAUAUGAACUAUAAUUGGUAUAGUUUACGGAACGUACGCACCACUUUUACUAAGUUCAUAUUUCACUACAGUAACAAACAUAUAAACUACAUUAGGUAUAGUUUAUGGAACUUACAUACAAUUAUUCAUUACAAAGUGAUUUUCAUUUAUUUUACAUGUAAUCGUCAGUAUAGCUUUACGAAACACACUUCAAGUACUUACCUAAGUACCAACCAAGCUCUGAAAUUAUAAUCAGAGUCUCGUGGAGGGAGAGCGUGAAUUUGUGUAUAGAUCUAUACAGGACUGAUAAUCUCGCACCUUAACUGUCAGAUACAAUUAGGCCGGCAAGCCUGGGGUGACAAAUGUCAUAACUAUUACGACACCUGAAGAACAUCGUUUCAGGCUAUCCUAGGUCAUCAAGCAUGGUUAUACUAACUCACAAUUUGGUAUUGAACAAUACGAUUAAUAUAAGAAUACAUAAACAACUUCAAGUAGUUUUAUUAAAUGAUACAACUACCAUACAGUGCUUUACAUUACAGCUGGUGGAAUCCAGGCACAUACAUUUAUAGAGUUUUCAUACAAGUAUACUACAAAAUACUAUUUUCCAGUACAUAGAAACUUACAUUUCAGGGAAACAUACAUUUUCACUUAGUUUUAUUUACUAAUAAGACUAUUAAAUACUAGUAACUAAGUACAACAAUUAUUACACAUUUUUGUCUUAUGGCAUUAAGACUACAAUACAUUUACAACAAAAAAAUAUAGGAUUUUCUGGGAGAACAUACUAACAUUUUCAAAGAACAAAGACAAGCUUUCUAUCUCAAAAACAUACUUAUGAACUCAUCAACUUAAAUGUUGAUACACUUUCAAAAUCACUUGUAUUCUCAGGAACCAGUAGACAGGUACACUACAGGUUUUUUAGAAGACGAAGCAUCCAAGGUAUCACAUCUAUAAUUUUUGGUAUACAUUUUGAUAUUAUACAAACAAUGUUGCAAAUACAAUGUAAACACUAUAUUAUCAAUGCAAUGGUUGUUAUUACUUUGAUUACUAUUAUUCAAUUGUUGUGAUAUUAUACAUGACGUCCUCCGCUCCCGAAUGUUUCCACCGUUCUGGUUUGGAGGUGUGACAACCAACCCCAAAAAAUAUCCUAAAGGGAUCAAACUUGUAAUAAACUCAUAGUUUUUCUUUAAACUUUUUUUUUUUUGUAAAUUUUAACUUAAUUAAAUUUUAAUUAAUAAUAAAAGUAUAAGUUUUUAAAUUAUUUUACAUUUAUUAAGUAUGAUAGGUUUUAUCCAUAAACGCCAACAACAUUGAUGAAAAUCGUAACAAUAUAAAACUUAUUGUGCAAAAAACUUUAUGCUAACUUCAACUUUGACGUGCUCCAUUGGAUUAUGAUUUGGGUUUAGCUCUAACAAUGAUUAUAUAGUUUGAAUAAUGGUUUGUCUUUGUUGGGAUGAUAAAAGUAUUUUCGGUUGGAACCAUUCAUUUCAAAGAUAUUAUAUACAAAUGGAUUUCUACAAGAACUUUUAUGUUUACAUUAUGGUUUACUCUGAUUUGUUACAUUUGUCACUUUUAUGGAACCAAUUGUUGGUUCAACAUAGAAAACGCGACACUUAUAUAUAAAUAGUUUCUUCUUGUCUUGAUAGUUAUUCAUUUAAUGGAUCUUUAGGUUUGGUUGAAUUUGACUCCCAAGAGAUUUAACAUUGUAGUUGUGACUCCUAUAAACAAACAUUGUUGAAUCUAAACAACUUCAUGAUUUCCAAAAUGGUGGAAAUCAUAAUUUGUAAGCAUGGUAUGUUUUUCAUCUUCUUUAACCAUGUUCUAUUCAUAAAAUUGUUUUGUUUGAACUUUCACGGUUUUCGGAUUAUGUUUUACUAGUCGUCAAAUUUGAUAAGUAAUAGAACGUUAUUGAUGAAAUCGAUGAAAUUAACAAAAAAUAUUUGGUCAAUAGUGGAACCUUGUCAUAUAAUCAAAUUGAACAAGAUAGACAGUUGCAUUUUACAAGUUAAAUGUACAACCUUUAAUAUAAGAAGUUCUCUAGCAAUUGUUGCAUCAUGGGCUGCAGUUAAUAUACAUGAAGGGAAGAACAAGGCGUUGCUUUCUACAACACUACAUAAAUGAAUUCAAAACUUGAUCAUAUAACCUACACUAUAUACGAACAUGAAAGUACUAUGUUGACUUUUGUUACACAAGACAAGAUUUCUAAGGCUAUUUUCAAAGAGGAUCUAAGAAGUGGGGGAUUGAUAUUGAUACAGAUACACGUCUAACAAUCAGAAAAGGGAGCACGUUGGGACCACUAAGAGUGUAUUCUAGAAGGGGAAAAAGGGCAAAUCCAGAAAGUGGCUAAGUUGGUUAGGGAGAGAGAAGAGAAUAAAAGGGAGGAGAAUAUUUGGUUUUGAUCAUCUUGUUAUUUGUUAUGUUUGUUUUAGCUCAGGAGUAUUCAUGCUCUAUGAGAGAGGGACCAUUCCCUGGACAAUCUUUUGAUUGGUUUUGAUUACGUUUAAUCAAUAGAAAUUAUCUCUCCUUCCAUUCAUUUCAGCUCUUACAAAAUUUUCUUACAUAAGCUAGUAUUCUAUCAAUUUCCAUUCUCUAUCACUGGUCCGACCUGCUACGCUCUGCCUUGAGUAAGGAAUGGUUCAGGCUACAGUUGAAACUCGAUCUCAGGCAUCCCGUCUAGAUCACCAUGACGAGCAGAUUUCCCAAUUGCAAGCUGAUUUGACGGCGAUACAAUCUAAGAUAGACAGAGAACGGGAAGAAAUGGUGGAAUUUCGGCAGUAUAUGAUGAACUGGGUUAAGAAGCAAGAUAAAUCCGUGGCAUCCGGUGCCGAUGGUUCUUCCGGUGGCGUUUCUGGUAUGGGAAGCGGUUCUCCAUUUGUACAGACUCCUUUGAUUCACAUUCCUGGGUCAGGGAGUGGUUCGAUUCCCUUCUCAGGAGCAACGGGAUCUGUGGCUGGUGGGUUACCCUGGGCUGUGAAGAAAGUGAAAUUGCCUGAGUUCUAUGGAUUCGAUCCUCAAGGAUGGAUCCAAAAGGCCAAACUCUUCUUCGAGAUCAAUGGCACCGAUCCUUCUCUUCGUAUACGAUUGGCUCAACUCAGCAUGACGGGUGUUGCUCAACAUUGGUUUUCUAUUGUGCGUCAGGUUCAUGAAUCUCUCACGUGGGAGCAAUUCCAAGAGGAAUUAAUUCAGCGUUUCAGUGGUUUGGAGAUCCAAAACCCCUAUGAACAACUCGCUUCGAUUCAACAACUGUCUUCCAUAAACGAUUACAUUGAUGAUUUUGAGUAUUUGAUGGCCCUCGUUCCCAAGAUGCCUGAAAUGCAAGCUAUGGGGUAUUUUAUGGCUGGAUUGCAAGAUGAAGUGCGACGGUGGGUUCGAUUGCAACGUCCUCACUCACGUUUAGAUGCGAUGUACUCCGCCAAAGACGUCGAAGAAAUCCUCCGACCGACCACCGGUAAUAUUUCCCAAACCCGUUUUCGUUAUCAUUCAGCUCCUGGAUCGGGUUCGGAUUUUGGGUCGGAUAUUAAAUCUUUCAGUGGAAGUCGGGUUGACCCAAAAGGAUUUACUAACCCUAAACAGACGGAGCGUAUCCCAAUGCAACGAAUUGAUGGCCAUCGUUCUCUCUUAGCUUCUCGUUCUUCGAGUACGUCCCCACUCGAUCCUCCUUCUCAUCCUCAUUGUGACAGAGGAGUUCGAUCUUUGACACGCACCGAAUGGGAAGAACGUCGGAAAAAAGGCUUAUGUUUCCGAUGUGGUCAACAGUUUGGUCCAAAUCACAAAUGUCCAGAAGGAAAAUUACGUGUGUUGAUACUGGGCGAUGAUGAAGCAUAUGAGGGAAGCCAAUUUAUCCUUACAGAAUCACCCAUUCCAGAGGAUACAUCUUCUCUUCCAAUCGAGGAAGGGCACUGCGCUGCGUUAGAGUUCACUGGCUCAUCAACCGAAUGUAGUGGAGGUAAAACCCUUAAAUUUGAUGGUGAACUCUUAGGGAUUCCUGUUGUGGUCCUUGUGGAUAGUGGAGCCACUCACAAUUUUGUGUCACGUCAGUUGGUAUUGGCUUUAGGCAUCCCUUCUGUCCAAUUUUGUGGGAUCAACAUUAAGUUGGGAGAUGGCCAUGUGGUUCGGGUGACUGAGAAAUGUCUCCACCUGCGUAUCUUGAUGGGGGGGUUGUUCUUUUGAAGUGAAUACGUUAGUGUUUGACACGGGGAGUACGGAUAUCAUCUUGGGCAUGGAAUGGUUGAAGACAUUGGGUGAAGUGACACACAGUUGGGAUAAGUCUUGGAUGCGGUUUUCGUAUCAAGGCAAGAUUGUUCAGCUUCAAGGUUUAGCUCCGGGCCAACAUUCUCAAGCUUCCUUACACAAAUGGUUACAGGAGAACCCAUCCACCACAACCGACCAAUGCAUCCCUCGUACUCCCGGUGGGUUGAUUACUUCUAUGGAAGAUAUGCCUUUAGCAGUUGAUCAGUUAGCUGAGUUGCAUUCGCUGCUUAACCGAUUUGGUGCAGUUUUUCAACCUCCCAAGGGCUUGCCUCCUUCUCGGUCACAUGAUCAUAUGAUCAACUUGGCCAAUCUUCAUGAACCGGUGUGUGUCAGGCCUUAUCGUUAUCCGCAUGCUCAAAAGUCUGAAAUUGAAAGACAAGUUCAAGAGCUGUUAGAUUUGGGGAUGAUCCGACCUAGUAAAAGUGCUUAUUCAAGCCCGGUGAUCUUAGUUCGCAAGAAAGAUAACACUUGGAGAAUGUGUGUGGAUUAUAGAGCCCUAAACAAAGCCACUAUUCCCGACAAGUUUCCGAUUCCGGUGGUGGAAGAACUAUUAGAUGAAUUAUUUGGGGCAUGUUAUUUUUCCAAACUCGACUUAAAAUCGGGUUAUAAUCAGAUCAGAAUGCAUGAAGACAACAUUGAGAGAACAGCUUUUCGUACCCAUGAUGGCCACUAUGAAUACUUGGUGAUGCCUUUUGGAUUGAUGAAUGCUCCGGCCACAUUCCAAGCGGUGAUGAAUGAUGUUUUUCGCCCUAUGUUACGGAAAAAAGUGGUUAUUUUUUUUGAUGAUAUAUUGGUAUACAGUGCUUCUUGGAAUGAACACUUAAAAGAUUUGGAGGACGUGAUGUACAUUUUGGAACUUAACCACUUAGUGGUCAAUCACAAGAAAUGUUCAUUUGGGAAAAAAUCGAUUGAAUAUUUGGGCCACAUCAUCGAUGGGCAGGGUGUUGCAAUGGACCCAACAAAAGUCGAGGCAGUGGUGGAGUGGCCAGUUCCCAAACAGUUGAAAGGGCUCCGGGGAUUCCUGGGAUUAACGGGAUACUAUCGCAAAUUCGUUAAAAACUAUGGGAGCAUAGCACGACCGCUAACAGAAUUAACAAAAAAAGAUGCUUUUAAAUGGAAUUCGGAGGCUCAAUUGGCUUUUGAGAAUUUGAAAACAGCGCUAGUCACAGCCCCUGUUCUGGCAUUGCCUGAUUUCUCACACCCCUUCGUCGUUGAAUGUGAUGCUUCUGGUAGAGGUAUUGGAGCGGUUCUGAUGCAACAUAAUAAACCAAUUGCUUACUUCAGUAAGGCCUUGAGUAAUCAGAAUAUGUCCAAAUCAACUUACGAACGCGAGAUUAUGGCAUUGGUCCUUGCAGUUCAACACUGGCGAGCUUAUUUAUUGGGAACAAGAUUUGUGGUGUACACAGACCAAAAAAGCCUAAAGUUUUUAUUGCAACAACGUAUUACAUCCCCGGAUCAACAAAAUUGGGUUGCAAAACUGUUAGGAUACAAUUUUGACAUCCAAUAUAAACCGGGCCGGGAAAACAGGGCAGCGGAUGCUGUCUCGCGUCGAGCCGAAGCAGGGGAGUUGACUCAAUUACAAUCUACUCCACUAUGGGUUCAAGGGGCAGAAUUGAUCAAAGAAGCACAGGAAGAUGUGGAUAUUCAACGACUAAUUCAAGCAUGCCAAACACAUCCUACUAGCCAUCCGGGCUAUUCAGUCCGCAAUGGAGUUUUGUACUAUAAGGAUCGAUUAGUGAUCUCUCGCCAGUCUAAGUUUAUUCCUGACCUCCUCCAUGAGUUCCACACGUCAGCAACCGGAGGACAUUCGGGGUAUUAUCGCACCUAUCGACGGCUGGCAGCAAAUUUAUAUUGGCCUGGUAUGAUUGCUUGUAUUAAGCACUUUGUGCGCGCUUGUGAUGUUUGUCAACGGUGCAAGGCGAGUUCGUUGACUCCUGGGGGCUUAUUGCAGCCAUUAGAGAUUCCAAGGGCAAUUUGGGAAGAUCUCUCCAUGGAUUUUAUACUUGGACUUCCCAAGUCCAAAGGGUUUGAUGCGAUUUUCGUUGUUGUUGACCGAUUGUCUAAAUAUGCCCAUUUUAUACUUUUGAAACACCCAUACACCGCCAAGAUGGUGGCUGAAGUCUUUGUUCGUGAGGUGGUCCGCCACCAUGGCAUCCCCAAAUCCAUUGUGAGUGAUCGUGAUCCCUUGUUCAUUAGUAAGUUUUGGUAGGAAAUUUUCAAAUCUCAAGGCACCCACUUGCAUAUAAGUUCGGCUUACCAUCCGGAAUCUGAUGGCCAGACACAAGUAAUUAAUAGAUGCUUAGAAGCAUAUCUUCGUUGUUUUGCAGUAGAUCAACCGCGUUUGUGGGCUCAUUGGAUCCCCUGGGCUGAGUUUUGGUACAAUUCCACAUUCCAUGGAUCCACAGGCAUCUCUCCUUUUGAGGUGGUUUAUGGGCGCAAACCACCUACCAUUUUUCAGUAUGUUCCAGGCGAAGUGCGCGUACAGGCUGUAUCUCAAGAGUUGCAAGACCGUGAUGAAGCAAUUCGACAAUUGAAGAUCCACUUAGCUCAAGCACAGAGUAAUAUGAAGACUCAAGCUGACAAAAAACGGCGAGAUGUUCAAUUUCAGGAGGGUGAAUGGGUGUAUGUUAAACUCAAACCAUAUCGACAGAUGUUUGUGUCUAGCAGGAUACAUCAUAAAUUGGCUGCAAAAUUUUUUGGUCCAUUUCAGAUUCUAGAAAAAGUAGGCCCGGUGGCUUACAAGCUUCAGUUACCCCCUACAUCUAAAGUUCAUCCUGUUUUUCACGUGUCUUUGCUCAAAAAAGCGGUGCCAACUCCAGUGGAUCCAACUCUUCCUUCGGAUUUGGAGGUGGAUACUGGCGAUAUUUUAACUCCUGCAGCAGUUUUGGCUACUCGUGUCGUCGGGGAUCCUUCCGACAAGGUGGAACAAUGGUUGGUGCAUUGGAAAGGUCAAGCGCUGGAAGAAGCUACAUGGGAGGAUGCUUUCACUAUCCAAGAACAGUUUCCAAAUACAAGUCUUGAGGUCAAGACUUUAAUUGAUGGGGGGGAGUAAUGAUACAGAUACACGUCUAACAAUCAGAAAAGGGAGCACGUUGGGACCACUAAGAGUGUAUUCUAGAAGGCGAAAAAGGGCAAAUCCGGAAAGUGGCUAAGUUGGUUAGGAAGAGAGAAGAGAAUAAAAGGGAGGAGAAUAUUUGGUUUUGAUCAUCUUGUUAUUUGUUCUGUUUGUAUUGGCUCAGGAGUAUUCAUGCUCUAUGAGAGAGGGACCAUUCCCUGGACAAUCUUUUGAUUGGUUUUGAUUACGUUUAAUCAAUAGAAAUUAUCUCUCCUUCCAUUCAUUUCAGCUCUUACAAAAUUUUCUUACAUAAGCUAUUAUUCUAUCAAUUUCCAUUCUCUAUCAGAUAUCUUUUGCACAACCAAAGAAGAAGGGCAAGUCCCCAUUGCAUCUUUUUGGGUGGGCCAAAAAUUACAAUUUAUCCCAUCGGCAUUAAUCCCGGUCUUUGCACACCAAAUAUUGGUACUUUUCAAAAUAAUAAAGGAGACGUAGAAGAGAAGAAAAAUGAUACUAAAGAUUUAUAUGAGGAACUAAUCUUGGAAGGAAACUAUAGGAAACAAGUACCAAACUAUUUGAAAAAUAGAUCAAGAUAUGUAAUAUAUAUGACUCCUUGAUUCUACAACUAACAUUUGUUGUUGAUUGAUGAUCAAGACAAAUUGAGGGUAAAAGUAGAAACUUGAAAAAGCAAAAUACAAAAAGAAAGAAGUAUAUGCAAUCAAUCAACUUGUAUCUAAACUGAAAGCAACAAAACGGAACAUGAAGAUGUUGAAACGCAGGAAUUGCCAAACCCUUGGAAGUUUUUGCAGCAUGACAAUGCUCAAAGACACAUCAAGGGCUUAAAUACUCAAGAGAAAAGUAAUAACACAACAACACAACUUGCUUAUGUCCAUGCUUGAUUUCUUUUAAGUUUUCUCUUUGUGUAAUUGUUUGAUCUCAGCUUCCAUUUGAAUUGUUGUUCAUUCGUUUGUUAACCGCUGAGACUGAUUAGACUUCCAGCCAAACCUCUUGCUAAACCCCUCAGAACCACCUGUCCCAAUAAUUCUUGGGGAAUCCCUGAAUCAAAUCACACAAACCAGUAAAAGAGAAUAUGCAAGAAAUUAAACUAACACCAAAAACCAUAAAAACAAACCAUAGAAAUCACACAAAUCAGUAAGUUACUAUUUUAUCUUCACAAUAGCAGGGCCAAAAUAUCAAUUAAGACCUAACCUUUACCCCUUCGCCCAAUCAACUUCUUCCUUAACAUGAAAAACAAGAUCUACAAAAGAAGAAAUAGAUAAUGAGUCGAUUACCUGAUUCUUACUUGGAGCCAUGAAGACGAAAAGUGAUUGAUGCGGCAGCAGGUCGAUGCAAGAGAAGUGGCAGGUGGAGAGCACAAUAGCUUAUUACAAAUGGCAUACAAAUAUAGUCUAAUCUAACAACUUGAUAUUAUAUAAAAAUACCGAAUGAUAAAUACAACAAACAUUUUAAAAUUGAAACCUUUAAACAACAUCCACAUUACAAACAUAGAUCCAAAUAGUAGCAUUAAAACAAAAACUUCAUUGAUAACAUAUAUCCGAGAAUUACUUGCAUUCCAGAGCGCCUAUACAGCUUCUCUUCCUCUCUUGAUCUUGGCAACAACUGUUACCAUGACUGCAACGUAUAUCUUGUCCAUGAUUUUCUCAACAAACCUGAAAAUCUUCCAUCUCCACUGCUUCUUCAACAACAGAACUCCAAUUACACCCCAAAACCCUGUUGCAAAUCCACUCAUGAUGUCCAGGUAAAACCACCAUACCUUCAUCAACUCCUCAGCCGCUUUAUGUUUCUUCUUGGGCAUUGUGAUUGGGUCUUGAUGAUCUGAGCAAUUGUUUGGCAAUGGAGGUCCACAAAGAUCUUCGUUCCCAGCAUAUAUUGAUGGAUCAUCAAUAAGGGUCUGCAACUGAUGGCCUGUUGGAAUUCGUCCCAACAAUUUGUUGUCUGACAGAUUCAGAUGGCUCAAAAAAGUCAAAGCUGCCAUGCUUGGAGGGAUCAUCCCGGUCAACUUGUUUCCAGAUAAAUCGAGGGAUUCUAACCUUGUCAUUUUUCCAAUGCUUUCUGGAAUCAUCCCACUGAGAUGAUUAUUGGACAAAUUGAGACCCAACAACAUACAAAGUGCAGUUAGCUCGACAGGUAUUACUCCAACAAGUUUAUUGCUUGAAAGGUCCAUGUUGAAAACUAUAUCCCAAUUUGUUGUAUAUUCAAGAUCAACACCUUUCAUCACCUGAAUCACAUUNUAACAUUCUCAUUAGAAUCAGACGUGCCAUUAUACCACUUUUCUGCACCCUUCACCAUCGCAUUCAACUCUCUUAGGCAAUGAGGGAUGAUUCCUAUUAAGUUGUUGUACGCAACAUCCAAAAUUUGAAGUUUCGACAUUUUGCACAAAGAUUCAGGAAUUUCCCCAGUGAAGUUAUUCCUGUGUAGCUUUAAGACCAUCAAAUUUGUCAGCUUUUCUCCGAUCCAGUGGGGUAUGUUUCCGAACAGUUGAUUAUCACCCACAUCUAACACUCUUAAAGCUCGUAAAUUCCCCAAACCUUGAGGAAUUUCCCCAGUAAAGUUAUUGCCAUUCAAUGUUAACCAAUACAAUGAUGAAUGAUUAUUUGCUAUAUAACUUGGAAUGACACCUGAAAGCAAAUUUGAACUAAAUAUCAUGGUUUCCAACAAUUUCAGAUUCUGGAGACACUUGGGAAUUUUCCCUGUUAACCUAUUUCUGGAAAGAUCAAGAUAUUCCAAAUUUGUCCAUCUGCACAAGGACCUUGAAAUCGACUCAUUGAAAAUGUUAUUUGCUAGUAUUAAUGCCAGUCCUUUUUCUGGAAGGUUUGUCAAUGGUCCGCUGAGUUUGUUGUGAGAGAGAUCUAAGAUAAAAAUGGCAGGCAUCUUCCGCAACCAUCUGGGCAGAGGUCCCGAAAUUGAAGCAUUCGACAACACUAACUCAGAGAGCAAGAACUGAUUCCGUAGCCACUGAGGAAAUCCAUUUGUGAGAUUGCAGGAACUGAGAUCUAGAAAAUACAACUGGAAUGGAGGUAUCCACUCACGUGAUACAUUGAAUGUCAACUUGGUGUUAGAAGAAGCAUCCAAGCAACUCAACAUCGAAAGGUUAGCAAAAUGGGCUUCGGAGACUACUCCUUCUAAGGAAUUGUCUGAGAUAUCUAACUUAUAGAGUUUGGCAAGUUGCCCAAUUGAGACGGGAAUAGUCCCGUUUAACAAAUUUGAAGACAACCGAAUUGCUUGUAAUGAAACAAGUCUUCCUAGAGAUGCUGGGAUGGGGCCCAUUCAAUUGGUUAUAAGAAAGGUCAAGUCUGGAAAGAUUCCCAAGGAAUGUAGGAAUGGGACCGGUUAACCGGUUAUCAGAUAAAUAUAAUUCUUCUAAAUAUCUUAAUCUUCCUAGAGAUUCGGGGAUUGGACCUGUCAAACUGCUGCUCAUUAGAAGUAAGACUCUUAAAUUGGUUAGUCUUCCAAAUGCUUCUGGAAUCGUACCAUUCAAACACCCACUUAAAUCCAACCGCUCCAAAGCAUAUUGGGAGCAUUCUGAAACGUUUUGCGGUGGGUCAAUCCUUUCUAUUUCAAAAGGAUUCCUCAAUGCAAACAACUGUUUCAGGUGACACUGUCUCCAGAUUCCAACAUCCUCAAUAUUCUUAAAAUGGUUAGAAGAAAGAUCAAGCUCUAGAAGGUCAGGCAUAAUUGGAACCCAAGAAUGCAGCAUGUUUCCUGAGAGAUCAAGGACUCUUAAGGAACUCAUGUUUGUGAAAAAAGAUGGAAUUAUGCCUUCAAUUGAAUUCCAGCUAAGAUCCAGGUGUUGGAUGUUAGAAAGCAUACUGAUAUUAAAAUGAGCGGAAGAUAGAAAAGUCUUAUUAUCUAGCCAACAACUUGAAAAAUGCAGCUCUGAUAAAGAGGAAGGGAUCAUGUUUAGCACGUUUGCAAAGUUCCAUGACAAACUAAGAUUAAAACCAGAAAGAUCCAGAAAUUCAAGGGAUGUCAUGUUUCGGAAAAAUCCAGGGAGUGGGCCUUUGAAAGAAUUGGAGCCAAGAUCAAGGUGUUUUAUGUUGGAAAGAAUUCUACUCGAAUUAAGAGAAGGACCAAGAUGGACAUUGGAAAGUCUACAACCACACAAACUUAACACUUUUAACGAAGGAAGAUUGUAAAGCACCAUGUCCAUGUUCUUUGCUCCGCCAAGAUCCACCCAACUCAAAUCGAGAUGCUCGAGUGAUGGAAGGCCAAAAGUCCAUGACAUAUCAUCUGAUGUCAGAUUAUCAUUUGAACGGAGAUCCAAAACCUUUAAAUUAGAAAGAUUUCCAAUGUGGGGAGGAAUAAUACCUUGAAAACCAGCAUAAGAGAGAUUGAGAUAUCUCAGCUGUUUGAAGGAUCCAAUGAACUUAGGGAUCCGGCUUCCACGUAAAUCAUUCCAACUCAAGUCCAGGUACUUGAGAUGCCUCAACUCAGCCAAAGAAGAGUUCACCUCAUUACCAACUAAGUAGCCUUCUCCUUCACUGUAAGAAGGGCCUCCUCUGAGAUUGAGGCUGUCAACGGUUCCAGUGAGACUGUCACAGUGGAUUCUUUCCCACUGGCAACAAUCCUCCCCCACCCAUGAAGACAACAUUCCGUAACGAUUUUUGAUGACACUCCCUUUGAACCUGAGAAGAGCAAGUCGUUCUUUCUGGGAGCAAACAACAGUGACAUUUCCAACACCCAAACAAGUAUAUUUGGUUGCAAACAAAAAAACACAUAUGAAAAUGAGAUGGAGCCCCAAACCCCACGGAUUCCCCAUUUAUCAACCCUCCCUAACUCAGUUUAAUUUAGAAGAAAGUUGAAGUGGAAAGAUAGUUUGUUAUGAUGAAGUGAUAGAUUAUUAUGAAGAAGAAACCAGUUCAUUUAUAAUGCCACAAAUGAAGAACAACUUAAUGCCAUGGAAGACUUGAAGUCAAUGGACAUUUGUACCCACAAGUUGUAUUUUUGUGGUCUGAUGCUAUCUUUAUUUCUCUCUUGAUAAAAAAAAAAAAAAAAAAAANNNNNNNNNNNNNNNNNNNNNNNNNNNNNNNNNNNNNNNNNNNNNNNNNNNNNNNNNNNNNNNNNNNNNNNNNNNNNNNNNNNNNNNNNNNNNNNNNNNNNNNNNNNNNNNNNNNNNNNNNNNNNNNNNNNNNNNNNNNNNNNNNNNNNNNNNNNNNNNNNNNNNNNNNNNNNNNNNNNNNNNNNNNNNNNNNNNNNNNNNNNNNNNNNNNNNNNNNNNNNNNNNNNNNNNNNNNNNNNNNNNNNNNNNNNNNNNNNNNNNNNNNNNNNNNNNNNNNNNNNNNNNNNNNNNNNNNNNNNNNNNNNNNNNNNNNNNNNNNNNNNNNNNNNNNNNNNNNNNNNNNNNNNNNNNNNNNNNNNNNNNNNNNNNNNNNNNNNNNNNNNNNNNNNNNNNNNNNNNNNNNNNNNNNNNNNNNNNNNNNNNNNNNNNNNNNNNNNNNNNNNNNNNNNNNNNNNNNNNNNNNNNNNNNNNNNNNNNNNNNNNNNNNNNNNNNNNNNNNNNNNNNNNNNNNNNNNNNNNNNNNNNNNNNNNNNNNNNNNNNNNNNNNNNNNNNNNNNNNNNNNNNNNNNNNNNNNNNNNNNNNNNNNNNNNNNNNNNNNNNNNNNNNNNNNNNNNNNNNNNNNNNNNNNNNNNNNNNNNNNNNNNNNNNNNNNNNNNNNNNNNNNNNNNNNNNNNNNNNNNNNNNNNNNNNNNNNNNNNNNNNNNNNNNNNNNNNNNNNNNNNNNNNNNNNNNNNNNNNNNNNNNNNNNNNNNNNNNNNNNNNNNNNNNNNNNNNNNNNNNNNNNNNNNNNNNNNNNNNNNNNNNNNNNNNNNNNNNNNNNNNNNNNNNNNNNNNNNNNNNNNNNNNNNNNNNNNNNNNNNNNNNNNNNNNNNNNNNNNNNNNNNNNNNNNNNNNNNNNNNNNNNNNNNNNNNNNNNNNNNNNNNNNNNNNNNNNNNNNNNNNNNNNNNNNNNNNNNNNNNNNNNNNNNNNNNNNNNNNNNNNNNNNNNNNNNNNNNNNNNNNNNNNNNNNNNNNNNNNNNNNNNNNNNNNNNNNNNNNNNNNNNNNNNNNNNNNNNNNNNNNNNNNNNNNNNNNNNNNNNNNNNNNNNNNNNNNNNNNNNNNNNNNNNNNNNNNNNNNNNNNNNNNNNNNNNNNNNNNNNNNNNNNNNNNNNNNNNNNNNNNNNNNNNNNNNNNNNNNNNNNNNNNNNNNNNNNNNNNNNNNNNNNNNNNNNNNNNNNNNNNNNNNNNNNNNNNNNNNNNNNNNNNNNNNNNNNNNNNNNNNNNNNNNNNNNNNNNNNNNNNNNNNNNNNNNNNNNNNNNNNNNNNNNNNNNNNNNNNNNNNNNNNNNNNNNNNNNNNNNNNNNNNNNNNNNNNNNNNNNNNNNNNNNNNNNNNNNNNNNNNNNNNNNNNNNNNNNNNNNNNNNNNNNNNNNNNNNNNNNNNNNNNNNNNNNNNNNNNNNNNNNNNNNNNNNNNNNNNNNNNNNNNNNNNNNNNNNNNNNNNNNNNNNNNNNNNNNNNNNNNNNNNNNNNNNNNNNNNNNNNNNNNNNNNNNNNNNNNNNNNNNNNNNNNNNNNNNNNNNNNNNNNNNNNNNNNNNNNNNNNNNNNNNNNNNNNNNNNNNNNNNNNNNNNNNNNNNNNNNNNNNNNNNNNNNNNNNNNNNNNNNNNNNNNNNNNNNNNNNNNNNNNNNNNNNNNNNNNNNNNNNNNNNNNNNNNNNNNNNNNNNNNNNNNNNNNNNNNNNNNNNNNNNNNNNNNNNNNNNNNNNNNNNNNNNNNNNNNNNNNNNNNNNNNNNNNNNNNNNNNNNNNNNNNNNNNNNNNNNNNNNNNNNNNNNNNNNNNNNNNNNNNNNNNNNNNNNNNNNNNNNNNNNNNNNNNNNNNNNNNNNNNNNNNNNNNNNNNNNNNNNNNNNNNNNNNNNNNNNNNNNNNNNNNNNNNNNNNNNNNNNNNNNNNNNNNNNNNNNNNNNNNNNNNNNNNNNNNNNNNNNNNNNNNNNNNNNNNNNNNNNNNNNNNNNNNNNNNNNNNNNNNNNNNNNNNNNNNNNNNNNNNNNNNNNNNNNNNNNNNNNNNNNNNNNNNNNNNNNNNNNNNNNNNNNNNNNNNNNNNNNNNNNNNNNNNNNNNNNNNNNNNNNNNNNNNNNNNNNNNNNNNNNNNNNNNNNNNNNNNNNNNNNNNNNNNNNNNNNNNNNNNNNNNNNNNNNNNNNNNNNNNNNNNNNNNNNNNNNNNNNNNNNNNNNNNNNNNNNNNNNNNNNNNNNNNNNNNNNNNNNNNNNNNNNNNNNNNNNNNNNNNNNNNNNNNNNNNNNNNNNNNNNNNNNNNNNNNNNNNNNNNNNNNNNNNNNNNNNNNNNNNNNNNNNNNNNNNNNNNNNNNNNNNNNNNNNNNNNNNNNNNNNNNNNNNNNNNNNNNNNNNNNNNNNNNNNNNNNNNNNNNNNNNNNNNNNNNNNNNNNNNNNNNNNNNNNNNNNNNNNNNNNNNNNNNNNNNNNNNNNNNNNNNNNNNNNNNNNNNNNNNNNNNNNNNNNNNNNNNNNNNNNNNNNNNNNNNNNNNNNNNNNNNNNNNNNNNNNNNNNNNNNNNNNNNNNNNNNNNNNNNNNNNNNNNNNNNNNNNNNNNNNNNNNNNNNNNNNNNNNNNNNNNNNNNNNNNNNNNNNNNNNNNNNNNNNNNNNNNNNNNNNNNNNNNNNNNNNNNNNNNNNNNNNNNNNNNNNNNNNNNNNNNNNNNNNNNNNNNNNNNNNNNNNNNNNNNNNNNNNNNNNNNNNNNNNNNNNNNNNNNNNNNNNNNNNNNNNNNNNNNNNNNNNNNNNNNNNNNNNNNNNNNNNNNNNNNNNNNNNNNNNNNNNNNNNNNNNNNNNNNNNNNNNNNNNNNNNNNNNNNNNNNNNNNNNNNNNNNNNNNNNNNNNNNNNNNNNNNNNNNNNNNNNNNNNNNNNNNNNNNNNNNNNNNNNNNNNNNNNNNNNNNNNNNNNNNNNNNNNNNNNNNNNNNNNNNNNNNNNNNNNNNNNNNNNNNNNNNNNNNNNNNNNNNNNNNNNNNNNNNNNNNNNNNNNNNNNNNNNNNNNNNNNNNNNNNNNNNNNNNNNNNNNNNNNNNNNNNNNNNNNNNNNNNNNNNNNNNNNNNNNNNNNNNNNNNNNNNNNNNNNNNNNNNNNNNNNNNNNNNNNNNNNNNNNNNNNNNNNNNNNNNNNNNNNNNNNNNNNNNNNNNNNNNNNNNNNNNNNNNNNNNNNNNNNNNNNNNNNNNNNNNNNNNNNNNNNNNNNNNNNNNNNNNNNNNNNNNNNNNNNNNNNNNNNNNNNNNNNNNNNNNNNNNNNNNNNNNNNNNNNNNNNNNNNNNNNNNNNNNNNNNNNNNNNNNNNNNNNNNNNNNNNNNNNNNNNNNNNNNNNNNNNNNNNNNNNNNNNNNNNNNNNNNNNNNNNNNNNNNNNNNNNNNNNNNNNNNNNNNNNNNNNNNNNNNNNNNNNNNNNNNNNNNNNNNNNNNNNNNNNNNNNNNNNNNNNNNNNNNNNNNNNNNNNNNNNNNNNNNNNNNNNNNNNNNNNNNNNNNNNNNNNNNNNNNNNNNNNNNNNNNNNNNNNNNNNNNNNNNNNNNNNNNNNNNNNNNNNNNNNNNNNNNNNNNNNNNNNNNNNNNNNNNNNNNNNNNNNNNNNNNNNNNNNNNNNNNNNNNNNNNNNNNNNNNNNNNNNNNNNNNNNNNNNNNNNNNNNNNNNNNNNNNNNNNNNNNNNNNNNNNNNNNNNNNNNNNNNNNNNNNNNNNNNNNNNNNNNNNNNNNNNNNNNNNNNNNNNNNNNNNNNNNNNNNNNNNNNNNNNNNNNNNNNNNNNNNNNNNNNNNNNNNNNNNNNNNNNNNNNNNNNNNNNNNNNNNNNNNNNNNNNNNNNNNNNNNNNNNNNNNNNNNNNNNNNNNNNNNNNNNNNNNNNNNNNNNNNNNNNNNNNNNNNNNNNNNNNNNNNNNNNNNNNNNNNNNNNNNNNNNNNNNNNNNNNNNNNNNNNNNNNNNNNNNNNNNNNNNNNNNNNNNNNNNNNNNNNNNNNNNNNNNNNNNNNNNNNNNNNNNNNNNNNNNNNNNNNNNNNNNNNNNNNNNNNNNNNNNNNNNNNNNNNNNNNNNNNNNNNNNNNNNNNNNNNNNNNNNNNNNNNNNNNNNNNNNNNNNNNNNNNNNNNNNNNNNNNNNNNNNNNNNNNNNNNNNNNNNNNNNNNNNNNNNNNNNNNNNNNNNNNNNNNNNNNNNNNNNNNNNNNNNNNNNNNNNNNNNNNNNNNNNNNNNNNNNNNNNNNNNNNNNNNNNNNNNNNNNNNNNNNNNNNNNNNNNNNNNNNNNNNNNNNNNNNNNNNNNNNNNNNNNNNNNNNNNNNNNNNNNNNNNNNNNNNNNNNNNNNNNNNNNNNNNNNNNNNNNNNNNNNNNNNNNNNNNNNNNNNNNNNNNNNNNNNNNNNNNNNNNNNNNNNNNNNNNNNNNNNNNNNNNNNNNNNNNNNNNNNNNNNNNNNNNNNNNNNNNNNNNNNNNNNNNNNNNNNNNNNNNNNNNNNNNNNNNNNNNNNNNNNNNNNNNNNNNNNNNNNNNNNNNNNNNNNNNNNNNNNNNNNNNNNNNNNNNNNNNNNNNNNNNNNNNNNNNNNNNNNNNNNNNNNNNNNNNNNNNNNNNNNNNNNNNNNNNNNNNNNNNNNNNNNNNNNNNNNNNNNNNNNNNNNUUUUUUUGGCUUUUAGCGAAUUGGUGUUAUUGAAUUGGAACACUGUUGGGUAUAUUCUAUGCCCCAUGGCACACGUAAAAACAUUUGGCCAAAAGCCUUCCACACAAACUUUGAAGUCAACAAAGUAAACCCCCAAAUAACACUCACACACAAAAAAAGGGACCAUGAUUGAUGAACCAAUCAUCUUUCUUGUGGAAUUUUCCAUGCAACUUCUCCCUACCAAAUGUAUUCCACUUUGCUAUUAUUCCACAAAAAACAAAAACUACUAUCAGGAUUGCAUAGACUAACUAUCAGUGUUGUGAAGUAUACUUAGCUUAACUUGUUAAUAUUUUCAAUUUAUUAGUUCUUAUUAUAAGUUACAAUGUUAUGUCCUGUAAUUUUUAAAUAUAUACCAACACCAAAACAUAAGAGAUUAUGGUUGAUGGAAGAGAAAAAAUGAAAACAAAUUUGAUGUCCUUAAUCAAUGCCAGAAACUAUGAAUGUCAUGACAGAUACUUUCAUUUCAAUUCAUAGAAUACCACUUCCCAAAGAAUUUCUACAUUACCCAUCAGCUUUCAUUUUAUCCUCGUUUGUUCCUCUAAAUUACUUUUUAAUGUAAGUAAAUACAGUAUGAUGUAGAGAUGACAAUUCCAACCCAUUUAUAGAAAAAUGGGUUUGAUUUAGGUCAUUCUUUAUAUCUAAUUGGUCAAACAGGUCAGCCCGGUUCCAAAACUCAUUUAAAUGUGUUAAAAGUUUGUGAGCUGUUUUAAUAACCAAUUAAUAUUUUACUUCUUAAAACACAGUUUUAAUAAGUUUUCGUAAAAUAUUUAAGGCAUUCCAGUAAACACUUAUGAUAUUUUAAAACUGUCUUUACCAGAUUUACAGGUUAUUAAAUUUGAAUAAAACUAUUGAUGCAUGCUAGAACUCAUAUCUUUAAAGUUGUAAUUCAUUUUAGUUGCAACUAGUGUGGUCUCUAAUAUGUCUAAGACGCAAUAUUUGUGUUGAUAUUUACAAAAAGUUGAUUACAUGAAAAUAAACUGUCUUUUUUCUGUCAAAAAUAUACAGUAAAAAAUGAUAUUAGAUAACUAAUAUCCAGAAACUUGUAUUUUGGUCUUGGGGUAUUUUUCUUUUUCUCUUAAUCAAUAUAAGUGGUUGUUGGUUAUUCCACAUGACAUUCGUAAAUGUAUUUGGCUUAUUGGCCACAAUCUAUUAAUUUUCAUGGAAGACUUGGAAGUCAAUGAAUACAUCCAAGCCUAUUUUUUGUUUUCUCUAGAUCGAAAGAAGUGCUUUUUAGCCAAGUCUAUCCCCCUUGGAAGAAGCAAGUGUAAUUGCAAUAAAAAAAAAAUUUAAACAAUUAAAAAGGAAUUGAAUAUAAUAUAGUAUUUGGCAAGAUUACAAUUAUAUUAGAAGUCACUAACUACAAAAGACUUGGAAGUCAAUGGACAGUUUGUAGCCACAAACGGGUAUGCUCUGGAUCUGGACUGUAUUUUUUUUUUCUAUGCCCCAAGGAAAACACAAAUGUAUUUGGCCACAAGUAUUUUUCACAAAAGAAAUUUGAGUCAACAAAGUAAACCCCGAAAUAAAUAACAUGGACACAGGAAAAUAGUGUCAUGAUUGAUGCACUAAGUUAGCAUAUUUCUUGUGGAACUUUCCAUGCAACUUCUCCCUAACAAGAAAACAAAUAUAUUCCUCUUUUCUUAAUAUUCCAUUAAAAACGAACCUAGUAUCAGGAUUGCAUCAGUCUAAUUAUCAGUUGCAUGAAGCAAGUAUAGUUAGUUUAACUUAAUUUAAUAUUUAUCAAUUCUUAUUAUAUGUUACAAUGUUAAGUACAUAUUCCAUAACUUAUAUUUUGUAACUUUUACAUAUGUACUAUAACAGAUCGUUCAAACUGUAUUUGUGAUUCCACCCAUGCAUGGCUCAUACCCCAUAGAUCGUUCAAACUGUAUAUGAACAAUAAUCAAUUUUAGCUCAAAUGGUAAAAACCACUUUCAUGAGUUUCCUUUGUUGCAAAAUAGGAGAUAAAAAACUAGCUACCAACAAGCUGGUUGGUUUGAAGAAAGAGAGGAUCAAGAAAGAAUCCUUGGAAAACUUGGAAGCCAAUGGAAAUUGUGCCCAGACUUACACUCCUCUAGUCCCUAGGCACACGUAAAUGUCCUAGGCCACAAGUUUUAAUUCAAUGACUUUGAUAUCAACAAAAAACUAUUAACUUGAUUUUGACAUAUAAAGGUUUACAAAACUAACUUUAAGUUUUUGAAUAUUCAGCUUUAAUAGAUUAUGAGGAGACUCACGACUAGACUCGCCGAGUCAGAUGAGAGACUCGUCGAGUCUGCUCCAUGCAAGAGCCAUAUAUGUGUUUUUGCUCGAAUCUAAUCCAUUCCAUUCAUAGAUCUGGGUUCCUAGAGCAUGAAUAACACAUAAAGUUUCCAACAAGUUUCCAACUUUACGUGUAGAUAUUCCUCCAUGAGGGUUUUAGGGUUCAAAAUGCACCAAAAGAGUAGAUCUAAGGUCUUCAUGCAAUAUAGGUCCAUAAAGGUAGUAGAUCUGAGCUCCUGGAGCUCAACCAAGUCUAGAUCUAGAGACCAAUCAACUUAUUACGAAAUAUGAUGCACAUACAAGCUUGGGGAAGGGCUCAAGGAAGACUUUAAUGGAGUUAUAAGCAUAUAGACAGGGGGAAAACGAGUUUUACCUCAAGGAAAUCACUGAGAGGACACUAAGAUGCUUGGCUUCCUUCCCUUCCUCUUGAUCUACUCCACUUCCUUCUCAAAAUCUUCAAGAACACACCCUAAAAUGCCUUAAACUCACAAGAACAAGAGUUAGGACGUAUGGAGAGGUUCUGGGGGUGAAUGGGGCGGAGUUGGGGCGCAAAUGGGUGUUUAAAUAAGGUGCAAACCCUUGGAAAUUAGGGUUUCAUCAAACAGCACAAACUCGCCGAGUCCCUAAUAUGGACUCGUCGAGUUGCCAUCUUAUCCGCGCCCCAAAGUCUCGUCUCUACUCGGCGAGUCGGGCCUCUAACUCGCAGAGUCCACGGCCAAAAACACAAAUACUUAAGGCAAAACUCACGUACCAGGAACCAGGUGCUAUAUAUAUAUAUAUAUAUAUAUAUAUAUAUAUAUAGAGAGAGAGAGAGAGAGAGAGAGAUUAUUGUUGUAGAUGUACAUAAUAAUCAAAUAAAAAUAAAAUAACCAUGUGUCCCUUUUUGAGUUUUUGUUUAUAUCAACCUAAUCUUAAAACUUCAUUCAACACAAAAAAAUGUGACAUUUAGGUAUAAAUGGUUUAUUCUUGUCUUGAUAGUUAUUAACUUAAUGGAUUUUUUUGGCUUGGAAUUCGACUUCUAAGAGAUCUAACAUUAUGGUUGGGGGUAUUUCAGAGAAACAUUGUUGAAUCCAAACAAAUGCAUGAUUUCCAAUUUGUGAAAAUCAUAUUCUUUAAGCUAGGAUAGGGGGAAACAACAAAAAAAUACAUAUGUUUUUCCUUUGUAGAUCUAAAAUUCUUAGACUUUUGGCCCUAAGACUAUCUGUUAUACUCUCCACGACAACGAUCGUGGAGAGCUUCCAGAUCAGCCACCGAAGCAACCACGAACCACCCCACUACAACCGGAGUACUCUCCACUGAUAACGAAGAGAAAUAACUAAGAGAGAGACAGAAGAAGGCUGAGAGAGAAGAAAUUUGUCAAGAAGCCAUGAUUGGGCGUUACGUCUCAUCUUCGGCACCAUGAGCCAUCACGAAAACGACGAACCACGACCGGACGGGGUGGUCUGCACGGUUGUUGUCUGUGGCCACGUAGACCACAACUGGGUUCGUGGUCCAUAUACUGGAUGGCCUAAACAUUUUUUUUUGAAACAUGGUACGUCUUGCUUCACCACUUUGUAUGUUGGUCCCACUAGAUAAGAAAAAAGUGUUCUUACCUAUUUUAUCCUUAUUCAGAGCCAAGUAUAGGGAUUUUUUUUACCAGUUAUGUAUUUGACCAAUAGUUUUUUCUUAAUGGGCCAAACACGUAAAAAUACUAUUUUAGCUAAAAAGGAAACAUUUCAAAUAGAUCAAACAUUUUAAUAGAAAUCCAUAGUAUAUUGAAGUAUUUUCAACCAUCCUAACUUGCUUUAAUUAGUCCAAACAAUUUGAUCAUGUUUUAAUACCCUAAUCUUAUUCAUAUUUAAUAUAUUAAUUAUAUAUGAAAUUGAAAAAAGUGUUUGCAGGUUAGCCCAAUACGGUUAAACGGUAUCUUACGGUUUGUGUUUUGAUAUUGCAUCCUACAUGCCAAUUUGCCACAUAUAAGGCUGAUAUAUCUAGAACCAUCGAUUUUUGUGGAAAAGUACGCAAGGUAAUUAGGUAUUGUGACAAACUUACACAUAUUUUAUGAAGAAAUAAAUAGGAGAUAUAAAUAUUCUUUCCCAUGAAUUGCCUACCUUCUUUACUUUUUUGAAGGAUUGGCCAUAGCUAUAUUGUUUUUGUAUUACAAUUUGCAUCGUGGUAUGUUUUUCAUCUUGUUUAACUAUGUUCUUACUCAUAAAAUUGCUUUGUUUGAACUUACGCUUAGUUUCAGGAUUAGUUUGACUAGUAACUUUGAAUAAUAUUUGAUAAGUAGUGGAGCCUUGUUGAUGAAAUCAAUGUGAUUAACAUUAAAUAUCUGGUCAGCAGUGGAACCUUGUCAUAUCAUCAUCUUGUUAAUUGUUUGGUCAUGUAUGCUAAAAAAUCAAAUUACAAAAAGAUGAUGAAGGUAUCAAAAGAAACAAGGAAGCAGGAUCGAAGAUGGACAUUUGCAUUUUACAAGCUGAAUGUACAACCUUUAAUAUAAGACUAUUCUCAAAGAGGAUGGGGAGUGGGGAGGGGAAGAAAAUUGAUCCAGGUCUUAUGCAUUCCAAAUGCAGGUACAUUCCUACAUAAUAAAGGAGGCUUAAAAGAGAAGAAAAGUGAUACCGAAGAUGCAUAUGAGGAACUAAUCUUGGAAGAACUACAGAAAACACAUACUUAACUAUUUGAAAAAUAGCCAAGGCAUGCAACUUAAAUGAAUCCCAGACCAUAAAUUUCCCAAGCCACCAUUUGCAAAAGUGUGCUUCACCUAAAAAAAAAAUGAAAAAUGAAAACGAUAUCGUUUUGGACGUUGUUGACUGUGGAAAGUGAAAUCAUCUGUGAUUUAAAAAAAAUGUAUUAUCAUGUCAUGUUGACUGCGAAAUUCAAAGACCAUACUGUGAAAAUCAUAACCUAUGGUAUGAAAAUUUGCACAUUGUAGAGGAUGUUAUCUUAUAAGAGAUUGCUUUGUAAAAAAGAGUUAUCAAAACCAAUUGUCUGCAUUUUUUAGCACAAUUUUCACUAUGUUUUUUCUUCUGAUUUCCUUAGCAAUUUUUUCCACCUUACCCUUUUGCUCUUGCCGAGAUAACAUGAGUUCAAACAUUGUACAUGACUAAUUGUUGUUUUUUGUUGGUGGUUGAUGGCAGUUAGAAACAACAUGUUUAUACAAUGCAACAAAUCGAUAUGUUGUUGGUGGGAACCGAUCUAGCAGCAGAAGAGGGUCCGGUAGUAAAAGAUGGAAAAAGUUUUGCUAAGAACAGAUACAUAGAAGAGGUAGCAACAAUCAAAUAGGUAUCUGUAUCUCUCUAAAUGAUUAUCACGAUGUUGGUGGAUAUGUUGCGUUCCAAUAACAACUCAAUUCACAAGUAGUUUCUGAAAACCAAUACACGUAUUGACAAAUUCAAUAUGUUGAUCCCAGAAGAUAUUCUGUACCAUAUCAAACACUAAUACCACCAUAUCAAACGUCGAUAACACCAUUUGAAAGGCCGAUUGUAUAAUAUCAAAUGCCAAUUAUACAAUACAACCUAUUUUUCCAUUCUAAAAAGUGGGUCGCCGAAAGGAGAGGAAAGUGGUAUUGAAGAUGCAUAUAUAUGUGUAACUAACCUUGGAAUAACUGUAGGAAACAUACACUCAACUACUAGAAAAAUGGACUAUGGUCUGUAACUCAAAUGAGUCCAUGAACCGCAAUUAACUAUUUUUGUUGAUUAUCAAGACUAGCUAAGAGUAAACGUAAAUAAGAAUAAAAGGCAAAUACAAGUAGAAAGAAGUAUAUUGAAUCAAAUUGUAUCUGAAUUGAAAGCAACAAAAAGGAAUAUCAAGAUGUUAAACCCAUGAAAUCUCAAACCCAUUGAAAAUCUUGCAGCAUGACAAUGCUCAAAGACACAUCAAGGGCUUACACUCAAGAAAAAAGGUGAUAAAACAAAAAACCUAUUGCUUUUGUGUAUGCUCGACGGCUUUGAGUUAUCUUAUUAUUUAUUCCAUAUCUUGAUGUGUCUGAGCAUGUUGAUGUUGUAAUUUGAUAACUUUGCAUCAGUUCUGUACUCUUCUCUUUGCGUAACCAUUCUAUUUCAGCUUCCCUUUGGAUUUGAAUUCUAUGUUACCUGCUGAGUUGAUUUAAGUCCCACCUUCAAAUUUUCUUCAAAAGUUACCUCUUGCUAAACCCCUCAUAAGAAAUGUUCAUGCACAAACUCCCACCUAUUCAAUAAAUCUUGCUAAAUCCCUGAAUUAAAUCACAGAAACCAAUAAAAGAUGAAGGUGUAAGAAACAAAACACCACCAAAAACCACAACAACCAUGCAUGUACGGUGUUGUUUAUCAUUCAUAAUAACAUAACCAAGACCAAAACUUUCCCCCUUUGCAUGAAAAAAGAAAAAGAAAAUUUACAAAUAGAAAAAUAGAUAAUAAGUGGAUACCUGAUUCUUACUUAACUAUUUGAAAAAUAGACCAAGAUAUGUAACGUAAAUGAGUCCUUGAUUUUACAAUUAACUAUUGUUGUUGAUGAUCAAUACGAACCAAGAGUAAAAGUAACAAUUUGGAAAAGCAAAAUACAAAAAGAAAGAAGUAUAGGCAAUAAACUCGUAUUUGAUUUGAAAGCAACAAAAUGGAAAAUCAAGAUGUUGACCACAGGAAUUGUCAAACCCAUGGAAAUUCUUGCAGCAUGACAAUGCUCAAAGACACAUCUAGGGCUUAAACACAAGAAAAAAGCAAUAACACAACCUUGACUUCUUUUAAGUUUUUUCUUUAUUGAUUCCAUAUAAUGUUGUGUCUCCAAUAAUGAUGUGUCUGACCAUUUACAUGUUGUAACUCGAUAACUUCUUGCAUCAUAUCCGUAUUCUCUUUUGGUAGUCGUUCUAUCUCAGCUUCCAUUUGAAUUGUUCACUGAUUUGUUACCUGCUGGGACUAAUUAGACUGCCACCUUGGAAUGUUCUUCAAAUGCAACCUCUUGCUAGACCCUUCAACAUCGUUCACUUGCAAACACCCAUCUGUCCCAAUAAAUCUUGAGAAAUCCCUGAAUCAAACUAUACAAACCAGUAAACGAGAAUGCGCACGAAAUUAAACAACACCAAAAAACCAGAGAAACCAUGUAUUUUGUUAUUUUUUGUUCACAAGAGUAGGGCCAAAACAUCAACCAAGGCCUAACCUUUCAGCUUUCAUCCUUCACCCAAUCAUCUUCUUCCUCAACAUGAAAAACAAGAACAUCAAGAAAAAAAAAUCGAUAAUGAGUCGAUCGAUUACCUGAUUCUUAGUUGGAGCCAUGGAGAUGAAAAGUGGUGGAUGCUACAACAAGUCAGUGCGAGAGAAGUAGCAGGUGAUCAAGAGCACAAUAGCUUAUUACAAAUGUCAUACAAACCUAUAGUCUAAUAAUAACAACUUGAUAUUAUAUAAAUACCGAAUAUAACAAACAUUCCAAGAUUUAAAUUAUAAAUCCACGUUACAAACACAGAUCCAAAGAUUCACUGAUAAACAUAUAUCCAAGAACUACUCGGAUUCCAAGGAUCUAUGUGGCUUCUUGUCCUCUCUUCAUCUUGGCAACUCUUACCACGAUUGCAACGUAUAUCUUGUCCACAGUUUCAUCAGCAAACAUGAAAAUCUUGUGUCUCCAGUGCUUCUUCAACAACAAAACUCCAAUAACACCCCAAAACCCUGUCGCAAAACCACUCAUAAUAUCUAGGUAAAACCACCAUACCUUCAUCGACUCCUCAGCUGCUUUAUGUUUCUUCUUGGGCAUUGUGAUUGGGUCUUGAUGAUCUGAGCAAUCCUUUGGCAAUGGAGGUCCACAAAGAUCUCUGUUCCCAGAAUAUAUUGAUGGAUCAUCAAUAAGGGUCUGCAACUGACUUCCUGUUGGAAUUCAUCCCGACAAGUUGUUGUGUGACAGAUUCAGAUGGCUCAAAAAAGUCAACGCUGCCAUGCUUGGAGGGAUCAUCCCGGUCAACUUGUUUCCAUAUAAAUCGAGGGAUUCUAACCUUGUCAUGUUUCAAAUGCUGUAUGGAAUCAUCCCACUGAGAUGAUUAUUGGACAAUUUGAGACCCAACAACGUACAAAGUGCAGUUAGCUCGACAGGUAUUACUCCAACAAGUUUAUUGCUUGAAAGGUCCAUGUUGAAAACUAUAUCCCAAUUUGUUGUAUAUUCAAGAUCAACACCUUUCAUCACCUGAAUCACAUUCUCGUUGGGAUCAUAAAUGACAUUAUACUGCUUUUCUGCACCCUUCACCAUUGCAUUCAACUCUCUUAGGCAAUGAGGGAUGUUUCCCCUUAAGUUGUUGUAUGCAACAUCCAAAAUUUGAAGUUUCGACAUUUUGCACAAAGAUUCUGGAAUUUCCCAUGUAACCUUAAAACCAUCAAAUCUGUCAGCUUUUCUCCGAUCCAGUGGGGUAUGUUUCCGAACAGUUGAUUAUCACCCACAUCUAACACUCUUAAAGCUUGUAAAUUUCCCAAUUCUCGGGGAAGUUUACCUGUGAACUUAUUGUCGUUCAGUUUUAACCAAUACAAAUAUGAAUGCUUGAGACCUAUAUGGCUUGGAAUGACACCUGAAAGCAAAUUCGAGCUUAAUAUCAGGUUUUGCAACUCUUGGAGAUUCUGGAGACACUUGGGAAUUCUCCCUGUUAACCUAUUUCUGGAAAGGUCAAGAUAUCUUAAAUCUGUCCUUCUGCACAGUGACCUUGGAAUCGACUCGUUGAAAAUGUUAUUUACCAGUAUUAAUGCCUCUACAUAUACCACAUAUUUCUCAAAGACAUUUUUCCCAUUAGGAAGGUUUGUCAAAGGUCCAUUGAGUUUGUUGUGAGAGAGAUCUAAGAAAUAAAUGACAGGCAUCUCCCGCAACCAUGUGGGCAGAGGUCCAGAAAUUGAAGCAUUCGACAACACUAAGACAGAGAGCUCCCUUUGAUUUCGAAGCCACUGCGGAAAUCCAUUUGUAAUAUUGCAAGAACUGAGAUGAAGAAUUCUCAAUUGGAAUGGAGGAAUCCACUCACAUGAAACAUUGAAUGUUAACUUGGCGUUAGAAGAAGCAUACAAGUACCUCAACAUGGAAAUGUUAGCAAAAUGGGCUUCGGAAACUACUCCUUCUAAGGAAUUGACUGAGAUAUCUAGUGAAAUGAGUUUGGCAAGUUGCCCAAUUGAGACGGGAAUAGUCCCAUUUAACAAAUUUGAAGAAAGAAGAAUAUCUUGUAAUGAAACAAGUCUUCCUAGAGAUGCUGGGAUGCGGCCUGUUAAGUGAUUGGAUUGUAAAUACAAAGAUUCUAAAGCUGCUAGAUUUCCAAAGGAUUCUGGAAUUGAACCAUUCAAUUGGUUAUAAGAAAGGUUAACUCUGGAAAGAUUCCCAAGGAAUGUAGGAAUGGGACCCGUCAACUCGUUAUCAUGUAGAUCUAAUACCUCUAAGAAUCUUAAUCUUCCUAGAGAUUCAGGGAUUGGACCUGUCAAACUGCUAUUCCAUAGACUUAAGACUCUCAAAUUGGUUAGUCUUCCAAAUGCUUCUGGAAUCGUACCAUUCAAACACCAACUUAAAUCCAACCGCUCCAAAGCAUAUUGGGAGCAUUCUGAAACGUUUUGCGGUGGGUCAAUCCUUUCUAUUUCAGAAGGAUUCCUCAAUGCAAACAACUGUUUCAGGUGACACUGUCUCCAGAUUCCUACAUCCUCAAUAUUCGUAAGCUGGUUAACAGAAAGAUCAAGCUCUAGAAGGUUAGCCAUAAUAGGAACCGAAGAAUGCAGCAUGUUUCUUGAGAGAUCAAGGACUCUUAAGGAACUCAUGUUACUGAAAACAGAUGGAAAUAUGCCUUCAAUUGAAUUCCAGCUAAGAUCCAGGUGUUGGAUGUUAGAAAGCAUACUGAUAUUAAAAUGAGCGGAAGAUAGAAAAGUCUUAUCUAGCCCACAAAGUGACAAAUGCAGCUCUAAUAAAGAAGGGAUCAUGUUUAGCAAGUUUGCAAAGUUCCAUGCCAAACUAAGAUUAAAUUUAGAAAGAUCUAGGAAUGCUAGGGAUGUCAUGUUUCGGAAAAAUCCAGGGAGUGAAGUUUUCAAAGAAUUUAAGCCAAGAUCAAGGUGUUUUAUGUUGGCAAGAAUUCUACUCGAAUUAAGAAAAGGACCAAGAUGGACAUUGGAAAGUCCACAACCACGCAAACUUAACUCUUUUAAUGAAAGAAGAUUGUAAAGCACCAUGUCCAUGUUCUUUGCUCCGCCAAGAUCCACCCAACUCAAAUCGAGAUGCUCGAGUGAUGGAAGGCCAAAAGUCCAUGACAUAUCAUCUGAUGUCAGAUUAUAAUUUGAACUGAGAUCCAAAACCUUUAAAUUAGAAAGAUUUCCAAUGUGAGGAGGAAUAAUACCUUGAAAACCAGCAUAAGAGAGAUUGAGAUAUCUCAGCUGUUUGAAGGAUCCUAUGAACUUAGGGAUCCGGCUUCCACGUAAAUCAUUCCAACUCAAGUCCAGGUACUUGAGAUGCCUCAACUCAGCCAAAGAAGAGUUCACCUCUUUACCAACUAAGUAUUUGUCUCCUUCGCCACCAAAAUAAUAAUCUCCUCUGAGAUUGAGGCUGUCAACCGUUCCAGUGAGACUGUCGCAGUGGAUUCUUUCCCACAGGAAACAAUCCUCCCCCACCCAUGAUGACAACAUUCCUUUAGACUCAUAUUUGAUGUUGUGUUUGAACGUGAGAAGAGCAAGUUGCUCUUUCUAAGAGCAAACCACACUCACAUUUCCAACACCCAAACAAUUAUAUGUGGCUGCAAUCAAAACAACAAACACGAAAAUGAGAUGGAGCCCCAAACCCCUCGGAGUCCCCAUUAUCAAUCCUCCCUAACUCGGUUUAAUUUAGAAGAAAGUUGAAGUGGAAAGGUAUUGUGUUAUGAUGAAGUGAUAGAUUGUUAUGAUGAAGAAACCAGUUCAUUUAUAAUACCACAAAUGAAGACAAAGCUCUUAUGCACUCUGCAACAUGAACUCGCUGAGUCCAUGGGGGGACUCGACGAGUCCAUGAGUAAACUCAUCCUACUCGUCGAGUAGGUUCUUGCACUCGACGAGUAGGAGCCACAGAAUGCAGUUUUUACGAGUUUUGCUGCUGGAAAUGGACUAAAAAAAUUACCCUAAACUGUUUUGCUACUAGAAAACUUGUUUUAGAUGGUGUAAUGGUUAUGCUAAUCCAUUUUCAAUAGCUAUUAUCAGAACUUCAAGUUUUAUAUGGUUAAUUUUAUGAUUCUUGAAAUCGUUGAUAUGCAUGUUCAUGAACUUGUGAGUUUAGAAGAUCAUAGGAAUUAUUUGUAACUUGCUUGUUAGUUUAAAUCUUGAUCAUUAUGUGUUUUAAUGGAAUCUAUAAUUUGUCCUCAAGUUAUGGAUUGCCAAAAGUCACACUUUUAAAGACCAUUAAAGAAACACAUAAGUUACAUAAAAUGAAAAGUCAAUCAUUUUAUUAAACCAUUAAUUCAUAAAUUAUGAAAGAUGAAAACUUUUGAAAGUUACAAAACUUGCCCUCAAGUUUUGGAACAUGUAAAGUCACUCUAAAAACUUUAGUUCCAACCCCUAGAAUUUUAAAAGUUAAAAUUCAACCGUUAUACUUUAUAAUAUUAUAUUAUAAGUUUAAUAAUAAUUAUAUAUGUAUAAGUAAAAUUCGUUUUACCAUUACUCUUAAGAGUAAAUCAGUUGUUAUCACUCCUACUCCUACCGCGACCCCUAUCUUCGCAAUCGAACAAGGCAAAGGAAAGAAGAGGAAGAGCCCUUCGAAGGGUACCAAGGGAAAGUCUCUUGAUGGCUCCUCUUCAAGUGGAACCAAGAAAGGUUUUGUCACUCCUUCUGCUAACCCUAAAGAGGUGGAAUGCUUCUAUUGCCAUGAAAAGUUGCAUUGGAAGCGAAACUGCCCAAAGUACCAGCAAGUCGUGAAGGAUGGGAAAGUUAAACCCAACCAUGAAGGUACUUGACACGAUUAGCAUGGUCCAUUUGGGUUGCAUGGCAUCAUGCAUUUGUAUAGACUAAAAUGAAAGAAAUAACACUUAAGGUUUAUUAAUAUAUUAUAAGUUCUAAUAUAUUAAUAGUAUUAUUUAAUUAGUAUUGAUCAAGAAUUAAUUUGGAAUUACUUAAGUGAUCAAAAGAAGACUAAUUAAAUAUAUGGGUUGAUUGUGUAAGUCAUCCAUACUUGUAUAGUGGGCUUAUGCUCCAUGGAUUAUCAAGUUGGGCUAAAACUCAUAGGAUGCUCCAUGGAUGUUCCAUGAUGUUUAUAGAACCCAUGGGUCAUGGAAAUGAAAAGUUGUGACAAUUAGGGUUUACAUAGUGUAACCCUAAUUGCAACACGCUAUAUAAGCAUCAUGUUGUAGACCAAAAUUGGCCACUAAGGAUACAAUUGAGGGCUAGCCAAUUUCUAAGUGUUCUUCAUUUCUCUCUAAGUUAUUCCAAGUGCAUUUGGUGUUGUGUGAGACAUUUAAGGCAUCACACUUGAGGUGCUAGGCUCACAAGAUUUUCAAGGAAUCCAAACUAGUACAAGGUAUGAAUUUCUUACUCACUUUUAUGAUUAAAAAUUCCUCAUGUAUGCUAGAUAGGUUAUAAACCUUGGAAAAACAAAUUUGCAUGUAUCAUAGAUAAAACAUAGAUCCAAGGUUUUUAGGGUUGCAUGUACACCAUAGGAGUGUUAGAAUGCUCAAAACCCUACAUUGUACCUGAACCUAGGAAAAACACAAGAGCUAGAAAAGCUAUAUCUUUUGGAUCUGAUUUUCAACUUUAUUUGGUUGAAGGAACAAGGAAUGAGACUAUAUGUCAACAUCAAUAUUGUUUUAAUAUUGAAGAGGAUCCAAAUACUUUUAGUGAAGCUAUGGCUUCUAAAGAUGUUCAGCAAUUCAGGAUGUAAUUGAUUCUAUCAUGCAUAACAAUACUUGGGUAUUGUCUAGUUUACCUCCUGGUUGCAUGGUUGCAAGGUAUUGGGAAGUAAGUGGAUCCUCAAAAGAAAAAUGAAGGUGGAUGGAACAAUUGAUAAGUAUAAAGCCAGAUUGGUUAUCCAAAGCUUUAGGCAAAAAGAAGGCAUUGACUUCUUUGAUACUUAUGCUCCUGUUGCUAGAAUUUCCACAAUUAGAUUAUUGUUAGCUCUUGCAGUUAUACAUAAUCUUGUGAUUUACCAAAUGGAUGUGAAAAAUGCAUUCUUGAAUGGUGACUUGGAUGAGGAAAUUUACAUGAAACAACUUGAAGGGUUUGUGAUGCCUGGUAAUGAACAUAAGGUGUGCAAGUUGAAGAAAUCAUUAUAUGGUUUGAAACAAGCACCGAAACAAUGGCAUCAAAAGUUUAAUGAUGUGAUAUUGUCUAAUGGUUUUGCAUUAAACCAGGGUGAUAAAUGUGUAUAUAGCAAAUUUGAUUCUUCUGGUAAAGAAAUUAUAAUUUUUCUAUAUGUUGAUGAUGUAUUAAUUUUUAGUACCGAUCAAGGUGAAGUUGAUAAAACCAAGAAAUUCUUUUCAUUGUUGGAUUAUUUAUUGUGUUGUGUCAAAUUUACUUUGUAAGUAAUUAGCCUUUAUCAAACGGAUUGGGCUUGUCCAUACGUCAUUAUGGUGCUAGGGUUAGGUUAUAUAUAUUGCAUGCAUGUAUUGUAUUAGGGUUAAUCGUUUUGUGAUUCCCUACUUUGUCUUUACAUAAAAGUUCAAGUCGAACUCUUCUAAGGCAUUGAUUAUUAAUCAUUCAGCACAACUUCGAUUAUUGUUCUUCCUGUUUUGAUUCAUAUUAUUGUUCUGAAUCUAUCACUCUAUUAUUUAUUGUUUCAACAAUUGGUAUCAGAGUAGGAGAUUGUGUAAACCAUACACAAUUCUUCUGUCGAGUGUUAUUAGUGUUUUUCCGCUUUUACUGGAUCUGUUCUUGCCGUCUUCAUCAUUUUCAUCAAUUGUAGAUGUUGGAUCUUGAUCCUUAUUGUGCCCUUAACUCGAUUAUCGUUUUACACAUUUGACUCUUUACAGCCCUUUGCGAAUCAACAUCAUGCAACCAGAAGACCCUCAUACUAUCUCCUUUAAUAUAUUGUUCUACUACCAGGAUCCUUAUUCUCUUUCCACAAGACUAUGUAGUAUGGGCUUUACACUUCGAAGACUACGUUCUUGGUCUUGAAGAUCAUGUCACAUUAAUUUGGGAAGCUAUGAUUCAACAGACGUUCACUCACACUGCCAAAAGGAGGGUUAUUAAAACGCGAGCAAAAUACAAUGCUCUUCUUGUUGAUGUUAAAGAUGUUCCUCAAGACGAAAGAGACAAGCUGAUAAGUAAUGUCAAUGCAAUGAGGAUAAUCAGGUUCGCUCUUCCUUCAGACACGUUUCUUCUGGUGAGUUCUUGUGAAACAGCGAAGAAGGUUUGGGAUAGGAUGAAAGAACUCUAUUCGAGUGAUGCAGAUCUUGAGCAGUUAGGUAAAGAACUACUUCUUUCGGAGUUUGGUGCUUUUGCUCAAAAGCCAAAUGAGAAACUCUAUGUUGACUUCAACUUAACAUGCUCCUUUGGAUUGUUAUUUGGGUUUAGCUCUAACAAUGACUAUAUAGUUAGAAUAAUGGUUUUAUGUUUAUUGGGGUGAUAAAAGCAUUGCCAUUCGGAACCAUUCAUUUCAAAGGGAUUAUAUAUGAAUGGAUUUCUACAAGAACUUUCAUGUUUACACUAUGGUUUACUCUGCUUUGUUGCAUUUAUCAUUUUCACUACACCAAUUGUUGUAGAAAUACAUAAAUAAUUAUGUAAAAACAAAAUCACACAUAUGACCCUUUUUGUUUAUAUCGACACAAUCAUAAAACUUCAUUCAACAUAGAAAAUGUGACACUUAUGUAUAAAUAGUUUAUUCUUGUCUUAUAGUUAUUCACUUAAGGGAGGUUUUGGUUUGGUUGAAUUAGACUCCUAAGAGAUUUAACAAUGUGGUUGUGGCUCUUAUAAAGAAACAUUGUGUAAUCUAAACAACUUCAUGAUUUCCAAAAUGGUGGAAAUCAUAUUUUGUAAGCAUGGUAUAUUUUUCAUCAUCUUUAACCAUGUUCUUACUCAUAAAAUUGCUUUGUUUGAAAUUUGACGGUUUUCGGAUUAUGUUUUACUAAUAGUCAAAUUUGAUAAAUAGUGGAACCUUAUUGAUUAAAUGGAUGAGAUUAACAUUAAAUAUUUGGUCAAUAGUGGAACCUUGUCAUAUCAUCUGGUUAAUUGCUUGGUCUUCUAUGUUACAAAAUCAAAUUGAACAAGAUGAUGACAAGUUUCAAAAGAAACAAAGAAGCAUGGAUCGAAUAUAGGAUAAUAAUCUGCAUUUUACAAGCUAAAUGUACAACCUUUAAUAUAAGAAGUUCUCUAGCAAUUGUUUCAUCAUGGACUAUAUUUAAUGUACAUGAAAGGAAGAACAAUGUGUUGCUUUCUUCAAACACUACAUAAAUGAAUUCAAAACCUGAUCAUAUAACCUAAACUAUAUAUGAAGAUGAAAGUACUAUGGUGGCUUUUGUAACACAAGGCAAGAUUUCUAAGACUAUUUUCAAAGAGGGUCGGGCGUGGGGGGAUUGAUUUCUUUUGCACAACCAAAGAACAAGAGCAAGUCACCAUCUCAUCUUUUUGGGCAGGACAAAAAAUUGCAAUUUGUCUCAUUGGCAUUAAUCCCGGUUUUAGCACACCAAAUAUUGGUACAUUUCUAUGUAAUAAAGGAGAUGUAGAAGAGAAGAAAAAUGAUACUAAAGAUGUAUAUGAGGAACUAAUCUUGGAAGAAAACUAUAGGAAACAAGUACUUAACUACUUUGAAAAAUAGAUCAAGAUAUGUAACAUAAAUGACUCCUUGAUUUUACAACUAACUAUUGUUGUUGAUUGAUGGUCAAGACAAACUGAGAGUAAAAGUAGAAACUUGAAAAAGCAAAUACAAAAAGAAAGAAGUAUAUGCAAUCAAUCAACUUGUAUCUAAAUUGAAAGCAACAAAACGGAACAAGAAGAUGUUGAACCGCAGGAAUUGCCAAACCCUUGGAAGUUUUUGCAGCAUGACAAUGCUCAAAGACACAUCAAGGGCUUAAACACUCAAGAGAAAAGUAAUAACACAACAACACAACUUGCUUAUGUCCAUGCUUGAUUUCUUUUAAGUUUUCUCUUUGUGUAAUUGUUUGAUCUCAGCUUCCAUUUGAAUUGUUGUUCAUUUGUUUGCUACCUGCUGAGACUGAUUAGACUUCCACCUUGGAACGUUCUUCAAACGCCACCUCUUGUUAAACCCCUCAGAACCACAUGUCCCAAUAAUUCUAGAGGAAUCUCUGAAUCAAAUCAUGCAAACCAGUAGAAGAGAAUAUGCAAGAAAUUAAACUAACACCAAAACCCACAAACAAACCACAAAAAUCACACAAACCAGUUGUUCUUACUUUAUGUUCAAAAGAGCAGGGACAAAAUAUUAAUCAAUACCUAAACUUUACCCCUUCACCCAAUCAUCUUCUUCCUUAACAUGAAAAACAAGAACAUCUAGAAAAAAAAAAUGGAUAAUGAGUCGAUUACCUGAUUCUUAGUUGGAGCCAUGAAGAUGAUAAGUGAUCGAUGCUGCAGCAGAUUGGUGCAAGAGAAGUGACAGGUCAAGAGCACAAUAGCAUACAAAUAUAGUCUAAUCUAAUAACUAGAUAUUAUAUAAAAAUACUGAAUGAUAAAUACAACAAACAUUUUAAAAUUGAAACCUUUAAACAACAUCCACAUUACAAACAUAGAUCCAAAUAGUAGCAUUAAAACAAAAACUUCAUUGAUAACAUAUAUCCGAGAAUUACUUGCAUUCCAGAGCGCCUAUACAGCUUCUCUUCCUCUCUUGAUCUUGGCAACUGUUACCAUGACUCCAACGUAUAUCUUGUCCAUGAUUUUCUCAACAAACAUGAAAAGCCUCCAUCUCCACUGCUUCUUCAACAACAGAACUCCAAUUACACCCCAAAAACCUGUUGCAAAUCCACUCAUGAUGUCCAGGUAAAACCACCAUACCUUGAAAACCAGCAGCAGAGAGAUUGAGGUACAUCAGCUGUUUGAAGGAUCCAAUGAACUCAGGGAUCCGGCUUCCACUGGCAACAAUCCUUACCCACCCAUGAAGACAAGAUUAUAAACUCAAUUUUGAUGUCCAAUCAUUUUACACAACUAACUACAAGAAAAUAAUUUUUUUGUUAUUAUUUGACUUGACAUGGUUGAUGUGCCAAGCCCAAGCCUAAUUAAAAGAUACUUUCUUCUNNNNNNNNNNNNNNNNNNNNNNNNNNNNNNNNNNNNNNNNNNNNNNNNNNNNNNNNNNNNNNNNNNNNNNNNNNNNNNNNNNNNNNNNNNNNNNNNNNNNAAAGAAUAUGUUCUCGACAAGGAUCUUAACGAACUUGAGUCGUCUGCUACUCCUAAGGAGAUCGUUGAAUAUGAGGCACAUGAAAGAGAUGCUACCAAGGUGGCAUGCAUCAUGUUGGCCACUAUGACAGCCGAGCUCCAAAAGUCCUAUGAGGACUACUAUCCUUUUGAGAUGCACUAGGAUUUAAUGGACCGCUACCAUCAGAGUUGUAACAACCCAAAAAUCAUGACUAAAAAUUUCUUUAAAAACAUUACUAAAAUCAUAUUUAUAAAAACUGUAUCAUAAGUCAUAACAUAAAUUCUCGAGUAUUAAUUCAAAACAUAAUAUCAUUAUCAGAGUCAAACAUUCCCAGGCUAACUGACUAUGAUGUGUGCACUGCAAUCUUUCCCGAGCUCCUCUUUUGAAAACUGAGUACCUGAAACCAAAACUGAAAACCAUAAGCACGAAGCUUAGUGAGCUCCCCCAAUCUACCACAUACCAUGCAAUAACCUAUAAAGCACAUACUAGGCCUUGCCCACUGCAUCGGACCGAGGUCCGGACUGACUGGGGCCUUGCCCCCUGCAUCGGACCGAAGUCCGGAAUCUGACUGGGACCUUGUCCCCUGCAUUGGACCGAAGUUCGGACUAACUGGGGCCUUGCCCCCCUGCAUCGGACUUAAGUCCGGAAACUGACUGGGACCUUGUCCCCUGCAUCGGACCGAAGUCCGGAAACUGACUGAACAUAGCAUAGCAUAACAUAUCAACUAGCAUGAACACAUAUACUGCAUAUUGCAUCGGGCUGUAGCCCGGAACACAUAACACAUAAAUCCUGUCUGAGCCACGAAGGCAUCAAACAUACUAACUACUGCAUCGGACCGAAGUCCGGAAACUACUGCUAACUGAACGGGUCGGCAUUGUGGCCUUAGACCCGUUCCUACUGGAAGGAAACUCACCUGAUACUGCUGAACUGCUGCUGCUAAUCCCUUUGACUGCUACCUGACCUCUGACUUCGAACUGCUGCUCCACUAGCUCCUCGAGCUACCAAUAUCAAUAUAACACUUAGUCCAACUGACCUCCAAACGUCAACUAAGUCACCUCUGGUCAAAGUCAACCUUCUGGGUCAACCCUACUUGCCGAGUCCACCUAAUGACUCGCCGAGUUCAUAUGCUCAGGGUCUUUCUAUUCGCGACUCGACUCGUCGAGUCAGUCCAUGACUAGCUGAGUCAACUAUUCCCGAGUCCUGACCUGUCCAACUCGCUGAGUCUCCACACAACUCACUAAUCUGAGCCUUGACUCGAAGGGUUUGGGGUUUCGCGACUUGACUCGCCGAGUCCAUGAACAGACUCGUCGAGUCCAAGGCAAUCUUCAACAGACUCGCCGAGUUGUUCAUCCAACUCGUCGAGUUCAUCUCCAUCUUCAUACUACUCGCCGAGUCCACUCAAAGGACUCGNUUGUCAUGGAAGACAAUUUAUAUCCACAAACUUGUAUUUUUUGGUCUUGGGAUAAUUUUCAAUUUUUCUUGAUCAAUUUAAGUCCUUUUUUGGCUACUUUUGCAUGAAAUACGUAAUUCUGUUUAAGUCCUUUUUUGCCUAUUUUUUUUUUUUAUCAAUCAAAAUUAAAUGGUCUAUAAUGCACCUACAGUUGGCAUGUUACAAUCAUAUUUUAUCCUAAAAUAUCUUUAAUAUAAUUAGAUUUAAACAUUAAAGAAAUUAUAUAAUAGUUUUUUGAGUAAAUUACAUGAAUGGAGUCAUGUAGUUUUGGGUAAUUUGUGUGUAUGGUCCUUAACUAUUUUUUCUAACUCGGACGGUCCUUAUAGUUUGGUUUUGUUUAGGUUUUGUGUCCCCAAACAAAUUAAUAUGACUAUCUUGCUCUCAAUGUAGAUUAGCAUAAACCACAGGGACCAUUUGUGUAAUUUACUCUAGUUUUUUCUUUUAAGUUUGAUACCACUAUUGCUACAAUUUUUUUGGCUUGAAUUGGAACACUGUUGGGUAUAUUCUAUGUUGAAGGUCAUCACUAGCCCCAAUAGAAUCAUGUUAUUGUCUAGAAGAAGUUAGCAUGUUCUAGAAUGAUCUGGAAGAUUCUAGAACAUUAUGGAAUACUAUGGAGAAGUCUAGAAGAUGCCAGAAGAUUCUAGAAUACUCUAGAACGAGAUGGAAGACCCUGGAAGGCUAUGGAACAUUCUAGAACACUAUGGAAGGCACAAGAAUGUCUAUACUUAUCUAGGACAUUAUAGAACAUUCUAGAAACAUAUAAAAGCUUGUAAUUGAUAUAGAAUAUGGUAGAUAGUUCUAGAAUAGUCAUGAAUUUAUGUAGAUCUAGAAACUUCCUAUAAGGAGGUGGAAACACCUAUAAAUAGGUGUGGAGCUCAUUUGCUCCAAAUCAAUCCCAACAUCCAAACCAUCCAAGAAAGCCUCAAAGAAAGCAAAGUGUAUUGUAGUCUCACAAAGUGUAAGAUCUUCUUAAGCGUCUUAAUAAAAGUCUUGUUGCUUCCCAUAUAAAAGAGUCGUGUUCAACAAUCUGGUAUCAGAGCAAGGUUUCUUGAUAGUGAGAACGAGUGAUUCUCGUUGUAUCGUGAGUAGUUUGUGACUCUGCAAGUUUAGUAUCGAAACUAGCUUGUUUGGUAUUACCGAGGUACUGCCAACACGAUGGGUGAUCUCCAAGUCGUCGGAGGAAUCAAGAAACUCAACAACAACAACUACAAAACGUGGGAAACAUGUAUGAAGUCCUACUUACAAGNGCCAAGUCUAUCCCCCUUGGAAGAAGCAAGUGUAAUUGCAAUAAAAAAAAAAAUUUUAAACAAUUAAAAAGGAAUUGAAUAUAAUAUAGUAUUUGGCAAGAUUACUAUUAUAUUAGAAGUCACUACAAAAGACUUGGAAGUCAAUGGACAGUUUGUAGCCACAAACUGGUAUUUUUUUUCUAUGCCCCAAGGAAAACACAAAUGUAUUUGGCCACAAGUAUUUUUCACAAAAGAAAUUUGAGUCAACUUCUCCCUAANGAAUACCACUUCCCAAAGAAUUUCUACAUUACCCAUCAGCUUUCAUUUUAUCCUUGUUUGUUCCUCUAAAUACCUUUUUAAUGUAAGUAAAUACAAUAUGAUGUAGAGAUGACAAUUCCAACCCAUUUAUAGAAAAAUGGGUUGAUUUAGGUCAUUCUUUAUAUCUAAUUGGUCAAACAGGUCAGCCCGGUUCCAAAACUCAUUUAUAUGUGUUAAAAGUUUGUGAGCUGUUUUAAUAACCAAUUAAUAUCUUACUUCUUAAAACACAGUUUUAAUAAGUUUUCUUAAAAUAUUUAAGGCAUUCCAGUAAACACUUAUGAUAUUUUAAAACACACAUGCACUUAGAAGAAGCACUGAUUUUGUUGUCUUUNCUAGCUACCAACAAGCUGGUUGGUUUGAAUAAAGAGAGGAUCAAGUUUUAAUUCAAUGAACUUGAUAUCAACAAAAAACUAUUAACUUGAUUUUGACAUAUAAAGGUUUACAAAACUAACUUUAAGUUUUUGAAUAUUCAGCUUUAAUAGAUUAUGAGGAGACAUACUCUCAUGUGGUAGAAGCAACUACUUUGUAAUAAGUUAUCAGUCUCACAAUAUAAGAAAGAUUGAAUUGCAUAUGAUGGAUCUUACUGCUGCCUAUUUGUACGCCUCCCAUGAUACCAAUCUUUUAUAUAAACCUCCCUCAAAGAUUUAAACCACCAUAAACAUGUAAGAUGGGAUCUCAAAAACACUUUGAUCAAACUAAACAAGUCAUUAUAUAGACUAAAACAAUAUGAGCGUAUAGUGAUAUUUGUGGACAUAAGGAUACAAAAAUUGUUCUAACACAACUUUAUUUGAAUAAGAAAUAUUCAUUGGUAGUUUGCAGCACAUUUAAGUGUGAUUUAAACAAGUCAUUAAUAUAUUUUGCUAAUCAUACAAGACUUGAUAUCUCGUCCUCUGUAGAUUUAGUUUGUUGGUCCGGAAGUAUCACAUCAAUGUACAUGUAUAUGUAUUUUAGUGUAUCUAUAUGUAUAUCAAUGUAUGUGUGUGAGUAUUUGUUGGUGUAUCAAUGUACAUGUAAUAUACUAAUAUGUCUACCAAUGGAUCCUACAAACGUGUUUAACUUUAACAUCACCCGUAAUAUUGUUCUUAUGAGACAUGACAAACACACAUUUCAUAAAGGAACAACAUAACAUGUCAAGUGUACUAACCUUUAGAAGAUGUUGCAAUCAGCAUAAUUAAUGCUUGAAACUUGAUACAACCACUGAGACAUCCAAUAUGAUCAACAAGUCACCUGAAACACCACAAAAGCAAUCAACAAAAAUGCUUAAUACCACCAAACUCAACAACAACAAUUACCAGCAUAUAUGAUACCAUUGCAUUCUAUUUGGGAGAGAAUAAAUAGUUCACUUUCUUGGUAAUUAUGAUAAACAAACAAGCUUACUCAUUAUAAUUAUCAGAUAAUAAAUUCAUUCUACUUACUGUAUAUAUGAUCUCUAAUUUUGGUAUAUGUUCAAAACAAAACGAAAGAAGAAAUGCAUAAAAAUCAUCACUGCAAAAGUUAACUUGAGGAACAAGUUUAGGGACACUAGAAAGCAUAUAAUGUAAAUAAUGAUUGAGAACAUGUGCAACCAUGAACAUAGCAAUCAAGAAUCAUCACUACACAAGUUAACUGGAUGAAGCAUAAUGGUACAAAUAUCUGACAUAGAAAGGACAGUACCUACUGAAAAAGGUAUACAGAACUCAAACUUUAUCUCAUACAUUUUCAUAAGAAUAUAGCUUAUCAGUGUUAAUUAUGAAGUAUACUUAGUUUAACUUGUUAAUAUUAUCAAUUNAUGAUAUAAUAGUUAAGUAUGUGAUCUUGCUAACGUAUAUCAUCAUUAAGUAAAUUAAAACAUUAAUAAAUAGAAAUUACAAUUUCAAUAUAUAUAUAUCAUCUAUCAUUUUCUUGAAAUUUUACCCAAUUCUAAAGGGAUUCCCGGGAUUUUGUUUCUGUUGCUGUUUUGUUGUGUAAUUGUUUAAAUCUUUGUUUUCUUCUAUUUUUUAAAAAACAUUACUGUAAUGAUUAUGAAACUUCAAGNUUGUUAAUAUUAUCAAUUUAACAGUUCUUAUUAUAAGUUACAAUGUCACGUCUUGUGAUUUUAAAAUAUAUACCAACACCAAAACAUAAAGAGAUUUUCAGAUAUUUUCAUCUCAUUCUUUAUUUCUAAUAGUUCACAUAAGUCAACCGAGUUCAAAAACUCAUUUAAAUGUGUUAAAGCUUGUGAGUUGUUCUAAUAACCAAUUAAUGUUUUACUUCUUAAGACACAGUUUUUUAAUAGUUUUCUUAAAUUAUUUAAAACUAUAAUAAAACACCCACCUACAUCUGUGUAUAAAGCUUUUAUACUCCUUUAGUUCUCAUUGCACAUGUAAAUGUCUUAGGCCACAAGUUUUCAUUCAAUGAAUUAGAAGUCAACAGGAAAUUAUAAACUUCAGUUUAACGGUUUAAGGUUUGCAAAAAUAAAUUGCAAGUAAAGAAGUUUUAGAUUAUUUGAGCUUAACAAGGUUGAUGUUUUAAUCCCAAUAAAAGACAUGUUCUACAACUUCAAGUCUAAAUUCUAUGCCCCAUGGUAGACGUAAAGGUAUCUGGCCACAAGUUUUCUCACAAUGAUUUUAAACAUACACAGAAAAGUAGUGCCAUAAUGCACAAAGCAUAUUUUUUUCUUAUAGAACUUUCCAUGCAACUUAUUUCUAACAAUGCUUUUGUGGAAAUUUUGGAGUAUGUGUCUUUGUUUAGUAUGCCUAAGCUGCAUUGAUUUCUUCAUUCUUUACCAUUGAUAAGGGUGAGCUACUGAUAUUUUAAGAGAUAUUGCCAUAAAAGUGUUUUUCAAACAUAGUUCUCUGAAAAAUUAGAACUCCAUAUAAAACUUCAGUUUUUCAAAUGGAAAAAAGAUUUUGUUCUUCAACUUCAAAAUCAUAUUCCAAUACAAAAUAAUAUAAAGGUCAUAAAACUUCAGUUUUUCAAAUGGAAAAAAAGAGUUUGUUCUUCAACUUCAAAAUCAUAUUCCAAUACAAAAUAAUUAAAGGUCAAUAUGCCUCUGAAAAAUUCAAACAUUAAUCUUUCAUUAAAAAGUCCAAAACCUAUUUGACAGAAAGAUUUAAAAACUUUGAAAGCUAAAAUAGAAACUUGGAAGACUGUCUAAUAGCAAUAGUAAAUGAAAGACUUAAAGUGAUGAAUAGAUUUUCAAAAAAUUUCAGACUCUUGUUAGCUUCUUUAUUUACAAAAGGACUAACUCAAAAAUAAAAACUAAUAAGAUACACAAUGCAAUUCAAAAAAGAAAAAGAACAAAAAAACUAGGAGUAUAUAAAGAAAGAAAAUUUUCAUUGUCAUUUAUAGUGGUUCAGAGUUCAAACAAAAUUUUGUCUUUAGUUUAGAGAUUGAGUAUUGUGCACAAAGAAGCUUAUACUGAAAAGGUGCUAAAACAAUUUUAUAUGGGCAAGGCACAUUCAUUGAGCACGGGAAUGGUUGUAACAUCACUCCAUUUUCAUAGACCUUUUUCAACAUCCUAAAGAUUACAUAUUAUAUAUAUGUUCCAUUGGAGAGAUUUCUUUAUCUCGCUAGCCAUACAUGAUUUCUUAUACCAUUUCUCCAUAUAUUAGUUAAUCCGGAAGCAUCCAUGUAUCUAUGUAUGUGUAUGUAAUUAUGUAUAAUGUAUCUAUGUAUCUAUGUAUCUAUGUAUCUGUAUUUUUUUGUUAGUGUAUUUGUAUGUGUAUCAAUGUAUAUGUAUAUAUGCAUUUGUAUGUGUAUCCAUUGCUAUUAUGAGAAAUUGCAAAAACACAUUUCAUAAAGGAACAACAUUUCAAGUGUACUCACCUUUAACAGAUUUGACCCAGAGAAGGCUCCAAUGGCAAAAACACAUGUUUCUGCAUAGGAUGCUUCAAUUCCCCAUACGUAUUAACCUUCAUCCACCCAACAACUCACCUGAAACACCAACACAAGCAAUCACUAUAAAUGCAUAUGAUCACUAAAUGGGUCCAAUUCCCCAAACACAACAAAAACAAUUCCCAUAAACUGCAGAUAUCAUUGCAUUCGAAUCAGAAGAAAUCAGUUCGCUUUCUUCAUAACCAUGAUAAACAAACAAUCUCUUUCUAUUUAUUAUAGGAUACCAAGUUCACUCUAUUAGGUAUAUAAUCUAAACUUUUGUGAACAUGUUAAAAAUAGAACGAAAGAAGAAAUGCACAUAAAUCAUCACUGCAGAAGUUAACUGGAAAGCAUAUGAUGUACAUAAUGAUCUUGAGCAUGAGCAACUAUGCAUAUAGCAAUUACCAGGAAGAUUCAAUAUCGUAUUGAUCUCUGAAAAAUGUAUACAAAACUCAAACUGUUCCUUAUACAUUUUCAUCAGAUUACUUGCUAAUGCGAAUUGAAAAUUUCCUAAAAGUCCUAUGACAAUUAUGAUAUCAUGUAUCAGUAGAUAUCAAUACAAAACCUAAUUUGAUGAUAUUGGAGCAGUUGCAUACAUACAUAAAUAAUAUGUGAAGCUGAGUAAAAUUAUAUAUACAUAAAAUAAAAAUAAAAAGUAACAAUUCCAUUUGUAGAAACUGCUUUCAUAGCAUAUGAAGAACCAAUUCAAUAUAUAGCAGCAAUAUAAAAAACAUGUUUUUCUCCAAUAUUCUCACAGUAAACAAAAGCAUGAAAAGAUAGAGGCCUUUCAUGACCACUGGUCAACAUAGGACUAUAGGUGAUUCGUUGACACAAUAAAAAAAAUACGACUUUAAGUACCAAAGAGUCUACUGAGAAGCAGGGGUUUAAUUGAGUUUGAAGUAUUUCCUCCCUUAAACAGGUAAUUACAGAUUACGUGGUGACAUUGUAUCUACCAUUUGGAGCUGCAAGUGUGUUGCAAAACAGAGGCUAUCACCAUCAGCUUAUAUGCAUCAUUUUACACCAAGCUAAAAUUCUACCUUCUUGUGUUACAGGUCCCAAUUUGUGUGAGAAUUAGGUCAAACAGAAACAUACGAGCAUAGAUGGAUCAUUUCUCAGUAUACAUCAAUGCAAUUGGAUUAUAUUACACAUAAAAGCAUAUAUGUAUCGUUUUCAAAAGCCCUAAAUUCCGAUGCUCUUUGUCUUACAGAUCCCAAUUUGUGUGUUUUGUAGCAUUUUCUGAAUUUUCUUAAAAAAACAAAUAGAGCAAGUUCAUAAAAUCUAGAGAAUUGGGUCAAAGAAAAAAUGAAGAAUAAGAAAACAUACCAAGUGAACACCGAUGACUCAUGAAUCACAAAAGGGGACAUACGAAUCGUCAGUGUAGGCUUCGCAUUUUCCCCGUACUCGUCUAUUUCCCAGUGACGAUAGUUUUGAGAGGACCAGAAAUUUGGGGGAAAUUUUGUUACGAGCAAAUUAUAAAUUUGGUCCCUACCUUUCGUUUUGUUACAGAUAUAAUCCAUUUAGUAACAAAUUUGUUUUGUAUUACCUAUGAUUUUCUAUUUCUUCGAUUGGAUCAUUCAUAUGUAAAGUCCUCAGGUGAAGCAAAUAGAAAUAAGUUAAAAUGCUUAAAAGAUGAUAUUGGGUUACUAUAAUAAUAAUAAUAAUAAUAAUAAUAAUAAAAUAAAUAAAUAAUGAUAUCAUGAAAAGAGGGCUAAGAUGGUUGGAUCCAAAAUAAAAGUUUGAGUAAAUUAUACGAAUGGUCUUUAUGGUUUAAGGUAAAUUGCAUUUUUGGUCUCUAAUUUAUUUUUUAACUCAGAAGGUCCUUAUUGUUUGUUUUUAUUAUACGAUUGGUUCCUGUCUUACCUAAAAAAAACUAUUUUGCCAUUGAUUUUUUAAUUUAUUUAAAUAAAUACACCCUCAAAUACCACCCCCUCACAUUACCUUAGCUACUCAUCAUUUUUUUCCUAUUUGGGUAAAUUACACCAUCCGUCCCUCGUGUAUAUGUAGAAAGCGUGUUUAGUCCUUAUUUUCAAAAAUUAACUCGGACCGUCCCUGAAUUUGUUUUUUCUUGCAUGGUUAGUCCCUAUUGACAUAAAAUGACUAUUUUACCCUUAAUAAUUUUUAUUUUAUUUUUUUUGUUACUUAUUUAUCAGUGUAUAGAUUAAAAAAAAGUAAAUAUCCCACCCCUCCCCUCCCCCUAUCCCUAGUUUCCUUCUCCCUCUCUCUCAUUUACACUCACAACCGACAAUUACCCAACUCCGGCGCUCCUUCUCCUUUCUCCGGCGAUACCAACCUUUUUCUUUCUCUAUUUUUCGAUCAUCACCCACUACAAGUGCUGGCAGCUGCGAAUGGUGGUUCUUUGUCGCAUUCUUCUAAAGUCCAAUAUUCCUCCCCCAAUUUUAACUAAGAACUACAAUUUGUGUGACAACUUGAUACUUUUACACUGAGCAAUCCAUCCAUAUAUCUAAAAUUCACUUGAAUUUAGCAUCUUUUAAAAGUAUGUUGAGCCCGCGCUAGUGUUUUAGGCUUAAUAUAUAAGAGAUAUGGACUUAGGAAAGAUUAGGAAGGGUGCUGCAUCACGAAAUCCAACCAAACACACCAAGAGAGGUGUGUGCGGCCAAGCCAGCCGCACACCUAGCAGCAAACCCCUCCAGCCUCACACUCAACCCUAUAUAAAGUAGAGGACCCCCUUCCAUUCACUUUUGGCUGCAUCCUUUCUCUCUCUAUACUUUCCCUCUCUAGAAAACCACCCAAGAACACCUAGAAGACUCCCAAAACGUGAAGAACACCAUCAUUUUACUUGUCAUGGAGAUGAAAUACUUGAAUCCAAGCCUCAAACUCAUAAUGCUCUUCAUGUUCUUCAUCCUAUGAAGGAGUGCGGCCGCACACCUUCAUCAGGUGGCCGCACACACUCAUAAUACCCUCCAAAGUGAGAGUAAGGCCACAUAAUCGACACAUGGGACUCGAACAAGGAGUGUACGGCCGCAUACUCUAGUGUGCAGCCUCACUCACAAGUCUGGCCGACCCCAGCCGCACACUCACCUAUAUGGCCAUAAACACACCCUAAUACUCAUAUUUGGCCUUAAACUUGCAUAGAUCAUUGGGUAUAGAACAUGGGACACUUAGUCUUAGUGAUUCCAUGCCCUUAGGAAGGAUUUCCCCUCAUGUUUAGUCAUGAAAACACCUUAUCUCUAACUUAUAUAUGUGUCACCGUAUGAUUAAUAGGGGCUACUUGUGUUUAGAACAUCCGUUGACACUCAGCAGUUAUACGAAUCGCAAACUUGAACCCUACAGUAAACGGUGAGUUUAUACCCCUUAAUGAACCUUUUUAAAUGUUUUUACGUGUUUUAGGGGGGAUACAAGUAUAAUACUACGUGUUUUUAUUAUCAAAUCAUAUGUGAAUUACAUUUCAUCAUCAAAAGGAGAACUCUCUACACUUUUAGAUACUUAUCAAGAAAAUUGUUUUCAACUAAUUAUCAAAUGUGUUUUUAAGGUUAAAUUGUUGUUAAAUAUUUUCAAAACUAUGUUUAAACUACAUUUCUUUUAAAAUAUAUCUACAUUAAUAUAUUUAUAUAAGUAAGACUUGAAGGACUUAGGACCGAUAGCUCGCCUUAUUUCAUGUUCUUGUUUGAUGUGGUCUUAGGAUAUUGGUUGUCCGUCCGACUGUCAUUAAUUUCUUAGUUAUAUAUCAUAUAUAUUUGUGUUAGAUAUGAAAGUUUUCAUCUUAUUCAAUACCUUUGCAGAUCAAAGGCAGGAAUUCACACACUCUAGUUAACUAUAAUAGGUAUAGUUAAGGCUACUGCUUGUUACCUCUACUACUACUAUACACACUACAACUGUCAAUAUUACAAGUUAAUACAAGUAUAAGAGAACACUCUACCUACUAUACGAAAAGUCUACCAUGCUAAAGCAUAAGAGAACACACUAAUCCAAAGUAAAACACACUAUCCCUUGAUAAGGUACUCUACCGCGCUUACACCAUGUGAUCAGGGCUUCCCGGAAGGAAAGCAACACUACAUGUAUAUAUCUAUACGGAACUGACACUAUUACAUCCCGACUGUUAACAACAGUCCGAGCCUACUAGGCCCAGGGAUGACACUACAUCACUUCACUACGGAUGACCAGGAAGGUCAUCGGACACUCUAAUAUCAUACAAUUGGUCACAUGAGGGGUUACACUUAUAUCCAAAUAAAUACACUAAGACUUAAAGUCUAAGCUAAUAUCCCGAAGAAAUUAAAGAUCUAUUGCUGACUAAAGUUACACCACUACUGCUGUUAGCAGGCAUAACAUUUCUUCAGCUAUGUUACUCACAUGAGAUCUAUUACUAUACUUUUACAACUGAAGGUUUCAAAGAUAAUACUUUUACACACUCAAAGGAUUUGACUUACGAAUGCGUAUUUAUGGAAAAUAUAGGAUUUUCUAGGGAAUCCUACUACUCAUAAACAUAAGUUUCAGUUUCUAUAUUACGUGUUCGUAAAACUGUUUUACACAAACAACGACACUAAAAUCUUAUGAACUCACCAGCUUUAUGCUGAUACUCGUUUUCAAAAUAACUUGUAUCCUCAGGUUAAAGAUAGACAGGUACUGGUGUAGCUUUUGGAGAAGAUGGAGCACAUACAAGACCCAUCUUUUAUUUUGUUAUACUUUUGGCGUCUAUUAAACUUUACAGAACACAUUUGUAAUUAUGAUCACUAUAUUAAUGAAAUGGUUGUUGUUUCUUGUUUUUACUAUUAUGCAAUUGUAAUGAUACUAUACAUGACGUCCUCCAUCCCAAAACGUAGUCUGCCGUUCUAGGUUCUGGGGUGUGACAAUUUGAUCAACGAAAUCCACCAAAUCCAUUCCCAAAUAAUCAUCAGAUGACUUCUUUCUCUCCAUCCUUCAUCCGCUUCCUACCUACACGCCACCAUCCUCCAUACCUUGAGCUUUUUCAUCUCUGCCCUUCCACAUCCACUAUAUCGUCAUCAUCCCAUUUCAAUAAACUAACCCAUUUCUACAUUCAACCUCAUCAGUAUUUAGAUCGGAAAAGAAGGAGGACAAACAUAAAGGAGAUUUGUGGUCCGUCCAACUCCACAAUCAAGGUCCACAAUAGCAACACACAGAGGAGGAGGUUAUGGUGGCUUGGAGGAUAUGGCGUUGUUACUUGCAGGGGAUGAAAUUGAUGGUGUGAAGGGGAAGAUGUCAGUGGUUUGAAGGAGAUGAUGAGUACCUCCGGCGACUAGAUGUUGACUUCCUCCGGUGGCCUGAUUUUGACUUCACAGGAAAGGGUGGUUUUCAGAUGAAGAUAGAGAAACGGGAAAAGGGAUUUAAGGCAUCUGGCUAACUGAGAAUGGGGUGGGUAAGUGUGAGGCCCACUUCAUUUUCUAUAUAUUAUAAUUAAUAAAAAAACAAACAAUCUAAAAGAAAAUAAACAAUGGCAAUAUAGUCUUUUUAAGUCUCGCAAUGGAUCAACCGUGCUAAUUUAAUUUAAUGAGGGAUGAACCGUGCAACUUUUAAACAAACAAGGGAUGGUCCAAGUUAAUUUUUGAAAAUAAGGACUAAACACGUUUUCUGGCAUAUGCACGAGGGACGAUUGGUGUAAUUUACCCUUCCGAUUUAAAUAAUCGUCUUUUUAGGUAAGAUAUGGACCAAGCGUGUAAUAAAAAACAAAUAAUAGGGAUCAAGUGCGCAACAAAAACAAACAAUAUGGACUUUUCGAGUUAAAAAAAUAAGUUAGGGACCAAACGUGCAAAUUACCCCAAACCAUAAGGACCAUUCAUGUAAUUUACUCUAAAAGUUUUGAGAAUUAUAUAUUAAUUACAUGCUACUAUGGGAAGAAAAAAAAUCAUAUUUCAUACACACACUCCACUUUUGUGUGGAUACACCUUGUAAUCAAUAUAUAAACACUAAAGAAUCAAGUACUUGUGGUUGGCAAGUUAAGGGAUUUUUCAAGUUCGAUAUUCAUGUUUGGGGUCCAACAAUGACAUAAUAUAAAAUUAAUGCUUAUAUGUUGGAAAUGAUGAUACAAAUGUAUUUCUUUUUGUUGUGUAAUUAUGUAUGAAAUAGAAGAAUGUAUGAUCAAAAAAUAAUAAUGUGUGAAAUGUAGUUAUAGAUUGAAUCGGUGAUAUGUUAUUUUGUAACAUUCCAAAAACCGACAUAAAAUUUUUCAUUUUUAAAUCAUCAAGUUCAUAAAUCAUGUGUCUCAAUGUCUCAAAAUCAAUUACAAUACAAUGUAUUAAAAUCAUUAGAGUAAAAUAGUAGUCAUUAAUGCAGGAAAUCAUCAGGGGGGAUAAUGUUGUGCAAUCAAGCUAAACCUUCCCUUUAGAACUGGAAGUACCUGAAAACAUCUAAACACACAAACCAUAAGCACAAAGCUUAGUGAAUUUUCCAAAAUACCACAUAUCAUACAUACAUUGCCAUGGGUUGUCCCAUGGUCUUCCCUUGCAGUACCUCCUAUUUAUAGCCUUGGAUACCUCCUAGGGUUUUAUCCUCUAGCACAUGUGGAUAGGAUAGCCCCAUGAACGAAAUUCCCCUUAUCCAAAAGGAAUUUUCGUCCACCACUGUCACACCCCCGAACCACACGUAUCAUACAUUGAGAUAACAAACUUACAUUGUUUACAUAUUAUAUUUGUUCAUAAAUAUUACACAAAAGUAGCAAUAGUAAAUCUCAAUGCAGCAAAAUAUCUAGUAUCAGAGGCUCUUAUACCUGUUUAUUAGGUUCCUGAGAAUAUAAGAAAUUUUGAAAACUGUCAACGUAAAAUAUGUUGGUGAGUUGUUAUAACUAUACUAAUUUGACGGAUUGCCUGUUUUAUAUUUAUUUUCAAGCGUCGGUUUGUUAAGAGACAUUUGUCACCCUUGUCUAGUUGUAGUGAGCAGCUUAGGUGUGGGGUGUCAACCCUGUAUAGAUCUAUACACAAAUUUCCGCUCUCCUUUCAAGAGACUUUGGUCAUAACUACAGAUCUGACCUAGUACACUAGGUCGGUACGUGUAAAGAUGCGUCUCACAAGAGCCUUAACAAAAAUUUAUGCAAAUUCGUGUGUUCCAUGAAAACGUGAUACAAGAGUAUGCAUUCAACUGUAAACCAUAGAUAAACAUAAUGUGUUCAUUUUUGUCGACGAUAUCGGAAAUGGCUCAAUUUAUCCAAAAUGUCAUGAUUGAUCCAUUAUUUCCGCGUGUGUCUAAAAUGGCUCCAUUUGUUAAAAUAUUAACUUAAGACCCAUUUUUAAAUGAAAUUGCUACUUUUGACCCAAACUUGUUGAAUAAUUCCUUUUUCGGCCCAUUUUACAUAAAAUUGUCAUUUAUGGCCCAAAUUUGAUAAAAAGUUCCUUUUUGGUCCCUUUUUAUUUAAAAUGUAAUAAAUGGCCCAUUUUUAUGAAAAUAACCAUUUUAGUGCUUUUAAUAUCGAAAAAUGACAUAAAUGGAGUUCAUUUUUAUAAAUGACGAUUUUAGUCCACUUUUCACAUUAUUGACAAAUAUGGUCUUUUCUUGUGAUAUCUUUAGUUCCUUGGAAAUUUGUAAACAUAUUAACCAUUUUAUAAGGCAACAUAAGAUAAGUUAUCUUGUCCUAUUUUCAAUAUAUGAUGAAAAUUUUCGAGUUCAUGGUCGUAAGUCAAAAUUUCACAACAUAUCACCAUAUAAGCAUGAAAAACAUACACAUGCAAGCAUAUAUAACAAGAUUUAACACAAAACUAAGCUUGUAUUCCCCCUAAAGAUAGAAAACACGAAAAUAAGGGGUAUGAAGCUCACAUUGGGUGUUUUGUGGGAAGAUUUGAAGUGUGUUGUGAAGAACUUAGAAGCUUAACGCUUAAAUACCCUUGAAGAACAACUAGGAGCUUCUAAGCACCUUAGAUGGGCACACACAAAAUUUAUGUGUGUAAGGAAACAUGGAAUGAACAAUAAUAUGUGCAUGAACACUAAGAGUUAUUGGAAUACUUACCAAUAAGCCUAAAGAUCACUUGGAAGUUAGAAAUAUUACAAGAACUUAGUUCUUGUUCUUGGAAGAGUUGGAAGCUGUUUGAAUGUUCUAGAGAGAAUGAGGGAAGAGUUUUGGAGUACAAGCGGAUUAAAAUGACUUCCAGUCAUGGGUUAAGAAUGAGAAUCGAAUGGUUUUGUUAUUUGGUGGACAUUUGUGGGAGUUGUAUUGUGAUUCGGUGGUUAUAACAAUGUAAAGCCGAAUUUUGAUUUCCAAGUGUACUUUUACGUACUGAUAUCUAAUAAAAUAUGUGAUAUCCUCUAAAAAGUAAUUGGAUAUAGCCGAACACACUCAAGGCAUGACCGAUUUCACCCUAAGAAAAUAGAAAUCGGUCUUAACAUAACACAUAAGUGGAAAUUCGGUCCUUAAUGUGCAUAUAUGAGGGAAAUCGGUUUUAGUUGGGUCAUACAAGGGGAAUUCAGUUUGAGGAGCCCAAAUAAAGAUGAAAUAAGUUUUGCAAAGGCCUAAAACCAUGUGUGUUCAGUCAUGGCAUUCCAUGACCGAAUUUCCAAUUGAAAGGAUGAUAAUGUUUGGGUUUUGGUUACUUUUGAUCCUUUAACUAGUGUUGCAAGUUCAUUCAAGGAUUAUGCUUGUAAUUUUCCUUCAAAAUAGGUCCAUAUUACCUCAACAUAGGCCAUUACAAUUAAGUUACAUGUAGAGAGUGUUGGUACAAGCAUGAAAAUCAUAGACCAAAAUUGCUAGUUAUGACAUCAUCCCCCUGUUAGAGGGAAUUUUGUCCCGAAAUUCAUUCGAGAGUAGUCACUAAAAACUAGAGAAAAGGUGAGGGUAAUUUUGCAUCAUCUGGUCUUCACAUUCCCAUGUGAACUUAGGUCCGCUUUUGGCAUUCCAUCGAACCUUCACAAUAGGGAUAUGACUUUGCUUUGUUCGUUUCACUUCCCUGUCCAUUAUCUCAACUAGUUCCUUGACAAAGUGGAGGUUUUCAUCGAUCUCUAUCUCAUCAAGGGGAACGAUGAGAUUUUCAUCAGAUAAGCAUUUCUUCAGGUUUGAUACAUAGAAGAUAGGGUGUACAUUGCCGAGUUAUGGGGGUAACUGUAACUUGUAGGCCACCGGACCGAUCCUGGCAAGGAUCUCGAAUGGUCCAAUGUAUCGUGGAUUCAACUUUCCCCGCUUCCCGAAUUGAAUCAUCCCCUUCCAGGGAGAGACUUUGAGUACUACAUGAUCACCGACCUGGAAUUCCAAAGGCUUUUGCCUUUUGUCUACAUAUCUUUUCUGUCGAUCCCUGGAUGCCUUCAUUCGUUCUCUAAUCUGAACGAUAUUCUCAGUGGUUUCCAUGAUGAUUUCCGAACCAGUUAAAGUGUUGUUGGGUACCAGUCCCUUGACUAGUUGAGUAUCUCCCACCUCAUCCCAACAUAGAGGUGAUAUACAUUUCCGUCCAUAUAGGGCCUCGAAGGGAGCUACUUUGAUGCUCAUGUGGUAGUUGUUGUUGUAUGAGAACUCGAUUAGGGGAAAGUGUGUUAGAUUAGAUGUCUAAGCCUAUAACUAUAAUUGGUAUGUACUUGACCCGAGAGUAGCAUGGUCCAUUUGGGUUGCAUGACAUCGGAACAAUUGGAUAGACAAAUGAGAAAAAGGAUACUUAUGAUUUGUUAAUAUAUUAUAAGUUCUAAUAUGUUAAUAUGAAAUCAUAUUAUUUAAUUAUUAUUGAUCAAGAAUUAAUUUGGAAUUAAUUUUGUGAUCAAAAGUGACUAAUUAAAUAUAUGGGGAUUGAUUAUGUAAAUCAUUCAUUCUUAUAUAGUGGGCUUAUGAUGCAUAGUUCUUCAUGUUGGGCUAAGCCCAUGGAGUGAUCCAUGGAUACUCCAUGGAGGUUAAAACCCAUGGAUCAUGAAGAAUAUGAAAAUCCAUGCAUAUUAGGGUUUGCAUGGUGUAACCCUACAUGUGGCACACUAUAUAAAGACCCUAUAGGCUAGCAAAAUCAGCACUAAGACUUAUCUAGAGGGCUAGCCGAAUUUUGGAGCACAAGUAUCCUCUUCUCAAGUUAUUUCAAUUGUUGGUGGUAUUGUGUGAUUCCAUUUGAGGUGCAACACUUUGGGCACUAAGCUAUGAAAGGUUCAAGACUUCAAGCUCCAUCAAAAGGUAUGUCAUCUAACUAGAAUUUUAUAGUAUAGUUGCUUCAUAACAUGCUAGUUAAGAUGAUGCUUUGUAAUUUUGAAUGUAUGCAUGUAUAAUAGAGAAAACAUAGAUCCAAAGCACAUAGGUUUGCAUGUACACCAUAGGAGUGUUAGAAUGCUCAAAACCUAAUAGUGGUAUCAGAGCCUAGGGUUGUUUUCAAUUAUACUUGAUGCUAGUUGCUUGAAAAGGCUGAAAAAACUCGUUUUUGUGCUUUCUGGAUAGUGAAAUCGCCAAGUCCAUUGAUGGACUCGACGAUUCCAUGAACAAAUUCAUCCAACUCGUUGAGUUGGUUCAUGCACUCGACGAGUUCGACCCCCUGACAGCAUAUCUUCGAGUUUUAAGUCUGGAAUUUCACUAGGAUCAUUACCCUAAGCUGUUUUUGAACUUAUAAACCUAUUUUUGAUGUCGUAAUGAUCAUACUAAUCCAAUUCAAAAGAUAAUUAUCAAAAGUUUCAUGUUUGUUAUUAGUAUAAUGGUUAGGAUAAUUACAUAAAAAUUGUUUGAUUUGAAUUGUCUUGUUCAUAUGAGUUUAAUCUAGAUCAUAGAAUUAUUUGACAUGUUUGUUAGUUUAUUAGAUUAUCUAAAUGGCCUUUAAUGGAUCCCAUAACUUUUCCUCAUGUUAUGAAAAACCAAAAGUCUUUCUUGUUAACGAGUCUUUAAAAGUCAUAAGUUAUGUAAUUGAAGAGUCUUUUCUAAUAAAUUGUUUUAUGAGGGUCAUAACUUGUCCUCAAGUUAUGGAUUUUAGGAGUUUUACCAUUAAAAGCCAUAUUAAACUCAUAUGUUAUGGAUUCCAAAAGUUUUUUUUGAAUUGUUCAAAACUUGCCCUCCAGUUUUGGAAUUAGUAAAUGUAGAGUCUUCUUUAGACACAUUUAGUUCCAAACCCUAGAAUUUUAAAAGUUUAAAAUUCAACCCUUAUACUAUUAUAAUAUUGUAGGUUUAUUAUUUAUAUAUAUGUAUAAGAGUAAAGUCAGUCUUACCAUUAGUAGGCCUCAUUCACGAAGUCAGUCUCUAAGGGGGGUAUAAAAUUACUGCCUAUAAAAUGGUAGUUUAAUGGGUGUCCACUCUCACCCACCGCUUCCUUAACUGGUGGAGGGUCGUUAGCCGAACAAGUAGGAUAGUACUAUAAUUCUCCCUUCAUUAAAAGUAUAAUGAUAAAUAUAAAGUAACUAAGCUUUUGUUAAAUUCCCAAUCUUAGUUACUUUAGAAAAAUGUGAAUUUGGUGCUAACCCAUGAAAUUUCACUUUGCACCCUUGUUAAGUCAUAAGUGGAGCAUGUGUGGUUAACAUGCACACUAACAUGGGACUGACAAUGCAUGUCAAAGGGUAGCUAGAUGUUAAUCAUAGAUCAAUGGAGCGUGUGUGGUUAACCGGAACAUUGAUUAGGUUGUUGUAACAUUGGGUGUACCAAGGUAAUUUGCAUGGUUAUUCACUCCUUGUUUGUGAUCCUUGGCAUCCUAGUCACAAACUUGAAGGGCAUAAUCGAGAUUUAAACAUGCCAUUGAAUCGUUCAAUGAAUCUCAAAGGAUCUAGGAGUUUCAAUCCAAUUAAAACUUAAUUUUCAAUUUUGUUUUUCGUGGUGGAAAUUAUUAAAUCGUCAUUUACCUACCUUCAAAUAUUUUGUAGCUUAGAUUACGACAUCCCUCUUCCAAGUUAUAAAAUAUUGUGUUGGGUCCUAGCCUUAAUAUUUCAUUUGGGUGUUAUAUUAAGGACUUAAAUCAACUAACUUGAAUUUCUCCCUUUUAGAUGUCUACUUCAGACAACUAUGGUCUUCCCAAAUCUUUAGGAACAAGCCUUCCUAAUGAAGAUGAUAUCCCACAUGACGUUCAAGGUGAAAGAUUAAUCCCUUUGUCAUGUAUUAAUGGGACUGUAAAUCAUACUUCACUUCCUCCACCUCCUCCAAUUAUUCUCCCUGACCCACAAGCCCGAAGACUUGGAAAGUUCAAGAUCACUCAUGCUCUACUUGAAAUGAAACAUAAAGAUGGAAGACCUAUGUAUACUCAUGUCUUAGAGAUGAAGUCACACAUUGACAGGUUGAGAAUGUUGGGUGCCAUAGCCCCAAGGAAGUUGGCUAUUGACUGGGUUCUUCAGUCACCUCCCGAUUCAUAUAGUGAGUUCAUAAAGGACUACUAUGUGACAUACCACGACAUGAUCCUUAAUGAUCUUGCCUAUUUGCUUGUUGCUAUUGAAUCAGUAAUGAUUUGGCGCACUGGUAAAGCAAACUUGAUUAGAAGAUCUAAUUCUCAAACUUCCAUGGACAUUGACAAUGGUAACAUUAGAAGUCCAGAAAAGCUUUCUCUUCCUAAUGGAAAGGGAUCGGCCUUGGUCAACCCGGUUGACCAAAAGGUAGAGGGAAAGACUAAGUCUGUGAUAGUCCCGCAUACCAUUUCCAAAGAGUCUAUAUGUUUCUAUUGUCAAGAGAAGGGGCAUUGGUUGCGAAGUUACCCUGACUACCUGAAAAAUCUGAGAGAAGGAAUAAUCAAAAAGUUUGACUCUGCUUCAGGUAAGUCUACUAUCUAACUCUGUUAAGUUCCUAAUUGUUUAUUCUUAAUACAUGAUGUGACAGGGUUGCAUUUUGAUGUUUUCUAGGAUCAAGCAAAAAGAAAGAAGCCUAAAAGAAGAGUAUGCUAAAUUUGAUCACGAAGAUGGAUUUUUGUUGCAUGGUUUGAGGAUCAGAUUUUUGAGUUGCUGCUUAGGAGUUAUGAUAGAUUGCUAGGAAAUAUGUAAUAGCAUAAAUUCACUUGUAAUUGCAUUGUAAGGAAAAGUUUUCCGCAUUUUAUGAAUAAAUAAAAUUGUUUUAUUUUAUAUCAUAUCCUUACAAUGACAUUUGUGAAAAAUUGAUGUUUGUAUGUUUCUAUGUUAGCAAUAUGAAUUUGAAUCUUUCAUUUGUGGUAGUGUCAUAAUUUACUAAAUAAGGAAAGGAUUCUCAUCACCCAAGUUCCGGUUGGAUAGAAACUUGGAAUCAUGUAACUUGUAUUGUAUGAUGAAUGAGAAUUUUCAUCUUUGGGAAAUUAUGACUAAUUCCUUAUUGACAUGUAUAUAUGAGUCAAGUGAAGGACUAGGGGAUCGGGUACACUUGGUUGUGUGUUGGUUAAGUCCACCACAAAGAUCGAUAAGACUAUUUGUCAUGAUUUACUAAAGUGUAGUAAAUAUGGUUAUACUUACAAGUUUAAGUAUAAUUCUGAAAUAUUGGAAAAUUUUCAAUGUAUGGCAGGAAGAAUGAGAAAACUCAAAUUAGGGAGAAAGACAAAAGUUUCUCCAUUCUACAAAGAUAGGAGAGUACUUUAGUAUCAUGUUUUAUGAUCAUCUUAAUGAUUAUGAAAUCAUAUCACAAUUGAUCCUUCAAGGACACCUUAGUGCAUUUGUAUGGUUAAGAAGAGGAAUCCUAAAUUGUUGAAUUCAUUAAAAUCAAGAAGAUGAGUCAGACUUCGUUCCAAAAUCAUCCAAGAUCGAGCCUUGAGUGACAUAAUCUAAAGCAGGUUAAUAACACUUGUCAAAUGUAGAGUAAAAUGUUUUAAAAGUUAUUAUGUUUUGGAUAAAAUAGACACCAACUAAGACCAAUUAUGUGAAGUGCUUUUCUUGAUAGGAAUUUGUACUAACUCUUGAAUAUUUGUUCGUCAAGGAAUGGUUAUUGACAAGAGAACACGACUUAAGGUUUGUAACCUAUCGCGUUAACAUAUUCUUGUUUCUGUGCCUAUUCCUGUUAAAAUUGACUAUGCUUAUGAGUUCUAUGAGUUCUCAAUUGUUUGCAUAACAACCUGGAAGACAUGGUAGGCCCUUGUGCUGGCAGGUGGCAAGAUAAUAAGGUUGAGCAAGUUCAAUCCAUAUGAGUUUGGAUUUGUCACUAACCUUGUCUUGUGAUUAUGGUUUUGAAAAAUUCACAUAGAUAGGAACACAUACACCUUAAAAUCUAAGUGUCAUAAGGUUUCUCUCCAAUUCAUGAAAAUGAUGGUGAGAAAACGCUUUGACUAAGUAGAUUUUUAAGUAGAUAGCAAUUGUGAUAUUUGCAUUCUCACAGUUGUUAGUGGAGCAUGUGUGGUUAACCGGCUAUGACAAUAGUCAAAUUCGGGUCAAGUCAAAGUCAAAGAAAUCCAAUAAGUUAAACCGGACGACUCAAUUAGCUCUUGCGUAUUAGGGUUUACGUGGUGUAUUUACUAAACAAUCGCUAUUAUAAUGAGAAAGAAUCAUUUGAAAAAUCCAUGUGAUUUAAUUCUUCCUAAGCCUUAAAUGCGGUAAACAAUGAACCAAAGCAAUAAAACACAAAUGAACACUCAUCGGGAGUGUGUAAGAAAUUAAAACAUGGCUUCAUGAGGUUUACGGACCUUGCGUUGCGAAUCCGGACACUCAAAAAGGGCACAAACGAAACCUCUCUCAAUCGUUUUCACUCUAUCUCUUUCUAUUUGAAAUCUCUCCCAAAUCUCUCUCAAUGGUUCUCGUAACUUUUUGAAGUCAUUCGGGUCAUUCCGACCUUUAACCGGGUCAAAAACCACUUAAAACGGGGUUAAAACGAGUAAAAUACCCUAAAAGAACCGAAAAACCCUUUAUAGGGCCGAAACCUCUUAGGGCCGAACUCCUUGGACCGAAAGCAACAAAGAACCGAACUCCUUGGACUGAAAACAACAAAGAACCAAACCCUCUUGGUCGAACCCGAAGGAUGCUCUCGGAACCGAACCUCGCACACACCUGAACCCGAAGUUACUGUUCAUUUCGAUUCAUUUCGCUCUCUCGGCCCAUUUCGCUUCGGCUGCGCUCGGAUCGAACCUACCUUCGCUUCUGGCUGCUUUGCUUCUUAGCAUUUCGCUCCUUACUGUUUCACUUCGUUUCUCCUCUCUGCUAGCCUCAGGAGGACCGAACCUCCGGCUAGGACCGAGAGGUCUCGCUGGAAGACCAAUUCUUUCUGGUUUUCGACUACGACAUCAUUUUAGCUUCGUUUUUCAUGAUUUUAACGCGGGAUUUUCACUCAAACUUGUAUUUUAACAUAAUAAACCCUAAAUAUUCAUAAUUUAAUCAUAUUUUCAUGAAAAUCCUUAUUUAAAUAAUAAAAUGUAGUGGGUGAAUAAUUGAGGUGGAGUGUUGACUUUGCUUUACCUUAUGACACAAGCAACCACCCCCAUACCCACUCUAUGACCAGCCACACCUUCCCACCUUACCUAGGUCACUUCAAUGUCCUUUCCACUCAUUUACCAGCCCUCCCCACGUUCUUAGAACUGGAACAACCCAUCUUCUCUCAUCACUUCUCUCAUUUGCUCUCAUUUCACUAAGGAUCCAACUCCACUUUUCCUCUAAAACUUCCUUCCUCAAAUUCGAGAUUCAAGGCUGAUUAUCAAUCUUUCUUACACUCUUGGUAAGUGUAAUUGAUCCUCCUUGUGAUUAUUGCACUUCAUUCUACUCAAAUCAUUGAUUUCUUACACAAACUCCAUCACUUCGAUGUUAGAUUCUCGAAAAUCUUCAAGGCAUCUUCAAGAGUUCCUGGGUUGAUCACUUCCAUUUUUCAAUAACCAUCUACUGAAAUCACAUAAGAUGAGUUCCUACCCCUACAUGUUCAUAUUUUUCUUAUGUUUUAAGGGGGAUAAUACAAGUGAAAUCAUCAAGAACACAACUAAAUAUUUCUAACAGCUUACAUCAGAAAAGUUGGACUCAUUCACAGACUGUUUUGGUCAACUAAAACAUUUCUGUUUUCAAAACUGUAUAAGGUGCAAGUAGUUAAAGUUCUUAGCUUUAAAAUGACUACUUGCACAUCUCCAUACGAUUUUUCUACUAUUUAUGGUGAUUUUUUCAAAACUGCCUAUCACUUCAAGAACCAAACCGAACCAGUCUGUGUUUAUGGACGUUUUCACGUAAGUUGGAGGUCACUAAAAAUCAUGGAAAAAUAUAUGAACAAACUAGACUCAUUAAACCAACUCCCAGAAUUUACGGAUUUUGAUUUGGAUCUUUUAUUUAGUUUUUAUAAGUUUCCUAAUAACAGUGAUUGAAGCUGUUAUAAACAGAAAAAUGCUAACAUAUUAUUAUCACCUUGUAUCAUGUUGAGCAAGGUGUAUAUCCUUAUGUGACUGUAUGUUAUUACAAAAGAAUGAUAUUUUAUCUUGGUAUAUGAACAUGCAUCAGUUAAUAAAUGGAUUUUGAUAUAGAUAUACAUAUGAAAUAUAAUGGAUAACACAAUUGUUAUAAUCAAAGUACAUCCAUUUUACUCAAACAAUUGAACGAACUACGUUGAAUUUAGAUUACGUACGUUACCAUUACUACCCUUGUUUUGAUAAACUAUAAUAGGUAUUGUUUAUGAUUCAUCACAUAACACACUCGUACAAAAAGGGUACAUUCAUACAAAAAGGUUCUACACUCACACACACUACACGUAAACUUGUUAACUUAAGUGGUGAAACAUUCACUCCCCGUACGUCCGAGUACGGGUUCCAAAUUCUUGUGAGUUAUAACCAAAAUCUCUUGUAGGGAGAGCGUGAUAAUUGUGUAUAUAUAUAUAUAUUGGGGUUGACAUCCCACACCUCCCUGCUAGCUACAGCCGGACCGGCAGGUCUGCGGGUGACAAGAGUCAUAGGAUCAGGACGUCUGAAAGACGUUGUGCAGGUUACCUCUAGUCAUAGUAUGGUUAUAGCGAUUCAUAUAGAGAGUUAACAAUAAAUAGAGUUUAUAUGUCGAUUUAAAAAUCACUUUUUAUAUCAAUAAGUACGGAUAUUACUGUACACUUUCGGUCUUGGUAUUUAAGACUACAGAUCACUCGGGAUUUAGAACUACAUACACAUAUUAAAGAAAAUAUUGGAUUUUCUGAAUACAUAUUCUAUCGCUUUUACAAGGAAAAUGGUUUACUUCUCUAAAGAAAUCUCUUAUGAACUCACCAACCUUCGUGUUGACACUUUUUCAAACAACUUGUAUUCUCAGGGAAUCACUAAACAGGUAACCAAGUGCUUUUGAGGAUGGGACGUUAAGGCGUCAAACUUUUCAUAUUUUGUCAACAUAUUGUAAUUGAUUUUGAAACAUGUAAUUCAUACAGUGAUGUAACUCUUUCAAUUAUAUAUAUGUUUGUUGUGUUUGCUUAAAUUACUAUUGCAAUUGUGGUUAUGAUACUAUACAUGAAGUCCUCCACCCCCGGACGUUUCCGCCAUCCUUGGUUUGGGGGUGUGACAGAUUGGUAUCAGAGCACGGUUUAUAGUGAAUUAAGUAUAUCAAACCGCAUAAGAUAUACAAACUAUAAACACAUUUGGGACUAAAAUUCUCUGAUUUUAAACAUCUCUCAAUUGAAUAUACUUUUAGAAAAUAAAUAGUUUUCUUGUUAAAGUGUACAUAACAUACAUUACAAGUUCGCAUAGUGUCAUAACUAAGGAGAACAUAAAGUGAAAAAGGAGGAGUUGAACACUACGAGUAUGCCCUAGCAUGUGUAAUCAGUUCUGGGAAGGAUAUAGCCUGAUCAACUAUAUCCGUCCGAGAAGUGACUUACGCAUACUGGGGGAUAGUCGUAAUGGGCGACAAAUCUAAUAACCUAACUUCACUCUACAAAUAAUACUCUAAGAACCAAAUAUAAACUUUUAAAAUACUAUAGGAGUAUUUGUAUAUUGCUAUAGCGUAAUGAUAUUAUUAUCCGAUAUGUCCUUCUCACCCCCCAUUUCUCGUGCAGACGACAUGGCAGGAUUUCACAUACCCGGGGACCCGUACUUUCCCAAUCAGGGAAAUGCUGGAUGGAUCGAGGAAGAGCCCGAGCAACAAAUCGAAGAGGACCCCGAGGAGGAUCCCAAAGAGGAUCCCGAGGAGGAUCCCGAGGAGGAAUCCGAGGAAGAGCAAGAAGAAGAGGAGGAAGACGAAGAAGAAGAAGAGGAAGACGAUGAUAUAGUCAUGAUUGAGAACGAAAUUGAAGAAGAACUGGAAGUAUUCAACCCUCCUUACAUCGCGAGGGUACCCGCACACCGCUUUGGAUACAAUGGACCUGAGCCCCGUUGGGUAACGACGAUCGAAAGGUGGAGCCGACAACAACGCCAACGGUCACCAUAUGGCGACCAACGAGGUUAUUAUGACCUCAUCCAUGGUGGACCGGCUGAUAGAGACCUCCUCGUCAUGACUCAGCGAAUAGCAAGUAUGGAUGAUCAUGGUAGGACGACGACCAAUCAGGUCAGGGAGCUAAGUACCAUCGUAGAGUCUACCACUGCUCGCACCAGAGAUUUGGAACGAGACUCCCACUACAGAGACCAACUCAUUCAAGACCUUCUCGCUGCUCGAUCUGAAGCAAGGGAGUAUCGGGAAAGAUACAUGGUGCUCGAAGAGAGAAUGGUCGCAGCCGAACGGAGAUUGGUAGAACUACAGGGCGCAUCGACAUCAUCCCAGGCUCCAUCAGGGAAGGAUCGUCGUGAUUAGAACUCAUUACUAUUCUCACAUAUUUGUAGUAAAAGUUUAUGGGUACGCGUUGGUGCUACUCUUUUGUAUGUAUGUUGAACCUGCGACUAAGUGAUUACACUAUUCAAAGGGCUUUUGUGCUGUCGAAACUAUCUUUUGCAUUGAUGUAAUGUAGACCCUUAUGAGGUCAAAUUUACCCUAAAGCGUUAUGUACUAAAAGUUUAUCAAUGAAUUUUGGCAUGCAUUUUAUUUUAGUGAAUGAUUGGCAUUGGACUUCAUAACCUGAUCACACAAAUAGCUUACAAAUAAUAAAGUCGUGAUAAAAAAAAAUACAAAUGAGAUGAAACAAGUAACACUCGACUCGUUAUUACUAUUGAAGUCUUACCGACUGGUCAUUUUUUUAAAUUAUGACAGAACCAUGCUACCAAGGAAAAGACCAAGACCUUCCGGCAACAUAGCGCCGCCCCCUCCGUCACCACCUCUGCAGUUUGAUCCUGCAAUGUUUCAGGCUGUAGUGACGGCAGCUGUGGCGGCAGCAAUGUCGGAAAUGGGUACAAAUGGUUCUGGCGGUUCUGGAUCCGGAGCUAUCAAUUCAAUUCAUGGGGAUAACACCGGGCGUGCGAAGGAGUGCUCUUACAAAGACUUCUCGAAUGGCAAACCUGACCCUUUCAAUGGAAGUAGGGGCAUCAUCACACUGGUGCAAUGGUUCGAAAGGACCGAGGCAGUCUUCGAAAUCUAUGCUUGUCCCGAAGUGAGCAAGGUCAAGUAUGCUGCAUUCACUUUCACCGGAAAAGCUCUUACUUGGUGGAAUGGCCGAGUUAAAUCACUUACUCCUGUAGUGGCUAACUCUAUAAGCUGGGAGGAUUUAAAAGCUUUGAUGUUAAAGGAGUAUUGCCCGAGCGGCGAAAUACAAAAACUCGAAGAAGAACUUUGGAACCUCAGGAUGUCGAGCACAGAUCUUUAAACUUAUACCGCCCGCUUCAAUGACCUAGCACUCCUAUGUCCAAGAAUGGUCACUCCAGAGGAGAAGAAGGUGGAACGAUACCUCUGGGGGCUGUCAUCCCAGAUUCAAGAUAGUGUACUUGCCUCGAAACCUACUACCUUUGAGAGUGCCAAGGAAUUGGCACAACAACUUAUCGAUCACAGGGCUAGCCGUGGUACCGUGAUAGCCACCACCGACCCAACAAAAGGAGGGAACAACAAGAGGAAGUUCUGGGACAAUAAAAAGAAACGACCGACGCAGGACCCCGCCAAGAAGCAACAGACUGUUGCUGUCCAUGCCGCCACUACUGCCACCACUCCAGCGCCGCCGAAACAGUACACGGGAACUCUUCCCAAGUGCAACAAGUUUAGCUACCACCACAACGGUGCUUUUCGAGAGUUACACUGCAAUAACUGCAACAAGAAGGGACACACUACACGAUUCUGUAGAGCGACGACCCAACCCGCCACUCAAGCCGCCACGACCGCUAGCACCGGAGCAAGCCAAACCUGUUAUGGUUGCAGAGAGACAAGGCACUACAAAAGAAACUGCCCAAAAACACGAAACACAAAUACCGCGAAUGCAGGGAGAGUCUUAACUUUAGGACACAGGGAAGCAGUCAGGGACCCCACCAUGGUUACCGGUACGUUUCUCCUCAAUAACUUUUAUGCAUGCGUACUUUUCGAUAGUGGGGCAGAAAGAAGUUUCGUAAGUCACCAAUUCAAACAUAUACUUAAACAAAAUUCCCAGUCAUUAAAAGAUUCUUACGUCGUAGAAAUGGCAAACGGAAAGGUUGAGCGCACUAACGAUAUUUACAUAGGGUGUACUCUCACUCUAGAUAACCAUUCGUUCAAAAUUGAUUUAAUGCCAGGCAACAUAAAAAGUUUCGACAUAAUCAUUGGUAUGGAUUGGUUAAGCUCUCAUCGUGUCGACAUCCUAUGUUACGAAAGGGCCGUUCGCCUUAAUCUGCCAAACGGCGAAACCCUUCUCAUCUAUGAAGAUAAACCCAGUGCAAAUUUGCUAAUCAUCUCUUGCGUCAAAGCCCAAAAGUACCUCCGAAAGGAAUACAACGCAUUCUUAGCCCACGUCCGUAGACAAGAAACAAGAGGUGAAAGACAUCAAAGAAAUUCCAGAAGUAUGCAACUUCCCGGACGUAUUCCCCAACGACCUGCCAGGUGUACCACUCGCACGACAAGUCGAAUUCCGAAUCGACUUAAUUCCUGGAGCUGCCCCCGUUGCCAAAGCUCCAUACCGCCUAGCACGGGUAGAGAUGCAAGAACUGUCCAACCAAUUAAAUGAACUGUUGAGCAAAGGGUUCAUUAGACCAAACUUUUCACCCUGGGGUGCACCAGUCCUUUUUGUGAAAAAGAUGGAUGGAUCAUUUCGCAUGUGCAUCAACUACCGGGAAUUAAACAAACUUACCAUCAAGAACAGAUAUCCCCUACCCCGAAUCGAUGACCUUUUCUAUCAACUUCAAGGAGCAAGUUAUUUCUCAAAAAUCAACUUGAGGUCGGGCUAUCAUCAGCUGCAAGUUCAAGAAGAAGAUGUCCCCAAGACAGCAUUCAGAACUCGCUAUGGGCACUACGAGUUUGUAGUGAUGCCAUUCGGAUUAACCAACGCACCUGCGGUGUUCAUGGAUUUGAUGAACUGAGUGUGCCGACCCUUCCUAGAUAAAUUCGUGAUCGUGUUCAUCGACGAUAUCUUGGUCUAUUCGAGAAGCGAAGAAGAGCACAGGCAACACCUACGACUAGUUCUGGAGACUCUAAGAGCUGAGAAGCUUUACGCUAAGUUUUCAAAGUGCGGAUUUUGGCUCCGAGAAGUGGGAUUCCUUGGCCAUGUGGUAACAAGGAAGGAAUACAUGUGGAUCCCUCAAAGAUCAAGGCGAUUGAAAAUUGGUCAGCACCUACAAUGCCAACAUAAAUCCGACAAUUUUUGGGACUCGCAGGCUACUACUGAAGAUUCAUAUAGAACUUCUCCAAGAUUGUUAAGCCCCUCACCACCCUGACUCAGAAAUGUGUGGUGUUUAAAUGGGAAGAUAAAAAAGAAGCCGCCUUCCAGACACUAAAGCAAGCCCUAUGCAACGCACCAAUCUUGUCUCUUCCAGAAGGAACUGAUGAUUUUGUGGUGUAUUGCGAUGCUUCAAAUCAAGGUCUCGGUUGUGUGCUCAUGCAAAGGGGAAAGGUUAUCGCUUACGCAUCAAGGCAACUUAAGACCCACAAAGUUAACUAUACCACCCACGACCUCGAAUUGGGAGCGGUAGUGUUCGCCUUGAAGAUCUGGAGACACUACCUCUAGGGCACAAAGUGCACCAUCUUCACCGAUCACAAAAGUCUUCAGCAUAUCCUCAAUCAAAAAGAGCUCAACAUGCGACAAAGAAGAUGGGUAGAGCUACUAAACGAUUAUGAGUGCGAAAUCUGUUAUCAUCCGGGCAAGGCUAAUGUUGUAGCCGAUGCCCUAAGUAGAAAAGAAUACUCGGGUCGCCAGGUGAAGUCACUAACGAUGACAAUCCAUUCGCACCUGUUCACACAAAUCAAGGAAGCUCAACGUGAAGCCUUGAAACCCGAAAAUGUGACAGGUGAGAAAUUGAGAGGGAUGGAUAAAAACCUAGAAGUCAAGGAGGACGGAGCUCGCUACCUCAUGAACCGGAUCUGGACACCGAAGUUCGAUGGGUUCCGAGACGUUGUCAUGAACGAAGCACACAAGACACGAUAUUCCAUCCAUCCAGGUUUGGAUAAGAUGUAUUUAGACCUCAAGAAGUUGUAUUGGUGGCCGAACAUGAAAGCUGAGAUUGCUACCUAUAAGGGCAAGUGUCUGACUUGCGCCAAGGUCAAGGUAGAAUACCAGAAGCCAUCAGGACUACUACAACAUCCGGAUAUACCUGAGUGGAAGUGGGAGCGGAUAACCAUGGAUUUCAUAACCAAGCUACCUAAGACAUCGAGUGGGCUUGACACCAUAUGGGUAAUCGUAGACAGAUUGACCAAGUCUGCGCACUUCCUACCAAUAAAGGAAACCGACAAGAUGGAAAUGUUAACCAGGACAUACAUCAAGGAGAUUGUGCGACUGCAUGGUGUACCAAUAUCCAUUAUCUCUGACCGAGAUAGUAGAUUCACCUCGCGAUUUUGACAGUCCUUACAGAAAUCUCUGGGAACUAGGCUAGAUAUGAGUACGACCUAUCAUCCGCAAACCGACGGGCAGAGCGAGCGCACCAUACAGACGUUAGAAGACAUGUUGAGAGCCUGUGUGAUAGACUUUGGUAAGGCGUGGGAUACUCAUUUACUGCUUAUCGAAUUUUCCUAUAAUAACAACUAUCACACUAGCAUUGGAGUUGCUCCAUUCGAAGCUCUCUACAGUCGCAAGUGUAGAUCACCUCUGUGUUGGGCCGAAGUGGGGGAUACUCAGCUAGCUAGGGGGCAAGUCCCUGAUAGCACCCUUACCGGGCCUGAAAUCAUAAGGGAGACCACAAAAAAGAUUGUUCAAAUUUGGGAAAGACUGAAGGCGUCUCGUGAUCGACAAAAGAGUUACGGAAACAAGCAACGCAAACCCUUGGAAUUCCUAGUCGGAGAUCGAGUACUAAUAAAAGUUUCCCCUUGGAAAGGAAUGAUACGCUUUGGUAAGCGUGGGAAACUAAACCUGAGGUACAUCGGGCCAUUUGAAAUCCUUGCCAGGAUUGGUCCUGUGGCGUACAAACUCCGAUUACCACAAGAACUUAAUAACGUACACCCUACCUUCCACGUAUUAAACUUGAAAAAGUUCCUAUCGGAUGAGACACUUGUAAUACCUCUCGAUGAAAUUGAAGUUAACGACAAUCUCCACUUCGUGGAAGAACCAGUCGAAGUCAUGGAUCGAGAGAUCAAGCGAACAAAACAGAGUCGUAUUCCUAUUGUAAAGGUUCGCUGGAACGCUAAACGGGGACCUGCAUUCACCUGGGAACGCGAAGAUCAAAUGAAACAAAAAUACCCACAUCUUUUUUCCUAACUCUUAAAGUCCCAGUCAAAACGUAAAUUUCGGGAUGAAAUUCCCUUUAACGGGGGGAUGAUGUGACAAUAGUCAAAUCCGGGUCAAGUCGAAGUCAAACAAAGUCAAUAAGCUAAACCGGACGACUCAAUUAGCUCUUGUGUAUUAGGGUUUACGUGGUGUAUUUACUAAACAAUCCGUUAUUUUAAUGAGAAAGCAUCAUUUGAAAAAUCCAUGUGAUGUAAUUCUUCCUAAGCCUUAAAUGCGGUAAACAAUGAACCAAAGUGAUAAAACACAAAUGAACACUCAUCGGGAGUGUGUAAGACAUUAAAACAUGGCUUAAUGAGGUUUACGGACCUUGCGUUGCGAAGUCGGACACUAAAAAAGGACACACACGAAACCUCUCUCAAUCAUUUUCACUCUAUCUCUUUCUAUUUGAAAUCUCUCCCAAAUCUCUCUCAAUGGUUCUCGUAACUUUUUGAAGUCAUUCGGGUCAUUCCGACCUUUAACCGGGUCAAAAACCACUUAAAAGAGGGUUAAAACGAGUAAAAUACCCUAAAAGAACCGAAAAACCCUUUAUAGGGCCGAAACCUCUUAGGGCCGAACUCCUUGGACUGAAAGCAGCAAAGAACCGAACCCUCUUGGCCGAACCAGAAGGAUGCUCUUGGAACCAAACCUCGCACACACCCGAACCCGAAGUUACUGUUCAUUUCGGUUCAUUUUGCUCUCUCGGCCUAUUUCGCUUCGGCUGCGCUCGGACCGAACCUACCUUCGCUUCUUGGCGUUUCUCUCCUUACUGUUUUGCUUUGUUUCGCCUCUCGGCCAACCUCAGGAGGACCGAACCUCUGGCUAGGACCGAGAGGUCUCGCUGGAAGACCAAUUCUUUUCGGUUUUCGACUGCGACUUCAUUUUAGCUUCGUUUUUCAUGAUUUUAACUCGGGAUUUUCACUCAAACUCGUAUUUUAACAUAAUAAACCCUAAAUAUUCAUAAUUUAAUCAUAUUUUCAUGAAAAUCCUUAUUUAAAUAAUAAAAUCUAGUGGGUGAAUAAUUGAUGUGGAGUGUUGGUUUUGCUUUACCUUAUGACACAAGCAACCACCCCCAUACCCACUCUAUGACCAGCCACACCUUCCCACCUUACCUAGGUCACUUCAAUGUCCUUUCCACUCAUUUACCAGCCCUCCCCAUGUUCUUAGAGCUGGAACAACCCAUCUUCUCUCAUCACUUCUCUCAUUUGCUCUCAUUUCACUAAGGAUCCAACUCCACUUUUCCUCUUAAACUUUCUCCCUCAAAUUCGAGAUUCAAGGCUGAUUAUCAAGCUUUCACACACUCUUGGUAAGUAUAAUUCAUCCUCCUUGUGAUUAUUGCACUUCAUUCUACUCAAAUCAUUGAUUUCUUACACAAAUUCCAUCACUUCGAUGUUAGAUUCUCGAAAAUCUUCAAGGCAUCUUCAAGUGUUCUUGGGUUGAUCACUUCCAUUUUUCAACAACCAUCUACUGAAAUCACAUAAGGUGAGUUCAUAACCCUACAUUUUCAUAUUUUAUUAUGUUUUAAGGAGGAUAAUACAAGUCAAAUCAUCAAGAACACAACUAAAUAUUUCUAACAACUUACAUCAGAAAAGUUGGACUCCAUUCACGGACUGGUUUGGUCAACUAAAACAUUUUUGUUUUCAAAACUAUACCAGGUUCAAGUAGUUAAAGUUCUUAUCUUUAAAAUGACUACUUGCACAUCUCCAUACGAUUUUUCUACUAUGUAUGGUGAUUUUUUCAAAACUGCCUAUCACUUCAAGAACCAAACCGGACCAGUAUGUGUUUAUGGACGUUUUCACGUAAGUUGGAGGUCACUAAGAAUCAUGGAAAAAUUUAUGAACAAACUAGAUUCAUUAAACCAACUCCCAGAAUUUACGGAUUUUGAUUUGGAUCUUUUAUUUAGUUUUUAUAAGUUUCCUAAUAACAGUGAUCGAAGCUGUUAUAAACAGAAAAAUGCUAACAUAUUAUUAUCACCUUGUAUCAUGUUGAGCAAGGUGUAUAUCCUUAUGUGAAUGUGUGUUAUUACAAAAGAAUGAUAUUUUAUCUUGGUGUAUGAACAUGCAUCAGUUAAUAAAUGGAUUUUGAUAUAGAUAUACAUAUGAAAUAUAAAGGAUAACACGAUUGUUAUAAUCAAUGUACAUCCAUUUUACUUAAACAAUUGAACGAACUACGUUGAAUAUAGAUUACGUACGUUACCAUUACUACCCUUGUUUUGAUAAACUAUAAUUGGUAUUGUUUAUGAUUCAUCACUUAACACACUCGUACAAAAAGGGUACAUUCAUACAAAAAGGUUCUACACUCACGCACACUACACGUAAACUUUUUAACUUAAGUGGUGAAACAUUCACUCCCCGUACGUCCGAGUACGGGAUCCAAAUUCCUCUGAGUUAUAACCAAAAUCUCUUGUAGGGAGAGCGUAAUAAUUGUGUAUAGAUCUAUAUUGGGGUUGACAUCCCACACCUCGCUGCUAGCUACAGCCGGACCGGCAGGUCUGUGGGUGACAAGAGUCAUAGGAUCAGGAGGCCUGAAAGACGUUGUGCAGGUUACCUCUAGUCUUAGUAUGGUUAUAGCGAUUCAUAUAGAGAUUUAACAAUAAAUAGAGUUUACGGGAUUUUUAUAAAACAAAAAUGGGUUUAUGUCGAUUUAAAAAUCACUUUUUAUAUCAAUAAGUACGAAUAUUACUGUACACUUUCGGUCUUGGUAUUUAAGACUACACAUCACUCGAGAUUUAGAACUACAUACACAUAUUAAAGAAAAUAUUGGAUUUUCUGAAUACAUAUUCUAUCGCUUUUAUAAGGAAAACGGUUUACUUCUCUAAAGAAAUCUCUUAUGAACUCACCAACCUUCGUGUUGCCACUUUUUCAAACAACUUGUAUUCUCAGGGAAUCACCAAACAGGUAACCAAGUACUUUUGAGGAUGGGACGUUAAGGCGUCAAACUUUUCAUAUUUUUUCAACAUAUUGUAAUUGAUUUUGAAACAUGUAAUUCAUACAGUGAUGUAACUCUUUCAAUUAUAUAUAUGUUGGUUGUGUUUGCUUAAAUUACUAUUGUAAUGGUGGUUAUGAUACUAUACAUGAAGUCCUCCACCCCCGGACGUUUCCGCCAUCUUUGGUUUGGGGGUGUGACACCAGCACACUAACAUGGACUAGUGAGGAUGGCAAAAGGUUUAAACAUAAUCAUUACGACAUCCCUCUUCAUAAUUGUUUAGAUAGACAUGUGAGCUAUUUAAGGAAAGGUGUAUGAUUUUGAUAAAGUUUUAUCAAAGAUCUUGUAUUAGAAAUUUGAACUUUGGUAAGAAAGUCAAUAAAGUAUUGAUUUCUAGAAGUCCAGCUAAUUUAUGGGUACAUGUCAAAGCUAGUCGGAGCAUAAGUGUUAUGACAGUUAAAUUAUAAUUAUCAUGUUAGUGGGAGCAUGAUUAUUAUGUUAAUUGUUGCAAGUUAGCAAUGUUAGUUAUAGAAAAACAAAAGUUUCAAUUAAUUCACUUUGAAAAGUUGUUUUGCUAUAAUUAAGGGAGAGGAUUUUAUACUUCAUUCCAAUUCUACAAGCUUAGAUUGAGAUUUUAAUCAACUUUAGUCAAGGAUAUAUAUGAAUGUUAUGUUGGAAUGGUUUAACAUAAGGAAAUUCUAUAUAUGUUGCGUUCUCAAAUUUUGAUUAUGAUUACGACAUCCCUCUUCAUAGUUCGAAUUAUGAGAACAUGGCAAAUAAUUUUUUUUUUAGCAAAAGACUGAUAAAGUAUCAUGUCUUUAUGUAAGACAUCAUGAAUUGUGNGCCAUCAGGACUACUACAACAUCCGGAUAUACCUGAGUGGAAGUGGGAGCGGAUAACCAUGGAUUUCAUAACCAAGCUACCUAAGACAUCGAGUGGGCUUGACACCAUAUGGGUAAUCGUAGACAGAUUGACCAAGUCUGCGCACUUCCUACCAAUAAAGGAAACCGACAAGAUGGAAAUGUUAACCAGGACAUACAUCAAGGAGAUUGUGCGACUGCAUGGUGUACCAAUAUCCAUUAUCUCUGACCGAGAUAGUAGAUUCACCUCGCGAUUUUGACAGUCCUUACAGAAAUCUCUGGGAACUAGGCUAGAUAUGAGUACGACCUAUCAUCCGCAAACCGACGGGCAGAGCGAGCGCACCAUACAGACGUUAGAAGACAUGUUGAGAGCCUGUGUGAUAGACUUUGGUAAGGCGUGGGAUACUCAUUUACUGCUUAUCGAAUUUUCCUAUAAUAACAACUAUCACACUAGCAUUGGAGUUGCUCCAUUCGAAGCUCUCUACAGUCGCAAGUGUAGAUCACCUCUGUGUUGGGCCGAAGUGGGGGAUACUCAGCUAGCUAGGGGGCAAGUCCCUGAUAGCACCCUUACCGGGCCUGAAAUCAUAAGGGAGACCACAAAAAAGAUUGUUCAAAUUUGGGAAAGACUGAAGGCGUCUCGUGAUCGACAAAAGAGUUACGGAAACAAGCAACGCAAACCCUUGGAAUUCCUAGUCGGAGAUCGAGUACUAAUAAAAGUUUCCCCUUGGAAAGGAAUGAUACGCUUUGGUAAGCGUGGGAAACUAAACCUGAGGUACAUCGGGCCAUUUGAAAUCCUUGCCAGGAUUGGUCCUGUGGCGUACAAACUCCGAUUACCACAAGAACUUAAUAACGUACACCCUACCUUCCACGUAUUAAACUUGAAAAAGUUCCUAUCGGAUGAGACACUUGUAAUACCUCUCGAUGAAAUUGAAGUUAACGACAAUCUCCACUUCGUGGAAGAACCAGUCGAAGUCAUGGAUCGAGAGAUCAAGCGAACAAAACAGAGUCGUAUUCCUAUUGUAAAGGUUCGCUGGAACGCUAAACGGGGACCUGCAUUCACCUGGGAACGCGAAGAUCAAAUGAAACAAAAAUACCCACAUCUUUUUUCCUAACUCUUAAAGUCCCAGUCAAAACGUAAAUUUCGGGAUGAAAUUCCCUUUAACGGGGGGAUGAUGUGACAAUAGUCAAAUCCGGGUCAAGUCGAAGUCAAACAAAGUCAAUAAGCUAAACCGGACGACUCAAUUAGCUCUUGUGUAUUAGGGUUUACGUGGUGUAUUUACUAAACAAUCCGUUAUUUUAAUGAGAAAGCAUCAUUUGAAAAAUCCAUGUGAUGUAAUUCUUCCUAAGCCUUAAAUGCGGUAAACAAUGAACCAAAGUGAUAAAACACAAAUGAACACUCAUCGGGAGUGUGUAAGACAUUAAAACAUGGCUUAAUGAGGUUUACGGACCUUGCGUUGCGAAGUCGGACACUAAAAAAGGACACACACGAAACCUCUCUCAAUCAUUUUCACUCUAUCUCUUUCUAUUUGAAAUCUCUCCCAAAUCUCUCUCAAUGGUUCUCGUAACUUUUUGAAGUCAUUCGGGUCAUUCCGACCUUUAACCGGGUCAAAAACCACUUAAAAGAGGGUUAAAACGAGUAAAAUACCCUAAAAGAACCGAAAAACCCUUUAUAGGGCCGAAACCUCUUAGGGCCGAACUCCUUGGACUGAAAGCAGCAAAGAACCGAACCCUCUUGGCCGAACCAGAAGGAUGCUCUUGGAACCAAACCUCGCACACACCCGAACCCGAAGUUACUGUUCAUUUCGGUUCAUUUUGCUCUCUCGGCCUAUUUCGCUUCGGCUGCGCUCGGACCGAACCUACCUUCGCUUCUUGGCGUUUCUCUCCUUACUGUUUUGCUUUGUUUCGCCUCUCGGCCAACCUCAGGAGGACCGAACCUCUGGCUAGGACCGAGAGGUCUCGCUGGAAGACCAAUUCUUUUCGGUUUUCGACUGCGACUUCAUUUUAGCUUCGUUUUUCAUGAUUUUAACUCGGGAUUUUCACUCAAACUCGUAUUUUAACAUAAUAAACCCUAAAUAUUCAUAAUUUAAUCAUAUUUUCAUGAAAAUCCUUAUUUAAAUAAUAAAAUCUAGUGGGUGAAUAAUUGAUGUGGAGUGUUGGUUUUGCUUUACCUUAUGACACAAGCAACCACCCCCAUACCCACUCUAUGACCAGCCACACCUUCCCACCUUACCUAGGUCACUUCAAUGUCCUUUCCACUCAUUUACCAGCCCUCCCCAUGUUCUUAGAGCUGGAACAACCCAUCUUCUCUCAUCACUUCUCUCAUUUGCUCUCAUUUCACUAAGGAUCCAACUCCACUUUUCCUCUUAAACUUUCUCCCUCAAAUUCGAGAUUCAAGGCUGAUUAUCAAGCUUUCACACACUCUUGGUAAGUAUAAUUCAUCCUCCUUGUGAUUAUUGCACUUCAUUCUACUCAAAUCAUUGAUUUCUUACACAAAUUCCAUCACUUCGAUGUUAGAUUCUCGAAAAUCUUCAAGGCAUCUUCAAGUGUUCUUGGGUUGAUCACUUCCAUUUUUCAACAACCAUCUACUGAAAUCACAUAAGGUGAGUUCAUAACCCUACAUUUUCAUAUUUUAUUAUGUUUUAAGGAGGAUAAUACAAGUCAAAUCAUCAAGAACACAACUAAAUAUUUCUAACAACUUACAUCAGAAAAGUUGGACUCCAUUCACGGACUGGUUUGGUCAACUAAAACAUUUUUGUUUUCAAAACUAUACCAGGUUCAAGUAGUUAAAGUUCUUAUCUUUAAAAUGACUACUUGCACAUCUCCAUACGAUUUUUCUACUAUGUAUGGUGAUUUUUUCAAAACUGCCUAUCACUUCAAGAACCAAACCGGACCAGUAUGUGUUUAUGGACGUUUUCACGUAAGUUGGAGGUCACUAAGAAUCAUGGAAAAAUUUAUGAACAAACUAGAUUCAUUAAACCAACUCCCAGAAUUUACGGAUUUUGAUUUGGAUCUUUUAUUUAGUUUUUAUAAGUUUCCUAAUAACAGUGAUCGAAGCUGUUAUAAACAGAAAAAUGCUAACAUAUUAUUAUCACCUUGUAUCAUGUUGAGCAAGGUGUAUAUCCUUAUGUGAAUGUGUGUUAUUACAAAAGAAUGAUAUUUUAUCUUGGUGUAUGAACAUGCAUCAGUUAAUAAAUGGAUUUUGAUAUAGAUAUACAUAUGAAAUAUAAAGGAUAACACGAUUGUUAUAAUCAAUGUACAUCCAUUUUACUUAAACAAUUGAACGAACUACGUUGAAUAUAGAUUACGUACGUUACCAUUACUACCCUUGUUUUGAUAAACUAUAAUUGGUAUUGUUUAUGAUUCAUCACUUAACACACUCGUACAAAAAGGGUACAUUCAUACAAAAAGGUUCUACACUCACGCACACUACACGUAAACUUUUUAACUUAAGUGGUGAAACAUUCACUCCCCGUACGUCCGAGUACGGGAUCCAAAUUCCUCUGAGUUAUAACCAAAAUCUCUUGUAGGGAGAGCGUAAUAAUUGUGUAUAGAUCUAUAUUGGGGUUGACAUCCCACACCUCGCUGCUAGCUACAGCCGGACCGGCAGGUCUGUGGGUGACAAGAGUCAUAGGAUCAGGAGGCCUGAAAGACGUUGUGCAGGUUACCUCUAGUCUUAGUAUGGUUAUAGCGAUUCAUAUAGAGAUUUAACAAUAAAUAGAGUUUACGGGAUUUUUAUAAAACAAAAAUGGGUUUAUGUCGAUUUAAAAAUCACUUUUUAUAUCAAUAAGUACGAAUAUUACUGUACACUUUCGGUCUUGGUAUUUAAGACUACACAUCACUCGAGAUUUAGAACUACAUACACAUAUUAAAGAAAAUAUUGGAUUUUCUGAAUACAUAUUCUAUCGCUUUUAUAAGGAAAACGGUUUACUUCUCUAAAGAAAUCUCUUAUGAACUCACCAACCUUCGUGUUGCCACUUUUUCAAACAACUUGUAUUCUCAGGGAAUCACCAAACAGGUAACCAAGUACUUUUGAGGAUGGGACGUUAAGGCGUCAAACUUUUCAUAUUUUUUCAACAUAUUGUAAUUGAUUUUGAAACAUGUAAUUCAUACAGUGAUGUAACUCUUUCAAUUAUAUAUAUGUUGGUUGUGUUUGCUUAAAUUACUAUUGUAAUGGUGGUUAUGAUACUAUACAUGAAGUCCUCCACCCCCGGACGUUUCCGCCAUCUUUGGUUUGGGGGUGUGACACCAGCACACUAACAUGGACUAGUGAGGAUGGCAAAAGGUUUAAACAUAAUCAUUACGACAUCCCUCUUCAUAAUUGUUUAGAUAGACAUGUGAGCUAUUUAAGGAAAGGUGUAUGAUUUUGAUAAAGUUUUAUCAAAGAUCUUGUAUUAGAAAUUUGAACUUUGGUAAGAAAGUCAAUAAAGUAUUGAUUUCUAGAAGUCCAGCUAAUUUAUGGGUACAUGUCAAAGCUAGUCGGAGCAUAAGUGUUAUGACAGUUAAAUUAUAAUUAUCAUGUUAGUGGGAGCAUGAUUAUUAUGUUAAUUGUUGCAAGUUAGCAAUGUUAGUUAUAGAAAAACAAAAGUUUCAAUUAAUUCACUUUGAAAAGUUGUUUUGCUAUAAUUAAGGGAGAGGAUUUUAUACUUCAUUCCAAUUCUACAAGCUUAGAUUGAGAUUUUAAUCAACUUUAGUCAAGGAUAUAUAUGAAUGUUAUGUUGGAAUGGUUUAACAUAAGGAAAUUCUAUAUAUGUUGCGUUCUCAAAUUUUGAUUAUGAUUACGACAUCCCUCUUCAUAGUUCGAAUUAUGAGAACAUGGCAAAUAAUUUUUUUUUUAGCAAAAGACUGAUAAAGUAUCAUGUCUUUAUGUAAGACAUCAUGAAUUGUGUCACAUAUGCUUUGUGUAUAGGAUCCAUGUGUUAUAAUAUUCAUCCGUUCAAAAUUUUUCCAAAUGCCUAGGGCGUUAAGAGGGAAAAAGGACUAGAACUGGAUAUGACUAAAAUGAUUAAGCAACCGUCGAGGACAAUCUGAGGUUUACCAAAGAUUGGUUGCUCAUGGACAAUAGGAAGUAUAUAGUUAGGACCAUAUUGAAAUAUUCUAAAAACAGGCAACUCUUGUUCAAAAGUGAUAGUCAAAAUGGGAAUAUGACCAUAUUGACAUAUUCUGAAAAGAGGCAACUCUUGUUCAGAAGUGAUAGUCAAAAUGGGAAUAUGGAAAUAUUUCCAUAGGUGGAAGUUAUUCUUUGAAUCUAUGUAAGAUUAGAAAACUUAAUGCAAGAAAGAUGUUCAAAGGAAUGUACUUUGAAUGUGAGACUUCGUUUCCAUGAUUUAUGUGACAACCUGAAAUUUAUUCCGUCGCUGUAACCUGUUUCCGUUAAUAAAACCCGUUUGUAUUUCAAUUUUUCCGUUAACUUUUGGAUUAAGUUAAUUAAUUUGAGACUUUUAUUAUGACUUCAUUAGUGUUCAAACGCACGUGAAACACCCUCGAUAUUCUUUCUAAAAGUUUCUGAUUCACGACCACGUCGGGUUAUGACAACUUAAUCGGGUACGACCAUAAGCCCCGUUUAACGUCGGUAUCGAGUAGAUUUCCAAUGGGCCACAAACUCAAACCCUAUAUAAGGGUGAUUGGACCUUCAUUUGAAGCUUUUUCACUCUCUUAACACUCUCUCUCACUACUCUCUCUCUACAAGCCAAAUUUUGAUCCAAAACCACCCCUUUCAAGCUUCAAAUUGGUAAGUGAUCUAUCCUAGCUUAUAGUUUAGCUUGUUUAGCAUACAAAUCCGUGUUUAAAUCAUUCAAAAGUAUCAAAAACUUGUGUUUAUAGCCCAGGAACAACCCCAAACCGCAAACACCCAUAAAUGGGGUUUUGAAGCCCCAAAACCCUUCCAAAUCACUUUUGGUGCUUAGCUAUGACUUAGGGACUUACAUGUACGAGCUUAGAACACCAAAAACUUGUUAUUUGGGGAGUAAACAUGAGUUUACAUCCCAAGAUCAUUCUUGUACCGUAAACCAUCCUUCAUAGGCCGUAAACACCAUUUAAGGUGUUAAAUUUCCCCUUAAACACCUCAUAUGGCUUGGAAUAAUGUCUAGAACCAACCACCAUUGAAGUAGGGACCUUAAACAUCAAGGAAAUAAUGACCUUAGGCGAUUACAGCCGUAAACCCCCCAAGGAAUGGUCGCUUGUCCGUAAACUCCUCUAAAGAGGUCAAAUGGUGCCCUAACUUAAUUCCAUGGCUUGUAUAUUGGAAUAGAAUCAUAUGUGCUUAACCUAGGACCAUCAAAACACAAAAGGAAAGGGAAAGUAAGAGUUUAUGGCCGUAAACUCUAUGUUUACAGCCGUGAACUCCCCAAAAUGGUCCAUUUGAUUAUUUAAUCACUUCCUAUGCCCUAGAAUUGAACCUAGCCCAAUUCCACAAGUGUUGUAAAACCUUUAAACAUCUAAGAACACACCACCCAUGAUUUUAUGGCUGUAAACUCAUGGGGAUAUGGUAUGUGGGCCGUAAUCUCUUCUAAGAGUUUACUCUUGAAGAGUAAACUCCAUAUCUAGGCCCUACACCCCCUUAAAUGCAACUCGUAUAACUCCUAACAAUUGAAAUAAAGUGUUUCCGCAUCUCGGAGUGUAUUAUCUUACUUAAUUAGUAGUUAAAAGUCUAAUUAGAUACAAUUAUGUAUCUCUUCAUAUUACAUAGGAACCUAGCGCGCGUUCAAGCCCUAAACUGACACUUAGCAUCCUAACCGGGACAUUUCUUGACUUGUGAGUUCAUACCCCUACACCAUUUUCCGUGUUUUUCAUGUUUUCAAGGGGGAAUACAAGUAAAAGUACAAGGAAAUCUUGUACUCAAAACUAUUAUUUCGUAUGAAAUGUUUCAUAUUCCGUAUGCUUUUAACAUUGAAAACCGUAUUAACCGACCGUUUAACUUGUAGAGUUAAUUUUCAAACUAAUUGUGAAACUAAUUAUAAAAUGUUAUAUUUUAUAUUUCACAAAUGAUUUUCCACAUCAUUACUUGUAAAAUCAUUAAUCUUAGAACUGGAAAUACGUCCUUGGUAACACUCCCCCUAGAUACGAGAGUGAAGGACCAAUAACAUAAAUCUUAUAACUGGAAACAUGUCCUUGGUAACACUCCCCCUAGAUACGAGAGUGAAGGAUCAAUAACAUAAAUCUUAGAACUAGAAACAUGUCCUUAGUAACACUCCCCUUGGAUACGAGAGUGAAGGAUUACUAAAAUAGGAUUUUCCAUAUGAUUUCUUUUAAAAUUUCAUUAAUCUUAUAAUUGGAGACACGUCCUUGGUAACACUCCGCCUUGAUAUGAGAGUGUAGGACUAAUCCUGUAACGAGAAUCUCCUGGAGGGAGAACGUGACCUGAGUGUAUAGAUCUAUACGGGAUUGACUAUCCCGCACCUGGCUGCUAGCUACAGUGGGACUGACUGGUCCAUAGGUGACAAAGUCAUAAAAUGAUACUGGUCCUGUUACGAGCCUUAUCUAGUUUAAUGUAUGGUUAUGGAACUCGCAACUUAGAUUAUGGAAAUUACUUCAGUAAUUAGUUUAGUGCCUACUUAUUAGUUUUAUAUAUGUGUUAAAGCUAAUGAAAUUUUCAAGGAUAACCAGGUUUUCAGAAUAUUCCACUUAAACGCUACAAGUUUGGUAGAUACUUGUACACUGCAUUCCAAAUCGAUAACCAACCACCAAAUUUUAAGGAAAAUAAGGGUUUUUCCUGGGAUAACUUAACUGUUCUUGACCAGGCUGUGUAACAAAUGGAUAACUAAACUUUUCUUAUAAGAAAAUAUGAGAUUUUCCUGGAUAGCAACUUUUUCAGAAAACCAAAGGAAAUUUGUUCUUUUACAGAAACAAACUGCAUAUGAACUCACCAGCUUUAUAUUGAUAUUUUUAAAAAUGCUUGUAUUCUCAGGUUCUCGUUAAACAUGUAUCCUGCGUUCUUUUGGAGAAGACGGUGCAUAUAGAAGUCUUGUCUUUACUUUUGUUAUACUGAUGUAUAUGUAAAACAUGUAUUACUUCGCUUUCAAACAAAUGUAAAUAUUUCUAUGUAAUGUAAUGUUUUGUGUUUAAUAUGCUUGCUAUGUACAUUGGUUGUGAUACUUUACAUGAUGUCCUCCUCCCCGGAACGUUUCCGCCAUCGGUUUCGGGGUGUGAUAGAUUGGUAUCAGAGCCCUUGUUUAUAGUGAACUAAGUACACCGAACCUUACAUGGUAUAUAACUAUAAACACUAAGGGGCCGAAAGUGCUCUGAACUAAAAUUAUACUUUAAAAUACAAGUAUUUUUCAAAAGUAUACAAGAAACCUAAAUGCCACAACCCGUAACCACGAGUAGAACAAAACAUAAGUAAUUGGGUGUUGUACACUGCAGUUAAACCUGGGCAAUUAUGUAGUCGUGUCUAGGGUCAAUAUAGCCUGAUCAACUAUAUUCAUUCGAGACACGACCAACAUGUGCUUGGGAGUAACUGUGGUGUGCAGCAGGCCUAAAACUUACCAAAUAUACAAACAAUGAGUCAUCGUCACAGCGAACCAUAAAAUACUAUAGGAGUAUUUUAGCCAAAGCCGAAUACGUUGUAGAAAUUCAUUCCAUGUGUUGCUACUCAUUCUUUCCUUAGUGAUAGUUUACCUGAUUUGGUAACUCUUUCCUGUUUUAUCGCUUAGUAGAACACUAUAUCUGCCAUAAUGAGUUAUCUCUUGUUUCAUAUCUCUUGAUUCUAUUUAGAGGACUUACCAUCCUCUCUUUCCUUAUCAUUUUAGAUCAAGAUGCCUCCAAAGAAAAGACCCAGCUCAAAGAAUAACAAUCGUCCUCCACCACCUCCCUCUCCAUUUGAUCCUGCCAUGUUCCUAGUAGUUGUUACUGCUGCUGUGGCUGCUGCCAUGUCACAAAUGAACCCCGGUGGUUCAGGCGGGCCAGGAGGUGGUACUCAGCCCCAAAACCAGGAAGGUAGUCAGGGACACCGGAAGGAGUGUUCCUACAAAGACUUUAUGAACGCGAAACCCACACCCUUCAAUGGAACUGGAGGUGUUAUUGCUCUAACUUGAUGGUUUAAGAAAAUUGAGUCUAUUUUCGAAAUCGAUGUCUGUUCUGAAUUUGACAAGGUGAAGUUCGCCGCCUGCACUUUCACCGAUAAAGCCCUGACUUGGUGGAAUGGCCGAGUCAAAUCCUUAACCCUGCCUGUAGCCAAUGCUAUGGGUUGGGAGAGCAUGAAGGAGCUUUUACUUGUUGAAUACUGCCCGCAGGGCGAAAUGCAGAAGCUAGAGCAUGAACUCUGGAAUUUAAAGAUGAAGGGUUCCGAUGUUGCCGCUUACACCUCCAGAUUUGAAGACCUGGUGCUUCUUUGUCCGGGAAUGGUUACCCUGGAAAGUAAAAAGAUUGAAAGGUUCAUCUGGGGGAUGACCCAGCCAACCAAGGGCAAUGUUUUGGCUGCGAAGCCAAACACAUUCGACAACACUAAUUGCCUGGCGCAAACCCUGAUCGACCAUGGAGAUGACCUUGAGGAAGCGGCCACCACUCCUGAACUGACAAAAAGGAGUGGUGAGAAAAGAAAAAUUUUGAAGCAGAAGAAGGGUCAGUCUUCGUAGGAGCCCACAAAGAAGUAGCAAACUAUGGCAGUCCACGCUGCUACUACCCCUGUUACUGUUUCUGUCGUCGCUUCUUCUGCUCAAGCACCCACCAGUAGGUAUGUUGGUACCCUCCCUAGGUGCAACAAGUGAAACUAUCAUCAUCUCACUUCCAGACCAUGCCGUGAGAUGCUCUGCAACAGCUGUGGCAAAAAGGGCCACACUGCGGGAAACUGCAAAGCACCAGUCCGACCAACCAAUCAAGCUUCCGGAGCGGGUGUUGGUCAGGCCUGCUACGGUUGCGGUGAAGUCGGGCAUUUCAAGCGAAACUGCCCCAAGGCAGCAAGAACUGGCAACACCGGGAGACUUCUAACUAUGGGACGAGAUGAGGCAGUCGCCAAUCCCACCGUUGUCUAGGGUACGCUCCUUCUCGACAACUCUUAUGCUUGCUUCCUUUUCGAUUCUGGUGCUAAACGAAGUUUUGUUAGCCAUUCAUUCAAACAUCUUCUUAAACAAAAUCCCCAACCAUUAACCGAAACUUUUACUGUUGAAAUGACUAACGGUGACAAAGAGAACACUAACGAUAUAUUCAUAGGUUGUACCCUUACCCUGGAUGAUCAUUCUUUUCCCAUUAGUCUAAUGUCAGUUUCCAUAAAGAGCUUUGAUGUUAUCAUUGGCAUGGAUUGGUUAAGUCCCAAUCAUGCUGAUAUUCUUUGUUACGAAAAGCCAUCCGUCUCAAUCUCCCCUCUGGGCAGACUCUCAUAAUCUACGGUGAUAAACUUAGUUCCAAUCUUCGCAUCAUUUCAUGCAUCAAGGCUCAAAAACUUCUAUGAAAGUAGUGUUACGCAUUCCUAGCUCAUGUAAUCAACGAGAAACAGGAAGUUAAAGACCUCGAGAGCAUCCCCGAAGUCUACAACUUUCCUGAUGUGUUUCCCGAAGAGCUCCUGGGAAUUCCUCCUGAACGCCAAGUCGAGUUUCGCAUCGACCUAAUUCCUGGAGUAAAUCCUGUAGCCAAGUCUCCGCAUCGCUUAGCUCCAGCAGAAAUGCAGGAGUUAUCCAGUCAGCUUAAUGAGCUACUUGGUAAAGGGUUCAUCAGACGGAGUUCCUCACCUUGGGGGCCUCGGUAUUAUUUGUAAAGAAGAAAGAUGGAUCCUUUCGGAUGUGUAUAGACUACCGUGAGCUGAAUAAGUUGACCAUCAAAAACCGUUAUCCUCUUCCUCGAAUAGAUGACCUUUUCGAUCAACUUCAAGGAGCCAGUUACUUUUCAAAGAUAGACCUUAGAUUAGGGUACCAUCAGCUAAGAGUUCACGAGAAUGAUGUUUCCAAGACAGCAUUCAGGACCCAAUAUGGUCACUAGGAGUUCAUAGUGAUGCCCUUCGGUCUAACCAACACACGGGUAGUGUUCAUGGAUCUGAUGAACCCGGUGUGUCGCCCUUUUCUGCACAAGUUCGUUAUCGUAUUCAUUAACGACAUACUUGUCUAUUCCCGAAGCGAAGAAGAUCACAAACAACACUUGAGGUUAGUGUUGGAAACUCUUAGAACGGAGAAGCUAUACGCGAAAUUCUCCAAGUGAGAAUUCUGGAUUCGGAAGGUAACAUUCCCUGGUCACGUGAUAAGUGAGGAAGGCAUACACAUGGACCCUUCCAAAAUCAAGGCAAUAGAGAAUUGGUCGGCACCGAAGACACCCACAGAAAUCCUUCAAUUCUUGGGUCUCGCCGGCAAUUAUCGCGGAUUCAUUCAGAAUUUUUCCAGAAUCGCCAAACCCCUAACCACUCUGACACAGAAAGGUGUACCCUUUUGUUGGAGUGAAAAGCAAGACACUGUAUUCCAAACGUUGAAGCCAACCUUCUGCAGCGCACCUAUCCUGUCCCUGCCCGAAGGGACAAAGGAUUUCGUUGUCUAUUGCGAUGCGUCCAAUCAGGGCUUAGGCUGUGUGCUUAUGCAGAGAGGAAAAUUUAUUGCUUAUGCCUCGAGACAGCUGAAGGCACAUGAAAUUAACUACAUAACUCACGACCUGGAGUUAGGAGUAGUGGUCUUCGCACUGAAGAUUUGGAGACAUUAUCUCUACGUAACCAAGUGCACGAUCUUCACCGACCAUAAAAGUCUACAACAGAUCUUCAAUUAGAAGGACUUAAAUAGGAGGCAACGGCGAUGGGUAGAGCUACUCAAUGAUUACGAGUGGGAAAUCCGCUACCAUCUCGGCAAGGCCAAUAUGGUAGCAGAUGCCCUUAGCCGAAAGGAAAGAUCAAGCAACAAGGCGAAGACAUUGACAAUGACCAUCCAUUCCCACUUAUCCGCACAAAUCCGAGAAGCCCAGUUGUAAGCCCUAAAACCAGAGAACGUGUUGAAUGAAGCCUUGAAAGGAAUGGAUAAGAAACUUGAGAUCAGAGGUGACGGAGUUUACUAUUUCAUGGAUCGAAUAUGGACCCCAAAGUUCGGAGGUUUUAGGGAAGUUAUUAUGAACGACGCUCAUAAGACCAAAUACUUUAUGCACCCGGGUUCGAAUAAGAUGUACCUGGAUCUCAAGAAACUAUACUGGAGGCCAAACAUGAAAGCCGAAAUCGCUACCUUCGUGGGCAAGUGUCUGAAUUGCGCCAAGGUAAAAGUCGAGUAUCAGAAGCCCUCGGGUCUUCUCCAACAGCCCAAGAUACCUGAGUGGAAAUGGGAGAUGAUUACUAUGGAUUUCAUCACCAAGUUACCCAAAUCUCUGAGUGGGUACGAUACCAUUUGGGUAAUUAUCGACCUAUUGACAAAAUCCGCUCACUUCCUACCGAUUAAAGAGUCAUUCAAGAUGGAAAGAUUUACGCGAAUCUACAUCCAAGAGAUAGUCCGACUACAUGGUGUGCCUGUGUCCAUUAUCUCCGAUCGAGAUAGCAAGUUUACCUCAAGAUUUUGGCAGUCCCUACAGAAAGCUCUUGGAACUAAGCUGGAUAUGAGUAUAACUUAUCAUCCUCAAUCAUAUGGGUAGAGUGAGAGAACUAUCAAGACCCAGGAAGACAUGCUUAGAGCAUGUGUCAUUGAUUUCGGAAAGUCGUGGGACACUCAUUUACCCUUGAUCGAGUUCUCGUAUAACAACAGCUACCACACCAGCAUCAAGGCUACCCCGUUCGAAGCCCUCUACGGUCGCAAGUGCAGAUCCGCUCUGUGCUGGGCCGAGGAAGGGGACACGCAGCUAGCCAAGAGUCGAGUCCCCGACAGUGCUCUCACUGGUCCUGAAAUCAUCCGUGAAACCACCGAGAAGAUCAUCCAAAUCCGAGAACGACUGAAAGCUUCACGAGACAAACGAAAGAGUUACACUGAUAAACGACGGAAACCCUUGGAAUUCCAGGUAGGAGAUCGUCUCCUGUUGAAGGUCUCGCCCUGGAAAGGCAUGAUACGCUUUGGAAAGCGUGGAAAACUUAACCCAAGGUACAUAGGACCUUUCGAGAUCCUCGCUUGAAUCGGUCCCGUAGCCUAUAAACUCCGACUACCUCAAGAGCUUAGCAACAUCCAUCCUAUCUUCCUCGUCUCAAAUCUUAAAAAGUGUCUAUCCGAUGAAACCCUCAUGAUCCUUCUUGAUGAGAUCAAGAUCAACGAAAACCUGAACUUUGUGGAAGAACCAAUCAAAAUCAUGGACCGAUAGAUCAAACAUAUGAAACAAGGUCGUAUCCCGAUAGUGAAGGUUCGCUAGAAUGCCAAGCAGUGACCCGAAUUCACUUGGGAACGCGAAGACUCGAUGAAACAGAAAUAUCCGCAUCUCUUUCCAAUUCCAUGAUUUUUAUCUUAAUUCUAAAUUUCGGGAUGAAAUUCCCUCUAACGGGGGAUAAUGUGACAACCUGAAAUUUAUUCCGUCACUAUAACCCGUUUCCGUUAAUAAAACCUGUUUGUAUUUCAAUUUUUCCGUUAACUUUUGGAUUAAGUUAAUUAAAUUGAGACUUUUAUUAUGACUUCAUGAGUGUUCAAACGCACGUGAAACACCCUCGAUAUUCUUUCUAAAAGUUUCUGAUUCACGACCACGUCGGGUUACGACAACUUAAUCGGGUACGACCAUAAGCCCCGUUUAACGUCGGUAUCGAGUAGAUUUCCAAUGGGCCACAAACUCAAACCCUAUAUAAGGGUGAGUGGACCUUCAUUUGAAGCUUUUUCACUCUCUUAACACUCUCUCUCACUACUCUCUCUCUACAAGCCAAAUUUUGAUCCAAAACCACCCCUUUCAAGCUUCAAAUUGGUAAGUGAUCUAUCCUAGCUUAUAGUUUAGCUUGUUUAGCAUACAAAUCCGUGUUUAAAUCAUUCAAAAGUAUCAAAAACUUGUGUUUAUAGCCCAGGAACAACCCCAAACCGCAAACACCCAUAAAUGGGGUUUUGAAGCCCCAAAACCCUUCCAAAUCACUUUUGGUGCUUAGCUAUGACUUAGGGACUUACAUGUACGAGCUUAGAACACCAAAAACUUGUUAUUUGGGGAGUAAACAUGAGUUUACGCCCCAAGAUAAUUCUUAGACCGUAAACCCUCCUUCAUAGGCCGUAAACACCAUUUAAGGUGUUAAAUUUCCUCUUAAACACCUCCUAUGCCUUGGAAUAAUGUCUAGAACCAACCACCAUCGAAGUAGGGACCUUAAACAUCAAGGAAACAAUGACCUUUGGAGAUUACGGCCGUAAAUCCCCAAAGAAUGGUCCCUUGGCCGUAAACUCCUCUAAAGAGGUCAAAUGGUGCCCUAAUUUCCUUCCAUGGCUUGUAUAUUGGACUAGAAUCAUAUAUGCUUAACCUAGGACCAUCAAAACACAAAAGGAAAGGGAAAGUAAGAGUUUACAGCCGUAAACUCUAUGUUUACAGCCGUAAACUCCCCAAAAUGGUGCAUUUGAUGAUUUAAUCACUUCCUAUGCCCUAGAAUUGAACCUAGCCUAAAUCCAGAAGUGUUGUAAGACCUUUAAACAUCCAAGAACACAUCACCCAUGAGUUUACAGCCGUAAAUUGAUGGGGAUAUGGUCUAUGGGCCGUAAUCUCUUCUAAGAGUUUACUCUUGAAGAGUAAACUCCAUAUCUAGGCCCUACACCCCCUUAAAUGCAACCCGUAUCACGAAUAACACUUGAAUUAAAGUUUUUCCGCGUCUCGGAGUGUAUUAUCUUACUUAGUUAGUAGUUCAAAGUCUAAUUAGAUACAAUUAUGUAUCUCUUCAUAUUACAUAGGAACCUCACGCAUGUUCAAGCCCUAAACUGACACUUAGCAUCCUAACCGACACAUUUCUCGACUGGUGAGUUGUUACCCCUACACCAUUUUCCGUGCUUUUCAUGUUUUCAAGGGGGAAUACAAGCAAAAGUAUAAGAAAAUCUUGUACUCAAACUAUUAUUUCGUAUGAAAUGUUUCAUAUUCUGUAUGCUUUUAACACUGAAAACCGUAUUAACCGACCGUUUAACUUGUAGAGUUAAUUUUCAAACUAAUUGUGAAACUCAUUAUAAAAUGUUAUGUUUUAUAUUUCACAAAUGAUUUUCCACAUCAUUACUUGUAAAAUCAUUAAUCUUAGAACUGGAAAUACAUCCUUGGUAACACUCCCCCUAGAUACGAGAGUGAAGGACCAAUAACAUAAAAUCUUAGAACUAGAAACAUGUCCUUGGUAACACUCCCCUAGAUACGAGAGUGAAGGACCAAUAACAUAAAUCUUAGAACUGGAAACAUGUCCUUGGUAACACUCCCCCUGGACACGAGAGUGAAGGACUAAUAAAAUAGGAUUUUCCGUAUGAUUUCUUUUAAAAUUUCAUUAAUCUUAAGAUUGGAGACACGUGUUGGGUUUUGAGUAUUCUAACACUCCUAAGUGUACACAUGCAACCCUAAAUACCUUGGAUCUAUGUUUUUUCUAUUAUACAUGCAAAUAUGAACAUCCAAGGUAUUAUCCUAAUGUAGCAUAUAAAACAAUGAAUAUAACAAGAUAGAAUACAUACCUCUUUGGUGUAGAAUGUUCUCAAGAAGCUUGAGUGCCUAGUGCCCCAAGUGUGACACCUCAAAUGGUUCACACAACAUCAAUUGCUUUUGGAAUAACCUUGAGAGAAAUAUAGAACACUUGAAAUCGGCUAGCCCUUCACUUCUUUACCAUAGUGGCCGAUUUUUCCCAAGAAAAUGAUNUGUUACAAUUAGGGUAAACCCUAAUUGUCAUGGCUUUCCAUUUCCUUGGAUCCAUGGGUUCAAAUACACCAUGGAGCAUCCAUGGAGCAUCAUAUGGGUUUUAGCCCAACUUGAUAAUCCAUAGAGCAUUAGCCCACUAUACAAGUAUGGAUGAUUUACACAAUCAACCCAUAUAUUUAAUUAGUCUUCUUUUGAUCACUUAAUUAAUUCUAGAUUAACUCUUGAUCAAUACUAAUUAAAUAAUCCUAUUAAUAUAUUAGAACUUAUAAUAUAUUAAUCAACCUUAAGUGUUAUUUCUCUCAUUAUAGUCUAUCCAAAUGCAUGAUGCCAUGCAACCCAAAUGGACCAUGCCGGGUCGGGUCAAGUCUUACCAAUUAUAGUUAUGGACUUAGACAUUAAUCCAACAACACGUCCUUGGUAACGCUCCCCCUUGAUACGAGAGUGUAGGACUAUCCUUGUAACCAAAAUCUCCUGGAGGGAGGACGUGACCUGAGUGUAUAGAUCUAUACGGGAUUGACUAUCCCGCACCUGGAUGCUAGCUACAGUGGGACCGACUGGUCCACAGGUGACAAAUGUCAUAAAAUGAUAUUGGCCCCAUUACAAGCCUUAUCUAGUUUAUUGUAUGGUUAUGGAACUCGCAAUUUAGAUUAUGGAAAUUGCUUCAGUAAUUAGUUUACUGCCUACUUAUUAGUUUUAUAUACGUGUUAAAGCUAAUGAAAUUUUCAAGGAUAACCAGGCUUUCAAGAUAUUCCACUUAAACGCUACAAGUAUGGUAGAUACUUGUACACUGUAUUCCGAAUCGAUAACCAACCACCAAGUUUUAAGGAAAAUAAGGGUUUUUCCUGGGAUAACUUAACUGUUCUUAACCAGGCUAUGUAACAAAUGCAUAACUAAACUUUUCUUAUAAGAAAAUAUGGGAUUUUCUUAGAUAGCAUCUUUUUUAGAAAACCAAAGGAAAUUUGUUCUUUUAUAGAAACAAACCGCUUAUGAACUCACCAGCUUUAUGCUGAUAUUUUUAAAACUGCUUGUAUUCUCAGGUUCUCGUUAGACAUGUAUCCCACGUUCUUUUGAAGAAAACGGUGCAUAUAGAAGUCUCGUCUAUACUUUUGUUAUACUGAUGUAUAUGUAAAACAUGUAUUACUUCGCUUUCAAAAAAUGUAAAUAUUUCUAUGUAAUGUAAUGUUUUGUGUUUACUAUGCUUGCUAUGUAUAUUGGUUGUGAUACUUUACAUGACGUCCUCCGCCCCGGAACGCUUCCGCCAUCGGUUUCGAGGUGUGAUAGAAAUGCUCUCCAUUGGAAUACUUUGUAAUGUCUAUUGUCAAUUCUCUGUGAUUUUUGUGUAUAGUCAUUACAAGUGGAUCAUUGCAUAUACAUUUAGAAUCUAGAAGAUUACAGUAAAUGGCAAGAAUUUGGUAUUCUUACAUUUACGGUAAGGAUUUGGAAUUGUUAAAUGAGCAUCAUUGAAAUGUUGUCAAUUAAUCUAUUUCCCAAAGAAAGGACCAUAGGUAAACAUAGUGUGCAUGCUUGGAGCAUGGAAUAAUUAUUGUUUUAAUUGAUGUAUUAAGUAGAUUAGUCGAAACAUUAUACAAUGAAUAAUGAGUAAACAAUAUGGUUCAAAAGUUUUGGGGCCAUAUAGGAUUCGUAUUAUUCUUGUGUUUCACUUUGCAUGUUUUGACUUCCCGAAUAACUAGGUUAUUCAAACCAUCCAUAUUCGAUCAUACUGUGGAAGCAGGUAUUGAGGCAAGACUAUCAUGAAUGGGUCUGUAGUUUGUAUAGGUGUUCUUAGACAUAGUUGCAAUAUUCAUGAGUCCUCCUAGAAUAAUAUUCGAGUAUUGGAUUCAACCCACGCUCAUUUGAAUCACUUCAUGGAUUUUAUCACAAGUGAAUCAUUCGAUGAUAAUAUCUUAUAUUCUUCAAAACAAGACAUGUGAGUUGUAUUUUUACAAAUCGGACGCACAUUGACGUAUGUAAACGUACCAGUAACUUGGUGUUAUAAAACAUAUUGUUGUGUGUGAUUUGAUGAGUAAGUGCAAGCAAGCAUUUGAGUCAAAUUUUAUCCAUUCUUUUUACCCUUGGAUGGAUAAAAGCGAUAUAUGUGGGCUCCUCGAUGAUUUAGUUUUUACAAACCUAAGUGCUUGGCCAAGCCUGGACUAAUUUGAUUUGUUCAAUUAGUCGGCCAUCAUAAAUCAGGAAUCGGAAAACAAUAGAUGGAAAAAGAGAAUGAUUAAAAUCCAUGUAUCAGUCCAUAUGAUAUCUAUAAUGGAGGAAUAUAUGAUCCCUUUUCUAAUGGACAUGUGAUUCACUGGGUCAGAGUUCGACAGCGGCUUUAAGAGCUAUGAUUGCUAGUCGGGUUGUAGAGUCAUACUUGCAACAAUAGUUAUUACACUUAUCCAAGUUGAUGAGUUGAAUCAAAAUAUGGCUUAAUGAUUCCAAUAUAGUCAUACCUCAACAGAGCUCGAUAAAGAACUUCCAUUGUAGAGGUGAGCUAGGGUUUUACAAUACACUUGAUAAGAAUAAUUAUGAAAGCAUUAAUGAUAAGAAUGCAUGCAUUCACUUAUAUACUAAACCCUAUAAGAAUAAACACAUGGCUGGACAGGCCCAAACCGGUGACAAAACUGGACUUAUAACCGAGCCCAAGACGCAACACAAUAGACCCGAUAAUCUCCCCCUUUGUGUCAAUUGGGGUGAGACUUCACUUCAGUUGAUUUGCAGUGGUUCGCUUGAUAACCUUGAACAACUUCGGUAUGAUGGCAAGCAAGACUUGGUGAAAAUCAAUGUACCACCGAAGCAUAUCAGUGAAGUAUUUCUUGUCAGCAUCACUAUUCUGCUUGCACUUGUGAAUGAUGUCCAGAACGUGCUCCAAGCAGGUUAUAGAGAAAAUAUGCUUGUCAAUGAGAGCGAACAAGCACUUUUUAUCUUCACCUCUAGUGAACACGACAAAGUUGAGCUUUGGAUCAAUCUUCCCCAUCUUCAUCUUAUUAAGAUCACUUGACGACCCAAUGGGUAAAACUAUAGGCCUCUUUAGAAGAACAAAAGCAACUUCUUGAUCCAUCUUCGCUACUUCAAGAAUGUAGCAAACAAGCAUCCUUUUGAUGUGAUCAAUGAUAGGCUCAAAUUCUUGAGGAUUGGUGAGCAGAAUAUUGUAUAGUAAGAUCCAGUCAUGAGGGUUUAGGUUUGGAAGCUCAGCAACGUAAAUGAUGUGCUCAGAGUUAGCCAAACCUCGAGUCACCUUGAAUCUAAUGUUGAUGAACUUCCCUUCUGCAACAGGCUUCAACACUUUGACUGUUGAGAUCUUCUGUGCACUUCAUGUUUGAUACUGGGGCUGAGUGAAGGCAAGAUAAAACUCAAUUAGAUCUCUGUCUACCUUUGGAUCAGGAUAUGGAAUCUCAACAAUGGGUUCGAAGCUGUGGAAGAUGAAUGCCUUUUGGGUGAUUAGCAUGUCAAAUUGUGAGUCUCUGGAAUUAUCACAGUCAAGGGAGAUGACCGGUUCAAGCCAGUGAGUGCUUGGAGAAUCGAUUGCUUCCUUGAUAAGAUUAUCCAACGACGAAAAGAGGAAAAAGAGUUUUCCUGCUUUCCAGAAGGUCGUGAGCUUCAUUCAUCUUUCUUUCUUUUUCUUCAGCUUCUCUCACAGCUUUAGCACUUAAAUCAAGUUCCCUGUCUCGUUGUUUCCUUUUUAGGGCAUCAACAAUGGUUUUUUCUUCUUCAUCACUUUCUUUUAUGUGACCUUUGCCUUUGCCUUCGCACUUGAACCCGAAGCUACAUUACCCUUCGGUUCAGUGGUAACUUUCCACAGUUUAGACUGGCAUGUUGGAGGAGGCUGAGUUUUGCUUUUAGGACCUUCUCCCCCUUGUUUCGGAGGGACAACCGUCUCUGAAACACCCUCUAUGCGGCUUAGAACUUCCAGAGCAGGGCCAAGCUUUUUGGCUAGAUGCCUUCUGCCUGAGAGAGUAAAUAUGGAGUCGUGAGCGUCCAGAAUGUUGGAAAGAAUGGCAUGAACAUCACUAACACAACUUCUCACGACAUCCCUCUCAGAGUGAAGAUUAUUGAGAUCCUUGUUCGCCUAAGCGAGUUGUAAGGACUUCGUUUUUAGUUAAGUUGUCUUGAGAGCCAGUUCAUCCAUGAUUGUGCUUUCCAUUGCCAGAUCCUCCUGAAGCUUUGUGAGACGACUACUAAUUGAGGAUUGCAACUCAGUGUUGUCAGCUUGAAUGCUUUGUCACAUGGAGGCGAAGUGCUGCCUUUCGGUCUCAAGCGAUGCAGCAAGCUUUUAAACAGUGGCAUUAACUUUAUUGGCAUUCUGCUCUGUAGCACCCUGUAAAGACUCAAGAAAGAGAUUAGCAUUAUGAAUUAGUUUAUCGACUUUUUCAGUCACUUCGGUGCAAACUUUGGUCAAAGCAUCGAUGGCUAAGGUAGCUUUUGAUAUCAAAGCUUCAUGCUCUUUUACGAAGGUGGCCAUCAUGCCUUGCAUAGCAGACUCAGAAAAAGAACCCUGAGUGGAUGAAGAGGCCAUAAGCUUGUCCAGCUUUUCAUUCACCUCCUUGAGGUGCCUCUUUCUGAUGGCAGUGUCAUCCUCAUCAUCACUUUGAACUCUGUAAGGGUUAUAGUAAAAGGUAUCAAACUCAACACCUUCACCACCGAGAACAGUGUUGGUUACGGUUGGUUGGGUAUGAGAGAGAGGUUUUGUUAUGACAGGGGUUUCGAUAGGUUUGGUGGUACUGGUUGUGGUUGCUUCAGAGAAAAUAGGAGUUGGGAUAAGAAUAAUAGUAGUAAGUUGAGAUGAAACCAUAGUUGGUAUAGGUGCCUUGGUAAUGGGAAUAGAUAUAGGUGGAGGAUAAGGUUGUUGGGAGCGAACAGGUACCUAAUUAGUAGGAAAAGGUGGAGGAGUACCCCCUCGGACCGAAAUCUCAUCGUAUGAACUUGCGCUUUCGGUUUCAAUUUCACUUUCACUUGGAGGAUGAACAGGUAGAUGACCAGUAGGAACAUAAUCUGAGUCAAUUAUAGAUGGGCUCCUGGGAUUCUUGACCACCUUUUUGACCUUCUUCGACUUAGGCUGAGAGGGAGCUGCUUUUUCUUGCUUUCACUUCUUUGGAGUAGCAGCUUUGGACGAAGGACGCUCUUUGUUUCCUUUCUUUGGAUCAACCUUUUUUCCCCUCUUGGCUAGUCUGUCUCCAUCCUCGAUGGAUCGAAUCAUUUCUGGAGUAAGUUCCCUUGGUCCUGAUGACGGAAGCUUCUUGUAUUCCUGAAUCACCUUGCUUUCUCUGGAGACACAUGCAUACAUUGACUCAGGAAUGGAGCCAUUGAAGGGAAACUUGGAUGGAUCGGUGACAAUAAUCUUGGUGGUGUGAAAAUUAGCGAUGGAGGAGAGCAACGAGUCUGCCAUAAUUGGUAUGUGAAAUUGCUCCACUACCCAUUGAGUGAUAAUGGUCUAGAACCUGCCACAGGAGAUUUCUGAAUAGUGAGAUAUUGAUCAAAGACUCUGAACCAGCUGAAGCUAGAGAACCGACCCGUAAUCUAAAUUGAUGCCGGUGUAUAACCCAUAGAGCAAGGUCAUGAAUGACUUACUAGCACCAUCUGACCCUGCACUAUGCUCCGAUAGACCUUUAAAAAGUAGGGUGAAGAGGCCAUUCCAUUGAGGAGGAAGGCAAGAUUUCUUGACUUUAGUCACUGUGGUGAGAACUUCCGUAUACCCCAUAUUGUAGAACAUUGAGAAGAUUUGAGUGGUGUUGAUGGAGUCAGGGUUGAUCUUGGAGGCUUCGUAAGAAAGCCCUAGCAGUGAGCAAAAUCGAUUCUUGGAAAUCGACGUCUUCUGAUUAAGAACAUUAAUGAAGACCCUUUCUUUGGCUUUGUCAUAAGUAGCAGUGGAGUAAAUCUGAGAUAGAAAUGACAUGGGAACACAUUCCACCUUCGUCAAAGCAAUCACGAGUGGGGAAUACUUGAGACAUUCCACCACUUGAAGCAUAUAUGGAUCAUACGAAAACGGUGUAAGAUCAAUCAGUAGGUUUUUGUUAGGCUUGAUUGUGAGAAGAGUGGAUCGAGCCGAGGCCUCUUGAACAGAUGAAGAUUCUGCCAUUGAAGGAGCUUGAUGAAAAAGAUGAUGAAUAGUGUAGAGAAAUCGCCUUUUGUGCUUGAGAGUUGUUGAGAGUGGUAAAGGGUAAAAUGAUGGUAAUCGAUAUCCUUAUAUACGAUUUUGAAGUGAGAGAAAAAUCUUUUGCAAUGAUUCCUCCUUUUUAUGGAACGACGCCUAAAAAGGUGGGAUGUGACAACUGGCAACCCUGAAAAAGGUGUCAGAUGACGCAUGAUAUGGGUAACCAUUUCAAAUUCACGCGCCUUUCCAUACUUAUCCCCUUUUCAAAUUUUCAAUCGAUUUAACUUCAUGUUGACUCACUCCUUUUUUCUUUUAAACGAAUCGACACCACCAUAGUAAACCGAAACCAUAUCCCUGAGGAUAGCUUAUUAGGAACCGAGCCAGACUUUCGAAAAUUAAAGAGACUUUCGUGCAAGGAUGGUGUCAAAGAUAAAGAAAUAAAGCAAAUAAUUUGUGAGAUAUAUGUGAUUUCUAGGAAGACAUAAAACAGUGGAUCCCAAGCACGAUUCUCUUCCUUCAAAGUCAAGAGAGACUUCAAAGUGCUUGUUUGGUUUCCCGUUGAAGUAUGAUCCAAUACCUUUUAAGAGACAUUGAAAGGCUUAUUUUAUAUAUAAGGCUAUUAAGGGUGGCUUUAGCUUCAAUCCAAGCUUUGGUUCUUGAUAUAAGAUCGAAAGUGAAUGAAGUACUUGUGAGACCGGUGUAGCCUAUUAAACAAGUAGGUAUGGAAUAUUUUCAGUGACUUGUUGAUAAAACUUUGAAAUCUCAAAAAUAAAAAUUAAACUGGAUCUUGGGAAGAAAAGCCUUGGUGUUAGACAUUUUCAUAAGGACAUCUCAAAAUGAAAAGAGAUUUCAAGGUACUUCCAUAAAAUGUGGUUUUGUUAAUUCGUUGGUGAAAACUUGAAUGUUUGAUUGUUCACCGUCAAUUCAUGAUAGGUAUUGAAUGUUGGGUUUCACUUAGUACGUAGUAACACGAAACUAAGAUCAUUAACACAAAUAUUGUGUAACCAUAAACCUCAGUGGUAAGUGCUGAGAGUCUCAAGGGUUACGUUCAUGGAACGAAGUAUGAUGGAGAAAAGUAUUGAGGUGGUGUAAAGAACCGAAAGUACCUCUGCUGUAAUGAGAUGACCAAGCAGAAAACUCUUAACUCAAUUGGGAAGAGAUGAUUUGUAUAUAUCAAGUCAUUAAGGCUUCACUCAAAAUCUUUGGAGGCUUGGGUCAACAUGCAACAACAUGCUUCUAGGGACACUUAGCUAGUACAAAGAUUAAGAAUUAUUCCUGCCCCAACUCCAUCAUAAGAAGUAAUCCGUAUACCUUUAUUAGACUUGAGAACCAAACUAUUUUUGAUAUUUUUGUGAAUUUUCGAAAAACAUUGAAGAUAGAAGAAAAAUAUUUAUGAAUUUUUGUAUUGAUUUUUCUGAAAAGAAAUAAAAAUAGAAAAGAAAAUAUUUUUGGUUUUUAUAAAUUUUUUUGAAAAAGAAUUAAAAACAGAAAAGAAAAUAUUUUUGGAUUUUAUGAAAUUUUUUGAAAAAGAAUUAGAAACAUAACAUAAAAUAUUUUUGAAUUUUAAAUGGAUUUUUCUGAAAAAUAAAUAAAAAACAGAAAAGAAAAUAUUUUUGAAUUUUAUGAAAAAUAUAUGAAAAACAUAAAGUAUAUUACAAGAAAAAUAAUGUACAAAAGAUACAAUUGAAACAUCACCAUGAGAUAAGAGGCGAAAUGGACCGAGCGUUAUGUUCAUUUCGGUUCUUGGAAAAACCAAACCCAAAAUAGACCGAGCAUUCGCUCUAUUUCGCUUCCAACAUUUAAUGAGGCCAAAGCGAUUUCGGUACAAAUUCAGCUUCCAUCAUUCCUAAGCCUUGUAGGAUAUUGGGGUACAAAGUUAUUCAUAAAUGACUUUGUAAAUGUUUGACUUUUGUAAAACCCACUUACAUGUGGUGCAUUAGCCUUUGUACUCAUGAGAUGGAGAGUGAGAGAGAGACAUGUUAACUCUUCUAUAUAAGUGGGUUUAGUCCACUUAUAGAAGUGUGCUUAAGAGGUGUAAAAGUUGAGUGUGUAAGUGUGUGUUAUUUAUGUAGACUAGAUCUAGAUCCUUUUUUUGUAACACCAUACAUAUUCUAAGACAUCUCUUGAACACCGAAAUCACCAUGUUCAUUGUGAAAUCUUUAAUUCUGCAUGCCAAACCAUGUUCAUAAUUCCUCAUCAAUUGGUAUCAAAGCGGGUCUUCGAAGAUCAACAUGACUUUUGAAGAACGUUUCUCGGUUUGGCUAAAUUUGUCACAAUUGGAGCAUUUUUUGUGAUUCUCUCUCUAUAAUCUCUCUUAAUCUUGUUGAUUCGUGCGUUACGUUCUUAAAUUUUUGAUCGUUUUGAUUCAUUGGAUCUAAUUCGUUUCAAACCCCAUUGAUGAUCCAAUAAAAUUUUGUUUAGAUCAAGCAUAAAACCAAAUUUCAUUACUGUUCAUCAAUUAAUGUUGAGCCCAAAUUGUUUCGAAUUUUGUUAGCUGCUCGUGAUUCAUUUGUUAAAAAGUCUAAUCCAAAACUUUGAUCCAAACAAUUUGAGCCCACAUAGAUUAGUUACUGUUCAUCUAAUCAUAUUAAAGCCCAAAUUCUAGCCUAAAUCAAAAUUUGAUGUUGAUCUUCGUCUUAAGAGUUCACGACUUCUGAUUUGUUGAUUGAGAUCGCAUUUGGUAGCAAAUUCAAGUUCAUCACAAAAUCGUUGAGCUAAUCUUGAUCAAAUUUUUACUAUAAAGCAGAUUAGUUCGAUUUUACUCUUGAUUUCACAGUUUCAUAAUCGUUAUGUUUUUACUGAUUCAUAAUCAUUGAGUUCACGACAUCUUUGAUUAUACUCAUUUUCAAAUCUUCUUUUCUAUGAUAUUCAUAUGAUCAGUGUUUAUAUUCGUUUUUUUAAUCGAUCUUUUUCUUAUAUCAAUUUAGUUUUUUAAACCAAAGUUGAUUCAGAUCAUGGAGUAGAUGUGAGAAAUUGGGAAUUUUAGUUUAAUAUUCAAUGAUUCUUGUGAUGAACGAUCAAGAACAUGAUGAAGAACAGCUGGAGUAUGUUACAAUUUCUAUUGAUAACAGGUAUUUGAUCCAAAAACAGAUUAAAGAUCGAUAGAUUUGGUGUUCAUCGGGGUCAACCAAAAAGUCAAAAUCAAAUCAACAUUAGAAAUCUAGUGGUUGAUGGUUCUGAUAUUGUUUGAUAAGAGUGGUGUGUUAACGAAAGAAAUUUGAUGUCGAGUGGCUGGAUUCGAUUUUGGAUCUUCGAUUCUCAAUUAAUGGUCGAGGGUACGAAUGUCCAUGAAUGAAUAAUUAAUAUGAGGCUAUGUGAUUUUGAUAGGAGAAGUAAAAUCGAAGACUUGAUCUCAAUUGAUUUCGAUUGUUUGCAAUAGUAACCAAUUUCGAAGGUUUGGUGUGUGUGGAAUUCAACAACGAAGGCUGAUUUGGUAUCGUUUUGGGAUUCGAUUGUUGAUUUUGAUUUAGAAACAAACUGUAAAGGCUUUGAUACUAGUGUCCAAAAGCAAGGCCAUGGUUUACUGGAAAUUGUUGUUGAUCGAAUUAGUUGUUGAUGACGAUUCGUGGUGAUGAAAAAGCGAAUGAAGAUUAGGAAUCUAAUUUCGGAGAUUUUUGUUCUUGGGUUAAUGUGCGAAAUAUUUGAUUUGCGAUGUUGAAUUAAUAGCAAAAAUGAAGUCUAUGAUGUUUCAUAUGAUUGGGAAUUCGAUUUUGGUGAUGAUCAGAUUUUGAUGAUUUUGGGAAGGCAUGUAUUAAUGAAAUCUUGAUUUAGUGGUUGGGUAAAUGAUUCAGACGAGAUUAAGAGGCUUCGAAUGCGUUUUUGUUAAAAUGGGUUAGGGAUUUGGUGAAUGAAUCUAACGAAGGGGAUAGAGAAAAUAGGCAGAUGUGGAUUUCGUACGAAAGAUGAAGGUGGAUUCGUACGAAUUAAAGAAGAAGGUGAAUUUUUGAAAAUGGUCCUUAAACUUUCGACACCUUUUCACAAAAUUUCGUACGAAUAAGAUAAAAGCUUCAUUAGUUUUGAAGGGAAAUAAAGAAGUUUCGAAAUCAGCCCCGGGAGUUUCGUAAGUAUGGCGGUUUUCGCCCAAAUUCGAAAAAGAACUGUUUUUGUUGAGAAUUUGAAGAAAAUGUGUUUCAGGCCCCUGCAGUUUAUGCAAAUUGACGCUUUCUACCCAGCUUUGGAAAAGUGGGAGAGUUUUGCAUUUUUGGCUAUUUUGGGCGCACCGGGUCACUACAGAAUUUUGAAAUUUACAAUUUCUACCCAUUUUUGAGAAAUUUUGUCAAAGGCGGUCCGUACACGAAGCUAAAAAUUUAAGAUUUUUUGGGUUUUCCGGAUUAAAGCACAAAGUUUAUGCACCAUGUUAAGGGGGAGUUUUGACACGAAAAAUUCCGUAUAGAGCACGUUCUCUUUCCUUAAAGGUUUUAUAAUCAAAUUUCGAUUAUAGAAAGGGGGAGAAAUUUAUAUGGAAAUUCGAACUUGAAUUUUUCAUAUUACGCGGAUUUGAAGAUUGAAGUGACCUUGAAUUUUUGAAGCUUACGGAAUGAUGCAAUUGAAAGUUCCGAUGUGAUUUAUUUUUGAAAUGGGUUUGGAUUUAUUGAAGAUUUUCGGGGAGUGUUUUUAUGCUCAACUUUUGGGUGAUAGAUUUGGAGUUUGAGAAGCUCGUGAUCAUUCGUUGAUGCUCGGUUUGUAUGGUCUCACAUCCUAGAGCCCAAAUUGAAGAAUAAUGGAAGAAUUGAAGGUUUGAAGUUCGUUUCGACAUGUGUCACUCUUGAGGCUCGGAUCGCGUAGUUGCUCGAGUUUGGAAGAUUUGAAGUGGGUCAUUCAUCCCGAAUUUUGAGGGGGGAGAAUGUUGGUGUACAAAUUUAUUCAUAAAUGACUUUGUAAAUGUUUGACUUUUAUAAAACCCACUUACAUGUGGUGCAAUAGCCUUUGGACUCAUGAGAUAGAGAGUGAGAGAGAGACAUGUUAACACUUCUAUAUAAGUGGGUUUAGUCCACUUAUAGAAGUGUGCUUGAGAGGUGUAAAAGUUGAGUGUGUAAGUGUGUGUUAUUUAUGUAGACUAGAUCUAGAUCCCUUUUUGUAACACCAUACAUAUUCUAAUACAUCUCUUGAAUACCGAAAUCACCAUGUUCAUUGUGCAAUCUUUAAUUCUGCAUGCCAAAACAUGUUCAUAAUUCCUCAUCAUAGGAUUUUCUUAAAACUUGCUUCAGGCAAGGCUUUAGGAAAAAUGUCAACUAAUUGAUCAGUGGUCCUUACAAAGUGAAUUUCGACAUUACCGUCUUCCACAUGAUCCUUGAUAAAAUGAUACCUCAGUGCUAUGUGUUUCGUUUUGGAGUGUUGCAUUGGGUUUUGAAAAAUCCUUAUUGCACUUUCAAAGUCAUAAUAUAAGUGAUUUUUCUUCAUGUUCAGGCCAUAGUCUCGAAGUUGACUUUGUAUCCAAAUGACCUGUGAUGUACAUGAAGCUGCAGCUAUAUACUCUGCUUUAGCUGUAGAAAGUGACACACAUGUUUGCUUCUUUGAUUGCCAACUAACAAGUUUCCCAUCUAGAAACUAGCAUCCUCCAGUCGUGCUCUUUUGGUCCAGUCGCCAUCCUCCUAGAUCAGCAUCAGAAAAUACUUAAACAAAGGAUUAUGAUUUCGUUAAGUACCAUAGACCGAGAGAUGAGGUUCACUUCAAAUAUCGAAAGAUAUUCUUCACAGCUAACAGGUGAAGUUCGCGUGGAUUAGCUUGAAACCUGGAACAAUAACAAACAGAAAACAUUAUGUCUGGUCGACUCACUGUUAGAUACAUCAGGGACCCUAUCAUUAACAAUAGAGGGUCAUGUCAGUAGCCGGUUUGUCCAGAGACGAUGUUAACUUCAUGCCAAACACCAUAGGAACAUUCACUUUUGAGUCUCCCAUCAUUCAAAAUUUGGCAAGCAAGGUCUUCGUGUAAGCCUCUUGAUUAAUAAAAAUGCCUUUGGGUCCCUUUCUAAUAUUUAAGCCAAGGAAAAAGUUAAUAGGACCCAUUGAGAUCAUUUCAAAUUUAGUCUCCAUCAACUUCCUGAAUUCAGCUGUUAAGCUAGGAUUCAAAGAACCGAAGAUGAUAUCAUGAAUAUAAAUUUGAAAAAUCAUAAGGUGGUCACCUUCUUUCUUACGAAAGAAGGUUGGGUCAACCAAACCUUGUUUAAACUUUGACAUUUUUAGAAAUCGAGUUAAUGUUUCAUUCCAAGCCCUUGGUGCUUGCUUGAGACCAUAGACUGCCUUGUCCAGAAUGUAACAGUGAUCUAGAUACUUCUCGUUCACAAACCCGAUGGUUGCUCGACGUACACCGUUUCUUCCAAUUCUCCAUUUAAGAAGGCACACUUCACGUCCAUUUGAUAUACUUUGAAGUUUUUAUGAGCAACAUAGGCCAGAAAGAUUCUCACGAAUUCUAGCCUUGUUAUUGGAGUGAAGGUCUCUCCGUAGUCUAUCCCUUCUUCUUGACAGUAUCCCUUGACAACCAGCAAAUAAAAUUCCCUUCUUUGUCCAUUUUGUUUUGAAACACCCAUUUUAGUCCAACUAUAGAAGCAUCCUUUAGUGUAAGAAUCAGUCUCCAUACCUUGUUUCGCUCAAACUCAUUGAGUUCGUCUUUCAUAGCUUGUACCCAAUCGGAGUGAUCGAGUGAAGUAUUGACACCCGGUUCAAUUUUGGAGGCAAAAGAAUUAAACAUACUAAAUUCCACUUGAGAGAAUAAUGCAGUUUGCUUCGCUUUGAGUUGAGAACGUGUAAGAACUCUUUCUGAUGAUUCACCAAUGAUUUAGGUUUUUGGAUGAUCCUUGGUUCAUUUGUGAAAGGAGGGUAAUUUGGAUCAUAGGAAAGAUCCUACUCAGCAUUUACUUCUUCUUCGAAUUCUGAUUGAGUAUCUUCAUCAUUUGUAUUUGCAUCCCCCCCCCCCUCAAAUGAUGAGUCAGUUUCGGCUACAGGCCUUGAGUUCUCCCCCUCGAUUAGACGUUCGAUUGAUAUGGUAGCUGAUGGGUUCUCCCCAUGAAAUGGUAAUUCAGGGUUAUUGGAUGAAGAUGAACCCUCCCCCUGAAAUGUAGAACUUUCUUUUGGAGGUUCACUUGGACUAGGCUAUUCGGCUGUUCCCGGUUGUUCUUUUUUCAUAUCCUUCGCUGCGUCAUCAAUGAUCUGCUUCAAGGUAUCAAUCUUAUUAUCAGUUGCCUUUGCUUCAGAGUGAAUGGCUUUCUUUGGUUCAUCGAAUAAUAGUAAGUAUUGCUCAAACAAAUUCGAGAUGGAAACUAUGACUUAACCAGACGUUGGAAAGAUUUCUUUAGUUGAACCUUCGGUUGUUUGAAGCUUCUUGAUGUAGUUGUCAUCGAAGGUGACAUAAUAGGUUUCUUCGAUUUUCUUGGAAUGUUUGUUCAGAACCCUAUAUGCCUUGAAGUUUAAUGAAAAGCCAAGAAAGAUCCCUUCGUCAGCUUUGACAUCAAACUUGUUUCAGUGCUCCUUGGAAUUGAAAACAAAGCAUUUGGAACCGAACACAUGGAAGAACAUGACAUUUGGCUUGCGAUUGUUCAAGAUUUCAUAUGGAGUAAUGGAAAACUCUUGUUGAGAAGAGAUCUAUUAUGAGUGUAGCAAGCAACAACAAUAGCAUCAACCUAUAAAUAUAGAGGUAAGGAAGCAAAAACUGAGCAUGGUUCGGGCUGCUUCACACAACGAGCGGUUUCGCCUUUCAAUGAUACCAUUUUUUUGUGGAGUGUAGGGAGCAGAAAAGUUGUGAGAAACUCCCUUUUCAGCAAGAAACUCUUCAAAUUCAUUGUUUUUGAACUCCAGCCCAUUGUCACUUCGAAUAUUUCUGACCAUCUUUCGCAGUUGAAGCUCGAUUUUCUUGAUAAAAACCUUGAGCUUUGGUGUAGCCUCUGAUUUCUGUUUAAGAAAGAAAAUCAAGGUGAAUCUUGAAAAAUCAUCUACUAUUACUAGUAUAUAUUUGUUACCACCAAUUUUUUCAAUAGCCGAAGGUCCACAUAAAUAGAUAUGCAGAAGCUCAAGUGGUUCGAUGAUCUUUGUGUUGACACGUGUUGGAUGACUCUUCCUGCUUUGUUUUCCCAUUUCACAUGCGGCACACAGAUGUUCCUUACCGAAUUUAAUAAGUGGAAGACCUUGAACAUGAUCACCAAGAACUAGCUUGUUGAUGUAUUUGAAGUUAAGAUGCGAUAGCCUUCGGUGCGACAACCAACUUUCGUCUAAAUGUGCGUUCAUUAGCAGACACACAACUGGCUUCCCUCGUAUUAGAUUGAGGUUCAGUGGAUACAUUUCACAUUUUCUUUUGGAUUUCAGCAGAACUGCCUUGAUUUUCUUCUCUAUAAUUUCUGACCCUCAUCAUCAAAUGAUACUUUCAGCCCUGCUCCUACUACAAGUUGAGAAAUGCUGGUGAGAUUGUGUUGUAACCCUUUCACGUAUGCUACUUUCCUGAUCGAGAAAUCACCAUUUAUGAUCAUUCCAUAUCCUUUUAUCGUGCCAAAAGAAUUGUUCCCAUACUUGACAUAGCCACCAUCCUUUAAAGCUCGAAACUCCCUAAGCUCUUCCAUUCUCCCUGUCAUGUGACAUGAGCAACCACUAUCAAUAUACCAUUCGUUGUCAAAAUGCUCGUCACGUAUAAUCUGCAAAAAUAAAGCUGAUUUAGGAACCCAAAGUUUCUCCGGUCCUUGUGAGCCUUUUACAGAACAGGGUAUUAUAAUAGAAGAAUCAACUAAGUAAGUUCGUUUAAUUAGGGUGGAUUCAUCUUUCCUUUUAAUUAUGAAAACUUUGAUUUUAUUAUCUUUAGUUUCUUUAACUUCAGAUAUUGGAAUCGUGUUUUUAUCGUUCACACUCUUUUGGUUAUGUUUCCUUGGGUUAACGGUCUUCUUUGACUUCGCUUCUCCUUCUGAGACUUGCUUCCCUUUUCCCUUUUCAUAUGCCUUUGAAUUGUGCUUAGAAUGAGACAGAUGAGGUUUUGAAGCGAAAUCUUGCUUUCGGUUCCUAUCGCUUGAGGAUGGUGAACCGAAACUACCCCUUCGAUUGUUGGGUUGAGAACCGAAGCCACUCUUUUGUUUUCUUUUGCUUCUAAGGUGGGGAAUGAAACUUCCCUUUCGGUUGGCCUGACUACAUGAAUGACAUUGAGCACAAGAAGCAGAUGGAUUCUUUGACACUCCUGUAUCCUUAGCUUUUGAACUCUUGUCUGAUCGAACGUAAUUUGGAUUUUGGGACUGCCAAAAUUGUUUUCUUUUAGUGAGAUUUUUCUUGUAUCUCCUAUUACACUGCUAUUUCUUUUCAGACAACUAUUUGGGAGUUUUAUGGAUGCUGACCUUCAGUUUCGGUCUUUCAUCAUGAGUUUCGCUCUUUAGCGAUGAGGUUUCGCUUGUCACCUUAACUGGUUCGCUUGGAAACUUUUUGGUACCACUUGAGCUUGGCACAUCAAACUUUGUAGGAUUGUUGAGUGGUUCAUCCACAUAUCUGCCUUUGACCUUCCAUGAUGUUUUCUCAUAUAGACCUACCGUUUCAUUAGCAUUGUCUAUUGGAGCUGACCAGAAAAACUCAUCACAUCCUUCAACAUUAUCUUCAUUUACUAAAGUAGUGAGUUCAGUUGUUUGCUUCUGUGUAAUGCUGGUAACGGUAUAAACUUGAUUUUGCGUUUGCACCUUUUAAUACACUACAACCUUUUCUUUGAGGACUUUUGUUUUAUCUUUGGACAAACGAGCGAACUCAACUGAAUUUUCAGAAAUGAUAUUUUUGAUGGGUUUGGGUUCGCUCUUGACAAAUUUUGAACAUUCCACCACAUCCUCUAUAGAUAUCUCACUCAUAUCAUCAUCCUCAUUAAAUCCAGAAGCAUUUUCAACAUCAAUUUUGUUUUCUGAACUCAACUUGGCAUUCAAUGAGUCAAAUUUCUGCACAGUUUCGGUCUUAAUUUUUAAUUUUUCAUUUUCAUCCAAUAGAUUCUUAAGCAUGUCCUUGUGGUCUUUGGACUUAAUGAAGGACUCAAUUUUUUCAAGACCAAUUUUAUAAGUAGGAGAAACUUCAUCAGACGAGGUAACAACUUCACAAUCAUAAACAUCAUCAUCAAAUUUGUCCUCCUUUAAUUCAAGGAAGGGAAGAAUCAUACUGUGAAUUUUCUUGCCUAUUUCACAAUCCAGAUGCAACUGAGCAAUAUUGGAAUAUAAACAUUUAGCAAUUAAACAAAAACAUUUCUCUAUUUUAAAAGCUUCAAAUUAUCCCUUUGCAAAUAAAUUGUCCCAUCCCUAAUUCUAGUUAACUCUUUCUCCUUUUGGUCAGUCCACAUUCGCCUCUCCUCACUCUUCACAGACACCCUGAUGAGUUGAUCAGUUAGGUUAGAAUUUGUGAGGUGGUUUUGGGUUAAACUACCACUUAAACUUGAAAAUUUAUAUCUUAAUCCGUUUAAUUCUUUUUCAUAGUUUAUGAUAGGGAUUUUUAAUGAUUCGAGAAUAGAUUGUACCAUCUUGAUCAACUGGUUACACUCAUUGAUCUGCUCACCACCUGGUCUAGCAGCAAAGCAUCCGUCUUCUCGUUCCUUCGCUUCAUCUUGACCCCCAUCCGUGGUGUAACCCCAUCUUGACCCCCAUCCAUGCUGUCACCAUCCAACAAUUUCCUUUAGCAGCGUGCGCAUCUUCAUUUGCCACGUAAGCCCUACCUUGUGUAGGCUUUCUCACUUUUUCAUCCCCUGAGUCAGUAGACUAGACUUCAACACCACCAAAUUCAUCAUCUGUAACAUUUUCCUGCACAAUAAGAACAUUCAUAGAGUUAUUUGCAGCAGCUUUCUUUUUCUUAAUCUCUUCUAGCUUUCUCAUGUGGUAGGCUUCAUCGUCUUUAUGCUCUUCCUUCCUCUCAGACGUCCUUUUCAACAUGCACUCUUUGGCAAGAUGGUUCUUGCCACCACAAUAACUACAAUCGUAACCAGAUUCAACACCAUGCUUUACCUCCUUCUUCGGUUCUUCAUUCUGAGAAACACUCUUCGGUUCCUCCUUCGCUUUCUCUGAACUGUAACUUCCUUUCCAGGUUUUGGUUCUUAGAGGUAGGAAACUUUCUUCGAAUAAACUUCUUUGGAUUAGAAACCAUCAAAGCAUAUUCUUCUUGGUUAGAUCAAAUUCAGAAAGAUCUAAAUCUUCUUCUUCUUCAACUGCAUUCUUUCCUUUGGAAAUAAGGGCCAAAGAACCCAUACUAGAAACCACAUUCGUUUCUUUAGUCACUGCACCCUCAUGUGACUUUAGUAUCCCCACUAGCUUCGCCAAAGAGUAAGCCUUGAAUUGUUCAUGGGCCUUUACAGUAGACACCACAACCAUCCAUUCGGGUCUAAGGCCAUUCAUGAAUGUGACCUUCUGCUUAUUGACUUUCCUUUCAAUGCCAUGCUUUAUCAUUUUGCUGAGAAGAUGAUUAAAGCGAUCAAAGGCUUGGAUAAGCUUCUCUUCAGGUUUUUGCUUGAAGUCUCUAAAUUCUGAAAGCAGUAAAGUUUGGAUUGAAUGCUUAAGAUCUUCGUCGGUAGAGUAUAACUCUUUCAACCUGUCCCAUAUCUCUUUUGCCAUCGUGCAAGAGUUGACCAACCAAAACGUAUCAGAUUGCAAUGCAAACAUGAUCAUCCUUAAAGCUUUGAUAUUACAUACAAGCUUGUCUUUCUCAUCUUGAGGAACAUCUUUCACAUCAGUCAGGAGUUGGUUAUACUUCUUUUGAGUCUUGAUAAUCCUAGAUGUGUUAGAGUGAGCGAAUGGACCAACAAUGAUCGCCUCCCAGAUCAAGUAACCAUUGUCUUCCGAACCGAUCACAUAAUCUUCAAAGUGAUGUGUCCAUACUUCGUAAUCUUGAGUAUAAAGAAUUAGGAUUCUGGUAGUCGAUCCAAUACUGUUGGAGAUGUUAAUAGGAUUUGAUUGAGAAUCUUCCAUGGACAUGAUGAUUUCGUUUAAAAACCUGCUAAAGAUUAGACUUUUAAAGAAAGUUAGGGUAAAAUCAAAAUCUAAGAACUACGAUAAUAGAAAGAUGACGACUCUAAUAGAGAUCAAUGUUAGCGGAAAACCCUAAAACCUUCUUUGAUAGAAGAGAUGCGUAUAGAUUACACAGUCUCCUACUCUAAUACCAAUUGAUGAAUUGAAAACACUCUUUAGAUUGUUUUAGAUCUUCAACAGGUUAACAGAGAACAAUCAAUCAAACAAUGUAAGCACGAGUUGAAUCAAAAUAUGGCUUAAUGUUUCCAAUAUAGUCACACCUCAGCAGAGCUCGAUAAAGAACUUCCACAUUAGAGGUGAGCUAGGGUUUUACAAUACACUUGAUAAGAAUAAUUAUGAAAGCGUUAAUGAUAAGAAUGCAUGCAUUCACCUUAUAUACUAAACCCUAUAAGAAUAAACACACGGCUGGACAGGCCCAAACCGGUGACAAAAAUGGACUUAUAGCCGAGCCCAAGACGCAACACAAUAGACCCAACACAAGUGGGAGACUGUUGGAUUAGAUAUCUAAGCCCACAACUAUAAUUGGUAUGUACUUGACCGAAGAGUAGCAUGGUCCAUUUGGGUUGCAUGGCAUCAGAACAAUUGGAUAGACAAAUGAAAAAAAGGAUGCUUAUGAUUUGUUAAUGUAUUAUAAGUUCUAAUAUGUUAAUAUGAAAUCAUAUUAUUUAAUUGGUAUUGAUCAAGAAUUAAUUUCGAAUUAAUUAUGUGAUCAAAAGAGACUAAUGAAAUAUAUGGGGAUUGAUUAUGUAAAUCAUUCAUUCGUAUAUAGUGGGUUUAUGUUGCAUAGUUCUUCAUGUUGGGCUAAACACAUAGAAUGAUCCAUGGAUACUCCAUGGAGGUUAAAACCCAUGGAUCAUGAAGAAUAUGAAAAGCCAUGCACAUUAGGGUUUUGAUGGUGUAACCCUACAUGUGGCACACUAUAUAAAGACCCCAUAGGCUAGAAAAAUCGGCACUAAGACUUAUCUAGAGGGCUAGCCGAAUUUUGGAGCACAAGUAUCUUCUACUCAAGUUAUUCCAAUUGUUGGUGGUGUUGUGUGAUUCCAUUUGAGGUGCAACACUUGGGGCACUAAGAACUUAAAGGUUCAAGACUUCAAGCUCCAUUAAAAGGUAGGUCAUCUAACUAGAAUUUUGUAGUAUAGUUGCUUCAUAACAUGCUAGUUAGGAUAAUGCUUUGGAAUUUUGAAUGUAUACAUGUAUAAUAGAGAAAACAUAAAUCCAAAGCACAUAGGGUUGCAUGUACACCAUAGGAAUGUUAGAAUGCUCAAAACCCAACAAAGUGGGUAUCGUAUGCCUUACCAAAAUCUAUUACACAAGCUCCGAACAUGUAUUCUAGGAUUUGAAUGGUCCUUUCACUCUGACCAUCAGUCUGAGGAUGGUAGGCGGUGCUCAUAUUGAGCUGAGUUCCCAAUGAUCUUUGAAGUGAUUGCCAAAAUGAAGAUGUAAAUCUACUAUCUCGGUCAGAGAUAAUAGACACCGGUAUGCCAUGUAGUUUUAUCAAUUCCUUUAUGUAAAUUCAGGUCAACUUCUCUAUUUUGUAUGUUUCCUUUAUUGGUAGGAAAUAGGCGGAUUUGGUCAACCGAUCGACAAUCACUCAAAUGGCAUCCAAUCCAUCAGCCGUCUUGGGUAAUUUGGUUAUGAAUUCCAUUGUAACCCUUUCCCAUUUCCACUUGGGUAUCUCUGGUUGUUGCAGUAAACCUGAGGGCUUAUCAUAUUCCACCUUAACUUUGGCAUAAGUCAGGUACUUUCCCAUGUUAGUUGCAAUCUCUGCUUUCAUAUUUGGCCACCAAUAGUGCUACUUGAGAUCUAAGUACAUCUUAUUAGAGCUGGGAUGGACAGAGUACCUUGUUUUGUGUGCUUCAUUCAUAACCACGUCCCGGAACCCUCCAAACUUCGAUGUCCAGAUCCGAUGCGCAAGGUAAUAGGCUUCGUCUUCUUUUAUGGUUAGGUUCUUAUCCAUCCCACGUAGUGCCUUGUUUACGAUGUUUUCUGGUUCCAAGGAUUUCAGCUGAGCCUCCUAGAUUUGUGAAGAUAAGUAGGAAUGAAUGGUCAUUUUUAGCGUUCUCACUUGGCAACCGGAGUAUUCCUUCCGACUCAGGGCGUUAGCCACCACAUUGGCUUUGACCAAAUGGUACCUGAUCUCACACUCAUAAUCAUUUAGCAAUUCGACCCAUCUCCACUGUUCUUUUUAGUUCAGGAUAUGCUGGAGACUUUUGUGGUCAGUAAAUAUGAUGCACUUUGUACCGUAGAGGUAGUGCCUCCAAAUUUUUAGGGCGAAGACCACUGCUCCCAGCUUGAGAUCGUGAGUGGUGUAGUUUACUUCGUGGGUCUUCAAUUGUCUGGAUGCGUAUGCUAUCAAUUUUCCACGCUGCAUAAGAACACAACCUGACCCUUGGUUCGAAGCAUCACAAUAUACUACGAAAUCCUCUAUUCCCUCUGAUGGAUUUUGAACAUUCUAACACGCCUAAGGUGUUCAUGCAACUUUAAAUACCUUGGAUCUAUGUUUUCACUAAUUAUACAUGCAAUGGUGUUUCCAAGGUAUUAAACCUAUAACUAGCAUACAAUCGUCGUAGAAUCUAGUUAGGAUGACAUACCUUAUGGUGAAGCUUGAAGUCUUGAUGUAUCUAGCCUUAAGAGCUUAUCCCCAAUAGUGUGGAUGUAACAACGUAAAAAUUCCAAUUUAAUUUUUUUUUCAUUUUUAAAUCAUGGAAUGUAAAUCAUAUCAUCAUUUCAAAACAUAACAACAGUGUUUUCAAUACAACUCCCAAGAUCUCUAUAACAUAAACUCCAUCGGUGUGGGUGUGUACGAGUCAAGCCUUCGCCUUCCCGCGAUCCUCGCUGAUACCUGAGACAUCAAACACAACAACUGUAAGCAUAAUUGCUUAGUGAGUUCCCCAAAAUACCACAUACCACAAAUACGCCACUCAAGGCUAAACCCGGCCCUCCGGUCAAGAUGUCUCGGCGGGACCCUCCAGUCCCGCAGCUCGUCGGACCCUCCGGUCCAGUCAUAGCUCGUCGAACCCUCCGGUCCAGUCAUAGCUCGUUGGGCCCUCCAGCCCGGUCAAUAUCGUUGGGCCCUCCGGCCCGGUCUAUAUAAUCACACAGCAUAAAUCACAUAGAAAUAAUGCAGUAAAGCACAUAGCAUACAUAGCAUACAAUACUCUGUCACAUAACUCUGGUUACCCACUCAAGGUAAAGUAUAGUGAGAAGACUCACCUUGAAUGUCUCGAUAAUUCGCGAACCCUGGAAAUCACUCGUGCUCGAACCUCCGAGCUAAUAUCCUCCUAUAACAUUUUUACCACUAAGGUUGACUAUCCCUAUCACUGGUCAACGGUCAACGGUCAAUUUGACCGGACUCGGCGAGUGCACUAGAGUGACUCGACGAGUCUACUCAUUUUUACCAACUCUCUAAGAUUCUCAUUUAACACGUCGAGUACUCCCCUGACUCGACGAGUUCCACCUGGUCAUGAAUCACGGGGCCACCGCGACUCAACUCGCCGAGUCGCAAGGACAACUCGACGAGUCCCAACUCGACUCGGUCCACCUGUCAAUCCCUCUCUAACUCUCUGUGACUCACUGAGUCACCCAUAACUCGGAAGGACUACUCACUGGGUGGUUUUAAGGACAAUCUUCAAGCUACUCGUCGAGUCUGUUCUUCAGACUCGGCGAGUCCAUGCCAUGCAUCAGCUAAAACUUGCUUCUGCUGUCAGAUCCGUUCCAUACACACAUAGAUCUGGCCUUCCCAAGCUUAUUUAUCACGUAAAGUCUCAGUCUUGGCCGCCAUGCAACACUUACAAGGCUGUUUUUGGGGAAAUAACCUCUAAUAUGGCAACCCUGGUCUCCAACUCAAAAGAAUGGACAUAAAGCAUAUCAUUUGGGGCCUUCUGGACCUGCUAAGGUCCAGAUCUAGGUUCCAUAUCUCCAUGGGACCUUUCACACUUCAAAUACAAGUCAAAUAAGGCAAGAAGAAACCUUAGAUUUGACAUAUCAACCAAAACACGAAGAUUAGCUCUGAAAGUUACCUCAAGAAGCUUCCCUUGACGAAAUAGAAGUAGAUCCAAGCUCCCCAACUCUUCUAGCUUGAUCUUCUCCUUCCUUUCUUGCAAUAACACACAAAUUGGUGAACAAAUAGCCUCUUAUCUCACUCACAAGGACUCUCAGCUGCUUUGGUGCACUCAAGGAUCAAGGUGGCCGCAAUGAAGGGCCAUAAGGUCCUUUAAAUAGGGCUUAGGACCGGAAAAUUAGGGUUUCAUUAAACAGUGCGGACUCGCCGAGUCCAUCCCUUGGACUCGCUGAGUCCAGACGCGAACCUUCGUCCAAAACCGCGACCCGACUCGGCGAGUUCGACCUCCAACUCACCGAGUCCCCUCACAAAAUACCAAAAAUAUGAAAUUAAAAGAUACCUGGAAAUCCGGGCUGUUACAAUUCUCCCCCACUAGAACUAGACUUCGCCCUCGAAGUCUCGCUCUGCAAAUAGCUCCGGAUGCUGCUCACGUAUCUCACGCUCCGGCUCCCAGGUCAUCUCUGAUCCCUUUCGAUGCUGCCACUGAACCAACACCAGGGGUACCUCCUUGUUCCUCAAAACCUUGAUCUUUCGAUCUNNNNNNNNNNNNNNNNNNNNNNNNNNNNNNNNNNNNNNNNNNNNNNNNNNNNNNNNNNNNNNNNNNNNNNNNNNNNNNNNNNNNNNNNNNNNNNNNNNNNNNNNNNNNNNNNNNNNNNNNNNNNNNNNNNNNNNNNNNNNNNNNNNNNNNNNNNNNNNNNNNNNNNNNNNNNNNNNNNNNNNNNNNNNNNNNNNNNNNNNNNNNNNNNNNNNNNNNNNNNNNNNNNNNNNNNNNNNNNNNNNNNNNNNNNNNNNNNNNNNNNNNNNNNNNNNNNNNNNNNNNCCUGAAACUCAAGCUCGGACCAGCGUCUGUCUGCAUAACUCUUCUGUCGGCUCUGAGCGGUCAACAACCUCUGCCUGACCAGCUGAAUAUGCUCGGUCUUCUGGAGUACGAUCUCCGUGCUACCCAUAACCCGCUGCCCUACCUCACCCUAAUAGAUGGGGGUGCGACACCUCCGCUCGUACAACAGCUCAAAGGGUGGCAUACCAAUGCUCGAAUGAUGGCUGCUGUUGUAGGAAAACUCUGCCAAGGGUAAAUAUGCAUCCCAGCUACCCCCGAAAUCCAACACACAUGCCCGGAGCAUGUCCUCGAGCGUCUGAAUCGUCCGCUCACUCUGACCGUCUGUCUGGGGAUGAUAUGCGGUACUAAAAUGCAACCUAGUACCCAACUCCUCAUGAAACUUCUUGCAGAACCUGGAAGUGAAACGCACAUCACGGUCUGAAACAAUCGAGAUCGGCACUCCAUGCCGCGAUACUACCUCCCUCACAUAUAAUUCCGCCAACUUCUCCGCAGAAGAGCUCUCACUGAUGGCUAGAAAAUGAGUGCUCUUCAUCAAUCUAUCCACGAUCAUCCAAAUCACAUCGACUCCUCUCGCAGUCCGCGGCAACUUGGUGAUGAAAUCCAUAGUAAUUUGUUCCCACUUCCAUUCGGGAAUAUCUAGCGGUUGCAGCUUACCGUACGGUCGCUGGUGCUUGGCCUUGACCUGCCGACAAGUCAAGCACCUCUCGACAAACCAUGCGACAUCCCUUUUCAUACAGGGCCACCAGUACUCCUUCCUUAGAUCCAAAUACAUUUUCGUAGCACCGGGAUGAAUCUAGAAUUUCGAUUGAUGUGUUUCCUCCAUCAAAAUAGUACGCGCACCACCCACAAACGGAACCCAAAUCCGACCCUGAAAAGUCAUAAGCCCUCGACCAUCCGUGACGAAUCCUGAUACCUGACCUACAACCCGCUCCCUCUUCUGAUGUUCUGGCUUCGCUGCCUCUGCCUGAGCUCCUCGAAUAAUAUCCAAAAUCGGGGUCAAUACCGUCAACCUCCUACAAAUAUCUCGGAUCGGGGCGCUUUCCGCCCUACGGCUCAACGCGUCGGCUACCACAUUAGCCUUGCCCGGGUGGUACAGGAUCUCACAAUCGUAAUCCUUCACCACAUCCAACCACCUCCUCUGUCGCAUAUUCAGAUUUGGCUGAUCCAUCAAGUACUUCAAGCUCUUGUGGUCCAUGUAUAUCGUACACCGAACCCCAUACAAAUAGUGUCGCCAGAUCUUGAGGGCGAAAACCACAGCCCCCAACUCCAGAUCAUGGGUGGGAUAUCUCAUCUCAUGAGGCUUCAACUGCCUCGAAGCAUACGCUAUCACAUGACCUCUCUGCAUAAGCACCGCCCCCAAACCCGAUAUAGAGGCAUCACAGUACACCAUAAAAUCCUCCAUCCCUUCCGGGAGUGCAAGCACCGGAGCCUCGCACAAUUUCUGACGACGCGUCUCGAAUGAGGACUGCUGCUCCGGUCCCCAUGAAAACGUAACACCCUUCCGGGUCAUCCUAGUAAGUGGCACGGCGAUCUUGGAGAAGUCCUUGAUAAACCUGCGAUAAUAUCCAGCCAAACCCAAAAAACUCCUGAUCUCGGUGGGCGAUCUCGGCACCUCCCACCUCAACACCGCCUCAAUCUUGGUAGGGUCGACCAAUAUCCCUUUCUGGUUAACAAGAUCCCUGAGGAACUGGACCUCUCGUUACCAGAAAUCACACUUGGAGAACUUGUCAUACUGUCUCUCCGAUCUCAAAACCCCAAGGAUUUUCCUCAAAUGUUCCUCAUGCUGCUCCUUAGAUCUUGAAUACACCAGAAUAUCAUCAAUGAAUACGAUCACCGACCGAUCCAGCAUCGGCCGGCACACCCGGUUCAUAAGAUCCAUGAACGCGACCGGGGCAUUGGUGAGCCCAAAAGGCAUCACCACAAACUCAUAAUGCCCAUAACGAGUCCUGAAAGCAGUCUUCUGGAUAUCCUCAUCCCGAACCCUCAUCUGAUGAUAACCCGACCUCAAGUUUAUCUUGGAGAACCAAGAUGCCCCCUGCAACUGGUCGAACAAAUCGUCGAUCCUAGGCAACGGAUACCGGUUCUUGACUGUCAACUUGUUCAACUCCUGGUAAUCGAUACACAUCCGGUGUGAACCAUCCUUUUUCUUGACGAACAAAAUCGGCGCUCCCCAAGGAGAGCUACUCGGUCGAAUAAACCCCUUCCCCAACAGCUCCUGAAGCUGCGACGAUAACUCCUGCAUUUCCGGAGGAGCUACGCGAUAUGGCGCCUUAGCGAUAGGCGCGGCCCCGGGAAUCAAAUCGAUACGAAACUCCACUUGCCUCUCGGGAGGUAUGCCCGACAACUCCUCGGGGAACACCUCCCGGAACUCACGCACUAUCGGUACAUCAUCCACUGAACUCGACCUCUCAACAGUCUCUCGUACAUCCGACACAUAGGCCACGAAUCCCUUGCAGCCCUGUUGCAAGCUCUGCCUCGCUCUGGCAGCCGAACAGAAUACUGAACCACCACGAGUCCCCUCGCCAUACACCGUCAGCACUCCCCCACUAGGAUCUCGGAUCAUCACCAACUGACGCUCGCAAUCUAUGACAGCCCCAAAACGGCUCAACCAAUCCAUGCCCACUAUAACACAAACAUCCCUCAUGGCAAUAGGUAUCAAGUCAAUCGAGAACUCCACUCUGAAGAUCUCCAGCACGCAUCCACGUAUCACCUCGGUAUCACACACCUCACGUUCAUCGGCUAUGGAAACCUGCAGAGGUCGACUCAACGCCUCCCUCAGAAUACUAAUGUGCCGACUAAAAGCCACAGAUACGAACGACCGACUCGCACCCGAGUCAAACAACACUAAUGUAGGUACGGAAUUCACAAGAAAAGUACCUACACAUACAUAUAAGUAUCAUAAUAUAAACUCAGCAUAAAUAAAUAAAGAGUAUCUACCUGCCACGAUGUCAGGUGCUGCGCGGACCUCCUCCGCUGUCAACUGAAAGGCUCUCCCCCUAGCCUUCGGUGCUUCGGCCCUUGCCGGGCGGGUCUCAGCAGCUCGAACUGCAGGUGCGGAUCCCUGCACUGCCCUCUGAAGCUGGGGGCACACGGCCUUCCGAUGGCCGAUUUGGUUGCAGUGGAAGCAAACCGAGAACCCCUUAGGACAAUCCCUCGCGAAAUGUCCUUCCUUCCCACACUUGUAGCAUACCCCAGACUUGCAUGACCCAUCAUGGCUCUUGCCGCACUUCCCACAAGUACGGCCCCUUGAACUACUUAUCCUCGAAUCAGCGGGCUUUGCCUGCUUGGCGGCCGGCUGCGACUGUGCCGGUCGCCGAUCAACCCUCUGAGACUCGGCUUCCUCCCUCGCCUACGUCUCAAGCUUAAUCUCCCUCUUCCGGGCAUUCACCUGGAGCUCAGCAAAUGUCUGGUAAGUUGAGUUCGCCACGAACUCACGAAUAUCCCUCCUCAGUAUGCUCAGAUAACGGCUCAUGCGAGCCUGCUCCAUGGAUACCUGCUCCGGGCAAAACAACGCCCGCUCAUAAAACAUCCUCGUAAUCACUGGCACAGACUCAGUCCCCUGCUUGAGGGUCAGAAACUCCUGGGCUAGACGUUCCCUCUCCACCUGGGGAACAUACUCAUCACGAAACAUCGCAGUAAACCUCUCCCAAGUUACUGCAGUCAACUCCGCUGUCGAAUAGCUUGCGGUCACAAACUUCCACCAGUCCUUCGCCCCCAAGCGAAGCUGGUUGAGGGCAAAUCGCACCCUCAAGUGCUCCGGACACGAGCACGUAUAGAAACACCCCUCAAUAUCUGAGAUCCACCUCAUGGCGGCGAUCGGGUCCUGUGUACCAUCGAACUCUGGUGGUUUCGUGUUGCUGAACUCUCGGUACAACAACGAAUCACCACCCUGGGGUCUCGCAGCAGCAACAGCAGCAUCAGUCAAGGNAACAACAACAUCAGUCAAAGCAGCGUAUCGCUCGUCAAACGUCUUGAUCAGUGUGGUCUUAAUAGACCCGAACAUCUCUGGAAUCUUAGCUCUGAUGGCAGCAGCCACCUCCUCAUGGAUGAUCUGACGGAUCUCCUCGUCACUCAACCCACUGCUCUCGAUGGUAUGGCGCGUCCUAACCAUGAUCAAUCACUGAAAUACAACAUAAGAACCAUUAGGAACGCUUUCGAGCAUAUGCACACUCGACAAAUUAAUCACCCUCAACUUCUGGUACCCCUAGGAUUCUUACUUGGACUGCGCACCAAUCCGGUGUCUUCAAUAGUACGGGCCCAAUACUAUUGUCUACACCAAAUCAAUAUACAACCCAAGUCCUCUUCCUAGGACCCCAAGUCAUAAAUACUCUACUCUCGCUAUGCAUUGGCUACCCUCAGUAGACCUCUCACGAGCUCCUCACUGCUACCUACUCACUCUCAAAAUAUCUCAUAGCAGCAGCAAUCUCCUAGGCUAAAGCAUCACAAAUCAGGCCAAUCUAGUCCUAAUAUGAAUACCUAGCCUCUCUAGCAUGCACAACAUAAUAUCUCAUAACUCAUAACAUAUAAUGUAAGGGUAUUUUGGGGAUUCACCGUUCGGGCGCUGGCUGACCGUACACACCUUCCACUCUGCUUGGUUCCAAAAACCUCUUUUUCUUUUUAGAAAAAUUUUGUUUUGUUUGAAAACUUCUCAAAUCCUCGGUUUGAGUUCAAAUACGCCCGAAGGUGCAUCCGAAUCUGUCAAACCAAGGCUCUGAUACCAACUUGUAACAACGUAAAAAUUCCAAUUUUCAUUUUUAAAUCAUGGAAUGUAAAUCAUAUCAUCAUUUCAAAACAUAACAACAAUGUUUUCAAUACAACUCCCAAGAUCUCUAUAACAUAAACUCCAUCAGUGUGGGUGUGUACGAGUCAAGCCUUCGCCUUCCCGCGAUCCUCGCUGAUGCCUGAGACAUCAAACACAACAACUUUAAGCAUAAUUGCUUAGUGAGUUCCCCAAAAUACCACAUACCACAAAUACGCCACUCAAGGCUAAACCCGACCCUCCGGUCAAGAUGUCUCGGCGGGACCCUCCAGUCCCGCAGCUCGUCGGACCCUCCGGUCCAGUCAUAGCUCGUCAGACCCUUCGUUCCAGUCAAAGCUCGUUGGGCCCUCCAGCCCGGUCAAUAUCGUUGGGCCCUCCGGCCCGGUCUAUAUAAUCACACAUCAUAAAUCACAUAGAAAUAAUGCAGUAAAGCACAUAGCAUACAUAGCAUACAAUACUCUGUCACAUAACUCUGGUUACCCACUCAAGGUAAAGUAUAGUGAGAAGACUCACCUCGAAUGUCUCGAUAAUUCGCGAACCCUGGAAAUCACUCGUGCUCGAACCUCCGAGCUAAUAUCCUCCUAUAACAUCAUAUAUCUCUAAUUAAUACUUUUACCACUAAGGUUGACUAUCCCUAUCACUGGUCAACGGUCAACGGUCAAUUUGACCGGACUCGGCGAGUGCACUAGAGUGACUCGACGAGUCUACGCAUUUUUACCAACUCUCUAAGAUUCUCAUUUAACACGUCGAGUACUCCCCUGACUCAACGAGUUCCACCUGGUCAUGAAUCACGGGGCCACCGCGACUCAACUCGCCGAGUCGCAAGGACAACUCGACGAGUCCCAACUCGACUCGGUCCACCUGUCAAUCCCUCUCUAACUCUCUGUGACUCACUGAGUCACCCAUAACUCGGAAGGACUACUCACUGGGUGGUUUUAAGGACAAUCUUUAAGCUACUCGUCGAGUCUGUUCUUCAGACUCGGCGAGUCCAUGCCAUGCAUCAGCUAAAACUUGCUUCUGCGGUCAGAUCCGUUCCAUACACACAUAGAUAUGGCCUUCCCAAGCUUAUUUAUCACGUAAAGUCUCAGUCUUGGCCGCCAUGCAACACUUACAAGGCUGUUUUUGGGGAAAUAACCUCUAAUAUGGCAACCCUGGUCUCCAACUCAAAAGAAUGGACAUAAAGCAUAUCAUUUGGGGUCUUCUGGACCUGCUAAGGUCCAGAUCUAGGUUCCAUAUCUCCAUGGGACCGUUCACACUUCAAAUACAAGUCAAAUAAGGCAAGAAGAAACCCUAGAUUUGACAUAUCAACCAAAACACGAAGAUUAGCUCUGAAAGUUACCUCAAGAAGCUUCCCUUGACGAAAUAGAAGCAGAUCCAAGCUCCCCAACUCUUCUAGCUUGAUCUUCUCCUUCCUUUCUUGCAAUAACACACAAAUUGGUGAACAAAUAGCCUCUUAUCUCACUCACAAGGACUCUCAGCUGCUUUGGUGCACUCAAGGAUCAAGGUGGCCGCAAUGAAGGGCCAUAAGGUCCUUUAAAUAGGGCUUAGGACCGGAAAAUUAGGGUUUCAUUAAACAGCGUGGACUCGCCGAGUCCAGACGCGAACCGUCGUCCAAAACCGCGACCCGACUCGGCGAGUUCGACCUCUAACUCGUCGAGUCCCCUUACAAAAUACCAAAAAUAUGAAAUUAAAAGAUACCUGGAAAUCCGGGCUGUUACAGUGGAAGCCUCAAGUGGAAUCACAACACAUCAUGAACAAAGGUUGAACUUGAGAGAGAAUCUUCAUGCAUCUAAAAACCACCAUGAACUCCAAGAAUCCUCACGUAUCUUUCAAGUGGUGAUUUUGGCUAUGAAUGGAUGUAUUUAUAUGUGGGAUUUCUAGGGUCAUGGACAUAACCCAAAUCCAUACCCAUGAGUCUUAUGAUGCAUGGUUCAUGUGGCCCAACUCUUUAUGUAUCCAUACAUAAAGUUAGUCCAACAUGGAUCAUAAGCCCAACACAUAUAAAUAUAACUAAUUAACAAAAUUAGUCCCCAUAGAUUUAAUUAGUCUCUAUUGAUCACCAAAUUAAUUCUUGAUCAAUACUAUUUAACUCAUAUGAUUUCAUAUGAAUAUAUUAUAACUUAUAGUAUAUUAAUAAAUCAUAUAUAACAUCUUCUCUCAAAAGUCCAUCCUAACAAAUUGUCCUGAUGAUAUGUAACCCAAAUGGACCAUGCUACUCUCGGGUCAAGUACAUACCAAUAAUAGUUAUGAGUUUAGACAUGUAAUCCAAUAGUCUCCCACUUGGAUAAGUCUAAAACUAUUGUUGCAUGUACGACUUCAUAACCUAACUAGCAAUCAUAGCUCUUAAAGUCGAUGUCAAACUCUGAACAAAUCAAAUGACGUGUCCAUUAGAUAAGUGAUCAUAUAUUCCUCCAUUCUAGAUAUCAUAUGAACUGAGACAUGUAUUAGAAUCAUUCUCUCUGUCCUUUUGUUUUUUCCCGAUUUCCGAUUUAUGAUGACCGACUAAUUGUACGACUUCAUAACCUAACUAGCAAUCAUAGCUCUUAAAGUCGAUGUCAAACUCUGAACAAAUCAAAUGACGUGUCCAUUAGAUAAGUGAUCAUAUAUUCCUCCAUUCUAGAUAUCAUAUGAACUGAGACAUGUAUUAGAAUCAUUCUCUCUGUCCUUUUGUUUUUUCCCGAUUUCCGAUUUAUGAUGACCGACUAAUUGAACAAAUCAAAUCAGUCCAGGCUGGGCCAAGCACCUAGGGGUGUCAUCACUAAAUCAUCGAGGGGCCCACAAAUAUUGCUUUUAUCCUUAUGAGGUAAAAGGAAUGGAUAAAAUUUGACUCAUAUUAUUGCACUAACUACUUGUUGAAUCAUACACAAAGGCACGUUUUAUAACAUCAAGUUACUGAUGCGUUUUCGUACAAUCAAUGUAUAACCUACUCAUAGUCAACAACUCAUAUCUUUAGGUUUGAAGAAUAUAAGAUAUUAUCGUCUCAUGAUUCACUCGUGAUAAAAUCCAUGAAGUGAUUUAAAUGGGCGUAUGUGUAAUCCAAUACUUGAAACUCAGUCCAGGAGCACUCAUGAAUGUUGCAGCAACUUUUGCUAUGUCUAAACACUUUAGACAAUCUACAGAUAGAUUCAUGACAGUCUUCAUUCAUACUUACUUCUAAUGUAUGAUCGACUGUGGAUGGUUUGAAUAACUCAGUCAUUCAGGAAAAAUGACCUAGUUAUUCUGGAAGUCAAAACAUGCAAAGUGAAACAACAGAAUAAUACUAAUCCCAUAUGGCCCCAACACUUUGAGAGUAAAUAAAAAACACCUUUUAUCUAAGCAUCAUAUUGAUUACUCAUUAUUCAUGUAAUGUUUCGUUAUCAACUCAAUACUUGAAUUAAAACACUAGUUGUCCCAUGCUCCAAGCAUGUAUACUAUGUUUUCUAAACAAUAGUUAUGCCAUACACCAAGUAUGCACACAAUGUUUAUCUAUGAUCUUUACUUUGUGGAAUAGAUUUAUUGAAAAAACUUCCAAUGAUUCUUUUUAACAAUCCCAAAUCCUUAUUGUAAAUGUAAGAAUGCCAAACUCUUGCCAUUUAAAGUAAUUUGUUAGAUUCUAAACUCAUAUGCAAUGAUCCUCUUGUAAUGACUAUGCCCAAGUCACAAAGACUUGGCAACAGACAUUACAAAGUAUUCCAAUGGAGAGCAAUUCCAUGGAAACGGAGUCUCAUAUUCAAAGUACAUUCCUUUGAAUAUUCUUCUUGCAUUAAGUUUUCUAACCUUACACAGAUUCAAUGAAUGAUUUCCACCUAUGGACAUUUCCAUAUUACCAUUUUAAACAUCACUUCUGAACAAGAGUUGCAUCUUUUUAGAAUAUGUCAAUAUGGUCCUAACUAUAUACUUCCAAUUUUCCAUGAGCAACCAAUGUUUUGAAAACCUCAGAUUGUCCUCGACAAUUGCUUAAUCAUUUUAGUCAUAUCCAGUUCUAUUCCUUUUCCCCUCUAAAUGCCCCCGGGAUUUUGGAAAAUUAAGAAUAGAUGAAUAUUAUAGCACAUGUAAUCAAUCAUAUACCUGAAGCAUAUGGGACACGAUUCAUGCUAUAAAUUUUUAUUUGCCAUGUCCUCACAAUUCGAACUAUGAAGGGGUAUGCCAUAAUCAUAAUCGAAUUUUGAGAACGCAACAUAUAUAGAAUUUCCUUAUGUUGAACCAUUCCAACAUAACAUUCAUAUAUCCUUGACUAAAUUUGAUUAAUAUCUCAAUCUAAGCUUGUAGAAUUGGAAUGAAGUAUAAAAUCCUCUCCAUUAAUUAUAGCAAAACAACUUUUCAAAGCGAAUUGAAACUUUGUUUUCUAUAAUUAACAUUGCUAACUUGCAACACUUAGCAUAAUAAUCAUGCUCCUACUAGCAUAAUGAUUAUUAUCUUACUAGCAUAACACUUUCAGUUCCCACUAGAUUUGACAUUUACACAGAAAUCAGCUGGAAUUCUAGAAAUCAAUACUUUAUUGAAUUUCUUAUCAAAGUUCAGAUUUCUGAUACGAGAUUGCUUUCAUAAGACUUCAUCAAAAACAUACACCUUUCCUUAGAUAGCUCACAUGUGUGUCUAAACAAUUAUGAAGAGGGAUGUCGUAAUCAUAAUGUUUAGAACUUUUUCCAUUCUCACAAGUCCAUGUUAGUGUGACGGUUAACCACACGCGCUCCACUAAUGACUUUGAGAAUGCAAAUGUCACAAUUGCUAUCUACUAAAAAUCUACUUAGUGAAAGCGUUUCCUGACCAUCAUUUCAUGAAUCGGAGAAAAACCUUAUGACACUUAGAUUUUUAUGGUGUAAGUGUUCCUAUCCAUGUGAAUUUGUCAUAACCUAAAUCACAAGACAAGCUUAGUGACAAGUCCAAAUUCAUAUGGACUGAACUUGUUCAAUCUUAAUUUCUUGCCUCCUGGUAGCACAAGGGCCUACCAUUUCUUCUAUGUUGUUAUGCGAACAAUUGAGAACUCUUAGAAUUCACCUGCAUAGUCAACUUAAACUGGAAUGGACCAGAAACAAGAAUGUGUCAACACGACAGGUUACAAACCUUGGGCGUGGGCUAGUGAUUAACAAUAGGUUUUAAUCUUGAUUAUUUCUUGAAACCAUCUCAAGAUCUUUUAAGACUACCACUGUCCUUUAGACAUAUAAAAUUCUCUUUGUCAAGAACCAUUCCUUGACAAAACAAAUAUUCAAGAGUUAGUGUGAAUUCUAAUCAAGAUAGAAACUUCACAUAAUUGGUCUUAGUUGGUCUUUGUUUUAUCCAAAACAUCACAACUUACCAAUUUGAAAUGUACAAGAGUAAGAAAACAUUUUACUCUACAUUUGAUAAGUGUUAGAAACCUUCAAAAAAUUAUGUCACUCAAGGCUCAAUCUUGGAGUAUGACUCUAAGACUUGAUUUUGGAACAAAGUAUGAUUUAUCUUUUGAUUUCACCAUUACGAUUCCUCUCCUUAGUUAAACAAAUGCACUAAGGUGUACUUAGAGGAUCAAUUAUGAUAUGGUUUUUCUAAUCACUAAGAUAAUAGUAAAACAAAAUACUAAAGUACUCUCCCAUCUCUUCAUAAUUGAGAAACUUUUAUCCUUCUGUCAAAUUUGAUUCUUCUCAUUCGUUCUACCUAUCAUUGAAACUCUUCCAAUGAUCAAAAUUAUACUUAAACUUGUAAGCAUAACCAUAUUACUAAACUUUAGUAAAUCAUGAUGAAUAGUCUUAUCAUUCUUUGUGGUGGACUUGACCAGCGCACAACCAAGUGUACCCAAUCCUUUAGUCCUUCACUUGACUCACAUAUACAUGUGAACAAGGAAUUAGUCUUAAUUUACCAAAGAUGAAAAUUCUCAUUCAUCACACAAUGCAGGUUGCAUGAUUCCAAGUUUCUAUCCAACUGAAACUUGGGUGAUGAGAAUCUUUCCUUAUUUGGAAAGUUAUGACACUACCACAAACGAAAGAAUCAAAUCCAUUUUCUGAUAUUUCUAUUAAUGGAAACAUAUAAACAACAAUUUUUCACAAAUGCCAUUGUAAGGGUACUUAAAAUAAAUAAAUAAAACCUUUUUUUCUAUUAUUUUAAAAAUUGCGGAAAAAAUCUUAUCCUUACAAUGCAAAUACAUAUGAAAACUGUGUUGUUAUCUAUUCCUAAGCAAUCUAUCAUAACUCUUAAGCAGCAGCUUAAAAUUCUGACCAUCGAACCAUGUGACCGAAUCCAUUUUCGCGAUCAGAAUUAGCACACUCUUUCUUUAAGCUUCCUUUGAUUCUCCAAAACAUCAAAAUGUAAUUAGAUUACAUUAUGUAUUAAGAAUCUCCAAAUGGGAACUUAAUAGAGUUAGACAAUGGAGUUUACCUAAUAUAGAAUCAAACUUUUGACUUUACCAUCUCUUAGAUCUUUCAAGUUAACAUGGCAGCUUUGUAACCAAUGCCACUUUUUCUUGGCAAAAGAAAACAUAUGGAAUCUUUGGGAAUGGUACAUGAGACUAUCUCAGACUUAGCCUUUCUCUUUAUCAUUGGAUCCAAUGACUUGACCAUGGUCGAUCCCUUUCCAUUAGGAAGAGAAAGCUUUUCUGGACUUCUAAUGUUAUCAUUGUCAAUGCCCAUGGAAGUUUGGGAAGUUGAUCUUCUAAUCAAAUUUGCUUUACCAGUGCCCCAAAUCAUUGUUGAUUUAGUAGCAUCAAGCAAAUAGGUAAGAUCAUUAAGGGUCAUGUCUUGAUCUGUCAUCAGGGAGUGACUAAAGAACCAUGUCAACAACCAACUACCUCGAGACUUCGACACCCAACUCUCCCGGCUUGCCAAUAGGGAUUGAGUGACAUUGAACUUUUCAAGUAUUUGAACUUAUGGGAUAGGGAUAAUAAUAGGAGGAGGUGGAGGAAGUGAGGCAUGAUUUCUAGUCCCAUUAAUGCACAACAAAGGGAUUGAUCUUUCACCUUGAUUGCCAUUUAGGAUAACAUCUUCAUUAUGAAAGCUUGUUCCUAAGGAUUUUGGAAGACCAUAAAUGUCUUAACAAGACAUCUAUAAUGGGAGAAAUUCAAGUUUAGUUUAUUUAAAGUCCUUAACAUAACACCCAAUAUGAAAUAUUAAGGUUAGGACCCAACAAACUAUUUUAUAACUUGUAAGAGGGAUGUUGUAAUCCAAGCUAUAAAAUAUUUGAAGGUAGGUAAAUGACGAUUUACGAAUUUCCACCAUGAAAAACGAAAUUAUUCAUUAAGUUUUAAUUGGAUUUGAAACUCCUAGAUCUUUUGAGAUACAUUGAACUUUCAAUGUCAUGUAUGAAUCUCGAUUGUGCCCUCUCAUGUUUGUGACUUGGAUGCCGAUGAUCACAAACAAGACGUGAAUAUGCAAAUUGACUUGGCACCCUUAAUUUUAUCACCUAAUAGAUGUACCGGUUAACCACACACGCUCCACUAACAACUUAACAAAGGUGCAAAGUGUAAUUUCAUGGGUUAGCACCAUUUCACAUUUUCCUAAGUAACUAAGAUUGGGAAUUUAUAAGUGUUUAGUUACUUAGUAUUUAUCAUUAUACUUUCAAUGAAAGGAGAAUUAUAGUCCUUUCGUACCCAUUCGGCUAACGACCCUCCACCAAUCAAGGAAGCGGUGGGUGAGAGUGAAUACCCAUUAAACUGCCAUUUUAUAGGCAGUAACCUUAUACCCCCCAUUAGAGACUAGCUUCGUGAAUGAGGCCUACUAUCACAACCUGAAACCGAUGGCGGAAACGUUCUGGGGCGGAGGACAUCAUGUAAAGUAUCACAACCAAUGUACAUAGCAAGCAUAGUAAACACAAAACAUUACAUUACAUAGGAAUAUUUACAUUUGUUUGAAAGCAAAGUAAUACAUGAUUUAUAUAUACAACAGUGUAACAAAAGUAAAGACGAGACUUCUAUACGCUCCGCCAUCUCCAAAAGGACGCGGGAUACUUGUCUAAUGUUGACCUGAGAAUACAAGCAGUUUUAAAAAUAUCAGCAUAAAGCUGGUGAGUUCAUAAGCUGUUGGUUUCUGGUAAAAGAAUGAGUUUCCUUUGGUUUUAUGAAAAGUUGUUAUCCAAGAAAAUUCUAUAUUUCUUAUGAAAGAAGUUUAGUUAUCCAUUUGUUAAAUAGCCUGAUUAAGAAAGAUUAAGUUAUCCCAGGAAAAACCCUUAUUUUCCCUAAAUAGUUGGUGGUUGGUUAUCGAUCCGGAAUGAAGUGUACAAGUAUCUACCAUACUUGUAGCGUUAGGUGAAGUUUCCUGAAAGCCUGGUUAUUCUUGAAAAGUACAUUAGUUUUAACACGUAUAUAAAACUAAUAAGAAGGGAGUAAACUAAUUUCCUAAGGGUAUUAAUUCACUAAGUUCUUUAUUACUUAAAAGUAAAUCUCUGUUAUCUUAGUUUGCGAGUUCUAUAACCAUACGAUAAACUAGAUAUGGCAAGAAGAAGGCCAAUAUCACUUUAUGACUUUUGUCACCCGUAGACCUGCCGGUCCCACUGUAGCUAGCAGCAAGGUGCGGGGUAGUCAGCCCCGUAUAGAUCUAUACACUCAAGUCACGCUCUCCGUCUUGGAGAUUCUGGUUACAGGGGCGAUCCUCCACUCGCGUAUCUCUAUGGAAUGUUACAGAGGGCGUGUCUCCAAUCUUAAGAAUAACGAAUUUACAGGUAAUAAUAUGGAAAAUCCUGUUUGAUGAAUGGCAUGAAAUCCUUUAUGAAACAUAAAAUAUAACAUUUUAGAAUGAGUUUUGCAAUUAGUUUGAAAACUAACUCUGCAAGUUAAACGGUUGGUUAAUACGGUUUUCUGUGUUAAUAACAUACUGAAUAUGAGACAUUUCAUACGAAAUAAUAAGUUUGAGUACAUGAUUUCCUUGUACUUUUUCUUGUAUUCCCCCCUCUGAAAACAUGAAAACACGGAAAAAAGUGUAGGGGUAUGAACUCACCAGACGAGAAUGUGCCAGGUUUCAGUUUACGGCUUGAACACGCAUGAGGAUCCUAUGUAACAAGAGGAGAUAUAUAAUUGUAUAUCAUUAGACAUUGAACUACAAAUUAAGACAAUACACUCCAAGGUGCAAAAACACUUUAUCUCAAGUGUUAGGAAUGAUACAGGUUGCAUCCAAGGGGGUGUAGGGCCUAGUUAUGAGUUUACUCUUCAAGAGUAAAAUCUUAGAGGAGAUUACGGACCAUAGACCAUAAACCCAUGAUUUUACGACCGUAAACUCAUGGGUGGAGUGUUUUUGGAUGUUUAAAGGCCUUAUCUUGCACAAGGGAAGGAUCUAGGGUUUAUUCAAUGGCUUAGGAAGUGAUCGGGACUUGAAAUGACCUUUGAAAUGGAGUUUGCUGCUCAUGAAGGACACUUGGGGAGUUUACUGGAGUAAACACAUGGGUUUACAGCUGUAAACUCAUGCUUGGUCCAAACUUGCAUGAUUUAAGGUCUCAAAUGAAAGAAUACAAGGUUCUAUGCAUUAAUCCAAGCCAUAAGGGGGAAGUUAGGACACCAUUUGACCUCCUUAAGGGAGUUUAUGACCAUAAUCUCCUAAGGUCAUGGUUUCCUUGAUGUUUAAGGUCCUUACUUCGAUAGUGGUUGAUUCUAGACAUUAUUCCAAGCCAUAGGAGGUGUUUAAGGGGCAAUUUAACACCUUAAAAGGUGUUUAUGGUCUAUGAAGAGGGGUUUACGGUACAAGAAUGUUCUUGGGCCGUAAACUCAUGUUUACUCCCCAAAUGACAAGAUUUUGAUUUCCUAAGUUCAUUCAUGCAAGCCCCUAAGUCAUAGCUAAGCACUAGAAGUGAUUUGGAAGGGUUUUGGGGCUUCAAAACCCCAUUUAUGUGUGUUUACGAUUUUGGAGUGUUCCAAGGCUGUAAACACAUGAUUUUUAUACUUUUGGAUGAUUUAAACAUGUAUUUGCAUGCUAAACAAGCUAAACAACAAGCUAGGAUAGAUUACUUACAAGUUUGGAGCUUGAAAGAUGUGUUUUUGGAUAAAAAAUUGAGUUGUAGAGAGAGAGAAAGAGUGUGUUAAGAGGGUGGAAAAGCUUCAAAUGGAGGUCCACUCACCCUUAUAUAGGGUUUGAUUUUUUUUGGCCCGGUGGAAUCUACCCGAUACCGACGUUAAACGGGGCUUAUGGUCGUACCAGAUUAAGUGGUCGUAACUCGACGUGGUCGUAAACUAAAAACUUUUCAAAGGGAUAUCGAGGAUGUUUCACAUGUUUCUAAUGCGUUUGGACACUCAUGAAGUCAUAAUAAAAGUCUCAAUUUAAAUAACCUAAUCCAAAAUGUUAACGGAACAGUUUGAUAAAGACGAGUUUUAUUGACGGAAACGGGUUACAGUGACGGAAUAAAUUUUAGGUUGUCACAUUAUCCCCCCGUUAAAGGGAAUUUCGUCCCGAAAUUCAAAAUUAAGAUACAAAUCAUGGAAUUUGAAAGAGAUACGGAUAUUUCUGUUUCAUCGAGUCUUCGUGCUCCCAAGUAAAUUCGGGUCCCAACUUGGCAUUCCAGUGAACGUUCACUAUAGGGAUACGACUUUGUUUCGUACGUUUGAUCUCUCGAUCCAUGAUUUCGAUUGGUUCUUACACAAAGUUCAGGUUUUCAUUGAUCUCGAUCUCAUCAAGAGGGAUCACGAGGGUUUCAUCGGAUAGACACUUUUUAAGAUUUGAGACGUGGANUCAUGGAUAGACACUUUUUAAGAUUUGAGACGUGGAAUACAGGAUGGAUGUUGCCAAGUUCUUGAGGUAGUCGGAGUUUAUAGGCUACGGGACCCAUCCUGGUGAGGAUCUCGAAAGUUCCUAUGUACCUUGGAUUCAGUUUUACGCGCUUUCCAAAGCGUAUCAUGCCUUUCCAGGGCGAGACCUUCAACAGGACACGAUCUCCAACCUGGAAUUCCAAGGGCUUUCGUUGUUUAUCGGCAUAACUCUUUUAUCUGUCUCAUAAAGCUUUCAGUCGUUCUCAGAUUUGGAUGAUCUUCUCGGUGGUUUCGCGGAUGAUUUCAGGACUAGUGAGAGUACUGUCGGGGACUCGACCCUUGACUAGCUGCGUGUCCCCUACCUCGGCCCAGCACAGAGGGGAUCUGCACUUGCAACCGUAGAGGGCUUCGAAUGGGCCAGCCUUGAUGCUGAUGUGGUAGCUGUUGUUAUACGAGAACUCGAUCAAGGGUAAUUGGGUGUCCCACAACUUUCCGAAGUCAAUGACACAUGCUCUCAACAUCUCUUCCAGGGUCUGGAUAGUUCUCUCACUCUGCCUAUCUAUCUGAGGAUGAUAAGUUGUACUCAUAUCCAACUUAGUUCCAAGAGCUUUCUAAAGGGACUGCCAAAAUCUUGAGGUAAACCUGCUAUCUCGAUCGGAGAUAAUGGACACAGGCACACCGUGCAGUCGGACUAUCUCUUGAAUGCAGAUUCGCGUGAGUCUUUCCAUCUUGAAUGAUUCUUUAAUAGGUAGGAAGUGAGCGGAUUUUGUCAAUCGGUCGACAAUUACCCAAAUGGUAUCGUACCCACUCAGAGAUUUGGGUAACUUGGUGAUGAAAUCCAUAGUAAUCAUCUCCCAUUUACACUCAGGUAUCUCGGGCUGUUGGAGCAGACCCAAGGGCUUCUGUUACUCGACCUUUACUUUGGCGCAAGUCAGACCCUUGCCCACGAAGGUAGCAAUUUCGGCUUUCAUUUUUGGCCACCAGUAUAGUUUCUUGAGAUCCAGGUACAUCUUAUCCGAACCUGGGUGAACAGAAUAUCUGGUCUUGUGAGCUUCGUUCAUGACAACUUCCCUGAAACCUCCGAACUUUGGGUUCCAAAUUCGAUCCAUGAAACAGUAGACUCCGUCACCUCUGAUCUCAAGUUUCUUAUCCAUUCCUCUCAAGGAUUCAUUCAACACGUUCUCUGGUUUUAGGGCUUCCAAAUGGGCUUCUCAGAUUUGUGCGGAUAAGUGGGAAUGGAUGGUCAUUGUCAAUGUCUUCGCCUUGUUGCUUGAGUUUUCCUUUCGGCUAAGGGCAUCUGCUACCAUAUUGGCCUUAUCGGGAUGGUAGCGGAUUUCGCACUCGUAGUCACUGAGCAGCUCUACCCAUCGUUGUUGUCUCAUAUUUAAGUCCUUCUGAUUGAAGAUGUGAUGUAGGCUUUUAUGGUCAGUGAAGAUCGUGCACUUGGUUCCAUAGAGAUAAUGUCUCCAAAUCUUCAAUGCGAAGACCACUGCUCCUAAAUCCAGGUCGUAAGUCGUGUAGUUAACUUCGUGUGCCUUCAGCUAUCUCGAGGAAUAAGCGAUAACAUUUCCUCUCUGCAUAAGCACACAACUUAAACCCUGAUUGGACACAUUGAAGUAGACAACGAAAUCCUCUGUCCCUUCGGGUAGGGAUAGGAUAGGUGUGCUGCACAAGGCUCGCUUCAACGUUUGGAAUGUUGUGUCUUGCUUUUCACUCCAACAGAAGGGUACACCUUUCUGUCUCAGAGUGGUUAGGGGUUUGGCGAUUCUGGAAAAAUUCUGGAUGAACCUGCGAUAGUAGCCGGCGAGACCCAAGAAUUGACGGAUUUCUAUGGGUGUCUUCGGUGCUAACCAAUUCUCUAUCACCUUGAUUUUGGACAGGUCCACGUGUAUACCAUCCUCGUUUAACACGUGACCAAGGAAAGCUACCUUCUGAAUCCAGAAUUCGCACUUGGAGAAUUUCGCGUACAACUUCUCCGAUCUAAGAGUUUCCAACACUAAUCUCAAGUAUUGUUUGUGAUCUUCUUCGCUUCUGGAAUAGACAAGUAUGUCGUCAAUGAACAUGAUAACGAACUUGUCCAGAAAGGGGCGAUACACCCGGUUCAUCAGGUCCAUGAACACUGCCGGUGCGUUGGUUAGACCGAAGGGCAUCACUACAAACUCGUAGUGACCAUAACGAGUCCUGAAUGCUGUCUUGGAAACAUCACUCUCAUGAACUCGAAGUUGAUGGUACCUUGAUCUAAGGUCUAUCUUCGAGAAAUAGCUGGCUCCCUGAAGUUGAUCGAAAAGGUCGUCUAUUCGAGGAAGAGGAUAACGGUUUUUGACGGUCAAUUUAUUCAACUCACGGUAGUAUAAACACAUCCGAAAGGAUCCAUCUUUCUUCUUCACAAAUAAUAUCGGGGCUCCCCAGGGUGAGGAACUCGGUCUAAUGAACCCUUUGUUGAGUAGCUCAUUGAGUUGACUGGAUAACUCCUGUAUUUCUGCUGGAGCUAAGCGAUAUGGAGAUUUUGCUAUAGGAUUAGCUCUAGGAAUUAGGUCGAUGCGAAACUCAACUUGACAUUCGGGAGGAAUUUCCGGGAGCUCUUCAGGAAAGACAUCAGGAAAGUUGCAGACUUCGGGGAUGCUCACGAGGUCUUUAACUUCUUGUUUCUUGUUGAUUACAUGAGCUAGGAAUGCAUAACACUCCUUUCGCGGAAGUUUUUGAGCUUUGAUGCAUGAAAUGAUGCAAAGAUUGGAACUAAGUUUAUCGCCGUAGAUCAUGAGAUUCUGGUCAGAGGGAAGAUUGAGACAGAUGGUUUUUUCGUAACAAAGGAUAUCAUCAUGAUUGGGACUCAACCCAUCCAUGCCAAUGAUAACAUCAAAGCUCUUUAUGGAAACUGGCAUUAGGUCAAUGGGAAUGGAAUGAUCAUUCAGGGUAAGGGUACAGCCUAUGAAUAUAUCGUUAGCGUUCUCUUUCUCACCGUUAGCUAUCUCGACGGUAAAUGUUUCGGUUAGUGGCUGGGGAUUAGGUUUAAGAAAAUGUUUGAAUGAAUGACUAACAAAACUUCUUUCAACACCAGAAUCGAAAAGGAUACAAGCUUAAGAGCUGUCGAGAAGGAACGUACCCAUGACGACGGUGGGAUCGGCGACUGCCUCAUCUCGCCCCACAGUUAGAAAUCUUCCAAUGUUGCCAGCUGUUGCUACCUUGGGGCAGUUUCUCUUGAAAUGCCCGACUUCACCACAACCGUAGUAGGCCUGACCAACACCUGCUCCGGAAGCUUGAUUGGUUGAUUGGGUUGGUGCUUUGCAGAAUCGAAUCGUAUGCCCCUUUUUACCACAGUUGGAGCAUGAAAGUUCAUUACAUGGACCGGGGUUAUGGUGGAAGUUACACUUGUCACAUUGCGAAAGGGUACCAGCAUACCUACUGGUAGCUGCUUGAACUGUAGAAGCGACGACAGAAACAGCAACAAGGGUAGUAGUAGCGUGGACUGCCACAAUUUACUGCUUCUUUGAGGACUCUUGCGAAGACUGACCCUUCUUCUGCUUCCAAAAUUUUCUUUUCUCACCACUCCUUUUUGUCGGCUCAGGAGCGGUGGCCACUUCAUCAAUAUCAUCUUCGUGGUCGAUCAGAGUUUGCGCCAGGCAUUUAGCGCUGUCGAAUGUGUUUGGCUUCGCAGCCAAAAUAUUUCCCUUGGUUGGUUGGGUUAGCCCCCAGAUGAAUCUUUCAAUCUUUUUACUUUCCGGGGUAACCAUUCCCGGACAGAGAAGCACUAGGUCUUCGAAUCUGGAGGUGUAUGCGACGACAUCAGAACCCUUCAUCUUUAGGAUCCAGAGUUCAUGCUCCAAUUUCUGCAUUUCGCCCCGCAGGCAGUACUCUGCAAGUAGAAGCUCCUUCAUGCUCUCUCAACCCAUAACAUUGGCUACAGGUAGGGUUAAGGAUUUGACUUGGCCAUUCCACCAAGUCAGGGCUUUAUCGGUGAAAGUGCAGACGACGGACUUUACCUUGUCAUCUUCAGAACAGACACAGAUUUCGAAAAUAGACUCGAUCUUCGCAAACCAUUGAGUCAGAGCAAUAACACCUCCAGUGCCAUUGAAGGGUCUGGGUUUCGCGUUCAUAAAAUCUUUGUAGGAACACUCCUUCCGGUGUCCCUGAUUACCUUCCUGGUUUUGGGGCUGAGUACCACCUCCUGGCCCACCGAAACCACCGGGGUUCAUUUGCGACAUGGCAGCAGCCACAUCAGAAGUAACAGCUACUUGGAACAUGGUGGGAUCAAAUGGAGAAGGUGGUGGAGGAGGAUUGUUGUUCUUUGAGCUGGGUCUUUUCCUUGGAGGCAUCUUGAUCUGAAAUGGCCAGGAAAGAGAGGAUAGUAAGUCCUCUGAAUUGAAUCAAGAGAUAUGGAACAAGAGAUAUCUCAUUAUGGCAGAUAAAGUGUUCUACUAUGCGAUAAUAUAUAGGAAAGCUACCAAAGCAAGAGAAUUUAUCGCUAAAGGAAAUGAGUAGCAACACUUGAAUGAGGAUUUCUAUAACAAAGUUGGUUCUAGAAAAUACUCCCAUAGUAUUUUGUGUUUCGUUGAGACGAUGACUCAUUGCUUGGAUAUUAGGUAAGUUUUAGGCCUGCUGCACACCAUAGUCACUCCCAAGAACAUGUUGGUUGUGUCUCGAAUGAAUAUAGUUGAUCAGGCUAUAUUGACCCUAGACACGACUACAUAACUGCCCAGGUUUAACCGCAGUGUACAACACCCAAUUACUUAUGUUUUGUUCUACUCGGGGUUACGGUUUCUGGCGUUUAGAUAUUCAUGUAUACUUAGAGUAAAAAUACUUAUAUUUUUAAAGUAUACUUUUAGUUCAGAGCACUUCGGCCCCUUAGUGUUUAUAGUUAUAUACCAUGUAAGGUUCGAUAUAGUUAGUUCACUAUAAACAAGGGCUCUGAUACCAAUCUGCACACCCCGAAACCGAUGGCGGAAACGUUCCGGGACAGAGGACGUCAUGUAAAGUAUCACAACCAAUGUACAUAGCAAGCAUAGUAAACACAAAACAUUACAUUACAUAGGAAUAUUUACAUUUAUUUGAAAGCAAAGUAAUACAUGAUUUAUAUAUACAAUAGUAUAAAAAAAGUAGAGACGAGACUUCUGUACGCUCUGUCUUCUCCAAAAGGACGUGAGAUACCUGUCUAACGUUGACCUGAGAAUACAAGCAGUUUUAAAAAUAUCAGCAUAAAGCUGGUGAGUUCAUAAGCGGUUGGUUUCUGGUAAAAGAAUGAGUUUCCUUUGCUUUUAUGAAAAGUUGUUAUCCAAGAAAAUCCUAUAUUUUCUUAUGAAAGAAGUUUAGUUAUCCAUUUGCUGAACAACCUAAGUAAGAAAGAUUAAGUUAUCCCAGGAAAAACCCUUAUUUUCCUUAAAAGUUGGUGGUUGGUUAUCGAUCCGGAAUGAAGUGUACAAGUAUCUGCGAUACUUGUAGCAUUAAGUGAAGUUUCCUGAAAGCCUGGUUAUUCUUGAAAAGUACAUUAGUUUUAACAUGUAUAUAAAACUAAUAAGUAGGUAGUAAAUGAAUUUCCUAAGGGUAUUAAUGAUGGGUUUUAGCCUUAAGACAUCCUAUGUGCUCAUACAAACCCUAAUGGUUGGAUCUAGGUUUCUCUAUUGUACAUGCAAUUCAUCCAAGACUUUAAACCCUAGAUCUAGCAUAUGAUAAUCAAUAUUAACAUAAUAAUCGGUUUAAGAUAUUACCUUGAUUGUUAUGUAGCAAUAACAAUCUCAAAUUCUCCUUGUAAUGACUUUAGAAAGCUUAGAGUCACUAUUGUCACUCCUCUAAUGGCUCACAAACACCAAGAGCAAGAGGAUAAAGAAUGAGGAGAGAGGAGGCUGCCCAAAACCGUCCAAAACCCUAAGGAGUUACUUCCACAUGUUUUUGGUGCUCUAGGGAUCUUUAAAUAGUGAGGCUAUUAGGGUUAUCUAACAAGGAACCCUAAUUUGUGUCACAACUAGCAUUUUUGCUAGGAAAUUCUACUCUCAUGCAAUCAUUAACCUAGUGUGAUAACUUGUAAUCUAAGUGAAUACCAUGCUCCAUUCCUAUUCAAAUGUAUCUCAUAUGCUCAAAUAAGGGUUGGAAACCGUAGAUAUUCCCUUUCAAGUUCACUAUGGCCUAGGAUUCUCUUAUUGGGCCUAAAGGACCAAUAAACCUUCAAGUUGACUAUUUUGGGCCUAGAAACCCUAAUUGGGCUCUAAUUAGACUCACAUUCAUCAACUUUAACAUUUUGGGCCAUGUGGACCUAGAAUGGUUCAUUCUAUUCCUAAUGGGCCAAAUUGGGCCAUAAGUGAUUUUAAAUUUUUCCUAAUGGGCCAUAAAACUCAUCCUUUGAUUAUUUGGGUCGUGAGCCAUUUCCAAAGACCAUGUGGGCCGGAAAUCAUUUAAAUGGGCCAUAUUUUGGACUUAAUCACUCAAGGCCCAAACUCUCUUUUCCUUUCUUCCCUUUCUCGGCCAACAAAUAAAAAAAAGGGAAAAGAAUGGAUAAAUGAAGACUAAACAUGCAUGUGACAACUCAUGUUUAACCACCAUAUAUCUAUGGUAGCAUCUCAUGUUUCAAGACUAAGUAUUACCUCACAAAUAACAAGGUUAUGAUCUCUCUCUCCCUUCUCUCCAUAUUCUCGGCCACCCUCUCACCACCUUCAUUUUUCCUUCAAAAACUCUCUCAAACAAACUCAAAAACCUCUUCCCUCUUCCAUCAAAAAUCUCGAGUUGGUGUGUACUUUCAAGAGGAUUCUUCACCAAAAAUCAUCAUCCUAGGUAAGUUUUUACUUAUAUCCAUGGUUUAGCUUCUAGAUUUCUUCAAAAUCUCCUCUUAACCCAUUCCAUUUCGUGAAUCAUAUAUCUUAGAGCCAUCUAAGUUGUAAAGCUCCUCAAGAAGCUUGCUAAGGCCAAAAACCUCUUCACAUCUUCAUCAAAAACCGACACCUUCAAACAAGGUGAGCUUCAUACCCCCUUAUGACAUGAUCAUGCUUGUCCGGCCUAGCUAGCCCAAUGACAUGAUCUUUAGGCCUGAAGGAAAUUUACUUACAUGUAGUUGGGUCUAAUACGACUUAAUUCUGUGUAAAAGGACUUUCAAUGGCAAACGUGCUGCUGGUCCCCAAUGGUCCUUCGGUACUGCUAGCGAAGUCGAGAAUUCACUAUUGCGAGUUGGGCUAAGGGCCCUUUGCAUUCUCUAUAGCCUUGAACGACGUAGGGAAAUACUGGUGGCUUCGCACCUUCUUUUUCCCCUCGGUCGUGGGGCUACAUGAGUCCGGGGGGUUGGGUUACGUGAAUAAGUGCAAGCGACGCCUAAGGGAUCGUUUUUACGGUUGUCAACUGGUCAUUUUCAUUAAUGUACGUUACAACAAUUCACCAUCUACUAUUAAUCCAACGUCUCCGGAGCUCAACGACUACCUUUAUCGUAACGAAAUAACAACACAUAAACUAAUUAAAGCAAAGUGAUAGGAAAACGUCGGGUUUUCCUAGGGUUUUCAACUAUUAUACCUACGAACUACAUAACGAGUUUUACAAAUGGUACACAUACAUUUAUAGAAACUAACAAGCAUACUUAUGGAUCUUCUACCUUUAUCGUAACGAAAUAACAACACAUAAACUAAUUAAAGCAAAGUGAUAGGAAAACGUCGGGUUUUCCUAGGGUUUUCAACUAUUAUACCUACGAACUACAUAACGAGUUUUACAAAUGGUACACAUACAUUUAUAGAAACUAACAAGCAUACUUAUGGAUCUUCACACCUUUUAUACUAUACUAUUUUCAGAAAAUAUCGGAUUUUCUGGUGGUUUUCAAAACAAUACACACCUUGGAUUUCAAACAUUACUUAUGAACUCACCAACAUUUCAUAUGUUGACGUUUUUCAAAAUACUUGUAUUCUCAGGUAACAGAUAAAUCGAAGGGAUAAGUGUACUCAGUGACGUUUUGCUGCUUCUUUAAUUAGUACCGAACAAUCUACUUUUUGGGCAUGUAAUGUUAGCGAACAAUGUACUAAAUGUAAACGCUACCAGUUGUAAUAUUCCAAUGCUUGGUGAUGUUUGAUGUUAUGUUUCAUGUAUAUUCAUUGUGAUGGUAUUCAAUUGAAUCACAACAGCCCCCGGACGUUUCCACCGUCUGGUUCGGGGGUGUGACAAUUUGGAUGCUUAGGCCCUAAGCAACCUAUCGACUUCUUCCUUAAAGGCCUAGGAUGAUUUCUAAUGGGUUUCCCCAUAGAAUUCGUCCACCCCUCUAAUAUGGAGUCCAUCAGCUCAAUAUUCAACUAUCAUACAAUUGACAGUUCUAGUCUCUUAAGUUUAAUUAAUGUCUUUUAGCCACAAAAUUAAUUCCUAAUUAAUUAUUGACUAAUAUUAAUUAAAAAAUAUGAUUUCUCCUUUAAUAUAUUAUUCUCAUAAUAUAUUAAUAAAUCAUAAUUAAUCCUUUCUCUCCAUAAUUCAUCCUAUCAAGUUGCUUUGGUGAAGGCAACCCAAAACGACCAUGCACCAUCGGGUCAAAUACAUACCAAAAUAGUUAUAGACUUAGACGCUAAUCCAACAAUUAAUUCACUAAGUUAUUUAUUACUUAAAAGUAAAUCUUCGUUAUCUAAGUUUGCGAGUUCUAUAACCAUACGAUAAACUAGAUAUGGCAAAAAGAACGCCAAUAUCACUUUAUGACUUUUGUCACCCGUAGACCUGCCGGUCCCACUGUAGCUAGUAACAAGGUGCGGGGUACUCAGCCCCGUAUAGAUCUAUACACUCAAGUCACGCUCUCCGUCUUGGAGAUUCUGGUUACAGGGGCGAUCCUCCACUCGCAUAUCUCUGUGGAGUGUUACAGAGGACGUGUCUCCAAUCUUAAGAAUAACGAAUUUACAGGUAAUAAUACGGAGAAUCCUGUUUGAUGAAUGACAUGAAAUCCUUUAUGAAACAUAAAAUAUAACAUUUUAGAAUGAGUUUCGCAAUUAGUUUGAAAACUAACUCUGCAAGUUAAACGGUUGGUUAAUACGGUUUUCUGUGUUAAAAACAUAUUGAUUAUGAGACAUUUCAUACGAAAUAAUAAGUUUGAGUACAUGAUUUCCUUGUACUUUUGCUUAUAUUCCUCCUGAAAACAUGAAAACACGGAAAAAGGUGUAGGCGUAUGAACUCACCAGACGAGAAUGUGUCAGGUAGGAUGCUAAGUGUCAGUUUACGGCUUGAACACGCAUGAGGAUCCUAUGUAACAUGAGGUGAUACAUAAUUGUAUCUAAUUAGACACUGAACUACUAAUUAAGUAAGAUAAUACACUCCAAGGCGCGAAAACACUUUAUCUCAAGUGUUACGAAUGAUACGAGUUGCAUCUAAGGGGGGUGUAGGGCCUAGUUAUGGAGUUUACUCUUCAAGAGUAAACUCUUAGAGGAGAUUAUGGACCUUAGACCAUAAAACCAUGAGUUUACGGCCGUAAACUCAUGGGUGGAGUGUUUUUGGAUGUUUAAAGGCCUUAUCUUGAACAAGGGAAGGUUCUAGGGUUGAUUCAAUGGCUUAGGAAGUGAUCGGGACUUGAAAUGACCAUUGAAAUGGAGUUUGCUGCUCAUGAAGGACACUUAUGGAGUUUACUGGAGUAAACACAUAGUUUUACAGCCGUAAACUCAUGCUUGGUCCAAACUCGCAUGAUUUAAGGUCUGAAAUGAAAGAAUACAAGGUUCUAUGCAUUAAUCCAGGCCAUAGGGGGAAGUUAGGGCACCAUUUGACCUCCUUAAGGGAGUUUACGGCCAAGGGACCAAUCCUUGGGGGGUUUACGGCCGUAAUCUCCUAAGGUCACGGUUUCCUUGAUGUUUAAGGGCCUUACUUCGAUGGUGGUUGAUUCUAGACAUUAUUCCAAGCCAUAGGAGGUGUUUAAGGGGCAAUUUUACACCUUAAAAGGUGUUUACGGUCUAUGAAGAGGGGUUUAUGGUCUAAGAAUGUUCUUGGGCUGUAAACUCAUGCUUACUCCCCAAAUGACAAGAUUUUGAUUUCCUAAGUUCAUUCAUGCAAGCCCCUAAGUCAUAGCUAAGCACUAGAAGUGAUUUGGAAGGGUUUUGGGGAUUCAAAACCCCAUUUAUGGGUGUUUAUAGUUUUAGAGUGUUCCAAGGCCGUAAACACAUGAUUUUUAUACUUUUGGAUGAUUUAAACACAGAUUUGCAUGCUAAACAAGCUAAACAACAAGAUAGGAUAGAUUACUUACAAGUUUGGAGCUUGAAAGAGAUGUUUUUGGAUCAAAAUUUGAGUUGUAGAGAGAGAGAGUAGAGAGAGAGAGAGUGUGUUAAGAGGGUGGAAAAGCUUCAAAUGGAGGUCCACUCACCCUUAUAUAGGGUUUGAGUUUUUUUGGCCCGAUGGAAAUCUACCCGAUACCGACGUUAAACGGAGCUUAUGGUCGUACCAGAUUAAGUGGUCGUAACUCGACGUGGUCGUAAACUAAAAACUUUUCAAAGGGAUAUCGAGGAUGUUUCACGUGUUUAUAAUGCGUUUGGACACUCAUGAAGUCAUAAUAAAAGUCUCAAUUUAAAUAACCUAAUCAAAAAUGUUAACGGAACAAUUUGAUAAAGACGGGUUUUUUGACAAAAACGGGUUACAGUGACGGAAUAAAUUCCAGGUUGUCACACCUACUAAUGAUAAGAUUGACUUUAACUCUUAUACAUAUAUACAAAUAUUAAACUUUUAAUAUUAUAAUAGUAUAAGGGUUAAAUUUUAAACUUUUAAAAUUCUAAGGUCUAAAAUUGGAAUUAAAGUAUACAUGGGGAGGUAACUUUGCGAAUUCCAAAACUUGAGGGCAAGUUUUGAAACUUUUUCAAAACUCUUCAAUUUCAUAACAUAUGAGUUUAAUAUAGGUUUUAAAACUUUUAAUGAAGAGACUCCUGGAAAUCCAUAACUUGAGGACAAGUUAUGGAGGUCAUAAAACAAUUUAUGGAAAAAGACUUUUCAAGUUCAUAACCUAUGUUUUUAAUAAAAUCCAUUAAUGAGACUUUUCAUAUAACUUGAGGACAAGUUACAUAAACAUAUUUUAUGAAUAACUUUUAGAUCAAAUUGGAUUAAAAACAACUAUCACAAACAUAUCUAGCAAUAUUCAUAAUCUUGAUUAAACUCAUAUGAACAAGAUAAUUCAAAUCAAACAAUUUUCAUGUAAUUUAGCCUAAUCAUUAAACUAAUACAAAACAUGAAACUUUUGACAAUUAUCUUUUGAAUUGGAUUAGAAUGAUCAUUACCACAUCAAAAACAGGUUUAUAGGUUCAAAAACAGCUUAUGGUAAUGUUCCUAGUCCAACUCUAGCCAAAACACUCGAAGGUAAGUUGUUAGGGACUUAAAAUCGUUGAGUUCUAUAGAGAACUCAUCGAGUUCAUGCUAUAAACCAUGAACUCGUCAAUUUUAUGGCAAAAACUCAUCAAGUUUUCAGUCUGGAUAGAUUCCUGGCUUUGAAAAACAAGUUGCAUCAAGUAUAAUCGAAAACAACCCUAGGCUCUAAUACCACUUAUGGGUUUCGAGCAUUCUUACACUCCUAAGGUGUUCAUGCAACCUUAAAUACCUUGGAUCUAUGUUUUCACUAAUUAUACAUGAAAUGGUGUUUCUAAGGUAUUAAACCUAUAACUAGCAUACAAUCGUCGUAGAAUAUAGUUAGGAUAACAUACCUUAUGGUGAAGCUUGAAGUCUUGAUGUAUCUAGCCUUAAGAGCUUAGCCCCAAUAGUGUGGAAGCCUCAAGUGGAAUCACAACACAUCAUGAACAAAGGAUGAACUUGAGAGAGAAUCUUCAUGCAUCCAAAAACCACCAUGAACUCCAAGAAUCCUCAAGUAUCUUGCAAGUGGCAAUUUUGGCUAUGAAUGGAUGUAUUUAUAUGUGGGAUUUCUAGGGUCAUGGAUAUAACCCAAAUCCAUACCCAUGAGUCUUAUGAUGCAUGGUUCAUGUGGCCCAACUCUUUAUGUAUCCAUACAUAAAGUUAUUCCAAUAUGGAUCAUAAGCCCAACACAUAUAAAUAUAACCAAUUAACAUAAUUAGUCCCCAUAGAUUUAAUUAGUCUCUAUUGAUCACCAAAUUAAUUCCAGAUCAAUACUAAUUAACUCAUAUGAUUUCAUAUUAAUAUAUUAUAACUUAUAAUAUAUUAAUAAAUCAUAUAUAACAUCUUCUCUCAAAAGUCCAUCCUAACAAAUUGUCCUAAUGAUAUGCAACCCAAAUGGACCAUGCUACUCUCGGGUCAAGUACAUACCAAUAAUAGUUAUGGGCUUAGACAUCUAAUCCAACACCCUCUGGUAAGGAUAACACCAGAGCAUUGCAGAGGGCUCGAUUCAGGGUUUGGAAAGCAGCAUCUUGUUUGUUACUCCAAUUAAAAGGUAUGCGUUUCUGGGUUAGAGUGGUGAGGGGUUUGGCGAUCUUGGAGAAAUUCUGAAUGAACCUCCUGUAAUAACCCACAAGGCCCAAGAAUUGCCUGAUCUUCGUGGGUGUUCUCGGUGUUUCCUAACCCUCAAUAGCUUUAACCUUAGUAGGGUCGACAUGGAUCCCUUCUUCACUGACCACAUGUCCUAAGAACUCCACUUUGCGAUUCCAGAACUCUCAUUUAGAAAAUUUUGCGUACAACUUCUCUUCCCUUAGGGUUCCUAAAAUAUGUCGUAGAUGCUGACUAUGCUUCUCCUUUCUCUUAGAGUAAACGAGUAUUCCAUCGAUGAAUACAAUUAUGAAAUUGUUGAGGAAUGGUCGGCAUACUCAGUUCAUGAGAUCCAUAAAUGUUGCGGGUGCAUUCAUUAGUCCAAAGGGCAUUACCAUGAACUCAAAGUGGCCAUAGCGAGUUUGGAAAGCAGUCUUAGGAAUAUCUUCUUCUCGGAUACGAAAUUGAUGAUAACCGGAUCUCAAAUCUAUUUUUGAGAAGUAACUUGCUCCUUGUAUUUGGUCAAGUAAAUCAUCGAACCGGGUAAAAGGGUAUCGACUCUUGACGGUCAUCUUGUUUAACUCCUAGUAGUCGAUGCAUAUUCAGAAUGACCCAUCCUUCUUCUUGACGAACAAGACCGGAGCUCCCCAGGUUGAGAAGCUCGGCCUGAUGAAUCCUUUGUCUAGUAGUUCACUCAGUUGGCUAGAUAACUCCUGUAUCUCGGUAGGGUCUCACCUGUAGGGUGAUUUGGCAAUUGGGUUGGCUCCAGGGAUUAGGUCAAUUCGAAACUCGACCUGUAGCUUGGGGGGUACGCCUGGGAGAUCUUCCGGAAAGACAUCUGAAAGUCUCGCACUUUCGGGAUGUCUUUUAUGUUCUUUCCCUCUUUCUUCUUGUCCAUGAUGUGUGCAAGGAAGGCUUGAUUCUUCUUAUGCAGACACUUUUGUGCCUUGAUGCACAAGAUAAGACGGAGAUUCGCACCAUGUUUGUCGCCGUAAAUGAUUAGGGUUUCGUUGGAGGGUAGGUGAAGGCGAACGACCUUCUUAUGGCACAUAAUAUCGACAUAGUGGGGGCAUAACCAAUCCAUAUUGAUGAUCACAUCAAAAAUUCGAAUAUUUAUUGGCAUCAAGUUAAUUUGGAAAUUGUGGUUAUUUAACGUUAAUGUGCACCCUAUGAAAAUGUUGUUGGUUGUUUCAGUUUUCCCAUUAGCUAUCUCCACUGUGAAGGCUUCGCAUAGCUUCUGGGGUUGUUGAUUUAGCAAGUGUUUGAAAUUUUGACUCACAAAACUCCGCUCUACCCCACUAUCGAAUAAAAUGCAUGCGUAAGUAUUGUUGAGGGGAAACGUAUCAGUGACUACGGCUGGAUCUUGAACUAUAUCUCCCUGUCCCAUGGCUAGGACCCUACCCGAUCCUCCUGUUCCUUGAUUGUUGCCUUUGGGGCAGUUUCGCCUAAUGUGACCAAUCUCCCCACAUCCAUAGCAGGCCUGACUGGCCCCGAUAUUGUUCGGUUCGGGAUUGUUUUGUUGAGGCUGAGACUUGCAGUACCGGGCAGUGUGCCCCUUUUUAUUGCAAAUUGUGCACUGGAAGUCUCUACAUACACUAGUGUGAUGGUAACUAGACUUGUCGAAUUUUGGUUGCGAACCUGUGUGUGGCCUUGCAGGUGCUUGUGGGGUUAUUGUGGUUACAAUUGGGGCUAGUGCGAUCUGCGUGGUAGCAACAUGGACUGCCACAGUUUGUUGCUUCUUGGAUGGUCCUUGAUUUUGUCGUCCCUUCCUCUUAUUUUCCCAGUUCUUCUUGUUGUAUCCUUCUUUCUUGGUUUCUACUUCUGCGAUCUUGAUGCCUUUUUUGUUCCCGUGAUCAUACAACUUUUGAGCCAGACAUUUCGUACUAUUGAACGUUUCAGGGUUGGCUGCAAUUACAUUUCCAUGAAUUGGAGGAGUUAACCCCUAAAUGAAGCGUUCGAUCUUCUUUCCUUCCAAUGUUAUCAUCCCUGGGCACAAGAGUGCCAGCUCGCUGAACUGAGCGAUAUAAGCUGCGAUGUCUAAGUUUUGCACAGUCAAAUUCCAUAGCUCUUGUUCCAGCUUUUGUAUUUCCCCAUGGGAAUGUUAACUCAGCUUAGGUCACCAGUUUUGUUUAAUUGAUCGGUAGAGUCGGUGUUGGAGUUGUACUCAGUAUUGUGUAGUUUUCUACUACUCAUCGGACUGGGAGGUGAAUUUUCUGCAUUGUACUCGUGGGUCGAAGGCACCAAUGCCAACCCACGAGAUUACGUAUCUUGGUUAUAUGAUAGUUUUAUUCUAGUAUAUAGCUGAUUAGUAGAUAUGUAUGACUAUUUGUAUUUUGCUAGAUCUGUGUUUAUGUUUAUCUGUUACAUAUGUUGACAUAUUGUAGUUGGGUUGAGGCGAUCCUGCUUUGUGCUGAAGGUCAAGACACCUGAGGCGGUCUGGAUAGGCCGUAGGCCCUACGAGGCGGUCCAGUCAUGUCGAAGGCCCAUAGAGUGUUUUAGAUAGGAUGUAGGCCCUGCAAGGCAGACCAGUCAGGCUCAAGGCUCAUAUUUACAUCCUUUUGUUUGUUAUGUUAUGUCACUACUAGAAAAAAGGCCUUUAACGACACACAAUUUAUGACGCGCAUUAAUUUACGAUACGUAAAAGUGUGUGACGUAAAAAUAAUGUCAUCUCUCCAAAAUUUUGAAGAAUUUGGGACGCGCAUUUUUGUGUGCCCUAAAAUUUGUGUCAGAAAAAACUAAAAAUAAAAUCACGGAGGACACCCAUCAUAAAAGGGUGUGUCGUGUAAGUAUGUCGCUUUAUAAUUCUUGAACGCGCCUCCUGACUAUUUAUUUUAUCAAAAAAUCGAAGGGAUCAUUCUAGGGUUCUUUUCGAGAUGGGAGUUCUCUCUGCAAUGUUCGCUACCUUGGCUCACCUUCUGUCCAACGAUCUCGACUCAUCUCCUUUAGCCAACGAGCUUGGGCUAGCCUUACCUCGAUGGAGACCGCCACAAAUGCUUAAGUUUACAAGCCCUAGGUCUGGUUUAACAUCAAAUCUUCUUUGUGAUCUGUCUCGCACAACAAGCCUCCCUCUCAAUAAAAGUCGUCUUCCUUGUGUUGAAGGUAUGCGAAUAUCAUCCAAAAUUUAGUGGGCUCGAUCGCACCCCCAAAUAUGUGAUUCUACCUACAAUAAUCGAGACCACAGCUCAAAAAGAGCCUACAUAAGGCUUUCAAACAUGAGAUUUUAUGAAACUUCAAACCACGUCUCUCUCAAAUUGGCAUUAUUCACUAUAUAAACAUAUAUGGUGUUAAAUUCUCUUUUCUACUGUUCGAAUUUUUGCUUGGUUAUGUCGAUUUUGCCCUUGAUUUGGUGAUUCUCCCCCUCAUGUUGUCUUUUAUUCUCUGAAUAGUACUUAAUUUUGACAAAUUGGUUCAAAACACAGACAAAUUGGAAAUUUAGGUUUACUUAUCGCUUACCAUAAAAUUAUAAAGACAAAUUGACAAAUCUGUAGUUCAAAAGAUUCUUUUUCCUAUAGAAAUAUUAUAAUUCUGUUUGGAAUAAGGGAGCAACAUAAUAGAAAACUAGAAUGUACGUGAGUUCUAAAGGGCAAGAAGCAUUAUCCAUGUGGCUUCUGAAUUUCUAUUUGUCUGAUACAUGGAAAAAACAUUAUCCAUGUGGCUUCUAACUUUCUGUUUGUUUCAUGUAUAUGUAUUUCCAUAGGUAAUAUAAGAUUGUUAUAGACUUGUGUAAAGAUGGAAAAUUCAUCCAUACCUGGUAUCCUAGAGAAUGUAAGAAGCUAUGGAGUUCUAUCCUUUAUUUGUGGAGAUUUUUCUUUGGGUUAUAUUUAUACCGUAUUUAGAAUGUAUUGAGGUGUUCAUGGUUGAAUUUGCAGAUGACUGGGAUAGACAAAGACUAUAGAUAUAUGGCAACUUCAGACCUAUUAAACGAAUUAAACAAAGAGAGGUUUAAACUUGACAACGACCUUGAGUUGAGAUUGUCCAAUAGUGUUCUACAACAGCUUGAUGGUGCAGCUCGUUACGUGUCUGGAUUGGUUGUUAAAUGUCUUGCUCCUCUGGUGAAGAAAAUUCAUGCGGCACAGGUACUGGAGAUGAGUCAUAAGCUAUGUGAUCUUGGUCUUUAUUAGAUAUAGUUUAUGUACUUGGUAACAUAAUUUUAGGCUGUUAAUUGUUGUAAUAUAUCUUGAAAUGCAGGGUGAUACUGAUUGAUAUAGUUUCCUAUUUUAUCUUGAUUUAGUUUCCUUUUUCUGGGCCUAAGAUUGUAUAUGAUCUUGAGGCUUGUGGCUAAUCAUCAAAUUUUAUUCCCUUUUUUGCAGGAAGGUUGAUGAACUGAAAACAGAACUGAGCAAAUACAUAACCUAUAACCAAACAGCAGCAUAUCCUGUAAGCAUGAUAUUUUUAACUUUAAUUUAUUGGAUUUUUUAGAUGAAUUUUAAGGAUUCUAUUUCUCGUCAAGAAGCUAAAAGAUUUAAACUCUGAACAAUCCUUGAUAUGCCAAGUUUAGCUCAAAAUCCUUGUUAUAUCAGUUCAAAGCAUCUUUAGCUUCAAUAAUUUGAGUCUUACAUAUUUUUUGGUUUCGUUGGUUGGAAGCUUGUUGAAUAGCAUUGAUUUAGGAGAUGAGAUGGAAGCCUGUGACCAAGUGAAAAGAGUUUCACUUGAUAGUAAUUGUCUCAAAAGGGACAACAUGUUGCAAUCGACUGACAAUAUAGAAGAGCUAAUGGAAGCAAAAGCCUUGUUGGGUGCCAUGAAAUCUGAGCAGGCCAGAUUGGUUGAAGAGCUACAGUAUAUUCGCCAAGAGAAUGAUAAGCUGACAGUAACCUUAAACAACAACAACAAUGCUCAAACACGUGAGAGCUAUACUUCAGAAAACCAAAACCUGUCACCUGUCACUGACAAGAUGUCUGAAGAAAAGAAGAAGCUAAGAAGAAUUAUAGAAGCAAAAAAAGGACGAGGUGUAUACGCUGCAUACUGAGUGGGAGACAGCAAGUUUAGAGCUCACAAGCUUUCUGUUAGAUGGUUCUAAAUCUCUCAAAGAUGCAUAUGGUCAAAUAGAAGCUAUUAGAGCUCAAAGAAACUAAUAAUAUGGUGCAAGUGCCAUUAGAGGGAAUGGGAUGUACAUAUCAAAUGCAAGAAAACCAGUUGUUAAUGGUGCAGCUAGAGGUGUUCAUAGUCUGGUUUUUUCGGUUUUUAGAUCAAACCGAAGUUAAACCGUUAGUAACGGUUUUUUGGCAAUCAAAAACUGAAGCCGAACCAUUGAAACUUAAAACUGAACCAAACUGAGCCGAUACUAACAGUUUGGCUCUGGUUUAGUUUCACGGUUUAGGCUUUUUAGCAUCAUUCUAAUCUAUCCCAUUAGACUACUAUUAAAAAAUCAGUCUCUUACUUAACCAAUAAAACCCGCAUGCUUUAGUCCGGUGUUGAACCAGAGCUUGUUGAACCACAAAAAAUAAGCUUUUCUUUAAAAAGAAAAUUACUUAGCUAGUCUCAGUUAGAGUUCCUGCAACAUAAACAAGUUUUAGUAAGAGCCCAAUCAAAUGCAAGUCCUACAAAACAACAAAAAGAUAUGUGGUAUCACAUUCAUUUUAUAAAAUAGACAAACUAUUAAUAUUCCUUACAUUCGUCGAUGUGGGACUGUAUAAAAGUACAAUUGCAAUUCAGAUUUCCUUUCUCCAUUCAACUAAACACGCUUUUUCCCAUAUUAAACAUUAGAGAUAUCUUACUGAACUAUAAUUUGCUUAAUUAUCUCACUGUUAACAAAACAAAUAUCAUUAGCUUUAUUAUAUAUAUAUAUAUAUAUAUAUAUAUAUAUAUAUAUAUAUAUAUACNNNNNNNNNNNNNNNNNNNNNNNNNNNNNNNNNNNNNNNNNNNNNNNNNNNNNNNNNNNNNNNNNNNNNNNNNNNNNNNNNNNNNNNNNNNNNNNNNNNNUGUACACUUAGGAAGUGUUAGAAUGCUCAAAACCCAUCAUGAAGAGCAUCUAGCAUUCUGGAUUAGGGGGAAUUUUUUGGUGUAAUCCAAAAAGUUUGGGGACCAUUUAUGUUUAUUUCAUUUGUGUUUGUUUCAGUUUUUCGUAGGAAGCUGUCAAAAUGCCAUGUUGGCCAUUUUCCCGUUUCUUUAGGAAGUAGUAAUCAAGUGGUUUCAUGUUUCCACAUUUCUAGCUUAUUAGUAGCUUAAAUAGCAUGUAUCGUUCCAGUUUUUACAGAUAAGACAAUCAGAAAAUUGCCUCAAAAUUACUCUCCAUCUUUGCUUUGUUUUGCUGUGUAAAGAACAGGGCCUGCAACAAUAUUUAUCAUACAUAACUUAUGUAUAGAAAGUAGAAACACAAACAUAAGUUUACAACUUCGAUAUAUCUCUUAUGUAUUUAUCUGAUGAUUUGAGUAUUUUGUUGAUGUAGGAGUUCUUAGGCACCUUUUCCUGCAGCAGGAUCAUCGGUUGUAUAGAUAUUGGUUGAAAUUACGUUAUUACCCUCUUCAGACACAAGUAUUACAAAAUCAAUAUCAUUGAUUAUGUAACACUAUAUGAAUGAUUUAUCAAUAUUUUUAGAGUAAUAUUACAUUUCUGGUCCAUGAGUGUAGCAGUUUUUUCCUUUUUUUGGUACUUAGUAAAACUUAAUAUAAAACCUUGACACAAAUCGUCUUUCUUUAUGCUGAAAAUGUAUAAAACUGCUGUUAAUGCUCAAUCUUAAUCUUGCAUGUCCAGAUGAUAUGUAUCACUCUUCUGCACAAAGACAGAUAAUAAAUUUCUUUAUAAUCAGUUCUGGGUAUGUUCCGUUUCUAUUAUUCUUUUUAAAUUUGAAUUUUGUCAUUGUGAUUGUAAGAUACAAUUGAGUGAUACUAAAUUCUUGUUGUAUGUAUUAGUUUUCAUUGAUCACAUAUCAAGAAACCUUUAUAACUUCAGUUAACAAGAGUAUGAGUAUGACAACAAUCUGGCUCCUGUAUCACAUGAUAAUGUUUCUAACAUUCUUUAUUCAUGUGUUGCAGUUGUUUGUAUGGGGAUGCUAUAAAUACCUAUUGCUGGAGUACACAACAGGAGUACUUGUUGGAGUCUUUGGUAUAGCUGCAACUUAAAACUGGUUAUAUUGAAAGCUGGGGAAAGCAGGUGAAACAGUGAAAGUUGCUCCUGGCUCACUCUCCUCUCUUUUCCAAUUACCCAUUUCCUAUGCAUGUGCAAUACCUUGUCAUUUCCUGCUGGCUCACUCUCCUCUCUAAAUGUCCCAUAACAUGACCUGAACACUCAUUCUCCUUAAUUCCCAUCCAUUAUUCCCAUCUCUAUGUUUCUGUUUUUUGCAGUAUGGAUCCUCUCACUCAUCUUGAAUAUGCUCUGUGUCCAUUUAUAGCAAUCAUUGGUAAAAACUUGCCUUUUAUAUUGCUAAUAUUUUGUACAGAGGUAACAGAAAGUUUUGAGAAGUGUUAAAUGGGAACAAAAAUAAAAGAUUUCCAAAUGAAGUAAAGAUUAUUCAUGGCGAAAAAAUAGAUGUAGAUUGACUUAAGGACAUGUUGCAUUUUCGUGGAUGACAUAGAAAGUAAAGAUUAUUAUUAUUAUUAUUAUUAUUAUUAUUAUUAUUAUUAUUAUUAUUUUUUGGGUGAUAAACCCAUGUAAGUUUUAACACAUGUGGAAUACACUUGGAGAAAAGUUGCACAAAAGAAUUGAAUUUUUGUUUGAAUUUGGUCUAGGUUUCAUUUGGUUGAUUAGACAAGAUGCUAUAUUCUAUGAAUUUAUUGCAUUUAGAUAAUUGGAAGUGAUAGUAUAUCUAUAUGAACAACAGUAAUUUUGUGGCAGAAGCUUGAAACAAAUUAGAUGAUACACAUAGAUAUAGAAUCAUUUCUUGCUUAUUUAAGUUUCAUUUAGUUUUAAAUGAUAGUAAAUGACCAUUUUACCUUUUUGUCCGGAAUUAGUAUCUAAUGAAAGAAAUGACUUUCUUGUUUGACAACUGCUUGUAAUAUAAGCUAUAAACGACAAUAACUUGUAAAUGUAUAAGAUAGUUAAUGGAAAAUGCAUUGGGGUUUUGACUUUUCAAGUGUGUAGUUAGCAAAUGAGAAGCAACUUGUUGAUCAUUACAGCUCCAAGCAUCCAAAGGAGAAGCCUCCAAGCAACUAUGAAUGAUCUGAUCUGUAUGCAUUUGCAUUGAUGCAAAGGUUUGUGUUGUCUGUUUUUCUUGUUCAUUUGCAUGAUGAUGAUAUGUCUAGUGUUUCUUUUGCUUUGACAUUUUCUUUUCUGCCAAAACUGAGUAUAAAAAGCUUAAUUGAUAUAGAGAUGGUUUUGUUUUGUGAUGUGUGAUUCUAAAUAAAGGGAUAAAUCCAAGAAAAAUCUACUCAAUUAUUAUAGCAAUUUCUUAGUUAUAACUGGGUUGAUCUUUCAAAGUAUGAUGUGGUAAGAAGAAAAAGAUUAGAAGUAUAACAUUGGAAUUGGGUAAAAUUUUUUUAUCAUAUGAUGCAUCAAUAAUAAGGAAAAAAUAAAAUAAAAGUAUAAUGUUGUAAUAGAAAGAAAUGGAAAGUCGUAGGUGUUCAAAACAUUCUGAUCAUGUAGGUGUUCAAAACAAUAGAAAAUUUUUAAACAUAUUUCUUUAUUUUAUUGCAUGUUAAGUUACCGAUUUGCCAUGUGUAGGUUCUGACAGCUCUAGCAACCUCCUUCCAUGCCCUGAAGCCUCUCAAAGUUCCUGCAUCAGGUUAUACUUUUAGAAAGGAAAUUUUCAAAGGAGAUUAUCAAAGGAGAAUUUAGUCAUGAGUUUCUUUUAAUGUUGUACAUGUUUUGUUUUUUAUAAUAAAUAUUAUGCAAUAUUAGCAAUGUGUUACAUUUACUUACUAUUGGAAUGAUUAUUUGUAUUUGACAUAUUACAGCAAUGAAUUAUCUUUAUUGUUUAUGGUAUUUUAUUUUGUAUUAUGAGACUUUUAAUGUGUUAUUUAAUUUGAAAAUUAGUAAAUUUAUCAAAAAUGUAUAAUUUUAAAAAGCUUUAAAAUUAUGACAUGCAAAAAUGUGUGUCUUCUUCCUUUAUGACAUGGGCUUCCUUGAUACACAUUGCGUGUCAUAAACAUGUGUGUCGUAAGGUUACGACAUGCAAAUGCGUGCCAUCUUCCUUUAUGACAGGGCCGUCAUUGAUAUGCAUUGCGUGUCGUAAAUGUGUGUCAUAAAUGCGCGUUGUAAAUGCGCGUCUGUAGACGACACACAAAAGCGUGUCGUCUCUCGUUAUGACAGGGCUGUCGUCUGAGCGUUUUACGACGCGCAUUGCGCGUCGUAAAAGGCUGUUUUUCUAGUAGUGUGUGAUGGUAUGUUGGGGGAACUCACUAAACUUUGGCUUAUAGUUUCAGUUCAUGGUUUCAAGUACUCGAGACGAUCAUGGGAAAGUGAAGGCUUGAUCAAGCACAUCUUCCUAUUUUCAUGAUAUUCAUUUUCGGGGCAAUCUGAUAUGAUCAUACUUUUGAAAAAUGGUUUUUCUAGUAAACAAAUAUGGAAAAUGGUUGUUUUUGAAAAUUUUUAAAUUACUAUGAUUUUUGGUUUGUUACAUUGGCAUUUUUUUUGUAAUAUCUCGAUUUACAUGUAUUUUACUUUUUCACCCUUGGUAUGAGUAUUGUUUGCAAAUUUGGUCCCACAUGGCAUUUUAAUGAAAUUUGGGAGCUUGUUGCGUACGCUGGGCGCACCCAAGCAUACGUCGGGUGUACGUGGCCUGAACCAAAACCCUAAUAUUUAUGGUUUGUGCACUAUUUAUACAUCCUUAACUCUCCAGGCUCCCUUCAUUCAUCAGUCUCUAUCCUUAUAUUCAACCCUUGCAAACCCUAAUCCAAUUUUAGAGCAUUUUUGAACCUUUAGUGUGUAUUUUGGUGAUUUUGAAUGAUGAAAAAGGAAAAGACCAUCUUAUAAGAGUGAAUCACUUUGGAUCAAGAAACACAUCAUCAUUUGGCACUACUUGUAGGUAAAAAGGUCUUAUCUUGAUGAAGUUUUUCUUUGAUCUUGAUUAGCUAUGGAUAGUGUUCAUUUUGGUCCCUUAAGCUUGAUGUAUGUAAGUAUGGGUUACUCUAAUUCAUUUAAGUUAUCCUUUCAGACAUUUUGGAGUGCUUAGAGCCAUAAAUAUGAAAUCUUGGUCCUUAGUUUUUCCCAAUGCAUGGACUAGGAUGUCUUAAUGAGUUAAAAAGUUAGGAUUUUUGGUUUUAAGCUCCUAAUAUCCAUGCAAGAUCAUAAAGUUGGAAACUUUAUGAUUAAGGACAUCAUUUGAGGGCUAUAUCUGGAGUUUGGAUGAAAGGGCUUAAGGAAUUAAGCUAUUAAUCGAAGGUGAAGUUGGCUGGCAUGUACGUUGGGAGUACGUUGGUGUACAUUGUGAUUACAUGGUCGCCAACCCAAUUUUGGUCAAGCCUUGAGUAUGCUGAGCGUACAAGCUGAUUAUGUUAGGCGUACUCAGCUGAGUCAACUCGAAUGAUUUUUUGACUUUCGAAAUUAACUAGAUUUUGACCAAGUUUGACCUAGGGGUAUUUUUGGUAUUUUGAAUUGUACUUAAGUUUGGUCAUUUUUCAUGAAUAGGUAACUGGUUGAGCUGAUAGUUAGAGGAGUGUCUUGUUCAGCUCUCUUUUGAGACUGAGAGGUGAGUUUUCCUCACUGUACUUGUGGUUCGAAGGCACCAAUGUUGACCCACUAGGUUAUUUGUAUCUUGGUAUAUAGGAUAUUGAUAUGUUGUAGUGUUAGAUCUAUAUCUUGGUAUAUAGGAUGUUUCUAUGUUGUAGUGAUUUUGUUAGAUCUUUAUUCUGGUAUAUAGGAUGUUGUUAUGCGCUAGUGAUCUUUAGAUCUACAUGUUUUGUCUGCUGACUAGUUAUAUGUUUAUCUAGUGUUUAUGUCGACACAAUAUGUUUUGGGUUGACGCUUUACUGUUAUGUGUGUGAGCUAACAGACCGGGGGUAAUCCGGACUAAUGGCUAUGGAACCGAGGGUAUUCCAGUUUGAUGAUUGAAUGGAUCCGUUACAUGUUGGAAAUUCUAGUCCGAUGACUGAUUGGGUAGGGGGUAAUCCAGCCCGAUGGCUGUUUGAUGACUGAGUGGACCCAUCAUACAUGAUUUUAUAUGUUAUAUAUUAUAUGGUGGUACUUUGGGGUAACUCAGUAAGCUUUGACUUAUACUUUUAGUUUAUUUUUUCAGGUACUUCAAAUUAUCGUGUCAAGGCGAAGGCAUGAUCAUACACAUCAUUCGAUGACAUGUUUUUGGGAUUUAUGUUAAAUUGAUCUUAGGGAUAUUUGUAUUUCAUAUUGGGUUUUGUUAUUGGUUUUGUUUAAAAAUAAUGGUUUCUUUUGAUUUGAAAAUGAAAAACUUUAUCGUGAUUUUGGGAUGUUUCAUUUUUCGCCAAAUUAACAAUUUAAUUUAUUGUUAUUUGGCAAAUGUUAUGUUUAAUUAUUUUAUAUAAACAUCUUUAAAAAUCAUAUCAUUGUAUUGAUCUUUAUAUUUGAUUUGCAUAUGAUCAAACUAAAUAAAAUUUUGAUUUAGAAUUAUUUUUAAUUAUCGCAUAGUUAAUUUCAGUUUAUUGUUGCAGAAGUUAAAAAACAAACAUACUUCUUAGUACAAGCUACAACCGUUUAGUCCACUUUUUCUUCUGCAGAGGUUUGCAGAUGUGGUCUGCAGACUUUAGACGUUUUCGCUUUAAAAAAAAACAAAUAGCACCUAAAUAGAACAACAUUACAAGAAAAAUAAGAUUUUUUUCAAUUUUCUCACAUAUCAAAAUAGGAGAUUAGUUGAUACAAUACAAGCCAACCAUUUUAAAUACAGGGUGAAAUAAUUGAAUUUAAGCAUUUCCUCCCUUAAAUUCGUAAAAACAGAUUGCGUGUUUGACAUUUGUAUCUACCAUUUGGAGCUACAAAAGUGUUACAGAAUAAAGACGAUCAAAAUCAGCAUGUAGGCAUCAUUUUAAAAAAAUAGUAUUAGAGUAAAAAAAGGAUUUGCGUAUUUUGUAGCAUGUUUAGAUUUUUAUAAAAAAUAAAAAAUAAAAAAAAAAUACAGAAGUUCAUGAAAUCUAAAUAAUUAGAUCAGAAAGGAAAAAGAAUGGGAAAACUUACCAAGUGAACAUUGAUGACUCGAGAAUCGAGAACGGGAGAGAUGAAUCAGCAAUGUAUUGAAAGCUUCACAUUAUCCCCGUACUCAGAAUGGUGACGAGGGAUGGUGGUGGGGAAAGCCACCGUCUGCAGGAAUUUUGGGGGAAACCUUUUUAAGAGAAAAUAACAAAUUUGGUCCCUUUGGUAUACUCAAAAUGACAGUUUUGUCAUGUUUAUUUUUUGUUACAAAAUUACCACUAUUGUCUAACGGUUUCAUUUUGUUGUAGAUAUGGCCCAUUUCGUAAAAUAAAGGUCGUUGGAAUGGGCCUCGCUUAUUGUUGCACUAACAAUGUUGGGUCGAAAUAGCCUAUUUGUAUAUAUGGUUUUUGUCUUUUUGUGUUUUCCAAUAUCUUGGUAUUUACAAAUUCUACAAUAAAAUAUAAUGAAAAAUAAAACCCUAACUCUUACAAGCACAACUCAAAUAGGUCAAACAAAAAUAUAUUACAUUGAUCACAUUCGACCACACUUUCAAACACAGUAUAAACUAACAACACAUGAACAAUUACAACCUUAUAUCACAAGUGUUAAUGGUCUAUUAUUAAAUCAUGUAUGUGAUUCAAUAACGUAUAAAUAAGUUUUCAAAAACUAAUUAUAUAGAACUAUUAUACAUUAUAUAUCGAAAAUUUUAAUUUAAAUUACUUUGAUCAUUGCAAAGAACAUCAAGAACCAUGAGCAUGAACAAUUGCUAAAUUAUAGCAAUUAAUGUUGUAAAACUCGUCGAGUUGGACGAUUACUCGGCCCCUACUGACACGAGUUACACAAUCCGAGUACUCCCUGAUUGGUCCCUUACUAAAGCAGUGUUGUAAAUUUUGGCCAACUCGAUGAUUACUAUGUAUACUAUAUUGUUAAUGAUUUAUUAUUUAACACACACACAUGUGAUUAUUACUCAUAUAUAUAUAUAUAUAUAUAUANNNNNNNNUAUAUAUAUAUAGGCUUAGGUUAUUCUAUUCAAAGUAAUUAUUGUGUUAUUGUAUACAUAAAUGUGGACCAAUUAUUUUACUUAUUUUAAGAAAGUGAUUAAUACAUAUUAUUAAAUUAAAGAUAAUUGAAAACCAUCUAAUUUCAUUCUAAGGGUAUUUUAGACAAUUGAGAUAAUUUUAAAAAAGGAAAAUUCCAUAUUUUUUGGGAUAAUUAACUCUCUUGAUUUUAAAAUUAUAAUUUGUUAAAUUACUUUAAUUUUAAUUAUAACGUAAUUUUUAUAAUUAAACCUGAUUUUAUUCUGUCAGAAUGACAUUCUUUUUAUAAUGAUAUUCUAUGAAAAUUCAAGCCAUAAACUAAUAAAGAGACUUAUUUCUUGCAGAAUAAACAAAAUUUUAGAUACAAGUUAAAUUUUUUGUAUCACAUCCUUGAAAAAAAUAAAAAAAACUUUAUAUUUUAUUCUAUAAUAAUGAAACACUCCCUAAUAACAAACAAAUAUAAUAUGUAGAUUAUUCUAUUGGAAUAUACUAUUACAUAUACUGUUAUCAUUAUAUUAAAGAUUAAUCUAACAUAAUAUGACAAUGAGUAGUGCAUUUUUCUGGAAGAUCGGUGACCAUUGAGGAUUGUUCAUGUCUAUCACAAACGCAUUCAUCCAACCUUCGGUUCAUUCAUCAUCAUGUACUUCAUUCAUUCUAUGAGAAUAAAUGUCAUGAAAAUGAAUUAUGUAAGAAUAAAACUAUGUGAGAAUGCUUUUAUACAACAAAAAUAAAUCAAAUUUUAGUAAUUCUAAGAGAACUCAUAUAAAACACAUACUGGGCCUUGCCCCCUCCAUCGAACCGAAGUCCGAAGCUGUCUAACUGGGACCUUGUCCCUUACAUCGGACCGAAGUCCGAAGCUGACUGACUGGGACCUUGUCCCCUACAUCAGACUGAAGUCCAAAGCUGACUAACUGGGACCUUGUCCCCUACAUCAGACUGAAGUCCGAAGCUGACCAACUGGGAUCGUGUCCCCUACAUCGGACUGAAGUCCGAAGCUGGCUGCCUGGGACCUUGUCCCCUACAUCGGACCGAAGUCCGAAGCUGACUGACUGAACAAAGCAUAGCGUAACAUAUCAACUAGCAUAAACACAUAAAUCCUGCCUGAGCCACAAAGGCGUCAAACAUACUAACUACUGCAUUGGACCGAAGUCCUGAAACUACAUCUAACUGAACGGGCCGACAUUUAGGCCUUAGACCCGUUCCUACUGGAAGGAAACUCACCUCGUGAACUGGCUGCUGUGUGUAUGGCUCUGGAAACUAACUGCUGCUGCUCCGGUAUCUCCCCGGCUACAAUUCCAUAACACACUCAAUCGGAUGCUAAUCAUUGCAUUGGGUAAAAUGACUCUUUUACCCUUGGUCAAAGUCAACUCUCCCGGUCAAAGUCAAUCUACAGUUGACCUGACUCGCCGAAUUGGGCCGCCAACUCGCCGAGUCCCUAGUCUUACUUCUCAACCCUACUCGUGGCUANNNNNNNNNNNNNNNNNNNNNNNNNNNNNNNNNNNNNNNNNNNNNNNNNNNNNNNNNNNNNNNNNNNNNNNNNNNNNNNNNNCUUGGACUCGCCGAGUUGUAUGAACAACUCGUCGAGUCCCACCAUUACUGAGUCUACCCUUCGACUCACUGAGUCUACCCUACUGCUCACUGGCCUCCACUCGGAAUCACUCAAAGGGUAAUGAUAGGGGACUCGCGACCGGACUCGCCGAGUCUGAAGAACGACUCGCCGAGUCACAUGCAUGCAGAUCCUAAAAACUUGAUUCUGAUCAAAACCACCGCAUACAAUUUAUAGAUCUGAGUUUCUAAGGCUGAUUUACCACGUAAAGUUUCCAACUUUACGUGUACACAUGCAUGAAAAAGGAGAUAAAGGCUAAAAAGGCACUUGGAAGAGUAGAUCUAGGGUUAUCAUGCAAAAUGGCUCUAUAAAGGUGAUAGAUCUACGAUUUUGGAACUGAAACAUGCCUAGAUCCGAAGGCUAAUCAAUCUAAUGUGAUCUCUCUACUAAGAACAAACUAAGAAAUGGCUAAAAGAGGCUAAAUAUGCUUGUUAAAGAGAAAUCAAUCAUAGAAACAGAAGGAAUUCGGUUAAUACCUCAAUAAACUCUGAAAUGGGUGCAAGACCUUGGAUCUUCUUCUUCUCCUUUGGAUCUAGCCUCCUUCUUCUCUUCAAAACUUCAAGAUUCACACAAGAAAUGCUCAAUUACUCAAGGNNNNNNNNNNNNNNNNNNNNNNNNNNNNNNNNNNNNNNNNNNNNNNNNNNNNNNNNNNNNNNNNNNNNNNNNNNNNNNNNNNNNNNNNNNNNNNNNNNNNNNNNNNNNNNNNNNNNNNNNNNNNNNNNNNNNNNNNNNNNNNNNNNNNNNNNNNNNNNNNNNNNNNNNNNNNNNNNNNNNNNNNNNNNNNNNNNNNNNNNNNNNNNNNNNNNNNNNNNNNNNNNNNNNNNNNNNNNNNNNNNNNNNNNNNNNNNNNNNNNNNNNNNNNNNNNNNNNNNNNNNNNNNNNNNNNNNNNNNNNNNNNNNNNNNNNNNNNNNNNNNNNNNNNNNNNNNNNNNNNNNNNNNNNNNNNNNNNNNNNNNNNNNNNNNNNNNNNNNNNNNNNNNNNNNNNNNNNNNNNNNNNNNNNNNNNNNNNNNNNNNNNNNNNNNNNNNNNNNNNNNNNNNNNNNNNNNNNNNNNNNNNNNNNNNNNNNNNNNNNNNNNNNNNNNNNNNNNNNNNNNNNNNNNNNNNNNNNNNNNNNNNNNNNNNNNNNNNNNNNNNNNNNNNNNNNNNNNNNNNNNNNNNNNNNNNNNNNNNNNNNNNNNNNNNNNNNNNNNNNNNNNNNNNNNNNNNNNNNNNNNNNNNNNNNNNNNNNNNNNNNNNNNNNNNNNNNNNNNNNNNNNNNNNNNNNNNNNNNNNNNNNNNNNNNNNNNNNNNNNNNNNNNNNNNNNNNNNNNNNNNNNNNNNNNNNNNNNNNNNNNNNNNNNNNNNNNNNNNNNNNNNNNNNNNNNNNNNNNNNNNNNNNNNNNNNNNNNNNNNNNNNNNNNNNNNNNNNNNNNNNNNNNNNNNNNNNNNNNNNNNNNNNNNNNNNNNNNNNNNNNNNNNNNNNNNNNNNNNNNNNNNNNNNNNNNNNNNNNNNNNNNNNNNNNNNNNNNNNNNNNNNNNNNNNNNNNNNNNNNNNNNNNNNNNNNNNNNNNNNNNNNNNNNNNNNNNNNNNNNNNNNNNNNNNNNNNNNNNNNNNNNNNNNNNNNNNNNNNNNNNNNNNNNNNNNNNNNNNNNNNNNNNNNNNNNNNNNNNNNNNNNNNNNNNNNAUUGCCGCAUUUCAUGAUUAUGAGAUUUGGCAAAUGGAUGUCAAGACCGCUUUCCUUAACGGAAAGUUGGCUGAGGAUGUUUACAUGGCUCAGCCAGAGGGGUUUGUGGAUCCGAAGCAUCCGAAUAGAGUGUGUAAGCUUGAGAAGUCCAUUUAUGGGCUUAAGCAAGUGUCACGUAGAUGGAAUCUCUGCUUCGAUGAGAAAGUCAAAGAGUUUGGAUUUGUACGAAGCAAAGAUGAAUCGUGUGUAUAUGUCAAAGCCAGUGGGAGUAUAGUAAGCUUUCUCGUUUUAUAUGUCGAUGACAUAUUACUCAUAGGAAAUGACAUCCCGACUCUGCAGGAGGUUAAGUCCUGGCUCGGGAAGUGCUUCGCUAUGAAGGACCUCGGAGAAGCUUCUUACAUUUUGGGAAUAAGGAUAGUAAGAGAAAGAAGUAAGAGACUAAUUGGACUUAGUCAGAACACUUACUUAGAGAAGGUACUAAAACGUUUUAGUAUGGAAAACUCAAAGAAGGGAGAAUUACCGAUACAAAGUAAUGCCAAGUUGAGUAAGACUCAAAGUCCGAGUACCGAAGCUGAGAUAGCUGAAAUGAGCCAAGUUCCAUACGCUUCCGACGUUGGCUCAAUCAUGUACACUAUGACUUGUACUCGCCCUGAUGUAGCCUUUGCUUUGAGCAUGGUUAGUAGAUAUCAAGGGAAUCCUGGCAGAGCACAUUGGAUUGCGGUGAAGAAUAUCCUUAAGUACCUUCAGAGGAUAAAGGAAUGGUUUUUAGUCCUCGGAGGGAGUGAUGACUUGAAGGUGCGAGGGUACAAUGACGACAGCUUUCAAACCGAUAGGGACAACUACCGUUCGCAGUCAGGCUAGAUCUUUACCCUAAAUAGAGGAGCAGUUACUUGGAAGAGUUCCAAACAAGAAACCAUAGUUGAUUCAACCUGCGAAUCAGAGUACAUUGCCGCGAGCGAAGCAUCAAAGGAGGCAAUAUGGCUGAGGAACUUCAUCAGUGAUCUUGGAGUUGUACCCGCCAUAAAGGAGCCCAUGGAGAUUUUCGGUGAUAAUGAAGGAGCGGUUGCCUUGACCAAGGAACCAAGGGAUCAUGGUAGAUCUUGACAUAUCAACAGAAAAUACCACUUCAUCAGACAUCGUGUAGAAGAAGGACAACUCGUAGUGAAGAGGAUAUCAUCAGAAGAUAACCCAGCAGAUCCGCUUACGAAGGGACUGAGUAGGGUUAAGCACUUGCAGCAUGCUAGGAGUAUUGGGCUGAAGGAUGAUAUUAGCAUAGAUUAGAUAGUAUUAGAAACGUGUAAUAGAUAAAUGUAAUUAACAUUUGAUGAUUAAAUAAAGGGUUUUUAUUUAUGAGUAAUGUUACUAUCUUAUGUUAAUUGUUUAACUAUUGUUUCACUUUGCAUGUUUUGACUUCCAGAAUAAUAGAAUUUAUUAGGAAUAAUCGAAUUAUUCAAAUUGUCCACAAAUCGUUCAUAUGUUGGAAGUAGAUAUGAAUGAAGAUUGUCGUGAAUUGGUGCGUAGAUUAUCUAAAUGGUAUUAGACAUAGCAAAGGAUUUCUACGACGUUCAUGAGUGCUUAUGAACUGGUUUUGAGCAUUGGAACAAACCCGCGCUUGCUGGAAUCACCGUAUGGAAUAUGAUAUAUAAAAGGUGAUCGCGAGACGAUAAUAUCAUAUAGUCUUAAAACCUAGAUAUAUGGUUUAUUAUUUGCUAUUUGAUUAUACAUUGAUAAUGUGAAAACGCAUUGGUAACUCAAUGUUAUAAAACGCAUUGUUGUGUAUAGUUGAUUAUUGAAUAAGUAAAUGCAUAUAAGUCGAAGUUUAUCUGUAAAUUUUAUCCUAAGAGGGUAGAAGAGAUAUCUCGGCCGCUCGAUGAUUUGAUUUGACUUAUGUGCCGGGCCCGGUCAGAACUAAAUUGAUGUGUUCGAUUAAGUUCUAUGUCAAAUAAAUCGGAGAUCGAUAAACCUAAAUGCUUGACUAAUCAUUCCAUAGAAUUGUCAGCAUGAUAUCUAACAGAGGACUGUAAGAUCCCUUAUCUAAAGGACAAGAUUGAUUAGAUCAGAGUUCGACAACGUCUUUGAGAGCUACAAUUACAAAUCGAAUUGUACUUGUGCAUAUAGUUACUAGACUUAUCCAAGUGGGAGAUUGUUGGAAUAGUGUCUAAGGCUGCAACUAUAUUAGGCAAGUAUUUGACCCGAUUGUGCAUGGUCCUUUUGGGUUGCCUUCACCAUAGCAACUUGAUAGGAUGAUUUAUUAUGAGAGAAUAGAUAUUAUUAAUAUAUUAUGAGAAUAAUAUAAGGAUUAAUAAUAUAGUUAUUUAACUAAUAUAAGUCAUAGAUUAAUUAGUAUUAAUUUGGUGACUUAAAGAGAUUAAUUAAAUAAGAGGGUAUAAACUGUCAAUUGUUUGAUAGUUACACUUUAGGCUGUAAAUCCUUAAAGAUAAGAGGGUGGAAGAAUUAUAGGGACAUUGGAUAGCUCAAAAUCGUCCAAGGCUUAUCUAAGGUUAGGAUUAGGAUUGCUUAGAGAUUAAGUUAUCCAAUUAGGGUUUAAGGGUGAAACCCUAGGAGCCUUACAAGUAUAAAUAGACCCCUUGGGCAUAAGAAAUCUGCACCUCCUUCAAAGUAAAGAAGCCCGGGCCGAUUUCUUCCUCCAACCUCUCUCUCAAAUCAACCUCUUGCUAGUUGGUGUUUGUAAGCCAUUAGAGGAGUGACAAUUGUGACUCUAGAGCUCCAAGACAAUAAUAUCAAACAAGAGAAUCAAAGGUAUGUUUCUAGAUCUGAUUUGUAUUGUUCUUAUUCUUAAUUAGUCAUUAGAGGUCUUGGGUAGAAAGCAUGUUUAAUUAGAGAAGCCAUAGAUCCAAGCAUUAGGGUUUGCAUGUGCACAUAGGAAUGUUCAUAUGGCCAAAACCCAUCAAAAAAUUCUCUUGACAACAAUAAGAUGUGAAAGUUUAGGAUUAGCCUAAUAAUUUGCGCAUCGACACACUGCAAACAUAAUGUCUGGACGGCUUGCAGUAAGAUACAUCAACGAACCGAUCAUCGAUCUGUUGUGAGUUUGAUCUACGGAUUCACCUUCAAUAUCUGGAGUGGGCAGAGGUCUUUCGGCCAUUGGCGUCAAAGCAGGUUUAGCGUCAUGAAACCCGAACUUCUCAAGAAUAUCCUCCACAUAUUUAGCAUGAUGUAGCAGAAUUCUGGUUGAACUUUGUUUGACAUGAAACCCCAAAAACAUGGUCAUUUCUCCCAACGAACUCAUCUCAAACCUCUUCUUCAUCACACCUUCAAACUCUUUGCAAAGUUACGGACUGGUCGACCCGAAGAUAAUGUCAUCAACGUAGAUUUGGACAAGAAUCUGAUUAUUAUCCACAUAUUUGAUGAAUAAAGUUUGAUCGAUAGUGCCACGAGAGUAUCCAUGCUCGAGCAAAUACUUUGUGAGAGUCGCAUACCACGCUCGUGGAGCUUGAUGUAACACAUACAACGCCUUGUCUAACUUGUUGACAUGAUUAGGAAACUUCAAGUUAACAAAACCCAGGGGUUGAUCAACAUAGAUCUCUUCCUGCCAUACAAGAAAGCAGUCUUGACAUCCAUUUGGUACACUGUAAAUUUCAUAUAAGAGGCAUAUGCAAGGAAGAUACAAUUAACCUCCAAGCGAGCCACCAGAGCAUAAACCUCAGUAUAAUCAAGACCCUCAACUUGUCGAAACCCACAGACCACCAAUCUUGCUUUAUUGCGUUCUAUAACACCCGAAUCAUCCUGCUUGUUUUGAUAGACCUAAUGUGUGUCAAGAGACUUUUUACCCUUUGGUAACUCAACCAAUUUCCAAACCCCGAGCUUUUCAAAUUGAUUCAGCUCUUUAUGCAUAACAUCUACCCAACUGGGCUCAUUCAAAUCGAUUUCUACAUUCUUGGGCUCUAUUUGAGAAAUAAAGCAAGAAUAGAGACAUGUGUUGACAUCUCCAAUCUGACUUCUGGUUCUAACUCUGUCGCCCAGCUGACCAACGAUGUUUUCGAUCAGAGUAUUGCGUUGAAGUCUUGAAGGUAUCUCCUAGCUGAUAUCAUUGAGUGAGACAGGAAGAUUAUGAAUGUUGACACCUCCAUCAUUUGCUGAUUGUUCUGCAUUAGAUGAUUCAGCUACAAACUCAUUAGUGAUGUCUUCAGGAAAGAGUUGUUCCAUGAACGUUGAAGUAACAGCGAAAGCAUCUCUAGUCAUGAACUCUCUUUCAAUAGGGGUAAGAUGAUGGGUUCUGGUCAUAAGAACAUCCUAUGUGCUCAUACAAACCCUAAGGCUUGGAUCUAGGUUUCUCUUUUGUACAUGCAAGUUAUCCAAGACUAUAAACCCUAAUUCUAGCAUACAAGUAAUCAUAUUAACAUAAGCAUGGGUUUAAGAUAUUACCUUGAUUGUUAUAUCGCAAUAACAAUCCCAAUUCAUUCUUUUAUUGACUUUAGAAAGCCUAGAGUCACAAAUGUCACUCCUCUAAUGGUUCACAAACACCAAGAGCAAGAGCAUGAAGACGAGAGAGGAAGGAGGCUGCCCUAAAACGUGUGAAACACUAGAAGGAUGCUUAGCCAUGUUUUUGGGUCAUAAGGGAUCUAUAUAUAGUGAGGCUAUUAGGGUUGUCUAACAAGGAAACCCUAAUUUGGAUGCUUAAGCCCUAAGGAACCCAUGGACACCUUUCCUUAAAGGCAUUGGACGAUUUAUUAUGGGUUUCCCCAUAGAAUUCGUCCACUCCUUAAUAUAAGGCAAUCCAUAGCCCAAAUUGCAAUUAUCUUAUAAUUACAAUUUCAGUCCCUUAAGUUUAAUUAAUCUCUUUCAGUCACAAAACUAAUUACCAAUUAAUUCUUGACUAAUAUUAAUUAAACAAUAUGAUUUCUCCUUUAAUAUAUUAUUCUCAUAAUAUAUUAAUAAAUCAUAUUUAAUCCUUUCUCUCCAUAAUUCAUCCUAUCAAGUUGCUUUGGUGAAGGCAACCCAAAAGGACCAUGCACCAUUGGGUCAAGUACAUACGAAAAUAGUUAUCGACUUACACACCAAUCCAACAUUCUCUGAUAUGUGCAUAAUUAGUUAAUUAUUUAACAUAUAUUCUUAGUUAUUUUUGAUUAAUUAUGAGAAUAAUGUGGACAAAAGGUACUUAAAAUGUUGAGAAUUGUGUUUUCAGUCCAAAAGAUAUGCUUGGAGGCAAAAAGGAGAAAAGGAAAGCAAGUGAAGAUUAAAGAGUGAAAGAAGGAGUUCUACUCGGCGAGUAGAUCGACCCUACUCGGCGAGUGCACGACGAUAUGCCAGAAGAUAAAUACGACUGCUAAUUCAAGACGGAUAAGUAUGGACCUACUCGGCGAGUUGAUUCUGCUACUCGCCGAGUACCCUCUGUUUUGGGAUAUCUAUAAAAGACGAAUCCUUAUUCCANNNNNNNNNNNNNNNNNNNNNNNNNNNNNNNNNNNNNNNNNNNNNNNNNNNNNNNNNNNNNNNNNNNNNNNNNNNNNNNNNNNNNNNNNNNNNNNNNNNNNNNNNNNNNNNNNNNNNNNNNNNNNNNNNNNNNNNNNNNNNNNNNNNNNNNNNNNNNNNNNNNNNNNNNNNNNNNNNNNNNNNNNNNNNNNNNNNNNNNNNNNNNNNNNNNNNNNNNNNNNNNNNNNNNNNNNNNNNNNNNNNNNNNNNNNNNNNNNNNNNNNNNNNNNNNNNNNNNNNNNNNNNNNNNNNNNNNNNNNNNNNNNNNNNNNNNNNNNNNNNNNNNNNNNNNNNNNNNNNNNNNNNNNNNNNNNNNNNNNNNNNNNNNNNNNNNNNNNNNNNNNNNNNNNNNNNNNNNNNNNNNNNNNNNNNNNNNNNNNNNNNNNNNNNNNNNNNNNNNNNNNNNNNNNNNNNNNNNNNNNNNNNNNNNNNNNNNNNNNNNNNNNNNNNNNNNNNNNNNNNNNNNNNNNNNNNNNNNNNNNNNNNNNNNNNNNNNNNNNNNNNNNNNNNNNNNNNNNNNNNNNNNNNNNNNNNNNNNNNNNNNNNNNNNNNNNNNNNNNNNNNNNNNNNNNNNNNNNNNNNNNNNNNNNNNNNNNNNNNNNNNNNNNNNNNNNNNNNNNNNNNNNNNNNNNNNNNNNNNNNNNNNNNNNNNNNNNNNNUUUCCUGUUUUAAUUAUGGGGUGUUGUUUGUUGCUGUGUUCUUGGUAUGUUUAUGCAGAUAGCAUGGCAAGGAGAGGACAGUCAUCACGUGGAGGAGGCCAUGGUGAUAUGCCAUGGUUAGCCUUUCAACAAAUCACCUCCAAAUCCUCCAAAACUCGAGCCCUAAACAGGUUGGAGGCGCUGCGACAGAAAGAAAUCCACUUGCCCAAUGCAGUGGAUUGGGGAUGGAUGGGCAAUGUCGGCUUGGAAGAGGAACUUACUCCAUAUUUGGUGAAAGAUUGUAACUUGGGUUAUGCCAACAUCACUUGUGAUGGUUGGUUGCAAUUGUUUAAAAUACAAGAGCCAGUAUACGCGGAGUUGUGCUGGGAAUUCUUUGCUACCAUUUCAUUCCGAGGUGGUAGUGAGUAUUACAAUCCAAACACGAUCUCGUUUUCUUUGGGAGGAGAGCUGCGACAAUGCAGCAUGGUUGAGUUCUCUUGGCGGUUGGGCAUCUACGAUCAAGACAUGUCGAUGACGGAAUACUUUGAAGCCUUCUUGGAGAAUACCUACAAAGAACUUCCCGAGGGGGUGUGGCGUCGACAUGGUGGAGUACAAUUGCUAACCGGGUCUACAUACCUUCCACUGCUCAAGAAGGUCAUAUCCGUUCUCCAAUCCAUCGACUCAUUCACCGGUUCGUUGCAAGCACGAUCAACAUGCGGAAGGAUGGGGACAAAGUUCCCACCCUUGAUAUCUUUUACUUGUGGAGUAUCAUCACUCCCGAUGUCUUCUGCAACCUCUCGUACUGCGUUGCUAAAUUUCUUGCGGAGGGAGCGGUUAAGGAGAAGAUAAACUCGAAGAUCAAUGGGGGCAUGUUCAUUACUCGGCUUGCGAGAUCAUUUGGGAUCUUGGAAUUGCCGCAAGCUCAAACGCUAACGAUUAUCCACCCUCCUCCGUUCAACACUGCACUUUAUAGGAGGGCUCGGAUAGUUGAAAAUUUUGGUGAUUCUUUUACUAUCCCGAAUGAGGAUGAGCCGGCGGUCCCCGAGGAGCCGGGAAGGCGGGUUAGGCCAAGGAGCGAGCGGGUACGAGAAGAUCCACCGGUUAUUCCGGUGGAGGAUAACGAGGGAUGGAACCAAGUGGAGUAUCGACACUACUUGGAUGAUAUAGGGCGAGGGGUUAAUUACACCAAUCAAUCCUUCGAGUAUCUUUUCCAACAAAUGCAUAUUGACCCGCGACCGGGACCCGGCUACCCUUACAUUAUGGAUUGGGACGAAAGGAUGCGAAGAAGGGGUGGAGAAGGAGGUAGUGGAGCUGGAGGAGCCGGGAUGGAAGAGGAAGAAUGAAGAUUUUAUUUUAUUUUGUUUUGUUUGGUUAUGAUGUUUGUUUUAAGACAAUUGUGGACAUGUUGAAUUUGGCUAUGUGGUUGGAAUAUUAGUGUUACUUUUAGUUUUCUUUUCAGGUAUUGAAGCUAGGAAGCAUGCUAUUUAGGAAGGGUCAAGAGAGGAAUGAGAGUCUUUAUGAGUGAUUAUGGAGUCUUGUUCCUAGGAUUGAGUCCGUACGAAUCGAGAGUUUAUUGAAGUGUUGCUGCUUAGGAAGUUCACGGGAGAGUACAUUUAUGUUUCCAUGUCAACACUAGCGUAAAGAGAGACAGCGGUUCAUAAAACUCUGGAAAUAUAAGCUCUACUCGCCGAGUGCACUAAUACUACUCGGCGAGUACAUCUGCUUUUGCACGAACUACUUUGCCAAUCGAGUUCUACUCGCCGAGUUUGAUCACCUACUCGCCGAGUAGCCUGCUGCAAGAGGAGUUUCUGAUUUGUUCUGGCUAGUUUUUCUGCGCCAUUCAUACACUCUUUAUGAAUUACUACUGAGGAUUGUGCAACAACCCUUUUUCCUUGGAGUUUUCGAGCUAUCAACCACACGAGACGUAUGACGCCCGUGCCAUGGAUGAGCUGUUCCCAUGGUUAAAGUCACUAGAAGAAGGAGUUGAAGAAGAGAGUGUCAACCUAGCGACUGCUACCCCAGGGGAGUUUGUUCCAACUUUCUCUCUAUUUGCAUUUUUAGUUGUUAUAAUAUGCAAUGAGGGCAUUGCAUAAAAUAAGUGUGGGGUAGGGGUUAGUCAGAUCUUAGAACACUUAGAAUCUUAAUUUAGGCUAAUUUUUAAAUUUGUUGAAUAUUAAAAAUGCUAGGGCUAAUUUAGAAAAUUUUGGUAAAAGUAAUUAGGAUUCCAUACUAGUAUUAUGUUGAUAAUUGCAUGAAAACCCAAAUGUUUAGUUGAGUCUUUAUACGUUCUAGUGCAUUUGUGGCUUCCUUAUUUCAGUGAAAUCAUGAGACAAAAACACGACCUUGCUCAGCCUGAGGGAUGCAAUAUGUUUAGCAGCCUAAACCUGAAAUGUAUCCAGGAAAGUUUUUAUCAUUAGCCAAUAAAGGUUGAGAUUGAGCGCCCCUGCUUAAGCAUGUAGGGAUUUGAGUGAAAAAAAAUAUUGAGAAAUACAUGAAAAAAAAGAAUUGCUAGAAAAGUUAUAGGAAUUUUGGAGCAAAUGAAGUGAAGAUCUGAAGAUCAAAAUUCCAAGAAAUCUAAAAAGUUGAAGAUACCAAAAAAAUCCAAGAAGGUGGUGAAUUCAAAGAAAUCAAAGAUCAAAUUAUCAAGAAAGAGAAGAAUUCAAAAGAAUUCCAUAGUGGUAUUGAAAAGUUAUAAUUCUAGAUUAUGUAUGCUUGGGUUGCUCAAUUAAAAAUACCUUGAGGGUAAAGAGAUUUUCUGAGGAUGGAUUCGGAGGGUUGCAUAAAAUGAGCAUAGUUCGGGGUGAGUGGGCGAAUGUUUAUGAGGAUUGUGAGUAUUUGGAGUAUGGGGGGUUCUUUAGAAAAGUUUAGACACAAAUGCAUGCGUUGCGGUCUUGGCAUAAUGGCUGGGUUGGAUUGGAGUUAUUAAUGUGAUUUUAAUGUGUUUAAAAUUUAGUUUUGCUUGGGGGCAAGCAAAAGUCAAGUGUGGGGUAUUUUGAUAUGUGCAUAAUUAGUUAAUUAUUUAACAUAUAUUCUUAGUUAUUUUUGAUUAAUUAUGAGAAUAAUGUGGACAAAAGGUACUUAAAAUGUUGUGAAUUGUGUUUUCAGUCCAAAAGAUAUGCUUGGAGGCAAAAAGGAGAAAAGGAAAGCAAGUGAAGAUUAAAGAGUGAAAGAAGGAGUUCUACUCGGCGAGUAGAUCGACCCUACUCGGCGAGUGCACGACGAUAUGCCAAAAGAUAAAUACGACUGCUAAUUCAAGACGGAUAAGUAUGGACCUACUCGGCGAGUUGAUUCUGCUACUCGCCGAGUACCCUCUGUUUUGGGAUAUCUAUAAAAGACGAAUCCUUAUCCCAUGGGAAGGCAUUCUUGGCGAUUUUUGAAGGAUUAGCUGCGACUAAAAGGUUCAGAAGGCGCUAAGGAACCCUAAGCUUCAAGAGUUGGAAGAAUUCAAGCAAUUAGGUUAAUUCUACCACUUAGACUUAGGAAUUAAACAUGUUUGCNNNNNNNNNNNNNNNNNNNNNNNNNNNNNNNNNNNNNNNNNNNNNNNNNNNNNNNNNNNNNNNNNNNNNNNNNNNNNNNNNNNNNNNNNNNNNNNNNNNNNNNNNNNNNNNNNNNNNNNNNNNNNNNNNNNNNNNNNNNNNNNNNNNNNNNNNNNNNNNNNNNNNNNNNNNNNNNNNNNNNNNNNNNNNNNNNNNNNNNNNNNNNNNNNNNNNNNNNNNNNNNNNNNNNNNNNNNNNNNNNNNNNNNNNNNNNNNNNNNNNNNNNNNNNNNNNNNNNNNNNNNNNNNNNNNNNNNNNNNNNNNNNNNNNNNNNNNNNNNNNNNNNNNNNNNNNNNNNNNNNNNNNNNNNNNNNNNNNNNNNNNNNNNNNNNNNNNNNNNNNNNNNNNNNNNNNNNNNNNNNNNNNNNNNNNNNNNNNNNNNNNNNNNNNNNNNNNNNNNNNNNNNNNNNNNNNNNNNNNNNNNNNNNNNNNNNNNNNNNNNNNNNNNNNNNNNNNNNNNNNNNNNNNNNNNNNNNNNNNNNNNNNNNNNNNNNNNNNNNNNNNNNNNNNNNNNNNNNNNNNNNNNNNNNNNNNNNNNNNNNNNNNNNNNNNNNNNNNNNNNNNNNNNNNNNNNNNNNNNNNNNNNNNNNNNNNNNNNNNNNNNNNNNNNNNNNNNNNNNNNNNNNNNNNNNNNNNNNNNNNNNNNNNNNNNNNNNNNNNNNNNNNNNNNNNNNNNNNNNNNNNNNNNNNNNNNNNNNNNNNNNNNNNNNNNNNNNNNNNNNNNNNNNNNNNNNNNNNNNNNNNNNNNNAACCAAUUAAAUUAUUCAGGAAGUCAAAACAUGCAAAGUGAAACACAAGAAUAAUACUAAUCCCAUAUGGCCUCAAACCUUUGAGUAUAAAUAAAACACCUUUUAUUUAUCACCAUAUCGAUUACUCAUUAUUUGUCGUUUCGGGUAAUCAACUUCUUACUUGAAUUAUUACACUUGUCCCAUGCUCUUUCGCAUGCACACAAUGUUUACCUAUGGUUCUUACUUUGUGAAAUAGAUCAAACUGAACACAUUUGCAAUCAUUAUCAUUUCACAACUCCAAAUCCUUUUUCAUAAGUGAAAGAAUAUCAAAUUCUUGGUACUUAUAGAAUAUGCUAGAUUCCAACAUUUUAUGCAAUGAUCCUUUCGUAAUGUCACUGCACCAAAGUCAAAAACACUAUUGCCAAUGAUAUUACAAAGUCCUCUAUCGGAGAUUGUUACAAGGCAACUCCUUAGAUAUGAUGUCUCUCAUUCAAAGUACAUUCUUUUGAACAUCCUUUUGCAUAAAUGUUUCUAAUCUAGACAUAGAUUUUCAAUAUUCAAUUACCAAUAUGGACACGUUUCAAUAUUUUCCAUAUGACAACUCAUUCUUAAUAGAAUCUUAUCUAUUCAUAAUAAUAUCGAUAUGGUCCAUCCAAUACUAUACUUCCAACUACUCACAAGCAACCAAUCCUCGUCGAACUUUGGAUUGUCCUUUGAUAGUUGUUUAAUUAUCUUAGUCAAAACCGAUUCUUGUCCUUUUUCCCUCUUAAUGCGCUAGACAUUUGGAAUGGUCAAAUAUUAAAGCAUUUGCAAUCGAUCUUAUACCCGAAGCGUAUGGGACACGAUGCAUAAUGUCUUACAUAAAGAUUUGAUACUUUAUCAAUCUUCUGCCAUAAUAUUUUAUUUGCUAUGUUCUCAAAAUUUUAAUUAUGAAGAGGAAUGCCGUAAUCAUAAAUGAAAUUUUAAGAACACACUUUGUACCUUUGACUAAAUUUAUUAACAUUUCUCAACCUAAGCCUUUAGAUUUGAAAUGAAGCAUAAUAUUCUCCCCCUUAAUUAUAGGAAAACAACUAUUCAAACCUUACAACUUUGCAAUGUAUGACUCUUGUUUUCUAUAAUUAAUAUUACCAACUUACAAUACUUUCCUUAAUAAUCAUACAAUCAUAACAUUCAAGCUCCAACUAUCAUGAUGAUUAUUAUAACACUUAUGCUCCCACUAGCUUUGACAUGUAUUCAGAAACAGCUUAACUUUCAGAAAAACAAUACUUAUUGAAUUUUCUUAAGUUCAUGUUUCUAAUACUUAGUGCUUUGAUAAUCUUUUAUCAAGGCUUCUUGAACUUAUACACCUUUUCCUUAGAUAGUUCAUAUGUGUGUCUAAACAAUUAAGACUAAUUGCCAAACCUCACAAUUCAAAUCAUGGAAAGGGAUACCGUAACCAUAAUUGAAUUCGAGAAUGCAAUUUUACAAUCACUGUCUUCUUAAAAUCUUUCUUAGUGAAAGCAUUUCCUCACAAUCAUUUUCAUGAAGGAGGAAAUCUUAUGACACUUAGAUUUAAACGGUGUAUGUGUUCCUAUCCAUGUGAAUUUGUUAAAACCAAAGUUUAUGACAAAUUCAAACUCAUAUGGACCAAACUUUCUUAAUCUUGAUUUCUUGCCUUAUGGUAGCACAGCUGCCCACCAUGUCUUCCAAGUAGUUGAGCAGCUCACCCUUUCCUAUCAAUGUACCUUUCAUUUAUUCAGGUGCCUUGCCUUUUAAGCAUUCAAAAUGAGAACUCAUAGAACUCACAUGCAUAAUUAACUCAAUUAGAACAGCACAAAAACAAAAUACUGUCAACACAAUAGGUUGUAAAACUCAACUUGUGUGCUAGUGAUGAUCGAUAAGGUUUAUUUGAUUUGUUCUUGAAACCUUUCAAGACCAUUAAGACUCCCACUGACUCCUUGACAUAUAAGAUUCUCUUGUCAAUAACCAUUUCUUGACAAACAAAUAUUCAAGAGUUAGUGUAGCUUUUAUCAAAACACUUCAUAAAUUGGUCCUAGUUGGUCUUUGUCUUAUCCAAGACAUCACAACUUUCCACAUUUGAUGAAUGUUAUAAACCUUCUUAAUACUUAUUCACUCAAUGUCACAAUCUUAACUCUAAGACUUGUUUUGGAACGAAGUAUGAUUGACUUCUUGAUUUAACCAUUUCUUCAAUUCUUGAUUCCUCUUCUUAAACAUACAAUUGUACUAAGACUCACUUAGAGGAUCAAUUGAGAUAUGGUUCUUAAUCAUUAAGACCUAUCAUAAAGCAUAAAAGGUACUCUCCCUUCUUCUUAGAAUGGAGAAACUUUUAUCUUUCUGCCUACUUGAUUCUUCUUAUUCGUUCUGCUAUUGAUUUAAACUUUUUCAAUCAAUUCAGAAUUACACUUAAUCUUAUAAGUAUAAUCAUAUUUACUAAACCUUUAGUAAAUCAUGACGAAUAUCUUUGUUACUCUUAUGGUGGACUUGAUCAACACGCAACUUUGUGUACUCGAUCUCCUAGUCCUUCACUUGACACUUUGUCAAUGGAUUAGUCUAAUUUCCAAAUAUGAAAUUUCUCAUUCAUCGUGCAACCAAGUUGCAUGAUACCAAGUUUCUGUCCAAUUGAAACUUGGGCGAUGAGAAACUCUCCUUAUUUGGUAAAUUCUCGACAUUUCCAUAAAUAAGAAUCAUAUCCAUUCGUUGUAGAAAUAUGCAAACAUCAAUUUUCAUAACGAUUUCAUUGCAAGGAAAUAAACAAAUAAAUAAAUAAGUCAAACCAAAAUUUAUUUUAUUUAUAAAGCAACGGAAAACAUUUGUCCUUACAAUGCAAAAUCCUUUUAAAACUAUGUAGUCGAAUAUUCCUAACAAUUCUAUCAUAAAUAUCUAAGCUCAAAAUCAAAUCUUCAAGUCCAUGCGAUUGAGAUCCAUUUCUUUGUGAUUAGACUCGUCUUGCUCUUUCAUCAAGCUUCCUUUCUUUUCACCGAUCCUGCAAAAGAUUCAAAUACAAUAUUAUCACAUCUUGUAUUAAGAAUCAACGAAUAGGAACUUAAUGGAGUUAGAUAGUGUAUUUUUACCUGAAGCACAACCAUACUCUUUGACUUUCCCAUCUUUGGAAUCUUCAGGCUCUUGGGGCAGACUUCUAUCCAACGCCCUUUCUCUUGGCAGCAAACGCAGGUCGCUUCUCUUAGAACGUCCUCGAAAGCAUGGUCAGUUGACUUUCCCAACAAAUAUGCUCCAUUGCUUCGCCAAAUCAUUUCUGAUUCAGCAACAAUGAGCAUGUAAGUUAGGUCAAUGAGGUUAUCGUCAUGAUCCAUCAUAUAAUACUUUCUUUUGAACUCAUUAUAUGAUUCAGGGAGUGACUGCAGAACCCAGUUCACAGCCAACUCAUCGGGAAAUGACACACCCAACAUAAUCAACCUAUCGAUGUGUGAUUUCAUUCCUAGAAUGUGGGCACACACGGAUUUACCAUCUUCAUGUUUCAUUUUCAAUAGGGCCUUAGUGAUAUUGAACCUUUCAAUUCUUAGAUCUUGUGGGUUAGGGAGAACAAUUGGAGGAGNNNNNNNNNNNNNNNNNNNNNNNNNNNNNNNNNNNNNNNNNNNNNNNNNNNNNNNNNNNNNNNNNNNNNNNNNNNNNNNNNNNNNNNNNNNNNNNNNNNNNNNNNNNNNNNNNNNNNNNNNNNNNNNNNNNNNNNNNNNNNNNNNNNNNNNNNNNNNNNNNNNNNNNNNNNNNNNNNNNNNNNNNNNNNNNNNNNNNNNNNNNNNNNNNNNNNNNNNNNNNNNNNNNNNNNNNNNNNNNNNNNNNNNNNNNNNNNNNNNNNNNNNNNNNNNNNNNNNNNNNNNNNNNNNNNNNNNNNNNNNNNNNNNNNNNNNNNNNNNNNNNNNNNNNNNNNNNNNNNNNNNNNNNNNNNNNNNNNNNNNNNNNNNNNNNNNNNNNNNNNNNNNNNNNNNNNNNNNNNNNNNNNNNNNNNNNNNNNNNNNNNNNNNNNNNNNNNNNNNNNNNNNNNNNNNNNNNNNNNNNNNNNNNNNNNNNNNNNNNNNNNNNNNNNNNNNNNNNNNNNNNNNNNNNNNNNNNNNNNNNNNNNNNNNNNNNNNNNNNNNNNNNNNNNNNNNNNNNNNNNNNNNNNNNNNNNNNNNNNNNNNNNNNNNNNNNNNUAAGUAACUAAGAUUGGGAAUUUGUAAAACAUUUAGUUACUUUUGUACUUCAUUAUACUUAUAAUGGAAGGUUUCGUCCUAUCCUACCCGUUCGGCUAACGACCCACCACUAGUCAAGAGUGCGGUGGGUAGGAGUGGAUACCCAUUCAAUUGCCAUUUUAUAGGCAAUUUCCAUAAACACCCCUCAUAGACCAGCUUCGUGAAUGAGGCCCACUAACGGUAAGACUGACUUUUACUCAUACAUAUAUAUAAUGUUAGACUUUUAAUGUUAUAUAUAGUAUAGGGUGUAUUUUACACUUUUAAAAUAAUAGGUGGUCUAAUUUACCAAUUAUACUUUUAAUUCAAUUAAAUUGUAAACCUACACUUUUAUGGAUUUAUUAAACCUCCUUUAAUUAUACACCUUAAUUAAUUAAUAAAACCAUAAGGAUGUGAUUUGAACUUUUCAAAAUAAUACUAGGGUUUUAGAAUUUAACAUUCCUAAUUAAACUUUUAAUCAACUUUUAAAUUCCAAAACUUGAGGGCAAGUUUUGAAACAUUUCAAAACAUUAGGGUUUAGAAUUUAAAUAUACAUCAAAAUUAAACUAUUCAUCAAAAUUUAAAUUCCAAAUCUUGAGGGCAAUUUUGAAACCUUUUUCAAAACAUUAGGGUUUUAACUAUUUAAAUUUCAAGACAACAAAACUAUGAGUUCAAGUUUAAUUAAUCUCUUUUAGUCACAAAACUAAUUACCAAUUAAUUAUUGACUAAUAUUAAUUAAACAAUAUGAUUUCUCCUUUAAUAUAAUAUAUUAAUAAAUCAUAUUUAAUACUUUCUCUCCAUAAUUCAUCCUAUCAAGUUGCUUUGGUGAAGGCAACCCAAAAGGACCAUGCACCAUCGGGUCAAGUACAUACCAAAAUAGUUAUGGACUUAGACACUAAUCCAACAUAAGAGGUGUAGCAUCAGCAUCUGGAGUAACAACUUGAACUGGAGACUUUGGACUACCAAGUGGAACUGAUGACUUCCCCUCAGGUGUAGCGGAUGACUCCCCCUUAGAUGGUGAAGAGUUUAUUGUUAGAGGUCUGUAGACAACUUCUUCGUCUUCAUCUUCAGAAUCAAUCCUCGAACCAGAGGAAGAUCCAGAUAAACUAUCCAAUGAAACAUUGAUAGAUUUGAAAAGCCACGUGUAAUAAAAUAACCAAUCCGGACCCACUCGAGCAUCCCUUUCAUUCUCCUCCAACCAGCACACAUCAUAGGAUUCCACGAUCUGCUUUGUCUUCUUGUUAUAGAUCCUAUAAGCGGUGAGUGCAACAUACCCUACAAAAUUACAAUCAUCGGCUUUGGCAUUAAACUUUGGGUUGGAUUCCAGGUGAAGAAGGGUGAAAGGGCAGCCAAAUACGCGGACGUGACUGACUAAAGGCUUGUGACCAUAUAGAAUCUCGUACGGUGUCUUCAUCUGAGCUUUGUUGAUCAGCACAAGGUUUUGAACGUAGCAUGCAGUGUUGAUCACCUCAGCCCAAAAGAAAACUGGCAACUUUGAAUCACACAGCAUCAUCCUUACGGCGUCUUUUAAUGUUCUGUUUCUCCUUUCAGCAACACCAUUUUGUUGAGGUGUGUGAGCGGAGCUGUGUUGACACAUAAUCCCCUUUUCUACGCAAAAAUGAUCAAGAAUAGAAUUCUUGAACUCUAUUCCAUUGUCAGUACGAAGCGCCUUCACCUGAUUGUUGGUUUGGUUCUCAAUUAAAACAAUGAACUUCUUAAUCAGAUCAGCAACUCCAGCUUUGUUGGACAAAAAGAAAACCCACGUGAACCGAGAGAAAUCAUCAAUGACAACCAGACAGUAUGAACUUCUGUUGAUGCUGAGGACGUUCACCGGACCAAAUAAUUCCAUAUAUAAUAAUUGGAGCUCCUGGCUGAUUGAGUUAACCUAUUUUGUCAGGUGUGGUUUUCUAUGGUGCUUUCCCUUUGCACAUGACUCACACUUCUCAAACGUUAUGAAGACUUUGAUAGGUAAGCCUCGGACCAUCUCAUUCUUCACAAGACGAUUAAGAUUUUUAGUGUUUGCAUGACCGAGUUUUCGAUGCCACAACAAUGCGUUCUGUUCGGAGACCUUUGAAAAGAGGCAAGUGAUUUGUUUGGGAAUGUUGCUCUUCAUAUCGAUAAUGUAAGCAUCUCCAUCCCGCUUAGAUUUAACGAGAAUCCACUCUUCCGGGAUGACAAUGCCUGGCUUGAGAAUCAUGUAUUCCUUGUCGGUGAAAUGUGUAGAGUACCCUUUGUCACAGAUUUGAGAUACACUCAACAAACUAUGUUUCAACUCGGGAGCAAAGUUGACAUUCUAGAAACCUAGCACUCCAUUUGUAAAGAUUCCUCUCCGUGUGAUCUUGCCACCUUCUCCGCCCGAAAAAGAAAUGAAUCCCCUAUUUAAUGAUUGAAUGUGGCACAGUUGGGAGAUGUCUCCUAUCAUAUGUCGGGAGUAGCCGCUGUUGACAUACCAAGGUCUGAUGACAUUCCUCUGCAACUAUCCCUGCAACAUGGGCGGGAUCAAUUAGAUUUGGGAACCCAGGUCAUCACUUUCCUGGGUUGACCCUUUCCUUUCUGAGAUUGAUCAUGAUUUAAAACCUUUUCAGAGGAUACAAACGAUUGAUUAGAAGUUGUUUUGGGCAUCCAUUGAUAGUUGGGUUUCUUAGCAGUCACCGGUGAUUUUGAGAUUUGUUUCUUAUUAGUAUGCAUUAAGCACCUGGGUUUUCUACCAGAAGUGGUUGAAGACCCAGAACUGCUUUUUGACGAAACCAAUCUUGGCAGAGCCUUGUUCGGUUUUGGCAAACUAUUGGUGACACUGUUAUGAGAAAUCCUUUUAUUCUUUUGAAAAUAUGCCCUUAUUCUACUUCGAUCAUCCUUCCAAUCAUCAUCCUGAGCACGAGUUCUAGAGGAUUUUCUAAUUAAAGACCUUCCUCUAGAUUUGUUCUCUCCUCUUGGUGACAUAUAAUGUACAAACAUCCUAUUUUUACAAUUUCUGGCUAUAUGACAACCAACACCAUAGUUAAAACAAAUCUGAUUAUUAUUAUUCAAUUUGGUACUACUUUUCUCAGAUUUUUUUAAUGACACCCUUACUUUUCCCACACGAGCAUGAACUAGAGGCAGGUUGUGAAACAAGUGAGGGUGUAUCAGAUGAUGUGACCUAUGGUAUUGGGGUAUUUUCAUUAAAAGCAUGAAAAAUAGUAGUAUUAUCAAUAAAUUCAUCAAAUACCACAUGAGAGUUUAAUUCAACAAAAGCAGAAGUAGAUGCAGGAGUAUCAAAAAUAACAUUGUCUUUCUCAACAUCAAAAACAUUAAAAUCGUUAUUAGAAACAGAAACAUGAGGUUCAAAAUCAAUUUUGUUAUCAGAAACAGAUCCUUCAACUUCGCUCUUUGAUUUAUCUAAGGAUUGAUCUGCGGGGGAAGUAGAAACGUUAGUAUUUUCAACAUUAAUAAAUCCUCCUGAAACAAAACCAUAUAGUUUGCCAUAAACCAUAAAUGGCUCGUUGGCAAUUUCCUCUUUAGUCAAGGGUUUAUACUGAUAUGAAUGAUUAAAAGGAGGGGGUACAUUGUCGUAUCCCAAACCCUUUUGCUGGUUGCGUUUGAACGGCAGGCAAUGAUCAAUCAUAUUGGACACCACCUCGGUUGAUACAUCAAAUUUUUUAAAAUCAAAAUUGGCAGUUUCAUAUUUUUCGUUUAAUGUAUCAAGCUCAUUAAGUAACUCAGUGUUCUGUUUCUUGAUAUAGUCAUAGUUCGUACAUUUAUUACUGUAUUCCUCCUGAAGUUUUCUAAAAUCCUUUAUUUUUGUUUCUAAUUGGGCUUUUAAAGGUUUUUGUCCUUUUCUAAGUUGAUAGCCCUAAUAUCUAAGGUCCUCUACUUCUCUAUGUAAAGUCUCCAUUUCAUCACGAAGAAUUUUUACAUAAUCAACACAAGCUUGAGAAUAAGAAGGCAAACUUACCUCAUUUUUAUUCGGUCUAGAAGUAGAAGACACUAUCAAAGCAAACUGCAGCUCCAUUACCUUUUCUUCAGCUGCAACACUUUCCACGGAAGCUUCAUCCUUUAUGUGUGCCAGGUGAGCAUUUUCAGGGCUUGAAAUGUUCAAAGCCUGAAUCUAUUCCUCCCAGCUAAAGGACUGAGCAACCAUAACUGUUUCACUAUUGGCGUGAGUACCUCCCCUGUUGUUUCCUACUACAACCAUUGUCCUUUCAUUAUUCAAUCUUUUAUCUGGUUUCGGACACUCACGAGCAAAAUGACCCAGCUCGUGACAGUUGAAGCACCACAGCUUCCCUUGUUGAAUCCCACCUUCUUAUCAGCUUUCAUUCCCAAUUAUUUUUCCCUGUCUUCUUGGAAAAAUGCUUAGCCCUGAAAAGAACCAUAACAAUUUGCCAUGUGAUGUCCAUCUCUUCCACAUCUUCUGGAUGAAUCCGAUCCAGAUCGGCAAAUGACAGAUCAGGAGGAAGCUCUCAAACUACGAAAGCAUUACAGCAGUUAACUAAUCCUGUGGCAAAAGCAAGAUUUUCAUCACAUUCCUUGGUGUUUGAGGAAGAUGCCACAACUGGUGUGUUGGAUGAGGGAACAGCUUGAGGAGCAACAGGUAGCUGGCUUUGAGGGUAUGGCAUGGAUGACGCAGCAGUAACGGUUUUGAUCGGAUGUCGUUGAGCAGCAAAUGCUUGGCCUGGAGCAGAUAUGAGUCAUGAAAGAGCGUUGUUGGAAGAAAUUCUGAGAUUUGCAUUCGAAUAUGAGGUCACAUGAUUGAUUUCUCUCUGUUUAUUAUCACAUGCUUUAAUGAUAGCCAUUGUUUCAGCAAGAGUAAGACGACUCAAGUCUUUGGUCUUCUUAAUAACUGCUACUUUCAUGUCCCAUGACUUUGGAAGGGCAUUCUGUAGCUUCUUGUUUUUAUCAAACUUGGUCAAGAAGAUUCCAACGAUAGUCAUUUCAGUGGUGAGAGUGGUGAACCGCUGCAGCUGAGCCUCUAGAGUCUCUCCAGGAAUAUAAUUGAACAUGUUGAACUUCUGUCUCAACAUAUCCUGGCAGCUUUCCUUCAUAUCUUCAUUUCCUUCAUACACUUCAAUCAGGGCUUCCCACAAGGAUUUAGAUGAUUUAUAUUCUCUGAAACCUUGAGCAAUAUCAGAAGAUAAUUCCAUUGUCAGAGUGGCCAAAGCUCUUUCCUGCUCUUCAACCCUUUCAAAAUCUUCAUCUGUGUAGUGUUCAACUGGUUUUUCAAAAAUUUGUCCGGCAACGGUGGUGGUUAUUCUAACAUGGUUCUUGAUUAUUCUUCUCCAGACCUUGUAACCUAUCAUUUUAAUGUAUUGUUCAAUUCGGUAUUUCCAUUCGGGAAAACCGUCUGCGGACAGAAGUCUCGGAAUGCAUGUAGUUGUCCCCAUGACAGAAUCUAGCUCAUUAUUAUGAUGAGAUUGACUUUGAGAAUCCAUUUUAAUUUGCUUAGGAACUAGUAAAGUGUCAAGAAUGAGUUUGCUUUCAAAAGUGCCUAGAAAAAUAUGUCAAGAAUGAGUUUGCGGUCACGAAUCAGUUUGCGUUAGGAGUUUACGGACGUAAACUGAGUUUACGGUCACUUAGUUUACGGUCAAAAGGUGGUUUAAGGUCAAUGAAGGUGUUAAGUUCACGGUCCAAGAACAACAUUUACGGUUGAUGAAUUUCUUGAGAUUACAGUUGUAAACUGGUGUUUACGAAUGUAAUCACUGGGCAAUAAACUCCCAGAACUUCACGAGAAGUUUGAUUUUUAGGGAAUUCAAUCCUUUCGAGCAGUAAAACUGACAAUCCCAAUCUCGAGCUUUGUAGAACUUGCCUUUAAAUGAUCAAGAAUUCGAUUAAGUGAAGUUUAAACACGGGUUCUUGCUUUGAUACCAAUUUUAAGUUUCUGGAACGGAUCUUACCAGUAGUCAAACAAACACACAAUCGAAAUAAUAAGAAAUAGGUGUAGAAAAUAGAUUAAAAUAAGCUUGCACAUACUUCUAUUAACAAAAAACAUAUGGUACAACUUGCUCUCUAUGACUGUGAACUCUGUGGCAUCAACAACCAUAAAUGACCUACAAAACUCCUAUAUAUAGUGGAUUGGGCCGGAUACUGGGUUUACGGCCGUAAACAGUUUACGGCCGUAAACUCAUACCUUGGCUGUAAACUACAAAUAAACCUACUAAAACACCAAACAUACGCAAAAGAACUAUUACAAUGUAAAGUCUAGCCCAAACUACUAAGUGGACCCUUCAAAAUGUUUUCAACCUAUGCAACAUGACAUCAAAUUGAGUAAAACUCAAAGUCCUAGCUCUAGUGAUGAAUAGGAAAGAAUGAGUCGAUUCCCAUAUGUUCUGCUAUAGGAUCGAUCAUGUAUGCCAUGACAUGUACUCGACCUAACGUCUCAUUUUCUCUAAGCAUGGUGAGUCAUUUUCUGGACAAUCCAAGGGACAACCAUUGGACAUUAGUAAAUAAUAUUUUGAAAUACCUAAGAAGAACAAAGGAUAUGUUCUUGGUAUAUGGGGGUAAAGAUGAGUUGAGAGUUACAGGUCAUGUAGAUGUAAGUUUCCAAACUAAUAAGGACAACCAAUGUUUGCAGUCAGGACUGGUAUUCUUGCUUAAUGUGGGAGCGGUCACUUGGAAGAGUUCCAUGCAAUCGGCAGUGGCAGACUCCACAUACGAGUCAGAGUAUAUAGCGGCUAGUGAAGCUGCAAAAGAAGCUACAUGGUUGAAGAAUUUCAUUGAUGGUCUUGGUGUCGUUCCGAGCAUCAAGGAUCCUCUAGAAAUCUUCUGUGACAACGAGGGUACAUUUGCAUUGAAUAAAGAACCCAAGGACCAUGGUAACCAAGGCAUAUACUUAGGAAAUUCCACAAUAUGAGACAUCGAGUCAAGGAUGGAGAUAUUGUUAUGAAUAGGGUAUCAUCAGAGGAGAAUCCAACCAAUCCAAUCACAAAGUCAUUAUCAAGGUCAAGCAUGAUAGUCAUACUAGAUCAAUAGGCAUUACAUUUACUGAUGUUAUGGUGUAGUUGUUUGGUUGUUUAGUUUGAUAAUUUUUGAAACAUUUGGCAGUAUGCAUCUGUAACUGAAUUUAUGUUUAUUUUGUGGAGACUUAACAAAGUGCUAGUGAUGCUAUCAUUUCUAUUAAUUUGUUACUAUGUUUCACGUUUGCAUGUUUGGAACCCACUUCCUGAGUAUUAUUUUACUCAAAACUCCACAGUCUGUCAUACUCUUGGAAGUAAGUAAUGAUUCAAGAAUCUCAUGAGUACUGGUGGAUUGACCAUUCUGAUUAGGCAUAGCAUAGUGAUUGCGCCAACACUCAUGAGUACUUAACAGAGAUUUAAGUAUUGGAACAACCCGCACAUAGAGAUUACUUCAUGGAUAUAGUCACACAUAAUUCUAAGAUGAUAAUAUCUUCUGUUAUUCAAACCGAGAUACAUGUGGGGUUUUGCUCUAUGAUUCUGUUAUGUAUUAGUGUACUCUAACUUUAUAUGUAACCGGUAGCUAUAACGGGUAUAUCCAUAUGUGACAUGAUGAAAUAGACAAAAAACUAUGUAGUCAAAGUUUAUUCAUCCCUUCUGCUUUAAUACGAAAAGCGAUAUCUAUGGGACUCUCGAUGAUUUGGUGUUGACAUCAUGAAUACUUGGCCGAGUCUUGACUGAAAUUCAUGUGUUCAAUUUAGCAGUCAAAUGCAGUGAUCACAAGUCUUUAUCGGGAAACAUAAUCUUGAAUUCUGAGAUUGACCAUUAUCUAUGUCUCGAAUUCAUACGGAUAUCAUGAGGAUAAAGAAAUAGUUGAUCACUUCUUUGAGGGAUGAAACUGAUUAGAUCAGAGUUCGACAGAUGCAUUGGAUAGAAUUCUCUCUGUUGAUUAUUAGAGAAGUAUUGGAACAUAUAUAGUUGAUGACUUGUCCAAGUGGGAGACUGUUGGAAAGUGUGUCCAAGGUCAUUAACUAUUGGUGAUAUUUCAAAUAAUAGUUGGGUCCUCUUGGGUUGCCCUCAAGACUCAAAUUAAGUAGAAUAAAUAAAGGAGGAAUUAGUUUAUUAAUUAUUAUGGUUUAAUAAUUAAUGAGAAACUACUUGGAAAACAAAUUGGGAAUUAAUUAACAAUUUAAUUAAUAGAAGGGUCGAAUAUCAAUUAAUCAAUAGUUGGUUAAUUAGGAAUAUUCCAGAACCUUAGAAAAAAGGGUGGUGGACAAAAAUUCCCUUUGUAUAAGGGGAAUUUCGUUCAUAGGGAUAUCCCAUCCCACAUGAGUUUGAGGAUAAAAACCUAGAAGGCAUCCAAGGCUAAAAAUAGGGCCUUAGGGAUUCAUUCCUCGUUGAUCAUUCUUGGCUUGAUUUUCGCCACUUCUUUCUCCCUCGUUGUGGAAGAACUCUCCUUAUAGUUCAUCCCCUCCUAGUUGUUUUUCAUUCUACUCUUUUGAUUCCACUGGGUGUGAACCAAGAGAGGGAUUCUGGUUUGGGUCCUUAUCGUCCAAACAAGGUGGAACGCACAAAGAGUCAAGCGCGAAGUUCUUUGGCUGCAAAAGAGGUAUGUUAUUCUUCCUUUGUAUUUUCGGUUUCUUAGGGUAGAUGUAACAGUAUGAAACCAUAGAUCCAUAGGUUUCAUAUACACUUAGGUAUAUCAUUUUUGUUUUGAUUUUUCUGCUACCUAGUUUAGAGUGUAUUUGAUGCUUAGUAAACCUAACAAUUGUAUCACAAUCGACUCCUCUAAGAGCAUCUUAGUGCUAAUUAUAUGACCAAGAAGAGGAAUCGAACAAUUUUGGAAAUGCUUUGAUCAUAGAUGAGUCAUACUUUGUUCCAAUCAAGUUUUAGAGUCAUACUCUAGUAACUACAAAUCAUAUCUUGAAACACCAUUUAAACUAAACAGGUUGAAAACACCUCAAAAUAUGUGGAGUAAAAGAUGUUUUCUUACUCUAGCUCAUAUAGAAUUGGAGUUGUGAUGUUUUUCGAGGAACAAAAGAUAAACUGAGACCUAUUCUAUGAAGUGUUUUCUUGUCACGAAUCCAAACGAAAUUUUGAAUAUUUGUUUUAGCUCUUCAAGAAAUGUUACUUGAGAUAAAACUCAUAUGUCAAGAAGUUAGUGGGAGUUGUAUUGAUCUUGAGACUUUCAAGAGUCAACCAAGAAUAAACCUUUUAUUUAUCUCUAGCACACAACAUAAGGUUGAUAACCUAUCGUGUUUGAUUGAGACAUUAUUAGUUCUGUGCACCUUCCAGAUGAGUUGGUAAUCCUUAUGAGUUCUAUGUUUUUCAUUUAACUGCAAAAAGAAAAGAACGUUGGUUAGUGAAAGUACAUUGAUCAAUAUGGGUGAGUUGAUUAAAAACACAGAAGCACUAGUAGGCGUUUGUGCUACUAGAGGGAAAGAAAUUUCGAGUAAGUGAAGUUCAGCCCAUGAAAGGAAAGCUAAAUUUCAAUUUGCUUUUGUCCUAAACCUUGUCUUAGGAUUAUACGUUGGAAAUGAUAGAUUCACAUGCAUGGGAAAGUAUGAACCAUAAAUUUCACACUCCAAAACCGAGAACGGCGGAAACGUUGUAGGGCGGAGGACGUCAUGUAAAGUAUCACAACACAAUAUAAUAGUAAGCAAGUAAACAAAAUCGUUGCAUUAAAUAUAUAAUUUUAAUACAAAUGUGUUCUGUACAGUAAUAGAAAUCAAAAAUAUGAAUCAAAAUAAAGAUGAGUCUUGUAUGCACUCCAUCUUCUCAAAAGCUAGCAUCGGUACCUGUCUACUGAUGACCUGAGAAUACAAGUUAUUUUGAAAGAGUUUAUCAGCAUUAAAGCUGGUGAGUUCAUAAGUAUUUAGUGUCAGUGUUUGUAUCAAAAAGUUUGAAUGUUGUUUGAAGUAUAAUCUAUAAAUGUUUGCUGUAAAGGUAUGUGAAUGUUUGUAAGUGUUUGUAAAAUUUUGUAAUUCCUAGAAUAUCCUAUAUUUUCUACUAAAAGUAGCCUUCUAUCAAGGCACAACUGUUUUGUAUGUUUGUUUCUUGUAAAAGUGAAGUAAUCACCAAAUAAAUGUAAAGGGGUAAAUUAAUGUAGUAUUGUAGUUUCGUGUUAUAAGAACUACUGCUGUACUAACUACCUUAAACCGGAUUUAUAUCAAGGUAUUACGUGAUUAAUUGUACCAUACUAUCGACUGAGAAAACACGACAAUGUAAGUCGUAAAAAGGUGUGACGUUUAGCCACCUGCAGACUUGUAGGUCCGGCUGUAGCUAGUAGCAAGGCGUAGGAUAGUCAAUCCAAUAUAAAUCUAUACGCCAACUCAUGUUUUCCCUCCAGGAGAUUCUGGCUACAACUCGGGCCAUGACAAUGAAGGCAUGCACCGAUACAGUGGAUCACAUUUAUGUUAAUGUAUUCUUGUAUAUGUAAUGUAUUGUUACUCAUCCUAGUAUCGUUGUAUAUGUUCUUGUUAGGGUGUAGAUGUAUAUGUUCUCUUCCUAGUAUAGUUGAAUAAGUUCUCGUUAUCAUAUAGUUGUAUAUGUUCUCGUUAUAGUAUAGUUGUGUAUGUUAUCAUAGUAAUCAAUAAUGGCUCGUGAAUGAACUGACUCUUUGUAUGUUUCAUUGUACUAGAAGUAGUAAGUAGUAUAACCCUAAACUAUACCUAUUAUAGUUUAUUAGUAGACUUGUUAGUAUGAACAAAUGUACUGAAUUGAGAUAAAAAUCUUUAUAUCUAUACAUAUAUACAUAAUAUAUAAGCAAGGGUUCAACAACAUUCGGACGAACAACCGGGUACUUUAGGACCACAACCAAACAAGGAACAGGAAGUAAAGCGGGUUAUCUCUCCUAAGUCCUUCAAACCUUAUGUAUAUAUCUAUAUAUGUAGUAGACAUGGCUUUAAUCAAUAUAUAAGUUUAAGAUUUGUAAAAGGAAAGUUUAGUAUUCAAAAGUGUGUUUGAUAAAGAGUUUAACAUGCAAAAUAGUUUGAAAAGCAGUUUAAAGAAAUUCAUUAGUAUGCUAGCUAUUAAUCACAUAUGAUCGAUCUAAUAACUUAUCAAGAUUCAACUUGUAUCCCGCCCAUAAAAGCAUUUAAAACAUUUCAAAGGUUGAUUAAUAGGGGUAUGAACUCACCUGUAGUGAGUGAUGCAACGGUAGGACCAGUUUAGAAGGUUGAGUGUCAAUUGAGAACUGGAACACAACCGGAUCAUAUUAAUCAUAUAAUGACAUAUACUUUUGUAUAGUUAGUGUUUGAAACAACUAAUUAUUGAAUUGUGACCACCUUAGGGACUUGUAAACACUUAUUAUUAAGUGUUACAACCAUAUAAGACUUUAUAAGGGUGGUAUACGAUUACACAUGGGAGUGUAUGGUCAAAAUGCACAACACACAUGUGUGUGCGGCCAGGAGAUGUGUGCGGCCACACACUCCUUAUGGAAUGUGUCAAAACGUGAUUUUAAGCUAUAAGGGACAUCUAGGAAGGUUUCAUUCUUCAUGCCUUAUCCUUUAUUGAAUUUUUUUGCCAUUUGGGGACUUAAAAAGGGUGUGUGCGGCCACUAUGAAGGUGUGCAGCCGCACACCCUUCAUGAUGAUGAUAAAUUCUAGUUUUUCAAGGAAAUCAUCAAGUGUUCUUAACUAAGUAUAUUCACGUUAAAGAGGCUUAAGAUGGGUGUUUUAAGGUGAAAACUUAGUGUGUGUUCUUGGUGUUCAUGGACAUUUAACACCAAGAAUGUGUUUUUCAUGGAUCAUAGUAGGGAAUGAGGCUAGAUAAUCUCAAAUAUAAACUAUUAUAAGGAACGAUUUCUUACUUUUAUGAAGAUCAUGAUGGAAAUGUGGAUGGUACUUGAGAGGAUUUCGAGUUCUAGUCUUGAAGAAGUGAAAGAAGUGAUGAAAAAUGGCUAAGUGUUCAAUAUAUAGGUGGAGUAUGCGGCUGAAAUGGGUGUGUGGCCGCACACACAUGUAUGUGGCCGCACACUCCAUGUGUUGGAGUGUUUGGCCCGGUUUUGAUUGCUACACUUUGAGUUAACACAUUUCUAAACUCCCACAUUGAUUGUAUUACAUUUAGAACACUCCAAUAGACCCUAAAUGGUGCUAUAAGAUAGCAAAACGAGUCUAAACUUUGAUAGAAUUGAUAUAAAUUAAACAUGAAAAUUUUGGAUUGCCACAUCAUCCCCCCGUUAGAGGGAAUUUCAUCCCGAAAUUAGAGUUUCAACAAUUAAGUAGUUACAAGAAAUUAAUUAAAGAGAUGAUGAUAUUUCAGUUUCAUUUGAUCCUCGCGCUCCCAUGUGAAUUCCGGUCCUCGCUUGGGGUUCCAGCGAACCUUCACAAUCGGGAAGCAGCUUUGCUUUGUCUGUUUGACCUCACGGUCCACGAUCUCUAUGUGUUCUUCCAUGAAGUUGAGGCUCUCAUUCAUCCUGAUCUCAUCGAGUGGGAUUAAAAGAGUCUCGUCGGACAGACACUUUUUCAAUUUCGAGACGUGGAAAGUAGAAUGUUCGUUACUGAGUUUGUUGGGUAGGAUGAGUUUUUAAGCUAUAGGACCGAUUCUUGCAAGAAUCUCGAAAGGCGCUAUGUAUCUUGGAUUGAGCUUCCCACACUUACCGAAGCGUAUCAAGCCCUUCUAGGGCAAGACUUUCAAAAGAACUUGGUCUCCCACCUGCAAUUCUAAAGGUUUCCUUUGUUUGACAGCGUAGCUUUUCUGUCGGUCUCUAGAGGCUUUCAAUCGUUCACGAAUCUGAACGAUCUUCUCUGUCGUUUCCUGAAUGAUCUUCGGACCUAUGAGAAUGCUUUCAGGAACUCGUCCUUUAGCUAACUGUGUGUCACCCACUUCAGCCUAGCACAGAGGGGAUCUGCACUUCCGGCCAUAUAGGGCUUCAAAUGGAGCAGCCUUUUAUGCUCGUGUGAUAACUGUUGUUAUAGGAAAACUCGACAAGGGGUAAGUGAGUAUCCCAUGCCUUACCAAAAUCAAGAACACAUGCUCUCAACAUAUCUUCCAGUGUUUGUAUUGUUCUCUUACUUUGUCCAUCAGUUUGUCGAUGACAGGUUGUACUCAUGUCCAGCCUCGUUCCAAGGGAAUGUUGUAGCGACUGCUAGAAUCUCGAAGUGAACCUACUAUCUCUAUCGGAGAUAAUGGAUAUAGGGACACCAUGCAGCCGUACGAUUUCCCUAAUGUAUGUUCUCGUAAGCUUUUCCAUCUUGUCAGUUUCCUUGAUAGGCAGGAAGUGUGCAAACAAGGUCAAUCUAUCGACAAUGACCCAUAUGGUAUCAAGUCCACCCGUUGUCUUGGGCAACUUGGUUAUAAAAUCCAUAGUGAUCCGCUCCCACUUCCAUUCUAGUAUCUCCGGUUGUUAAAGCAAACCGGAGGGCUUCUGGUAGUCGACCUUAACCUUUGCACAAGUAAGGCAUUUACUCACAAAGGUAGUAAUUUCUACCUUCAUGUUAGGCCACUAGUAUAACUUUUUAAGAUCUAGAUACAUCUUAUCUGAACCCGGGUGGACGGAAUACCGAGUGUUGGGCGCCUCGGGGUCCAGAUCCGGUCCAUGAAAUAUAAGGCUCCGCCACCCUUGGCUUCUAAGUUCUUAUCCAUUCCUCUGAGGGAUUCACCCGCUACAUUCUCAAGUUUCAAGGCUUCAAGCUGAGCCUCCUGAAUUUGUGUAGACAAGUGUGAAUGGAUAGUCAUUGUCAAUGAUUUGACUCUUCAACCAGAAUAUUCUUUCUGACUUAGGGCGUCUGCUACUACAUUGGCUUUACCUGGAUGAUAACGAAUUUCACAUUCGUGGUCAUUAAGUAGCUCGAUCCACCGUCGUUGACGCAUGUUGAGUUCCUUCUGGUUGAAGAUGUGUUGUAGGCUUUUGUGAUCGGUAAAUAUCAUACUUUUUGUACCAUACAGGUGGUGUCUCCAAAUCUUUAGAGCAAACACAACUACUCCUAGCUCAAGAUCGUGAUUGGUGUAGUUGACUUCAUGUGUUUUCAGUUGUCUCGAGGCAUAGGCAAUGACCUUACCUCGUUGCAUCAAAACACAACCGAGCCCUUGGUUUGAUGCAUCGCAAUAGACAACGAAAUCUUCUAUCCCUUCGGGGAGGGAUAGUAUUGGCGUGGUGCACAACGCUCGCUUGAGCGUUUGGAAAGCUCUCACCUGCUUGUCUUCUCUGUCAAAGGCCACGCCUUUCGCGAUCAGUGCUGUAAGGGGUUUCAAAAUGCGGGAGAAGUUCUCAAUGAACCUGCGGUAAUAGCCAGCGAGACCUAUAAAUUGACGAAUUUCUGUAGGCAUCUUCGGUGCUGACCAAUUCUCAAUAGCCUUAAUUUUGGAUGGGUCCACAUGGAUUCCCUUUUCGCUGACCACAUCUCCCAAGAAUUCGACUCUUCGGAUCCAAAAUUCGCAUUUAGAGAACUUUGCAUAGAGCUUCUUCGUGCGUAAAGUUCCUAGAACUUGUCGCAGGUGAUCGCUAUGUUCUUCCUUACUUUGGGAGUAGAUCAGGAUGUCAUCUAUGAAGACAAUGACAAACCGAUCCAAAUAAGGUCGAGAUACUCUAUUCAUCAAAUCCAUGAAAACUGCGGGCGCAUUGGUCAAUCCGAAUGGCAUCACCACGAACUCGUAAUGUCCGUAACGAGUUCGGAAGGCUGUCUUUGGAACAUCCUCCUCUAGCACUCGUAACUGGUGAUAUCCGGAUCUUAGAUCAAUUUUGGAAAAGUAAUUGGCCCCUUGCGGUUGGUCAAAUAAAUAGUCUAUGCGAGGCAGAGGGUAACGAUUUUUAACCGUUAUCUUGUUGAGUUCUCUGUAGUGGAUACACAUACACAACGAUCCGUCUUUCUUCUUUACAAACAAGACCGGUGCUCCACAUGGUGAAAAGCUUGGUCUAAUAAAGCCCUUGCUGAGCAGCUUGUUAAGUUGACCUGACAGUUCUUGCAUCUCGGCUGGUGCCAGACGAUAGGGCGAUUUGGCUACUGGGUUAGCUCCUGUGACUAAGUCGAUUCGGAACUCGACUUGUCGUUACGGAGGUAAUCCCGGUAGUUCUUCUAGAAAGGUGUCGGGAAAGUCGCGUACUACUGGGAUGUUCUUCAGUUCUUUGGUUUCAUGGUUUGUAUCGACAACGUGUGCAUGGAAUGCACGAUAUUCCUUACGCAGAUACUUUUGAGCUUGGAUACUUGAGAUGAUGCUAAGGCUUGUGUCGGGUUUGUCACCGUAGAUAAGGAGAGUUUCGUUAGACGGAAGGUUAAGGCGUACAACCUUUUCGUAACACAUAAUGUCGGCAUGAUGAAGACUCAAUCAAUCCAUGCCGAUGAUGACGUCGAAACUUUUAAUCGAGACCGGCAUGAGGUCGAUUGGAAAUGAAUGGCUAUCUAGAGUUAGGGUACAUCGUGUGUAUAUGCUAUUAGUGCUCUCCGUUUUCCCAUUAGCCAUUUCUACAGUGAAUGGUUCUUUAAGUGUGCGUGGUUUUUGUUUAAGUAAGCGUGCAAAUUUCUGGUUUACGAAACUCCUUUCUGCUCCACUAUCAAACAGUAUACAUCCAUAAGAGUUUUCAAGGAGAAAUAUAUCGGUCACCACCGUAGGGUCAGCAACUAUUUCCCUGUGGCCUAUAGCCAAAAUUCUUCCUAUUCCCCUUGCAUUUCCUGCUUUGGGGCGGUCCCUUUUGUAGUGGUCCACUUCCCCACAUCCAUAGCAAGCCUGGCCUACACCAGCGUUGGGAACUUGGGUGAUCGGCUUUGCCGGAGAUAUGCAGAAACGGACUGUGUGUCCUUUCUUGUUGUAGUUGGAGCACUGCAUCUCCCGGAAGGGGUCGUUGUGGCGGAAGUUGCAUUUGUUGCACUUCGGCGUGUUUCCAGCAUAUUGUUUCACUGGAGCAGCAGCAGCGGGGGUUAUUGCGGCAUGAACUGCCACAGUCUGCUGCUUUUUGGCAGCUUGUUGUUUCUUUUUUUCAUCCCAGAACUUCCGCUGAUUGUCAGCGGGUUUGGAAGGUUCCGAGACGGCCAGGGUUGUUGUUGAUGAUGGGGAUUUGACUCCAUGAUCAAUGAGUCGUUGUGCUAGUCGUUUUGAAGGUAGUUGGGUUCGAUGAUAGGACAUUUCCCUAAUACGGAGGCACCAGCCCCUAGAUGUACCUCUCGAUCUUUUUCCCUUCAAUGGGAACCAUAUUAGGACAGAGGGCCACUAGUUCGCUGAACCUGGCGGUAUAUGCUACUAUGUUGGAACACUUCAUAGUUAGGCUCCAUAGUUCUUGUUCUAACUUCUGAAUCUCACCCCUCAGGCAGUACUCCUCAAUCAUGAGGUCUUUCAGAGUUUCCUAGCCCAUGUCAUUGGCCACUACAAGAGUUAGUGCCUUGACAUGGCUAUUCCACCAAGUAAGGGCUUUGUCUUCGAGGGUGCAUGCAACACAUUUUACUUUGCUCGUGGUAGGGCAGGAACAAAUUUCGAAGACCGAUUCUGUCUUGUCGAACCAUUGCGAGAGGGCAAUGACUCCGCCAGUCCCUCUGAAGGACCUUGGUUUACAGUUAGUGAAGUCCUUGUAGGUGCACUCUCUUGAGCGCACAAUGAUUUCACCUUGAGUUUACUGAACAGGCAUUCCACCUCUACUGGCAUCAGUGGAGUGAUACUGAGCCAUGGCAGUUGCCACUGCCGCAGCUACUGCAACAUUCAGGGCUGCUGUAUCGAUCACCAGAGGAGGAGGCGGUGGUGAUGGAGGAUUAUGCCUUGUUGAUUUGUGAGGAGGCAUCUUUCAACUAUAAUUUUACAAAGAUGAAUACGAUAAUAAGAAUCAAUUUUGAACAGAGUGAGAGUGACCCAUGGACUAAAUCGCCAUAGCCCAGUAGCCGAAUGAGAGUAUGUCUUGAAAUAGUAAUUUAGUAAGAGAGUAGGGAAAACACAAGAGUACAGACUUUUCCAAUAGAUUAGAUAAGUGUCAAUAUUACUGGUAUUAUUGAUGUAACAAGUUCAAGAAAAAUUGACCUAACAGUAGGUCUUACAUCAUACCAUAGGGGAAAAAGUUGAGAGUUCAUAGAUUUCUAGUUAGAGUACUUGGGAAGUAGGAAUAUUUUACAGAUAAGAGCUUCAUAGAGCUUAGUUAAGAAGGCUAUUCCUUAAUCAAAAGAAAAGAUGUGCUAGACAUCUUCUAACGGUGAUGAGAAUUCCUUGGGCGAACCCUGAGGUCUGCCAGUUGGAGAACCACUUCUUGAAGAUGUCGCUCAUGAGCCCUCUGGUGAACUCGAAGUUCUAUGACUUCGGCUUGCGAGGCAGUCAGUUGUUGCUGCAAAGUCUCAUUGGUUCUCCUCGUCCUUUCCAUGUCUUCUUCAAGAUGGCGGAUACAGAUUUUGUUGACACUAGAGUUGGCAUCAAUUUCCAUGACUCUGUCGAUGGCUACUCGACCUUGUUCAAUGUUACGAGCAAUCCUACGGACCAUGACGGGCAGAGCCCGAUCCGCAGAGCCACCUUUGCUAAGGUUGUAAAAUCUUCGGUCUCCAUAGUAAGGUAAGGGUUGACCCUGUUCGUCGCUCCAACGAUUCAAGUUGGUUGCCCACAAGGGUGUGAGACCUGGAAAAGCUGGUCGGGGGUUGUUGUUUGGGGCUUGACCUACUAUGGGUAGGUUGUUGACUUCAGGCUCAGAGUCGGAACAAUUAGAGAAGCCUUUACCACGGUGAUCAUCCAAAGGGAUUGGGUGAUCAUCUUUUGGUUCUUCCUCUAGCCAUCCUCUGUUGCCUUCAUUUGGAAGGUAUGGGUCGCCAUGAAGGAAUCCAGCCAUGAUAUCUAAGCGAGAAAAGGGGUAUAAGAACCUUAUAUAAAUAGACGUACUACUUAAGAUAAUUAUAAGGUGAUCUUUAUCAUUUAUGUCAAUACUUGUGUAGUGUAUACCAGGUAUAUGAAAUUAGAGUAUGAUAGCCCUUCGAAUAAGUGGCCCUAACUCCAAAUCCAUAACCAAACAAGGAACAUGAAGUGAAGAAAAGGUCACAUAUUCUGAGUCUAUAACACCUAAAUUUCAUAUAACCAUAGUGUAUGCACUUAACAACUAUUGACCCACUUGAUAGAGACCUUUUUUGUUCUCAUGUAUGUAAUUAUAGUAACACAAAAUACUCCUAUAGUAUUUUAGACUUAUGUUCUGUUCUAAUGUUUUUAUUGUAGUAGUGUUGGUAUGUUUUUAGACUUGUUGCAAUAUAACAACCAUUCUAGGGCAUAUUCUUAUCACUCCUCAGACCAGCAUAGUUGAUCAGGCUAUGCCAUUCCCAGGACUGACCAUACAUCUCCGAGCUCACUUAUGAUAUUCAACAAUCAUAAUACUUUUGUUCUUCUCAUUGUGAAACUAAUUUUAUUAUGAAUGCAGGUUUGUAUACUUAGUUAAAUAUGUUAUUAUUUAAAAGUAUAGACUCUUGGUCAGAGUAUUUUAAUCCCAUUGUGUUUAUAGUUACUAUAUAUCUUUUAUGGGUUGAUAUACUAGAUUCACUAUAAACAAUGCUCUAAUACCAAUCUGUCACACCCCAAAACCGAGAACAGCGGAAACGUUCUGGGGCGGACGACAUCAUGUAAAGUAUCACAACAUAGUAUAAUAGUAAACAAGUAAACUACAUCAUCUAUUGCAUUAAAUAUAUAAUUUUAAUACAAGUGUGAUUUGUACAGUAAUAGACACCAAACAUAUGAAUCAAAAUAAAGAUGAGUCUUGUAUGCACUCCAUCUUCUCAAAAGCUGGUAUCGGUACCUGUCUACUGAUGACCUGAGAAUACAAGUUAUUUUGAAAGAGUUUAUCAGCAUUAAAGCUGGUGAGUUCAUAAGUAUUUAGUGUCAGUGUUUGUAUCAAAAAGUUUGAAUGUUGUUUGAAGUAUAAUCUAUAAAUGUUUGCUGUAAAGGUAUGUGAAUGUUUGUAAGUGUUUGUAAAAUUUUGUAAUUCCUAGAAUAUCCUAUAUUUUCUACUAAAAGUAGCCUUCUAUCAAGGCAGAACUGUUUUGUAUGUUUGUUUCUUGUAAAAGUGUGUAAUUUUCCCAAGAAUAACUAUUAUUAUCAAAAUAUAGUUUGUACAUUAAAGUGUUAAGUGAAGUAAUCACUAAAUAAACGUAAAGGGGUAAAUUAAUGUAGUACUGUAGUUUCGUGUUAUACGAACUACUGUUGUACUAACUACCUUAAACCAUACUUAUAUCAAGGUAUUACGUGAUUAAUUGUACCAUACUAUCGACUGAGAAAACACGACAAUGUAAGUCGUAAAAAGGUAUGACGUUUAGCCACCCACAGACCUACAGGUCCGGUUGUAGCUAGCAGCAAGGUGUAGGAUAGUCAAUCCAAUAUAGAUCUAUACGCAAACUCACGUUCUCCCUCCAGGAGAUUCUGGCUACAACUCGGUCCAUGACAAUGAAGGCAUGCACCGAUACAGUGGAUCACAUUUAUGUUAAUGUAUUCUUGUAUAUGCAAUGUAUUGUUACUCAUCCUAGUAUCGUUGUAUAUGUUCUCGUUAUAGUGUAGUUGUAUAUGUUCUCUUCUUAGUAUAGUUGAAUAAUUUCUCGUUAUCGUAUAGUUGUAUAUGUUCUCGUUAUAGUAUAUUUGUGUAUCUUAUCAUUGUAAUCAAUAAUGACUCAUGAAUGAACUGACUCUUUGUAUGUUUCAUUGUACAAGAAGUAGUAAGUAGUAUAACCCUAAACUAUACCUAUUAUAGUUUAUUAGUAGACUUGUUUGUAUGAAUGAAUGUACUGAAUUGAUAUAAAAAUCUUUAUAUCUAUACACACACACACACACACACACAUAUAUAUAUAUAUAUAUAUAUAUAUAUAUAAUAUAUAACUAAGGGUUCAACGACAUUCGGAGAGACAAGCGGGUACUUUAGGACCACAACCAAAUAAGGAACACGAAGUAAAGCAGGUUAUCUCUCCUAAGUCCUUCAAACCUUAUGUAUAUAUCUAUAUAUGUAGUAGACAUGGUUUUAAUCAAUAUAUAAGCUUAAAAGUUGUAAUAGGAAUGUUUAGUAUUCAAAAGUGUAUUUGAUAAAGAGUUUAACAUGCAAAAUAGUUUGAAAAGCAAUUUAAAGUCAUUUGUUUGGUAAAACAAUUUGAAGUAUUGAAAAUUCAUUAAUAUGCUAGUUAUUACGCACAUGUAUUCCCCCGAUAAAAGCAUUUAAAACAUUUCAAAGGUUGAUUAAUAUGGGUAUGAACUCACCUGUAGUGAGUGAUGCAACGGUAGGAUCGGUUUAGAAGGUUGAGUGUCAAUUGAGAACUGGUACACAACCGGAUCCUAUUAAUCAUAUAAUGACAUAUACAUAUUUAUAAUUAGUGUUUGAAACAACUAAUUAUUGGAUUGUGACCACCUUAGGGACUUGUAAACACUUAUUAUUAAGUGUUACAAUCAUAUAAGACUGUAUAAGGGUGGUAUAUGACUAUACGUGGGAGUGUAUGGUUAAAAUGCACAACACACAUGUGUGUACGGCCAGGAGGUGUGUGCGGCCACACACUCCUUAUAGAAUGUGUCAAAACGUGAUUUUAAGCUAUAAGGGACAUCUAGGAAUGUUUCAAUCUUCAUGCCCUAGCCUUUAUUGAAGUUUGUUGCCAUUUUGGGACUUAAAAAGGGUGUGUGCGGCCACUAUGAAGGUGUGCGGCCGCACACCCUUCAUGAUUAUGAUAAAGUCUUGUUUUUCAAGCAAAUCAUCAAGUGUUCUUGACAUAUAAUCAGGUAUACUAAGUAUAUACACGUUAAAGAGGCUUAAGAAGGGUGUUUUAAGGUCAAAACUUAGUGUGUGUUCUUGGUGUUCUCGGACAUUUAACACCAAGAAUGUGUUUUUCGUCGAUGAUAGUAGGGAAUGAGGCUAGAUAAUCUCAAAUAUCAACUAUUAAAAGGAAGGAGUUCUUACUUUUAUGAUGAUCAAGAUGGAAAUGUGGAUGGUACUUGAGAGGAUUUCGAGUUCUAGUCUUGAAGAAGUGAAAGAAGUGAUGAAAAAUGGCUAAGUGUUCAAUAUAUAGGUGGAGUGUGCGGCUGAAAUGGGUGUGUGGCCGCACACACAUGUGUGUGCCCACACACUCCAUGUGUUGGAGUGUUUGACCUGGUUUUGAUUGCUACACUUGGAGUUAACCCAUUUCUAAACUCCCACCUUGAUUGUAUUACGUUUAGAACGCUCCAAUAGACCCUAAAUGGUGCUACAAGAUAGCAAAACGAGUCUAAACUUUGAUAGAAUUGAUAUAUAUUGAACAUGAAAAUUUCGGAUUGUCCUAAUAAAAUCUACGUGGCAAAAUUUUCGCUCUAAUUCAUGAGAAUGAUUAUGAUGAAACACUUUCGCUAGUAGAUUUUAAGGAUCUGAUAAUGAUCAAUAUGGAUAUUGGUUGUGUUAAUUGCAUUAUCAAAUUCACAAUAUGAUUACAACAUCCGUCUACAUAUUUCGAAUUGUGAGGAAUGGAAAGGAAUUGUUUGAACUUUCAAGACAGAUAUCUAUAAGUUCUGGAAGGGUUUAAACAGAUACAUAUGCUAUCCAAUUAAGGUGUAUAAGCUUAAGAAGUCUAUUUGGAUACUUAUCAAAACAUCGCGUAACAGAAAUCUAUAAUUUAGUAAGAAAGUCAAGAGUAUUGAUUUCUAGAAGUUCAGUUGAUUUCUAGGUACAUGUCAAAGCUAGUGGGAGCAUAAUUUUUAUGCCCGUGUUGUAUGUAGACAGUACUCUUCGUAGGGAACAUGGUUCUCAAUUUGCAAAUUUCAAAGGUUGGGAAUUGUUUCGCUAUGAUAGACUUAAGGGAGAGGAUACUCAUACUUUCUUUCGAAUCUAAAGCAUUAGAUCGUAUAGUUUAAUAGAAAUUACUCAUAGACAUAUGUGAAUAUCAUGUUGAAAUGGUUUAACAUAGGAAAUUACGUAUUUGAAAAUCUUAUAGCAAGAGAUUGAACAUAUAUCAUAUAUAAUGAAUCGAGUCCCAUAUGCUUCGGAUAUAGGAUCAAUUACAUAUGCUGUAAUAUCCAUGUAUUAUUAUUUUUCCAAAUGCCUUGAUCAUUGAGAGGAAAAGGAUUAGAAUUUUUUAUGUGACUAGAGUUGGUAAACAACUCUCAAGAACAUUCUGAGGAUUAAUGAAUAUUGGUUGCUUGUGAAUAGUUGGAAGUAUCGUACUAAUUUGGACGAACCAUAGUGACAUGAUUCUAGAUUAAGAUGAUUCUUGAUCAGAAUUGACGGUCAUAUGGGAAUAUGGAAAUGUUUCCAUAAUGGUAGUUGAUUAUUAAAUCUACAUGUGUGUUGGAAACUUUAAUGUAAGAGAAUUGUUCAAAGGAGUGUACCUUAAAUUUGAGCCUUCAUUAUCAUGGAAUUGUUUCUACUAACAAAGUUCCAAUGGAAGAUUCUUUAAUAUCUUUCACUCAGUCUCUGUGACUUUGAAGCCUCGACAUCACAGAAGGUCAAUGCAUGUAAGGUUGGAAUACCAAUACAUUUUAGACAAUGACAAGAAUUUGAAAUUAUGAAAUGAGCAUCAUCAGAAUAGUGUCCAGUCGAUCUGUUCACAAAGGAAGGACCCUAGAGAGGCAUAGUAUGCAUGUUCAUAACAUGACAUAACUGAUGUUAUUUAAUUCAAGUGGUUAGUUGAUUAGUCGAAACAUUAUACAAUUAAUAAAGUCAUAAUUACCAUGGUGAUUAAAUGAUGGACAUUUAUUUAUAUUCAAUAGUUUUGAGACCAUUGUAAAUUAGUUUAUUUUUGUGUUUCUCUUUAUAUGAUUUACAUCCUGAAUGAUUUGAUUAUUCAAUCCUCUACAAUCGCUCAUACUUUUGGAAGUAAGUAGUGAAUUAAGGCUGUCAUGAAUCGAAUUGUAGAUUGUCUAUGGAGAUUGGGCAUUACAAUGGUUGCUACAAUAUUCAUGAGUGUUUAGAAAAUGUUGAUUUUUGAGUAUUGGAUAAACCCACGCUUAGAGAAUUACUUCAUGGAUUUUAUUACAAGUAAUUUUGAGACGAUAAUAUCUUAUAUUCUUGAAGUAGAAAUAUAUGAGUUGUAAUUUUGUAACAUCCUAUUUCGAGAAGUUUCUUAUUUUAGGAUAGUGGAAAAUAAAUUGAUCAAGUAAAGGCCUUGGGCUUCAAUGGAAUAUGGUUUAGACCCUAUUGGAUGUUGAUAAUAUUGGUUAUGUGAUGUAAGCCCUUGGUUUGUGUUGGAGUCAACGGGUCAAAACGGGAAAAGUGAUAUUUCAGACUUCUUGCAUGAAAUAUUGAUUUUUUUUGAGAAGUUUUUAGUACCAAGAUAUUUAGAUAAUAUUUUGGGGCUCCCGAAGACCUCUCCGUGGGUCGAAAUCGGAGUUGAAACGAAGAAGUUAUGACCGUUUGAAGUUAGGACGGUUUUGGGUUAAGCCGUAUAUGCUGGGCGUACAAGGAAGUACGCAGAGCAUACUAUCGCAUCCUGAGUAUGCUGAUCGUACCCAGAGUUUGUUGGGCGUAAGUGAUUUGUGACCAAACUCAAUUUUCGUGUUUUAUGUCCUAUUUAAACUCUUUAACUUCCCUAAACUCAUUCCAUUCUCAGCCUCCACCUGUCCUACACCCUCCCUUGAAAAUCCCAACGCUAGUUUGAGCCUUUUGGGAAAAAGGUGUGCUUGAGUGCUUUUGAGUGUUCUUGGUGCAUCUCGAAAAAGUAGGAACUCUUAAGAGAAUUUUUGGUUGCAUUGGAGCUUGUAGAUCCAGACUUUGUUCACCUUGAUCUUUCUUCUUGAGGUAUAAAGUUUGAAUCUUGAUGAUGCGUUUGAGAGAUCUAGCUAGUCUUGGGUAUUAUGAGCUUUUGGUUAAUUUACUGCAUAAAGUUUUGAUCUUGAAAGUUUGUGACCUUGUUAUGGAUAAAGUUGGAAACUUUAUCUAUCUAAACAUCAUAUUGAUUCAGAUCUUAAGGCUUGAGACUUGGACUUAAUGUAUUAAUUUGGAAAAGAUGCACUUCUACUCCCUUUGAGACUUAAAUACUAGAUCUUGGUUGGUUGUACCAUUCUAAUGGAUAAAGUUAAAAACUUUAUCCAAUAUGGAGUUAUUAGGAACCAUAAAAAUGUAAUCUUGGAUCUUAGUCCUUCCCCAUGCAUGUGAUAGGAUGUCCUAAUAGAUUAAGAAGAUAUGGUUUGUUGGUAUUAAGCCCUUUUAGCAAUGCAAAGUCAUAAAGUUGGAAACUUUAUGAAUUAAGAUAUGUGUUGAAUGCACUAGUUUUAAUCCGACUUUUUAAAUAUAAAUUAGACAUGUUUUAUUGUAGAAGGCCCAGUCCAAUGAGUGCGUGAUUUUCCCAUAAUGAGCUUUAGUCUUGAAUUGUACAAGAUAACUUUUUGCCCUUCCUCAAACUCCUUAUUACCCUUCAACCUUGCAUGAUUCCAUCUUUUAGUCUUAUUCUUAUAAAUUAAUGAGUUAGUAUAAGACUCAUUCCUUAAUUCUUCCAAAGCAUUCAUUUGCAAAAGUCGAUUCGUACGCAACUCAUUUGGUUCAAAAUUACAUGUCUUCAAGGCCCAAUAAGCUUUGUGUUCAAGCUCCAUUGAUAAAUGACAAUUCUUACCAUAAACUAACCUAUAUCGUGUGGUUCCAAUUAUUGUCUUAAAAGCGGUCAUAAAUGCUCAAAGCGCAUCAUCCAAUUUAUCCACCCAAUCCUUUCUAUUAUUCCCCAUUGGUUUCUCUAAUAUUCGUUUUAGUGCCCUAUUAGUAAUUUUGGUUUGCCCAUUUGAUUGUGGUUGGUAAUGUGUUGAAAAUCUAUGGCAUACCCCAUAUUUUUGUAACACUUUUGCUAGUUGAUAAUUAGCAAAGUGAGUUCCACUAUCACUAAUUAAUGCCUUAGGCACUCCAAAUCUUAAGAACAAUUUCUUUAAGAAUUAGACCACUACCCUUGCAUCAUUAGUUGGUAACGCCUGUGCCUCCGCCCACUUUAACACAUAAUACACCGCCACUAGUAUGUAUUUGUUACUUUUGGAUGAAGGAAUUGGUCCCAUGAAAUCUCUACCCCACACAUCAAAGAUUUCACAAACUUGAAUAUUCGUUUGGGGCAUUUCAUUCCUUGCUGAUAUAUUACCUGUUCUUUGGAAAGCAUCACAUUCCCUUAUGUAUUUAGCAACAUCUUUAAAGAUAGUAGGCCAAUAGAACCUUGCAUUGAAUACUUUUUUUGUAGUGUAUCGCACCCCAUGAUGUCCUCUUGCAGAUCCAUUGUCAAAAUGCUCAAAGAUGUCCCAGAUUUCCUUGCCAAACACGCAUCUUCUUAUGAUUCCAUCGGCACAACUCCUAAAAAGAUAUGGCUCAUCCCAAAAAUAAUAUUUAAUUUCUGAUAAAAGCUUUUUCUUUUGUAGAUGGGUAAGGCCUUUUCAAAGGUAUUCACCAGCCAAGUAAUUUGCAAUGUCUGCAUACCGUGGCUCUUCAUCCAUGAACAACUUCAAGUAUUCUUCCGGGAAGUUAUCUCGAAUACCCAUAAUAUCGAUCUCCUCUUUUUUUAUAUAUUUUCUAGCCUAGAGAGAUGGUCAGCAGCUACAUUCUCCAUUCCCUUUUUACCCUUGAUCUCGAUGUCAAAUUCUUGUAGUAAAAGUACCCAUCAGAUCAGUCUUGGCUUUACACCUUGCUUGGCAAACAAGUACUUAAUAACAGAGUGGUCAGUAAAAAUAGUAGUUUUAGAUAAAAUAAGAUAAGGUCGGAAUUUGUCAAAGGCAUACACCACAACUAAUAAUUCCUUCUCGGUUGUGGUGUAAUUUUCUUGGGCGGGAUUUAAUGUUUUGAUGGCAUAAUAGAUGGGUAGAAAGUGCUUAUCAACUCUUUGGCCAAGGACAGCCCCUAAAGCAAAGUUGCUCGUAUCACACAUUAUUUCAAAGGGCAGGUUCCAAUUCGGGGCGAUAAUGAUAGGAGCAUUAGCUAAUUUUUCUUUUAAAAAUUCAAAUGUGGCUAGACACUCUUUAGAAAAAUUAAAAGGUGCAUCUUUUAAAAGUAAUUGAGUUAGAGGUCUAGUAAUUUUUGAAAAAUCUUUUAUGAAACGGCGGUAAAAACCCGCAUGUUCAGAAAAACUCCUAAUACCCUUCACAUUAGUUGGUGGGGGUAACUUUGAAAUUGUAUCAAUUUUCGACCGAUCCACCUAAAUCCCCGCCUUGGAUAUUUUAUGACCUAAGACUAUGCCCUCUUUAACCAUAAAAUGGCAUUCUUCUCAAUUUAAGACUAAAUCGGUCUUUUCACACCUAGCAAGCAUCAAAUCAAGGUUAGUGAGACAAUCAUGAAAUGAAGAGCCAAAAAUAGAAAACUCGUCCAUAAAUACUUCCAUAAAUAUCUCUACCAUGUCAUGAAAUAUUGCGGUCAUGCCUCUUUGAAAGGUCGUGGGUACAUUGCAUAACCCAAAAGGCAUGCGACGAUAGGCAAAAGUCUCACUUGGGCACGUAAAAGUGGUUUUUUCUUUUUCAAUUGGAUAUAUGGGGAUUUGGAAGUAACCCAGAAAUCCGUCUAAAAAACAAUAAUAACUAUGGCCAGGUAUUCCUUCAAACAUUUGAUCAAUAAAAGGAUGGGAAAAUGUUCUUUAACUGUGGCAUCAUUUGUCUUUCAGUAAUCGAUACACACUCUCCAACCGGUUACUGUUCUAGAUGGUAUGAGCUCGUUCUUCUCAUUCGUUACUACGGUCAUCCCUCCUUUCUUAGGAACCACUUGUACUGGACUAAUCCAUAGACUAUCGGAAAUAAAAUAUAUGAUCCGUGCAUCUAAAAGCUUGACCACAUCCUUCUUGACCACUUCCUGCAUAUUUGGGUUCAAUCGCCUUUGAUGUUGUACCACCGGCUUCACUCCUUUUAAAUUGUUCUUGUGGGAACACUAAGAAGGGCUAAUUCAUUUAAUGUCAGCAAUGUUCCAUGCAUUAGCAUUCUUUUUCUUCUUUAUAGCUCUGACUAACUCUUAUUUUUCAGAUUUAGUAAGAUCAGAAGCGAUAAUUAUGGGUUUUUGUUCGCCCUCUUCAAUAAAUGCAUAUUCCAAAUGAUUAGGUAGAAAUUUCAGCUCAGAUUUUGUACUCGAUACGUUGAACACGUCGACUCCAGAGAGGGGACUCAUUGAGUUCAGGGCAAAAUUCACGUCUGGCCGCGAAUUUUUAGACGGACUCGUCGAGUCGUAGGGGGCUACUCGACGAGUCGGGCUUUCAGCACUUCUAUUUACUUCAUUGUAUUCAGCUUCUUCAAUCAGCCUCUCUAUCUCCAUCAAGUCUUUCUUAGCAUCAAAUUCAUCUUUAAAGGUAAUGGUAGACUUGCUUGGAUCGUCUUCUUUCCACUCUUCUAUUAACUCUUCCAACAUAUCAACCGAGAACGUCGUGUCACCACUACACCGUCUAUUCCAAAUGUAACCGAUUCUUCCCCUACCCGAAGGGUAAGCUUGGAAUCUUUUAUAUCUACUAUGGCACUUGUGGUGUUGAGGAAAGGUCUUCCAAGUAUAAUUAGGACUUGAGAAUCUGCUUCCAUGUCUUAUACUAUGAAAUCUGUGGGGAACACAAAUUUAUCCACUUUUACUAAAAGGUCCUCGCAUAUCCCUCUUGGAAAUGUUACCGUUAUAUUAGCCAAGUGAAUUUCCAUUCGAAAUGGCCUUUGUUACGGAAGGUUUAAUUUCUUAAAAAUUGAGUAAGGCAUGAGGUUAACACUUGCCCCCGAAUCGGCAAAUGCAUGGAUAGGUUAAAAAUUCCCAAAUUGGCAGGGUAAGGGCAAACUCCCCAAGUCACCUUUCUUCUUGGGUAAUUUGUUCAACAUGGCAGCUGAACAAUUUUCAUUUAAAACCACCUUCUGCACCUCUUCCAUCUUCUUUCUAUUGUGAGAAGCUCCUUUAAGAACUUGGCAUAUUUGGGCAUUUGAGCAACCGCCUCGUUGAAAGGCAUAUUAAUUUGAAGGGCUUUCAUGUGUUCCAGGAAUUUUUGAUAAUCAAUAUCAUUCUUUUCUUGUCUAGCUCGGCCUGGAAAUGGCAGUGGAGACUGAUAUGGUUUAACAGGAGGCUUAUUAUUCUUUUCAAUUGGGGGACUCGUCAAGUCCAUGUCUUCGACUCAGCGAGUCGAAUCGGGUUUCUGCGAUUUUUAAUUUUCCGUUUCAUCCUCUUGCACCAACUUUGGAUCUUCUUUAUUAAUAUGGGCCAGUGGAGUAAUAAUUUUCCCACUCCUAGUCAUCACGAUGUCUAUAUGUGCGCCCUUUGGAUUGUGUUCGGUAUUACUAGGUAGCGCACCCAGUUACCUCUCGUUUAUUUGUAGUGCAAGUCGACCUAGCUAUUUUUUAAUGUUUAGGAUGGAAGCUUGCUGAUUCCUCAUCAAAGAUUGUUGUUCUUUCAUCAUGAGUUGUUGUUCUCUCAUUGCAACUUCGGUUUCAUUAUGUCGUUUCUCAGAUGAAGCUGCAAUUCUGGUAAGCAUAUCUUCAAAAUCUAGCUUCUUUUCUUGCACUUGUUCCUCCUUUUGAAAAAACCUCUUGUUUUCACACUAUGUCCCUCCUCCUUCGCCUUUUUAUACUCUUCGUAAGGUAACCACUCUUUCUUUUGGUUGUGCGAAUUCGCAUCUCAUUUGUUGCUAUUCGAGUAGCACACUUGCGCCUUCUGGUUCCCAUGCUUAUCAAGAUCACAUUCCUUAGUAAGGUGAGGCCCGCUACAUUUCUCACAACCAACUCUAAUGGCAUGGAUGGAUUUGUCCAUCUUAGUCAUUAUUUGCUCCAUACUUUCCCAUUUUUCCAUCACAACUGCCAUGCUAUCAUUCACUAAGUUCACCGCCCCUCGAGUCGAGUCAUAUCUUGGAUUAUGAUAUUCUCUAGAGUGCUUAGAGAAUUCUUCAAUGAGUCUUUUAACUUUAGCCAAAUUCUUCUUCGUUAACAGGCCUUGAGAGUCAAGUAGUUGCCUUGUAGUGACAUUCACCCCGUCAUAGAAAGUUGCGAAUUCGUAUCAUAUUUGUAGCGCUCCCACGCUUCAAAUAAAGAUUCUCCUACUUGUUGCUCGAAAUUAGCGAUAGCCUUCCUGAGUUUAACAAUUUUCAGAAGGUGGGAAAAUUUUCUCUAGAAACUCGUCAUGCAUCUUGGCCCAUAUAGUAAUAUCCCCUAGUGGUAGUGCUUUCAGCCAAUCCUUUGCAGCCCCUUUAAAAGUAACAGGGAGCAUCCUCAAUAACACCAUCUCUCUUGGCACGUUCAGGAUGUUGAAAUAGUCGGUGAUGUUAGUAGCUUCAUCAAGAUGCUUGUAUGUGUCUUCAUAAUCCUUUUCGGUGAAAGAAAUUUCCUUCAAUGCGGUAAGGAUGUGCCCCUUGAGUUCAAACGUGGCAGUUGCUUCUAUGGCGGGUUACACAAGCCAUAACCCGGUGUCGUCUCGAAUCCUCUUUUUGUAUGCCUCCAUCGAAAGGUCGGCAAUGUCCCCCAUCUACAGGAAACAAAAAAGAAACACGCGUAAAAAUAACAAAAUGGAUGUAAAAACGAAACUGAAACUUGGACUCGUCGAGUCAAUGCGAUUGGACUCAGGGAGUUCAAGUGUAAAACAUAAAAAAUUUUAGAACGAAAUUCCUAAACAAAACAAACUAAAACUUAAAUCUUAACAAAAAAUUUCCUAAAACAGUAACUUUGUGCAAGAAAAAUCUCACACAAAGGAUUGAUAACAAUAGUAAUUAAGAUUAAUUUUAGAACUGUUCCCCGACAACGGCACCAAAAACAUGAUGUGUGUUGAAUGCACUAGUUUUAAUCCUACUUUUUAAAUAUAAAUUAACCACACAAAAGGAAAUGAACCUGUCAAUUGGUGGUAUAGUUUAGGGAGCAGGGUAUCGAACAUAGGGAACACCAAUUAUUCUCAUUACUAAUACUAUCUAAAAACAAGUAAAAGGAAAGGCUUUUGCUCUAGUUUUGCAAGACUAGAAAACUUAAAAUACUUAUCUAAUACUUACACUAGCAACUAACAACUACGUAAAUGAAAAUUGACUAAAUUCAAUAAUGGAGAAGACUUCUGUUUAGGUUUUGAAUCAUUUUUUCAUAUGGUUGAUUUUAUGACAAGUGCAAUGGAUUAAUUGGCUUUGGCUACCGAUUAAUGUGAUUAGGUUCACGUUCGCUAUUACUAAUCCUUAGAAAACAUACCAAUUCAAGCUGUGGCCAAUUGAUUAAACUAAUAUAUUUCCUAGUUUAUUGAUUCGGGUUAAGUAAGACUUGUAAUGAGCUAAUCAAAUAUGCUAAUUCAAUUAACUCCUUGUUGAUUGUUCAUCACACAAGCUUACCCAUUCACGUACCUAUUUUCUAGUUAACCCUAGUUUCACGUUCCUUAUUCAUAUGUAACACCGUAAAAUUUCAAAACAAUUUUUCGCAAUUUAUUAAAACAUAUUUCAUUUAAUUUUCAUAAAACACCAUUGUUUGAAACCCAAAUACAUAUCAUAUAAAAAUCCCAAGAUCACAUAGCAUAAAAAUCCCGUGUGUGUACUGGUCAAGCCGGCGCCUUCCCAUGGUCAUCACUAUUACCUGAAACAAAUAACACCAAACACUGUAAGCACAAAGCUUAGUGAGUUUCCCAAAAUACCAUACAUAACACAUAUUAGCCACUCGAGGCUAUAACUAUGUGGGUUCGUGCACCCAAACUCUAUGAACCCUCAGGUUCUAACACUGAUAACAUGCAUAGCAUAAAUCACAUAGAAAUAAUGCACUGCAACACAUAGCAUACAUAAUAUACAAAUACUCUAUCACAUAACUCUAGUUACCUACUCAAGGUAAAGUAUAGUGAGAAGACUCACCUCGUGUAUCUCGGUAAAUUCGCAAAUCCCCGAAGUCACUCUCCCACGCUAUAAUCCUCCUAUAACACAUUAUAUCCCUAGUUAACACUUUCACCACUAAGAUUGACUAGCUCUAUCAAGUUAACAUAGUUCAAAUUUGGUCAUGGUCAACGGUCAAAUCUUUGACCGGACUCGCCGAGUGCACUCGAGUGACUCGGCGAGUCUAUGCGUGUCCNNNNNNNNNNGUCCCCAGACCCCCCCCUUGGAACCUCUCCCGACACGUCGAGUAUUCUCCUAACUCGACGAGUUCCACCUGGCAUGAGUUGUGGGGCCACCACGACUCAACUCGCCGAGUCUCAAGAACAACUCGAUGAGUUCCAGCUUGACUCGGUCCACCUGCCCACCCGCUCUGACUCGCCCUGAUUUACUGAGUCAACCCUCAACUCGGCCAGACCACUCGCUGAGUGGUUCUGGGCAAUCUUCAAGCUACUCGCCGAGUAUGUUCUUCAGACUCGGUGAGUCCAUGCCAUGCAACAGCUCAAACUUGCAUCUAAGGUCAGAUCCGUUCCAAAGGAUCAUUCAUCACGUAAAGUCCCUAACUUGGUUGCCAUGCAUCGCUUACAAGGCUUCUUUUGGGAAAAUGGCAACCUAAGUUCACAACUGAAAAGGAUGGGCAUAAAGCAAGGCAUUUGGGACUCUCUGGACCUAAUAAGGUCCAGAUCUAGGUACCAUUUCUCCAUGGGACCUCUCCUUCUCUAAAUACAAGGCAAACAAGGCAUGAAGAAACCCUAGAAUUGACUACGUACAUAAAAACACAAGAAUAGGCUCUGAAUCAUACCUCAAUCAGCCUCUUCUGAUGAAAUGAAGUUAGAUCCUAGCUCCCCAAAUCUUCUAUCUUGGUCUUCCUCUUCUCUUCUUGCUAGCACACACACAAAAUGGUGAUUAAUGGCUUCUCUUCAGACUCACAAAGGCUCACAGCUGCUCUGGAUCUCACAAGGUCGAAGAUAGCCGCAAUGAAGGGCUAUAAUGCCCCUUAAAUAGGGCUUAGGGUCAGGAAAUUAGGGUUUCAUUAAACAGCGUGGACUCGCCGAGUCCGGACGCGAACCCGCGUCCAAAUCCGCGAUCAUAUUCGGCAAGUCUAGGCUCCGACUCGCCGAGUCCCCUCACAAUUACCAAAAAUAAAUGAAUAAUUAAUACCUGGGAAUCCGGGCUGUUACAUCAUAGGCAUAUAACAAUGUUUUCACAUAAAUCAUAUGAGAUUAGCAACUAAGAGAUGUUCAUGCAACUUAAUUACUGGUUAAUUAACAGAAAAUAGUUAUAAUUGACACAUUAGGUUCUUUAACAAGCUCAACAAAACAAAAACACCAAAUUAAAUUAAUCCAAUCAUAAAAUCAAACCAUAUUCAUAAAAUCAUCUAUCCUAAAUAGAAUUUAUGAGUUUUUAGCUCAUGAUUAUAGAAGAAAACAAGUCAAAAACGAAAUCAAUUGAUGAUCACACAGUUUAAACAAAAGACUAAGUAAGAAUACACUUGAAUUGCUUAGCCUUGAUCUCCGAAUUCUAAAGCUUCAACCGCAACUUAAUUCGCAAUUAUCCUCCUAAAGGUUCCAGAGAAAAGUCCCCAAUAUUUGAAUUAGACCCAUUUAUAUAGUUUUUGAAAACAGGGGCUACUCGUCAAGUCCACGGACCGACUCGGCGAGUCCCCAACUUAAAAUCCGUGUAUGCUAAGGAGUCUUGCAUAUUCGCGAACCUUCCAACGGAGUCGGUGAGUAGGCACGCAACUCACCGAGUUCUUCAGGGUUUUUGUCUUUCUUAUUUCUUCAAUUCCCGAGCUUCCAAUCGCGUUUUGCGCUUCUUUUUGCUUCCGAGCUCAUCUUUUAGGCUGAAAAUACAUUUUAAACACAUUUAAGUAUCUUUUGUUCAUAAUUUGCAAUAAAAUAGCCAAAAAGAAAUAGAGUAAAUAACAGUAAUCGUCCUUAUGGUUUGGUCAAAAUUUCACGUUUGGUCCCUAACUUUUUUUUUCCACUCGGAUCGUCCCUAUGGUUUGAUUUCGUUGCGUUUUUCGUCCCUAUGGUUUCGUCAAAAUUGCAUGUUUGGUCCCUAAUUUUAUGUACGUAAGGGACAAAAAACACAACAAAAUCAAACCACAGGGACGAUCCGAGUGCAAAAGAAAAGUUAGGGUCCAAACGUGAAAUUUUGACCAAACCAUAGGGAUGAUUUUAGUAAUUUACUCAAAGAAUUAAGAUUUUACACAAAAUAUAUGACUAAACAUGCACAUAUCAAAUCAAAAUGUUAUUUUGGGCUUAGAUCUAGAUUUAGAUGUAAGGACUUGAUGUAUUAAGCUCUUAGUAAGAAGUUGAGGUGACCAGAUGCAUAUGUUGGGCAUACCAAGUGGUGUGUUACGCGUACGCAGUCAAGCCCUCGACUUCUUGGUCAAGAUUAAUACGCCCCAGGUUCACCUGGGUAUGCCCAACAUACUCGGUUGGGUUGACUCGACUUGUUUGCUGACUUUGACAUUUUGACCAAGGUUGACCUAAGAGUAGUUUUGGGUAUUUGAGGCCUAUUGGGAUUAUCAACUAAACAUAUGUCACUGGUUUCAUUUAGGUAAUCAAUAGAGUUGGUGUUUGAGUUGUACUCGGUCCAGUCAGGCCGAAGGCUCAUAUUUGCAUGCUAUAGUUUGUUGUGUUGUAUGAUGGUACUUUGGGGGAACUCACUAAACUUUGGCUUAUCAUUUUAGUUUAUUGUUUCAGGUACAUUAGAGGAUCAUGCGGAUGCGAAGGCAUGAUCGUUCACAUCUUCCUAUUUUUAUGGCAUUGGAUCUUAUGAUACUCUAAUUUUGAAUAAUACUUUUGAAGGAAUGGUUUUGUAAACACUUUAUGGAUGAAAUGGGUUGUUUUGGAAAUUUUAAAUUUCUACGAUUUUUGGGUGGUUACAAAUUGGUAUCAGAGCCCUGGUUUGAGAGAAUUAGAUGAACAUUCGUGUGAAUCCAGACUCAAACUAUGAACAUGUGAUGGUUUUAAAAUUAUUUUCCUAUUAAAUUCAAAUCAUUUCAAAAUUAACCAAGGAAGGAUGAGAUGUGUAUGAUCAUCCGGAGCAAGAAAGUUUACCCUAAGAUAGCCACACAAUUAUUUGCUUUGUAUGAGUAUGAUAGAUAUGUAUGCUAGUAGUAAGCUAGCGAAUUUUAGGAAUUGCAUUCUAGAAUUGCAUGAUGUAUGAUGCCUACUAAACUAGGAGAAUUUCUUGUAUGCUAGGUGAAAUUGACAUCAUUUUUGUAGUUGCUUAGUGUGUGCAUCACAAAUGUACAUAACUAAGAUUUUAUAGCAUGGGAAUUUUUGCUGUAGCCUUAUUUCCUGUUCUUGUCUGAUUAAGGGAUUAGGGUAGAGUCAAGUAUUCAACUUUCUAUAGGAUCCAACGUUAUGCAUAAUUAGCAUGCAUGAGUGGCUGCAUGGUUGGUGGAAGUUUCAUAAGUAAGUUUGGGUGUAGCGGGCCAAUUAAGGAGUGAUUAGCCACUCUUGAGAGAGUAGAUACAAGAUGUGUCUGUAUCCUAGAUUCUUGGGCCUAGUAGUCAAGAAUUUUGUGUAAGGAUCUACCUGAUUUUUUUUGGUAUCUUAGUGCCAGUCGGUUUCAUUGCUCUAAUGUUGCUUGCUUUGUGCUUUGUAGAGCUUAUAUUGAUGUGAGUUAAGUUUUAAAUGAAUAUGUUAAGUUACAUGCUAAAAAGAUUAAAUGAUUUUAGAAUGAUUGAUUCGACCCUAUUACGUAGCUGUUUAGUAUGCAUGGUGCACUGUUUAGCGGGUUUUGGUGAUAUUAUUAUGAGUUGAUGACUUAGAGGACUCGAGAUGAUUCUUAAGGAAAGUACGGAUAAGUGUGGAAGGUAGUGUUGGGCCUAUACUACUGGAAGCAUAGGAUCCGUGCUUGAAUCAAGGAAAUUCUGGGGAUUCUAAGGAGCUGGUCGGGGAAAAUAGCAUGGGUUGAUACCAUGAUCCAGGGCAAGUGUUUCCAUAUAUGUCGAUCUAUUAGGUAUGGUUUUUCAUACUAAAGAUGGGUUUGGUGGUUGCUUAGGCCUUACUAGCCAUGUAAGAUUGGGUUUGAAUGGUGCAGACCUAGGUGAGUUAUUUGAUUUGUGGUCUCAAGGGCCUUGCUUGAUGGUAGUUCCAGUUAAGUUGUGGGACAAAAGAAAGAAGCGAUUGUUUUUUAUCAGCGUGAGGAUUAUAACUAGAGGCUGAGUGAGCGGUAGGACGAUAGUAUGGGAAUAUAUAAGAGGAUAUCGUGGUAUGGAUGCCUUGAGAUGAGACCAAGGGUCUACUUCAUGCGAUAUAGGCAGUUCAGGUGCUAGCUGAUGAUUUUUGGUGAAUCGGAGAGCGAGAAAUUUUGUUGUCUCUGAUGUAUCCUGACUAUGAGGAUAAUGCCUUUUUUAUUUGUGAAUGAUUCUCAUGAUGAUCUCAUGAUUGCGGGUUUGCAGACAAGGAGUGUGGUAGUCAGUUUGUUCUAGAUAGGGAGUUGGUGCUAUGAAUUGACUAUUAGAAUUAUUGGUUGUGCAUCUAUGUAGGGUUCUUAAUGUUAGAAGUGGUUAUGAUUGGAAAUUUCUGAGGUCUUCAUCUGAGAUUCAAAAUCUCUUAGGGUUUGUUGUUGCUAAUCUGGAAGAUCAUCUUGUGUGUAUGUGUGUUAUACAUUAUAAGAGUCAGGGAUGCUUUUAACCUGGUUGGGUUGGUUUGAGAUAUGGUUUGGUGGUAAUACCAGUGGGUGGUAAUUCGAACCCUAAGUCAAAGAGAAAUGGAUAUUCUUCUUGAUCGAUGAUUGAUCUGUUCGAACCCUAAUUCGAUGAGAAAUGGGUAUUCUUCUUGGUGGAUGAUUAACCUUCGGUUCGGGUAUGCGAGACCUUGUUUCAAGAUUUGGUCAAGUAAGGGGUAUAGAACAGGUUGUUAUCAAUGUAUGUGCUCAGGAAAUGUGCGAGUUGUCUCGCGGCAGGAAGUUUUUGGUGUAGGAGUUUGUUUCAGCCAUUGGUUCCUUUCGAGAGGCCAAGGAAUAGAUCAAAAGGCGCUAAAGUCGCACAGGUUGAGAAUUAGUUGUUGAGAGAUUUGUCUGCUCGUUGUUUCGAUUGCUAUUUGUAGUCUAGAUUGGGCAGUUUUUGAUUGGUAAAUCAGUUUCAGAGAUGGGUAUGUUCAACUCCGCAUUGGUUUUGGUUUAGUAGUGUAUUGGUUUGUUAUAUUAGGUUUCAAUUCAUUCUCGAUAAUUGGUCAUUUUUUUUCAUCAUCAAAGCAGAGAUGCUUCUGAAGUUUUAAGUUGUAUCAGUUGAACUUCAAUGGAUUCAUCAGCCUAUCAUCAAGUUCAACUCGAUUUUGGAAGAUGUCCUUUGUUAUUGGGAGACUAGAAUUUGGGAUAGUGUUGUUCAACUUUCCAUAUGGGACAUUAGAUCUUCAUAGAAUCUAAUUUUUCAUUUCAUGCUGGCAGGUUUGAUAACUAGAUGGAUCCAACCAUGGUUUUUGCAAUAUUUCUGGUUAACUUUAAAAGUUUUAUCGAGUUUGUUAUGUAUUGAUGGGAUCUGUUUUGGUCGAUCAUGAGGAUGCUUUUGUUUAUGAUUGAGGGUCAUCAUUUUAUUAGAUCUACUAGUGGGGGAGAGUUGCAACAUCAUGUUUUGAGGAGUUUCUUGAUUCGGGAUUGUAGACAAUAAAUGGAUCAAGUAACCGCCUUGGGCUAAAAGGGAAUAGGUUUUAGACCCUAUUGGAUGUUGGUAAUAUUGGUUAUGCGAUCCAAUCCCUUGGUUUGUAUUUGGUUCAAAGGUGAAAACAGGAAAAAUGAUGUUUCCGACUUCUUGCAUGAAAUAUGGAUUUUUUUGUUCAAGACAUUUUUAGUACAAGAUGUUUAGAUAAUAUUGUGGGGGCUCCUCAACACCAUUCUGUGGAUAUAAAUGUUGGGUUUUGAACAUUCUAACACUCCUAAGUGUACAUGCAACCCUAAAUACCUUGGAUCUAUGUUUUCUCUAUUAUACAUGCAAAUAAGAACAUCCAAGGUAUUAUCCUAAUCUAGCAUACAAAAACUAUGAAUGUAACAAGAUAGAAUACAUACCUCUUGAUGUAGCUUGAUGUCUUCAAGCUUUAAGAGCUUAGCCCCAAUAGUGUGGAAGCCUCAAGUGGAAUCACAAAUCACCAAGACACCUUGGAAUACUUUAGAGAAUAUGAUUAAUUGGUUCUCUCUAGUGAAAUUGGCUAGCCCUUCUUUAGUGUAUUCACACUAGUGCCAAUUUCACCAACCAAAGACAUCUUUAUAUAGUAUGGAGGAUUAGGGUUAAACCCUAAUACCCAUGACCUUUCAUUUCCUAGGAUCCAUGGGUUAAACACUCCAUGGACUAUCCAUGAAAGCUUAGCCCAACCUAAAUGAACUUGGCCCAUUCCAUAUAUAUAAGAGUCCAUAUUUAAUUAGUUCCUUUUGAUCACUUAAUUAAUUAUAAAUUAAUUCUUGAUCAAUACUAAUUAAAUAAUAUGAUUCCAUAUUAAUAUAUUAGAACUUAUAAUAUAUUAAUAUUAAUCAUAAACAUACUAUUCUCAAAAGAUUAUCCAUAUAAAUUGUGUCGGUGAAGUGCAACCCAAAUGGACCAUGCCGGGUCGGGUCAAGUACAUACCAAAUAUAGUUAUGGACUUAGACAUUAAUCCAACAGUCUCCCACUUGGAUAAGUCUAAAACUAUUAUUGCGUAUGACUUCAAACCUAACUGGCAAUCGUAGCUCUUAAAGCUGCUGUCGAACUCUGAUCUUGUCAACGAACUUGUCCAUUAGAUAAGGGAUCAUAUAUUCCUCCAUUCUAGAUAUCAUAUGGACUGAGACAUGGAUUAUAAUCAUUCUCUCUGUCCAUUUGUUGUUUCCCGAUUUCCGAUUUAUGACGACUGACUAAUUGAACAAAUCAAAUCAGUCCUGGCCCGGCCGAGCACUUCCAUUUGUCAUCAUCAAAUCAUCGAGGGGCCCACAGAUAUCGCUUUUAUCCCGAAGGUAAAAGGAAUGGAUAAACUUCGACUCAUAUGGCUUGUUCUACUACUUGUUGAAUCAUACACAAAGGCACGUUUUAUAGCACCGAGUUACCAAAUGCGUUUUCGUGCAAUCAAUGUACAACCAACUCAUAGUAACAACUCAUAUCUCUAGGUUUGAAGAAUAUAAGAUAUUAUCGUCUCAUGAUCACUCGUGAUAAAAUCCAUGAAGUGAUUCCAAUGAGCGCGGGUUGAAUCCAAUACUCAGAACUUAUGAGCACUCAUGAGUGUUGUAGCCCUUUGUCCAACACCUUAGACCUCUACAAGCCAACCCAUGACAGUCUUAAUUCAUAUCUACUUCCAACAUAUGACCGACUGUGGAUGGUUUGAAUAACUUAGUCAUUCCGGAAGAAUAACCUAGUUUAUUCGGGAAGUCAAAACAUGCAAAGUGAAACACAAUAAUAAUUGAAUCCAAUAUGGUAUCAAAUCUUUGAACAUAAAUAAAACACCUUUUAUUUAUCACCAUAUGAUUACACAUUAUUCAUUGUAUACUGUUUCAGCUAUCAACUUUAUUCUUGAAUUUAAAACAAUAGUUGUCCCAUGCUCCAAGCAUGUACACUAUGUUUUCUUAAACACUAGUCAUGCCACACACCAAGUAUGCAUACUAUGUUUGUCUAUGAUCUUUACUUUGUGAACUAGAUCAAUUGAACAUAACUUCAAUGAUUCUCUUUUCACACUCCCAAAUCCUUACUGCAAAUGCAAGAAUUCCAAAUUCAUGCCAUUUACUGAAAUCUGUUAGAUUCUAAACUUAUAUGCAUUGAUCCUCUUGUAAUGAUUAUGCACAAAGUCAGAAAGACUUGACAACAAUCAUUACAGAGUAUUCCAAAGGAGAUCAGCUCCUUGGAAACAUCCUUCUUGCAUUAAGUUUCCUAAUCUUAAACAGAUUGAAAAUUCUAACUUUGAAACAUUUCCAGAUUCCAUUUUGACUAUCACUUCUGAACAAGAGUUGCCUCCUUACAGAUUAUGUCAAUAUGGUCCUUCCAGAAUUAUCACUAUACUUCCAACUGUCCUUGAGCAACCAAUCUUUGGUAAACCUUAGAUUGUCCUCGACAAUUGUUUAAUCCUUUUAGUCAUAUCCAGUUCUAAACCUUUUCCCUUCUUAAUGCCCCAGGCAUUUGGAAAAUUUUAGAACGGAUGAAUAUAGCACAUGUAAUCGAUCCUAUAUCCGAAGCAUAUGGGACACGAUUCAUGAUGUCUUACAUAAAGACUAAACCAGUCUUUUGCUAUAAUAUUUCCAUUUCAAUUUGCCAAGUUCUCAUAAUUCAGAUUAUGAAAAGGGAUGCCGUAAUCAUAAUCGAAUUUUAGAACGCAAAUAAUGGACCCAUAUACAGAAUUUCCUUAUGUUGAGCCAUUCCAACAUGAAAUUCAUAUAUAUCCUUGACUAAAUGAUUAAAACCUCACGAUCUAAGCUUAUAGAUUUGAGAUGAAGUAUAAUUUCCUCUCCCUUAAUUAUAGCAAAACAACUUUUUCCCAAUUGAAACUUUUGUUUUCUAUAAUUAACAUUGCUAACUUGCAAUACUUAUCAUAAUUAUCAUGCUCCCACUAACAUGAUGAUUAUUAGCAUAACACUUAUGCUCCCACUAGCUUUGACAUGUACUCAGAAAUCAGCUGGACUUCUAGAAAUCAAUACUUCAUUGACUUUCUUACCAAAGUUCAGAUUUCUGAUGCUAGAUUGUUUUGAUAAAGCUGUAUCAAAAUCAUACACCUUCCCUUAGAUAGCACACUUGUGUAUCUAAACAAUUAUGAAGAGGGAUGCCGUAAUCAUAAUGUUUAGACCUUUUUGCCACUUCUCACAAGUCCAAAUUAGUGUGCCGGUUAACCACACGCGCUCCACUAACGACUUUGAGAAUGCAAAUAUCACAAUUGCUAUCUAGCUAAAAUCUACUUAGUGAAAGUGUUUCCUCACCAUCAUUUUCAUGAAUCGGAGAGAAACCUUAUGACACUUAGAUUUAAUGGUGUAUGUGUUCUUAUCCAUGUGAAUUGUCAAAACCAUAGUCACAAGACAAGGAUAAUGACAAAUCCAAACUCAUAUGGACUGAACUCAAUCUUAAUUUCUUGCCACCUGGCAGCUCAAGGGCCUACCAUUGCUUCCAAGUUGUUAUGCAACAAAUUGAGAACUCUAAGAACUCAUAUGCAAAGCCAACUUUAACUGGAAUGGGCACAGAAUAUGUCAACACGAUAGGUUAUAAACCUCAAGUCGUGUGCUAGUGAAGAACUUCAGGUUUUAUUCUUGAUUAGUUCUUGAGACUUUCAAGACCUUUAAGACUCCCACUGUCCUCUUGACAUAUAAGACUCCCUUGUCAAACAUCCAAGAGAUAGUGCGGAUUCUAAUCAAGAAAAACACUUUACCCAAUUGGCCUAAGUUGGUCUUUGUUUUAUCCAAAACAUCACAACUUACCAAUUUCAAAUGUACAAGAGUAGAAAACUUUUACUCUUACAUUUGACAAGUGUUUUAAACCUUCUUUAAGACAUGUCACUCAAAUGACAAUCUUGGAGUAUGACUCUAAGACUUGUAUUGGAACGAAGUAUGACUCAUCUUCUUGAUUUAACCAUUUCAACAAUUCAAGUUCCUCUUCUUAGUCAUAAGAAUGCACUAAGAUUUCCUUAGAGAACUAAUUUUGAUAUGGUUUCUUAAUCAUUAAGAUGAUCACAAAACUGAUACUAAAGUACUCUCCCAUCUUUUCAGAUUUGAGAAACUUUUAUCCUUCUGCCUUAUUUGAUUCUUCUUAUUCGCCCUGCCAUACAUUGGAACCUUUUCCAAUGUCUCAGAGUUACACUUAAGCUUGUAAGUAUAAUCAUAUUUACUGAGCUUUAGUAAACUAUGACGAAUAGUCUUAUCAAUCUUUUGUGGUGGACUUAAUCAGUGCACAAGAAUGUGUACUCGAUCCCUUAGUCCUUUACUUGACUCACACAUCCAUGUGGCCGAGUAAUUAGUCUUAAUUUUCCAAAACUUGAAAGUUCUCAUUCAUCAUGCUAUACAACUUGCAUGAUUCCAAGUUCCGGUCCAAUUGAAACUUGGGUGAUGAGAAUCUUUCCUUAUUUGGUAAAUCUAGACAUUACCACAAAUGAAAGAAUCAAUUUCAUAUUUCCACUCUUGCUCUUAAUGGAAUCAUAUAAGCAACAAUUUUUCCUCAAAAGCCAUUGUAAGGAUAUUUUAAAAUAAAUAAAAUCAAAAAAAUUUUCUUUUAUUUUAAAACUUUGCGGAAAAACUUAUCCUUACAAUCCAUAUGAAAACUUGUUGUUAUCUAUUCCUAAGCAAUAUCUCAUAACUCCUAAGAAGUUGCUCAAGAAUCCGAUCUUCAAACUAUGCGAUAGAAAUCCAUCUACGCCAUCAGAUUCAGCAUAUUCUUUCUUUAAGUUUCUUCACUUUUCUUUGAUUCUUAAAACAUCACCAUGUGACCCAGUCACAUCAUGUAUCAGGAAUCUCAGAAUAGAAACUUAACAGAGUUAGAUAGUGGUCUUUACCUGAAGUAGAGUCAAACUUAUUGACUUUAACAUCCUUAGGUAAAUUUGGCAGCUUCGCAACCAAUGCCCCUUCCCUUGGCAAUAUAAACAUAUGGACCCUUUGAUAAUGGUACACGAGACUAUCACAGACUUAGCUUUUCUCUUUACCAUUUGGUCAACCGAGUUGACUAUGGCCGAUCCCUUUCCAUUGGGAAGAGAAUGCUUUACUGGAUAUCCAAUGUCAUCAUUGUCAAUGUCCAUAAAGUUUUAGGAAGUUGAUCUUAGCAAAUAGAUAAGAUCAUUAAGGGUCUUGUCAUAGUCUGUUUCAUAGGUGUCCCAAAGGAACUCACUAUGUGACUUAGAAAGUGAUUGAACCACCAACUUUCUCAAGACUUUGACACCCAACUCUCCCGGCUUGUCAAUAUGUGACUACAUCUCCAAGAUGUGAUCACACCUAGACCUUGCCUUGCCAAUAGGGCUUGAGUGACCUUAAACUUUUCAAGAACUUGUGGGUUAGGGAGAAUAAUUGGAGGAGGUGAAAGAAGUAUGAUUUCCAAAGGACAUCAUCUUCAUUUAGGAAACCUUGUUUCACUAGAUUUGGGAAGAUCAUAGGUGUCUAUUACAGACAUCUUUUGGGAGAUAUUCAAGAUAGUUGAUUUAAAGUCCUUAAUAUGACACCCAAUAUGAAAUAUUAAGGCUAGGACCCAACAAACUAUUUUAUAACUUAGAAGAGGUAUGCCGUAAUCCAAGCUAUAAAAUAUUUGAAGGUAGGUGAAUGACGAUUCACCAAUUUCCACCAAGAUAAACGAAAUGUAUUAUUAGGUUUUAAUUGGUUUUGAAACUCCUAGAUCUUUGAGAUUCAUUGAACUUUUCAAAGGCAUGUUUCAAUCUCGAGUGUGCCCUUCAGGUUUUGUGACUGGGAUGCCGAGGAUCACAAAACAAGGUGUGAAGUAACCAUGCAAAUCACUUGGUACCCUUAAUAAAUUACCCCUCAAUCGAUGUGCCGGUUAACCACACACGCUCCAUCGAUACUAUGAUAAAUAUUAAGUCACCCUUUACCUACCUUGUUAAGUCCAAGUUAGUGUGCCGGUUAACCACACACGCUCCACUAACGACUUAGACAAAGUGUAAAGUGUAAUUUCAUGGAUUAGCACCUUAUUCACAUUUUUCCUAAGUAACUAAGAUUGGGUAUUAUUAAGAGUUUAGUUACUUAGUAUUAUCAUUAAUACUUUUAAUGAAGGGAGAAUUCUAGUCCUGUCAAACCCGUUCGGCUAACGACCCUCCACCAGUCAAGCAAGCGGUGGGUGAGAGUGGACACCCAUUAAGUUGCCAUUUUAUAGGCAACAACCUUAUACCCACCUUAUAGACCGGCUUCGUGAAUGAGGCGUACUAGCGGUAAGACUGACUUUACUCUUAUACAUAUAUAUAUUAUUAACUUAUAAUAUUAUAAAGUAUAAGGGUUGAAUUUUAACUUUUAAAAUUCUAAGGGCUAACUUGGAAUUAAAGUAUUCAUAAGUGAAAACUUUACAAAUUCCAAAACUUGAGGGCAAGUUUUGAAACUAUUCAAAACUAAUUAAUUCCAUAACUUAUGUGUUUAAAGUAGUUUUAAUCCAAAAACUCUUCAAGUUCCAUAACUUGAGGACAAGUUAUGGAAGACUUUAAACUAAUAAAAGAAUUAACUUUUCUUUAUUUUAUAACUUAUGGAAUUAAUUAAGGUUACACUUUUUUUUUUUUUAUUUUAUUUUAUUAAAUGAAGAGACUCUUGGUCCUCCAUAACUUGAGGACAAGUUAUGGAGUCAUAAAACCAUUUAAUUAGAACUAGACUCUUCAUUUUUGUAACCUUUGCCAAUUUUUAUGAGUUUUAUGAUUCUUAAAUGUGACUUUUCAUAUAACUUGAGGACAAGUUACAAAAACACAUUUUAGAAUCAAUUCUUAGAUUAAUUUGGAUUAAAACCAACUAUCACAUAAUUUUAUUCAUUAAUCUAAAUUCACUCAUAAAACAAGGUAACACAAAAAACUUUUGGUGAUCCAUAACUUAUUCUUAAGUUAUGGAAUCCUUUAAAACAUUAACACCAAAUUUUGUAACUCCAAAAAAACUUUGAAUCAAUUUUUUUUUUAAAACCUUUUCAUAUCCAUAACUUAUGGAGGUUUCAAAAAAUAAAACUCUUUAGAUCAAACUUUUAAAACUAAUAAAAUAAUCAUAUUAUUUUAUCUUUUAUUAAAUUUGACCUAAUUCAACUCAUAAAGCAAAUUAUUCAAAUUUUACAAAUAAUUAGUUUUUCACAAGAACAAGUAAUUAUCUUAAAAUUUGACAAACUUCAUGUUUUUUUUUUUUUUUUUUUUCAACUUUGAAAAUAAAAUAUUUGCAUCAAUAUAACAGAAAACAACCCGUGGCUCUGAUACCACUGUUGGGUUUUGAGCAUUCUAACACUUCCUAAGUGUACAUGCAACCCUAAAUACCUUGGAUCUAUGUUUUCUCUAUUAUACAUGCAAAUAAGAACAUCCAAGGUAUUAUCCUAAUCUAGCAUACAAAAACUAUGAAUGUAACAAGAUAGAAUACAUACCUCUUGAUGUAGCUUGAUGUCUUCAAGCUUUAAGAGCUUAGCCCCAAUAGUGUGGAAGCCUCAAGUGGAAUCACAAAUCACCAAGACACCUUGGAAUACUUUAGAGAAUAUGAUUACUUGGUUCUCUCUAGUGAAAUUGGCUAGCCCUUCUUUAGUGUAUCCACACUAGUGCCAAUUUCACCAACCAAAGACAUCUUUAUAUAGUAUGGAGGAUUAGGGUUAAACCCUAAUACCCAUGACCUUUCAUUUCCUAGGAUCCAUGGGUUAAACACUCCAUGGACUAUCCAUGAAAGCUUAGCCCAACCUAAAUGAACUUGGCCCAUUCCAUAUAUAUAAGAGUCCAUAUUUAAUUAGUUCCUUUUGAUCACUUAAUUAAUUAUAAAUUAAUUCUUGAUCAAUACUAAUUAAAUAAUAUGAUUCCAUAUUAAUAUAUUAGAACUUAUAAUAUAUUAAUAUUAAUCAUAAACAUACUAUUCUCAAAAGAUUAUCCAUAUAAAUUGUGUCGGUGAAGUGCAACCCAAAUGGACCAUGCCGGGUCGGGUCAAGUACAUACCAAAUAUAGUUAUGGACUUAGACAUUAAUCCAACAAUAAAGAUUGUUGAAAUCAGAGUUGAAACAAAGAAGUUAUGACCAUUUCAAGUUAGGAUGGUUUUGGGAUAAGCCGCGUACGUGGGGCAUACGGGGAAGUACGUUGGUCGUACUAGGGCAUCCCUGAGUAUGCUGGGCGUACCAGGAGUAUACUGGGCGUGCGUGAUCAACGCCCAAACCUUAUUUUCGUGGUUUGCGCCAUAUUUAAGCUCCUUAACUUCCCCAAACCCAUUCCAUUCUCAUCCUUUUCGUCUGUAACACCCUCCCUUGAAAACCCUAACCCUAGUUUGAGCCUUUUGGGCAAAAGAAGGUGUGCUUGAGUUCUUUGGAGUGUUCUUGGUGCAUAUUUGAGAAGAACGAGCUCUUUGAAGAAGUGUUGUGUAACAUCCUGAUUUUUCAGGUAUUAUGAUAUUUCUUGCAUCUUUAUUAUUAUGGCACCUUUGGUCCCUUGGAAGAAAAGUUUUAUGAUUUUAGUUGUAUGCCGGGUGUACGUAAGAGUACGUGCAGCAUACCAAUACAAAGGGUGGAUCGUAGGUGGCUAUCUAGUAUCCUGGGUGUAUGUGUGGUACGCCGGGUAUACUAGCCCAUACUCCAAAACCUUAAUUUCUUGGUUGCUCCCUUUCUAAAGAAAAUUAAGUCCUCUUUUUCGUCACCUUUAUCAGCCUCCAAACCCUCCCUAAACCAUAAUCCCAUGUUUGAGUGUUGUGUGAGCCUUGCAAGUUCAUUUGAGUGUUUUUCAUGCAUUUAUAUGAAGAAGGAAGUUAGUGAAAAAGAAGAAGGUGUUGGGAAGCUUGUAUAUCUAGAAAACUUCUCUCCUUGUGCAUGCACCAUUUUCAGGUAUAAAGUUUGUACCUUUACAAGUCUUUCAUUAGAUCUCCAUGUUUGAAGUUUUAAGAUUUUUGUCCCCAAAGAUUGGAACUUUAUGAGUUUGGAGCACUCUAGUGGUUUGUAGCAGUCCCUUCAUGUAUUAUAAGACUUGUGGAUGCAUAAAAAUGGUAGCUUGAUCACUUCUUUCAAUUCAUGCAUGAGAAAAAUGGCUUAGAAUGUGUUAGGAGUUUAUGAAUGGAUCUUGGGAACUCUUCUGGCCAUGGAAAGGCUUAAAGAUGAUAACUUUAUGGUUUUAGAUGUCGUGGAAUGGCCAGAUCUGUGAUUAGGAGUAAAUGUCUUAAAGGAUUAACACAUGUGUUACUAGAAAUGGGAAUAGACAGAGUACGUUGGGCAUACUCCAAGCUACGCCCCGUGUAGCCGGUCCAAGCCCCGUUAUUUCUGAUCCAAGUUGUACGCCCCGCGUGGAUUGUGGUAUGCUCAACAUAUGUUUUAAAUGUUGACAUUUGUUGAUUUUGACCCUUGGUCAAGAUUUAGGGUUUUUAGACCAUGCGAAGGGCAAAAUGGGCCUUUUUUCCUUAGAAGGUUUGUUCGUGGGAUUGAUAAUUUUUUAGUGAGUUUUGAACCUUAUUUAUUGAUUAAGGUUAAUUAUUUUUGACUAGCUGGAGUCUAGAUCCGACAGUUCGGGUGCUACGUUUUCGUGUCAUCAGUAUUAGGUGAGUCUCCUCAAUUACUCUUACCUUUACGGUAGGAUUGUUGUGUUAUGAUGACGAGAUGGGUCUAGCUACUUCACCAUGUUAUGCUAUGUACUUAUAAGUGAUUGAGGCUGCUAAUAGCCAACCAGGGUCGCUGAUAACCCACCAAGUGUGGUGUUAGCUCACCGGGACCGCUGAUACUCCCAGGGUUACAGAUAACCCAUGGCUGUUAUUUAUGUUGUAUUGUAUGUGGUAUCUUUGGGAAAUCACUAUGCUUUGUUCUUAGAGUUGUUGAUUUUAAUGUGACGGGUGCUUCACUGGAUCGCGGGAAGGCGAAGGUCGGAUUGUACACACGCGCUGAGGAAUUUACUAUUAGGACAUGUUUAUGAAAUCUUAUAAUUAAGAUACUUAUUGUUUUAGGAUAGUCAUGUAUUUGAUAAUGUGGUUGUGAAACUAUGAUUUUCAGUAAAUUUAAAACAAAAGAUUUGGUCUAAAAUUUGAGGUGUUACAACUUGGUAUUAGAGCCCUGGUUUAAGGGAUUUGGAUGAACCUCUAGGUGCUUCCAAACUCAAACUAAGGAUCUGAAAAUUUAAAGAACUUAACAAGAAAUGAAGACUUUUACCUGAGAAAAACCCAGAGAAGUAGUGUGUGCAAUUGACCAACAUUCGAACGACAGUUUCCCAAAAUACCUCAAUUUGUAUUCUUGAGUAGUGUAGAGAAGAUAUGUUUAUAUUUUGAGCUAAUAGAAUUGCAUGCUAGCUAGAGGCAGGCUAUGGAAUCUUGCAGAGUUAGUAUGAAAAUGUUGCUUGAUUUGGGAUACCUUAGCCUAGGAGUUCCUUCUUAUGGGAUUGAAUAUGUCUUUACUAUUUGGUUGGUGUAUGAUAUAUAGUUGUACAUAGUUAGGAUUUUGUAUCCUUAGAAUGUAUGAUUUGGCCUUUCUUCAUGUUCCUUGAUUGGUUGUGGAUUUGAGGUAGGAUCAUUGUUGAGUCUAAGAGGUUGCGUCACUGGGCUUGUUCUUAGGCCCAUUUUGUAUACUCGGUCUAAGCCUGUCCAACCGUGUUUUUUCUUUGGGGUUUAGUAUAAAUGGUGCAUGCAUGCAUUGUUUUAGUUACGCUUCUCAAUUAAUAUUUGAUUUAAUUCUAUUGUAACCCUAGCACACCUCUACAGUCAAAGUUCUUUAUCGAGUUCUUCUGAGGUGGAGCAUAUUAAUCAUUUAGCACCUGUUUGAUCCAUUCUCCUAUUCAUCAUUUUAUCUGUGUUUGUUUAUCUUUUAAAAAACUAUCGAGCUAAGAGAAUAAUAUUCUCUACAAUUGGUAUCAGAGCAGGAGACUAUGUAAUUCAUACGCAUCUCUUCUAUUGGAAGAAUCUUUUUAGGGUUUCCGCUUUUAUCAAAAUUGUUGGAGCCGUCAUCUCUUCAUUGAUUUGUUUCUUGAUUUUGAUAAAACCCUAAUUCAAACUUUACAAGUCUGGUUCAUAGCAAAUAUUUGAAAAAGGUCAUCAUGUCUCAUGAUGAUUCACAAACCAAUCCGAUAAAUAUCUCCAACAACAUUGGAUCUACAACUAGAAUUCUGAUUCUAUACACUCAAGAUUAUGAAGUCUGGAUGCAUCACUUUGAAGACUAUGUCGUUGGAUCUGAAGACAAUGGUUAUUUAAUAUGGGAAGUGAUAACUUUGGGUCCUUUUGUUCACUUUGGAACAAAUAGAAUCAUCAAGACUCAAAAGGAGUGUAAUAAGCUCUUGGCUUAUGUGAAUAAUAUUCCUCAAGACGAGAAAGACAAGUUGUCAUGUAGCAUCAAAGCUAUGAGAGUGAUCAGAUUUACUUUACAAUCUGAUACUUUUCGUUUGGUAAGUCCAUGCACCACGGAAAAAGAAAUAUGGGACAUACUCAAGGAGUUGUAUUCCACUGAUGAGGAUCUAGAGCAUUCAAUCCAAACUCUACUGCUUUCUGAGUUCGGUGCUUUCGAAUAAAAUUCGGAAGAAAAACUUAUUAAGGCAUUCGAUUGUUUCAACCAUAUUCUAAGCACGAUGAUCAAGCAUGGUAUUGGCAGAGAAGUGAUCGAGCAGAAGGUCACAAUUAUGAAUGGUUUAAGACCCAAAUGGAUGGCUGUGGUUUCGACUGUGAAGGCUCAAGAGAAGUUUAAAAGCUAUUCGUUAGCGAAGCUGGUAGCGAUCCUCAAGUCUCAUGAAAGUGUAGUAACAAAGGAAACGAAGGUGGUGUCUGGUAUCGGAUCCUUCGGCCUUCUCUCUAAGAAUAAGAAUGUGGCAAAAAAUGAAGAAGACUCAGAAUUGUCAGAAUGCGAUCUGACAAGUGAAGAAUAUGCUAUGAUGGUUUCCAACCCGAAGCGGUUUGCUCGUAAAAAGUUCCCUGACGCCAAAAACCGAAACUAGAAGGGAAGCUACAUCUCAUAGAAGGUGAAAGAGGAGAUCAGGAAUACUCCUUAGAAAGUAGAAGAGAAGAAGGAGAGAAAGCUGGUAGGAGACUCCGCAUAUGAUUGCAAAUUUUUCUAUUGCAAAAACCGCUUUGCCAAGGAUUGCAUGUAAACAAAGCUGUUAGAGAAAAAGGACAGUGAAGAUUAUGAACCUUACCAUAUGCGUAAGCCGGAGGUGAUAAAGAUGAAGAAAGCCUCUAAUAGUACUAUGAAUGCUUUGAUUGUGCAGGAGAACUUUGUUGAUGAUGAGUUCGAUGGUGUGGAGGUCUGGUCUACCAACUCUAAAGAUGAAGAAAUACGUAAACCCAUGCAUGGCAGGACUUUUGCGGUGAAGGAAUAUCGUGAAGAAUUAGCUGGCAGAUGCUUAAUGGUGAAUACUGGAGUGUCAUAGAUGAGAGGCUACACAACAGAUGGCAGGUGUGAUGAGGAGAAUCAGAAGGAACACAAGUGUAACAUCCAAAAUUUCAGAAAAAUUUAAACUUUUAAAGUCAUAUCGAGUUCAUCAAAAAAUUACAACAUUGUUUUCAAAACAUCUAUUAUCAGAUUCUUUCCCAGAAACAUAACAUGAUAGGAGGUGCUAUACGAUCACGCCUUAGCCUUGCUACAAUCCCCUGGUGUAUCUGAAACAAUAAACUGAAACUAUAAGCCCGAAAGCUUAUUGAGUUACCCCUAAAAUACCGAUACACAUACAGUCCACAUAACAUCAUUAACAUUAACAUAUCAUAUCAAUAAAGAUAGAAUAGCGUGCAUGGGGUCCACAGCUUUACAAGCUGGACGACCCCUAGGCCCUUAGUAUGAGUCUAGAAUGCCUACCGGGCCCUUAGCUCGUAUCUGGAAUGCCAUCGAGCCCUCAGUACGAGUCUGGAAUGCCUACCGGGCCCUCAGCUCAUAUUUGGAAUGCUCCCCAAUCCUCAGUAUGAGUCUGGAAUGCCUACCGGGCCCUCAACUUAUAUCUGGAAUACUCUUGAGUCCUCAGUGUGAGUCUGGAAUCCCUAUCGGGCCCUCGGCUCAUAUCUGGAAUACUCUCUAGUCCUCAGUGUGAGUCUGGAAUACCUACCGGGCCAUCAGCUCAAAUCUGGAAUACUCCAGGGUUUGCUGGCUACCGCACGAAGCAGUACAACCUCAACCCAUCCCACAUAACAUGUCGACAUGUAACGGAUAAAUGCACAUACAGGUAAUCAAUUAGUAUCACAGGCAGUCCUACAGAUCUACCCGACUAGCAUAUCAACUGGCAUACAUUACUAACUCAACUCAACAUAUCAAUGACUACUAGGAUAUCAAAUUCUAUGGGCCGGCCUUGGUGCCUUAGACCCCUUAGUAUAGUGAGGAUAACUCACCUGGCAGAUGUCAGCUCGGUAAACAAUCACAGCUCUCUGAUCACUUGCCCAACGCUCCACCACCUAUUACCAUAAUACGAUCAUGCUCAUAAGUAUCUACUCGUCGAGUCCCUUUAUGGACUCGGCGAGUAGAUCACUAAUUCCGUGAUCCCGUGUCGACUCUACUCAGCGAGUAGGGCAUCAUUUACUCGUCCAGUAGGGCUUAAAAACUAAUUAAAUUCUUAAUUUAAUACCUGGGAAUCGGGGUGUUACAUUCUACCCAACAUAUUAGUAGAUAAAAUAUACAUUUUUAUACACAGUUUAAAACCUGUAUAGCAUGUUCAUUCAAUACACAUUCCAAAUAACAGAUGAGACACCUAUACAUAACACAUAUUUCGUAGAGAAUAAAGCACAACUAUGAGUUAGAAGAAAGUGAAUAUACAUUCACACAUAUAAACAACAAUAUAUACACAUAGCACGUAUUUCAUAUCAAAUACUUCAUAAUUAUGCGUUAGAAGAAAUUAACCACACACUCACCUGAAAAGACGAUGAUCGGACCACGCCUCGUCAAUUAAGAUAAUCUUUUGUGAUGAAACCGGGACGUUUUCUCUAAAACCGGGCUUCACGCGGAUAGAGCUUCGACUCGGGAAUUUUACUUCUCUGGAUCUUCGAGGCUUCGGGACUUGCUUCAGGGCUCGGGAAUGAUACCGGGGCUUCGGGGUAUUUCUUGCACGUAAAUAAAGGCAAAAACGAGAGAGAAGGAAGAAUUCGAGCACUAAAACUCAGCAACCCUCUACAUCUAUUUAUAGGGUGUUGAAACUCGUGUUACGAUGGGCGUAAUCUCAGAGUACGCUGGGCGUACUCCCUCUAUGAUCUGUAUGCAAGGCGUACAAAGCACUACACUACGCGUAGUUCGGAUCAGGUCGGAGUCGUCAUCGCUUACGAACUCGGAACACUCGAGUGGUUCAUGCAUCAGGGUACCCUGGGCGUACCGAGGUCCUACACUGAGCGUAUUUCAGAUCGGAUCAGUGACUCCUUUGGACAUUAUCCGAAAUAAAAAUUAAAUAAAUAUAUUUUAAUUAUUUAAAAAAUUUAGAAAAUCAUAUCUUCCUCAUACGAACUCCGUUUUUGACGAUCUUUAUAUCCAUGCGUAGGUGAGACUAAGAUCGACAACUUUCAUUUACACUUAGUCGGCUGAUUUCGACUUUUAUUUUUAUUAUAUUAUUUUUAGUAGGCCGAGACAGAAAAAAUCCAUUAUAAAUUCAUAACUUCUUCAUCCGACAUCCAUUUCCGUCUGUCUUUUUACCGUUGCACUACUAAUAAUGAGAUCUUCGAUUCUCGUUUAGAUUGUUUCGGCUAGACAUCACUCAAUCUCAUAAUCGAACUUCGGGUUGCAUACUACUAAGCUGAAACAUAGAAAAAUCCUAACUCCCUCAUAAGAAGUCAGAUUUGGGCAUUCUUUUUAUGCAAGCUCUCGGUUUAACGAACUCUACGACUUUCGUUUAGAUCACUAAGGCUAAAUGCCGCUCCAUCGUAAAUUCACUUUUUUUACGUUAUUCAGUGUCGUGCCAGUUCUGUCGCGAAACUUCAACAUAUCAUAACUUUUUCGUUAUAACUCGGAUUUUGGCAUUAUUUAUAUAUCCGGAAUCCUAGUUUCAACCACUACAACUUUAUUCAUAGAUAUCGACGUUAUUUAAUAUUCAUUUUGAUGAUAAUUUUUUAUCGUUAACUCAAUUAAGCCACACAACUAAGCAUAACACACAUAUACUCAAAUAAUACAUUUUUAUUAUUUCAAAACAAGUUACAAAAGUUAACCUAGACUAUUACAUUAAUAUUAAUGACGAGCCCAGAAACAUAGGCGUUACAAAAUGCUAACCUAACCGAUAAAAUUAGCAGUGUGACAUCCAAGAGUGAGGAGUGAAGGAUGUGGAUACAGAAGACGGAGUUAGAGUUAGUUAGAGCAAGAGAUUAGUUGAUAUAUUUGCAACGUGACAAUUUGAAGUUUUUAAAACAAAGGAAUAUUUUUUGUUUGAUUGCUAAACGUCUUUAUUCAAAUAUCACUACUAGAAAAUUGCCCUUUAAUGACGCGCAAACAAUGACACUCGCUGAUAGAGGACCCGUAUUUGUGCGUGCCCUAAAAAAUAAUGUCAAUUUUGCAAAAUAUGAAGGAUAGUGGACACGUAUUUGUGCGUGUUCUAAAAUUAGUGUCAGAAAAGAAAAACAUGGAAAUGCGGAGGGCACCUUUCAUAAAAUGUGUGCCAUCUAAGUGUGUCGCUUUAUAAUUUUUAAUGAAACAUGCGUUUUAAGCGGGAUUUCACCCACCUAUUGGAUCCCAAAAAUUAAACCCCCUGCCUCUUCCAAUUAGCAAGAAAAAGCCCUAGGGCCUUCGUCUUCAUAGCAUAAUUGCUUUUGCUUUCGUGAUCGAAUCCCUCACGACGACAAUUGUUUGGAUGUUUCCAAUCAUUUUCUCAGUGUUGUAAGCCAUUAUAGGGGCUGGUGUUAUGCAUUUUCUUUACUCAUUGACUGAUACGCAUUCUGCAACCAGGGAGCUGAACUCAUAGAGUCGGCGAUUGGGGUCUAUGACUCCUCACACUCAAAACGCCGGUGAUUUUAAGGUUUUUUUUAUCCCCGAUAUCAAAGAAGGACAACGGAUUUUAUGUUCUAGACCUUACAAGUGUGCACCUAAGAACUAGCGCUUUUAUAUCAGCGUGUUCAGGUGGAACAACGAUAUCCGCUCUUCCUUCUCGAAAGUUCAGUUGUAGGGUUUCGAAACUAUAGGGAUCAAUUUAGAGGUUAAAGAUAAGAAAUCGAAGGUUGAAGGUCAGAUUUGGGAUUAGAAGUUGGAUGUUCAUGGUCAGAUUGGAAGUAUCGGAAAUUAGGAAACGAAAAUGGAAGAGGCACCAGGUUUGAAUAUCAUUCUCUUCUUCUUAAUGUAUGUACCCUAGGUUAAUUUCUCUUACUUUAUCAUUUUAUUAUAUUAAUUUGGGGCUCUCUGCAUUUUCACAUACGUCUCUCCUCUCAUUCUACGUAACCUUAAACAAGCAAGGAAGAAUUUAAGGCUUAUUCGGUGUUCUUUAUAUAUUAUUCACUUUCUUUUCAUCAGGGUUUCUCGUAAUAUCCAUUCUUUCCUCUUCAUCUUUUCAUUUGUUUCUUUUUUUUGUAAAACUUGAUUUUCUCUGUUUUAGGAAUUGUAAUAGUUGCAUUUGGACUUCAAAAAUGAGGAAUUUGUUUUUAUGCCCUUAUCUGACUUCAUUGGAAUGUUCCUUAUCUGAGGAAUUGGAAAAAUAUUGGGAUUCAUGGUCAAAAAGGUAAUGGUGAUAAUGGCUAACCAUUUUAAUCCUAGGUGGAGAAGGUUUCUGGCUAUUUGGUUGAAAAUUAUGGUCUUUGGUUUGCAGGGAUUCUAGGUCUGCUAUCAUCUUUUAACUCUUUAUUUUACUCUAUUUCUUUAAGGAUUAUUUGUUACUGAGACGUGAUUUUUAGCUGUAAAUUACAAAUAAUGUAUGAACCAAUGUUUUUAUUUCAUUGUUUUUCUUGUCAUUGGGUUUCCAAUAAUACUCUGUCGUCUUCUUCAUCUCUUAGGAUUUCCAGUGUUUUUUCUGUCAAAUCUGAUUUCCAGUGUUAUUUUUAUGUUUUUAUAUUUAUUUUUUUAAUUAUCUUUAGAUUAUAGAAUUUGAAGAAGAGAAAAAGGGAUUGAUAACAAAACUACAGGUAAUUAAAUUCUUUACCCUUGUGGCUGUGAGUAAUCUUUGCCUUUUAAAAUAGUUUUCUCAAAUUUUUAUUGAUUUUAUAACUUUUUUUAGGUUAAAGGGAAGAUCUGCUUGGUACCUGACAAGUGUAUGUAUAUCAAGUCAAGUUGUAGAACUUUAUUUGUACGUGAUCAUAUGACUUUCUCUACUACUAUCUUAUUGCGUGCUUUGUUUCUUUCAGGAUGAGAGGUUGGUAUCUAUAACAUUUGUAGUUAAGCUUAUUUCUGGGAAUCAUUUCUAGUUAUUUGAUUUAAACUUUUCCACCUUUACAGGAUUUACUUUUAUGAGUUGUGUGUGGUUAUAGAAUUAGGGUGUGUUUGGGAAUAUAAAAUACUCCAAAAAGACUUUUUGACCACUUUGCCUAAUAGACCUAAAAGCAACGCUUUUGUUUCCUGGAUACAUAUUUAACCUGCAUUUUAUUCUAACGCCUUCAUCUGCUUCCCUUUCAUUGACUGUGCCUCUUUAUUCCUCCCUCUUGCUACCGCCUCCGACGUCCCUUCUAGCCUUCACUCUUCACCGGCCUUUUCUCCUCGCUGCCACCUCCGUUGCUCCAUGCCGCCACCUCCGUCGCUGCACUCUGCCGGUAUAUAUAUUAUGCCCUUUUCUCUUUUAAUCCUAGUUUUUUCCCAAAUCUUUCUCCAUCCUCAUUUUGAUGCUUUGUGGUUGAACAUUACUUGUUUUAGAUCAUUGUGCACAAUUUGAAGUCUCAUGCUGAGUCACAUAUGGAAAAUUUAUAAAAUCUGCUAUAAGUACCCAAAAAAAACUCCAAAAUCUGUUCUAUGUACACACAUGUUAAGUGUCACCUUGAGUUUUCAAGUGAAUAUUACAUAUUCUUGAGUUUUUUAUCUAUUGUGUAAGAUUUUUUCCAAGGUUAAAGUUAGUUAAAAUAAAUAACAUUUUUAUAUUCAUAAUAGAAAUGUUUUUUUUUUAAUUUUGUUAUUGAUUUUUGUAGGGUGAUUUGAACAGACUUUUUGUUACAGUCUAAACUGAUUGUUCUUAAUCUUGGGAGUCUCUGUAUUUAUGGAAGUAUGGUUUAUUGUAACAUAAAUCCUAUUUCUCUACUUAUUUUCUUUUCAAUAAUACCUUUUACUUCUUAAUAAUGAGAUUCAUAGAAGAAUUCUAUGUGGUACUACUUUAAUUUCUAUGUGAGGAAAUGACUCAGCACACUAGGAAAUCAACUAGGAUGUUCAGAAAAUAUCAUAUAUUUUCUACUUAUGUAUUCAGCUGACUUUUGAUCCGAUCUGAACCACAUUGAUUAAGCAGUAUGACUCACUUCUUGCGAUUAUUUAUUAAGAGGGUUUUCCAUUUAUAGCAUUUAUGCCUAGUUAAAAAUUUGAUAAUUUGUGAAGCCCUUUGUGCUGUUGAUUAUUUACUAUUGAUAAACUAUAGUAUAUCUAAUCUACCAUCAUGUCCACUAGAGUAAAAAGGGAUGCCAAUUUAGUAUAUUGGCUGCUAAAAUUAACCCAUGGUCUUAUGAUCUUUAUAACUUGUUACUUGUCAGUGGUCCAGUGUUAACAACUGAUUUGCAAAAAGCUAAUGCUAUUGCUGAUUGGCGUGGUCAUAUCAUGUUGUAUUCUUGUGAUUCAAGCCUGAAAACUUUGUGUCACUGACACAACUAAUUAAUGAAAGUUUUUACCUUUCAUGGUGGUGUGUUGUUAUUUAAAUUUUUGUCUUGUAUAACAUCAGGGCCAUGUGUAGGCAGGAUUUGGAGCGGAAUUGAGUUCAUGGUUCAAUUCAUGUGAGUCGGUUGCAAGGAAAAUUUCUUUUUUCUUCACAGAGACAUUUUCAGGUUAAACUAUCAUCAUAAGUUAAUGUUUCCAUGUUAAUGGCUUAUGGUGUUAUUAUAUUAUAAGUUUACAACUAAACAAUACUUGAUAGAAAUAUGAGUAUCUCACAUAAUAAGGGCAAUUGAGUCUUUCUACAUACACGAGUGACUGAGAUAUGUGAAAUGAAUUAAUAAUUGGAUAUUAGAAGACACUUAUUUCCAAAAAAUGAAUUGUUGAUCCAUUUUAAGGAAAUUGAUGGUUGAAUGUAUAGGCCAAGAUAGAAAAGAGACAAAAGAUAUGACUGGAAAAGGUCAAUAAAUUAUAGAACAAUCAAUUGGACUAAUAGUAAAUGUCUUUUAUAAUGGCCUUUAACGGAUUUAUCUUACCUUGUUUGUUGCUCUGUGUUUGAAGUAAGUUUCUUAGCAAGUAUUAAGCUUAAUGACUCAUUGCUACAACCAUUACAAAGAGCACAACCAUUCUUCGUGCUAGCUGGUCCCAAUGUGAUUGAAUCUGAAGAACAUAUUUUACAUAUGGCCAAACAAAUCAAGGCUAACACUUCAAAGUAUGUUCUUUAUUCUUAUAUCUGUAAUAUGUAAAUAAGCAUAUAUGUUUGAGUUUGACAGAUAUAAUACAAAUCAUGUUGCUUUCUUUUUCUUUUUGUUUUUGUUUUUGUUUUUUUUUCAGACUUGGAUUGCCAUUAGUUUUUAAGUCAAGCUUUGACAAAGCUAACAAAACCUCAUCAAAAUCUUUUCGUGCUCCUUCAAAGUGAAUCAUCUUGGAGCUGAGAAAAUAGUAAGAGAAAAGGUUCAUUUAUUUUUCUCACACCCCCGAACCAGACGGCGGAAACGUCAGGGGGCUGUUGUGACUCAAUUGAAUACCAUCACAAUGAAUAUACAUGAAACAUAACAUCAUACAUCACCAAACAUUGGAAUAUUACAACUGGUAGCGUUUACAUUUAGUACAUUGUUCCCUAACAUUACAUGCCCAAAAAGUAGAUUGUUCGGUACUAAUUAAACAAGCAGCAAAACGUCACUGAGUACACUUAUCCCUUCGAUUUAUCUGUUACCUGAGAAUACAAGUAUUUUGAAAAACGUCAACAUAUGAAAUGUUGGUGAGUUCAUAAGUAAUGUUUGAAAUCCAAUGUUUGUAUUGUUUCGAAAACCACCAGAAAAUCCGAUAUUUUCUGAAAAAAAGUAUAGUGUAAAAAGUGUGAAGAUCCGUAAGUAUGCUUGUUUGUUUUCUAUAGAUGUAAGCGUACGAUUUGUAAAACUCGGUAUGUAGUUCGUAGGUGUAUUAGUUGAAAACCCUAGGAAAACCCGACGUUUUCCUAUCACUUUACUUUAAUUAGUUUAUGUGUUGUUAAUUUGUUACGAUAGGGGUAUUCGUUGAGCUAAGGAGACGUUGGAUUAAUAGUGGAUUGUGAAUUGUUGUAACGUACAUUAAUGAAAACGAACAGUUGACAACCGUACAAACGAUCCGUUAGGCGUCGCUUGCACUUAUUCACUUAACCCAACCCCCCGGACUCAUGUAGCCCCACGACCGAGGGGAAAAAGAAGGUGCGAAGCCCCCGGUAUUUCCCUACGUCGUUCAAGGCUAUAGUGAAUGCGAAGGGCCCUUAGCCCAACUCGCAUUGGUGAAUUCUCGACUUCGCUAGCAGUACCGAAGGACCCUUGGGGACCAGCAGCACGUUUGCCAUUGAAAGUCCUUUUACACGGAAUUAAGUCGUAUUAGACCCAACUACAUGUAAGCAAAUUUCCUUCGGGCCUAAAGAUCAUGUCAUUGGGCUAGCUAGGCCCAACAAGCAUGAUUUGAAACUUUUGGGCCCAAGGACGGAGUGUCGACGUCUAGUGUGUUUCCGCGUGUGUAUAGAGUUUCCGAGAGUUCCAUGUGCGUAUUGACGUAUCGUAGCGUUAGUAAUUUCGGAUUUGUUAUUGAUUCGAGACCGAAUCAAUUCGUUCGAUAACGAUUGUUGGUAUUGUAGGUGUAUUGUAAUUUGCCGAGAGUCGAGAUACUAGCGUUUCAUCGUGUCGGAUUCGUGUUUGUUAUUGUUUUGUUUAUUUUGGCUUUGAUUAUUUACAUGAUUGAUAUCUAAAGCCCACUUCUUGUAAAAUGAUGCUCUUGGCCCAAUAAGCCAAAAUUUUAGGAUUAAGGCCCAAUUUUUGUAAGAAUGACACUUUGGUCUCCAUUUUGUUCAAAACUUGUUUUGAUAACUAUUUUGUAGUAAAAACAACAUUUUGAAACCCCUUUUUGUCAAAAAUAACAUUCUUAGCUUGAGUUUUGUGAAAACGCACAUUUUCUGGUUUUUGAACUUUUCCGACCUAGUUGUUUGAAAAUUUGUAGAAAAAUCAUCGUAAGUCGAAAUUUGGAUCCGUAAACUCUCAAAGUUUAGAAAUUUUGUCUACUUUGUUCCAAAAUUUUCUCAUAAUUUUUAAUGGCUUCUAACAAGUGUGAAAUUGUUCAUCUUCACAGGUUGGUCCGAUAUUAUUUCAAAUAUGAUAGGCUGUUUUGAAAAAUUCGCCAAAAAUUGUAGAAAAAUCAUAUGAAAACGUGCGAGUAGUCAUUUUAAAGGUAUGAACCUGAAACUUAUCCAUGUAAAACAGUUUUGAAAAAUACUUCCAUUUGGAUGGUCAAAACAGUCUGAGAUUGGACCAAAACUUUCCUGUCAAGGGCUGUUUAGUGAGUUUAGCUUAUAGAUCUUUGAAUACAACACUCAUUUUUGCUAUUUCAAGUGUACAAAUCCCAGAUCUAAAAGUUUAAAUGCAUUAUAUGUGAUAAAACAUACUUUUCUCAUGAUUCAUACGGAGAUCCUAGUGAUACACUUCAAGUUUCUUAACAUAUUUUUAGAUUAGUGAAGAAAUCAACACAUAAUCACCAUAUGUUUCAAGAAAACACACAUAAUCAUGCAUAAAUACAUAGAUCUACACAUAUGACUUGUAUUCUCCCCCCCAAAACAAGUGAAAACAGAAAUCAAGGGGGUAUGAACUCACCUUGAAGAUUCCAAGUGGUAGAAUGAGAAGAAGGAGUUGUUGGACCUAGCUUGGUGUAGUUUUUGAAGAUCACUCGAAAUUUGAUGGAGUUCUAGAGUCAUACACACGAAAAUGGUGGGUGCAUGGAGUGAUCUUAAGAAUAAACAUGAAACAAACACUUUGAGUUUCAUAAAGAUCUUACGUAGUUUGUGAGUUUUGAAGAAGGAUUCUUGAGGAUGACUCCUUCCUUGAAGAUGAUCUUGAAUAUUUUGAGGGAGAAUAGGAGGACUUGAGAGUGUUUGGAGAGUAAAUUGGAAAUUGAUUUUUGUGAGUGUGUGUGAUGUGUUGUGGCCGAGAGUUUAAGGUGGGGGUUAGGAAGGAUUGGUUAAAUGGUUAUUACAUGAAAGUUUAACAUCUUCAACCUAGAUAUAUGGGGGAUUUUUGCAUGGAUAUACAACAUAUAUUAAUGAGGUGUUAAGUAUUAGAAAAAUCCCAUUCUCUUUUUUUUUUUGUAUAAAUAUUAACACAUUGGGCCGAGAAUGGGCUCAAUGAAUGAAGGUGAAAUAGCUUUGGGCUCAAAUCCAUGGCUUAGAUUGAAUUUCAUAAGCCUAAUAAUAUUUUUCGGCCCAUUGGGCCCUUAUUAAGGGUCUCGGCCCAAUAAGGUCCAUGAGAAAGGUGUGGGGCAUUUUAGGCCCAUUAAAGCCCAAAAUACUAUAUCUUAAUGAAUGUGAGUUCAAAUAGGGCCCAAUUAGGGUUUCUAGGCCCAAGAUAGUCAACUUGAAGGUUUAUUGGUCCAUUAGGCCCAAUAAGAGAAUCCUAGGCCAUAGUGAACUUGAAAUGGGAUAUCUAGGGUUUCCAACCCUUAUUUGAGCAUAUGAGAUAUAUUUGAAUGAGAAUGGAGUAUAGUAUUCACUUAGAGUAUAGGCUCUUACAAUGGAUGAUGUUUAUAUGAGAAUAGAAUUUCCUAGCAAGAUGCCAGUUGUGACAUCAUCCUCCCGUUAGAGGGAAUUUCGUCCCGAAAUUCUUUCGAAAGGUAGGUUCAUGAAUGAGAGAGUAGGUACUUCAUCUGAUCUUCGCGUUUCCCAUGUGAAUUUCGGUCCACGCUUAGCGUUCCAUCGAAGCUUCACAAUCAAAAUGUGGCUUUGUUUUGUAUGCUCUACUUCCCUAUCUAAAACACCUCGACUGGUUCUUUGACGAACAUGUGAUUCUCAUUUAUUUCGAUUUAUUGUAAAGGAAUGAUAAGAGUCUCAUAUGAUAUGCAUCUUUUCAGAUUCGAGACACGGAACACAGGGUCUACGUUUCUGAGCUCUACUGGUAGCUGCAGCCUAUAAGUCUUUGCACCAAUCCGAUCAAGAAUAUCGAACAGUCCAAUGUAUCGCGGGUUCAGUUUUCUCGUUUCCUAAAGUGAAUCACUCCUUUCCAAGGAGGUUCUUUUAAUCACACGCGAUCCCCGACAUGACAUCCUAAUGGCUUACGCCGCUUGUCAGCAUAGCUCUUCGGUCGGUCUUGCGAUGCUUGAAGUUAAGCUUUGAUUUGGAUUAUCUUCUCUGUUGUUUUGCAAAUGGUUUCUGGGCUCAUGUUAGUACUGGCGAGUGAUCUGCAUUUAUGACUAUAAGGAAGCCUCGAAAAGAGCAACCCUGAUGCUUGUGCGAUAGCUGGUAUUGUAGGGGAAUCCAAUCAUGGGCAAUCGGGUAUCCCAUGACUUGCCGAAUUCAGAUUCCCAGACUUGUCACAUGAAUUCGAGUGGUUGAAUGGUUCGUUUGCUUUGGCUAUUGGUUUGAGGGUGGUAAGCAACGCUCAUUCUUAGCUAUGUUCCCAUAGCCUUCUCAAAUGACUGUCAAAGUCUCGAAGAAAUCCUGUUACCUCGAUCCGAGAUAGUAGAUACCGAUAUUUCAUAGAGUCUCACGAUCUCCUUGAUAUAGAUGCAUGUAAAUCUUUCUGUCUUGUUUGAUUUUAGUAUUAGCAGGAAAUAGGCAGUUUGGGUUAACCUAUCGAUGAUCACCCAAAUAACGCCCAAUUUAACUUGCGUACCUAUAAGCUUUGUCUUUCAACUUCGAGAGUUUUAUCCAUCCAUGCAGUGCUUUCUUCGCGAUAUUCUCCGGCUUCGAUGCUUUCAAGGCUGGUAGUAGGUGUUGACAGUGUUUCGUUCUCGCUUCGUGGGCAGACGAGUAUGUUAUUGAUGAAAAUAAUGAAAAGGAAUGGUUGGGAAGACUUGGUUCGUAGGGUCCAUGAAUAGUGUGGGAGCAUUCGUUAGACCGAAGGGUAUCAUAAUGAAUUUGAAAUGGUCGUGACGAGUUCGGAAGGCAGUUUUUGAAAUGUCGCUUUCUCGGACUCGAAGUUGAUGAUAACCGAUUCUUAUAUCUAUUUUUAAGGAGUAACGAGCUCCUUGGAGCUGGCCAAAUAGAUCGUCAGUCCGAGGAAGUGGGUAUCGAUUUGAUAGGGNCUUAUUCAAUUUCCUAAAAUCGAUGUACCUUCCGAAGGAUCCGUCUUCUUGAAGAACAAGACCGGAGCAUCUCCAAGGUGAGAAGCUUGGUCUGAUGAAUCCUUCGCUCGGAAAUUUUCUUGAUUGCCUGGAUAACUUCUGAAUUUCAGCGGAAGCUAACCUAUAGGGUGAAUUGGCGAUUGACGUUGUUCCCUGUACGAGGUUGAUUCGAAAUUCGACCUGUCUCUCUGGGAUAUUCCCGAAAGUUCUUUGGGGAACACAUUUGGAAAAAAUCACAUGUUACUGGAAUACCUUGUAUGCCUACCUCUUCUUUGGUCUUGUCCACAACAUGAGUGAGGAAAAUGUAGUCUUCUGGUGCAGGCACUUCUAUGCCUUGAUGCACGAGAUAGGAAAAGUAUUGGUGCCAGGUUUAUCACCAUGGAUUAUUAGAGUUUUCAUGAUUAGGAAGGUGAAGGAAAACGGCCUUCUCGCGACACAUAGUAUCAGUACGGUGGGGGCUUAACCCAACCAUGACGAUUAUCACAUUAAAACUCCUAAUAUUUACUAGCAUGAACUCUAUUUGUAAUGAAUGGUUGUUUAGUGUUAAGGUGUACUCCACAUAAGUACCCUAGGUUAAAUCGGUUUUCCCCACUGGCCAUGUCCAUUGAAAAGGCUUAGCUUAGCUUUGGGGAUGUUGUUUUUGUAAGUGUUUGAGUAUGUUACUAACGAAACUUCGCUCAGAUUUACCAUUGAAUAAGAGGUAAACGAAAGAGUUGUCAAGCGGGAACGUACCAGUAACAACCGUUGGGUCUUGGAUUGAUUCGCCUUGACCUAAGGUCAGGACCAUUUCUGAUCCUUCUGCUCCUUGAUUGUUAUCCCUAGGGAAAUUGCGCCUGAUGUGACCAGUUCCUCCAUACCUAUAGUAGGUGUGACUGGUCUCAUCAUUGGUGUUGUUGUUAGGGUUGUUGCGAUUGUUGUCGUUUUCAUUUGGCUGACGAUUCUGGCAUGGAUAAGUUCUACAGAAUUUGGUGAUGUGAUUCUUUCGGUUGCAUUUGUUACAAUGCAUCUCCCUGCAGGCUCCAUUAUGAUGGAAUUUGCACUGGUUGCAUUUUGGAAGGUUUCCAGCAUAUGGUCUCCUGGUUGCUGGUGUAAUAGGGGUCGUGGUCGCAUGAACAGCAACAACAUGUUGCUCCCUUGAGAACCCUUGAGUGUGUCGCCCCUUUCUCUUACUUCCAGACCUCAGCUUCCUGCUCUUGAGCUUGGGGUUUGGAGUUCCUUGACAGGUUGUCACUUGUUGGUUUCCAUGUUUGUUCCUUUGGCUGGAGUCGUAAAUGCUAUUCCCGUCUCCAUUAGGGUUGUUUGCAUUGAUUUGUGUCAUAGCAACGGUUACUGCUGCCAUUACAGCAGCUUGAAAUGUAGCAGAGUCCAUCUGCAGGAGUGGUGUCUCGCGGGUGCGCUUGUUAUUCUUGCGGGAUGGCAUUUUCCUGAUGCACGUUGAUAAUCCAGAUUGUAAGUAAUGAUCGUCAUUCCUGGUUGUACUCUAUAAAUUUUGCAUCUUGUUGUAUACUUCUUACUGCUUCCAUCUACAUCCCUAUGAUGUAUUUGUGGUAGUAAGUAAUCACAGAUUUGGCGCGAUUGUUACGUCUAUCCUUAGAAUAUAUGGGUUGUUUUGGUUUCGAGAUCCUUAAGUAUCUAGUGGUCUCGAGGGUUCGCUUGUGCAUAUAAUUGAGUCUUUGUAGCAAUAUGAAAUAAAUAUAACACAUAAUUGUUUCAGGGGUAAGUACCAUCUUAGUACACGAAAGAGAGUCAUGUCGGAUAGUAGGGGGAACUAGAAAAGGCCGAUCCUAAUCGUGGCGGGAAGUGUCUGGUGGUGGUGCUGGUGAAGUGGAUGCACCUCGGAGACGAGCUACUUGUUGGUCGGUAUCUCGUAGGCGUACCCCCCCCCCUCCCAAACUAACUGUCUCGCUCGAGAGUCUCCAUUCACUUCCUGUGUUUGCCUCUCAUCCCUCUCAAUAGCAAACCACAUUUGUUCCGUUCGAUUUGGGGUGUCCUGAGCUUGGUUAUCAAUACCUUGGGUGCGUCGUACCAUGAUUGGGAGGGCCUGGUCAGCUGGUCCUCUAUGGCUAAUGGUCGGAGAGACCUCGGUUCCUAUCCUAGUGUGAUCGUAUCCCCUGCUGGCGACUCUAUCUCCAAAUUUCGUAAGUCCAGGGGGGCAUGGGGCCACCGGGGCCCAAACGAUAAGUCGGUACUCUGGCUUUUCAUGGAUGAUUGAUGACAUCAGAUUCUACAUCCGAGUCAUCAUCAUCAUUGCCCUUGGGCUCUUCCUCUUCGAGGUCCACUAUUGACUCAGCGGGUUCACCUGUGAGUUCUACUUCAUGUUCCUCCUGUGGUUCUUCCUCUGGGUCGAGCCACCCUACUUUUCCUUGACUAGGGAGAUAGGGUUUCCUGACUAAUGAUACUUGUCUAUAGCGUAUUGCACGAAGGGCUAUGAAUACUAGAAUCAAAUAGCAUACCAAUUACUCCUAUAAUCCUACAACUAUUGCAUAGAUUUAGUUGGGGUUCCCUUCUUGGGGAUUAAGGGGUAUGUUUUUAGAUUCCCUAGCUAUCACGACUUCUUCAAGACAUGUGAUGGUUGUACCUUGGAGGGAAUGUAGUUGAUCAGGCUACAUCCACUCCUUGAUACAACUAAGAACAGUCUUGGAUUAACCAGGAUACUAGCAUUAUCUUGUUUUGUUCGGUGUUAGGUUCUCGUUCCUAAUACAAGAAAGGGUGUUUUAUUGUUAUGUUUUACUUGUUUUGUUCAGAGUUAUGUUAGUCCCUCUUUUGGUUUAUAGUUGCAUAUCAAUGUAUGGUUAGAUAUGCUAGUUCACUAUAAACAGAGCUCUGAUACCAACCUGUCACACCCCCGAACCAGACGGCGGAAACGUCCGGGGGCUGUCGUGACUCAAUUGAAUACCAUCACAAUGAAUAUACAUGAAACAUAACAUCAUACAAUACCAAGCAUUGGAAUAUUACAACUGGUAGCGUUUACAUUCAGUACAUAGUUUCAAAAUAUUACAUUCCCAAAAGUAAAUUGUUCGAUAUUAAUUAAACAACAGCAAAACGUCAUAGAGUACAAUUCUUCCUUCACUUUAUCUGUUACCUGAGAAUACAAGUAUUUUGAAAAACGUCAACAUAUGAAAUGUUGGUGAGUUCAUAAGUAAUGUUUGAAAUCCAAUGUUUUGUAUUGUUUUGAAAACCACCAGAAAAUCCGAUAUUUUCUGAAAAUAGUAUAGUGUAAAAAGUGUGAAGAUCCGUAAGUAUGCUUGUUUGUUUUCUAUAGAUGUAAGCGUACGAUUUGUAAAACUCGGUAUGUAGUUCGUAGGUGUAUUAGUUGAAAACCCUAGGAAAACCCGACGUUUUCCUAUCACUUUACUUUAAUUAGUUUAUGUGUUGUUAAUUUGUUACGAUAGGGGUAUUCGUUGAGCUAAGGAGACGUUGGAUUAAUAGUGGAUUGUGAAUUGUUGUAACGUACAUUAAUGAAAACGACCAGUUGACAACUGUACAAACGAUCCCUUAGGUGUCGCUUGCACUUAUUCACUUAACCCAACCCCCCGGACUCAUGUAGCCCCACGACCGAGGGGAAAAAGAAGGUGCGAAACCCCCGGUAUUUCCCUACGUCGUUCAAGGCUAUAGUGAAUGCGAAGGGCCCUUAGCCCAACUCGCAAUAGUGAAUUCUCGACUUCGCUAGCAGUACCGAAGUACCAUUGGGGACCAGCAACACGUUUGCCAUUAAAAGUCCUUUUACACGGAAUUAAGUCGUUUUAGACCCAACUACAUGUAAGUAAAUUUCCUUCGGGCCUAAAGAUCAUGUCAUUGGGAUAGCUAGGCCCAACAAGCAUGAUUUGAAACUUUUGGGCCCAAGGACGGAGUGUCGAUGUCUAGUGUAUUUCCACGUGUGUAUAGAGUGUCUGAGAGUUCCAUGUGUGUAUUGGCGUAUCGUAGCGUUAGUAAUUUCGGAUUUGUUAUUGAUUCGAGACCGAAUCAAUUCGUUCGAUAACGAUUGUUGGUAUUGUAGGUGUAUUGUAAUUUGCCGAGAGUCGAGAUACUAGCGUUUCAUCGUGUCGGAUUCGUGUUUGUUAUUGUUUUGUUUAUUUUGGCUUUGAUUAUUUACAUGAUUGAUAUCUAAAGCCCACUUCUUGUAAAAUGAUGCUCUUGGCCCAAUAAGCCAAAAUUUUAGGAUUAAGGCCCAAUUUUUGUAAGAAUAACACUUUGGUCUCCAUUUUGUUCAAAACUUGUUUUGAUAACUAUUUUGUAGUAAAAACAACAUUUUGAAACCCCUUUUUGUCAAAAAUAACAUUCUUAGCUUGAUUUUUGUGAAAACGCACAUUUUCUGGUUUUUGAACUUUUCCGACCUAGUUGUUUGAAAAUUUGUAGAAAAAUCAUCGUAAGUCGAAAUUUGGAUCCGUAAACUCUCAAAGUUUAGAAAUUUUGUCUACUUUGUUCCAAAAUUUUCUCAUAAUUUUUAAUGGCUUCUAACAAGUGGGAAAUUGCUCACCUUCACAGGUUGGUCCGAAAUUAUUUCAAAUAUGAUAGGCUGUUUUGAAAAAUUCGCCAAAAAAUAUAGAAAAAUCAUAUGAAAACGUGCGAGUAGUCAUUUUAAAGGUAUAAACCUGAAACUUACCCAUGUAAAACAGUUUUGAAAAAUACUUCCAUUUGGAUGGUCAAAACAGUCCGAGAUUGGACCAAAACUUUCCUGUCAAGGGCUGUUUUGUGAGUUUAGCUUAUAGAUCUUUGAAUACAACACUCAUUUUUGCUAUUUCAAGUGGACAAAUCCCAGAUCUAAAAGUUUAAAUGCAUUAUAUGUGAUAAAAACAUACUUUUCUCAUGAUUCAUAUGGAGAUCCUAGUGAUACACUUCAAGUUUCUUAACAUAUUUUUAGAUUAGUGAAGAAAUCAACACAUAAUCACCAUAUGUUUCAAGAAAACACACAUAAUCAUGCAUAAAUACAUAGAUCUACACAUAUGACUUGUAUUCUCCCCCCCAAAACAAGUGAAAACAGAAAUCAAGGGGGUAUGAACUCACCUUGAAGAUUCCAAGUGGUAGAAUGAGAAGAAGGAGUUGUUGGACCUAGCUUGGUGUAGUUUUUGAAGAUCACUCGAAAUUUGAUGGAGUUCUAGAGUCAUACACACGAAAAUGGUGGGUGCAUGGAGUGAUCUUAAGAAUAAACAUGAAACAAACACUUUGAGUUUCAUAAAGAUCUUACGUAGUUUGUGAGUUUUGAAGAAGGAUUCUUGAGGAUGACUCCUUCCUUGAAGAUGAUCUUGAAUAUUUUGAGGGAGAAUAGGAGGACUUGAGAGUGUUUGGAGAGUAAAUUGGAAAUUGAUUUUUGUGAGUGUGUGUGAUGUGUUGUGGCCGAGAGUUUAAGGUGGGGGUUAGGAAGGAUUGGUUAAAUGGUUAUUACAUGAAAGUUUAACAUCUUCAACCUAGAUAUAUGGGGGAUUUUUGCAUGGAUAUACAACAUAUAUUAAUGAGGUGUUAAGUAUUAGAAAAAUCCCAUUUCUUUUCUGUUUUUUUUUUGUAUAAAUAUUAACACAUUGGGCCGAGAAUGGGCUCAAUGAAUGAAGGUGAAAUAGCUUUGGGCUCAAAUCCUUGGCUUAGAUUGAAUUUCAUAGGCCUAAUAAUAUUUUUCGACCCAUUGGGCCCUUAUUAAGGGUCUCGGCCCAAUAAGGUCCAUGAGAAAGGUGUGGGGCAUUUUAGGCCCAUUAAAGCCCAAAAUACUAUAUCUUAAUGAAUGUGAGUUCAAAUAGGGCCCAAUUAGGGUUUCUAGGCCCAAGAUAGUCAACUUGAAGGUUUAUUGGUCCAUUAGGCCCAAUAAGAGAAUCCUAGGCCAUAGUGAACUUGAAAUGGGAUAUCUAGGGUUUCCAACCCUUAUUUGAGCAUAUGAGAUAUAUUUGAAUGAGAAUGGAGUAUAGUAUUCACUUAGAGUAUAGGCUCUUACAAUGGAUGAUGUUUAUAUUAGAAUAGAAUUUCCUAGCAAGAUGCCAGUUGUGCCAAUUUUGACCUGUUAACAAAAUGAUAACCUUUUAAUGUUUAUAGAAUGGAAAUUGUCUUAAGUAAACAAAACAUUAGGCUGUAUCUAGUCCGUGAAUGAAUAAGAUCAUGAAGCCAUUGCAUAGGUGUUGGGCCUCCAAGUUGACUUCUGGGCACUGAGUAGUUCUUCUUGAUUCUUAUAAAAACAUAGAAAUUUACAUUGCAAUGUAGUGUCUUCAAGAGCUUUUCAAAUUCCUCUAUUGUACUAGAUUCGUCACAACAAUCGGUUUCCCUCCUUGCCUUAUAAUUCUAUCAACUUCUACAAUCACAAGUGCGAUUUUACACUUGCAUUCAGGUUAUAAAAGUUAUAUGACAUUAUAAUCAAUGAUCUCAAUACAAAUUUACAUUGCAUGUAGUGGAUUCAACAAGUUAUUUUUGGUUUUUGGCUUAUUUUUACAUAUUGGGAUUUGUUGGUUUAUGUGAAUCUAAUGGUUGCAUUAUUCAAAUUUUUAGGUCUUGUUGAUGUGCAUAGUCUCAAGCAAAGUAACUCAGAUGUUGGGAAGGUGGGCAACAAGUUCUUGUAGUUCAACUAUUAUUUGUUGAUGACUUUCAUCUCUUUCAUAUUUGAUGUACUACAUUUGUCUCAUGUUGUAAUGAUUAUUUGUAUGACAUUAAAUUUUGUGCAAUGGAUUGUAUUUUUUUGUAUAUGGUAUUUUAUUUUAUAUUAUGAGACAUGAAAUGCAAAUUUAAUUUGAAAAUUAGUAAAUCAAUAAAUAAUUUAAAAAAAAAAAUUUAAAUUACAAUACGCAAAAAUGUGUGUCAUCUUCGUUUAUGACAUGCCCUUUCUUGACAGUGGCUUCAAUGAUACACAUUGCAUGUCAUAAAUGUGUGUCGUAAAUGCUCGUCGUCUAUAGACGACACGCAAAAGCAUGUCGUCUCCCGUUAUGACAGGGCCUUCCUUGAUGCGCAUUUGCGCGUCGUCUGAGCGUUUUACGACACGCAUUGCGCGUCGUAAAAGGUUGUUUUUCUAGUAGUGUAUUACUUAGUUACAUCUAAAUUGUGAUAUUGGCAAAAAGAUUCAGAAAAUGAUUUUGCCCUUCCUUGAACUAAAGGAAGACGAAAUAGAUGCUGAUUGUUAUAAAUGUGAAUCUAUUGUGUCUUCAGAUGAGAUUUCGGAUGCCUACAGAAUUGGACUAGAUAAAUUGAGUCCUUUGUUAAGUCCAAAGACCAUAAAGAGAUGCUUAGAAAUCUAUUGGACGAAAAUGUCAAAUUAAAAAUCAAGAUUGAAACCAUGUAGAAAUUUGACUAAUUGUGUACCAAGUUAAGUUCAGAAAACCAAAUGAAUGUGGAAAACACUUCUGAAUUUGAUGAGGACAGUGAUAUGAGUGAAAUCUCUGUAGAGGACGAGGUUGACUGUUCAGAGUUUCUUCAAAGUGAACCCAAACCUGAAAAGGAUCUCAUAUCUGAAAAUUAUGUUGAGUUCGAUCGUAUGUCCAAGGACAAGUCUAAAGUCUUUAAAGAGAAAGCGGUUAUAUAUCAAAAGGUGCAAACAGUACCGAAUCAAGUGUAUGCCACCACUGGAGUUACCAAGAAGCAAAUAGUUGAGCUAACUUCUCUAGUAAAUAAAGAUAAUGCUGAUGGUUGUGAAGAAUAUUUCUGGUUAGCUCCCAUUGAUAAUGCAAAUGAAACAGUUGGUCUGUCGGAGCGAACAUCAUGGAGGGUCAAGGGCAGAUACGUGGCUGAACCUCUUAACAAGCCCUCAAGCUUUGAUAAGCCAAGCUCAAGUGGCACUAAAGAAAUACAAAGGGUACCAAUAAAGGAAUCAAGAGAAUCAUCUUCAAUAAAAAGCAAAGCUCGUGUAGAAAGACCGAAGCCAAAAGCAAAUAUUCACAAGUCUUAAAAACAAAUUGUUGAACAGAAAUGCCAGCGGAACAUGAGAUAUCAAAAGAAUCUCAAUGAGAGAAAAUAGUUUUGGCAGUCCUAAAACUCCGGUUAUGUUCACAAGGAAAAGGUGUCCAAUCUCAAGGCGAAAGAAAGAUCAAAGGCUAACUUUGAUCCAUGGACUCACUGCCAAUCUUGCAGUCAUACGAACCGAAGAAGAGGUUUCGGUCCCCAAUCUAGUAGUGACAUUAACCGAAAGUGUAGUUUCGGUCCUAAAUCCCAUCCUCCUCAUCACCAACCAAAGCCGAACCCUGUCAAGGAUGUGAAAGGGAAGGGAAAGUUGGUCUCGGACUCUAAAGUGCACACGAAGAAGACUUCAACUAACCCUAGGAAUCAAAAGACUAGUUUCAAUAAGAAUCAAAAUAAAGAUAAACUGUCUGAUUCAAACAAACCAAAACAAGAAAAUGAUAAAAUCAAAGUUUUUACCAUAAAAAAAGAUGAAAUCACACUAAUAAAAAGAACAUAUAUGGUUGAUCUUUCUGUUGCACUUCCCUAUUCUGUGAAAGGCUCAUGAGGACCCAAGAAAUUUUGGGUUCCUAAAUCUGCUUAAUUAUUGCAGGUAUUAAGUGACAAGCAGUUCGACGACGAAUCAUACAUUGAUAGUAGCUGCUCGCGUCACAUGACGUGAAGGAGGGAAGAUCUGAGAGAAUUUCAGGCUCUCAAAGAUGGUGGAUGUGUCAAGUAUGGACACAACUCAUAUGGCACGAUCAAAGGCUAUGGCAUGAUCAUAAACGGAUACUUCUCAAUCUGAAAAGUUGCCUAUGUAGAGGGAUUGCAGCAUAAUCUUAUAAGUGUCUCGUAAUUGGUUGUGGGGACUGGGAUGAAGAUCUUAUUUGAUGAUGAGGGAUCUGAGAUCCUAGAAAAGAAGACAAAGACAGUUAUGUUGAAGUCCAAACGCAAAGGUGAAAUGUAUCCUCUAAAUCUCAAUCUGAUACGAGGGAAGCCUGCAAUAUGCCUACUGACGAAAUCUAACUUAGAUGAAAGUUGGCUAUGGCACUCAAGGCUCUCGCAUUUUAAUUUCAAAGAUGUGAAGAAGAGACUUCUUGGUGAUCAUGUGCAAGGACUUCCACUUCUCAAGUUUGAUAAGGAAAAUUUGUGCACUGCAUGCGAGAUGGGAAAGCAAAGCCAAAAGAGUCAUCCCACACUUGUUAAUACAAAGAUCAAUGAAACACUUGAACUUCUACACAUCGACCUAUGUGGGCUUUCAGCAAUCGAGAGCGUUGGUGGUAGUAUGUACAUAUUCGUUAUUGUUAAUGAUUUUUGACAUUUCACCUGGGUUCUCUUUCUUAAACAGAAGUCAGAGGGGACUCCAAAGCUCAAAGCAUUUAUAAAUCAAGUAGAGCUUCAACUACGAAAGGUGGUUAGAAAUAUCCGAAGUGACAACGGGUUGGAAUUCAAAAACCAAGAGUUUGAAGGAUUUCUUGUUGAUAAAGGGGUGUCUCACAACUUCUCUGCUCCCUAUACUCCACAACAGAAUGGUAUAGUUGAAAGGCGAAACCGUUCAUUGUGUGAAAACGCCCGAACCAUGCUUAGCUUCACUUCUCUACCUUUUGUACUUCUAGGCUGAUGCAAUAGCCGCUCCCUGCUAUUCCCAGAACCGAUCCUUCCUCAAUAAGUGAUUUAAUAUCAUUUCGUAUGAUAUUUUGAAUAAUCGUAAACCAAAUGUCAAGUUUUUCCAUGUUUUCGGUUCUAGGUGCUUCAUUUUCAAUUCUAAAGAGAACCGAAACAAGUUCGAUGUAAAGGCAGAUGAAUGGAUUUUUCUUGGUUACUCUCUCACUUCAAAGGCAUAUAGGGUUCUGAAUAAACGUUCAACGAAAAUUGAGGAAACCUAUUAUGUCACCUUUAAUGAUAGUUACAUAAAUAAACAUCAAUCAAACGAAGGUCCAAUGGAGGAAAUCUUUCCAAAAUCAGGUCAAGUCUCAGUUCCAAUAUCCAAUCUAUUUGAAGAGUACAUGUUUCUCUUUGAUGAACCGGAAAAGGAAAUUCUCUCUGAAGCAAAGGCAGCUGACAAUAAAAUUGACAACUUGAAGAAGAUCAUCGAUGAAGCUGCAAAAGAAAUGGAAAGCACACCUCAAGGUCCAUCAAGCAGCAAGGUCCAAGCGAACCUCAGGACUCCAGCAAACGUCUCGUAUCAAGUGAAUCUCCAAAAGUUAGCUCAAGAUUCCAGGGGGAGGGUUCAUCUACAUCAACAAGAUCUGAUUUGCCUUUCCAGGGGGAGAGUCCAUCACCAACAACAACCCACGAACGUCCAGUAGAGGAAGUGAAUACUGAACCUAAAAUUGAUCGUAGUUCAUCAUUCGAGGGGGAGAAUAAUCAUAGAAAUGACGGAGAUGAUCAAUCUGAAUUUUAAGAGGAGAUAAAAGCUGAAUUGGAUCCUAUUUGUGAUCCAAACUACCAUCCAAUCACAAAAUGGACUAGAGAUCAUCCGAAAACUAAAAUGUUUGGUGAAUCAUUUGAGGGAGUUCUUACACGCUCUCAAAUAAAAGCGAAGCAAACUCAUCUAUUCUCUCAAGUAGAAUUUUGUAUGUUUAAUUCAUUUGUCUCCAAAAUAGAAUGAAAACUAUCAACACAACUCUCGAUCACUCUGAUUGGGUGUAGGCUAUGCAAGACGAACUCAAUGAAUUCGAGUGAAACCGGGUUUGGAGACUAAUCCCCACACCAAAGGAUGCAUCUGUAGUUAGGGUCAAAUGGUUUUUCAGGAACAAGAUGGAUAAUGAAGUGAAUGUGAUACACAACAAAGCUAGGCUGGUGGUGAAAGGGAUAUUGUCAAGAAGAAGGGAUAGAUUAUGAGGAGUCCUUCGCUCUAGUGGCAAGGUUGGAAUCGGUGCGAAUCUUUCUGGCAUACGCUACACACAAAAAAUUUGAAGUUUUUCAAAUGGAUGUAAAGUGUGUAUUCUUGAAUAGAGAACUAGAAGAAAUUGUGUACGUUGAGCAACUACCUGGAUUUGUGAACGAGAAGUAUCCUGCUCAUUGCUACAAUUUGCAUAAAGCGAUCUGUGGUCUAAAACAAGCCCCGAGAGCCUUGUAUGAAACGUUAACUUGGUUUCAUAAAAAGUCUAAAUUCAAACAAGGUUCGGUUGACCCAACCAUCUUUCGUAAGAAAGAGGGUGACCAUUUAAUGAUUCACCAAAUUUACGUCGAUGAAAUCAUCUUCGGUUCUACGAAUCCUAGCUUAACUGCUGAAUUCAGGAAGUUUAUGGAGACUAAGUUUGAGAUGAGCUCAAUGGGUCCAAUUAACUUUUUCCUUGGACUGAACAUAAGACAGGGACCAGAAUGCAUAUUCAUUGAUCACGAGGCUUACACAAAGACUCUAGUGGCGAAGUUAGGUAUGAAGGGGGAUUCUAAAGUGAAGGCUCCAAUGGCAUUCAGAACAAAGUUAACAUAAUCUCUAGAGAAACCAACUACUGAUAUGACCCUCUAUCAUCAAAUGAUAGGGUCUCUAAUGUAUGUAACAGCUAGUAGACCAGAUAUUAUGUUUUCUAUCUGUUAUUGUGUCAGGUUCCAAGCAAAUCCAAGAGAACCUCAUAUGGUGGCUAUGGAAAAUAUCUUCUUGUACUUGAAGCGAACCUCAUCUCUCAGUCUUUGGUACUUUGUGAAAUCGGGCUUCUUUGUUCAAGCCUUUUCCGAUGUUGAUCUUGGUGGAUGUGGUCUGGACCGAAAGAGCACAACUGGUGGGUAUCAAUUCAUUGAUUGAAGAUUCGUUACCUGGCAAGUGUUGUGAUCUUUGAUUAUGUUGAGUUGCAUUAGGGAGUGGCCAAAAAUCUUGUUUUUGCUGUUAUAUAAUAUUUUGAGACCUACGCCAAGUUGACUCAAGGCACAACAGGUACAUUCUCAACAAUGCUACAAAAAUGAGGCUAAUCAGGUUGGAUCUUUUUCAUUCUUGUUUUAGGUAUUGCAUUAAGUUUCAAAUGUUUGAAUUUUGAUUUUCAUUCAUUUUCUUUUUGUUUAUUUUCUCUGAUCUAAAUUUUUUUUGUUCUUUCUUGGGGACAAGAAAGGUUCAAGCUUGGAGGUAGGAUCUUGUUGGAGGAGGUAAAUAAGAGUUGCGGACAAAAUUUCACGACUUGCGGAGCACCGAGGAGCAAGAUAUCAAAGAAAUGAAGAUUUUGAAUUUACAGAGAUUUACACGGCCGUGUAAAUGGAAGCCUUGCGUUUACACGGCUGUGUAAAUGUAGAUUUCUGUGUAAUGUACAAUUGUCUUGACGCGGGCCGCGUAAAUGACAUUGUUAAUUUGCGCGGGCCAUGUAAACAUAAAUGCGGGUUUUAAAGCAGUUUUUCACAUUUCUUAAAAGGGGGAACCACUUUUUUACGUUGGGGGGUCGGAUUUUAGAGGAGAGAAGGCGAUUUUCAUGAGGAUUUUGAAGCAGAGUAACACUUGGGAACAUUUGAUUCCAUUUUGUAAAAACUUUAAUUUGAUUUUCCAGAUUUGUGAUCUUGUUCUAGCCAUGAGUGGCUAGAACCCUAGAUUCUCUAACUUUAUGUCUUGACAUUUGGAUGUGACUUCAAUGAUAUGACCUGCUGUUUGCUUAUAAUUUCUAUCUAGUAAAAGGGAUUUUACUUCAAUCGAAUGUUUGAUUUUGAUUUUGAUUCUUAUUGGCCAUUUGAAUUAGGUUAGGUCAUUCAAGUUAUUCAUUUUGCAAAAUUUGUAAUUGUUUUGUGAAUUGAACUAAGUAACAAGCAUUAAAUUGAUUUCUAUUCAAUGAACUUAGUGUAAAUCUUUUCACAAACUUUUACACUCCCACACUUGUGAGGAGUAUUGGGUGUUGUUGAGAACAUUCACAUGAAGCUUAAAAUAACCUUUUAAUCUAACUCUAAGAGCUUGUUUAGAUUAGGUUAGUAAGGUUACGAUUAAUCAAAGAUCUUGUUUUGGUUAAUUAAUGUGGUGAAUGGGAAGUAUUAGAGCUUGUUAACACUUGCAAAUACCAACUUAGAUAGAAUUGAACUAAAAAUCUUGUCUUCUUUGAAUCACAUUGCUAAAUUGUCAUACAUGAAGUUGGAUUCCUUACAAAAUUUGAACUUAAUUCACUCGUUCAGCUGAUUAUGUAUGUGUUUAAUUUGUUUCUUUAACUACUACAUUCAAAAUCCUCAUCCUUAGAUUGUUUGUGAACAAGUAACUUAUGCAAAGAGGUAUUGGACCAAUUGUCCCGUGUCUCUGUGGAUCGACCCUACUUGCCUUGUACUAUCUUUUAGUGCAACAUAGUGGUGUUCUUAGGACUAUAUCGUACCCUGGAUUUGACAUCCUAAGAGAGCAUAUUCUCGAUGUCAUACACAAGUGUAAACAAAACAGUGAAGCUGAUAAGAAGAACUUUACGGAUAUGCUUUGGUGGUAUAUUGAUUUUCAUCAAACUCUUCUCGCCAUUAUAUCGAAGAUAUUCAAUACUGUGAAGAAAUCCACUCUCGCUCAACCGAUAUGAUCUCUCACCUCAAUUGACGCAAAGGGGGGAGAUUAUUGAGUCUAAGAGCUUGCGUCAUUGGGCUUGUUCUUAGGUUCAUUUUGUAUACUCGGUCUGGGCCUGUCCAACCAUGUUUUGUCAUUAGGGUUUAGUUUAAAUGGUGCAUGCAUGCAUUGUUUUAGUUACACUUCUCAAUUAAUAUUUGAUUUAUUUAUAUUGUAACCCUAGCACACCUCUACAAUCGAAGUUCUUUAUCAAGCUCUUCUGAGGUGGAGCAUAUUAAUCAUUCAACACCUGUUUGAUCCAUUCUCGUGUUCAUCAUUGUAUAUGUGUUUGUUUAUCUGUUAAAAACCUAACGAUCUAAGUGAAUAAUAUUCUAUACAAUCAUUUAUUUGAAUGUCUAUCGAGUCUCAUACUAUGCACAAUUGACAUAUGUGAAGCAAAUAGCAGGGACAACAGAGAUCUCGUGAGACAGAGCAGUGCUGGGAGCAGUCUAGAGCUAGUAUCUAGACAUAUGGUUAUGGUUCCAAGGAACCAGUAGGGAGAGUCCAUAGCUGAUGUGAGGAGGUAGAGUUCUUGGGUCUCGAGGGUACAACUCGAGACAAAUACGAAUUGGUGUGUAAGGUAGCUUUAGGCCCAUACUACUGGAAGCACCGGGUCCGUAUGCGGCUCGAGGAAUAACCUUAAGAGACUAAAGAGCUUGUAGGGGUGUGAGUGUUGAUAUUUGUGACUUAGUGUAUUUUGUAAUAAUUUUCUUAUGUAUUUCAGUAUGGUGGGUACCCGAGGUUUAGGUGCCAGCGACCCAGAGAGGCUGAAUGCCAGUGAUGAUGAGAUCCAUAGGAUUAUUGCCGUAGAGGUGGCCGCAAAAAUCAGAGAGCCUAUCCCAAAGAUGUUUGGGUCUAUCAAGACCAUGUUGAUUGAGACUUUUGAUGAGCGCUAUGUUGCUAUCACUGAGGUUUUUGUUGCUACUGCCGCAACCACAAAAACCCUAGCUGCUGUGAGACGGUAGGGGGUGAUUUCUUGUGGUGCCGGGAGUUCACCAACACAAAGCCACUCGAGUUUGAUGGGACCUAGGAUUUGAUUGCCGCUAUGUGGUAGAUCUCUGAUGUUGAGGCAUAUUUCUAUACCUGCUCCUAUUCAGAGAAUUCGAUUCACAUUGAACCUGCUUCGCUCGGGAGUGAAUGUCUUGUGGAAGUUUGUGACAGAUGACUACAUGCUUCUAGAGAAUGUUGUCAUGACUUGAGAGAGGUUUGUUGUGAUGUCUAGGGAUGAGUUUGUACCAGCAGUAGAGCAAGAAAGGUUAACCCAAGAGUUCUUGUCUCUCUAGUAGAAGACAGAGACAAUGACUGAGAUCACAAGGAUGUUUCAUGAGAGGGAAUUGUUCUGUCCUAAGCAGGUAUCCACAGAGAAGGAUCUUGUGACUCUGUAUUUGAGUAUUCUGAGGAGGGAUAUCAGGGAGUUCAUGGUCAACACCACAUAUAAGACAUUGGCUGAGUUGCAGACCAAUACGAGGAGGAGAGAGAUCGAGAUGGAGACCCAGGCUAGGGUGGAGAGGGAGGCCCAGUGGAGAGAUAGGAGGCUAGUGUAGUUGCAGAUGGCGAAUAAGCAGGCCAAGCCCGCUAAUCAGAGAGCUGGAGGCCAGAAGGGCCGUACUUGUAGGAAGUGUGGCAAGGGAAAAUAGGGAUCUUGCUGGUUCGGAUCAACUUGUUAUCUAUGUGGCAAGGAGGGGCAUAUGGCUAGGGAUUGCCCCAACUGCUUUUGAGUUUGUUUCAACUGCAAUAAUAGGGACCACGUGAAGUCAUAUUGUCCUCAGCUUGCAUCUUGGGUGGUUCAUAAUUAUGCCCCAGUGACCAUGCAUAUCACUGAUGGCGAAUAGGGGAAGGCCGCGACAUCCAGGGCUUGACGUAGAGCAUUUCCGUUGACAACAAAAGAGGUUCGCGUAGCUCCAGACGUCGUGGUUGGUAUGUGUUCUUUAUAUUCUAUUGAUUUAUUUAUGCUUCUUAUAUUAUCUAUUUUGUAGGUACUUUUCUUGUGAAUUGUGUGCCUGUGCUUGUGCUGUUUGACUCUGGUGUGAGUCGAUCAUUUGUUUCAUCAUCAUUUUGUUGUAGUUUUAGUGUUCCACAAGAGACCUUGAGUAGGCCCUUGAGAGUCUCGAUUCCUAAUGAACGUCCAAUCUCUGCUAUUGAUGUCUAUUGAGGUUGUGUAUUAGAGAUCCUCGGGGUUGGAUAUCUUAUAGACCUCAUCCUUAUCGCAAUGGGAGAUGUUUGUGUGAUCGUGGGUAUGGAUUAGAUGAGUCGGUUUGGGGCUCUGAUUGAAUGUGAGCAUCAGUUGGUGACAGUUCGAUACCCUAGUGGGGGAGUGCUGACUAUCUGAUGAGGGUACUAGGUAAGGAUCAUCUUUCUACUUACCGCCAGGGUAAGUUAGAGUUUGGAACAUGGGUGUAUGGAUUACCUGGCAUAUGUAGUGGAUACUUUAGUUGAGAAGAAGGGAUCGACCUCUAUUUCUGAUGUUCUAAUGUUAUUUGACUUUCCUGAUGUUUUUCCCAAGGAGUUACUGGGUGUUCCUCCUGAAAGGAAAGUGUUCUUUCGGAUCGAUAUGAUUCCACAUGCGGCGCCGAUCGCCAAGGCGCCAUACCAUCAUGCACUUCCUGAGAUGGAGGAGUUAUCCUCUCAGCUAUAGGAGCUGUUUGGAAAAAGGUUCAUUAGGCCGAGCAGUUCUCCUUGGUGAGCCCCGUUCCUUUUCGUCUGGAAGAAGGAUGGUUCGCACUAGAUGUGCAUUGAUUAUCAUGAACUCAACAAGCCAACGGUGAAAGACUAUUACCACUUGCCGAUGAUUGGAGACCUUUUUGACCAGAUUCAGCGGGCAUCUUGGUUUUCCAAGAUUGAUUUGAUGUCUGAUUAUCAUCAAAUGAGGGUACGAGAGGAGGAUAUGCAGAAGACGACCAUUCGAACUCGUUAUGGGCAUUAUGAGUUUGUGGUGAUGCUUUUUGGGCUCACCAACGCACUGAAAACACUCAUGGAACUCAUGAACUAGGUGUUUAGGACCAUGUUGGAUCGAUCAAUGAUCGUUUUUAUAGAUGACAUCGUGGUAUAUUCGAAGACUAGGGAAUAACAUGAGUAGCAUCUUCUGGAGAUUCUUGGGGUUUUGAGGAUGGACAGGCUUUAUGCCAAGUUCUGCAAGUGUGACUUCUGGUUGCGUGAGGUCCAAUUUUUGGGACAUCUCGUCAAUCAGAAUGGUAUUUUGGUCGACUCAAUCAGAAUGGUAUUUUGGUCGACUUAACCAAGAUAGAGGUGUUGAGAUCUCCUUUUGAGAUUUGAAGCUUCCUUAGAUCGACAGGUUAUUAUUAGAGAUUCGUUAGAGAUUUCUCCAAGAUUGUUGUUCCUCUCACCAAGUUAACAAGGAAGGAUGUUACUUUCAGUUUGAGACCUGAGUAGUAGGCAUCGUUUGAGACUCUUCACCAGAGAUUGUGUGAGGCUCCAGUACUUGCCCUUGCGGUGGGAGUGGAGGAUUUUGUGGUUUACUGUGAUGCAUCCAUUGCAGGAUUGGGUGUUGUGUUGAUGAGAGGGGACAUCCCACUCAUGAUCUAGAGUUGGGGGCAGUGGUUUUUUCCCUCAAGAUUUGGCACCACUAUCUCUAUGAUGUUCGAUGUACCAUUUACAUGGACCAUAAGAAUCUAAGAUACCUUAUGGAUCAGCCUAACUUGAAUAUUAGGCAAAGAAGGUGGUUGGAUAUAGUGAAAGACUAUGACAACGAUAUCUUGUAUCACCCAUGAAAGGCCAAUAUGGUGGCUGAUGACCUGAGGUGGAGGUUGGUAAUUAAGUGCCCCAAUUAGGGAUGUGUGCAUGACGAUGACCGUGAUGAAUCCAGUCUUAGGGAUCAUCAACGAAGCGCAAUCGGAGGCCAUAAAAGAGGAAAGUCGGAAAAGUGAGCGGGUGAUCGAUAAAAUUUCGACAGUUGAUAUGGACAGUCGAGGGAUUUUAAGUCUUCAUGGGUGGGCAUGGAUACCAUAUGUAGGUGGGGCCCAACAAAUUUUGAUGGAGAAGUCCCACAAGUCGAGAUUUUCCAUCCACCCGGGGGCUACCAAGAUGUAUCUCGACUUGAAGCAUAAUUAAUUGUUUCCAUGUAUGAAGAGAGACGUGACUUGGUUUGUGAGAACUCUUUUGUAGAAAAGUUGGCUGAGAACUCUAGAGGUGGUAGCUUACCAAUGCCCUCCUGGAAAGUUGCAGCCUCUGGAAGUUAUCCUAUAGAAGUGAGUAUAUUAAUAUGGAUUUUAUUAUAAAACUAUCGAGGACUGCGAGGGGUGUUGACACUAUCUGGGUGAUAGAGGAACGGUUGAUGAAGAGUGCUCACUUCUUAGCUAUUUGUGAGAACUCUUUUGUAGAAAAGUUGUCCGAGAUUUACGUUCGAGAGGAGGUAGCUCAGCAUGAGGUGCCAAAGUCUAUAGUGUUUGAAUGGGAUGUGUGAUUUACUUCUAGGUUCUGGAAGAGAUUUCACGAGGACUUGGCUACCCGGCUACACUUCAGUACUGCAUACCAUCCGCAGACAGAUGGGCACAACAAACAAAUAAUUAAGACACUCGAGAAUAUGUUGCGUGCUUGUGUGAUCGAUUUUGGUAGGAGCUGGGACUCCUAUCUUCCAUUGACCGAGUUCUCGUAUAACUGUUGGGUUUUGAGCAUUCUAACACUCCUAAGUGUACAUGCAACCCUAAAUACCUUGGAUCUAUGUUUUCUCUAUUAUACAUGCAAAUAAGAACUUCCAAGGUAUUAUCCUAAUCUAGCAUACAAACACAAUGACUAUAGCAAGAUAGAAUACAUACCUCUUUGGAGAAGAAAGUCUUCAUGAAGCUAGAGUGCCUAGUGCCCCAAGUGUGACACCUCAAAUGGAAUCACAAUCAUCAAAACACUUGGAAUGACUUGAGAGAAUUCUACACUUAUCAAAAUUGGCUAGCCCUCUCUAGAAUCAUACUAGUUCCCAAUAUUGUCAAGAAUAAGAUCUUUAUAUAGUGUUACAAUUAGGGCAAACCCUAAUUGUCAUGACUUUCCAUUUCCUUGGAUCCAUGGGUACAAAUACACCAUGGAGCAUCCAUGGACCAUCCUAUGGGUUUUAGCCCAACUUGAUUAUCCAUGGAGCAUUAGCCCACUAUACAAGUAUGGAUGAUUUACACAAUCAACCCAUAUAUUUAAUUAGUCUUCUUUUGAUCACUUAAUUAAUCCUAGAUUAAUUCUUGAUCAAUACUAAUUAAAUAAUCUUAUUAUUCUUAUUAUUAAUAUACUAGAACUUAUAAUAUAUUAAUAACCAUAAGUGUCUUAUUUCUCUCAUCCAAGUGCAUGAUGGUAUGCAACCCAAAUGGACCAUGCCGGGUCGGGUCAAGUCUUACCAAUUAUAGUUAUGGACUUAGACAUUAAUCCAACAGUCUCCCACUUGGAUAAGUCUAAAACUAUUAUUGCGUAUGACUUCAGGAACCAACUGGCAAUCGUAGCUCUCAAAAGCUUCUGUCGAACUCUGACCUUGUAGAUGAACUCUGACCUUUGUCAAUGACUUGUCCAUUAGAUAAGGGAUCAUAUAUUCCUCCAUUCUAGAUAUCAUAUGGACUGAGACAUGGAUUAUAAUCAUUCUCUCUGUCCAUUUGUUGUUUCCCGAUUUCCGAUUUAUGACGACUGACUAAUUGAACAAAUCAAAUCAGUCCUGGCCCGGCCGAGCACUUCCAUUUGUCAUCAUCAAAUCAUCGAGGGGCCCACAGAUAUCGCUUUUAUCCCGAAGGUAAAAGGAAUGGAUAAACUUCGACUCAUAUGGCUUGUUCUACUACUUGUUGAAUCAUACACAAAGGCACGUUUUAUAGCACCGAGUUACCAAAUGCGUUUUCGUGCAAUCAAUGUACUAUCAACUCAUAGUAACAACUCAUAUCUCUAGGUUUGAAGAAUAUAAGAUAUUAUCGUCUCAUGAUCACUCGUGAUAAAAUCCAUGAAGUGAUUCCAAUGAGCGCGGGUUGAAUCCAAUACUCAGAACUUAUGAGCACUCAUGAGUGUUGUAGCCCUUUGUCCAACACCUUAGACCUCUACAAGCCAACCCAUGACAGUCUUAAUUCAUAUCUACUUCCAACAUAUGACCGACUGUGGAUGGUUUGAAUAACUUAGUCAUUCCGGAAGAAUAACCCAGUUUAUUCGGGAAGUCAAAACAUGCAAAGUGAAACACAAUAAUAAUUGAAUCCAAUAUGGUCUCAGAACUUAUGAAUAUAAAUAAAACACCUUUUAUUUAUCACCAUAUGAUUACACAUUAUUCAUUGUAUACUGUUUCAGCUAUCAACUUUAAUCUUGAAUUUAAAACAAUAGUUGUCCCAUGCUCCAAGCAUGUACACUAUGUUUUUCUCAACACUAGUCAUGCUAUACACCAAGUAUACAUACUAUGUUUGUCUAUGAUCUUUACUUUGUGAACUAGAUCAAUUGAACAUAACUUCAAUGAUUCUCUUUUCACACUCCCAAAUCCUUACUGCAAAUGCAAGAAUUCCAAAUUCAUGCCAUUUACUGAAAUCUGUUAGAUUCUAAACUUAUAUGCAUUGAUCCUCUUGUAAUGAUUAUGCACAAAGUCACAAAGACUUGGCAACAAUCAUUACAGAGUAUUCCAAAGGAGAUCAACUCCUUGGAAAUAUCCUUCUUGCAUUAAGUUUCCUUAAUCUUACACAGAUUGAAAAUUCUAACUUUGAAACAUUUCCAGAUUCCAUUUUGACUAUCACUUCUGAACAAGAGUUGCCUCCUUACAGAUUAUGUCAAUAUGGUCCUUCCAGAAUUAUCACUAUACUUCCAAUUGUCCUUGAGUAACCAAUCUUUGGUAAACCUUAGAUUGUCCUCGACAAUUGUUUAAUCCUUUUAGUCAUAUCCAGUUCUAAACCUUUUCCCUUCUUAAUGCCCCAGGCAUUUGGAAAAUUUUAGAACGGAUGAAUAUAGCACAUGUAAUCGAUCCUAUAUCCGAAGCAUAUGGGACACGAUUCAUGAUGUCUUACAUAAAGACUAAACCAGUCUUUUGCUAUAAUAUUUCCAUUUCAAUUUGCCAAGUUCUCAUAAUUCAGAUUAUGAAAAGGGAUGCCGUAAUCAUAAUCGAAUUUUAGAACGCAAAUAAUGGACCCAUAUACAGAAUUUCCUUAUGUUGAGCCAUUCCAACAUGAAAUUCAUAUAUAUCCUUGACUAAAUGAUUAAAACCUCACGAUCUAAGCUUAUAGAUUUGAGAUGAAGCAUAAUUUCCUCUCCCUUAAUUAUAGCAAAACAACUUUUUCCCAAUUGAAACUUUUGUUUUCUAUAAUUAACAUUGCUAACUUGCAAUACUUAUCAUAAUUAUCAUGCUCCCACUAACAUGAUGAUUAUUAGCAUAACACUUAUGCUCCCACUAGCUUUGACAUGUACUCAGAAAUCAGCUGGACAGUCUGAAAUUUAGAUUCAUACACCCUUUCCGUAGAUAGCUCACCUGUGUGUCUAAGCAAUUUCAAGAACCAUGAAAAGGGAUACCGUAAUCAUGGUCUCAAUUGCUUAGGCAUUUGCCAUUUCUCACAAGUCCAUGUUAGUGUGCCGGUUAACCACACGCGCUCCACUAACGACUUUUGAAAAUGCAAAUAACACAAUUGAUAUCUUCGUAAAAUCUACUUAGUGAAAGCGUUUCCUCACCAUCAUUUUCAUGAAUCGGAGAGAAACCUUAUGACACUUAGAUUUAUAUGGUGUAUGAGUUCCUACCCAUAUGAAUUUGUCAAACCAUAAUCACAAGACAAAGAUAAUGACAAAUCCAAAACCAUAUGGAUUGAACUCAAUCUUAACUUCUUGCCACCUGGCAGCUCAAGGGCCUGCCAUUGCUUCCAAGUUGUUAUGCAACAAACUGAGAACUCUAAGAACUCAUAUGCAAAGCCAACUUUAACUGGAAUGGGCACAGAUAUGUCAACACGAUAGGUUAUAAACCUCAAGUCGUGUGCUAGUGAAGAACUUUAGGUUUUAUUCUUGAUUAUUUCUUGAGACUUUCAAGACCUUUAAGACUCCCACUGUCCUCUUGACAUAUAAGACUCCCUUGUCAAACAUCCAAGAGAUAGUGCGGAUUCUAAUCAAGAAAAACACUUUACCCAAUUGGCCUAAGUUGGUCUUUGUUUUAUCCAAAACAUCACAACUUACCAAUUUCAAAUGUACAAGAGUAGAAAACUUUUACUCUUACAUUUGACAAGUGUUUUAAACCUUCUUUAAGACAUGUCACUCAAAUGACAAUCUUGGAGUAUGACUCUAAGACUUGUAUUGGAACGAAGUAUGACUCAUCUUCUUGAUUUAACCAUUUCAACAAUUCAAGUUCCUCUUCUUAGUCAUAAGAAUGCACUAAGAUUUCCUUAGAGAACUAAUUUUGAUAUGGUUUCUUAAUCAUUAAGAUGAUCACAAAACUGAUACUAAAGUACUCUCCCAUCUUUUCAGAUUUGAGAAACUUUUAUCCUUCUGCCUUAUUUGAUUCUUCUUAUCGAUCUUUAGUGGUGGACUUAAUCAGUGCACAAGAAUGUGUACUCGAUCCCUAAGUCCUUUACUUGACUCACACAUCCAUGUGAACAAGUAAUUAGUCUUAAUUUUCCAAAACUUGAAAGUUCUCAUUCAUCAUGCUAUACAACUUGCAUGAUUCCAAGUUCCGGUCCAAUUGAAACUUGGGUGAUGAGAAUCUUUCCUUAUUUGGUAAAUUUAGACAUUACCACAAAUGAAAGAAUCAAUUUCAUAUUUCCACUCUUGCUCUUAAUGGAAUCAUAUAAGCAACAAUUUUUCCUCAAAUGCCAUUGUAAGGAUAUUUUAAAAUAAAUAAAAUAAAAAAUUUUCUUUUAUUUUAAAACUUUGCGGAAAAACUUAUCCUUACAAUCCAUAUGAAAACUUGUUGUUAUCUAUUCCUAAGCAAUAUCUCAUAACUCCUAAGAAGUAGCUCAAGAAUCCGAUCUUCAAACUAUGCGAUAGAAAUCCAUCUACGCCAUCAGAUUCAGCAUAUUCUUUCUUUAAGUUUCUUCACUUUUCUUUGAUUCUUAAAACAUCACCAUGUGACCCAGUCACAUCAUGUAUCAAGAAUCUCAGAAUAGAAACUUAACAGAGUUAGAUAGUGGACUUUACCUGAAGUAGAGUCAAACUUAUUGACUUUAACAUCCUUAGGUAAAUUUGGCAGCUUCGCAACCAAUGCCCCUUCCUUUGGCAAUAUAAACAUAUGGACCCUUUGAUAAUGGUACACGGGACUAUCACAGACUUAGCUUUUCUCUUUACCAUUUGGUCAACCGAGUUGACUAUGGCCGAUCCCUUUCCAUUGGGAAGAGAAUGCUUUACUGGAUAUCCAAUGUCAUCAUUGUCAAUGUCCAUAAAGUUUUAGGAAGUUGAUCUUAGCAAAUAGAUAAGAUCAUUAAGGGUCUUGUCAUAGUCUGUUUCAUAGGUGUCCCAAAGGAACUCACUAUGUGACUUAGAAAGUGGUUGAACCACCAACUUUCUCAAGACUUUGACACCCAACUCUCCCGGCUUGUCAAUAUGUGACUACAUCUCCAAGAUGUGACCACACCUAGACCUUGCCUUGCCAAUAGGGCCUGAGUGACCUUAAACUUUUCAAGAACUUGUGGGUUAGGGAGAAUAAUUUGAAGAGGUGAAGAAGUAUGAUAUCCAUGGGACAUCAUCUUCAUUAGGAAACCUUGUUUCAAGAGAUUUGGGAAGAUCAUAGGUGUCUAAACCAGACAUCUUUUGGGAGAUAUUCAAGAUAGUUGAUUUAAAGUCCUUAAUAUGACACCCAAUAUGAAAUAUUAAGGCUAGGACCCAACAAACUAUUUUAUAACUUAGAAGAGGUAUGCCGUAAUCCAAGCUAUAAAAUAUUUGAAGGUAGGUGAAUGACGAUUCACCAAUUUCCACCAAGAUAAACGAAAUGUAUUAUUAGGUUUUAAUUGGUUUUGAAACUCCUAGAUCUUUGAGAUUCAUUGAACUUUUCAAAGGCAUGUUUCAAUCUCGAGUGUGCCCUUCAGGUUUUGUGACUGGGAUGCCGAGGAUCACAAAACAAGGUGUGAAGUAACCAUGCAAAUCACUUGGUACCCUUAAUAAAUUACCCCUCAAUCGAUGUGCCGGUUAACCACACACGCUCCAUCGAUACUAUGAUAAAUAUUAAGUCACCCUUUACCUACCUUGUUAAGUCCAAGUUAGUGUGCCGGUUAACCACACACGCUCCACUAACGACUUAGACAAAGUGUAAAGUGUAAUUUCAUGGAUUAGCACCUUAUUCACAUUUUUCCUAAGUAACUAAGAUUGGGUAUUAUUAAGAGUUUAGUUACUUAGUAUUAUCAUUAAUACUUUUAAUGAAGGGAGAAUUCUAGUCCUGUCAAACCCGUUCGGCUAACGACCCUCCACCAGUCAAGCAAGCGGUGGGUGAGAGUGGACACCCAUUAAGUUGCCAUUUUAUAGGCAACAACCUUAUACCCACCUUAUAGACCGGCUUCGUGAAUGAGGCGUACUAGCGGUAAGACUGACUUUACUCUUAUACAUAUAUAUAUUAUUAACUUAUAAUAUUAUAAAGUAUAAGGGUUGAAUUUUAACUUUUAAAAUUCUAAGGGCUAACUUGGAAUUAAAGUAUUCAUACUUGAAAACUUUUCAAAUUCCAAAACUUGAGGGCAAGUUUUGAAACUAUUCAAAACUAAUUAAUUCCAUAACUUAUGUGUUUAAAGUAGUUUUAAUCCAAAAACUCUUCAAGUUCCAUAACUUGAGGACAAGUUAUGGAAGACUUUAAACUAAUAAAAGAACUAACUUUUUCUUUAUUUUAUAACUUAUGGAUUUAAUUAUGGUUACAUAUUUUUCUUUAAUGAAGUGACUCUUGAACUUCCAUAACUUGAGGACAAGUUAUGGAGUCAUAAAAAUUAUUCAAUGACACAAGACUCUUCAUUUUGUAACCAUUGCCAACUCUUAUGAAUUUUAUGAGUCUUUAAUGUGACUCUUCAUGUAACUUGAGGACAAGUUACACAAACACAUUUUAUACUCAACUCUUAGAUUAAAAUGGAUUGAAAACAACUAUUUCACUCAACAUUUCUAUUAAUCUAAGCAACUCAUAAGAACAAGAUAAUUCAAAUCAAACUUUUUCAUGUAAUUAGUCUAAACCUUAAACUAAUACAAAACAUGAAUCUAUUGACAAUUAUCUUUGAAAAUGGAUUAGCAUGAACAUUACCACAUCAAAAACAAGUUUAUAAGUUCAAAAACAACUUAGGGUAAUGUUCCUAGUCCAUUUCUAGCCAAAAAACUCGAAAAUAUGCUGUCUGGGGGUCCAACUCGUCGAGUGCAUGAACAAACUCGGCGAGUUGGAUCGAAUUCAUCACUUUUUAGGCAUGGACUCGUCGAGUCUCCUGAUGGACUCGCCGAGUCUGAUGGCCAGACAGCACCAGAUUCGUUUUUUCAGCUUCUAUUGCAGGUAUAACAAGAAAACAAGCCUAGGCUCUGAUACCACUGUUGGGUUUUGAGCAUUCUAACACUCCUAAGUGUACAUGCAACCCUAAAUACCUUGGAUCUAUGUUUUCUCUAUUAUACAUGCAAAUAAGAACUUCCAAGGUAUUAUCCUAAUCUAGCAUACAAAACAAUGACUAUAGCAAGAUAGAAUACAUACCUCUUUGGAGAAGAAAGUCUUCAUGAAGCUAGAGUGCCUAGUGCCCCAAGUGUGACACCUCAAAUGGAAUCACAAUCAUCAAAACACUUGGAAUGACUUGAGAGAAAACCCACACUUCAUGAAAUCGGCUAGCCCUUCUAGUACACCCACUAGUGCCGAUUUUGGUGAAUAAUAUGAUGCUUAUAUAGUGUUACAAUUAGGGCAAACCCUAAUUGUCAUGACUUUCCAUUUCCUUGGAUCCAUGGGUACAAAUACACCAUGGAGCAUCCAUGGACCAUCCUAUGGGUUUUAGCCCAACUUGAUUAUCCAUGGAGCAUUAGCCCACUAUACAAGUAUGGAUGAUUUACACAAUCAACCCAUAUAUUUAAUUAGUCUUCUUUUGAUCACUUAAUUAAUCCUAGAUUAAUUCUUGAUCAAUACUAAUUAAAUAAUCUUAUUAUUCUUAUUAUUAAUAUACUAGAACUUAUAAUAUAUUAAUAACCAUAAGUGUCUUAUUUCUCUCAUCCAAGUGCAUGAUGGUAUGCAACCCAAAUGGACCAUACCGGGUCGGGUCAAGUCUUACCAAAUAUAGUUAUGGACUUAGACAUUAAUCCAACAAUAACAACAACCAUCAUGCCAGUAAUUAGAUGCCCGCGUUCGAGUUCCUUCAUGGUCGGAGAUGUCAUACUCCUAUUUGUUGGGUCGAGGUGGGACAGAGGGUCAUGGGGAGCACGAACGUAUUUCUCAAGAUGAUUGUGCUUAUACAAUAGGUUCGACAGUGAUUACUGAUACCGUAGAGCCACCAGAUGAGUUAUGCGGAUCGGAGACGCUCUGAGCUGGAGUUUCAAGUGGGGGAUAUUGUUCUCCAGAAGGUAUCACCUUGUAAAGGUAUUAUCCACUUUAGGAUGUGGGGAAAGCUAGGCCCCAUGUUUACUGGCCCUUUUUGAGUCUUGACCCAUGUGGGCAAGGUGCCCUACCGGAGGAGCUGAGUCAGAUCCAUAAUACCUUCCAUGUUUCUCAGCUGAGGAAGUGUAUUGCUGAUGACACAACUGUGGUCAAUUUGGCAGACAUUCAGGUCGAUGAUCGCCUGAGUUAUCUGGUUAAGCGUGUUAUUGAUUUUGGAUUGGAAGGUGAAAACCAUGAGGAACAUGGUUGUGAACUUGGUCAAAAUUCAAUGGCAGCAUAUGAGAGGUUCAGAAUGGAUGUGGGAACCGGAUUACGAGAUGCAGGAGCAAUAUCUGGAGCGAUUUCCUGAGGAUAACUUCGAGGGUGAAGUCCGAUUUUAGUGGGGUAGAUUUGUAACUUCCUGAUUUUUUAGGUAUUAUGAUAUUUCUUGCAUCUUUAUUAUUAUUGCACCUUUGGUCCCUUUCAAGAAAAGUUUUAUGACUUUUUGUUGUAUUCCGGGCGUAUAUAAGGGUACGCAAAGCGUACCCAUGUAGAGUAUGGAUCGCGGGUGGCCCGGUAGUACGUUGGGCAUACAUGUGGUACGCCGGGAGUACUAGCCCGUACUCUAAAAACCUAAUUUCUUUGUUGCUCCCUAUAUAAAGAACAUUAAUUCCCCGUUUUGGUCACUCUUAUCAGCCUCCAAACCCUCCUUAAACCCUAAUACCGAUUUUGAGUGUUGUGUGAGACUUGCAAGUUCAUUUGAGUGUUUUUGGUGCAGUUAGUUGGAGAAGGAUGCUAGUGAAAAAGAAGAAGGUGUUGGGAAGAUUGUAGAUCUAGAAAACUAUUCUCCUUGCACAUCAUUUUCAAGUAUAAAGUUUGUAACUUGACAAGUCUUUCAUUAGAUCUCCAUGUUUGAAGUUCUAUGAUUUUUGUCCUCAGUGAUUGGACCUUUAUCAGUUUGGAGCACUCUAGGGGUUUGUAGCAGUCCUUUCAUGUAUUAUAAGACUUGUGGAUGCAGAAAAACGGUAGCUUGAUGACUUCUUUUAGUUUAUGCAUGAGCAAAAUGGCUUAGAAUGUGUUUGGAGCUUAUGAAUGAUGCUUUAGGACUCUUCUAGCCAUGUAAUGGCUUAAAGAUGAUAACUUUAUGGUUUUAGACGUCACGGAAUGGCCAAAUCUAUGACUUGGAGUAAUAAUCUUAAGGUAUUAAGACACGAGUUAGUAGAAAUUGGAAUAGACGGAGUGUUGAAUUUUGUUUAUCCAUGUUGUAUGCCCCGCGUAGCCGGUCCAAGCCCCGUUAUUGCUGAUCAAAGUUAUAUGACCCGCGUAGAUUGUGGUAGGCUCACCGUAUGCGCUAAGUGUUGACUUUUGUUGACUUUGACCCUUGGUCAAGAUUUAGGGUUUUUAGACCAUGUGAAGAGCAAAAUGGUCCUUUUCUCAUAAAAGGUUUAGUCGUGGGAUUGGGAAUUUGUGAUUGAGUUUUGAAGGUUAAUUAUUGAUUAGUGUUAAUUAUUUUUUGAAUAGGCAGAGUCUAUAUAUGACAGUUUGGGUGCUAGGUUUUUAUGUCAUCAGUAUUAGGUGAGUCUACUCACUUACUCUUACUUGUAUGGUAGGAUAGUUAUGUUAUGAUGACCAUCUGGGUCUAGUUGCUAUGUUAUGUUAUGAUAUGAUAAUUAUAUGUGAUUGAGGUUGCUAAUAGCUAACCAGGGUUGGUGAUAACCCACCGAGUGUGCUGUUAGGUCACCGGGACUGUUGAUAGUCCCAUGGUUGCGGAUAACCCAUGGAUGUUAUUUAUCUUGUAUACUAUGUGGUAUCUUGGGGGAACUCACUAAGCUUUGUGCUUACAAUUGUUGAUCUUAAUGUGGCGGGUACUUCGUAGGACCGCAAGAAGGUGAAGGUAUGAUUGUACACACACGCUGGGGAAUUUACUUUUGGGACAUGUUUAUGAACUCUGAUAAUUAUGAUACUUGUUUCUUUGGGAUAGUCAUGUAUUUUCUAAUCUGUUUGAGAAACUAUGAUUUUUAGUAAAUUUAAAAACGAAAAAAUUGGUCUAGAAUAUGAGGUGUUACUUGUUGGUUGCAUUGGAGCUUGUAGAUCCAGACUUUGUUCACUAUAAUCUUUCUUUUAGAGAUAUAAAGUUUGAAUCUUUGAUGAUACAUUUGAUAGAUCUAGCUAGUCUAGGGUGUUAUGAUCUUUUGGUCACUAUAGUGCAUAAAGUGUAGAUCUUGAAAGUUUGUAACCUUAUUAUAGAUAAAGUUGGAAACAUUAUCCAUCUAAAUUUCAUAUUGAUUCAAAUAUAAAGUCUUGAGACUUUGACUUAAUGAAUUAUGUUGGAAAAUAUGCACUCUGGUCCCUUCAACACUUAAAGACUAGGUCUUGGCUGGUUGGACCAUUCUAAUGGAUAAAGUGGGGAACUCUAUCCAUUGUGGAGUUAUUAAGAACCAUAAAAAUGUAAUCUUGGGUCUUAGUCCUUACCCAUGCAUGUGCUAGGAUGCCCUAAUUGAUUAAGAAGUUAGAGUUUGUUGGUAUUAAGUACUUCUAGCCAUGCAAAGUUAUAAAGUUGGAAACUUUAUGACUUAUAAUGUUAUUUUGGGCUUAGAUCUUGAUUUGGACAUAAGGACCUUAUGUAUUAAGCUCUUAGUAAGAAGUUAAGGUGACCAGGUGCAUACGCUGGAUGUACCAAAUGGUACAUUGUGCAUUCGUACACAAGCCCUCGACUUCUUGGUCAAGAGGAGUAGGCCCCACAUUCAGUUGGGAACACCCAACGUACUCGGUUGGUUUGUUGGCUUGACUUGGUUGGUUUGUUGACUUUGAACUUUGAUCAAGGUUGACCUAAGAGUAGUUUAGAUAUUUUAGGUCUUUUGGGAUUACUAACUAAGUUUAGGUCACCGGUUCCGUUUAGGUGAUUGGUAGAGUUGGUGUUGGAGUUGUUCUCGGUGCUGUAUACUUUUCUACUACUCGUUGGACCGAGAUGUGAUUUUUCUUUACUAUACCCAUGGGUCAGAGACACCAAACCGAUCCACUAGAUUAUGUAUCCUGGUUAUCGGAUGGUACUAUGCUAGUAUAUGAAUGAUUAGUAGAUAUGUAUGAUUAUCUAUAUUUUCUGGUUCUGUAUGUAUGUUUAUCUGUUACAUAUGUCGACAUAUUGUGGUUGGGUUGCGGCGGUGCUGCUUUGUGUUGAAGGCCAAGGUACGCAGUGUGGUCCAUGUAGGCUCUAGGAUCUACGAGGUGGUCCACUCACAUGGAAGGCCCAUAGAGUGCUCCAGAUAGGCUGUAGUCCACGCUAGGCGGUCCAGUCAGGAUAAAGGCUCAUAUUUGCAUGUUAUUGUUUGUUGUGUUGUGUGAUGGUACUUUGGAUAACUCACUAAGCUUUGUACUACAAUUUCAUUUUAUUGUUUCAGAUACUUCAGAGGAUCGUGGGAAAGUGAAGGCAUGAUCAUGCAGUUCUUCAUAUUUUUAUGACAUUAGAUCUUCGGGUACUCUGAUUUUGAAUAAUACUGUUGAAACAAUGGUUUUGUUAACACCUUAUGGAUAAAAUGGGUUGUUUUUAAAAAUUUUAAAUUUCUGUGAUUUUUGGGUUGUUUCAAAUUUACAAGUUGGUUGUGCAUUGGUAUUGCGAAACCACAUCAGCAAAACGAUGUUAUAAAACGUAGUGUCAUGCAUGAUUUGAUGAGUAAAAGAUACAAGCAUAUAACUCGAAAUUUAUUCGUUCCUUUUUCCCUAAUGGGAAAAGCAACAUCUUUGGCCCCUCUAUGAUUUGUUGUGAACAUCUGAAGUGCUUGGUUAAGCCCAUACUGAAUUGAUGUGUUCGAUUAGUAGUCUGAAUUUAGUCAUCAUAUAUCAAGAAAUCAGGAAAAAGAGUUUUGGACUAUGAGAUUUAUUAUAAUUCAUGUCGUAUCCAUACGAUAUCUUGUAGAACGAAAGAAUAUUUGAUCACUUAUCUUAGAACUAAUGACUGAUCAGAUCAGAGUCUGGAGUUUCUCUAGGAAGUACCCUUUGUUGAUAAUUUAGAAGUUAUACUAUCAACUGUAGUUAUAGACUUAUCCAGGUGGUAGACUGUUAGAUUAGGUGUCUUAGCCAAUAAAUAAAUUAUUAUAUACUUGAAUUAUUGAGAAGGUCCUUUUGGAUUUCCCUGAAACCUAGUAAUUGAAUAAAAAGGAUUUGAGAGAGAGGAAGGGAGAGAGAGAGAGAGAGAGAGACUGAUUUAUUGAUUUAUUGUAUGAUUAAUAAAUAACAAUAAAUAAUUUGUUAAUAUAUUAUGAGAAUGAUAUAUUAAUUAGAAAUUUUAUUAUUUAAUUAAGAAUUUUUAAGAUUAAGAUUCUUGGAGGCAUCAUUAUUUUAUUAUAUUUUUGAGUUUUGGAUAGUGUCACGUUGUGGUGAAGGAAUCCAGCGACAUGGAAAUGUUCAUUGUAUUGCAGGUUUUAAAUGGCCGCCACGGCAUGGCAGCCUAUGGCCAUGACAUGGCAAUUGUUUCAUGAGAAACCCCAAUUUCUAGGGUUUGCGCCAUAUUUAAGGAAAUUUGAGUGUUAAUAUUGCUCACCCUCAGCCUCCAUCACACUCUCUCAGCCUCCAAGCAAGCCAUAACCUCCAUUUUUACUCUCUAAGCCUUCGGUGUCGAUUUUUGGGGAUUUAAAAAGUAGUAGGUGACUUCUAGGCCCGGAUUCAACAAGAAACUCUUAUCACCAUCUUCUUUUGCAUCUUAUGGACUCUUGUAAUCCCCAAGUUCAAAGCUUUUUCGUUUAAAGUGCAUAGAUCUAAGUUCUUAUGCCUUAAUCUUCAUAUCCUUGAUCAUUGGAUGGUGAGAUCUCAUAAAGUUUGUGUAACAACCCGAAAUUCAUAUCACUGCUUGUACCCCUUUUAGCGACUCAUUUCGAUCAUCCAAUUGCCGUUUCCAAUUUUGUUUCCAAUUCCGACAAUUAAUUAAGUCAUUAAAGUGUAUUUUAUUUUAUGACUUAAUGAGCAUCCUAAUACCUUUAGAACUCAUUCUAACUGUAAAAGCCCAAAACCCAGGUACCCUUCUAUUUAGCCCUUCAUCUUUGUUAUGUUGCCAUUUUGGGUUUGCAUGUUAGGCGAGUACGCUAGGCGUACAAGGAGUAUGUUGCGCGUACUCGUGCACUUCAUUUGGACGCGUUCACCCUCAGGUACGCUGGGCGUACCCAAGGUUACGCGGGGCGUAACCGGUCCAGACCUAAAAACCCUAAUUCAUUCGGAGGGCUAUAAAAGGAAUGUGUGGCUCGACUUCUCAGCCACCAUCCCAAAGAGAGAAACCCUAAAGAGAGUGUGUAUCUGUUCAUGGGCCAUUUGUGAGUAUUCUAAGCUUGGUGGUGCCAUUUCAAGGUAGCAAAGGAGAAGAAGAACUCAUUAGGAAGGCUAGAAGUGGUGUUUAAGUGUAGAUCUGAGCUUUGCAAGGGUUGAAGCUGCAUUAUCAGGUAAAAAGUUCGGAUCUUGUCACUUGGUUCAUGUUACAUGCUUCAAGUACCAUUUUCUAGGGUUUUAGUCCCAAAGGUGGAGACUUUUUGUGCAAAUGGUCUCCAUAAGCGUAGAUCUCAUACUUCUGGUCUUUUGGAGUUGUAGACUCAUAAAAAUGACAUCUUGGACAUGAAUGUUGCACCAUGCAUGAGAUCUAGGUUCUUGAGUUGGAAUAGAAUGAUGUUAAGAAGUGUUGGAGCUUUUACAGCCAUGCCAUGGCUUAAAGGUCUCGACUUUAUGGGUAUAGACGCAUAAACAAAGCUGGAUCUAGAAGUUGGAGUAAUGGCUUAACCGAUUAAGACAAAAUAUGAUGUAUGCUAAAGUCUGAUGGUUACGCUGGGCGUAACUCCUAGUACGUGCAGCGUACUGGGUGGAGACCUCGAUCCAUGGGUUGGUGAUGUACGCCCCGCGUACAUCAAGCAGUACGCCCCGCGUACUCAUAGGGUUGACUUUUGUUGACUUUUAGGGUUUUGGUCAACAUGAAGACUUUGGGUCAAGGAAGGGUAAAAUGGUCUUUUACCCUCUGAGGAAUGAUGAUAAGGAGUAAAGUUUUAGUUGUGGAAGUCUUUUAUUAUUAAAUGAUAUUUUUAUGAUUAGGCGAGGUAGAGUCGUCAUUGGGAUUUGGAGAUACCGAGUACGCGGGAUCUUAGACUUUCCACGAGGUGAGUUUUCUCACUAUACUGUACCCGAAAGGGUUUUAUCGUGUGACCGGAAGGUCGGAUAUGUUAUGUGUUAUAUGCAUUGUAUGUGAUAAGUUAAUCGUUUAUAUGUAACAUGUAUGAUAUGCUUUAUGUUAUGGGCCGGAAGGCGUUUAUGUUAUGGGCCGGAAGGCGUAUAUGUUAUGGGCCGGAAGGCAUUGUGAUGUGGACUGUAAGGUUGACGUAGGUAGGACCGGAAGGUUUACCUAGUCGGGAAGGAAGUGCCCUGAGACACGUGGACCGGAAGGUCAGGGCCUGGAAAGGCGUAUGUGCGUAAGUUGUAUUUUGGGGAACUCACUAAGCAAUUAUGCUUACAGUUGUUGUGUUAUAUGUUUCAGGUACUAGCGAGGACCGGGGGAAGGCGCCGACGUGAUUGUACACACUAAUGAAGAAACUGUUUUUAUGAUCAUGGGAUGUAUUUGUUAUGAUAACAUUGUUCACGUUUGAAUUUGGAAUAUUAAAUGAUGGUUUUUAAUGUUUGCAAAAAUUAAAAAUCUGUUUUAAAAUUUACGUUGUUACAAGUUGGUAUCAGAGCCUUGGUUUGAGGGAUUCGGGUACACCUUCGGGCGUAACUGAACUCAAACCGGGGUUUGAGGAAAAAUUUUAAUUAAUAAAAGCAAUAAAAAUUUGAUAAGAGAUUUCGAAACAACCAAAGGAGAAGCAGUGUGUACGGUCAGCCAGCGCCCGAACGGUAAAAUCCGCAAAAUACCCUUACAAUAUGUGUUAGGAAAUAUGUUAUGAUAUGAUACGCAUGAUAGUAGACUAGGUAUUCAUAUUAGGACUAGAGUGGCCUGAUUUGUGAUGCCUUAGUCUAGGGGAACCUGCUGCUAUGAGAUGCUUUGAGAGCGAGUGGGUAGCCAGUGCAUAGGAAGAAUAGAGUACUCAUGAUCCGGGGUUCGGGAGGAGGACUUGGGAUGAAUGUUGUGUUGGGUUUUGAGCAUUCUAACACUCCUAAGUGUACAUGCAACCCUAAAUACCUUAGAUCUAUGUUUUCUCUAUUAUACAUGCAAAUAAGAACUUCCAAGGUAUUAUCCUAAUCUAGCAUACAAAACAAUAACUAUAGCAAGAUAGAAUACAUACCUUUUUGGUGUAGAAAGUCUUCAUGAAGCUUGAGUGUCUAGUGCCCCAAGUGUGACACCUCAAAUGGAAUCACAAUCACCAAAACACUUAGAAUGACUUGAGAGAAUUAUACAACUCAUGAAAUCGGCUAGCCCUUUCACUUCACACACUAGUGGCCGAUUUUGGUCAAGAAUAAGAUGCUUAUAUAGUUAGGGUUACACCAUGUAAACCCUAAUUGACAUGGCCUUUCAUUUCCAUGAUCCAUGGGUACAAAUACACCAUGGAGCAUCCAUGGACCAUCCUAUGGGUUUUAGCCCAACUUGAUUAUCCAUGGAGCAUUAGCCCACUAUACAAGUAUGGAUGAUUUACACAAUCAACCCAUAUAUUUAAUUAGUCUUCUUUUGAUCACUUAAUUAAUCCUAGAUUAAUUCUUGAUCAAUACUAAUUAAAUAAUCUUAUUAUUCUUAUUAUUAAUAUACUAGAACUUAUAAUAUAUUAAUAACCAUAAGUGUCUUAUUUCUCUCAUUAUAGUCUAUCCAAGUGCAUGAUGGUAUGCAACCCAAAUGGACCAUGCCGGGUCGGGUCAAGUCUUACCAAUUAUAGUUAUGGACUUAGACAUUAAUCCAACAGUCUCCCACUUGGAUAAGUCUAAAACUAUUAUUGCGUAUGACUUCAGGAACCAACUGGCAAUCGUAGCUCUCAAAAGCUUCUGUCGAACUCUGACCUUGUAGAUGAACUCUGACCUUUGUCAGUGACUUGUCCAUUAGAUAAGGGAUCAUAUAUUCCUCCAUUCUAGAUAUCAUAUGGACUGAGACAUGGAUUAUAAUCAUUCUCUCUGUCCAUUUGUUGUUUCCCGAUUUCCGAUUUAUGACGACUGACUAAUUGAACAAAUCAAAUCAGUCCUGGCCCGGCCGAGCACUUCCAUUUGUCAUCAUCAAAUCAUCGAGGGGCCCACAGAUAUCGCUUUUAUCCCGAAGGUAAAAGGAAUGGAUAAACUUCGACUCAUAUGGCUUGUUCUACUACUUGUUGAAUCAUACACAAAGGCACGUUUUAUAGCACCGAGUUACCAAAUGCGUUUUCGUGCAAUCAAUGUACUAUCAACUCAUAGUAACAACUCAUAUCUCUAGGUUUGAAGAAUAUAAGAUAUUAUCGUCUCAUGAUCACUCGUGAUAAAAUCCAUGAAGUGAUUCCAAUGAGCGCGGGUUGAAUCCAAUACUCAGAACUUAUGAGCACUCAUGAGUGUUGUAGCCCUUUGUCCAACACCUUAGACCUCUACAAGCCAACCCAUGACAGUCUUAAUUCAUAUCUACUUCCAACAUAUGACCGACUGUGGAUGGUUUGAAUAACUUAGUCAUUCCGGAAGAAUAACCUAGUUUAUUCGGGAAGUCAAAACAUGCAAAGUGAAACACAAUAAUAAUUGAAUCCAAUAUGGUAUCAACCCUUUGAACAUAAAUAAAACACCUUUUAUUUAUCACCAUAUGAUUACACAUUAUUCAUUGUAUACUGUUUCAGCUAUCAACUUUAUUCUUGAAUUUAAAACAAUAGUUGUCCCAUGCUCCAAGCAUGUACACUAUGUUUUCUUAAACACUAGUCAUGCCACACACCAAGUAUGCAUACUAUGUUUGUCUAUGAUCUUUACUUUGUGAACUAGAUCAAUUGAACAUAACUUCAAUGAUUCUCUUUUCACACUCCCAAAUCCUUACUGCAAAUGCAAGAAUUCCAAAUUCAUGCCAUUUACUGAAAUCUGUUAGAUUCUAAACUUAUAUGCAUUGAUCCUCUUGUAAUGAUUAUGCACAAAGUCAGAAAGACUUGACAACAAUCAUUACAGAGUAUUCCAAAGGAGAUCAGCUCCUUGGAAACAUCCUUCUUGCAUUAAGUUUCCUAAUCUUAAACAGAUUGAAAAUUCUAACUUUGAAACAUUUCCAGAUUCCAUUUUGACUAUCACUUCUGAACAAGAGUUGCCUCCUUACAGAUUAUGUCAAUAUGGUCCUUCCAGAAUUAUCACUAUACUUCCAACUGUCCUUGAGCAACCAAUCUUUGGUAAACCUUAGAUUGUCCUCGACAAUUGUUUAAUCCUUUUAGUCAUAUCCAGUUCUAAACCUUUUCCCUUCUUAAUGCCCCAGGCAUUUGGAAAAUUUUAGAACGGAUGAAUAUAGCACAUGUAAUCGAUCCUAUAUCCGAAGCAUAUGGGACACGAUUCAUGAUGUCUCACAUAAAGACUAAACCAGUCUUUUGCUAUAACAUUUCCAUUUCAAUUUGCCAAGUUCUCAUAAUUCAGAUUAUGAAAAGGGAUGCCGUAAUCAUAAUCGAAUUUUAGAACGCAAAUAAUGGACCCAUAUACAGAAUUUCCUUAUGUUGAGCCAUUCCAACAUGAAAUUCAUAUAUAUCCUUGACUAAAUGAUUAAAACCUCACGAUCUAAGCUUAUAGAUUUGAGAUGAAGUAUAAUUUCCUCUCCCUUAAUUAUAGCAAAACAACUUUUUCCCAAUUGAAACUUUUGUUUUCUAUAAUUAACAUUGCUAACUUGCAAUACUUAUCAUAAUUAUCAUGCUCCCACUAACAUGAUGAUUAUUAGCAUAACACUUAUGCUCCCACUAGCUUUGACAUGUACUCAGAAAUCAGCUGGACUUCUAGAAAUCAAUACUUCAUUGACUUUCUUACCAAAGUUCAGAUUUCUGAUGCUAGAUUGUUUUGAUAAAACUUUAUCAAAAUCAUACACCUUCCCUUAGAUAGCACACUUGUGUAUCUAAACAAUUAUGAAGAGGGAUGCCGUAAUCAUAAUGUUUAGACCUUUUUGCCACUUCUCACAAGUCCAAGUUAGUGUGCCGGUUAACCACACGCGCUCCACUAACGACUUUGAGAAUGCAAAUAUCACAAUUGCUAUCUAGCUAAAAUCUACUUAGUGAAAGUGUUUCCUCACCAUCAUUUUCAUGAAUCGGAGAGAAACCUUAUGACACUUAGAUUUAAUGGUGUAUGUGUUCUUAUCCAUGUGAAUUGUCAAAAUCAUAGUCACAAGACAAGGAUAAUGACAAAUCCAAACUCAUAUGGACUGAACUCAAUCUUAAUUUCUUGCCACCUGGCAGCUCAAGGGCCUACCAUUGCUUCCAAGUUGUUGUGCAACAAAUUGAGAACUCUAAGAACUCAUAUGCAAAGCCAACUUUAACUGGAAUGGGCACAGAAUAUGUCAACACGAUAGGUUAUGAACCUCAAGUUGUGUGCUAGUGAAGAACUUUAGGUUUUAUUCUUGAUUAGUUCUUGAGACUUUCAAGACCUUUAAGACUCCCACUGUCCUCUUGACAUAUAAGACUCCCUUGUCAAACAUCCAAGAGAUAGUGCGGAUUCUAAUCAAGAAAAACACUUUACCCAAUUGGCCUAAGUUGGUCUUUGUUUUAUCCAAAACAUCACAACUUACCAAUUUCAAAUGUACAAGAGUAGAAAACUUUUACUCUUACAUUUGACAAGUGUUUUAAACCUUCUUUAAGACAUGUCACUCAAAUGACAAUCUUGGAGUAUGACUCUAAGACUUGUAUUGGAACGAAGUAUGACUCAUCUUCUUGAUUUAACCAUUUCAACAAUUCAAGUUCCUCUUCUUAGUCAUAAGAAUGCACUAAGAUUUCCUUAGAGAACUAAUUUUGAUAUGGUUUCUUAAUCAUUAAGAUGAUCACAAAACUGAUACUAAAGUACUCUCCCAUCUUUUCAGAUUUGAGAAACUUUUAUCCUUCUGCCUUAUUUGAUUCUUCUUAUUCGCCCUGCCAUACAUUGGAACCUUUUCCAAUGUCUCAGAGUUACACUUAAGCUUGUAAGUAUAAUCAUAUUUACUGAGCUUUAGUAAACUAUGACGAAUAGUCUUAUCAAUCUUUUGUGGUGGACUUAAUCAGUGCACAAGAAUGUGUACUCGAUCCCUUAGUCCUUUACUUGACUCACACAUCCAUGUGGCCGAGUAAUUAGUCUUAAUUUUCCAAAACUUGAAAGUUCUCAUUCAUCAUGCUAUACAACUUGCAUGAUUCCAAGUUCCGGUCCAAUUGAAACUUGGGUGAUGAGAAUCUUUCCUUAUUUGGUAAAUCUAGACAUUACCACAAAUGAAAGAAUCAAUUUCAUAUUUCCACUCUUGCUCUUAAUGGAAUCAUAUAAGCAACAAUUUUUCCUCAAAAGCCAUUGUAAGGAUAUUUUAAAAUAAAUAAAAUCAAAAAAAUUUUCUUUUAUUUUAAAACUUUGCGGAAAAACUUAUCCUUACAAUCCAUAUGAAAACUUGUUGUUAUCUAUUCCUAAGCAAUAUCUCAUAACUCCUAAGAAGUUGCUCAAGAAUCCGAUCUUCAAACUAUGCGAUAGAAAUCCAUCUACGCCAUCAGAUUCAGCAUAUUCUUUCUUUAAGUUUCUUCACUUUUCUUUGAUUCUUAAAACAUCACCAUGUGACCCAGUCACAUCAUGUAUCAGGAAUCUCAGAAUAGAAACUUAACAGAGUUAGAUAGUGGUCUUUACCUGAAGUAGAGUCAAACUUAUUGACUUUAACAUCCUUAGGUAAAUUUGGCAGCUUCGCAACCAAUGCCCCUUCCCUUGGCAAUAUAAACAUAUGGACCCUUUGAUAAUGGUACACGAGACUAUCACAGACUUAGCUUUUCUCUUUACCAUUUGGUCAACCGAGUUGACUAUGGCCGAUCCCUUUCCAUUGGGAAGAGAAUGCUUUACUGGAUAUCCAAUGUCAUCAUUGUCAAUGUCCAUAAAGUUUUAGGAAGUUGAUCUUAGCAAAUAGAUAAGAUCAUUAAGGGUCUUGUCAUAGUCUGUUUCAUAGGUGUCCCAAAGGAACUCACUAUGUGACUUAGAAAGUGAUUGAACCACCAACUUUCUCAAGACUUUGACACCCAACUCUCCCGGCUUGUCAAUAUGUGACUACAUCUCCAAGAUGUGAUCACACCUAGACCUUGCCUUGCCAAUAGGGCUUGAGUGACCUUAAACUUUUCAAGAACUUGUGGGUUAGGGAGAAUAAUUGGAGGAGGUGAAAGAAGUAUGAUUUCCAAAGGACAUCAUCUUCAUUUAGGAAACCUUGUUUCACUAGAUUUGGGAAGAUCAUAGGUGUCUAUUACAGACAUCUUUUGGGAGAUAUUCAAGAUAGUUGAUUUAAAGUCCUUAAUAUGACACCCAAUAUGAAAUAUUAAGGCUAGGACCCAACAAACUAUUUUAUAACUUAGAAGAGGUAUGCCGUAAUCCAAGCUAUAAAAUAUUUGAAGGUAGGUGAAUGACGAUUCACCAAUUUCCACCAAGAUAAACGAAAUGUAUUAUUAGGUUUUAAUUGGUUUUGAAACUCCUAGAUCUUUGAGAUUCAUUGAACUUUUCAAAGGCAUGUUUCAAUCUCGAGUGUGCCCUUCAGGUUUUGUGACUGGGAUGCCGAGGAUCACAAAACAAGGUGUGAAGUAACCAUGCAAAUCACUUGGUACCCUUAAUAAAUUACCCCUCAAUCGAUGUGCCGGUUAACCACACACGCUCCAUCGAUACUAUGAUAAAUAUUAAGUCACCCUUUACCUACCUUGUUAAGUCCAAGUUAGUGUGCCGGUUAACCACACACGCUCCACUAACGACUUAGACAAAGUGUAAAGUGUAAUUUCAUGGAUUAGCACCUUAUUCACAUUUUUCCUAAGUAACUAAGAUUGGGUAUUAUUAAGAGUUUAGUUACUUAGUAUUAUCAUUAAUACUUUUAAUGAAGGGAGAAUUCUAGUCCUGUCAAACCCGUUCGGCUAACGACCCUCCACCAGUCAAGCAAGCGGUGGGUGAGAGUGGACACCCAUUAAGUUGCCAUUUUAUAGGCAACAACCUUAUACCCACCUUAUAGACCGGCUUCGUGAAUGAGGCGUACUAGCGGUAAGACUGACUUUACUCUUAUACAUAUAUAUAUUAUUAACUUAUAAUAUUAUAAAGUAUAAGGGUUGAAUUUUAACUUUUAAAAUUCUAAGGGCUAACUUGGAAUUAAAGUAUUCAUAAGUGAAAACUUUACAAAUUCCAAAACUUGAGGGCAAGUUUUGAAACUAUUCAAAACUAAUUAAUUCCAUAACUUAUGUGUUUAAAGUAGUUUUAAUCCAAAAACUCUUCAAGUUCCAUAACUUGAGGACAAGUUAUGGAAGACUUUAAACUAAUAAAAGAAUUAACUUUUCUUUAUUUUAUAACUUAUGGAAUUAAUUAAGGUUACACUUUUUUUUUUUUUAUUUUAUUUUAUUAAAUGAAGAGACUCUUGGUCCUCCAUAACUUGAGGACAAGUUAUGGAGUCAUAAAACCAUUUAAUUAGAACUAGACUCUUCAUUUUUGUAACCUUUGCCAAUUUUUAUGAGUUUUAUGAUUCUUAAAUGUGACUUUUCAUAUAACUUGAGGACAAGUUACAAAAACACAUUUUAGAAUCAAUUCUUAGAUUAAUUUGGAUUAAAACCAACUAUCACAUAAUUUUAUUCAUUAAUCUAAAUUCACUCAUAAAACAAGGUAACACAAAAAACUUUUGGUGAUCCAUAACUUAUUCUUAAGUUAUGGAAUCCUUUAAAACAUUAACACCAAAUUUUGUAACUCCAAAAAAACUUUGAAUCAAUUUUUUUUUUAAAACCUUUUCAUAUCCAUAACUUAUGGAGGUUUCAAAAAAUAAAACUCUUUAGAUCAAACUUUUAAAACUAAUAAAAUAAUCAUAUUAUUUUAUCUUUUAUUAAAUUUGACCUAAUUCAACUCAUAAAGCAAAUUAUUCAAAUUUUACAAAUAAUUAGUUUUUCACAAGAACAAGUAAUUAUCUUAAAAUUUGACAAACUUCAUGUUUUUUUUUUUUUUUUUUUUCAACUUUGAAAAUAAAAUAUUUGCAUCAAUAUAACAGAAAACAACCCGUGGCUCUGAUACCACUGUUGGGUUUUGAGCAUUCUAACACUCCUAAGUCUACAUGCAACCCUAAAUACCUUGGAUCUAUGUUUUCUCUAUUAUACAUGCAAAUAAGAACUUCCAAGGUAUUAUCCUAAUCUAGCAUACAAAACAACAACUAUAGCAAGAUAGAAUACAUACCUCUUUGGUGUAGAAAGUCUUCAUGAAGCUUGAGUGCCUAGUGCCCCAAGUGUGACACCUCAAAUGGAAUCACAAUCAUCAAAACACUUAGNCUUGAGAGAAUUCUACAACUCAUGAAAUCGGCUAGCCCUUUCACUUCACACACUAGUGGCCGAUUUUGGUCAAGAAUAAGAUGCUUAUAUAGUUAGGGUUACACCAUGUAAACCCUAAUUGACAUGGCCUUUCAUUUCCAGGAUCCAUGGGUACAAAUACACCAUGGAGCAUCCAUGGACCAUCCUAUGGGUUUUAGCCCAACUUGAUUAUCCAUGGAGCAUUAGCCCACUAUACAAGUAUGGAUGAUUUACACAAUCAACCCAUAUAUUUAAUUAGUCUUCUUUUGAUCACUUAAUUAAUCCUAGAUUAAUUCUUGAUCAAUACUAAUUAAAUAACCUUAUUAUUCUUAUUAUUAAUAUACUAGAACUUAUAAUAUAUUAAUAACCAUAAGCGUCUUAUUUCUCUCAUUAUAGUCUAUCCAAGUGCAUGAUGGUAUGCAACCCAAAUGGACCAUGCCGGGUCGGGUCAAGUCUUACCAAUUAUAGUUAUGGACUUAGACAUUAAUCCAACAUGCUGAUGCGGUGUAGUCGAUAGUAUUGGGCUCGUACUACUGAAGACACCGGUUCAGUGGGCAACCCAAGUAAGAAUCCUUGGGUAUCGGAGACCGAGUAAGGUUGCGUUAUCGAGUGCAAUUAUGCUCGAUGGAGUCUCUGAUAUUUUUAUGUUGUAUUUCAGAGGCAUCAUGGUUGGGACGCGUCACAGAACUCAGACGAGCGGUGUGAGUGACGAGGAGCUUCGCCAGAUGAUCCACGAUGAGGUAGCUGCGGCAAUCCGGACCAAGAUUCCGAAGAUGUUCGGGUCUAUCAAGACCACGCUGCUGGAGACUUUUGAUGAGCGGUACGCCGCGGUAACUGAGGCUGUGGCUGCUGCCAGACCACAGGGAGGUGACUCAUUGUUGUUCUGGGAGUUCAACAACACGAAACCACCCGAGUUUGAUGGGACGCAGGAUCCGAUCGCUGCGAUGUGAUGGAUUGUUGAUAUUGAGGGAUGCUUCUACACUUUUUCAUGUCCAGAGCAUCUGAGGGUACGGUUCGCUUUGAACAAGCUCUGCCUGGGAGUAUAGGAUUGGUAGAAGUUCGUGACGGCGAACUUCACUCUUGCAGAGGUUUCAGCUGUGACUUGGGAUAGGUUUACUGCUAUGUUCAGAGACGAGUAUGUUCCCCCGGUGGAGAGGGAACAGUUGGUUCAGGAGUUCUUGGCCCUCAAGCAGGGUAAUGAUUCUGUUACGGUGAUCACUCGGAAGUUUCAUGAGAGGGCGAUGUUUUGCCCUGAGCAGGUGUCCACUGAGCAGGCUCGGAUGAGCCGAUAUUUUGGUGUACUGAGGAGGGAUAUCCGGGAGUUCGUAUCAAACUCGUCAUACGAGACCUUUGCUGAACUCCAGGCGAAUGCCAGGAAGAGAGAGAUCGAGUUGGAGACCUAGGCCAGGGAGGAGGCCGAGUCUCAGCGGGUGGAUCGGCGGCCGGCUCAGUCCCAGCCGGCAACCAAGCGGACCAAGUCCNNNNNNNNNNNNNNNNNNNNNNNNNNNNNNNNNNNNNNNNNNNNNNNNNNNNNNNNNNNNNNNNNNNNNNNNNNNNNNNNNNNNNNNNNNNNNNNNNNNNNNNNNNNNNNNNNNNNNNNNNNNNNNNNNNNNNNNNNNNNNNNNNNNNNNNNNNNNNNNNNNNNNNNNNNNNNNNNNNNNNNNNNNNNNNNNNNNNNNNNNNNNNNNNNNNNNNNNNNNNNNNUUACCGAGACUCGGCCGGUGAAAGCCGAGGCUCCGAAGGCUCGUGGGAGAGCUUUUCAGUUGACUGCAGAGGAGGUCCGCGCGGCGCCCGAUGUCAUAGCUGGUAUGUAUUCUUUCGUGUAUUUACUUUUAUGCUAAGAUAUUGUGCUUAUAUUAUGAUAUGUGUACGUACUUUUCUUGUAAAUUUUGUACCUGCCUUGGUAUUAUUUGACUCGGGUGCGAGUCGGUCUUUUGUAUCUUUGGCUUUUAGCCAGCACAUCGAUAUUGAUCGGGGGUGAUGAGUCGACCCCUGCGGGUUUCUAUAGCAGAUUAGAGAGCGGUAUACGCCACUGACGUGAUUCGAGGAUGUGUGCUCGAGAUUUUUGGAGUCAAAUUCCCUAUAGACUUGGUUCCUAUAGCGAUAGGGGAUGUCUGCGUCAUCGUGGGCAUGGACUGGUUGAGUAAGUUUGGGGAAGUCAUUGAUUGCGAGAGACAGCUAGUGACUAUACGAGACCCUAGUGGGGGAGUGCUUACUAUGUAGGGCGAGGGGACCCAGUGUGGGUCAGCUUUUUGUUCGGCUGCCAGGGCGAGACAGAGUUUGCAGCAGGGAUGUAGUGGAUUCAUAGCCUAUGCGUUCGGAUGUGUUCCCCGAAGAAUUACCAGGUGUGCCUCCAGAAAGGCAAGUGGAGUUCCGUAUCGAUUUGGUUCCGAGAGCGGCGCCCAUCGCCAAGGCGCCUUAUCGUCUCGCUCCACCAGAAAUGCAGGAGUUAUCCUCGCAGCUCCAGGAGCUGCCGGGAAAAGGGUUUAUUCGGCCAAGUAGCUCAUCUUGGGGCGCGCCGAUUCUAUUUGUCAAGAAAAAGGAUUGUUCGCACCGGAUGUGUAUCGAUUACAGGAGUUGAACAAGUUGACGGUUAAAAACCGAUAUCCGUUACCUAGGAUCGAGGAUCUAUUCGAUCAGUUGCAGGGGGCAUCAUGGUUCUCCAAGAUAGACUUGUGGUCGGGUUAUCAUCAAAUGAGGGUUUCGGUAUGAGGAUAUCCAGAAGACUGCAUUCAGAACUCGUUAUGGACAUUACGAGUUUGUGGUGAUGCCUUUUGGGCUCACCAAUGCCCCGGCUGCAUUCAUGGAUCUUAUGAAUAGGGUGUGCAGGCUGAUGUUGGAUCGAUCGGUGAUCGUAUUCAUUGAUGAUAUUUUGGUAUAUUCGAGGUCUAGGGAGCAGCAUGAGGAACACUUGAGGGAAAUUCUUGGAGUAUUGAGAUCGGAGAGGUUGUAUGCAAAAUUCUCCAAGUGUGAUUUCUGGUUACGAGAGGUCUAGUUCCUAGGGCACCUUGUUAACCAGAAAGGGAUAUUGGACGAUCCGGCCAAGAUUAAGGCGGUGAUGAGAUAGGAAGUGCCGAAAUCGCCCACUGAGAUUAGGAUAUUUCUGGGAUUGGCCGGCUAUUAUCGAAGGUUCAUCAAGGCUUUCUCGAAGAUUGCCGUGCCACUUACUAGGAUGACCCGGAAGGGUGUUGCAUUUUCAUGGGGACCGGAGCACCAGUCCUCAUUCGAGACCCUUUGUCAGAAAUGGUGCGAGGCCCCUGUGCUUGCACUCCCGGAUGGGAUGGAUGAUUUUGUGGUAUACUGUGAUGCAUCUAUAUCUGGAUUAGGGGCGGUCCUUAUGCAGAGGGGACACGUUAUAGCAUAUGCUUCGAGGCAGCUGAAGCCUCAUGAGUCGAGAUAUCCCACCCACCACCUGGAAUUGGGGGCUGUGGUGUUUGCCCUCAAGAUCUGGCGGCACUAUCUGAUGGGUUUUGAGCAUUCUAACACUUCCUAAGUGUACAUGCAACCCUAAUAACCUUGGAUCUAUGUUUGUCUAAUUAUCAUGCAAAGUUGAAUUCCAAGGUUAUAUUCCUAUCUAGCAUACAUGGGGAACAAUUUUAACUUGAAUCAUAGAUAGAAUAACUUACCUUGUUGUUGCUUGUGUUCCUUGAAACCUUGUGAGCCUAGCACCCCAAGUGUGAUGCCUCAAAUGCUUCACACAACACCAAAUGCUCUUGGAAAGACUCUUGAGAUAACACACUUCACAAAAAUCGGCCAAGCCCUCUUGUUUCCUUAGUAGUAGUGCCGAUUUUGGUGGAGAAUAUGCUUCUUAUAUAGUGUUGACACAUCUAGGGUUACACCAUGUAAACCCUAAUGUGUCAUGACUCUUCAUUUCCAUGACCCAUGGGUUUGUAACUCCCAUGGAGCAUCCAUGGAGCAUCCUAUGGGUAGAACCCAACUUGAUAAUCCAUGGAGCCUCUUAGCCCACUAUACAAGAUAUGGAUGAUUUACAUAAUCAACCCAUAUAUUUAAUUAGUUAUCCUUUGAUCACUUAAUUAAUUCCAAAUUAAUUCUUUGAUCAACUAAUCAAAUAAUAUUAUUAAUAUAUUAGAACUUAUAAUAUAUUAAUAAUCUCCAAGUGUUAUUUCUCUCAUUUAGUCUAUCCAAUUGCAUGGUGCCAUGCAACCCAAAUGGACCAUGCCGGGUCGGGUCAAGUACAAGCCCGAAAUAGUUAUGGACUUAGACACCUUAUCCAACAGUCUCCCACUUGGAUAAGUCUAAUAACUAUAUCUCUAGUACUUCAGGAACCGACCGGCAAUCGUAGCUCUUUCAAGGUCUCUCGGAACUGAGAAGAUGAUGGUACGCCAUUUAAGAUAAGUGAUCAUAUAAUCCUCCGUUCUAGAUAUCAGCCGGACAAAUACAUGGAACAUUGUCUUGCUUAUUGUCCAGCAUUUGUUUCCCGAUUUCCGAUUUGUUUGACAUAGAACUUAAUUGAACACAUCAACUUAGUUCUGACCGGGCCCGGUACAUGGGUCAAAACAAAAUCAUCGAGGGGCCCAGAUAUCAGCUUCUAAUCCAAGAAGGAACAGAUAAACUUCGACUCAUAUGUUUGUUCUACCACUCAUUGAAUUACACACAAAAGUACGUUUUAUAACAUCGAGUUACCAAUGCGGUUUCGUACAGUCAAUGCAUAACCAACUUGUAAGUAACAAAUCAUAUCUCUAGGUUUGAAGACUUAUAUGAUAUUACCGUCUCACGAUCACUCGAGAUAGAAUUCCAUGAAGUGAUUCCAGUGAGCGUGGGUUGAGUCCAAUGCUCAGAACUUAUGAGCACUCAUGAUUGUUGUAGCCUUGUCCAACACCUUAGACCUCUACAACCCAUCAUGACAGUCUUGAUUCAUACCUACUUCCGACAUAUGACCGACUGUGGAGGUUUGAAUAAUAUGUUACACCAAACAAAAUUAUUCUGGAAGUCAAAACAUGCAAAAGAAAUAUAGUAAACGAUUGACAAGAGAUAGCAACACUUUACUCAUAAAUAAAACACCUUUUAUUCAUCAUCAAAUGUCAAUUACACUUUACAAAUUUCUGGGUUAUCUAACUACUAAAACUUAUAUCAUCCUUCAGCCCUAUGCUCCGAGCAUGCUGGAGAUGCUUAACCCUACUCAGUCCCUUCGUGAGGGGAUCUGCUGGGUUCUCAUCCGAUGAUACCCUCUUUGCCACGAGGAGUCCUUCUUCGAUCCGAUGUCUAAUGAAAUGGUAUUUUCUGUCGAUGUGUCUGGAUCUCCCAUGAUCCCUUGGUUCCUUGGCUAAGGCAACAGCACUUUCACUAUCACAGAAAAUUUCCAUUGGCUCUUUAAUAGCUGGUACAACUCCAAGGUCUCCAAUGAAGUUCUUCAGCCAUAUCGCCUCCUUUGCUGCUUCGCUAGCUGCAAUAUACUCUGAUUCACAAGUAGAAUCUGCCACUGUCUCUUGCUUGGAACUCUUCCAAGAAAUUGCUCCUCCGUUUAGGGUAAAGACCCAGCCCGACUGAGAGCGGAAAUUAUCCCUAUCAGUCUGGAAGCUAGCAUCACUAUACCCUACAACUCUCAAGUCAUCACUCCCACCGAGGGUAAGGACCCAGUCCUUAGUCCUCCGUAGGUACUUGAGGAUAUUCUUUACCGCAGUCCAGUGUGCCUUGCCAGGGUUCGCCUGAUACCUGCUAACCAUGCUCAAGGCAAAAGCUACAUCGGGUCGAGUACACGUCAUAGCAUACAUGAUCGAUCCUACAGCCGAAGCGUAAGGUGUUCGACUCAUUUCUGCUAUCUCAGCCUCAGUGCUAGGGCUUUGUGUCUUACUCAAUCUGGUGUUACUCUGGAUGGGUAACUCUCCUUUCUUGGAAUCCUGCAUGCUGAAUCUCUUCAGCACCUUAUCCAAGUAGGUACUCUGACUAAGUCCAAUUAGUCUUUUACUCCGAUCUCUCAAGAUUCUUAUCCCUAGAAUAUAGGCAGCUUCACCAAGGUCCUUCAUAGCGAAACACUUCCCAAGCCAGGACUUUACUUCCUGCAGGGUUGGAAUGUCGUUUCCUAUGAGUAGUAUGUCAUCCACAUACAAUACCAAAAAGCUAACUAUACUCCCACUAGCCUUGACAUACACACAAGAUUCAUCUUCACUCCUAGAAAAGCCAAAUUCCUUGACCUUUUCAUCAAAGCAAAGAUUCCAUCUGCGAGGUGCUUGCUUCAAUCCAUAAAUGGAUUUCUCAAGCUUACACACUCUAUUAGGGUACUCGUUGCUGACAAAACCCUCUGGCUGACUCAUGUAAACAUCUUCAGCCAACUUUCCAUUAAGGAAAGCGGUUUUGACAUCCAUCUGCCAUAUUUCAUAGUCAUGAAAUGCAGCUAUGGCUAACAGAACCCGAAUAGACUUAAUCUUGGCUACCGGAGAAAAGGUCUCAUCAUAAUCCACUCCAGGAAUUUGAGAGAAGCCCUUUGCAACCAGUCUAGCCUUAUAAGUGUGUACUUUACCAUCCAUGUCGGUCUUCUUCUUGAAGACCCAUUUGCACCCUACUGUCUUACGACCUGGUACAUUUUCAACCAAGUUCCAAACUUGAUUGUCAUACAUGGAUUGUAUCUCGCUAUCCAUAGCCUCUUUCCAUUUAGCAGACUCGGGGCCUGCCAUGGCUUCCUCGUAGCUGUUAGGGUCAUCUUGACUUACUAGUGUCUCAUCACUAAUAAGUGUCUCACCUUCUGCAGUAAUAUGGAAUCCAUAGUAAUGCUCAGGUGCACUCCUAACUCUCGUGGAACGUCUCAGAGGUACAGAUUUGUCAAUUGGCUCAACAGGAGUUUCCUCCUCAAGUUGAGGGCUAGAGUUUGAAGUUCCUUCACCGCUUGAUUCUUGAAUUUCUUCAAGAUCAAUUUGCCUCCCACUGUCUCCUUGGCUUAUAAACUCUCUUUCUCGAAAGACUCCUCUUCUUGCUACAAAGACCACAUUGUCACUAGGUCUGUAGAAGAGGUAACCAAAGGAUCGCUGUGGGUAACCGAUGAAAAUACACCUCUCGCUUCGAGGUUCGAGCUUAUCAUGAGUCUCGCGUCUCACGAAAGCCUCGCAACCCCAAAUCUUGAUGUGGUCUAGUUUAGGUACUUUACCAGUCCACAUCUCGUGAGGAGUUUUGGCAACUUUCUUUGUAGGGACUAGAUUAAGAAUAUGGGCGGCAGUCUCUAAGGCAUACCCCCAGAAUGAGAUUGGUAGCGUAGCUCGACUCAUCAUGGAACGAACCAUAUCUAACAAGGUUCGAUUACGCCUCUCAGCCACACCAUUCAACUGUGGUGUCCUGGGAGGUGUCAAUUGUGAGACUAUCCCACAUUCCCUUAGAUAGUCGAGGAACUCUGAACUAAGAUACUCACCACCACGAUCGGAUCGAAGCAUCUUAAUGUUCCUGCCCAAUUGAUUCUCGACUUCCUGUUUAAAUUCCUUAAACCUCUCGAAAGUCUCUGACUUAUGCUUGAUCAAGUAGACAUAUCCAUAUCUACUAUAAUCAUCAGUAAAAGUCAAAUAAUAACGAUUAGCAUCCCUUGUGGCAUGUUUGAAUGGUCCACACACAUCCGUGUGUAUAAGGUCCAACAAACCUUCACCCCUCUCACACGAACCUGUGAAGGGUGACUUUGUCAUUUUUCCAAGUAAGCAUGAUUCGCAACUAUCAUCUGACUUUAGGUCAAACGACUCCAAGACUCCAUCCUUUUGGAGUUGGCCUAUGCGUUUCUUGCUUAUAUGUCCAAGACGACAAUGCCAUAAAGAUGCUUUAUCCAAGUUAUUAUUAGUAGAAUCAAUACACAAAACAUUAUUUCCCAAGUUAUCUACAACAGAUACAGCUUCAUACACACCAUCACAAGGUAAUGCUUUAAAAUAAAAGACAUUAUUAUAGAAAACAUCUAUAGAACCAACUUCAUUAUUAAAUGAAAAGGUAAACCCUUGUUUGUACAAAGCAUGAAAGGAAAUAAUAUUUCUUGCCAUUCCUGGCGAAUAACAACACUUAUUCAAAUCUAAACUAAACCCACUACUUAGCGAUAAAGUAUAAACUCCAAUCUUGGUAACAGGUAUAGCUUUCCUAUUCCCCAUGAUCAAGUUUAUCCUUCCUUGCUCCACAUCCUCACUUCUUCUUAGUCCCUGCAAGUCACAACAAAUGUGAAUACCACACCCGGUAUCAAGGACCCAAGAAUUAGAAUGGGGUGAGUUAUUAGAAAUGAUAGUGUAAAUACCUGCAUGGUUGGGUUUAACUUUCCCAUCCUUCACAUCUUGCUGGUAUUUUGGGCAGUUCCGCUUCCAAUGAGCUUUUUCAUGGCAAUAGAAGCAUUCAGCCUCUUUUGGGUCAGAAGAAGGAGUAAUGAAACCUUUCUUGGUUCCACUUGAAGAAGAGCCAUCAAGGGUCCGAACCUUGGUACCCUUAGAAGAGCUCUUUCUCUUCCUCCCUCGACUUUUCCCGAUUGCCAAAACCGGAGUAGAGUUUUGAGUAGGAGUGAUAGCAACCGACUUCCCCUUAAGACCUGAUUCUGCGGUCUUGAGAAGUCCCUGAAGUUUGCUGAGGGUGACUUCUUCCUUGUUCAUGUGAUAUGUCAUGCGGAAUUGAUCAUAGCACGAUGGUAAGGAAUGCAAAAUAAUAUCUAUUGCAAGAUCCUCCGGGAAGUUCACAUUAAGCUUCAGCAAACGAUCCACAUACCUUUGCAUUUUCUGCAUGUGGCUCGUGACGGAUUCCCCGUCCUUCAUCAUGGUUGUUAUCAUGGAGCAGAUGAUUUCAUACCUCUCUUGUCUUGCACUUUGAUGGUAUCUUUCCAUCAAAUCUUGGUGCAUUUCAUAAGGGUAGAAAUCCUCAUAAGACUUUUGGAGUUCCGCUGUCAUCGUGGCCAUCAUGAUGCAAGCCACUUUCGUAGCAUCCCUUUCAUGUGCCCGAAAUUCAGCGAUCUCCUGAGGAGUUGCAGUGGACUCAUCAAUCUCCUUAAGCUCCUUGUCAAGGACAUAUUCUUUGUCCUCGUAGCGGGUAAUCAUCCUGAUGUUUCUGAUCCACUCAUUGAAGUUGGAUCCAUCAAAGGUGACUUUCCCACACAAGUUCAUAAGGGUAAAGGAGCCAUUAGGAUUAGAGCCAGAAGCAUUGUUGAAAGACAUCUGAAGGAAAGAGGACAAGAUUAGUUUAGAUAUAAGAGAGUCCUUAAUAAAACACCCAAAUGUAAUAUUAAGGCUAGGAUCCAAUCACAAUAUAAUAUAACUUAGAAGAGGUAUGCCGUAAUCUAAGCUAUAUCAUAUUUGAAAGGUAGGUGAAUGACGAUUCACCAAUUUCCACCACGAAAACCGCAAUAUUUUAGUAUUAGGUUUUUGAAUGGUUCUUAGAAAUUCCUAGAUUCUUUGAGAUUCAAUGAACUUUUCAAAGGCAUGUUUCAAUCUCGAGUGUGCCCUCCAAGUUUUGUGACUGGGAUACCGAGGAUCACAAAACGAGGUGUGAAGUAACCAUGCAAAUCACUUGGUACCCUUAAAGUUUAUCACUCAAUCGAUGUGCCGGUUAACCACACACGCUCCAUCGAUACUAUAAUAAACCCUAAGUCACCCUUUACCUACCUUGUUAAGUCCAAGUUAGUGUGCCGGUUAACCACACACGCUCCACCAACGACUUAAUCAAAGUGUAAAGUGUAAUUUCAUGGAAUAGCACCUUAUUCACAUUUUUCCUAAAGUAACUAAGAUUGGGAAUUUAAUAAAACAUUUAGUUACUUUAUAAUAUUCAUCAUACUUUGAAUGAGAAUUAAUAAGUCCUUGUCUUACCCGUUCGGCUAACGACCCUCCACCGAUCAAGCAAGCGGUGGGUGAGAGUGGACACCCAUUAAGUCACCAUUUUAUAGGCAACAACCUUAUACCCACCUUAUAGACCGGCUUCGUGAAUGAGGCGUACUAGCGGUAAGACGACUUUGUUCUUAUACAUAUAUAUAUAAUUAUUAAAUCAUAAUAAUAUAAGUAUAAGGGUUGAAUUUUAACUUUUAAAAUUCUAGGGGUUGGAACUAAAGUUUUAACUUAACUUUACUUGUUCCAAAACUUGAGGGCAAGUUUUGUAAACUUUCAAAACUUUUCAUUUCUUGUAACUUAUGAGUUUAAUAGAGUAAUAAAAUGAGGACUUUUCAUUUUUCCUAACUCUUGUGUUCUUUUAAUGUUUUUUAAUCCAAGAGACUUUUGGUUUUCCAUAACUUGAGGACAAGUUAUGGACUCCAUUAAAACACAUUAUGAUCAUGAAUUAAUCUACCACAUAGGUUACAAAUAAUUCCUAUGAUCAUCUAAACAUCAUAAGAACAAGAAUAUGAAUAUGAACACUUUCAAGAAUCAAAAUCACAUUUAAUCUUUGUAAUUUUGAUAACUAGUUGUUGUAAAUGAGUUAGAAAAGACAUUACACCUUCUAAAAUAAGUUUUCAAGUACCAAAACAUUUUAGGGUAAUGAUUCUAAUCCAUUUCCAGCAACACAAGUCGAAAUUCUGCACUCUGUCGACCCUACUCGCCGAGUGCAUAAACCUACUCGCCGAGUAGGUUGAAGAUACACAUGAACUCGUCGAGUCCUCCCCAUGGACUCGCCGAGUCCAUCAGUCAGACAGCAAGAUUUUCGACUUUCUUCAACUUUUAAGCACAAAUAACAAACAAACAAGCCUAGGCUCUGAUACCACUGAUGGGUUUUGAGCAUUCUAACACUUCCUAAGUGUACAUGCAACCCUAAUAACCUUGGAUCUAUGUUUGUCUAAUUAUCAUGCAAAGUUGAAUUCCAAGGUUAUAUUCCUAUCUAGCAUACAUGGGGAACAAUUUUAACUUGAAUCAUAGAUAGAAUAACUUACCUUGUUGUUGCUUGUGUUCCUUGAAACCUUGUGAGCCUAGCACCCCAAGUGUGAUGCCUCAAAUGCUUCACACAACACCAAAUGCUCUUGGAAAGACUCUUGAGAUAACACACUUCACAAAAAUCGGCCAAGCCCUCUUGUUUCCUUAGUAGUAGUGCCGAUUUUGGUGGAGAAUAUGCUUCUUAUAUAGUGUUGACACAUCUAGGGUUACACCAUGUAAACCCUAAUGUGUCAUGACUCUUCAUUUCCAUGACCCAUGGGUUUGUAACUCCCAUGGAGCAUCCAUGGAGCAUCCUAUGGGUAGAACCCAACUUGAUAAUCCAUGGAGCCUCUUAGCCCACUAUACAAGAUAUGGAUGAUUUACACAAUCAACCCAUAUAUUUAAUUAGUUAUCCUUUGAUCACUUAAUUAAUUCCAAAUUAAUUCUUUGAUCAACUAAUCAAAUAAUAUUAUUAAUAUAUUAGAACUUAUAAUAUAUUAAUAAUCUCCACGUGUUAUUUCUCUCAUUUAGUCUAUCCAAUUGCAUGGUGCCAUGCAACCCAAAUGGACCAUGCCGGGUCGGGUCAAGUACAAGCCCGAAAUAGUUAUGGACUUAGACACCUUAUCCAACACUAUCUUUAUGGGGUUCGGUGUACCAUAUACACGGACCACAAGAGUCUGAAGUACUUGAUGGAUCAGCCAAAUUUGAAUAUGCGAUAGAGGAGGUGGUUGGAUGUGGUGAAGGAUUAUGAUUGUGAGAUCCUGUGCCACCCGGGCAAGGCGAAUGUAGUAGCCGAUGCAUUGAGCCGUAGGGCGGAAAGCGCCCCGAUUCGAGACAUUUGUAUGAGGUUGACGGUGAUGAGAGACCAGUGGCAAUUAGGGAUCAAAAGGUUAAGGUUCUGAGGAACAAGGAAAUACCCUUGGUGCAAGUGCAGUGGUAGCAUCGGAGGGGGUCCGAGCUGACAUGGGAGUCCGAGGCUGAGAUGCAGGAUCAGUAUCCGGAGUUAUUUUCGGUAUCAGACUUCGGGGGUGAAGUCUGGUUCUAGUGGGGGAGAAUUGUAACAGCCCAAAACCCAGGUACCCUUCUAUUUAGCCCUUCAUCUUUGUUAUGUUUCCAUUUAGGGUUUGCAUGUUAGGCGAGUACGCUGGGCGUACAAGGAGUACGCUGCGCGUACUCACACGCUUCAUUUGGACGCGUUCACCAUCAGGUAUGCUGGGCGUACCCAAGGUUACGCGGGGCGCAACCGGUCCAGACCUAAAAACCCUAAUUCAUUCGGAGGGCUAUAAAAGGAAUGUGUGGCUCGACUUCUUAGCCACCAUCCCUCAGAGAGAAACCCUAAUGACAGUGUGUAUCCGUUCUUGGGCCAUUUGUGAGUAUUCUAAGCUUGGUGGUGCUAUUUCAAGGUAGCAAAGGAGAAGAAGAACUCAUUGCGAAGGAUAGAAGUGGUGUUCAAGUGUAGAUCUGAGCUUUGCAACGGUUGAAGCUGAUGGGUUUUGGCUUCUAAUUAAACAUGCUUGUAUAAAAGACUUUAUAAUGACUAAUUAGGUAUAUAACAACACAAAAACCAGAUCUAGAAACAUACCUUUGAUUCUCUUGUUUGUUCUUGUUGUCUUGGAGCUCUAGAGUCACAAUUGUCACUCCUCUAAUGGCUUACAAACACCAACUAGCAAGAGGAUGAUUUGGGAGAGAGAGGAAGAGUAUGAAAUCGGCCAGAGUAUCCUUGCUUAAGAUGGGUGCCGAUUUCAUGAGCCUAGAGGGUCUAUUUAUACUUGUAAGGCUCCUAGGGUUUCACCUUAAACCCUAAUUGGAUAACCUAGAGUCCAAGUUAAUCCAUAUCCUUUCCUUAGAUAACCCCUUGGACGAUUUUGAGCUAUCCUAGGCUCACAAAUCCGUCGAAUCCUUUAUCUAUAAGGAUAUAUAGCCUAAAGUGUAACUAUCAAACAAUUGACAGUUAAUACCCUCAUAUUUAAUUAAUUCCUUUAAGUCACCAAAUUAAUACUAAUUAAUCUAUGACUUAUAUUAAUUAAAUAACUAUAUUAUUAAUCCUUAUAUUAUCUCCAUAAUAUAUUAAUAAUAUAUAUUCUCUCUUAAUAAAUCAUCAUAUCAAGUUGCUAUGGUGAAGGCAACCUAAAAGGACCAUGCACAAUCGGGUCAAGUACUUGCCUAAUAUAGUUGCAGUCUUAGACACUAUUCCAACAGUCUCCCACUUGGAUAAGUCUAGUAACUAUAUGAGCUAGUACAAUUCGAUUUGCGAUCGUAGCUCUCAAAGACGCUGUCAAAAUCUUAUCUAAUCAAUCUUUUCCUUUAGAUAUGGGAUCGUACAGUCCUCUGUUAGAUAUCAUGCUGACAAUUCUAUGGAAUGAUUAGUCAAGCAUUUAGGUUUCUUGAUCUCCGAUUUAUUUGAUAAUCAACUAUACACAACAAUGUGUUUUAUAACAUUGAGUUACCAAUGCGUUUUCGCAUUAUCAAUGUACAAUUAAUUAGCAAAUAAUAAACCAUAUAUCUAGGUUUUAAAAAUAUAUGAUAUUAUCGUCUUGCGAUCACCCUUUUAUAUCAUAUUCCAUAAGGUGAUUCCAGCAAGCGCGGGUUUGUUCCAAUGCUCAAAACUAGUUCAUAAGCACUCAUGAACGUUGCAGCAACCCUUUGCUAUGUCUAACACCAUUUAGACAAUCUACACACCAAUUCAUGACAAUCUUCAUUCAUAUCUACUUCCAACAUAUGAACGAUUGUGGACAAUUUGAACAAUUCGAUUAUUCCUAAUAAACUCAAUUAUUCUGGAAGUCAAAACAUGCAAAGUGAAACAAUAGCUAAACAAUUAACAUAAGAUAGUAACAUUACUCAUAAAUAAAACUCCUUUAUUUAAUCAUCAAAUGUUAAUUACAUUUAUCUAUUACACGUUUCUAAUACUAUCUAAUCUAUGCUAAUAUCAUCCUUCAGCCCAAUACUCCUAGCAUGCUGCAAGUGCUUAACCCUACUCAGUCCCUUCGUAAGCGGAUCUGCUGGGUUAUCUUCUGAUGAUAUCCUCUUCACUACGAGUUGUCCUUCUUCUACACGAUGUCUAAUGAAGUGAUAUUUUCUGUCGAUAUGUCUUGAUCUACCAUGAUCCCUCGGUUCCUUGGUCAAGGCAACCGCUCCUUCGUUAUCACAGAAAAUCUCCAUGGGCUCCUUUAUGGCAGGUACAACUCCAAGAUCACCGAUGAAGUUCUUUAGCCAUAUUGCCUCCUUCGACGCUUCGCUCGCUGCAAUGUACUCUGAUUCGCACGUUGAAUCAGCUACGGUUUCCUGCUUGGAACUCUUCCAUGUCACUGCUCCUCCAUUUAGGGUAAAGACCCAGCCCGACUGCGAACGGUAGUUGUCCCUGUCGGUCUGAAAACUGGCGUCACUAUACCCUCGCACCUUCAAGUCAUCACUCCCUCCGAGGACUAAGAACCAUUCCUUCGUCCUCCGAAGGUACUUAAGGAUAUUCUUCACCGCAAUCCAAUGUGCUUUGCCAGGAUUCCCUUGAUAUCUGCUAACCAUGCUCAAAGCGAAGGCUACAUCAGGGCGAGUACAAGUCAUAGCGUACAUGAUUGAGCCAACUGCGGAAGCGUAUGGUACUCGGCUCAUUUCUGCUAUCUCAGCUUCGGUACUCGGACUUUGAGUCUUACUCAAUUUGGCAUUACUUUGUAUCGGUAGUUCUCCCUUCUUUGAGUUUUCCAUACUAAAACGUUUUAGUACCUUCUCUAAGUAAGUAUUCUGACUAAGUCCAAUUAGUCUCUUACUUCUUUCUCUUACUAUCCUUAUUCCCAAAAUGUAAGAAGCCUCUCCGAGGUCCUUCAUAGCGAAGCACUUCCCGAGCCAGGACUUAACCUCCUGCAGAGUCGGGAUGUCGUUUCCUAUGAGUAAUAUGUCAUCGACAUAUAGAACGAGGAAGCUUACUAUACUCCCACUGGCUUUGACAUAUACACAAGAUUCGUCUUCGCUUCGUACAAAUCCAAACUCUUUGACUUUCUCAUCGAAGCAAAGAUUCCAUCUGCGAGACGCUUGCUUAAGUCCAUAAAUGGACUUCUCAAGCUUACACACUCUAUUCGGAUGCUUCGGAUCCACAAACCCCUCUGGCUGAGCCAUGUAAACAUCCUCAGCCAACUUUCCGUUAAGGAAAGCGGUCUUGACAUCCAUUUGCCAAAUCUCAUAAUCAUGAAAUGCGGCAAUUGCUAGCAUCACUCUAAUAGAUUUAAUCUUCACAACUGGUGAGAAGGUCUCAUCAUAGUCAACUCCGGGAGUUUGAGUAAAGCCCUUCGCAACCAAUCGCGCUUUAUAUGUGUGUACGUUUCCAUCCACGUCGGUCUUCUUCUUGAAGAUCCAUUUGCACCCAACGGUCUUACGUCCGGGCACAUGAUCAACCAAAUUCCAAACUUGGUUAUCAUACAUGGAUUGGAUCUCGCUAUCCAUUGCCUCUUUCCAUUUCGCAGACUCCGGGCCUGCCAUGGCUUCCUUAUAGCUAUUAGGUUCAUCAAGAUUUACUAGUGUACCAUCACUAAUAUACGUGUCCCCUUCGGUAGUAAUAUGAAAACCAUAAAACUGGGGUAGAACUCUAACUCUAUCGGAACGUCUAAGAGGUAAGGACUCGUCAAUCGGUUCAACCGGAGUUUCCUCCUCGGGUUGAGUGCCAGCGGUAGAGGUUCCUUCAUCUAUCGACUCUUGAAUCUCGUCAAGCUCGAUUUUCCUCCCACUGUCCUCUUGGCCUAUGAGUUCUCGCUCUCGAAAAACUCCUCUGCUCGCAACAAAGACUACAUUGUCCUUCGGUCUAUAGAAGAGAUAUCCAAAGGAUUUCUGCGGGUAGCCGACGAAAAUACAUCGCUCACUUCGAGGUUCGAGUUUGUCAUGAGUAUCUCGUCUUACGAAAGCCUCGCAACCCCAAACCUUGAUAUGUGCCGACGAAAGAGCUUUCCCCGUCCACAUCUCGUGAGGUGUUUUGCCAACCUUCUUAGUAGGGACUCGGUUAAGGAUAUGGGCGGCAGUCUCUAAGGCAUACCCCCAAAAAGAGAUUGAUAGUGAAGCACAGCUCAUUAUAGAGCGAACCAUAUCCAAUAGUGUUCGAUUACGCCUUUCUGCCACACCAUUCAAUUGUGGUGUCCUAGGUGGCGUCAAUUGCAAAGCUAUUCCACACUCCUUGAGAUAUUCGUGGAAUUCAAGACUUAGGUAUUCUCCUCCUCGAUCGGAUCGAAGCAUCUUGAUCUUCCUACCCAAUUGAUUCUCC
rnacentral:lncRNA from 1 species